rnacentral:lncRNA from 1 species
UUUUAGAUAUCUCAGAAUAUUCAAGAAUGGCAGAAAAAAGCAAGAUUUUGAUCAUUGGUGGAACAGGAUACAUUGGCAAGUUUAUAGUUGCGGCCAGCACUAAGGCUGGUCAUCCCACCUUUGUAUUGGUUAGAGAAUCUACUGUUUCUGAUCCUGUUAAGGGAAAACUUGUUGAAGGCUUCAAGAACUCUGGGGCGACUCUUGUUCAUGUAAGCAGCGUUUAAUUUGACAGUGUUGUCAAUUGGGAUUCCUUUUUUUCCCUUUUAGCUGGUGAUGCUUGUUUUUGAUCUCGAUAUUGGAAUUCUUCCUUGGAGCAGGGUGACUUGUAUGAUCAUGAAAGUUUAGUGAAGGCCAUAAAACAGGUGGAUGUGGUCAUAUCAACUGUUGGUAACGGACAAUUGAAUGAUCAGAGGAAGAUCAUUGAUGCAAUUAAAGAAGCUGGAAAUGUCAAGGUGUGUUGUUUAUGUGGUCUUGUUACUAAUGAUUCUCACUGGGGAAUGUAUUUGAAUACGUUUGUUGUUUUUCUUAUGUUGCAGAUCUGUAGCUCUGCAAUUUAGAUAAUUAUAGGUUUUUAAUUGUCGAAAUAUAGUAAAUUUUGAUAAUGCACACGAAAUUCAUGUAUUUAAAGGUUGUAUGUGUCGUUCGUAGAGCUUGAUGAUACAUUUUCGGAGUGGAGAAGCAACUAAGAUUAAUUGGCCAAUUUGCUUAAUUGAAAUUUCAGUCGAUUUUAAGCCUAUCUAUUGGGCAGAGUUAAUUGAGGUUCUUUUAGUCAUCGUGUAAAACCACAGUGAUUUGACAAUCUGUGAAUUUGAGGAAAAGAUUGCAGAUUGGAAUGAAAUAGAGUAUAAUUUCUGUCAGUUUUUAUCUACUAUCGUUCCCAAAUUCUGACACAUAAUAUGGUGAAAUUCUCAGAAAUUCUACCCUUCAGAGUUUGGAGUUGAUGUGGAUCGCCAAAAUGCAGUUGAGCCUGCCAAGUCUGCAUUUGCAGGAAAGUCUCAGAUUCGUAGGGCUACUGAGGCAGCAGGGAUCCCUUACACCUAUAUCUCGUCUAACGCUUUUGCUGGAUAUUUUCUUCCAACCUUGUUACAGCCAGGAGCCACUGCACCACCACGAGAUAAAGUUGUCAUCUUGGGAGAUGGAAAUGCUAAAGGUAUGGCAUAUAAUAUCACUUGGCUAUUUUAUUCUUUUUCACCCACUUCACCUGAUCAUUUUCUUAUCCUCUGCUGAACUUAUCCUGUAAGAACGUGAAUAUUGUACUGGUGUUUAAAAUUUUUUUUUUUUUUUUAAUGUUUCAAUUGUAGCUGUUUUUAAUGAAGAACAUGACAUUGGUACUUUCACCGUCAAAACUGUUGAUGAUCCAAGAGCAUUGAACAAAGUUGUCUACAUUAGGCCUCCUAAGAAUAGUGCAUCAUUUAAUGAGUUAGUGGCAGUAUGGGAGAAGAAGAUUGGUAAAACUCUGGAGAAAGAAUAUAUUCCUGAGGAACAACUCCUGAAGAACAUCCAAGGUGACAAGAAGUUUGAUUUCAAUUUCCUUAAUUCUUUAUUGUAUGAAUUAUUAGUGUAUGAAUGGACCAUUUCUUCGCAGAGGCUCCAAUUCCGCUCAAUGUCAUAUUAUCAAUUAACCAUGCAAUUCUGGUAAACGGUGAUACUACCAACUUUGCAAUUGAGCCAUCUUUCCGUGUAGAGGCUUCAGAGCUUUAUCCUGAUGUCAAGUACACCACUGUCGAGGAGUACCUUGAUCGAUUCGUCUAAGAAGUUCAUUAGUCUUCUGAUUGAUAUGGUCAUGGCCUGGAAUAAUUUGCUGAUAAACUUGGUCCAAGACUUUGUGUUGAAUGUGUUAUAAUGAUCUUUGUUAAAUGCUUCUGCUAUAUUUGAUUUUACUAAAUAUAUUAGCACAAGUUUCAAAAAUAGGAGGAGUUGUUAUCUAUUGUAUUGGUAUUGAAUAUUCUCCGACCUUUGCGGGAAUAACGUAGUAAUGAAACGAGUUGUUUUCCUUUUUCUGCAAUGCUUCUACCACAUCUCCUUGCAACUCAUUUUAUAAGCAUGUCAAUCCUGUGAAUUGCUGCUAAUAACUUUCUGACUUUUGUGAAAUACAACUCUAAUGCGACUGUUGAAUAGGCUUGACAAUAUGCAAUCAUAUCUGUGCCAUUGCCGUUGUGGUUUACUUUGUUGAUGAACAAGCAACUUGAAGUUUGUUGAGUUGUGGCUUGGGGGGGAUUUUUAGAAUCCUUCCUGCUGUCAAAUUGUCAAAUCAAAAGUUCAAAUCCUUUGUCCGGUAGUUGGAGAAUGAAAAGUGUGGGAAAGAGCAGGAGGGUAAAAAAAAAAAAGACAUUUGUGUGGGGAGGAGCGGAAGGGUUUAAAAAAAAAGGGUAAAAUACAAAAAAAUCCCCUGUGAUAAAUUUAAUAUACAGAAAAUCUCCCGUAAUUUCAAAAUAUACAACAUAAUACCUCGUACUUUGAACUAAAUUGUAAAGGUGACGGAAUCCGUUAAAUUUAAUGGAACCUAAAAAAAAAAAAAUUAUACCUAAUUUUUAAUAAAUAUACCUGUUCUACCCCUUAACCCUCAAUUCUCUCUAUCUAGAAAAUAAAACAAAUGAUUUUUUUGAGCUGUCUUUUACUUAAUUAUAUUAGGGCAUUUUGGUCAUUUCGUCCAUUUCCGUUAAGUUUAACGGAUUCCGUCACCUUUACAAUUUAGUUAAAAGUACGGGGUGUCAUGUUGUAUAUUUUGAAACCAUGAGAGACUUUUCUUUGUAUUAGGUUUACCACAUGGAUUUUUUUGUUUUUUACCCUAAAAAAAAUGAAAAAGACGUUUGUUGAGUCAUAGGUGCAUAAUUAUUGCUUUAAACCCACCAAGCCUAUGAUUGUGUUUGGUUGUUGUUCAAUGAAGGGAUGCUUUUUUUUUUUGACAAACGAUAACCUCAUAUAUAUAUAUCAACACUUGAAAAUACAAGAGUUAAUUACAAAAAGGGGUGACUACCCCCAUAUCCUUUCUAACUAGACUUGAAAGCCAAAUUGGAAAAGAACCUUCCCAUUCAAAGCUUCUAGUUGCCUUUGCUGCAAAUUGUGCUAAUUCAUGGCUGCAUUGAUUUACCGUUCUAGGUACAAAGGUGAAAGUGCAGCUUUCAAAAUUUCUCUUCUGAACGUCAAUGUCAUCCAGGAUUGUUUGCAGAUUACAGUCCUGUACAUUGUCCGUGUUGAUGAGGCUCACUACAUGCUUGCAGUCAGAUUGGACUUCUAUAGUUGUCCAUCCUGCAAACUGAGCCAUUUCGAGCGCCCCUCUGAUUGCUAGAGCUUCUUCAGUGGCUGCAAUUCCUUUCCUCCUCGCAGUAAUUCCUUUUGCUCUCACUAAUUCUCCGCGCCAGUUCCUUGCAAUAAUCCCCAGACCUGUUCUGACCAUUUUAGCCGAGAUGGCCGCGUCCGUAUUGAUCCUUAUUGUUCCUUUCUUAGGCGGUUCCCAAUGCUGCUGGGUUGGUGUUGCCUUUUCUGGUUCAGAAUUUGAUCCUGUGUCUGACUCCCUUGCUGCCUCAUACUCGAUCCAUUCCUGUUGUGCCUUGUCAACAAUAACCUUUACAUUAGCUAUCUCCUGCUGGAAAGUAAACUUGUUCCUUGCUUUCCAGAUUUGCCAUAAGAUGUUUGCUGUAAGUUGGAUUCUGCCCUCUCCUUGAGUCUCUUUUGCUGCCUGCAACACCGCUUCCCACCAUCUCCACAGGUUGCCUUGGAGUUUAGCUAGCCCUUCCCACCGAACAGGUGCAAUCUUCCAUAUAACUUGCGCUGUUGGGCAGUUGAAAAAGAUAUGUUCAAUGGUUUCCAUGUCCUCCCCACAGCAGUGACAAAUCUGGUUCCCUAUGCCAAACCUUUUGUAAAGAGCCUCCUUAGUAGCCAAACCGUUUUGUAGACAUCUCCAUAAGAAAUGUUUCAAUUUCAGCUUAAUGCUUAGGCUCCACAAAGUUUUCUAAACUGUAUGCUUUCGUAUCUCCCAACUGGUUUCCGGAUCAGGUACUAGCCUUUGAUUUGUUUCUUCCUUUUCCUCCUUAGCAAGCACAUAUCCGGUCUUCACAGUGUAGACUCCAGAGUUGCUAAAGUUCCAGAAUAGUCUAUCUUUCCUGUCAUACAAGCUAAGUGGAAUAUUAGUAAUCUGAUUCACAACAUCUACCUGAAACCAAUGUUGUAAAAGACCAAAGUUCCACUUCCCUCCCUCUAUAAGCUCACUAACAAACUCCAGUUGACAUCCUACGGGUUUAGCUGUGUGAACUCUACCAUCCACCAACCCAGGUAUCCAUCUAUCAUGCCAAAUCCUCACUGACCUCCCAUCCCCCACCCUCUUCCAUAAUCCCUUUUGAAGCAAUUCCCCUCCUUUGUGCAUACUUUUCCAGCACCAAGAAGCAUUGUUAGGGGGUUGCUGUCCUAACCAAUUCUCCUCCUUCAUAUACCUGGCCUUCAAGACUUUGCUUACUAACAAAUUUGGAUUGAUCACAAUUCUCCAAAUUUGUUUUGCAAGCAUAGCCAAAUUGGAAGCCUCCAGGUCCCUAAAACCCAUGCCUCCUUUCCCUUUCACCUCAGACAGCUUACUCCAUCGAACCCAAUGCACCUUUUUUUCCUGUUCCCCACCACCCCACCAGAAUCUCGCAAUCUUAGCACUAACAGCCUUACACAGACCCUUGGGUAAUUUAAAGCAUGACAUAAUAUACGUUGGCAUAGCCAUGAUAACUGCUUUGAUCAAAACUUCCUUACCCCCUUGACUAAGCAAUUUUUGUUUCCAACCUUGAAGCUUACUGUUUAUGUUGUUCAUCAGAAAUCCAAAAACCUGGUUUUUAUCUCUCCCAAUCGUCAUCGGAAGACCUAGAUAUUUGCCACUAUGCGCCUCCUUCAUAUUAUCCAGCACCAUACUAACAUCCCUUCUAAUUCUCUUGGGAGAAUUCCUACUAAAAAACAUAGCAGACUUAUCAAAAUUAACAACCUGUCCGGACGCAUGUCCAUAUGUCCUGAGUACCUCCUUGAGCUUUUGAGCUUCUUUUUUACUUGCUUUGCAGCACAGUAGGGAGUCAUCUGCAAAAAAUAAAUGAGAAACCAUAGGACUGUCCUUGCAAAUUUUAAUACCAGUUAGAUGUUUGUUAUCCACAGCUUUCUUGAUCAGGUUUGAAAGUCCUUCAGUACAGAUGAUAAAUAGGUAAGGAGAGAGGGGAUCUCCUUGUCUAAUCCCUCUGGAAGGUUUCACACUACCCACUUUUUGCCCAUUCAAAUUAAAGGAGUAAGAAACCGUGGAGAUGCAGGUCAUGAUCUAGCGAACAAAAGUGGGGCAAAAACCCAUUUGUAUCAUGAUUCUACCAAGAAAUUUCCACUCCACUCUAUCAUAGGCUUUAGACAUAUCAAGUUUAAGGGCCAUGAAACCUACCUUACCAGCUCUCUUACUUUUGAGAAAAUGCAAAAUUUCAUGCGCAAUAAUACAAAAUUUCAUGCUCGGAUAGGAUUGAGUCUGUUAGUAUCAGGCGCUAACUAUUGAUAUUGAACUCUAAACUAGCCAAAUAAAUUUAAAUAGCAAAUAUUUUUUUUGAGGGUUUGAAUUGGUUACAUACUACCAUUUCCGAUUCUGAUUCAUAUUUUUAAUGAACCUGGACUUUGAAUUUUUAGUCAUGGUUGUGGUUCUGAUUCCGAUUGAAUAAAUCGCUAGUCCAGUCUCAAUUUAAUCUGAAUUGUGGCUACCCUAGUUGUGGAGAGGGGGGAGAGGGAAUUAUAGAAAUUGGAUAAGAGAUUUUAAUAAUUAUAUUGAAUCUUAUAUGAGGUAAGUGGAAUUUAACUCUCUUUAAUAUAGGUUUAUACACAUUUAAAACAAGAUGUUUAACUGUAUCCAAACACGUUAAAGAAUAUGCAUUUUGGGCUAAGCGAGACCAACCAAAAAAAUUACUUUUACUUCUCCAAUUGGAGAUGGAGGGCCCAUGAAACUAAUAGAAUCUAGAUGUGGUAUUAGUAGUCUGAUUUCAGCCCCAUACAAGACCCAAUUAGAUUGCAUUUGGUGAGACUUUUUGUAGAGAUAUUUAAUCAAAAGCCUGGUAUUAUUUACCAUGUCCAUCGCCAAAGCAAAAAGCCAAUAGAUGGAAAAACUAAAAGUUGAAAAGAAGAGAGAAGAAGAUUAAAGAAAAUGAUGACAUCUUGGAAUUAAUGUAGACUGAACUAUAUGUAAUAUUAUUGACUUGUUAUAGUCAAGCAUUUCUUCCUCAAUUUUCCCUUCUUUUUGCCCAUGAGCUCAAAAUUAACCUGCUAACAUAAGUCUAUAUAUUGAAAUACCUUUCUAUUGGUGCCUUUCAUUGUCAGCAACAACCGCAAAGGAAGGGGGGAAAGGGGAAAAAAAAUGCUCUACGAUAAAAUAACGUAUCAACAUUCUAUUUACAUUCGUGGUAAACUACCUUCGAACACUUAUAUUUUGAUGGUUUGCCCAAUAAUUCGGACCAAAUUCAUUUUAGCAACAACUCAAGUGCAUUAUGGUGUAUCAAUUUAUCCCCCUCAACAAAAUUUCUAUGCGUUGUUAUACUAAACCACACGGUGCGCAGUAGUAUGGAAACAGAAAAUACCCAGACAAGCAUAUGAUGCCAAGGGAAAAUACUGUAGGGAGGAUAUAACUGAGGACAUUUAUGUAUUUCGGUGCCGAACAGAGCAAGAUACAUAGUCGAAAAAGUUUCAUAUAAGGAAAGCACUAAACUGAACAGAGCAACUGUGAGGACUCGUAAUUUAUUUUAUAUAUUUUUAUUUUUUUUAUCGAUUUAUUCACUUAUUUAUUGGUUUACCCUAAAAUGGUUAUUUUUAUGAUUAAAUACUCAAGUAUUAGUUAGUUAUACUAUCGUUAUAAGAAUUUCUUAAAAAUUUCGCUUUAUCGCGCACAAGUCGGAAGUUCGCGUUUUCGCGCGCGCGACUAAUUGGAGGAUUUUAGAAAUUAUUGUUAGACUACUAAGAGUGGAUAAUAAUAGUGUUAAACGAAGUAUAUUAGAGGUUUAGUGCACAAGUGAAACAAACCCGAGAGGAAACUGGUACGAAACGCCCGCGUACGCGCACUAUUGGAGAGUUGACUUUUGUGCACUUAAAGUUUACACCUACCAAGCUUCUCCAAGAAGCUUUGCAUCAGCACCAUCUCUCUCUUUUCUCUCUCAAAGCAGCCGAAACCCUCAAGGCAAGAAGGAGCAAAAAAUUUCUUCAUCAUCCCACUGAAAUCAUCCAUCUAUUUCACUCCAAAUUUGUCACACAAACUCAAAACAACUUGGAGCUUCACUUGGGCUAGGAGAAGAGCAUCAUUUCCACGGUUUCUUGGAGCUUCUUAGUGACCAAAAUUUCUGAGUUUCAACACCCAAGAGGUAGUGAAUGAUCUAACCUUCUAAACUUGAUUUUUGUAAGUUAGAUUGGACUUGGAAGCUUGUAGCUUCAUGUGGGUAACUUUGGUUGGUUGAAAAUCAUGUGAGUGGGCUCUAUGAAAUCCCACAAUGGACUUGUUGGGUUAAUAUGAUGAUUUUGGAUGUUAUUUAUGUUGAUUAAGUGUUAAACUAGUGGUUAUAUGUUGAAAAAGUGGAAAGAAACUCAAAGGAAACCAAAGGGAAGAAGGGCUGGAUUCUGCCUUGUUUGUGCAGAGGCCUUGGUUCGAUUUUUUUGUGAUUAAAUUGCCUUGAUUUUGAUGUAGAUAUAUUGCAUAGGUUGUGUGGAAAGUUUUCAUCAAAAAUCACUUGAUUUGGUUGGCCAAAAUUUGCAUUUUCGAAAAUUCUUCAAAGCUGGAAACGGGUAACAGGGGUUACCUGGCAGCAAAGUUUAAAUGACCAUAACUCUUUACUCCGAUGUCAAAAUCAAGUGCUGUUUCUGGCAUUUGAAACUAGACACUUCCAAUUUUCUAACGGUAUAAAAUGCAUCUUCUGAUUCAACUUGAGUGAACUGUACUAGCCCUUCAAAGUUACCUGUCCUGUUUCACUCCUGUGUUAGAGAGUCAAUGAGGUGCCGGGACUUGUUGCUUGAAUUUGAGCUAGCUAUGGACUGAAUUUCAAAAUGAUUUCUUCUAAUGAAUAUCCUUAUGAAUGUAGUUUCCAACACCACCAACCAUGGCUAAUUCCAAGUUGAAUUGACUGAGUUAUGGCCGAAUUAUAGAACUACAUCAGUGAUCGAAAACCCUAAUUUUGGCUAGCCGAUGGCUUAGCUCGAAUUGGGACUUGUUAUUUUGAAACUUUUGGUGUUAAUCACCUACCAAAUGUAUGUUGGAUGUUUCUUAGACUUUUCUUCAUAAAUGAACCAUGUUUGAGAUGAUUUCUUUGGCUAAAGGUUCGAAAAAGGAAAAACGGAAGCUUAAGGCGGGAUUGCCUUGUAUAUUCCUCGAACUUUAGUGAUCUUGUUAACUGACUUACCAUAUGAAUUUUUGCCUAAAAUUUGACAGAGGAGUAGCACUUAUAUGGUAGUGUAAUCAUACCAAAUUUGGUGCCAUUCCAAGUCUAUUUCGAUGCCCAACUGAAGUCCCAAAGUUUAUGUUUCAAAUCUGGAAAAUUGCCCAAUGGUUUUCAUUUUGAACCAACUUUGAGCUACUAUAUCUUGGCGCUCAAAACUCCGAUUCUUGUUCCAUUUGUUUUUUUUAAACCUAAAUUGUAACUCUAAUAGAGUUUCAAAUUUGAGAGGCUAGUUCGUAUUCUGUGAAUUUUACCGAAUUUCCAAAGUUUGCCAAAAACCAACCCCGAAUCUGUCUUGGGAGUCCAAAUCAGCGACUUGAAGCCAAAUUUUGAGUGUCUUCCAUUUUGAAUCAUGGAAAAGUGUCUUCUAGGAACUUAGUACUUCGGAACUAGUUUCCAACGGUACCAAGUUUUCCAAUUUUGGACCUACGAAGAGUGAGAUAUGAUUUUUCCAAGAAUAUGCCUCAAAUCUGAAACUUCCGAGCUUAAAGGAAAUUGAGUUUUAGAGUUCUUCCCUAUUCUUCAAUACUAAUUGACCAUUUUGGACUUGUUUUCACAAAGGAAAUCAGUUUUUCCUUGUGUUAUUAAACACCACCUUCGAACCUUGAAUUUUGAGCAAGUAAAACUCUAUUUCGUGAUAUUUUCUUAGAUUGUACAAGUGUACAAUCUCUCUCUUGAUAAGAGAGGAUUUAUAAGUAAUAGUUAACUAUUGUUUGCUCAGGCAUUCAAGGGGACCUUCAAGAGGAUCUCACAGGGGACGCUUAAGUACUUGAUCUGUGCAACGCACUCUCCUUUUGUCUAGGUGAGUGUCAAGUGUGUGAAAACGUGUUACAUGUUUAAUUGUUAUUGAUAAUUGAGCAUUUUGAAAAUGUUGAGUCGAGUGUAUACUUUACCGCACUCGUUCUCAUUUAAGUGAAGUGUACUUGAAUUACUUGACAUGAAAUACCUGAAGUGAAUUGCUUGAAUUGACUUGUUAAGUGAAUUAAGUGAAGUGUUUGAAUGAUUAAUUAUGCUAUGGCUGCAUAAGUCGAGUGGAGUGAAUCUCCUCGACUCCUAGUGAUACUAGUGGGGGAUGCCCAAAUCUCAUUGGCCGACCUUGCAACUCGAGCCAACAUGGGCACGGUCGAGAAGCUUUGUGAGCCAUGAGAAACGUGUAUAAGCUUGAUCUAAUGGAGAGAUCUUGGUUGGCAUACUUGAGUAGUAUCGCCUUAAAUAAAAGACAAGCAGGCUCGGUACAGGGGUAUGUAAUGGUGAUCGGGGAACGAGUAAGUGAAAUUCUACGGAUUAUAACCUACCCGAUUGACGGAGUGUCAACUUGUGGAGGUUCUGGAUCGUGCAAGUGGAAAAUAGUUCCUGAGAGCUCUUAUAUCCUUGAAUUGUUUCUGUUUUCAUUUUCUCACUUGAAUUGUUAUUUACUUGAAUAUUACUGUUUUACUUGUUAAAUGGGAUUGUUGCUUGGACAACGUGCUUGCAUGUGUGUUUCUUGGCCUCACGAACAAUCUCUUACCCCGUAGAUUUGUUUUCCUUAACAGGUGGAUUGGAAGAUUAUGAAAAGCCAACUAGGUUAUGUUUUCUAUUCGAAAUAUUGGUUGUAAAUUUUUAGUCGACUUUUAAUGGUUGUAUUUUGGGAUUUGAUGUAUCUUUUGAGAACCUGAUAUAAGAUCUGGGAAAUUGAUGUACUUCGAACUUGUGGUGUAAGAUUUAGAUAGUCGGUUAUGGAAGCAACUUUUCUUUAUUAGACUUGUAUUAAUUGUUAUGUACCGUUAAGCUUGAAUUGAAUUGUCUUGAGUCCUGGCGAGAGUUGGGCAGGCGUCCCGCGGAUACCCUUUGGUUUGCCUUAGGGAGAAGUAGAGGCGUCACAGCAACAACAUACAUAAUCAAAAGUGAUAUAGAGCCUAGUUCUAGUACUUAUCCACUACAACUUCUUGUUAGAGAUUAUCUCAGUUCUUAAUAACUUAGUAUGACUAAUUUAGAUGAAUAGUGAAAUUAAAAUGCCAUGGAUACAGUUUUUUAGUGCCUUUUCUAUUGAAUACGAUAACAGCAAAAGAGAUGGGUGAUUGUGAAAUAAAAAGCAAUAUGUCGCCAGGGUGAAGAGCAUGUUUGACGGAGAUAAUGGCCCAAAUCUUGUCGAAAGUUUCAUACCAAUGUAAUAGGUUUUAUAGCCGCAUGUAAGAAUUACUGUUGGUGUCGUGUCUUCAUGUAGUCGAAGGUUAGCAUAUUGCGGAAGGACCUAUUCACCAAAGAGCAUCCAUUGUUAGUUAGGUCACGAAAGAAUGAAGCCCAGAAAAAAUUGUAUAGAGGAAAGUACUUACCAAGCUGUACUUAGAACAAUGUGUAUAAAACUGAUAGAAAGAAACAAAGGAUGCCCAAUCGUGAAGCUUCCUUGUAGACACAUUCUUAUUAGCAUUUUCAGUAGAAUCAAUGGUCCGGAGAUUUCACUCUCCUUUGGAAUCUACUUAGUGGGAACCUUUGGCAAAGGACAUACACUCUGCCCAAACUGGCUGGAAUACAUUCAUACUCCACCUCUUGAAUUUCUUCAUUCCAUACAUUUUCAAAGGCCUAGGGCUGCCCACUUUUAACUCCACACAUACUCAUGCAUAAGGCACUCUCUCGGGUAGCAAUUUGCUUAUCAGUAGAUAAUGUUGUGCCAAUGUAACUAGCAAACUUACUCUAGCCAUCAUCAGUAGAAUAAUUAAGCUUAAAAUGCGAAAAUCGAACCCACAUAGGCACCGAAUUAAACUCCUCAUGUUUUAGAUCCAUUUCAAGACUUCAUGGCCUCAAAAAUAACAUUUUAUUGCCCAUUGGCCAUAAAGAUUGCUCAAGAACCCGACCUUUGCUCCCUUCAUUAGAGAUAACGACAAACAUACUAUUCUUUAGAAAGUAGGCUUCAAUCUGACUAUAGUGCUUCCAGCGAUUUUCCAUAAAUCGCUUAAUUACUGAAAGCAGAACAGAAGAGCCUAAAGAAGACCUAACAACUGUGUAUUGCCAUUUACCCAGUCCCUCAGCAACAUCCUUUGAUGUAACAGUCACCAUGUUCGUAGCAGGGGGAUAAAUUUUAAUCACAUACCACCAUGUGUGGCACCCACAACUUGAGCUCAACAUCGCAUUGGUGCUUCCAUAAGGAUCCUAUUCUUCUCCAAAAAGGACUCAGGAACAUCAACAGCCUUAGAUUUCAAAGAGGGAAAUCUCCAUCUCCAUUAAGCACGACAGAGAGGCUACGUCCGGUGCUCAGAUUGUUGGCAAACUAAAUCAAUUUAUUUAUAUAUUAGUUUUAUUGGAGCUAGGUUUUUAGUCAUUGUGUGAUUUAGAAAAUUAUAUUUUAUUUGGUAAUUUCUUAUGCAAGUGAAUCUUUCCUAGCAAGUUUGGUAGUAUGAAUAGGACAUUAUUUAGGAUAUUUUCUUGAGAGAGUUUAGAAAAAUUUAUAAGAUUUUAUUUUAUGGUGUGACUUUUUCAUUGUUUGAGAUUUCAAUAAUAUUAUGAGUUGAGUUUAUUUUCUUCACUCUCACAUAUAUUUUGAGUGUUUGUUUUAUCCCUUCAAAUCUGUAACCCUGUACGCAUUGAUUAUUAUUAGAACCCUAAAAUUUGGGUUCUAUAAUUGGUAUCAGAGCUAGACUACGAGGCUAGUCUUGAACGUUUCAACUGUCAGAGAAUUAAGCCAUAAAAGUUGCCAAAAAGUAUUCAAUUAAUUGAGUUAGACCACAAAAUUAGUCCUGAAAUGUGUAGUUGGUGAAAAUUUUGACCAUAAGAUUGGUCCAAAAAUUGUUAAAUUGUUGCGGGUAUGAAGACAGAGAUUGGAGAGGAAUCCUGUUAGAUUUGUUGAUUGUUGCGGGUUGUCAAAUUGAAGGAAUUGAUUUGUCAAUCAACCAAGAAGGCCAGGAAAACUUGACAGAAGGGAGAUAGAAAUUUAUUCAGGUAUGAAUUGUUAAAUAAUGGCAGAAUAUUAUAGAGAUGUGAUUGAUGGUGAAAGUGUUGCCAUAUUGACUCCUAUAAGCACAAAUAGACAUACAUAUUUUGGUUGGAUUUAAACAGUGAAAAAAUAUAUCAAACAAUGUAAUUUGGAUGAUAUUCUUUGUUGGGUUGAUGCAAGUGAGUUCGUAAAACAUGUUUUCAAGAAGAAGGUACGAUUAUUCUUUUAAGUGAUAUAUAAAACAAUGGUAGAAAGUAUUUACAAAACUUUUGUUCGUCACACUAAAAUACCUUGGAGAUAUUGGAAGGAUAUUUACUAUGUUUUGCAAACAAUUGAGAGAAAUUAUGCUUUCAAAUUGAAGUCUAGUUGUUGGUAUUCAUUUGUGGAUUUUAAGAAUGAUAUAUUUGUUGAUGAUAUAAGUGAUAUCGAAAAUUUUGAAUCAAUUGACAGUUUUGAUUUGCAUACCUUAUUUGGAGAAAUUAAAAGCAAUGAAUUUAUUGAAGAAAAACAAUAGGGUAAUUUGACAAAGGAAGAAGAAAAUUUCAAUUUGAUAAGAGAGGAAGAAGAUGAAAUUGUUGUUGAAAAUUCAAUGGUUCGGACUUUUUUCAAAGUAAUGGAAGAAUGUUUGAUUUGAUUGAUACGGAUUUCAUCGAAGUUCAAAAAUAUUUUGCUCCAAAAAAGUUGAUUGAUAGUAUGAAAAUUUUGGAUGAUUGUGGUAGUGGUUAUUUAAUUUUGGUAAGAAACAAAUCUACGAUUUUGUAUUUUUGGGCACUUACAUGGGUAGUAAAUAUGGUGAUUCUGGUGAUGAUUGGUUUUGUAUGAGUGAGUACUUUGAUCAAGAAUAAAUUAAUAAGAAAUUCUUGGCAAAAUACAAAGUGCAUCUACUACCACGUAUAUAGAUGAUGUUAAUAACUGGUAACAAGAUAGAGUUACAUGUCAGCUAUACUAUGAUAGAGAUUUGCAUAGAAAUUAUUGUUCGAGAUGGUGUUAGACAUGUCUUAAUAGAGAGUUUGAUUUAAGAGAGGUAAUGUUAACAAACUAAACCAAGCAUAGAAGUAUUUACUUAUUUAUUUAUAAGUUUUAUUGGAAUUAGAUUUUUAGUUGUUGUGUGAUUUAGGAAUUUGUAUUUUAUUUGAUAAUUUCUUGUGCAAGUGAAUUCUUUCCUAACAAGUCUGAUAGAUUAUAAAUAGGAUAUUAUUUAGGAUGUUUUCUUAAGAGAGUCUCGAAGAGUUGGUAAGGUUUUCUAUUGUGGUGUGACUUUGUUCAUUGUUUGAGAUUUCAAUAAUAUUGUAAGUUGAAUUUAAUAUUUUCUUCUCUCCUACAUAUAUUUUGAAUAUUUAUUUUAUCCCUUCAAUUCUGUUACCUACAUGCAUUGAUUAUUAUUAGAACCUAAAAUUUGGAUUCUACAUACAUCAACUGAAUUAACCCGUGGUGAUUGAAUUUCACUCUCAUUUAGUUCAAUCUUCGAUCUAGCAGAUAGGUUCAGCGAAGAGGAAGCCAUAAUCAGCACGAGAAUGAUGGCAGAAACAAGCAAAACACAAUAGAGAAAAGGAAACAAAAUUGAUAACACUGAAUCGGACACAACACAGAAGAAAAAACAUGAAGAAUUACACAUCUUAAGGGAGAGAAAUUAUUUCAGUUGUCGAUUUUCUUACGGGAUCAUCCUCAUGAUAUAAUUGUUAUCCGGAAUUAGAGGGAGCUGAAAGCUCAGUAUGCUGAUCUAUUGCUUGCCGAAGAGCAGUUCUUUAAAGACAAGAGUCGAGCACAGUGGUUAAAAGUUGGAUCAGAACACAUCUUUUUUCCAUAGGAAAGUUAAAUCCCACAUGGCAAAUAAUAGAAUACUAAAGUUGCAGGAUGAUAACCGGGAUCUUAUCAUUGAUUAUGGCAUGGUGCAGGAACAUGUUAUUUCUUUCUAUCAGAAACUGUUUAGUAGGCCAGAUGAUGCUACGCUGGAUAUCCGUGGUAAAUUAUCUCAAGUUGUACAAAAAUCUUUGACUGAGCAGCAGCAAAGGAUUCUUAUGGCUUAUAUCUCAAAUGAGAGAAUCAAAUAUGCAGUCUUUUGUCCGAAAAAUAGUAAGGCUCUAGGACCAUAUUGGUUCCCUGCUGAAUUUUUAAAGAUAACUAGGAUAUGGUAGGCCUUGAUGUAAGAUAUUGUUUUGAGCAUAACUGCAUAACUAUAUGUAUUUCCCCCUAAACAGAACAGCCAUUUCUUUAGUUCCCAAAAUUCCUAAUGCUAUGUGCAUGAGGGAGUUUAGGCCUAUAUCAUGUUGCAAUUAUCUGUCUGUACUCACUAAUAGACUAAAAUUAUCCUUUCUGAUCUUGUUAGUCUUUCAUAAUUUGCUUUUGUGAAAGGUAGGCAGAUUGUUGAAAAUGUUCUACUAAUGCAUAUUUAGUGAGAGGAUAUACUAGGACUGGAGGCAAACCCAGGGCAGUCACUAAAGUGGAUAUUAUGAAGGCAUACGAUAUGCUUAGCUGGGAGUUCUUAUAUUUUUCUUUGGAAGUUCUUGGUUUUCCUGAGGUGUUCAUAAACUGGGUUAAAUGUUGUGUAUCUACUGUGCAUUUCUCCAUUAAUCUAAAUGGCUCAUUGAUAGGAUAUUUUGGCAGUGAAGGGGGGCCCAGGCGAGGGGACCCAAUUUCCCCUUAUUUGUUCAUCAUUGCCAUGGAUAUGUUUUCUUCUCCGUUUCAUUGGAAUAUUUUGUAGGAAGGUUUUGAUUGUCACCCAAAAUGUCAUCAGCUAGAGCUUUCUCACCUGGCUUUUGCUGAAGAUUAAUUUGUGGUGACUGCGACUACCUUUAACUCUAUCAGAGUGAUUCACAAGACCAUGCAGGAGUUUGGUGAACUCUCUAGGUUGUGGCCUAACCUCCCGAAAUCUCAGCCUUUUUUUUUUUUGGCAGGAGUGGGUGAUCCUGUUAGAUUGGAACUCGCUGCUAUACUGGGCAUUCCACAGGGAGAGUUGCCUGUGAAAUAUUUGGGGCUUCCGUUGAUAUCUUCCCGGCUUACACAUAGAAUGUCAGACUAUUCUUCUUAGAAUACAGAGCAAAAUACGAAGUUGGGCUUCAAAAUGCUUGAGUUAGGGGGUGUUGGGAAAUGGGUACCAGUACAGGCACAAAAUAUCAGAGUUAGCCCAAGAUAAAUUUCUCUUUCCCAAGUACCAGUUAAAAUAGGAAUAAAUCAAAUCACCAAAUAAUAAUACCAAUAGUGAUAAUAAAAAUGCAAAAAAAAAUAAAGGCACAGGACACCAAGAUUUUUACGUAAAAAACCCAAAUUGGGAAAAACCACGGGACCUAGUCCAGUCAAAAAAAUCUCCACUAUUACAAUAAUGGGAAUACACAGGUCUAUCCGAAAUAUUCGGAUGACAAUAAUAUCACCAAUACCAACCAAACCAAUCUGCUACAAAAUCACCCCCCAAAAAUUACAACUGUCAAAGAAGUGAGUUUGGAAAGGUGUUACCAAACGAAGAGGAAAUCUAAAAUCUGAAUCGGUAGAUAAGUAGAGCUUGACAAGAGGAUCGCGUGGGUAAAAUUUUGUCUCAAUCGGGUUUCGAAUCGCCCUCCAAUUAAGACCUUGAAGUCUCUCUCUCUAGCUUUUUCUCUCUCUUCGUCUCACUCAAAGGUGGCGGCUGGCCUUUUUUGUCUCUUUCUCGCACGAGGACCGAAGCUUGAAUUCUCAUCUUGCGGCUGCUUCUGCUUUUUAUUUAAAGCUUGAGAAGCCCUCAAGCUUUUGCAUAAGUGGGUUGGCCCACAAAUGGGCUGGCCCACUCCCAACAAUCUCCUCCUCCAGCUCAUUUGGGGGGUUCCACCAAACCUGCUUCUUGUCUGCAAAACAAGAGUUUCUCUUUAGGCAAUGCCUUAGUAAACAUGUCAGCACCAUUAUUAUCUGUAUGCACCUUCUCAAGUGUCAACAACUUGGAAUCUAGUACUUCCCGAAUCCAAUGAUACCUCACAUCAAUGUGUUUGGAUCGAGAGUGAAAUGUAGAGUUUUUACACAAAUGAAUAGCGCUCUGACUGUCACAGUAAAGACUAUACUUGUCUUGUUUCAUACCCAACUCCUAAAGGAAUUUCUGCAACCAAAGAGUUUCCUUGCAUGCUUCAGUAGUUGCAAUAUACUCUGCCUCCAUACUAGAAAGGGCGAUACAUUUUUGUAACUUACUUUGCCAUGAUACUGCUCCCCCUGCAAAAAUCAUCAAGUACCCAGAUGUGGACUUCCUAUUAUCAAGAUUACCUGCCAUGUCUGCAUCAGUGUAUCCAUCUAGCAUAGUUUUACCAUUGCCGAAAUAUAGACACAAUCUAGGAGUUUCCUUGAGAUACCUGAGAAUCCAUUUGACAGCAUUCCAAUGCUCCUUAUCAGGAUUAGAGAGAUACCGACUGACCACUCCAAUUGCAUGAGCAAUAUCCGGCCUGGUGCAAACCAUAACAUACAUCAAACUACCAACAGCCGAAGCAUAAGGAACCUUUUUCAUGUCUUCUUUAUCUUUCUUACUUGUAGGACACUGUUUGAUAUUCAACUUAAAGUGACCUGCAAGUGGAGUUGAGACUUCCUUAGCCUUGCUCAUGUUAAACCUGUUGAGUACUUUCUCAAUGUAUUUUUCUUGAGACAACCAGAGCUUCCCAUUUUGCCUGUCACGUGAGAUUUUCAUCCCCAGUAUCUGUCUAGCCGGACCCAAAUCCUUCAUUGCAAAUGAUUUACUUAACUCCUUUUUCAACCUGUCAAUCUUCACAGUAUCACGACCAACAAUCAACAUGUCAUCAACAUAUAGCAAGAGAAUAACAAAAUCACCAUCUGAAAAAAUUUUCACAUAAACACAGUGAUCAGAUGUAGUUCUGUGGUACUCAUGAUCUGUCCUGAAGGAGUCAAACUUCUUAUACCACUGUCUCGGUGCCUGUUUUAAUCCAUACAAACUCUUCUUGAGACGGCAUACAAGAUUUUCCUUAUCACUUUCUUUGAACCCCUCCGGUUGCUCCAUAUAAAUCUCCUCUUCCAAGUCGCCAUGCAGGAAGGCUAUCUUCACAUCAAGUUGUUCGAUCUCCAAAUUCAAAUUGGUAGCAAUACCAAGAACAACUCGAAUUGAUAACAUUUUUAUCACAGGAGAAAAAAUUUCUUCAAAGUCUUCGCCCUUCUUUUGGCUAAAUCCCUUCACAACCAAUCUUGCUUUGUACUUUGAUUGUGAGCUGUGCUCCUGAGUCUUCAACCUGUAAACCCAUUUGUUCUUCAGAACUCUCUUACCCUUAGGUAAUUUCACUAAAUCAUAAGUAUGAUUCUCAUGUAGGGACACCAUUUCCUCUUGCAUGGCUCGCAACCAAUCUUCUUUGUUCUCAUGCUCUAAAGCCUCACAGUAUGACUCAGGCUCUCCUCUAUUUGUUAACAACACAUAUUCAUGAGGAUUAUAUCUGCUAGAAGGUCUUCUCUCUCUGGUAGAUCUUCUAAACUCUUCUUGUGGUAGUGGUGGUGGUGUAGGUGGUGCCUCAUGCUCAGGUUCAUCACCAGUAGGAUUAUCAUCAUCAUUGACAUCCUCUCUCUGCUCUGUCUCAGCUCCCCCUUGAUUAAAAUCAACAGAUACUGGAAUUGGAUCUGGAUCUGAAUUUGAACUAGCAGAAAUGUCAUCUGAAGAUUUUGAAUUAUUACCUUUAUCAAUGUCCUCAAUGGUUUGAUCUUCAAAGAAGACAACAUCUCUACUCCUGAUCACCUUCUUCUCAAUAGAAUCAUAUAACCUAUAACCAAAAUCUUCAUGUCCAUAACCCAAGAAGAUACACUGCUUUGAUUUUACAUCACGUUUUGACCUUUCAUCUUUGGGAAUAUGAACAAAUGCCCUACAACCAAAAACUCUCAAGUGUUUAAAGGACACAUCUUUUUCCGUCCAUACCCUCUCUGGAAUAUCACCAUCUAGAGGAACUGAUGGGAAAAGAUUGAUCAAAUCGACUGCAGUCCUCAUUGCCUCACCCCAAAAGGAUUUUGGUAGUUUAGCAUUAGAGAGCAUACAUUUGACCCGCUCAGUGAUGGAUCUGUUCAUCCUCUCUGCUAUUCCAUUCUCUUGAGGAGUUUUUGGCACAGUCUUCUCCAAUCUGAUCCCAUGGGACUUGCAAUAGAUUUCAAAUGAUCCUCUGUACUCACCACCAUUAUUAGCACGUACACACUUUAACCGCUUACCAGUUUCUCUUUCAACUUUGCUAUGAAAGUGUUUAAACACAUCCAAAACCUGAUCUUUGGAUUUCAAAGCAAAACACCAAACCUUUCUAACAAAGUCAUCAAUAAAAGUUACAAAAUAAACAGCACCACCAAGAGACUUAUCUUUCAUAUAGCAAACAUCAGUGCGCACCAAUUCUAAAGGAUUCAAUUUUCUAGAUGGAAGAAAAUUUUUGAAUGCAACUCUGUGUUGUUUCCCAUAAAUGCAGUCAACACAAGGUUUAAGUGCAUUACCUCUAAUUUCAGGUAGGAGUUGUUUGCGAACAAGUGUCUGAAUUCCCUUUUCACCCAUGUGUCCAAGUUGCCUAUGCCAAAGAUCAAUUGAGGAAUCACGAACUGCGUUCACUUCUCCCUUCCUCAACUUGGUUUGUAUCACGUAGAGGAUACUGUGCUUCUUUUCUCUGGCAAUAACGAGAUUUCCUUUGCUGAGUUUCCAUUUGCCUCCACCUUGCGAGCUAUAAUAGUCCUCAUCGUCAAGUUUUCCUGUAGAGAUAAGAUUAAGUUAAAUAUCAAGAACAUGUCGAACAUUUCUCAAUAUCAGUUGGCACCCGGUAUCUGUGUCCAAGUAUAUAUCUCCCAUGCCAAUAACUUUGCAUGAGACCUCAUUUUCCAUCCUAACACAUCCGAAAUCUCCUUCGGUGUAGGUUGAGAAGAAAUACCUAUGAGGAGUAAUAUGGUAGGAUGCACCUGAAUCAACUACCCAAUCACUGUCAUAAUGAAUAAUAUUCACCUGACCAUCAUCACAGAACACAAACAUUUCAUCAUGAGCUGCCACAACUGCUGUAGUGUCCUCGUCAUCUUUUUCCUUCACCUUACCCUUUUUCUCAGUCUGAUCCCGUUUUAGGAUUCUGCGCUUCUUCAUAUAAUGUCCAUUUUUUUUAUAAUAAUAGCAUGCAACAUUUUUUCGCGACUCAGACCUGUCUCUGGAUUUGUCAUUCCUGUUGUGGGGUCCUCUACUUUUGCUUCUCCCUCUUCUUUCUUUCUUUUCUGUCACCAGGGCCUGGGACUCAUAGACAAUUCCUUGUUCCUUCCUUCUGAACUCUUCAUUCAUCACGGUCUCUUUUGCAAUAGCCAUGUUCAACACACCAUUCGGAGCUGAAUUACUGAUGGAGACCACCAUGGUUUCCCAACUAUCCGGUAGUGAACUGAAUAAUAAUAAAGCCUGCACUUCAUCAUCCAGAUUCAUAUUUAAUGUAGUUGUCUGGUUUAUCAACCUCUGAAAAUUACUCAAGUGUUCAGUCAUAUCUUCCCCAUCCAUAUAUCUCAUUCGAGUAAUCUGCUUCAGACAACUAACUUUGUUCAAACCGGUCUUCCUUUCAUACAUACUCUCAAGUUUUUUUCAUAAUAUAUCAGCUCUGGUGUCAUUAGAAAAAUGUUGAAAAAUACUUUGACCAAUCCAUUUUCUAAUAUUACCAACAGUUUUCCUGUACAUAUUAGCCCAUUUUUCAUCACUCAUAUCACUGGGUCUGCCUUUAUCCCCUAAAAUAGGUUCAAACAAUCUCUAUAAUACAGGUAGUCUUCCAUUCUAGACUUCCAAAUCGAAUAAUUAGUAGCAUUCAAUUUUAUCACGCAACCACUAUCCGAAUAAUCUAUUUUUAACAGGUACAAUUGAGUAGCCUAAUCUGACUGCUCUGAUACCACUUGUUGGGAAAGGGGUACCAGUACAGGCACAAAAUAUCAGAGUUAGCCCAGGAUAAAUUUCUCUUUCCCAAGUACCAGUUAAAAUAGGAAUAAACCAAAUCACCAAGUAAUAAUACCAAUAGUGAUAAUAAAAAUGGAAGGAAAAAUAAAGGCACAGGACACCAAGAUUUUUACAUGGAAAAUCCAAAUUGGGAAAAACCACGGGACCUAGUCCAGUCAAAAAAUCUCCACUAUUACAAUAAUGGGAAUACACAGGUCUAUCCGAAAUAUUCAGAUGACAAUAAUAUCACCAAUACCAACCAAACCAAUCUGCUACAAAAUCACCCCCCAAAAAUUAUAACUGUCAAAGAAGUGAGUUUGGAAAGGUGUUACCAAACGAAGAGAAAAUCCGAAAUUUGAAUCGGUAGAUAAGUAGAGCUUGACAAGAGGAUUGCGUGGGUAAAAUUUCGUUUCAAUCGGGUUUCGAAUCGCCCUCCAAUUAAGACCUUGAAGUCUCUCUCUCUAGCCUUUUCUCUCUCUUUGUCUCACUCAAAGGUGGCGGCUGGCCUUUUUUUUCUCUUUCUCGCACGAGGACCGAAGCUUGAAUUCUCAUUUUGCGGCUGCUUCUGCUUUUUAUUUAAAGCUUGAGAAGCCCUCAAGCUUUUGCAUAAGUGGGUUGGCCCACAAAUGGGCUGGCCCACUCCCAACAGGGGGCAGGAUACAACUUAUAAAAUCUAUGCUAAAUGGUGUUUUCUUAUAUUGGGUGCAGGCUUUUAUCCUUCCUAAGUAGAGCUGUUAAUCGAACCGGGCAGCUCGCGAGCCGAGCUCGACCCGGCUCGAUAAGAGCUCGGCUCGGCUCGUUAACAGAGAGAAACGAGCCGAGCUCGAGCUCUCAUAGGUACUCGUUUAAUAUACGAACCGAGCAGGGCUCGACUCGUUUAAGCCCGGUCGGCUCGAAAAAUAAGGACAUUUUCGUCAUUUCCACGUGUAUGUGGUAAUCUAGUCAAAGGCAUCUCUUGUCCGUCUGUAGCCCUAAUUCAUGCUUUCCUCCUUCAGUCCUUUGGUCUUUCGUUUUCUCCUCCCACAGCCGUCACCCCGCAGCCUCCAUUCUCACACCACCGCACGCCGCAUCCCUCAACCUCCAUUCUCACGCCGCAUCCCUCAGCCUCCAUUCUCACCGCCAAGCGCCAUCCCUAAUUUUUGAUUUCCCCUUUCUGUCAUCUCUUUCCCGUUCCACAGCUGCAGCCACCAUACGGAGCAGCGCCAUACGGAGCCAUCUCGGUAGAGCCAGCCGCCAGGGGCCUCUACCAUACCCCGAUUCACUGCAUUCUGGUAAGUAGCCUUGAUGGUUUUUUAUCGUAGCCUUGAUGUUUUGAUAAUUAUUUGCCGUGGUUGAUUUCUGUUCACAUGUUUACUGUGUCACUGAGUGAGAGCCGUUGAAAUAGGCCAUACCCCAGUAAAAAAUUUUCGCCAUAGUGCCUAUCUUGAUCUCUGGAGUAGUGUUUGUUGCAGGGAAAAAUGUGAGAAAGUAAAGAAAAAUUAGUUAUUUUUUCUUUCAUAUACGCUUGUUUACUAGGAAAAUCAAAAACAUUUCUUGCACUUUCGCUCACUUUCCUACAUUUUAUAUCUUGCAAAAUCUGCAAGAUUUCAGGACUUUGUAUACUGAUCCAUUAUAUUAUAUUUUUAAAGUCUUAGCAACUGCCAGCCACGGAGACCGCACGAGUAUGCAUUUUGCAGAUUUAUUGUGAUUUUGCUUGUAGUUUUUUCUUCAUUAUCACUUACUAACAAAGCCAAAGGCUUCCCAUGGGAUUUUUUUUUUAAGAAAAUAAAAAAGAUUGGGACUUUGCAUAGAACAAGGCAGCAAAGAAAACAACAAAUACUUCUGGAACUCGAUUACUGUGACGGGUGUAGACAUACUUCUGGAACCUUAAAUCACUUGCCCAAAUUGUUGUUUUGAAACUGGUGAUGGUUAAAUAUCCAGCCAUGGCAGAUGGAUUUUUAUGCAGCAAAUUGACUAUUAGAAGCCUUUUUAUUAUGAUUAAUUAUGGCCUUAGCAUGUGAAUAAAUGUCUACCAUCCAUCUUGGAUAGUUGAACAGAUAGGUUCUUUCAACAUUUGAUUGGCACCUCGCGCCUGGAUUAUUCUCUGCCCUUUUCAAUUUUACUCCUUAAAAAAGGAAGAUUCAUUUAUCAUUUGUCAAUUCAGAAUCUGAGGAAUAAUUCGAUUAGCAAAUAUUUUUUAAUCCUUGACCCUAAUAUUAUUUUAUCUUUAUCACUUUCUUGUGGGUUAUUUAUACAUUUAUCACUUUCUUGUGGGUUCCAAUUCAAGAUCCCUUACUUGACCCUUUAACUUACCAUCUAUCAACUCCACAGGUCAGAAAGAAAGAGACAACCUUCAACCUGGGAACUUCACACAUAUUAAGAGUUCUUGAGCUGAUGAAUUGACAUUUCUUAGAUGGAUAUAUCAUUUCUUUCCUUGUUUAAUAUAAAUGUCUACUAGAAAUGCCACUAUACUGUCCUUUCAUUACUGUCCCCAUGCACAAACUAAUUGGAACUAUGGAUUCAGUAUUUCCCUGGAAUUCAUCACUGUCCCUUGUUUGGAUUGCCAUUUUAAGAGUUUUUAAGAGCUUUUCUCUGUUAUUUCAUUAAUCUGAAUGUAAGCUUGAGAAUUGAGAUAGGAACAAGUUAAAGAAAUGUUAAAAUUAGCUUGAAGAGGGCAUUAUUUUUUGAAAUCUGUUUUAUUACUUUUGUACCUUAUUUCUUAGAAAUGUUAUUCUAAAUUUCUGUUUUAACUAAUCAGAAUCUGUAUUGGUUAUUAAAUGUUUUUGAUUAAGGAAUGUACAGCUCUCCAUUCAACUCAUUUCAAGGUUCAUCAUCAAGUCCUGCGAUGGAGCAAAAUAAUGAAGACGUGGAACAAUUAAAUUACAACGAAGAAAGAGCUGAUGAGAUGAGUGAAGAAGAAAUAGAAAUAAUAGAAGAUGAUGGCAAUGAAGGAGGACAGCAAGUAGAUAGAGAUGGAGGAGCUGGUCCUUUUGAGAAAAAGCAAAGGAAGAAGAAAUCCAGCAUAUGGGAUGAAAUGACUGAAGUAGUGCUAGAUAAUGGGACGGUCAAAAUGAAGUGCAACCAUUGCAAGGAGCUUUUCACCAAGAGUACAACCGGAGCCACAUCUCAGCACAAGAGACACCUGACUUCUUGCCUCCAAAGAAAGAUGGCCAUUGGGGAGCAAAGCAAACAAAAGCAACAAGUGCUUUCAUUCACCGAAGGUGGAAGUGAUGGUAUCACUUCCAUCACAAAUUUCUCGUAUGAUCAUGCCAAGGUAAGAGAGCUUGCGUCACACAUGAUUCUUGCACAUGAGUACCCCUUUUCUAUGAUGGAGCAUGUAGUUUUCAACAAAUUCAUGAAAGCAGUUUCUCCGUUUUAUAAAAAGAUUAAUCGGCAGACUGUUAAGAAAGAUUGUAUGAGUACUUAUACAAUUGAAAAACGGAAGCUGAAAUCAUUGUUGAAAGGUGCUGGUAGGAUUAGUAUUACAACUGAUUUGUGGAAAUCUGGUCAAAAAAUUCAAUAUAUGGUUGUGACUGGUCAUUUUAUUGAUUCUGAUUGGGUGUUUCAAAAACGUGUGUUGAAUUUUUGCAAUGUUCCUCCUCCUCAUACUGGAGUUAUUAUAGCUGAUGCUCUAAGUAAGUGCUUCAUUGAUUGGGGGAUUGAGAAUAAGGUUUCUAGCAUAACUGUUGAUAAUGCUUCAUACAAUGAUGUGUGCAUUAGGAGACUUAGAGAGGAUUUUUCUCUAAGAAAGAGAUUAAGUAUUGGAGGAAAAAUUUUUCAUGUUAGAUGUUGUGCACAUAUACUUAAUCUCUUAGUGCAAGAUGGUCUUGGUCAACUUGGUGGUGUGAUUGAUGUUGUUAGAGAAGGGAUAAAAUACUUGAACAAUUCAGAAUCUAGGCUUCUUGAAUUUGCCAAAAUUAAAAAACAGCUUCAGUUGCCCUCUAGAAAACUAAUUUUGGACUGUCCAACAAGGUGGAAUAGCACCUAUUUGAUGUUAGCUUCAGGUUUAGAGUUCAAGGAUGUCUUUCCAAGAUAUGCAGACAUAGACCCUGGAUUUCACUAUGUUCCUACUGAUUUUGAGUGGAUGAAAGUGGAAGAAGUGUGCAAAUUUCUAGAAAUAUUUCAUGAAAUCACUGAUAUGAUUUCCGGGUCUGAGUAUCCAACAUCUAACAUUUUUCUUGUGGAGCUCUAUAGGAUUAAAGAGCUUUUUAAUGAAAAAGCUCUUGAUCCUUUUGAGCAUAUUCGGGCAAUGGCUGGAAGUAUGUCUGCUAAAUUUGAUAAGUAUUGGGGGGAAAGUAAUGUGCUGCUAUCUUUGGGUGCAAUUUUGGAUCCGAGAUACAAAAUGUUCCUUAUUAAUCAUGCUUUUCCGGUGAUUUAUGGUGAGGAUGCAGCUCCUAGAUUCAUGGCUGAGAUUAGAGACAUUCUUUAUGAGCUUUACAAUGAAUAUGUUGAUUGUCAUGUUGUUUCCCAUUCUGAACAACAGAGGCAGGUUGUAAAAAGGAGACAAAAUGAAGGUUCUACUUCUUCUAGUAAGAAACAGAAAAUGACUGCACCCGCCGUUUUAACUGGCAAAGAAAAGUUUCACAUGCAUGUGAGUGAAAUUGAUAGGGCUUCACCAGAAAAAUCAGAUUUAGAUGUUUAUUUAGAGGAAAGUAGGUAUGCUUGUGAUGCAAGGGCAAAUCUGGAUGUUUUGGGUUGGUGGAAAGGAGAAAGAUUGAGAUUUUAUGAGGAUCCGAAAAUUUUCCGAAUUUCUAGGCUUUAUUUUAUUGAAUUGCACACUUUUAUACCUUUUCUUUAUUAGAAAAUUCCCCAGAUAAUUUUCAUGAGCAAAAUAUAGUUUUAAAAUUAUUUUUCUAGUAUAAGUUAGUUCAUGUGAAAUUAAAAGUGUAUAUCCACACAAUCAUAUUCAUAUUAAAACAGAAAAAUCCCCAAUAAUUACAAAACUUCAUCAAUUCAACCAAAAAUCACAAUAUAAUCCAUAAAGUUGCAUCUUAUAUCACCACUAAGCAUAAAUUAAGCAUCAUUAGAGGGAGGAGAGUGGUUCUUCAUAACUCACCUUAGAAACAAGAGAGAGAGAGCAACAAGUCCUCUUAGCUUUCCAAACAACUCUACCAAACCCCACACAAACACUCACUUAAGGUUUUCUAUGCAACAAAAGUAAGAUUAAGUGGUUGUUUUGAUGAUUUGGAGCAAGAUGGAAUCAAGAACUUGGAGAGUUUCCUUCUUUCUUCUUGAGAGAGAGGGCCGGCCAAGAUGAAGAGAAAAAUGGUGAUUUUUUGGUGAUUUUUGUGAUUUAUUUGGUCAAUUGGACAAAAGGUGAAUAGUGGUCUUACUUAAGACCAAAUCCCAUGGUGACACUUGUCACCUUCAUUAAUGCUUGCCUAACUUUUGUCUCUCUUAUACCAAUCCACUUAACAUCCUCUACUUAUCUCUUAACACCCGGUAAAUUAAAUCCAGUAUCCAAAAUUUAACCUAGUUGACCGAAUUUUUCCAAACUUUUCGCACUAGUGGGUGUGUAAAGGACCUGGGAGGUGGAAAAAGUGGAUAAUUGCAAUCAAUUUCUGUUUUGGAAGAAAUUUUGGAAAGUUAGGGUUUAUGUAAUUACAUUCUGCCCGGUUUUGUAGCUCAUAGUUAGCGGCCGAAUUAGCCUUGGAUUAAAACAUAAAAGUUGUAGGGAAUGAUAUUUUAGAGGUGCCUGAAAAAUUUCAGGUCAAUCGGAGUAGCGUAGCUUGAGAAAAGUCGAAAUUACCCUUGCUGUCCUGGUUUUACCCGAAUUUGGGAAUUGCUUCUGUAAUUGGUUAUUUUGGUAAGGAAUGAUUCCGAAUUGGUUGUUGAGGCCUUCUGAUAAAAUGUAUCCCUGUUUCUUAGCUUUCAGAUGGCUUUGGAAUUUAUGGAUUUGGACUUAUGUAGGCUGUUUGAUGAUGUUUGUACUAGAAUGCGUUCUGUGAAUCUGGUUUUGCGGUUCUGGUAUAGUAGAUUGCAUUUUUGACCUAGUUACACUCGAAACUGGGUUGAGUGACCUUCUGUAAUAUUGUAGCCCUAUCUCUUAGCUUCGAAACGGUGUGUCUUGGACCUUCAUCCGAUAAUUGUAGUUCCUUUGGUGCCAUUACCGCAAAAUGAAGUCAAAAACUAUUUUUUUCAGGGCUAAAGCUAAUGUCAUUUCCGGAUUUUCUGGUUUCCCCUAAUGCUUGUAUAUGCUUAUGGAACCCUAUUUCAGUAGUAUUUGGCAUUAGUUUAUGACUUGUAAUCGAGUCUUAUUGUGCUUAUUGGAAUAUUUUAGGGCUUGACUUUCCUUUCCGGUCAUUUUCCUAGCUAAAUGACUUGAAUGAUUUUAAGCCUUUUGAGCUUGGUUUUGCCCGAUAAACGGUAAUGUGUUCUCUUGUUCAAUCUUAGGUUUCACUGGUGACUAAGGGUAAUAUCCGGAAGGAUAUUUUGCACGUUAUUUUGCAUAACUAGGUGAGUGUUCCUUGUUUGCUAUAUUCCUUGACUUAUUGGCUUGUUAUUAUUGAUUGAUAAUGUGUUAAGUGCUUUCAAUGAUUGUUAAAACGAGUUUUCUAGGCGAGUGUGUACUUUAUCGCACUCGACCUAAAUAAAUGUGAAAGUUUCAAUGAUUAAUGAUUAAAUGCUAGUUGCGCAUGAAUGUAAGACGUUUGGCUGAAUUGGGCCCUGCCCUUCGUUACCGAUCGACUCGAGCCAGAAGCGGACUCGGUCGGGCGAUAUGGUGAUCCUGGGUGAAUUUGGUAUACUCGAGUAUUACCUUGUAGUCCGGCCACGUCCGGAUGGGUGGAGUCCGGCCAAUGUCCGGAUGGGUGGAGUCCGGUCAACGUCCGGAAAAGGGAUGAACGAACAAAAGGAUGAACGAGGGAUUCUACUUACAAAAAAUGUAUUUUUAAACGAUUGGAGGAAUAAGGGGAAAAGUCAGGGGAACGAACGACCAAACAAAUAGCUCCAUGUGGGCCGUAUCCUUUUAAUGAAUGUUACUAUCGCUUUCCAUUGAAAAUGUUUCUUGAAUUAUUGAUAUUCCAUGUUUAAUGUAUUGAAUUGAUUGUUCGAUUAUCUGUUCGGAACCUCACUGAGCUUUUAGCUCACCCUUUUAGUUUUGUUUUCCUUAACAGGGGACGGCGAGCAGAAUGAGAGCAUAGACUAGCCAGUCUAGUUCUUUUGUUUCUUUUGUAGUGGUUCUCGCCUAGUGCUUGGCACGGACUGGACGUAUGAAGGAUUGAGAACCUUUGUAUAUUCGAUCUUUACACGCCCGUUUGGGGAUGACAAUGUAUAUAAGUUUCGCUUUAAGUUUUGGAUCGUUGCCCUAUUUAUUCUUGUGAUUUAUUCAGAUUUUAAGUGAGGACUGUGGUGAACGACUGAAUCCCGGCGAGAGCUGGGCAGGCGACCCGCCGAACCCUUUGGUUUGCCUUAGGGGGUGGUGGGGCCGUCACAGGUGGUAUCAGAGCCUGCUUCGCGUGGUCUCUGCGCGGCGUGAGCCUGGACUAAGUGGUGAAUGAGUAUAAAGGACUAAGUGCUCAUUUGAGCAUAAGUUAUGAAUUGUGAAUGUUAUAGGCCUUAAAUCUCUCUCAUGGUAUCUGAGGACCAUAGAUAGGUAUGUCAGGUAGGAAUUCCGAUUGUAGAUAGUUUACUCUUGGGACUGCAGCUCGAGAUGUGAAUUAUCUUAUUUCGGAUUCUCGUGCAUGAGUACUUUAGAGUUGCGGCGCUGCUAAGUGCUUAAGACUUGCAUUUUUGGAACAUGAACAGGCUUUUUCUGACUAGAAUGAGCACAAGAGGUCAGAGACAUCUAGUUUGGAUAGUAAGUGACGUGAGAGACCGGACGGGCUGAUACUGGGACGACUUCACCUUUUCCUUCUGAUUUACCUGUAUAUUGUUACUACAUGACGUUAGUACACCUGUGUGUACAUGGUUAUCUAUCCAACUUGAUAUGUAUUUGUGUAUUUGCUUAUCCGUCUUCUUGCUAUGGCGUGUUAUGUGCGUAUAUAUUUAUUUGUGUAUUUGGAAUGCUAGAAUUUGUUACUGUAGUCAAUUUACUGUGUUUAUUUACUAAAUUACCUUUUUGGGGAAAAGAAAAGAAAAGAGAGAGGGAAAACAUAUAUAUGGACGGGAGACGUAGUCGUGGACGUGGAGCUAGUCGUGGCCGUGGAGCUAGGCAAGCUCAAGAACCGAGAGAAGAAAGAGAAACAGUGGCCGAGCAAGAACAGGGACCGAGGGUUGAGGCUGGAGAUCAAAUGGCGACGGCGAUGCACCAAAUGACAAAUAUCCUAGCACGACUGGUAGAUCAACAAGGUCAAAUGCCAGUGAAUCAACCCCGGAAUCCUGAGAUCGGAGAGGAUAAGGCUCUUGAGAGGUUCCAAAAGUUUCUACCUCCGAAACUUCAAAGAGGGCCUGAUCCGGAUAUAGCUGAACAGUGGUUGGAGGCAAUGAUUAAUAUCUUAGCGGCUUUGAAUUACACGGAGCAAAGACAAGUAAAUUUUGCUGUAUUUCAAUUCGAAGGACUAGCCCGCGCAUGGUGGAAUGUAAUUAAGACCAAGUGGGAAAGAGAACAGACGGUAUGGACAUGGGCGAACUUUGUAAGGGAAUUUAACGAAAAGUAUCUCCCACCUUUAGUCCAAGAAAGGAGAGAGGACGAAUUUAUUGGGUUGCGUCAGGGAACCCUAAGUAUGGCCGAAUAUGAGACCAAAUUUACUAGACUGUCUAAAUUCGCUUCCGAAUUGGUGGUUACGGAGCAACGGAGAAUAAGACGAUUUAGACAAGGACUAAAUUUGGAAAUCCAGGAGGCAUUAGCGGCAGUUCAAGUUAAUACGUUUACAGAGGCUCUUGAGAAGGCCCAAAGAAUUGAGGAUGUGAAAGCCCAAGUAAAAGCCUGUCAAACGCGAAAAAGAGAUACAUCCAGCAGUAUACCUGAGGAAGCCGGAGAAAAGAUAAUGCUCUCCAAAGUGCAAAAAGUGAACCAUUCACCUCGCCUGCCUUGGACAUUAAGAACAUUAGAUGAAAGGUCCAUGAAAGGAAGUCAGAUCGGAUCAAAGGACAUUUCUCGAGAAGAUCCAACAGUAGCUCCUCGAUUGGCCUGUGGAUACUGUGGAAAGGCAAAUCACACUGAUAACGAUUGUUGGCGGAAAGGGCAGAAAUGCUUGAUUUGUGGGAGUGGUGAGCACCAAGUUAGCAACUGUCCGCGGAGACAGUCACGCGGAGGUAGUAUUCUGCAACUGGAGGGAACUAAAACAAAACAAGCAAAUGAAAGAGGGAACAGAACUAGUGGGCCAGCAAAAAUUUAUGCGUUUGGCAACCAAGCAGUUCCGGACUCGUCUGAGGCAAAUGAAGGUAAAAAUUUCGAGGACGAAAUUUCUUAAGGGGGAGAGAGUGUGAGGACCCGAAAAUUUUCCGAAUUUCUAGGCUUUAUUUUAUUGAAUUGCACACUUUUAUACCUUUUCUUUAUUAGAAAAUUCCCCAGAUAAUUUUUAUGAGCAAAAUAUAGUUUUUAAAUUAUUUUUCUAGUAUAAGUUAGUUCAUGUGAAAUUAAAAGUGUAUAUCGAACAUGAGACCCACUAGUGCGAAAAGUUUGGAAAAAUUCGAUCAAUUAGGUUAAGUUUUGGAUACUGGAUUUAAUUUACCGGGUGUUAAGAGAUAAGUAGAGGAUGCUAAGUGGAUUGGUAUAAGAGAGACAAAAGUUAGGCAAGCAUUAAUGAAGGUGACAAGUGUCACCAUGGGAUUUGGUCUUAAGUAAGACCACUAUUCACCUUUUGUCCAAUUGACCAAAUAAAUCACAAAAAUCACCAAAAAUUCACCAUUUUUCUCUUCAUCUUGGCCGGCCCUCUCUCUCAAGAAGAAAGAAGGAAACUCUCCAAGUUCUUGAUUCCGUCUUGCUCCAAAUCAUCAAAACAACCACUUAAUCUUACUUUUGUUCCAUAGAAAACCUUAAGUGAGUGUUUGUGUGGGGUUUGGUGGAGUUGUUUGGAAAGCUAAGAGGACUUUUUGCUCUCUCUCUCUUGUUUCUAAGGUGAGUUAUGAAGAACCACUCUCCUCCUUCUAAUGAUGCUUAAUUUAUGUUUAGUGGUGGUAUAAGAUGCAACUUUAUGGAUUAUAUUGUGAUUUUUGGUUGAAUUGAUGAAGUUUUGUAAUUAUUGGAGAUUUUUCUGUUUUAAUAUGAAUAUGAUUGUGUGGCUAUGUAUGAUGAUUGGAAAUGGUGUGUAAAGGACCUAGGAGGUGGAAAAAGUGGAUAAUUGCAAUCAAUUUCUGUUUUGGAAGAAAUUUUGGAAAGUUAGGGUUUAUGAAAUUACAUUCUGCCCGGUUUUGUAGCUCAUAGUUAGAGGCCGAAUUGGCCUUGGAUUAAAACAUGAAAGUUUUAUAGAAUGAUAUUUUAGAGGUGCCUACAAAAUUUCAGGUCAAUCGGAGUAGCGUAGCUUGAGAAAAGUCGAAAUUACCCUUGCUGUCCUGGUUUUACCCGAAUUUGGGAAUUUCUUCUGUAAUUGGUUAUUUUGGUUAGGAAUGCUUCAGAAUUGGUUGUUUAGGCCUUCUGAUGAAAUGUAUCCCUAUUUCUUAGCUUUCAGAUGGCUUUGGAAUUUCUGGAUUUGGACUUAUGUAGGCUGUUUUGUGAUGUUUGCACUAGAAUGCGUUCUGUAAAUCUGUUUUUGAGGUUCUGGUAUAGUAGAUUGCAUUUUUGACCUAGUUACACUCGAAACUGGGUUGAGUGACCUUCUGUAAUAUUGUAGCCCUAUCUCUUAGCUUAGAAACGGUGGGUCUUGGACCUUCAUCCGAUAAUUGUAGUGCCUUUGGUGCCAUUACCGUAAAAUGAGGUCAAAAACUAUUUUUUUCAGGGCUAAAGCUAAUGUCAUUUCCGGAUUUUCUGGUUUCCCCUAAUGCUUGUAUAUGCUUAUGGAACCCUAUUUCAGUAGGUUUUGGCAUUGGUUUAUGACUUGUAAUCGAGUCUUAUUGUGCUUAUUGGAAUAUUUUAGGGCUUGACUUUCCUUUCCGGUCAUUUUCCUAGCUAAAUGACUUGAAUGAUUUUAAGCCUUUUGAGCUUGGUUUUGCCCGAUAAACGGUAAUGUGUUCUCUUGUUCAAUCUUAGGUUUCACUGGUGACUAAGGGUAAUAUCCGGAAGGAUAUUUUGCACGUUAUUUUGCAUAACUAGGUGAGUGUUCCUUGUUUGUUAUAUUCCUUGACUUAUUGGCUUGUUAUUAUUGAUUGAUAAUGUGUUAAGUGCUUUCAAUGAUUGUUAAAACGAGUUUUUUAGGCGAGUGUGUACUUUAUCGCACUCGACCUAAAUAAAUGUGAAAAUUUCAAUGAUUAAUGAUUAAAUGCUAGUUGCGCAUGAAUGUAAGCCGUUUGGCUGAAUUGGGCCCUGCCCUUCGUUACCGAUCGACUCGAGCCAGAAGCGGACUCGGUCGGGCGAUAUGGUGAUCCUGGGUGAAUUUGGUAUACCCGAGUAUUACCUUGUAGUCCGGCCACGUCCGGAUGGGUGGAGUCCGGCCAAUGUCCGGAUGGGUGGAGUCCGGUCAACGUCCGGAAAAGGGAUGAACGAACAAAAGGAUGAACGAGGGAUUCUACUUACAAAAAAUGUAUUUUUAAACGAUUGGAGGAAUAAGGGGAAAAGUCAGGGGAACGAACGAACAAACAAAUAGCUCCAUGUGGGCCGUAUCCUUUUAAUGAAUGUUACUAUCGCUUUCCAUUGUAAAUGUUUCUUGAAUUAUUGAUAUUCCAUGUUUAAUGUAUUGAAUUGAUUGUCCGAUUAUCUGUUCGGAACCUCACUGAGCUUUUAGCUCACCCCUUUAGUUUUGUUUUCCUUAACAGGGGACGGCGAGCAGAAUGAGAGCAUAGACUAGCCAGUCUAGUUCUUUUGUUUCUUUUGUAGUGGUUCUCGCCUAGUGCUUGGCACGGGCUGGACGUAUGAAGGAUUGAGAACCUUUGUAUAUUCGAUCUUUACACGCCCGUUUGGGGAUGACAAUGUAUAUAAGUUUCGCUUUAAAUUUUGGAUCGUUGCCCUAUUUAUUCUUGUGAUUUAUUCAGAUUUUAAGUGAGGACUGUGGUGAACGACUGAGUCCCGGCAAGAACUGGGCAGGCGACCCGCCGAACCCUUUGGUUCGCCUUAGAGGGAGGUGGGGCCGUCACAGAUUUCCCAUCUUGUCGAGGAUGGCUGCCGAUAUACUCUCCGUUCCUGUUACCACUGAGGCUUCAGAAUCUACCUUCAGCGCUGGAGGGAGAGUAAUUGAUGAUCGACGAGCUUCUAUGUCGGUUGAGACGGUGCAAAAGUUGCUUUGCGGCAACGAUUGGAUCCGCAGUCUUCAUGGCCUAAAGAAUAAGUCUCGUGUAAGUAAUUGAUUGGAUGUUUUUGUUGUUGUUACAGUUGCUUUAUUUCGGAUUUUGAUGAAUUUUUUAACUUUCAUACUUUUAUUCUGUAGGAAUCACUUGAUGUGGCCGAAUCAAUCACAUUUGAAGAAGUUGAACUUCCUGAAUCAUUCAAUGACUAAUUUGGUGGCUGUUGUCCGUUGAUGUUGCUUGGGGACAGUUUAUGUAAUUUUUUAUGUUGUAAUCUGAUCUGGUUUGGACAGUUGAUGUUGCUUGGUGGCUGUUUAUGUAAUUUUUCAUGUUAUAAUCUGAUCUGGUUUGGACAUUUUGGGUUGGACAUGUUGUAAUCUGAUCUGGUUUGGAUAUUUUGGUGUGGACAUGUGGUAAUCUGAUCUGGUUUGGAUUACUGGUGGCUGUUGAUAUUGUAAUGUGGCUGUUUAUAUAAUUUUUCAGGUUGUAAUGUGGACAUUUUGGUGUGGACGUGGUAAUCUGACCUGGUUUGCUGAAGUUUUAACUUCUUGUAUUGUCAUUUGGUGUAGUUUUAACUUCUUGCUGCAGUUUUAACUUCUUGUAAUUUGAUGUGGUUUGGACAUUGUAAUCCCGCUUUGGACAUUUUGUUUCUCCAUUUGAUGGUUUUUGCUGUAGUUUUAACUUUAGACUCUGCCUUGUAUUGUCAUUUGGCAUGGCUUGUUGAAUUGAAUCAGGGAAAUACGAGUAUUGUCAUUUGGCAUGGCUUGUAUUGUCAUUCUGGCUUCAAAUGAUAAAUCAGAGAAAGUGUAUCUUCUUGUGAUAUGGGUUCUCCCGUAAACGAGCUUGAGCUUCGAACUCGAGCUCGAGCUCGAAAAGCUCGACUCGAGUUUUUCGCGAGCUCGAGUUCGAGCUUCGAGCUCGGCGGCUCGAUUUCAAAACUCGAGCUCGAGCCUGAGCUCGAGUUUUCUACCAACACAUCGAGUCGAGUUCGAGCACCUUGUAGAGCUCGAAUUACCAAUCGAGCGAGCUCGAACUAGCUCGAUUAGGGAUUCGAGUCGAGCUCGAUUGUCCUAUGCUCGAGCUCGACUCGGCUCGUUUAACAGCUCUAUUCCUAAGGCACUAGUAAAGAAAAUAAACAGCUUACUGGCUUCCUUUUUAUGGUCAGGGGAUGCGAAGCAGCAUUUUAAUGCUAAAGUCAGCUGGAAGGAACUUUGUACACCAAAGAAGGAAGGGGGUUUGGGAUUAUUUGAUUGGCAGCUUUGGAAUAAAUGUCCUAUAUUCAAGCUGAUUUGGAAUAUUUGUUGCAAAGAGGGAUUACUUUGGGUAAAAUGGGUGCAUAGUUUGUCGUUGUGAAAUUCUUGUUUUUGGGGAGUGAAGAUUCCCGGGGAUUGCUCGUCGGGAUGGCGGAAAAUUUUGCAGUUAAGGCCUCUUGUUCAGGAUUAUAUUAAGAUUAUAGUGGGUAAUGGCAGUAGUACAAGUUUCUGGUAUGAUAAUUGGCAUCCUAUUGACCCAUUAUACCAAAAAUUUUCAAUUCAGCUGUUGCCUGCUUUUGGAUUUACCAUGCAAGAGUCGGUUGCUAAAUGCUAAGCGUAUUGACUCUGCACAGUGGAAAUGGCCGGUGGGAAGGAGAAUCAAUUCAGAACUCAGGAAAUUAAUGCUAGCCACUCCUGAAUAUUUUCUUCCUUUGCCUGAGCAUGAGGACCACCAGAUUAGUUGCACUGCCAAUGCUUCUGACAUUUUUACAGUGAAAUCUGUUAUGGAAAAACUGAAAGAAUCAGGACCUAAGGUGCAAUGGUACAAUAUGGUGUGGGGAAAUGGAAACAUUCCACGCUUUCCCUCUAUUCUUUGGCUAUUGUGCAAGCAUAGGCUUAAGACUAAGGAUAGGUUGAAGCAAUGGGGGGAUUCAGUUGACUCUGAUCAAUGUGUACUUUGUAAUCAGGAUGCUGCAAGUAUCGAUCAUUUACUUUUUAUCUGUAGUCACUCAAGCUAUUUGGCAAAAAGUGCAGCAAAUGUGCCUUACAGCGGUGCUUACGCUUGGGAUGAAGAAUUGCCUAUAUCAAUAAAAUAGUUACGUGUGUAAGCUGUUUUCUUGCGUAGACCAAUAAAAUAGUUACUAUUUUGCCUAAAAAAUAAAGAACUUUUAUUUCUUGAUUGUCUUGGUGUGUAAAACAUGCCUAGGUUUCCUGUGGUGUGAAAGGAACCAUGCUAGUGCUGAUUGUAUUGGAAAAGCUGACAUUUCGUUGGAUUUUGAUUUAUCUUUUGAUUGACAAUUUGAAAACGCGUUACAUUACGUGCUCAUUUUGAUGUCUAAUGUAAGACCAUUAAGGCAGUCACCAUAUUCCAGCUUUAUACGUGGAUGUGGAAAAUGACUCCAAAGUUCAAAAUCUUCCGAGCUGACUAGUUAAUUAAAGAACCUUGAAAGCAAAGGACAUCAUGGUUUAUUUUACAAUAUAUAUCAAACAUGCUAUUACAUUUUAAUGACGAGGCCUAAACUAUAUCUUGCAAUGGCAAAUCUAUGCAUACAACUCAUCUUCUUGGUAUUUCUCCUUCCAGUUUCUGCUUUGGCUCAAAAUAAUGGUACUGUGCCCAAUAACAGUACUUUGACUGCAGGUGAAACAUCCAGUUACUGGCUUUCACCUUCUGGUGAGUUUGCAUUUGGAUUCCAGCAACUUCAGGAGAAGGAUCUUUUCUUGUUUUCCAUAUGGUAUCACAAGAUACCAGACAAAACUGUAGUUUGGUAUGUUAAUACAAUCAACUCGGUUCCUCGUAACUCGACCGUGGUGCUUGAUGGUCAAAUUGGUCUUGUGCUUCGUAACCCUCAGGGCUCACAACUUUGGACUACUGAUGUCAAUUCUAAUCAAGUUGAUCAUGGUUUUAUGAAUAAUACAGGCAAUUUUAUACUCAAGGGGAGUGAUGAUAGCUGGCUGUGGGAAAGCUUCAAAUUUCCUAGUGAUACCAUAUUGCCAAAUCAAGGAUUGGCAAUUGGCAAUUCUCUUAGCUCUCGACAGUCAGCAACAAACUUCUCUCAAGGAAGAUUUUAUCUCCAUUUUGAUGGUGACGGGAAUCUAGUACUUGCUACCAGAAGUGUACCAACGAAUGUGUAUGAUGAAGUUCAGUACUACAAUAGUCAGACUUCUAGUUCCACAGAUGCAUUGAAUUCUGGUUAUCAAGUUACUUUUGAGGGCACAGGCGCCAUGUACAUAAGGAAGGCGAUCAAUCAAACACAACAGCUGAAUCUGGUUGCAGAAUCAUUACCACAAGCAUCAGAAUACUAUCAUAGGGCAACAAUAGAUUUUUAUGGGGUUUUCACACAUUAUUAUCAUCCUAGGACUUUUACUGGCAACCCGAACUGGACAAUUUUUUGGUAUGUGCCGAUUAAUAUAUGUUAUAUUCAAGGAGAAAUGGGGAGUGGAGCUUGUGGAUUUAACAGCGUUUGCUACCUCGAAGAUAAUGGAAGACCGGCUUGCAAGUGUCCAAACGGGUAUAUAUUGCUUGAUCCAAAGGACGCGUAUGGCAGCUGCAUACCAAACUCUUCUCUUGGCUGUGGUGAAGUAGAGGGCUCUUCAGAAAGCCUUUUUGAUUUAGAGGUGGUCAAUGACAUAAAUUGGCCUCUGUCCGACUAUGAGCGAAUAUAUCCUUCACAAGAACCAGUUUGUAAGCAAUCUUGCUUGCAGGAUUGUUUCUGUGCUGUGGCCAUUUUCAGUGGCAGUGGUUGCUGGAAGAAGAGGCUGCCACUUGCUAAUGGGAGGGCAGAAAGCACUGGCGGUCAGUCAAAAGCUUUCAUAAAAUAUCGCAAAAAUGAUGCUCCUCCAGUAUGUCAAACUCUUCCCCCAGUUGGUCAAACUCUUCCUCCAGUUCUGACAGGAUCAAAGCCAAAAAACCGAGGAACUGUGGUACUUGUGGGAUCUCUGCUCCUUGGAAGCUCUUUCUUCGUAAAUUUGGUGUUCAUUGCCACUGCUUGUUUCGGUUUUUACUUCAUAUACCACAAAAAGAAGGUAAUAACUCAUCCAAAUACUGAUGCACUGAAUACAAAUUUGCUUUAUUUUGCGUACAAAGAGCUUGCAGAUGCUACAAAUGAAUUCAAGGAAGAGUUGGGCAGGGGAUCUUUUGGUACUGUUUAUAAAGGUGACUUGCAAAUCAGAUCCAAAAACACUACUUUUGCAGUGAAAAAGUUAUACAGAAUGGAUCAAGAUGCUGACAAGGAGUUUCGUGCUGAAGUGGAAUCAAUAGGCCAGACUAACCACAAGAAUUUGGUCCGCUUGCUUGGAUUCUGUGAUGAAGGGCAACAUCGUCUAUUGGUGUAUGAAUAUAUGAGCUGUGGCACUCUCGCGAGAUUGUUGUUCAAUAAUCCCAAACCUAGUUGGAGUAUGAGGACUCAAAUUGCUAUUGGGAUUGCAAGGGGACUGGUAUACCUUCAUGAAGAAUGCAAUACUCAAAUUAUUCAUUGUGACAUAAAGCCCCAGAAUGUGCUCCUUGAUGAGUAUUUCAAUGCUCGGAUUUCUGACUUUGGAUUGGCAAAACUUUUGAUGAUCAAUCAGAGUCGAACAUUUACUAGUAUUCGAGGAACAAAAGGGUAUGUUGCUCCCGAAUGGUUCAGGAGCAACCAAAUCACUGCAAAGGUUGAUGUUUAUAGUUUUGGUGUCUUGUUACUGGAGAUCAUUUCUUGCCGCAGAUGUGUGGAGAACAUUGAAAACCUUGGUGAAGGAGAAAACCCAAUUUUAAUUGACUGGGCUUGGGAUUGCUUUCAAGAAGGAAGAUUGGAUAUGUUUGUUGAAAAUGAUUUAGAGGCCCUAGAAGAUCAAAUGAUGCUGGAGAGAUUUCAGAUGGUUGCCAUGUGGUGUAUCCAAGAAAACUCUUCGCUUAGGCCUAAAAUGAGGAAGGUGAGCCAGAUGCUUGAAGGAAUUGUGGAAGUUAUCGCACCCCCUUGUCCGUCUCCUUUUUCCACUACGGGAUGAGUUUAGUUCGGUACUGCUUUGUGUCAUUUCAAUUGACGUCUGGGGAGAGUAUUUUUAUGCUGUUUUUACUUUCUUGGACUUUUUUUUUUUUUUUCUGCUUUUAUCCAGUGUAUGAGAUUUUCUUAGUGGGCAAACUUCCUGUUGGGAUGGUGGCAGCGCAUUUAUUCAAAGUAAGAUGAUAUAAUAAUAAGCUUGUUUGCUUUUUGUGUAUCAAUUAUAUUGUAUUGUGGGAAAAUACUGUAGUAACUAUCGUUAUGAUAACUAAACAGUUUUUGCCUGAUAUAACAGGUUAUUUUAUUUUUAGCGACCAUUUAAUUACCUGUUGAAUCUAUCCACCUAAUUAGGAUAAUGCCUAAAAAUAAGGAAGUAAGUUUCUCAUCUAAAAUAGUAAGUUAACCGUAAUAAUUAGUAUUUUUUGUGUCUCAAAAGGUAAAUUGGUAUAAAUAUGAAACUUACUUUUUAAAGAGAUAAAUUACUAUUUUAUAUCGCAAACAUACUUUUGAGAGAGUAAGUUUAGUUCAAGUAAUAGUAAGUUUUUAUACACAAAUAGUAAUUCUUACUUAUAACAUAGUAAAUUUGAUUAAUGACCAAAACUUACUAAUUUAUAGCACAAAUGUACUAUUUUGCUUAAAAAACUUAUACCAAACCAAUACUAGGAAGUUUAUUUGAAAUAACAACAAAAUGUUUUAUUAAUGAUUAAAACUUAGUACCUUAAUUAGUAAGUACUCGUAAUAUACUUGUAUAAUACAUGAUUAAUGAAACAAGUAUUAGGAAGUUUAUUUGAAAUAAUGCUAAGAUUUUUUCAUUAAUGAUUGAAACUUAGUAUUAUAGUUAGUAAUUACUCGUAAUGUAAAUGUAUGAUACACAAUUGUAUGUAUCAUUUAUAAAUGUUAUAUGUUUUAAGCAUUUUAAAUAUAUUAUGAAACCUAUUUUUUUCACAUGACCUUAUAAAAUAUGUAAGAAUAAUUUGUCAUAUUAUAAAUUCUUAAGUAUUUUUGAAUUUGUGAAAGGUUAGAAAGUUUGGAUUACAAUAACAACAAAUCUUUCGAGUUAUAUAUAGAAUUGCACUUAUCUAUACAUCACAAUUUCCAUCUAUUAAUACCUAUGAAUAUAAUAAAAUGGUAAAGUUUUAAUAAAUUUAUUUUUUUGGGUCACAACUAUAAAAAUUAAAGUUAUAUUACAAUUACAACAAAUCUUUCUUUUUUUUUAAAUAGACGAGAACAAUUUAUAGAUAUUAAUGCUUGAUAAUACAAGAGUUAAUUACAAAAAGGGGUAACUACCCCCAUAUCUUUCCUAGCUAAAUCUGUUAACCAUGUUGGGAAAGAAGUUUCCCAUUCAAUAUUCCUAACCAACUUGACAGCGAGUUGUGCCAUUGCAUGACUACAACCAUUCGUAGUCCUGGGAGCAAAGAGAACUAAGCAACUGUCAAAGCUAUCCUUGAGGGCCACAAUGUCUUCUAGGAUUGUUUGUAUCUUACAAUCCUGAACAUUACCCGUAUUAAUAGAGCUCACAACAUUUUUGCAGUCUGACUGGACUUCUACUUUUGUCCAUCCUGCAGCUUGAGCCAUUUCCAGCGCACUCCUGAUCGCUAACGCUUCCUCCGUGGUAGCCUCCCCUCUUCUUCUUCCAACAAUUCCUCGGGCUUUCACUAAUUCCCCACGCCAGUUCCUUGCAACUAUCCCUUGACCAGUUCUAACCAUUUUUGCUGAAACUGCUGCAUCCGUGUUAAUCCUCAUGAUUCCCUCCUUGGGUGGCUCCCAAGUGUGCUGAGCCAGUCUUCCCCUCUCGGAUGAUGCAGCUGCCCAGGGAUCUAUUCCAUUUGCCUCAUCGUAUUUGAUCCAUUCCUGUUGAGCUUUGUCGAUGAUCCCUUUUGCAUCCACACUUUCCAGCUGAAAUGCCAUCUUGUUCCUCGCUUUCCAGAGCUGCCAGAGGAUAUUUACUGUGAGUUUUAUUCGAUCCAUUCCUUGCGCUUCCUUAGCUGAUUCCAACACCGCAUCCCACCAUCUCUACACAUUGCAUUGUAGUUCAACGAGCCCUUCCCAUCUCACAGGAGCUAACCUCCACACCAUUUGAGCUUUUGGGCAAAAGAAAAAUAUGUGUUCAAUGGGUUCGGUAGCCUCUCCACAGCAAUAACAAAUGUUGCUUCCUUUUCCAACUCUCUGACGUAGUGCUUCAUUAGUGGCCAGCCCAUUCUGUAAACACCUCCAUAAAAAAUGCUUCAGCUUCAUCUUAAUAUUUAGACUCCCCACUCUUUUCCACACCGCGUGCUUCCUUACUUCCCAGCUAGUCUCUGAAUCAGGUUCUAAUCUACGGUUUAUGGUGUCCCUUCCCCCUUUUGCAAAAACAUAACCUGAUUUCACUGUAUAGACCCCAGCUUUACUAUGGUUCCAAUAUAGUCUGUCCUUCCUAUCAUAAAGGCUUAGAGGAAUACUAGUAAUAUGCUCUACAUCAGCUGCAUUAAACCAGUGCUGCAAGAGAUCAGUCUUUCACCUCCCUCCCUCAAUUAACUCAUGGACAAACUCUAUCUGGCAUCCCACUUGUCUUGCUGUGGCUACUUUCCCAGCAGUUGAUCCAGGUAACCACCUAUCUUUCCAGAUUUUUAUCGCCCUUCCAUCUCCCACCCUUUUGUAUAACCCUUGUUGAAGGAGCUCUCCCCUCUUGUGCAAGCUUUUCCAGCACCAGGAAGCUGUGUGCGGGGGCUUUUGGUCUAACCAAUCCUCAUCCUUCAUGUACUUAGGUUUCAGGACCUUGCUUACUAACAAAUUAGGAUUGGUGACAACUCUCCAAAUUUGUUUUGCAAGCAAGGCCACGUUGAGAGCUUCCAAGUCUCUAAAGCCCAAACCCCCUUUCCCUUUAACCUCCGACAGCUUACUCCAUCUAACCUAAUGAAUUUUAUUUUCUGCAACCCCACCACCCCACCAGAAUCUAGCUAUGGUUGCACUAAUGGCCUUACACAAGCCUUUAGGGAGCUUGAAGCAAGACAUAAUGUAUGUAGGCAUGGCCAUAAUGACUGAUUUGAUUAAAACCUCCUUACCCCCUGGACUAAGCAACUUAUGUUUCCACCCUUGAAGUUUUCUUGUGAUUACACUUUUCAGGUACCCAAAAAUCUGAUUCUUAGCUCUCCCAAUAGUCAUAGGUAAGCCUUAGUAUUUACCACUAGAGACUUCUCUCAUGUUGUCCAAGACCUCACUAAUUUCCCUUCUAAUCAAGUUGGGAGUAUUUUUAGAGAAAAACAUAGCUGGCUUAUCAAAAUUUACUACCUGUCCCGUGGCUUGACCAUAUAUCUGAAUGAUCUCCUUGACCUUUUGUGCCUCCUCCUUGCUUGCUUUGCAACACAAUAAUGAGUCAUCUGCAAAAAAUAGAUGUGAAACCAUAGGGCUGUCCUUGCAGACUUUGAUGCCAGUUAGUUGCUUUUUUCCCACAAAUUUCUUGAUUAAAUUAGACAGCCCUUCCGUACAUAUAAUGAACAGGUAGGGAGAAAGGGGGUUUCCUUGUCGGAUUCCUCUGGAAGGUUUGACGUUGCCCACCUUUUGUCCAUUUAAAUUAAAGGAGUAGUGGACUGUGGAAAUACAUAAUUCUGCCUAGGAAUUUCCACUCCACUCUGUCAUAGGCUUUAGACAUAUCAAGCUUUAAUGUCAUGAAGCCUACUCUACCUCUCCUCUUGUUGUUCAAAAAAUGCAACAUUUCAUGAGCUAUGAUCACAUUGUCUAGAAUUUGUCGCCCUGGUACAAAGCAGAUUGUGAUGGGCUAAUACAAUGCUUGAGGACUUUUUUCAGUCUAUUGGCCAAGAUCUUAGAUAUAAUUUUAUAAAUCACCGUGCAAAGACUAAUGGGUCUGAAGUUAGUAAGCACAACAGGAUUUUCAACUUUAGGGAUUAAGGAGAUAAUGGUCUCAUUGAUGGCCGUUAAGAUUUUGCUAGAAUGGAAAAAGCUAGUCACAGCAUUAACAACAUCAUUUUUGAUAAUAUGCCUGUAUGUUUGGAAGAAUAAAUGGGGCAUACCAUCAACUCCAGGAGCUUUAUUAGGGAACAUGGAAAAAAUGGCUUGUUGAAUCUCCAACUCAGUCACAGGUUUAAUCAACUAUGUGUUCAUGAGACUGGAAAUAGUGCGAGGUAUGCCUAGCAACACUUCUUCAAAUUUGGUAGGAUCAUUAGACUUGAAGAGCUCCGCAUAGUGUUUGCUAAUUUCAGCUUCAAUUUCCUCUUCACUUGCACAUCACACCCCAUUUGUCUUCUGGAGUAUGCUGAUAUUGUUCUGUUUCCUAUUAGCCAUGACACUUAGGUGAAAGUAAGCUGUAUUCUUAUCCCCCUCCUUGAGCCAUCUGCUUCUUGAUUUCUGGCUCCAAUAUAGCUCUUCAUCCUUGUAUGCUUUACUCAAUUGUAGCUUCAAGUUUGCAAAAGCUCCUUUCUUAUCCAGCUCACUCCCCUCACGUGCUACCCUUAGUUGCUCCUUUAGCUCCUCAAUUUUUGCCUUUGUAUUGCCUUUAUUUGCCUUGUGCCAUUCAAUCAAAGCUACUCUACAUUCCUUGAUUCGUCUCACCACUCUAAACAUUCUAGACCCAUGUUGCUCCAGCUCCCAAGCUCUUUGGAUAACAGCCACAGACUCCUCAUCCUUUGCCCAUCUCUAAUCAAAACAGAACCUUCUUUUUAUACCCCUUUGCUUCAGUUUAGUAUCCACCAUUAGCAGGCAGUGAUCUGAUGCUUCUUUCUCAAUGUGUUCAACUGUAGUAUUCUCAUACGCUUGCACCCAUCCAACACUCCCUGAACAUCGAUCUAGCUUCUCUUUUAUCUCUCCCUCCCCUUCCCAUGUGUUGCUCCAUGUCCAAGGAACCCCUUUAUACCCUAUAUCCACCAAUUCGUUCCCAAAGAUAAAACUAUUGAACUCCCUAAAACUACCCUUUGAUCUCUAUUUCCCUCCCCAUUUCUCCCCAUUUGAGCAGAUAUCAUUGAAGUCUCCCACUAUUAUCCAUUUUUCCCCCCAUUCCCUUUUCUUUUCCUUUAUAGUCUCCCAUUGUUGCACUCUUACUCUUUCCUCAGUACUUGCAUAUAUUCCUACCAGCCACCAGUGAUCAUUUAACUCCUUAUCUACCACCAUUGCUGCAAUGUACCACUCAGUACUGUGUACAUCAAGCAGUUGCACCCCCUCCUUCCAAAGCAAAGCUAAUUCCCCUGCUCUACCCUUGGGAUUCACGACAAGGCUAUGUUCAAAUUUAAUCCUUUUUUGUACUUGCUUCAUGUACCAUUCUUUGUUUUUUGUUUCACACAAAAAUACUAUACUAGGAGAGUGGAGGUGGAGUACCUCCUUAAGUUGGGGAAUUGUCAAGGGGUCUCCUGCACCUCAACAAUUCCACACUGCCACCUUCAUUGUGUUGGUGGAGGCAUUGCGGGGCUAGCCUCCAAUUCCUCUCCAUGUUGUGCAUCAUCUUAAUCCCUUUUUAAGCACUUGUGGUGUGGACCUUGUACUGUGUCCUUUUCCAUUAGAUCCAAGUCAUGGCAUUCUUCCUGUGUUUUUCUUUUCUCUCCAAUGUUGCUCUCUGUUCCCCUGUCCUUGAUAUCUUUCAAUGGUACUCUUUUGGUGCGCAAACUCCUCAUCCACUAAUUUUUCCUUCCUGGUAUGCUUUCACUUACUUGGAUUCGGCUCAUGGCAUCUAUUGUGUUACUGUCCUUGCUAUUCAAACUCCCCUUUCCUGACUUGUCUAUCCUCUCUCUAACAACACAAUCAUCUAACACCAUAUUCUCUGGGAUCUGAUUUUCUUUUCUAAUCAAGUCUACUCCCAGGUCCACUACCACCUUAUGGGCUUCAAUAUUUCCCUGCACUAUAGUUCCACUCCCCUCUUUUUGUUUUCCCUCACCCUUACCCUCUUUCUCUACUCGUCCUUUCAGUCCUGUACUUUCCCUCAGAAUCUCUCCCCAUUUUUCCUCCAUUGCCAGUUUUUCCUGAUCAUUUCCCUUAGUCUCCUUGUCACCCCCUGCUACUUAUACCACCCAUGACUCCAGAUCCUUCCUCAAGUAUCCCCCCUAUCCUGCUAUUGGAUCCUUUGUCUACCAUUGUCAACUCUUUAGGUUUCUGACUCGCCUCUGUGUUAGACGUGAAGCAUGCUUUCAAGGGGGAGGCCAUUAUAUUUCCUGCCCUCAUCCAAGCACCAUACUGGCCUUCCCUACAAGACAGUCCUUCCCUUUUGUCCCCUGUACAUGACUUGUCCCCAUGCCCAAUGAUCCCACAAUUGUAGUAAAAAUCUGGGCAUCUCUCGUACUUAAAUUCCACCCAUGUGUUCACUCCCUCAAGCUUUACCAACGUACCCCUCGGGAGAGGUUGUAGCAUAUCCACUUCAGCCAUAAUCUUCAGAUGUCUCCCAGACUUUCCCUCCCCUGGUGGAACCAGUACCUCUCUCACCGACCUAAAAAUCUUUCCUAACUUAAAGCCCACUGACUUACACAACCAAUGGACUGGAAGAUUCCAAAUUUGUACCCAUAUGUGUGCAAAUCUAAAAUGGUGGAGCUUCCUUUCAUACCUAACCUCCCAUUCCUUAAUCACUAGAAUCUGAUUAUCCAUAAUCCACGGUCCUCCCAACAGGAUUUUUUCACAGUCCUUUCCCCUUUCUAACUGGAAUUGAAAAAAAUUUGGACCCAGCUCAGUAACAGUUAAGUUCCUGGGAUAUCCCCAUGCAUGAUUAGUAAAAUUCUUAAUACCCGUGAAAUGUGCAACCUUUUUGCCUAUCAACCUUCGCACCAGACUCUGCCUACGGUCUUGGAUCCCCUCACUUAUAUCGUCAGAUGUCGCGCCCCACUUUUUGAUGGUGUGGUGUGUGAGUAGUGGAAUGUGAGCGUGUGCGAAAUGAAAAGUAAAAAGGCCAUGGGACUUGAGAAUGCGACGAUUUGGCCAAGCAAAGUUCAAAAAGGGUUUUUAAUGAAAAAAUGGAGUCGCCACUUGGUAUAGAGUUAGGGUGUACCAAGUCACCCAAAAGUGAUUUUUUGGAAAGCGAAAUAAACAAACCCUUUUUAGAACUUUUAGGUCUACGUAACCAAAGCGAGGGAUCGGGGGUCACAUUUGAUAAGGGAGAAGGCAAAGGCAAAGCCUAAGGCACUCCCUUACCCUAGCAAAAGCUAGUUGCGUGACUAGCCCUUCUUUUCCUAGUUUUUCUACCCAAGGUAUGUAUCGCAUGUUGGACGAACUAUAUGAAUGCAAAAAACCUAGACCUAGGGGGACAUGGGGGAAAUUUCUCUUCAAAGGUUGAGUGGUGCCAAUCACAUUAAUUGUGAAGCCCAAUAAUGAUCCUUUGGAGAGGUCACACAUAAUCCUAAAUGACGUAAAAAUGAGUGGAAUGCAUGCCAUGUGAAAAUGUGAGUUUGUGUGAAGUGAGAAAAGUGAUAAAAAUAAUAGGAUGUAAGUGGAGGUGUGCAAAUGUACUUACAAGGUAAGGUGAGUAAAGAAUGAUAAUGUGAAAAUAACAUAAAGUGCAUGUGUGCGAGUGAUAUGGUAUAAAGUGUGAGUAGUUAAAUGAAAACAUCCAAAAGUAGUGUGAAGUGAGAAUGUGGAAAAAGGGAUAGAGUAUAAAGUAGAAGUGUAUAGGAUAGUGAAUAAAUGAAAUGCAUGAACCCUAGAGGAAUGCAUCAAGACGGGAACGAGGAGUCCUAACUUUGUGACUUUAAUCUUCCCUUUGAUUAGAAGGAAAAACUAGCGUGCUAAGGCUAUUUCGUAGCCAAACUCGCUCGUUUCCCUUAUCAAAAGGGGACUCUUCAGGCAAAUGUACCCUAACUAGCAUGAGAUGCAAGACCUAAAGUGAGGGGAAAGGGGAAUCGAGGAGCAUGCCAAAUGAUAAAACUAAGGAAAAAUGCAUGAUAUGUAGUGAACAGGCAAAUAAUGCAUUAAUGAAAAACAAAGGAAAAAUCCUAUUGGGUCUAGCGUUGGACUAGCCCUUUCUAUGAAUUCCUACUAGCAUUAGACUAGUGGAAACGAUAAAAGAAGCCACAACUAGCGUUGGACUAGUGUGGUGACGUACAUUCAUCCAUUCAAUUCAUCCACACUAUGGAAAGCAAGUAGACAUACCAAACACGUAGCACGUAACAUUUAGCAUGCUCGACUAGAUGCAAAAGCCUAAUAAAAUGAAUAACACUUAACACGUAGGCAUGCAACCAAGCUAAUGAACCUAUUACAUUCACUAACUAAAACAAAAGGGGAAGGGGAAAAUGGACCAAAUUGCUCGCCACAGCCCUAUCUAUUACAAGCCAAGAGGUGUACACAUACCCCAUUAAAAGAAUAACUUAAAUAAAAGCAAAAGUAAAUGAAAUAAAUGCAAGGAAUUAAGGAAAGGCAAGGAAAGCGAAGUAGACAUGCAUAUUCACAUAACACGUAGGAGCACGUAGGGUCAAAUGAAGUGCAAAUAAGGGAUAGGGUGUACCUCCCUUGAAUCGAUGCCCUAGCGAGGCGAAACUACUAAUUUACCCUCCAAAAUAAUAAAAGGGUCAAGGUACCAAUUUAUUUGGAAAAACUAAAGAAAAUGUACAAACACAAGCUCAAUUGAUCAUAAAACCUUUAAAAUUGUGACUUAAGUGCAAUUUAAGCAAAGCAUGGUAGCCAAUUAAAGCAAACAAACAAUGAAGUUGCAAAAUUAGAGUUGCCAAGGACCAAAUUGAUGAAAUUCUUCAAUUGACUGGGUCAUAGUAGAACGAGGGGAGACUUGGAGGGUCAAAAUGCAAAACUCAGAAUUUUUCCAUGCAUGCAUACGCAGAAGAUUUCUGCAUUUUAAAGCUUUCUGCAGCUAGAAAACAAAGGCUGUUCCCUUUUAUUUCCAAAGCUUCGGCAAUACCCAGCAACAACUACAUCCAUUUCAUCAUACAAACAAGUUCAUCAAACCAGAAAUUAUUGACCCAAAUCUAGACAUGACAAUUUGUUUGCAAGAUUAAGAUGGCAAAUCUGAGUUGAUGACCGCCCAAGAUAAGGAAAAACAACAAGACAGAAUGCCGCAAGAAUUUCUGCAAAGCUAGGAAGCUUUUGGCAACCCAUAAUGAAUCAGGAUUUUUAACCAAGCAUCAAAGGCUUUAGAUUAAACAACAGCUAUCCAAAACCGCAAGCCCAAACAAGGAAACAAAAACUCAAGAAAGCUAUCAUGCAAAUCUGGAAAAUCAGAAGCUUUGCUGCAAUUUUCAGCCGCGACUUGUCCAGAAUUUCUAGUUUAUCAUGCAAACAGAUUCAACAAGGAACCAGAAUUCUACCUAUCCAUCAUCAACUAAACACGCAACUUCGUAGCAGGAUCGAAAACAGAAAAAUGAAGCUGACCAACAAAAAAUGAAAGUAAACAGCAAAAACAACGAUAGAAAGAAAGAGACAAAGUGCCGCAAGCUUUUCUGCAAUUUUACCCAGCCGCGGCUUUUCAUUUCAUCAAGCAAACCAGAUUCAGGUAACCAAACAACAAGCUGCUUAACUUUAAAGCUCCAAACAAACAAACAACAAUGAAAGAACUGAUUGCAACAAAGAAAUUCUGAACAAUACAUUCACAUAAAAUGGUUUAGCAGCCCGAAAGAUCAAAUUUUUAUCAAGAUUGCUGCUAAGAGGUUUUGAUCAACGGAAAAAAUCUAGCCUUUCCCAUAAAAUCCUUGACAACGGAACCAAGAAAAGGAAGAAACAGAACAAUAUCCAAGAUUACAGUUCAUCCCUUCCUCAACAGAUUUAUGGAGAAGAAAAACAAUCCUGACUUCAAGUAAAAAUCUAAAACAUAGCUUUGAUGGAUAGCUUGGAAAUAUACCUUGAAAGAUGGAUAGAAGCUAGUGCAGUCUGUGAAAGAACAAAGACAGCCGAUGAAGAAAGUUUCCGGCAAUUCCUCCUCCUCCCUGCUUUGGUUGCUGCUCCCUUUCUCUUUCGGCCGUAGCCUCUCCCUUUUCUUUUGCUCCGAAUCUGUCCCAGCUUCACUCUCCACUCUCUUUCUCUCUCAGACCUCAGCCCAGAUUUCUCUCCUUUGCUCUCGGUUUUUCCUUAGCCGUUCCUCAAAGAAAAACUUCCUCUCUUUUUUGUUUUCUUCUCUCCCCCCGACUCUCUCUGCCCGUCACCUUCCUUUUGGUUUCUUUCUUUUCCUUGUUGCUCCGCUCCUCUUCGAUCUUCCUCAGUCUGUAGCUUCCUCACUCGAGCCUCCUCACUCCGAAAGCUCUCUCCUUUUUUCACUCCCGUUUUAUCGCUUCCUUUUUUGCUUCCUAUUUUCAGCCGUCAUCUCUUAAUCCUCUCUCUCCUUCUCCUGUUGCGGCUGCCUGCCUUUUUCUAUUUAUAUGGGAGCCAAACCAACCCUAACACCCAGCCACUUCUUCUGUAUUUGCAGCCAAGGGCUGCCCGAAGCCCUUCCUUGCAAGCUGCGAAAAACGCAGCUUGCAAGUCGCGUAUCAUUUUUUUUUUUUUUUAAACUUAAAUAACAAAAUUGAAAAUAAUAAAAAUUAAAAACAAAAACAAUUUAAUUAACAUUAGAAACAACAAAAUGCAAAUCCUAACAAAAUUGAAAAUAAUAAAAAUUAAAAACAAAAACAAUUUAAUUAACAUUAGAAACAACAAAAUGCAAAUCCAAUUUUCCCUUUUUUUCAUUUUUUCAAUUUUUUCAUCUUUUUUUCUUUCUUUUUUCCUUCAAGAAAACAUGGAAUUUAAAUCAAAACAACUAAAGCAUAUUUUUUGAAUGCUUUUCUUUUUUUCUUUUUUUUUUCUUUCGAGAGAUUCUAUGCUAAAAACUUACAAAUAAAAAUAAUAAAAUAAAAACUAAAAACUAAAAACUAAAAAAUGAAUAAAACUUAACGCGACAAAUAAAAAUUAAGACAAAAUAGUAAAUGCAAAAUACGCUAAAAUUUUGGUGUCUAUAGUUUGCCCCUCUUUGUCUGAGUUUUGGAAAACUUGAGACAAAGAAGUAGACACCAAAUACUUACCUGCAUUAUUCGGCUGCGAAUGAUUCGAACGACUGCCCUUUUUUGGAAAUGAGGACUGACCUCUUUUAGCCGAAAAUUUGUAAAAAGCGAUUGACUCAGAUGAGAAAAUUUAAAAUCAGGAAUGCGCACUAGUGGGACUGACCCACGGCUAGUGGCUGAACAAAAUGAAAUGCGCACUAGUGGGACUGACCCACGGCUAGUGGCGAAUGCAAAUGAGAGGCACACUAGUGGAACAAACCCAACGGCUAGCGGCGAAUGCAAAUGAAAAGCUCACUGGCGAGACUAACCUCACGCUCCAGUGGCGAUGAAAAUGAAAGGCACACUGGCGGGACAAACCUCACGCUCCAGUGGCUGUGAAAAUGAAAGGCUCACUGGCGGGACAAACCUCACGCUCCAGUAGCGAUGUAAACGAAAUGCUUACUGGCGGGACAAACCCAGCUCCAGUGGCUGUGAAAAUGAAAGGCUCACUGGCGGGACAAACCUCACGCUCCAGUGGCUGUGAAAAUGAAAGGCUCACUGGCGGGACAAACCUCACGCUCCAGUAGCGAUGUAAACGAAAUGCUUACUGGCGGGACAAACCCUGCUCCAAUAGCAAUGAAAACGAAAUGCUUACUGGCGGGACAAACCCAGCUCCAAUAGCAAUGAAAACGAAAUGCUUACUGGCGGGACAAACCCAGCUCCACCCAGCUCCAAUAGCAAUGAAAAUGAAAUGCUUACUGGCGGGACAAACCCAGCUCCAAUAGCAAUGAAAAUAAAAUGUUGGUAUGUACGAAAAAAUUGUAUAAGACUUGUUUGGAAAAUUUCCCAAAGAUUUGCCCCAGUGUGAUGAAUUUGGUCAAUGGGAUUAAACCCGAGCCUGCCAAGGUUGGCGGGAUAAAACCCAGCUCCAACGUGAUAAACGGUCAGCGGGAUAGAACCCAGUUCUGCCGAGGUUGGCGGGAUAAAACCCAGCUCUAACGUGAUAAGCGGUCAGCGGGAUAGAACCCAGUUCUGCCGAGGUUGGCGGGAUAAAACCCAGCUCCAACGUGAUAAACGGUCAGCGGGAUAGAACCCAGUUCUGCCGAGGUUGGCGGGAUAAAACCCAGCUCCAAUGUGAUAAGCGGUCAGCGGGAUAGAACCCAGUUCUGCCGAGGUUGGCGGGAUAAAACCCAGUUCCAACGUGAUAAAAGUGAAAUGUUCACUGGCGGGACUGACCCACGUUCCAGCAACGGUGAAGAAUGAAAUGCUUACUGGCGGGACUAACCCAUACUCCAGUAAUUGUGUAAAUGAAACGCUUACUGGCGGGACUAACCCAUGCUCCAGUAAUUGUGAAAAAAUGAAAUGCUUGACAAUCGGACAGUGGGAUUAAACCCGAGCCUGCCGUGAUGAAACUUGAUUUGAUUUUUGAUUUUUGAUUGAUGAUUUUCUUUUCUUUUCGCUUUUCUUUUUGACUUUUGAGAAUCUUUCCAAAAAAUUAAUUUGCUCCAGUAUGAUGGAUUUCUGCAAUUUGAGUCCAUAGUUGAUUCUGUAUCGCCAUGUUGUUGCACCUUUUGAUCAAAUUUGCUUGCAACAUUUACGAUCUGCCUUUGUUCACCGGAGGACUCUUUCUGACACCGAUGCAAGGUGUGAUUACUUUCAUCUGUGCAUGCAAUUUUCUACAAAAGAGAAAAAACAAAGGAAAUUGCCACCAUCAUUUGAUCCGUUCUCCUUUGAGAAUCGUGUAAACAUGAGUCUUUCAAUGCCUUUAUCAACUUCUGCUGCGGUAGCCGAUUGAGUUGGAUUUCUCACCCUAAGGCUUUUCCGAUUUUCAAACCGACCAGGCAUGUGCUUUGCCAUAUUGUGAAGUCCGUGUAGCUGGCUUGGCUGAAUUUCAACUGUUCCCAAAAGAUGACUGAAUCCAAGUAUGCUUUUGAAAUAAACCACGGGGAUUGUCAUUUACCACAAUUCAAUGAUAAAGAAUGAGGUAUGCAAGAAAAAUUCAUAUGUCAUGUAAAAAUGAAUAUGCACAAGAAUGCACUCAUAACCAUUUGUGCUUAAAUUCUACAAAAAUGCCAUGAAUGCAAGUAAUUUGGUAAAAAUGAGUUUCCUAAGAAUGUAUUUGCCAAAGAAUGUUUUACAAAAUGACACAGCUUUGGCCAAUGGAUGCAUAUUCGAAUCUCUGAAUAUCCUUGUUCUGGAAUUCAAUAUUGGCAGAGGUAUGACAAAAAUGAGGAGAAAUCCAAAUGGACCCAACCACCAGUUGUCCCUCCUUGUGCUUGCUCAUUGCAGAAAUCCUACCUUGGCGCCCUUUCGGGUUUUCACCAAGGUUGCCCCCACUCCUUUUCUUUUGUUUUGUUUUUGUUUUUGUUUUUCUCUUUUUCUUUUCUUUUUCUCCUUUUCUUUUGAGGUGCCCUUUCGGGUUUUCACCUAAGGAACAAUGGAAAAACUCAACCAUAAUCGACUCAGGAGUAUGAACUGAAAAUUGCUGACAUCAGUAAAAUGCGCUUCCCUUGUAAGAUUAGGCGAAGGCAUUAUGGACAUCACUUGCCAAUUGAUUAGCAAAAUCCCUAAUAGAAAUGCAGCAAGUGACGAAAGCCAGGACUUUUGGGCUUUUGUAAUGAGGUUAGGUGGGGUGUUUUUCAAGAAAAGUUGAGGCUUGAAAGCAGGUCUGAUGAAAUGUGUGAAAUAACCUGAAAUUGCAUCAUUUUGAAAUUAUCUCCAAUUUUUUGAACGAAACCGAGGAAAUUUUGCCCCAGUUUGAUUGGAUUUUUCUUUCUUUGUAUUUUUCAUUGCAUUUUCUUCUCUUUUGCAUUUUUCUUCAAAAACUAAAUUUGCCCCAGUGUGAGGUUCUUUCUUCUUUUUCAUCUCUCUUUCAAAAUAAAUUUGCCCCAGUAUGGGGUUCUUUCUUUUUCCCAUAUCUCUUUCAAAGAUAAAUUUGCCCCAGUGUGAGGUUUUUCUUUUUUUCCUGAUCAUUUGUCAAAAUGAAUUUGCCCCAGUGUGGGGUUUGCAAUCCUCAGGGGCUGACAAACGAAAAUUAUUGUUCUGAUAGCUCAAAGAGGAUGACUAGGGAUGAAAUGUUUUGAUUGGAAAAGAAGAUGGCCUGACUUUUGCCUCGUCCCUUGCGCGAUUUCCAAAAAGAAAUUUGCAUAAUCAAAUAAAGAACUUCUUACACAUGUCCGAGUUGAUAGGUUGAGGGAAUGUCUGUCCUUCCAUCUCUGCCCAAAAUGAGUACUCCUCCAGGCAAUACCUUUUGAACACCCAAUGAGCUUUGUCAAUUUGAAGCAAAUUUGCCUUCGACUUCAUCUUUCAUCACUUUAGUACUUUGUUCCCUUCUUCAGAAGAUCGGCGGUGGACCCUUUUGUUAUGAACUUAGGCCAUGCGUUUUGACAACAUUGGUCAUAGUACAUAGCAUUCAACUGCUUUUCAUCAAUCAAAAUCAAUCGUUGAUCAUACUGCGUUAACCAAUCAGCUUUCAACCUGGCCGGAAAGGGAUUUUCUCAAAUGAAGGGAUUUUUAAAUGGAGGGAUUUCUCAAAUGAAGGGAUUUUUAAAGUGGAGGGAUUUUCCAAUGUAUGGCUUCCUCAAAGAAAGGAUUUCUCCAUGAGGGGAUUUUUAACGAAGGCUUUCUCAAAGAAGGGAUUUCUCAAUGAAGGGAUUUCUCAAAUGAAGGGAUUUUUCAAUGUAUGGCUUCAUCGGAUUCCAGAACAGUGAUAUUCAAAGGGUCAAGUAAUUUCAUCUUUGGCCAUCGAAAGAAUUUAGAAUGAAAUUGAAAAUGAUAAUCAACCAGUAUAAACAAAAAUAGUAUCGAACAAACAAAAUAAUGAAAAGAUGUAAUUAUGCAUGCUAUUGAAAAAACAGGAGCUUGAUAAAAAUUGUUUUAGCCAAAACUUGAACCUAACAAAACUAUUUACACAAAAACAGUGAAACCUUUCAUGAAUUUUUAGCAAAUGACAGUCCCCAGAUGUACCGAAAUUCCCUUCAAAAGGGAAAACACUCGGCCAACCAAAUUGUGCAAAGCUCCUUCAGGACUUUCAAAUCUCGUCAUUGGAGGUGGAUGCCUCAAAGGUGUCACUGUGUUUGGGAAAGAGGUUUGUACUUAUGUUCGGUCCUUGUUCUGCACUUCUUCUAAUCAAUAUUUCCCUCGCCUCGAUCAUUUCUUGGACUUUCUGUUUAAGUGCUCUACAAUCAGUAGUUGGGUGGCCAGGUGCUCCCGAAUGAUAGGCACAAGUGUACUGUGGGUUAUAUCCGCCAGAGAUACCAUGGGGGUAAGCUGGAGGGGGAAUUUCGCCGAUUUUACCGGCGGCUUUUAAUUGUUCAUAUAAUCGGUCCAAAGGCUGGCCGAAAUUGGUGAAUGUUCGAGAAUGAUUUUGAUCGCGGGUUUCAGUAUGUUGGGGGUAGUUGUAGAUGGGUCUGUUUGGUCGGGAAAAUUGUUGAUUGUAGAGAGGUCGGGGUCGAACUUGUUGGAAAUUGGGCCGAGAUAUUUGAAAAGGGGAUAUAGUCGGGUUGGUGUAAUUAGGUCGAGGUCGAGGAUGAGUGGUAUUGGUGUGAUAAACAGGAUGAGGGUUUGAAUAGCAAGGGUAAGGGUUUGAGUAGGUAUGGUAUUGUCGAUGUCUGGGCUUUGAGAUAGGGUUUCGAUCCCAGACAAAAGCAGUUUCCCCCUCUUGCUUUUUGGAUUGUUGCUUCCUCCCAUUACUACCUUGGCUUUGCAAAGCGUCCAACUGCGAUUUGAGGGUAGACACAUUGACAAUCUUUCCAGCCUUCACGAAAUCAUCAUAUUCUUCAAGCUUAUUGACAAUAGCGGCAAACGAACAUCCAGUCAUGCGAAAAAUUUCUUCAAAGUACGUCGGAUCAUGUGCCUUAAUGAAAGUUCGUAUGAUUUCGUCCUCAGUCAUUGGUGGCUCGACUUUUGCAGCUAUUUUCCUCCACCUUUUAGCAUAAGUCUUGUGAUCUUCAGAUGGCUUCCUCUUUAUCCCUUCCAACGUGGUUCGUGUUGGAGCCAGCUCGCAAUUAUACUCGUAUUGCCUUACAAAAGCAUUGGACAAGUCAAACCAAGUCUUCGUUUCUUCGGGUUUCAGCUUGGAAUACCAGUCGAGUGCAUCCCCCUCCAGACUUUCUGGGAAUAGCCUCAAAGGCAGAUUUUCAUCAUCUGUUGGCCUACCCAACUUGUUGGCGAACAAUCGGAGGUGCGUCUUGGGGUUGCCCGUGCCAUCGUAUUUGUUAAACUUCGGAGUUUUGAACCCUUCAGGCAAUUGCACAUUCGGAAAGAGACAAAGCUCAUCAUAGUCUAGCACCCCUUGCUUGUUCAAACCCUGACUUUUCCUCAUAAACUCAUCAAAACGGUCAAGUCUUUUGAGCAGCUUUAUAUCAACGGGAGCAGAGGAUUCUCCUAUCUCUGGCUUGGUUUGCACAGUAUGGUCUGGUAGGAAUGGCUCAGUAGCAGUGUGAUAAAAAGUAUGUGGCUCUGGUGGUAUGUUUGAAGUAAGUUGGGGUUGUGGACCUUGCAUGUAAGCAGGGAAAAAUGAAGGAUCAGAAGGGUAAGUGUAUGGCAAAUGUAUGGUGGGAUAUGUGAAAGUUCCUUCGGUUGGAAUAGGGAAAGAUGGAGCAACAGUGGCUUGAAUCGAAGGUAUGACAAAUGGCUCUGGCCCAGGCUGCCUGCCGGACACAGUCUCGGGUUGAACUCCACUGCUGAUAAGCUCAUCGAUUAAUUUCCUCUGGGCCGCCAUCUCAGUGGUCAUCUCACCGAACUUAGUGAGCAUCUCAGUCAACUGAACCCCCAAACUUGUGGUCUCAGGCUGGGCGGUAGUAACAAACCUGUCUGAUGGUUCCGGUUGCGGACUCAUGUUUACACGACUCCUCUGAGCUUGACUACGGGAUCGUGUUAUGAUGGGGCUUCGACGAGAAGUUAUGUUUAAAUAUUACCUGAAAAUUUUUGAAAAGAUUGCCUUUAGAUUUAACCCUUGCUUAGUGAUUCCAAUAAAAACAAAGAAAAAGAAAAAGAAAAAGGCAAAAGUUAGUAAAUAUCCAGAAAAUUCGAAUGCAUGUCCUAUGGGGGAACCCUUUUUGUGCCCAGGGUAGGCCUAUCAUGAAAAUGCAAUCCUCUAAGGUAGGCACUAUGCCAUACCUGAUGGAUCUGAUCAACUCCUUGAGUGAAAAACAAUUUUGAAAAAUUUGAUCAAUUGGAAUGACGAGAGUCAUUUGUCAAAAUGAGGUCAACGUUCGAAUGGAUUGAUCACUUUUGAUCGAUACAAGAUUUUGCAAAAAACGCAUGGGUUUGACCUUAACGAACUUCCUAUUGAAAAUAUUUGAAUUCGUUGACAAGAUUUCUCAGUGAAUCACGGGUCAAAACCCUAAUUGAUCAAAUGAUUAGAUGCAAUGGACGGUUUUCUUCAAAAUCGACUAGAUUUCCAAAUUUGGAAUUUGACAAUGAAACCUCAAUUGGUCAAAUGGAUUGAAUGAAAUUGACCAAUUAUUUAAAAUGACCGAAUUACCCUAAAAAGGGAAACAGGUCAAAUGAAUUGAGUGAAAUUUACUCAAAAUUGACCAGACCGUCCUAAAAAAGGAACCUGAUCGAAUGAAAUUGAGAAUUUUAUUCAAAAUGGACCAGAUCAUCCUUAAAAAAGAAUUUGGUCAAAUGAAUUGAAUGAAAUCAAGAAUUUAUUCAAAAAUUGACCAGAUCGCCCUAAAAGGGGUAAACUAGUCAAAUGAAUUUUAUGAAAUUGAUGAUUUAUUCCAAAAAUUGACCAGAUUACCUUAAGAAGGGUAAAAUGGUCAAAUGCUUUGAACAAAAAAUUUGAUUAUUUAUUCAAAAUUAAAUGGAUAACCCUAAAAAUGAAUUAAAUUAAUCAAAUGAAUUAAAUGAAAUCAAAUGAUCAAACAGAUUGAAUGAAAUGAUGAUUUAUUCAAAAUCGACCGAAUUGCCCUAAAGAUAGGUAAACUUGGUCAACUGAAUUGAAUGAAAUUGUUGAUCUCUUCAAAAAUCAACUUGAUUACCCCUAAAAAUGGGUAAAUUGGCCAAAUGAAUGAAAUGGAGAUUAAUGAUUUACUCAAAAAUCGGCCAAAUCACCCUAAAAGGGUAAAUUGGUCAAAUGAAUUGAUGAUUUAUUCAAAAAUCGACUGGAUGACCCUAAAAAGGGUAAAUUGGUCAAAUGAUGGUUUAUCCAAAAUUGACAAAAUGGAUCGAUUGAAUCGGCCGGCCAUUGGUGGUUUCAGAAAAUUAGUCUAUGAGCUUUCUAAAAUCACGAUUUGGCCUCAAUUGAUUUAUCGUCUCAAUAGGAGGAAUCAUUUGUGAAUUUUCUUCAAAUUAAUGUCCUUUUGCGCAAGGGAAUUUUACCAAUUUUGAUAAAAAUGGCCAAAAAGUGAUUACUAGAUGCUCAUAUUUCAAGAAUCGCUCUUAUGAAGAAGAUCGGAUCUUACCUUACCUUGUGCACUACCCCUUUGGAUGGUACAAAAAUGUAAACGUGCAAGUCUCGUUGGAUUAAGUAUCCGAGACACAAGGUGGUUAAUCCCUAACGUGGGAUACCCUAAAUGGCGUUCCCUUUCUAGGGCUUAUUGCAUGAUGCCAGUUAUUAAAGCGAUGUAAAUAUGUGACAAAUAUGGCCUAAAGGACAUAAAUAAUACAUCGGGGGAAAAAGGCCUAAAAUGAAAUGUACUUAUUGAAAAUUAAGUGUAAUGACUGAAAUUUAAACAUGUGAAUUAUCUAGUGGGUAAGUCACUAAAAGAGUGCCAAAGAGGCCUCGUAUUGCUACGGCACAUGAAUGCAGGCCAAGAAAACAAAGAAAUGGUUAGUGCAAUUGAUAGUACACAUAACACAUUGGGAGCAAUUAAGAAAAGAAAUACAAUAAAAAUAAGUAAAAGGGGUGGAACCCCUUCCCUCGUGCCUAAUGUGCUUAAAAGGGUGAGGCUGACUCUAACCUAGGAAAAUUCUAUAAUGGAUGCAUGAGGCUGGGGCUCACUAAUGCAACUAGACUCGAUAAAGCUUCGGCUCCCAAGCCUUCAGACUUAAAGGCGAAGGGUCAUCACUCCCAGGGCCUUCGGUCGGUGGCUCGAGUGAUCCCUUAGGUAGUGCUAUGGGCGCAGAGCACACCAUCCGCCUACCCAAGGCAAUCGAUCCUAGUCCUACAAGGCGGUGUGGGAUGGCGCCCACGAAAAUAAAAUGGGAUAACAGUAAAUAAACGUGCACGUAUGAAGUGUUCCCUAUUUUGAGGGAAAGGGUUGAGAACCACGCGAGGCUCUAAAGGUGACACACACCCCCCCCAAAUGCAAUGCAAGCGCGAGAUAAACAAGUAAACAUACAUCCAAUCAACCAAUCAUACAUUCGUGAGCGAGGAAGUAGUUUGAGACGUACGUGAGACAAAAAGGUCCUAAAAAUGGAAGAUGCAAUCCUAAUAUCCACAUGCCAUGCAUAAAAGGGUAGAAAAAGGAAACGAAUGGCUAAGUCAAAUGCUUGGACCCACUUAGGAAGUCCCCAGUGGAGUCGCCAACUGUCGCGCCCCACUUUUUGAUGGUGUGGUGUGUGAGUAGUGGAAUGUGAGCGUGUGCGAAAUGAAAAGUAAAAAGGGCAUGGGACUUGAGAAUGCGACGAUUUGGCCAAGCAAAGUUCAAAAAGGGUUUUUAAUGAAAAAAUGGAGUCGCCACUUGGUAUAGAGUUAGGGUGUACCAAGUCACCCAAAAGUGAUUUUUUGGAAAGCGAAAUAAACAAACCCUUUUUAGAACUUUUAGGUCUACGUAACCAAAGCGAGGGAUCGGGGGUCACAUUUGAUAAGGGAGAAGGCAAAGGCAAAGCCUAAGGCACUCCCUUACCCUAGCAAAAGCUAGUUGCGUGACUAGCCCUUCUUUUCCUAGUUUUUCUACCCAAGGUAUGUAUCGCAUGUUGGACGAACUAUAUGAAUGCAAAAAACCUAGACCUAGGGGGACAUGGGGGAAAUUUCUCUUCAAAGGUUGAGUGGUGCCAAUCACAUUAAUUGUGAAGCCCAAUAAUGAUCCUUUGGAGAGGUCACACAUAAUCCUAAAUGACGUAAAAAUGAGUGGAAUGCAUGCCAUGUGAAAAUGUGAGUUUGUGUGAAGUGAGAAAAGUGAUAAAAAUAAUAGGAUGUAAGUGGAGGUGUGCAAAUGUACUUACAAGGUAAGGUGAGUAAAGAAUGAUAAUGUGAAAAUAACAUAAAGUGCAUGUGUGCGAGUGAUAUGGUAUAAAGUGUGAGUAGUUAAAUGAAAACAUCCAAAAGUAGUGUGAAGUGAGAAUGUGGAAAAAGGGAUAGAGUAUAAAGUAGAAGUGUAUAGGAUAGUGAAUAAAUGAAAUGCAUGAACCCUAGAGGAAUGCAUCAAGACGGGAACGAGGAGUCCUAACUUUGUGACUUUAAUCUUCCCUUUGAUUAGAAGGAAAAACUAGCGUGCUAAGGCUAUUUCGUAGCCAAACUCGCUCGUUUCCCUUAUCAAAAGGGGACUCUUCAGGCAAAUGUACCCUAACUAGCAUGAGAUGCAAGACCUAAAGUGAGGGGAAAGGGGAAUCGAGGAGCAUGCCAAAUGAUAAAACUAAGGAAAAAUGCAUGAUAUGUAGUGAACAGGCAAAUAAUGCAUUAAUGAAAAACAAAGGAAAAAUCCUAUUGGGUCUAGCGUUGGACUAGCCCUUUCUAUGAAUUCCUACUAGCAUUAGACUAGUGGAAACGAUAAAAGAAGCCACAACUAGCGUUGGACUAGUGUGGUGACGUACAUUCAUCCAUUCAAUUCAUCCACACUAUGGAAAACAAGUAGACAUACCAAACACGUAGCACGUAACAUUUAGCAUGCUCGACUAGAUGCAAAAGCCUAAUAAAAUGAAUAACACUUAACACGUAGGCAUGCAACCAAGCUAAUGAACCUAUUACAUUCACUAACUAAAACAAAAGGGGAAGGGGAAAAUGGACCAAAUUGCUCGCCACAGCCCUAUCUAUUACAAGCCAAGAGGUGUACACAUACCCCAUUAAAAGAAUAACUUAAAUAAAAGCAAAAGUAAAUGAAAUAAAUGCAAGGAAUUAAGGAAAGGCAAGGAAAGCGAAGUAGACAUGCAUAUUCACAUAACACGUAGGAGCACGUAGGGUCAAAUGAAGUGCAAAUAAGGGAUAGGGUGUACCUCCCUUGAAUCGAUGCCCUAGCGAGGCGAAACUACUAAUUUACCCUCCAAAAUAAUAAAAGGGUCAAGGUACCAAUUUAUUUGGAAAAACUAAAGAAAAUGUACAAACACAAGCUCAAUUGAUCAUAAAACCUUUAAAAUUGUGACUUAAGUGCAAUUUAAGCAAAGCAUGGUAGCCAAUUAAAGCAAACAAACAAUGAAGUUGCAAAAUUAGAGUUGCCAAGGACCAAAUUGAUGAAAUUCUUCAAUUGACUGGGUCAUAGUAGAACGAGGGGAGACUUGGAGGGUCAAAAUGCAAAACUCAGAAUUUUUCCAUGCAUGCAUACGCAGAAGAUUUCUGCAUUUUAAAGCUUUCUGCAGCUAGAAAACAAAGGCUGUUCCCUUUUAUUUCCAAAGCUUCGGCAAUACCCAGCAACAACUACAUCCAUUUCAUCAUACAAACAAGUUCAUCAAACCAGAAAUUAUUGACCCAAAUCUAGACAUGACAAUUUGUUUGCAAGAUUAAGAUGGCAAAUCUGAGUUGAUGACCGCCCAAGAUAAGGAAAAACAACAAGACAGAAUGCCGCAAGAAUUUCUGCAAAGCUAGGAAGCUUUUGGCAACCCAUAAUGAAUCAGGAUUUUUAACCAAGCAUCAAAGGCUUUAGAUUAAACAACAGCUAUCCAAAACUGCAAGCCCAAACAAGGAAACAAAAACUCAAGAAAGCUAUCAUGCAAAUCUGGAAAAUCAGAAGCUUUGCUGCAAUUUUCAGCCGCGACUUGUCCAGAAUUUCUAGUUUAUCAUGCAAACAGAUUCAACAAGGAACCAGAAUUCUACCUAUCCAUCAUCAACUAAACACGCAACUUCGUAGCAGGAUCGAAAACAGAAAAAUGAAGCUGACCAACAAAAAAUGAAAGUAAACAGCAAAAACAACGAUAGAAAGAAAGAGACAAAGUGCCGCAAGCUUUUCUGCAAUUUUACCCAGCCGCGGCUUUUCAUUUCAUCAAGCAAACCAGAUUCAGGUAACCAAACAACAAGCUGCUUAACUUUAAAGCUCCAAACAAACAAACAACAAUGAAAGAACUGAUUGCAACAAAGAAAUUCUGAACAAUACAUUCACAUAAAAUGGUUUAGCAGCCCGAAAGAUCAAAUUUUUAUCAAGAUUGCUGCUAAGAGGUUUUGAUCAACGGAAAAAAUCUAGCCUUUCCCAUAAAAUCCUUGACAACGGAACCAAGAAAAGGAAGAAACAGAACAAUAUCCAAGAUUACAGUUCAUCCCUUCCUCAACAGAUUUAUGGAGAAGAAAAACAAUCCUGACUUCAAGUAAAAAUCUAAAACAUAGCUUUGAUGGAUAGCUUGGAAAUAUACCUUGAAAGAUGGAUAGAAGCUAGUGCAGUCUGUGAAAGAACAAAGACAGCCGAUGAAGAAAGUUUCCGGCAAUUCCUCCUCCUCCCUGCUUUGGUUGCUGCUCCCUUUCUCUUUCGGCCGUAGCCUCUCCCUUUUCUUUUGCUCCGAAUCUGUCCCAGCUUCACUCUCCACUCUCUUUCUCUCUCAGACCUCAGCCCAGAUUUCUCUCCUUUGCUCUCGGUUUUUCCUUAGCCGUUCCUCAAAGAAAAACUUCCUCUCUUUUUUGUUUUCUUCUCUCCCCCCGACUCUCUCUGCCCGUCACCUUCCUUUUGGUUUCUUUCUUUUCCUUGUUGCUCCGCUCCUCUUCGAUCUUCCUCAGUCUGUAGCUUCCUCACUCGAGCCUCCUCACUCCGAAAGCUCUCUCCUUUUUUCACUCCCGUUUUAUCGCUUCCUUUUUUGCUUCCUAUUUUCAGCCGUCAUCUCUUAAUCCUCUCUCUCCUUCUCCUGUUGCGGCUGCCUGCCUUUUUCUAUUUAUAUGGGAGCCAAACCAACCCUAACACCCAGCCACUUCUUCUGUAUUUGCAGCCAAGGGCUGCCCGAAGCCCUUCCUUGCAAGCUGCGAAAAACGCAGCUUGCAAGUCGCGUAUCAUUUUUUUUUUUUUUUAAACUUAAAUAACAAAAUUGAAAAUAAUAAAAAUUAAAAACAAAAACAAUUUAAUUAACAUUAGAAACAACAAAAUGCAAAUCCAAUUUUCCCUUUUUUUCAUUUUUUCAAAUUUUUCAUCUUUUUUCUUUCUUUUUUCCUUCAAGAAAACAUGGAAUUUAAAUCAAAACAACUAAAGCAUAUUUUUUGAAUGCUUUUCUUUUUUUCUUUUUUUUUCUUUCGAGAGAUUCUAUGCUAAAAACUUACAAAUAAAAAUAAUAAAAUAAAAACUAAAAACUAAAAACUAAAAAGUGAAUAAAACUUAACACGACAAAUAAAAAUUAAGACAAAAUAGUAAAUGCAAAAUACGCUAAAAUUUUGGUGUCUACAUCAGAGGAGAGAUCUACACCUUCUAGCUCCGACUGAGACAGGUCGGACUUUCUAAAAGCUCUUGUUAAAUCUUCCUCCAUCCUCCAGAUUCUAGUUGUAGAGGCGCUACCUUGCACUAUUUCCAAUCGCAGAAGAUCCAGUUGAGUACCCCUGCAAAACAGAAUAGGAAGGCACCAAAAAACAGCAAAAAAACCUAAUCUAUACUACCAAAAAAGACAACUACGAAAUCACGCACAUCAGCUCAUCGAAAGUUCAAGUCACCUUUUCUGGGUUGCAUCCUUCAAAUGUUCCUAGGAUCAUGACCAUUUCCACACAAGAAACAGAGUUACAGCUCAGAGAAGAGUUUAUGGACGUGGGUUUGGGUGUCUCGGUUGUACGAAAGUUGAACAGUCACUAUUGGAAGUAAAGCUAGCUCUGUGUAACUUUCUAUUUUGGGUUGGCGCUGCAAUUUUGAAACCUCCUACAAUGAGAAGAAAAGCUCUCAAACUAGAGAGAGAUGCUCUCAAGCAAGAGAGAGAGUACUACAAGAAUAAUUACAACAAAUCUUUCGAGUUGUAUAUAAAAUAGCACUUACUUAUGUAUUGAUAGGUUGCGAUUUUAUCAUUUAUUUUAUUAUUAAUUUUUCCUAUUACCUGACCCGAUGUAGAUUAAUUAUUAGAUUCUACUCACUUUUCGUAAUUUACAUUUAUUUCAGGGAGUAGAAUUAAAAUACCACAACCAAUGCCAAUUUGACAGUCAUCGGGAAAGAGUUCAAAUAGCAGGCAUUCAGGGACAUUUUUGGAAUAAGCGGAUGCAAGCCCUUUUUGGUAAUUUGGCCGAAGACAGCAAGAAAAAAAAAGAGGAAGCUGGAGUCUUCGGUUUGGAGGCUGGGCCACCGCACAGUGGAUGAGAGCAGGCAUUAGAUAGAAACUAGAAAUUGCAGAGGAUUAGCACUACUUGGGGAGUUUUUUUAGCUUUUGAUUUUUCCUUCGGUGUUUUUGAGUAGUACUUCUCCUGCGCAUGUCAGGAGCAAUUAGGAGAGCUUUGACUUUUCUUCCUUUUAGCUCUUAGUAAUUUCUUUUCCUUCUUCGUAUGUCAUCCGAAGUGAAACAAGGGAUCACCUUUUGUAACUUUGCUAUCUUUUCUUGAUUGGAGCGAAUUGAAUUCUCCAAAUUUCUGAGACAAUGGCUGCUGCUUUCUCUUCAAUUUUGCGUGGGUUUUUCGCAUAAAAUAUGAACUAAUUUCCUCACUCUAGUCAAGGAACAACGGAGGCUUUGAUUCGCCUAAAAAUUGUGAAAUCGAUUUAAUUUUAUCUUUCUCUUUUAUUUAUUGUUAUUCGCAUAUUCCCUGGAUACAGUGCGUGUGAUUGUUCAAUUAAUUGUUUGUCUUGGAUCCGAAUAAUUAGUUAACUUGAUAAUCUAUUGUCAAUUAGGGCAUUUAAAUCCGUAAUUGUUUAAUUGUCUUGAAUUAGUGACAACUGGCAUGAUUAGAUUUGUGUCAAAGGGAUACGCAGGCUAAUUUGAAAUAACCCUGGUAGUGUGUUAUUUGGUUAGAAUAGGGCUCCUCUAAUACGUAAGGCAAUUGGGGAAUUAAAUCUUAUAGGUGUACUUAGGAUUAUUUCUCAAUUAGAGUAGUGAUUAACGGGCGUACCUUAAUCACCAAUACAAUAAGGAGGGGUUGACUGCCAUCACUUGUUUGAUAGUUAUAACCUAUUUAUUAAUAAAUAAUUGGAAUUGCUUGUGCAUCGAUGAUCAAUUAGGUGAACCAUUGCUGAAAUUAUUUCUUGGCUAGACCUUUAAUUAUUGUUACUCUAAUUUUAGUGAAUUGUCAUUUAAUUUCUAGUUAACUAUUUAUUUUUUUUUAUUCGAAUUUCUUUGAUUGUCAUCGUUUAUACAAAAACACCCCCUGUGUUAUUUUGGAUUUCUUAAGAGACAAAUAUCCUCAAUUUCUGAGAAUACGACCCUACUUGCCCUGUCUACGAAUUCAUAAUUAUUUGUGAAAAAAGUCAUUCCGUUCGAAUAUAUCGGAUCAAGCAAACUCUUCGGGAAUAGGGUGAAUCAAGUAACUAAUUGCACACCUAGAGUCCCUACUCUAGUACUUGGAAUCGGGUUUUGGUUACUUUAACUAGCAAUUAGGUUUAUUUUAUUAUUGCACAGGUCUCGACAACCAGUCAAUUUUUGGCGCCGCUGCCGGGGACUGUCAUUUAUUUGUUUCUUUUUUAGUUCAUUUUUGUUCUAAUUUUCUGGUAUUUUUCGAGUGUAUGCCUCGUUCUUCUAGUACAGGUGAAUUAAUUUUUGACCCUGAGCUAGAGAAGACUGGGCGCAGAAUAAGGAAAGAGACCAGACAACUCAAAGAAGACCACUCCAGUGCUGCAUCUCAGAGACUUGAGCCAGAAGUUGAACCAACAGAUUCGUUUGGCGAUACUUCGAGUGACUCAGAUCAAGAAGAAGUCACUAUGGCGAAUGCACGAACAUUAAGAGAGUUGACUGCUACUGAUUUAAAUCAGCAGCCUUUAUGCAUUACUUUCCCAAGUUUAAAUGAUAACACUCCAUUUGAAUUAAAAUCUGGUCUAAUUCAUCUUUUGCCAUAAUUCCAUGGUUUACCAGGUGAGGAGCCGUAUAAGCACUUGCAAGAGUUUGAUGUCGUUUGCAACAGCAUGAAGCCCCCGGGCAUUACAGAAGAGCAGAUAAAAAUGAGGGCAUUCUCCUUCUCCUUGAAGGACUCUGCAAAAGAUUGGCUGUACUCCUACCAUCAGGUAGUAUCACCACGUGGGACCAGCUGAAGAAAAAGUUCUUAGACAAGUAUUUUUCCGCGUCUCGAGCUGCAAGUCUAAGGAAGGAGAUCUGUGGUAACAAGCAGCACCCAGGGGAGUCGCUUUAUGAUUACUGGGAGCGAUUCAAGAAAUUAUGCAUCAAGUGCCCUUAGCACCAAAUAAGUGAGCAGUUGCUCAUACAAUAUUUUUACGAGAGGCUACUCUUCAGAGACAGGAGUAUAAUUGAUGCUGCGAAUGGAGGGGCACUGGUGAACAAGACCCUUCGAGCAGCGUGUGAGCUAAUCGAAGAAAUGGCGGAGAAUUCGCAGCAAUUUGGUACGAAGGAGGAUGUCCCGAUACACAAGGUGAAUGAGGUAGAGACAUCCUCUAUCCAGCAGCAGCUGACUAAGUUGACUUCUUUUGUUAGACAACUGGUUGUAGGAAAUGCAUCUUAGACCAAGGUAUGCGGGAUUUGCACUGGUAUGGGUCAUUCUACGGAGAUGUGUCCAAUGAUUCAAGAGGAAAGUGUAGAGCAACUAAACAUGGCUGGUCACGCGCCCGCACCAAGAAAGCCCUACGACCCAUAUUCAAGUACCUACAACCCCAGUUGGAGGGACCAUCCCAACCUCAACUAUGCAGGGAACAGGCAGUCUAACUUUGUGCCAAAUAAACAACAAGAGUACCAGCAGCAGUACCAACCCCGACCACCUCCGCCACCGAACUCUAGUCUAUAUUUGAAGGAGAUGAUGAAACAACUGAUGGCUACCACCGCGCAACAUCAACAAAAGACGGACUCCGAACUACAUAAUAUAAGAAAUCAAAUGAGCCAGAUGCAAUCCAUUCAAAAUCAGAUGAAUCAAAUGGCCAUAACAAUCAACCGUUUGGAGUCCCAAGUCCAAGGUAAAUUGCCGUCUCAGCUUGAAUUGAACCCGAAGAACGUAAGCGUGAUGACCCUAAGGAGCGGGAAGGAAAUUCAGGGGUCUGAACCUACGAUUCCAAAGGACAAGGAUGAGGAAAAGAUCGAAAAUGAUCUUGAAAAGGAGGACAGCAAUGACACAAAUCCAAAGAUACUCCCGGACUCAGUCAUUACAGUUAAGACUAACCCACCUCCCUUUCCUAGCAGACUGGAGAAACUAAGAAAGCAAGACAAUGAGAAGGAGAUCUUGGAGGUAUUUCGCAAGAUAGAGAUCAAUAUCCCCCUGUUAGAUGCAAUUAAACAGGUGCCGAAGUACGCAAAGUUUUUGAGGGACUUGUGCGUCAAUCGAAGGAGGCUGAGGGAAGAUGAAAGAGUCAUUGUUGGAGAGAAUGUGUUAGCGGUCUUACGGAGAAAACUCUCACCGAAGUGUGGAGACUUAGGUAUAUUUACUAUCCCCUGUAGGAUAGACAACACUUUGAUUAGGAAGGCCAUGUUAGACCUAGGAGCAUCGAUCAAUGUAAUGUCAAAAUCUAUCUAUGCUUCCCUAAACCUAGAUCCAUUAAAAGAAACUGGAUAAUCAUUCAAUUAGCUGAUCGAACUAAUGCAUAUCCUGAUGGGUUGGUUGAAAAUGUGUUGGUUAAAAUUAAUGAUUUAGUAUUCUCAACUGACUUUUAUGUACUUGACAUGGAUGAUGAUCACUCACCCGAUCCCUCACCCUUGCCAUUAGAUAGACCCUUUUUUAGUACAGCAGAAACAAAAAUUGAUGUUAAUAAGGGUACCUUGUCCAUGAAAUUUGAUGAAAAAAUUGUGCAUUUUAAUAUUUUUGAUACUAUGAAAUACCCCUCAAACUCCAAUUUUAGCUCUGUUUUCUCUGUAAGUGCCAUUGACACUGCGGUGCAGGAAGUAUUUGAAACUGUUGGCAGGGAUGAGUUGGAGGUUGUUUUAACUAAGCACCUCGAGUUGGAGACAACUCUUGAGGUGGAGUGGAGUGAAGAUUUGAAAUGUACAAUAGGAGCAUUACACUCGUUGCCAACCACAACGAAAGGUAUGAAGUUUCACCUAUUUUCAUUCCUGAACCUCACCGAAGGGUAUUACCAUCUGUGAUGCAGGCACCUGUGUUGGAGUUAAACCUCCUGCCGUAGCACUCGAAAUAUGCGUAUUUGGGUGACAACAAAACACUCCCGGUGAUUAUAUCAACUGCACUCUCGGAAACCCAGGAGGAGAAGCUAAUCCGAGUCCUUAGAGAGCAUAAAGAUGCGAUGGGAUGGACCAUCGGUGACAUCAAAGGGAUCAGCCCCUCCAUCUGUAUGCACCGGAUUAGGCUGGAAGAGGAUGCCAAACCCGUACGACAAGCCCAAAGGAGGCUCAACCCCCUCAUGAUGGAAGUGGUGAAGAAAGAAAUUUUGAAAUUGCUAGAUGUGGGGAUCAUCUUCGCGAUAUCGGAUAGCCCAUGGGUGAGCCCGGUCCAGGUAGUUCCAAAGAAAGCAGGAGUGACAGUGGAGGCUAACCAAACGGAUGAGUUCGUACCAGUGCGCAAACCCAUUGGAUGGAGGCAGUGUAUUGACUACCGUAUGCUGAACGCCGUCACCAAAAAGGACCAUUUUCCUCUUCCUUUCAUUGACCAAAUGGUUGAGCGUUUAGCUUGCCGGGCUUAUUAUUGUUUUCUGGAUGGAUUUUCAGGGUAUUUUCAGAUUGCCAUCGCACCGGAGGAUCAAGAAAAGACGACCUUCACGUGCCCAUUCAGAACUUUUGCUUCUAGACAGAUGCCAUUCGAGUUGUACAAUGCACCUGUAACAUUCCAAAGAUGUAUGGUAAGUAUUUUUUCUGAAUAUGUUGAGAAAAUCAUUGAGAUUUUCAUGGACGAUUUCAGCGUAUACGGUGAUAGCUUCGAUACUUGUCUAGAUAACCUGAAACUGAUUCUGUUGAGGUGUAUAGAGACUAAUCUCAUGCUUAACUGGAAAAAAUAUCAUUUUAUGGUUUAACAUGGGAUAGUCCUGGGUCAUAUUGUGUCUUCUAAAGGUAUCGAGGUUGACAGGGUGAAAAUAGAUGUUAUAUUUGCUUUACCUUACUCCGCGAGUAUGCUGGAAGUGUGCUCUUUUCUUGGACAUACAGGAUUUUACCGAAAGUUCAUCAAGGAUUUUUCGAAAAUUGGAGCCCCGUUGUUCCAGUUUUUACAAAAAGAUGUGGCCUUCAAAUUCGAUAACAAAUGUGAGAGAGCUUUCGACAAGUUGAAGGAGUUAUUGACCUCGCCACCGAUCAUUCAACCCCCUGACUGGAGUUUGCCAUUUGAGAUCAUGUGCGAUACCAGUGAUCAUGCUGUAGGGGCUGUAUUAGGAUAAAAAGUAGGAAAGACAGCUCGCGUCAUCUAUUAUGCAUCCCGAGUCUUGAAUGGGGCUCAACUGAAUUAUUCAACCACUGAGAAGGAGCUACUUGUGGUCAUUUUUGUUUUAGAAAAAUUCAGGUCAUAUUUGUUAGGUGCUAAAAUUAUUAUAUUUUAUGAUCAUGCAGCGUUAAGGUACCUAAUGACCAAGAAAGAUGCAAAAUCGAGGCUCAUAAGGUGGAUAUUGCUCCCACAGGAAUUUGACCUGGAGAUAAGGGAUAAAAAAGGCUCAGAGAAUCUAGUAGCCGACCAUUUGAGUCGCAUACCAGUUAGAGAGGAGAACGAGCCAUUGAAGGAUGCAUUCCCUGAAGAGCAUUUAUUUUCUCUAAAUUCUCAAUUACCUUGGUAUGCUAAUCUAAUUAACUACUUGGUGACUGGUAAUUUUCCUGUAAGUAGGCCAAAAUCGAAGAGAGAUAAAUUGAAGAGCGACGCCAAAUAUUUCAUCUUGGAUGAUCCAUACUUGUGGAAGAGAUGUGCUGACCAAGUGAUGAAACGAUAUGUAAGCAAAACUGAAUUUCAAUCGAUUUUAACUUAUUGUCAUACUUUUGCUUGUGGAGGUCAUUUUAGACCUAAGAGAACUGCUCAUAAGGUAUUAGAAAGUGGGUUUUAUUGGUCUUCUUUGUUUAAAGAUGCGUAUGUGUUUUGUAAGUCCUGUGAUCGAUGUCAAAGGAUAAGUAAUAUAACUCGUAGAGAUCAUAUGCCCCAAGUCCCAUUAAUUUUUGAUGUUUGGGGUAUCGAUUUUAUGGGGCCUUUUCCUACUUCAUUUGGGUUUAUAUAUAUUUUUUUGGCAGUCGAUUAUGUGUCUAAAUGGGUGGAGGCUAAGGCCACCCGAACUAAUGAUUCGAAAGUGGUUGCAGAUUUUAUCAGGUCUAAUAUUUUUGUGUGUUUUGGGAUACCAAGAGCCAUUGUUAGUGACAGGGGGACGCACAUCUGCAACAAAACUAUAGCCGGGCUAUUUCGCAAGUACGGUGUACUCCACAGGGUCUCAACGUCAUACCACCCUCAGACCAAUGGUCUAGCGGAGGUAUCGAAUUGGAAAAUUAAGUCCAUCUUGGAGAAAAUGGUGCGCCCCGAUAGGAAAGAUUGGAGUCAACGGUUGGAAGAUGCACUUUGAGCCUAUCGGACGAUGUACAAGACCCCCAUAGGGAUGUCACCGUACAGAUUGGUAUUUGGGAAGCCGUGUCACCUUCCAGUGGAGUUUGAGCACAAGAUUUUUUGGGCAAUAAAAUAGUGUAACAUGAAUCUAGAAAAGGCCGGUGCUCAACGAAAAUUGGAUUUGCAAGAAUUGGAGGAGAUUUGGAACGAAGCGUACGAGAAUGCAUUAAUUUACAAGGAGAGAAGCGGGGGCAUUUUAUGAUCAACAAAUCUCUAGGAAAACCUUUGAAGUUGGUCAGAAGGUCCUCCUGUACCAAUCCAGGCUUAAACUCUUCGCAGGUAAACUACGUUCCCGUUGGAUUGGACCUUUUAUUGCUACUCAUUUCUUUCCUUAUGGUGCAGUUGAAAUCUAGAGUGUUAAGACAGACAAUAAGUUUGUGGUGAAUGGACACCGUCUCAAGCAUUAUUACGAAGGUUUUCCAAGUGGAGAAGUGGAGACGAUAAGUCUAGAUGCACCGUCGUGUCUCAAUUAUUGACACCUUGCCUUGUCUAGCCAAAGAUAUUAAAGAAAGACUCUCAUUGGGAGGCAACCCAAUUUCUUUUUAUUGUUUGUUUGGUUUUGUGUGAUAGUUUAAAUCUGUUUUCCUUGAAUUUGACUGAUUUCGAGUUUCAAUUUUCGUUUUUGAUGAUUUGUAGGUGUCUCUUUGACAUGAUGCGCCCGCGUCAAGUCGUAUGGAGAGCUCAUGAUCAGAAGGGUUCCUGCCCUCUUGAUGUGCCUACGUUACGUUCGCGGGAAAGACAAGUAUUCAAAGCUUGAGGACAGUUUUCGAUUUUCUAUUAUUCUCUAAUUUUGAAUUUUGAAAAUAGAUUUGGUUCAUAUUAAUAAUAUUCAACAAUAAAAAAAUAAAAAUAUAUAAAAAAAUAAAAAAUAUAAAGAAAUGGAAAAAUAUAAAAAAAAUUAAAUAAAUUUAAAAUAAUAAUAAUAAAUAAAUACAUUCGAAUUAAUUAAUUAAAUAAAAAAUUUUAAUAAAAAAAAUUCAAAAAAAUCUUUUUUAAUUAAUUAAUUUGAUUUUAAAAAAAACAAAUACUAUUUUGUUUUUCUUUUUCUCUUUACUUUUUCUUACUUUUCUUUCUUUUUUCUUUCUUUCUUCCUUCUUCUUUCUCUCUUCUUCUUUCUUUCUCCCCCCGCUGUUUCUUCCUUUCGUUCGAUCGAAAACCAUCGUGCGCCGGCCCACUCCGUCGUCGCCGUGCGGCGACCCCUCGUCUCUCUCUCUACUCGACCGACUCAUCGCGCCACCCAUCUCCUCCACCUCGCUCGCACGCCGCCGCAGCCACCUCUUCCUUCCGUAGCAAUGUGCGCCGCCAACGAUCUCGCAGACGCCACCAUUGCGCCAUCGCCGCUGCUAAAGCCCCGGUGCAGGCGCGACCCAAAAGCUUCUGCCAACCACCGCUGCUCCCUUGUGCGUGCGACUCCAGUCCAAGCCCGCGCGUCUCUCUCAGCUCUCACUCUCUCCUCAUGUCUCUCUCUCUCUCUUCGAUCCAUAGCCGACAGCUCCACCGACUCCUUGGUCGAACCACUGCUCGCUGCCCUCGCACGCCACCCCCUUUUUCCUCCACUCACCGCGCCACCCAUCUCCUCUGCCGUUAGCGCCCCACUGCCUCACUCUCACGCCCCGCACGCAGGACAUCAGUCACCACCACUUCCACUUUCUUUAUUUGGACUACAGUGGAGGUAAUUGAAGUUCGAUUUCAAAUUUCUGAUUUUAUUUGGUAUUGCUUGGCUUUGGCAGUCGUGGGGUUUGACCGUUUUGAGGGGUUUCAUUUACUGUGAUUUGCACCAGUGGUACUGGUUGGAAUUUUUUUCACUUGAAUUUGCUAAUUCUUUUGGGUUGGUUGAAAUUGUGCGAUUAACUGUCAAGUUGGAACCAUUUGUUGGGACUCUGGUUGAACCUUGCUUGCUUUUGACUGUUUAAUUUAGGAGUCACUAUUGUGAUUUCGGGAGGGUAUAGACUUCACUGUUGCCCUGUUGGGAGUUGGUUUGCCCAAUGUUAAUAUUGGUGGCAUUCAACUGCUUUGUCGGGUGGAAGUGAGUUCUAUGGCAUCAUUAGGGUUAUCACUGGUAUUGGUUGGCCAUUUGAGAUAUUUUUUUUCAUUUACUGCGAUUUGCGACUAGUGGUACUGGUUGACAUAUUUUCCCUUGCAUUUGUUAACUCUAUGUGGUUGGGUAUUUGAUUGACUACCAAGGGCUUGUCACUGUAUUGUUCUUGCUAAACUUCUGGACUGCUAUUGCUAGAUUUAGCAUAUUGUUGGGGACAUUUACUAAAAUUUUGGGUAGACCGUGUUUGUUUUUGACUGUUGAAUUGGGAUCACUGGUGACUACUGAAUUGCAUUUGUUGGGUCCUAUAAUUGUUGGCAUUUUUAUAUCUUAUUGAUUUGAGUUGACUGUUUGCGGCCAUGGUGAGACCCAAAUCAUCUUCUAGAUCUAGAGCCUCUCAGUCUCAGUCUCAACCCUAACCCUCCAUUCCAGUCAAUGCCCCUAUCAACCAAACUUCCGCUUCCGGUGUUCGAACCCGGUUAGGCAGGGGGAGAGGUGCCCACGUGGCCUCCGCUGCUCACCUCGGAGGGCAUUUAGAGUUCACUAGACCCGCCGAUCAGUGGCGCUAUGCUAAAGCCUGUGAGCGGCGUAUUAUUCCGUGCAAGUGCUCGGAUGCCUUGAGUAUGGCUUUUCUGGGUAUCCAGGAGGAGGUUGAGCACAUGUACACCGCCAUUGGAUGACACCCCUAUCUCGCUGUCUUCCAACCCGUCUUUGUCGAGUUGACUAGGGAGUUUUACUCCACUUUUGAGUUUGAAUUACCUGCGAGGUAUACUGUUGAGACUCCCAAUGUCAUCCAUUUCCGUCUCAUAGGUCAGGAAUUCAAUUUCUCCAUUACCUAGUUUAAUCUGGCUUUCGGUUUCAUCACUCGGGAGUACGCUGAGAUUAGGGAAUACGCCGAGAGUGCCUGUGAUUAUGUGGAGCCAUUUCUUUCCGCCUACCACGAUGUGUGGUGGGACAUGUCUGUUGACAAGUAGCGUUAUGACCCGUCUAGAUCUAGGAGCUCCUUUCUCGAGAACCCGAGUGCUCGGUAUAUUCAGCGACUUUUAGCAUACAGCUACUUGGGUAUAAAGGACAGCUCCAGUAUAAUCUCUCGCCGGAGCUCUUCUUCCUCUGGUGCAUGAAAAAUGGUUUCAAGGUCAACUUGGGGUGUUGGUUGGCCGCACAGUUCAAGACCGUUUUGGCAAAGAAGAACAAACCCCUGAUGCUCAGGUCCUACAUCACACACCUGGCAGUCCAGCUAGGAGUUCUCAAUCUACAGGAUCACGACCUUCAUUUGGCCUGCGACAUGGAAUUUCUGAAUGCUGAACGCUGAAAGAGGAUGGGAGUUCUGGAGCAUGUCGAUGGUGCCUACCGAUUUAUUCCCCCGGGACCACCCCGCGCCCUACCUCACUCUUCGUUUACCAGUUCGGCCCCGGUUGGCGAUGAGGCCAGCCCGUCUACCUCCGCUCCGCCUCCUCCAUCCCCAGGAACUGCUGACUGGAAUCAACUUCGGACUCAAGUUCAAAAUUUGGAGGCUCGGAUGACCAACAUCGAUGCUAACGUGCAUAGCAUGGCGCAGAAUUUGGUAGCUCUCAUGCAUCAUGCGAGUCUUACGCCUUAAUUUGGUUACCACUUACCACUUUGACCCGACUUUAGGGAAGUUUUGUUGCCCUCUCUCCUACUUUUGAUGUUUGUUUGCUACAUUGAGGGCAAUGUAUCGUUUAGGUAUGGGGGAAUCAGUUGUGGUGCUAGUUUUUCUAGUUUUUAGUUUUUAGAUGUUUUUCCUUUAUUUUUAGUUUGUUAUUUGUUCAUUUUCGUUCAGUCUUUUUCUUUCUUUCUAGUGAUGAGCUCUCAUGUGAAUGCCAAAGUUUGAUGUUGGAUUGUUGACUCUAAAUCUACUCUUGCCAAGUUUUAAUAAUAAAGGUGUAUUGAGUUAAUGUGGUUGAGUCCAAAACAUAUCUUUGGUGAAUAUCGGUGAUUGUUUGGCUCUUUUGAUUUUUUUGUUAACUUUUCUAGGCAUAGGAAAUGACUGUUGGCAUUUUAAUGUGAAUUGGUCCAAUAUUGACUCUAGUUCUCCAUGUUUGGCAAUAAUGAGGCUAGUUGCAUCUAUUUUUGUUUUUAGCAGUGUUAUUUUGCGUUAUUGUGUUAUUUGGCUGUGAAUAAGCUUGACUGUACUCCGCUAUUAGUUACUAUUGAGUAACCGGGGAUCUUCACCUAAAAGUGUCGAUUCUCGCGUCAAAAAGUAGUAAUUUCUAUGAGUACGUGGUUGUAUAACGAUAAGAGCUGAGUAAUCGGGCUCCUUCAUCUGAAAAUAUUGGAAUUCGCGUCAAAGGCUCCAAUGGCUAGAGACUAAGUCUUUUGUGCUAUCUUAAAAAAAAAAGAAAAAAAAUAAAUAAUAGAAAACGUGGAAAGAAAAGUGUAGGUUGUGUUAGUGUGUGAUAGAGGUCAGCUUGCCGAUUUAUGGAUUUAAUGUGGAGAUUUUGGUUAAUAUUUAGACUAUUUGCUGAUAAAUGUUGUGCGCCAUUCCUUUUUCUUAGAUUAGUUAACUUGGAAUUGAAGGAGUUUGUGGUUUAGAAGCUAACCGAGGUGAUGUUUCUCGGAUUUUGAUCACUGAUACUUGAUAUAUGAUUUUCUCUUGGUAUCUUGGCAAUAUGGUGGAUAGAGCAAUAGUCAUUGUCAAAUAUUGGUAUUUGUUUGCUGUUCUCAUGCUUGAGGACAAACAUGGUUUAGGUGUGGGGGGAAUUGAUAGGUUGCGAUUUUAUCAUUUAUUUUAUUAUUAAUUGUUCCUAUUACCUGACCCGCUGUGGAUUAAUUAUUAGAUUCUACUCACUUUUCGUAAUUUACAUUUACUUCAGGGAGUAGAAUGAAAAUAUCACAACCAAUGCCAAUUUGACAGUCAUCGGGAAAGGGUUCAAAUAGCAGGCAUUCAGGGGCAUUUUUGGAAUAAGGGGAUGCAAGCCCUUUUGGUAAUUUAGCCGAAGACAGUAAGAAAAAAAAGAGGAAGCUGGAGUCUUCGGUUUGGAGGCUGGGCCGCCACACAGUGGAUGAGAGCAGGCAUUAGAUAGAAACUAGAAAUUGCAGAGGAUUAGCACUACUUUGGGAGUUUUUUUAGCUUUUGAUUUUUCCUUCGGUGCUUUUGAGUAGUACUUCUCCUGCGCAUGUCAGGAGCAAUUAGGAGAGCUUUGACUUUUCUUCCUUUUAGCUCUUAGUAAUUUCUUUUCCUUCUUCGUAUGUCAUCUGAAGUGAAACAAGGGAUCAUCUUUUGUAACUUUGCUAUCUUUUCUUGAUUGGAACGAAUUGAAUUCUCCAAAUUUCUGAGACAAUGGCCGCUGCUUUCUCUUCAAUUUUGCGUGGGUUUUUCGCAUAAAACAUGAACUAAUUUCCUCACUCUAGUCAAGGAACAACGGAGGCUUUGGUUCGCCUAAAAAUUGUGAGAUCGAUUUAAUUUUAUCUUUCUCUUUUAUUUAUUGGUCUUCGCACAUUCCCUGGUUACAGUGCUUCUGAUUUUUCAAUUAAUUGUUUGUCUUGAAUUUGAAUAAUUAGUUAACUUGAUAAUCUAUUGUCAAUUAGGGCAUUUAAAUUCGUAAUUGUUUAAUUGUCUUGAAUUAGUGACAACUGACAUGAUUAGAUUUGUGUUGGGGGAUAUGCGGGCUAAUAUGAAAUAACCCUGGUAGUGUGUUAUUUUGUUAGAAUAGGGCUCCUCUAAUAUGUAAGACAAUUGGGGAAUUAAAUCUUAUAGGCGUACCUAGGAUUAUUUCUCAAUUAGAGCAGUGAUUAACGAGCGUACCUUAAUCACCGACACAGUAAGGAGGGGUUGACUGCCAUCGCUUGUUUGGUAGUUAUAACCUAUUUAUUAAUAAAUAAUUGGAAUUACUUGUGUAUCGAUGAUCAAUUAGGUGAACCAUUGCUGAAGUUAUUUCUUGACUGGACCUUUAAUUAUUGUUACUCUAAUUUUAGUGAAUUGUCAUUUAAUUUCUAGUUAGCUAUUUAUUUUUAUUUUUAUUCGAAUUUCUUUGAUUGUCAUCGUUUAUACAAAAACACCCCCUGUGUUACUUUGGAUUUUUUAAGAGAUAAAUAUCCUCAAUCCCUGAGGAUACGACCCUACUUGCUCUGUCUACGAAUUCAUAAUUAUUUGUGAAAAAAGCCAUUCCGUUUGGGUAUAUCGGAUCAAACAAACUCUUUGGGAACAGGGUGAAUCAAGUAACCCAUUGCACACCUAGAGUCCCUGCUCCAGUACUUGGAAUCGGGUUUUGGUUACUUUAACUGGCAAUUAGGUUUAUUUUAUUAUUACACAGGCCUCGACAACCUGUCAUGCAUCACAAUUUUCAUAUAAUAAUUCCUAUGAAUUUAAUAAAAUGGUAAAGUUUUAAUCAAUUUAUUUUAUGGGUCACAAGUAUAAAAAUUAAAGUGUAUCCAAGAAAACUCAUCCAUUAGGCCUAAAAUGAGGAAGAUGAGCCAGAUGCUUGAAGGAAUUGUGAAAGUUAUGGUACACCCUUGUCCGUCUCCUUUUUCCACUACGGGAUGAGUUUAGUUCAAUACUGCUUUGUGUCAUUUCAAUUGACGUCUGGGGAGAGUAUUUUUAUGCUGUUUUUACUUUCUUGGACUUUUUUUCUGCUUUUAUCCAGUGUAUGAGAUAUUCUUAGUGGGCAAACUUCCUGUUGGGAUGGUGGCAGCGCAUUUAUUGAAGUAAGAUGAGAUAAUAAUAAGCUUGUUUGCUUUUUGUGUAUCUACUAUAUUGUAUUGUGAAUGUGACAAGCACCUCAGACAAAUGAUUUUAGGAGUAACUGACUUAGUAACGUGUCUAAUUAUUAUUUGAAAAAGUCUAAAGUAGCGAUGGUAACGAAACUAUUUUUAUCUAAUAUAAUAAGUAAAAACACUUUUAGUGACCAUUUGAUUACAUAUUGGACUAGUUACCUAAAUAAGAUAAUAUUUAAAAUUUUGGUUAAUAAGUUUUACAUAAAAAAUAGCAAGUUAACUCGAUAAAUUAGUAACUUUUAUGUCACAAAAAGUAAAUUGGAAUAAAUAUAGAACUUACUUUUUUUGAAAUAAAUUACUACUCUAUAUCAGAAACUUACUUUUUGGAGAGUAAGUUUAGUUCAAAUAAUAAUAAGUUUUUAUAGAUUAAUAGUAAAUCUUAUUGAUAGAAAAGUGAAUUUGGUUGAUGGUCAAAACUAACUAGUUUGUGGUAUAAAUUUACUAUUUUACUUUAAAAACUUAUAUGAAACAAGUAUUAGGAAGUUUAUUUGAAAUAAUGCUAAGAUUUUUUUUAUUAAUGAUUGAAACUUAGUAUUAUAGUUAGUAAUUACUCGUAAUGUAAAUGUAUGAUUCACAAUUGUACGCAUCAUUUAUAACAUUGUGUGCGUAUCAUUUAUAAAUGUUAUAUGUUUUAAGCAUUUUAAAUAUAUUAUGAAAACUAUUUUUUUUGCACAUGACCUUAUAAAAUAUGUAAGAAUAAUUUGUCAUAUUAUAAAUUCUUAAUUAUUUUUGAAUUUGUGCUUUGCACAAUCAAAAUUGAGAAUCGGUGAAUGUGGUGCCGGUUAGAUGGAGCAACCCAGCUCCAGCAGUGGUGAAGUUAAAUACAGAUGGAUGCUCAAGGGGCAACCCUGGGAGGAGUGGAGGGGGGGUCUGAUUAGGGAUAGGAAUGGGUAGGUCAUAUUAGCAUUUUCCUGUUGUUGGGGAGAUGACUAGUUUGCAAGAGGAAGUGAAAGCGCUACUACACGGGGUGUGGUUGGGUAUAGCUCGAGGACUGGCCAAUGUACACUUGGAGUCUGACUCGUUGGUCCUUGUCCAGAUCAUUCAGGGAAGAGUCAAGUGUUCGUGGGUUGUGCAGCGGGACGUACAAGAAGUGCUGCAGUAUAGCCGCAUUACAAAGAGAUUUCACAUUGCUUGCGAGAAGCGAAUAAACCUGCGGAUAGACUAUCGAAGCUUGGAGCUGAUUCGGGGGAGUCGGUAGUUUACGACUCCUUUGUUGAUCUUCCCCGCUUGGUUAGAGGAGACGUUACUUUGGAUAGGUGGGGUUGCCCUAGUUUCCGUAGGGGUAGAUAUAAAGGAUAGGUUGGGUUACUUGUUCAGGCAUGCUGGGGAUGCUGUCUCCCUCUAUGUACUUUCGAUUCUUUAUAAUAAUAAAAUAAAUUGAUUAAAAAAAAAUGUUGUCUCCAAAAAAAAAAAAAAAGAAUUUGUGAAAGGUUAGAAAGUUUGGAUUACAAUAACAACAAAUAUUUCGAGUUAUAUAUAGAAUUGCACUUAUCUAUACAUCACAAUUUCCAUAUAUUAAUACCUAUGAAUAUAAUAAAAUGGUAAAGUUUUAAUAAAUUUAUUUUUUUUGGGUCACAACUAUAAAAAUUAAAGUUGUAUUACAAUUACAACAAAUCUUUCGAGUUGUAUACAAAAUAGCACUUACUUAUGCACCACAAUUUUCAUAUAUUAAUUGCUAUGAAUUUAAUAAAAUGGUAAAGUUUUAAUUAAUUUAUUUUAUGGGUCACAAGUAUAAAAAUUAAAGUGUAUGCAAGAAAACUCAUCGCUUUGGCCUAAAAUGAGGAAGGUGAGCCUGAUGCUUGAAGGAAUUGUGGAAGUUAUGGUACCCCCUUGUCCGUCUCCUUUUUCCACUACGGGAUGAGUUUAGUUCAAUACUGCUUUGUGUCAUUUCAAUUGAUGUCUGGGGAGAGUAUUUUUAUGCUGUUUUUAUUUUCUUGGAUUUUUUUUCUGCUUUUAUCCAGUGUAUGAGAUUUUCUUAGUGGGCAAACUUCCUGUUGGGAUGGUGGCAGCGCAUUUAUUGAAGUAGGAUGAGAUAAUAAUAAGCUUGUUUGCCGUCUGUGUAUCUAUUAUAUUGUAUUGUGAAUGUCACAAGCACCUCAGACAAAUGAUUUUAGGAGCAACUGACUUAAUAACGUGUCUAAUUAUUAUUCUUUAGAGAUAAUUUUUGAGACCUUCCUUGAGGUUUCUAGCAAUUGUAAAGAGCGCCCCUCAAGUUCUAAAAAUUACACCUACCUCCCUUACUUUUAAGAUUUAUAUAAUAAUAUAGUCCCAAUAGUCUAUACUUUUUCACAAAUAUCCUAAAAUACCCUUCUUCUAGAUAACAAGACAAAACAAAAUAAGAUUUUAAUCUUUAAUUUCUCAUACGGGACAUACUCACUAAAGUAAAUAGAGUCCAGCGACUCCAACUCAUCUCAAAAUCCAUUACUUGUUUAUUCUUAUCCAAUGCAACUCUUUACCACUACUACCAAUACUAAACCAAGUAAUGUCCCCAUGCCCCCAAAAGCAUAAUUCAUUAUUGCUCUAGCACACCUAGAAAUAGAGACAAAAUUCUACUUUCAUAAUAAAAUCACAAUCAAUAGAUGGAAAUAAAAGAGAGAACUAAUGAGUUUUUUUAAUUCCUAGACUUUUUUACUUAACAAACAUAAUAGUCGCUUCUUUAUCUUCCAACUCUCAAUUUCAUUUUUUUCCCUAUAUCACUACCACCUUUUCAUCUUCCCCUAGUUUAAUAAUAAAAUUCACAGUCUGCAUGUUAUUAAUUUGGUAACUUCAAUUGGCUAACAUUUGUAAUGAGUAAAAAUAUUGAAAUAAAAAAAAAGAAAGCGUCUAAAAUUUUUAUAGUAAAAAAGAGGCAGGAAGACAAAAAAAUACAGAUAAAUUUUGGAAAUAAUAAAAAAUUGAUAAUUGUGUGGUUGGUAACAAUGAAGCGUGAUAUUUGGUGAGAAGAGAGAAGCGCGAUAUUUGGUAACAAGAGAGAGAGAGAGGGAAGGAGUGAGAAAGGAAGAAAUAAAAAUUAGGAAAUGGAUGGAAAUUGUUCUUUAAGAUUAAUAAAUGACAAGUAGAAUAAUAAGAAGUAUUUUAUGGCUUUAGAUGUCGCUUUAUGAAUUAACUAUUAAAUGAAGAAUAUUUUAGUCAUUUGAUUGGACCAAAAGAGGUCUAUGUAAUUAUUGAAAUCUCGGGAGUUGAGUGAAAUUAUAAAAAACGUCAAGGAAGGUUUCUAAAAUUAUCCCUAUUCUUUAUUGCCCAAGCUUCGGGUUACGCUGCAGCAUCUGGGACUUUGUGAAACCGCGUGGGUGUCAAUAAAAUUGAGAGUGGAUGCGCCUAAAAUUUUGGGCGAUAAAGAAUGAUACAUUGCGUGGUAGAAUAGGUUUUCUUACACAUUAAAGUACAAAUCAUCUUAACGGCCUUUUAAUGAAUCAUAUAAAAUUAUGAUUAAAUUAUGAUGGCACUUGAAAUAUGGUUUUUUAACACAUUACCACCUUAACCACAAGCACGUAUCUCACUUUUGUUUCUAGUUCUAGUUUUUCAUGCAUGCAAACGAUCAAUGCUAAUGAUCUUCAAUGCUUGUGAUUGUUAGGGUAUCAGGCCAAUUAUUUGAAAAGGAAAAAAACCAACAAUUUAAUAGAAAACAAAAUCUAACACGAAUGAUGAACAACACACAAGAAUUAACGUGGUUCGGCUUAAUCACCAAACCUACGUCCACGGAGAGAAAACUUGUUCUUACUAUGAGAGAAAAAACACCACAAGAUUACAACUUGAUUCCCAAGCCCCAACUCUUGUAUAACCCUCUCACCCACUAAGAACUCUCUCACUCCUUUCUUGUGUGUUUGUAGUAUGCCAAUCUACCUAUUUAUAGAGAACAUUACUUGGCCAAAAACCAAAUAACAAUUAGAAACCAAUACUAAUUCCUAAACUCAUAUAGAGUAGGAAAUAACAUCUAAUUCUAAACCAAAUAGGACUUUACUUGACUACUAUUUCAAGUAACUAAAAUCUAAGUAGGAAACUAGUUACUUUCCACACCAAAAUAAGAAUUCUACCUAAAAGAAAUUAAGCCAAUUUCCUAACAGUGAUGAUAAUAUUUUUCUCUUUUGAAAAGAAUGAUAUAUUGUCGUAAUGAUCUGUGCAUACAACUCAUCUUCUUCUUCCUAUUUCUCUUCCCAAUUUCGGCUUUGGCUCAGAAAAGGGUAUUGUCCCUGUGGGCAGCACUUUAACUGCAGGGGAAAAAAUCUGCUGGUCCUUGGCUUUCACCUUCUGGCUAUAAUUUUUAAUGGCUCUUUGAGUUACAUCUUAUGUCAAAACACAAAUAUAACUUUCAUCUUGCACUAUGCAUAAAUCUUUAACGGGGUGCUUGUAAAUGGAAAAAAGAAUAUUGAUAGUUUUGUCUUUUCACAUUACCACUGUCGUAAAUGGGAGUGCCAACAUCAAUUCCGUUUGAGUUCUUUCUAACAAUUGGCCUCAAUCAUCUCAGGGUUGUAUAUGUGCGGGUCCUUGUUUUUUGUUGUUUUGUUAUUUUUCUCCCUUUCAGCCUGUUUGAAAGAGAGAAAAAAUCACUAGAACCGAUAAGGAAAACCAGGAUAUCUCUUCUAAUUAUUGAGACGAUCAAGACUUCUAUACAAUAAUAAUCAAGGCUGUCUGUACAUGGACUACCCUUCCACCAACUCUGUUACAGUUUUGUAGUCAUUAGAUUCUCUAUUAAAUAACUAACGAUGUUGAGUUUUUCACUCAAAAAAAUUAGGACUUAGAGAUCAAAUUACCAUUCACUGAAGUGUGGUUUAGAUCGUAACACCUUUACGGUUCUCAUAUAGCCACUUUAGCCGAGGUAGUUAUCAAAUCAUGGCAAUUUUUUGAAAGAAGUUCCCAAAUAGAGACAAUUUUGAAAUAAUGUAUUUAGCAAAUGUAUAUUUAAAAAUACAGAUUCAUUGAAUGUGUUGUUUAACAAAUAAAGGAUUAACUUUUUAUGCACUGAUAAUAUAGUGAUUUUUUUGUACUAGCAACAUUGGAUGUAUGCCGCCACAUGCACAUGAUUUAAAUUUAAAUUUGAAUUAAUGUUAUGUGGCAUAAUCUAAAUUUAUUUAUGUAAAAAAAAUCUUUACACAGACAGUGUAUAAAAAAAUUAUCCAAAAAUAAAUGUCUAUACAAAUAAAAGAACCCGUGUGUAUGCUUCCUUUUAGGAAACGUCGCAAUUAUUAGAUUCCUUUUUACCUUCUGCAAAAGUUUCACAAAACAUCACUAUUAAAAAAAAUUUCGAAAAAAUUCUCACUCUUUGGCAAUUUAUUCUACUUUAAUCCAUCAAUGUGUAGUAAAGUUGGACCAUUAAAUAUUCUAUUAGUAUGGACUUUAUAAAGGGUAAGUUGACUAUAUCACAUUUCUUCUCUUUUUUGCAUUUUUACUCUUCUUUCUUUACCCUUCGUUACUUUUGCCAUUUCUUUUUCCUUCUAAUCUCCUUUCUUCCUUUUCUUUUUGCUUGCCUAACAAGAAAAAUACUCUUUAAAAUAAGUGUUCAAAAAAUGACGUCCAUUUAGGUCAUCAAAAUGAAGUCUAUCAUUCUAAUUCCAUUUAAUUUUGAGUGAAGACAAUUAGGCAGCCUACAAAUAAAGAAGACCAUUUCGUCUGAAGUCAUCCCCAAUAUCAACGCCAUGAGAUUAUCUCUUUUUAAGUCAACCACAGUAUUGUUGGCGGAAGCUAGGAAUAGUGAAUCAAUGCGCUGGCAACAGUCCGAUAUUUCUAAUUCCAAUACGCAUAUCACAACUUAAUAUUUUCUUUAGGAUGAAAUAUAAUAUGGGAUACAUUCUAUUUGUAAUGUGGAAAAUUGAAAAGUAUAACAAAGUUUAAUUGUCAAAGUCAUCUUAACGCACAAUGGUAUUUUGGUACUUCACUUAUUCUUAAGGCGCGUUUCCUUUUGUUUUACAAAUUUGAGCGGAGACUUUUCUACGCGGCUGGUCCCUCAAAUUGACGUAGAUUCGGAUGCACUGAAUUGGUCGCCUCGGAAGUUGCGCCACAAAUUAACGCACGUUGGUAUUUUGGUGCUUCACUUAUUCUUAAGGCGUGUUUCCUUAUUAUCAAAAAAAAAAAAGGCGUGUUUCCUUUUGUUUUACAAAUUUGAGCGGAGACUUUUCUACGAGGCUGGUCCAUCAAAUUGACGUGGAUUCGGAUGCACUGAAUUGUCGCCUCGGAAGUUGCGCCACAAAUUGCUGCAUGUGUAUAUGUUACUGAGUAAAUUUUAUACACACGGAUGAUAUACACACUAUCAUGAUAGAUAAAAUUUAGAUUUAAAAUUUAAAUUCAAUAUAUGUGGCAUUUAUCUAAAUAUGAUAAUAUAUAUACUGUUAAUGUAUAUAAAAGAUUAAUUUUCUCUUAUUUGUGCUGAAAGGUUAAAAAUUUUGGGGUGAAUUAUUAGUUACUCCUUAUAGUUGUACAUAUUAUCAUAUGACUCCUUAACAUUUUAAAAUAUUAACAUAACUACCUUGUAGUUUAUGUGAAAUGGAAAAUGGAUGGAAAGCAACUUAGGUUGUGGCAAUUGAGCUACACGAGCUCUAGAAAUAUGUACUUUGAUAUUAUAAUAUCCACUGAACCUCCUUGUUGUUGUUUUUAUAUAUAUAUCCAUAUACAUCUAUAUAAUAAAAAUUGUUAACCCCUAUUACAUUCAGUACUUAUGUAGGGACAAUAUUCUCAUCACAAUUAAUCAGAAUAUGAUUUUGUAUAUAUCCAUAUACAUCUACAUAAUACAAGCCGUUAGCCCAUAUUACAUUUAGUGCUUAAGUAAGAACAAUAUUAUCAUUUCAAUUAAUGACAUUAUGGAGGUUACUUUCUAUCAAAAUUCUAUUUUACAUAAACCUAAAACAUUUUUAUGUGGAUAUUUUAAGGAAAGAGUCGAAUGAUAAUAGAGGAAACCACAAGUGGGUACUUAGUAAUUUACCUGAAACUUGUUUUUCUUGGUUGCUUCUUCUAAAGUAGAUGCUUCUUCCUAGUAGUGGAGUCAGGACUUUUUUUUCGGGGGAUACAAUAUUAAUUUUAGAUUAAACUUACAAGUGUUUAUUAAAGUUUGACAGGCAUGUACCAAUUUAUUCAAUGUUACAAGAACAAAUCAAAAUGUUGUUCAUAUAGCUUGUUAUAAUGUUAUUUACUAUGUGCAAUAGUUUUCAGGUCACCUAACGGCAUAAAAUUAUAGUUAAUGUUACGACUAAAACUAUAAGAUGUACAUUCAAAUAUAUAAUAGCGAAAUAGCAUUCACAAUUAAAUUAUUAAAUAAAUAUUUGGUUCUCAUGUAAUUCGUAUGGUUAGAGAUACAAAUGAAGUUCAGCUUUAAGUAAAUAAUAUUUAGUAGAAAGAAAAUAACAAUAGCAUAAUAUUUUAUUUCAAGUUUGCAUUUUAGAAAUAGUAAGGCAACUAUAAAAUAUUUCAACACCUUUGGAAGGCAAUCAUGGGGCUAGAUAGAAUAUUUUGAAAAAUCAUGAGGGGCCAAGAUUGAGGCAACAUUAAAAAGGUCAAAUUUUUAAUAGGCUAUUCAAUAGUUUUCAAAAAUUUGAGGGGUUGCCACUACACCCCCACAAGUGAAUGUAGCCCUGCCCCUACUUCUUCAUCCACUUGACAUCUCACUUGAGUAGGCGAAUUUCUCAUAAUAAUGUCAAAACGAGGAAGUAUCACAAAAGUUGUGUUAGAUGGGGUUGGGUUCCAAUUUAAGGAGUCGCCGCAAAUGGUAAAAGAGGCUUCAUUAAAAAAUUGUUUUAAAUUUAAUUUUUUUUUGCUGAGGAAGUAAAAGGAGGGAUUUUUUUUUUUUUUGUGAAAAGGCUUUGCCGCUCAUUUGAGGUGCGACGAAGCCUUUUUUUUAAAGAGAUUGCCGCUGAUUUGAAGUGCUGCGAUCCUUUAAAUUUUUUUUUAAUUCCUAAAACGGAAUCGCACAAACCCUAACCCUAAAACCUUAAUCCCUAAACCCUAAUGUGUAAGCCUUAAAAUCCUAAUCCCUAAACCCUAAUACGUAAACCCUAAAACCCUAAUACAUAAACCCAAACUCUGAAAGCCUAAAAAUUAAUUUACCUAAAAAAGUUGUGCUAAUUUCAUAAAUGGCCCCAAAAUUGUGCUAAUUUCCCUAAACCCUAAUCCUUAAACCCUAACACUAAAACUCUAAUAUGUAAACCAUAACCCUGAAAGCCUAAAAUUUAAUUUACCUGCAAAAAUUGUGCUAAUUUCAUAAACGGUGAUUAAUCAUCCUACACAAAUUCGUUAAGGUUCAAGUUGAAAAUACAAAAUUAAUUGAAAAUUAAAUAUGCCCAAGUCAUCCAUUUUUUUAUUUUUUUGGUUUUAAUGUUAAUGUAAAUAAUGAUAAAUAAUGUAGCAUUCAACUCAUUUAUGAAAUAACUUUAUAUUAUUGCUUGAACUUGUUCUGAAGUCUUUGUUCAGAACUAAAUUAGAGCCCAGUCUUUGUUCGUAAUAGUUGUCUGAAAUAUUAGUUCUUGGUUAGUACCUGAGUUUUAUUUUUUAUUUUUCUUGUUUUUGCUACUUGCAGAAUGUCUGUUUUCCUUUCUUCUUGGUUGAUUUUCUUUUUUGCGCACAUUAAUAUGCAAUCUGAUAACUUGUCUCAUAUACUAUCAAUUGGGGAAACAUUUUGUUUCUGAGUUGGAAACAGGUAAAAACACUCAAUGUUAAAGUAAAGAUUUGGAACAGACAUUGAACCUCAAUACAUAAUUUAUUUCAUGAACCUUUUAGAAUUUAUAUAGCUAUUGCCGCAUAUCAGAUGUACGGUUUUCAAAAAAAAAUUCAAAUCGCUGCAAAUCAGAUAUGCGGUUCAAAAAAAUUCAGAUUGCCGCGAAUUGAAUCUAUGGCAAUUUUCCAGCCAUUGAUGAAAUGGAUCAACGGCCCACAAAUUUCACCACAAAUUUAAUGUGCAGCAUUAAAAAAAAAAUUCAUUUGCCUCAAAUUUUGUGCGACAAUAGAAUUAAAAAAAAUGUUGCACCUUUAAAUCACGAUCAUUGAUCAAAUGUUAAUCAAUGGUCCAUCUACGCCUAAAAUAAAAUAUUCAGCUGAAAAUCUUACCUUAAAAAAUUCUUAAGCCGCUGAAAAAAAUUCCAAAAAUAAAUCAGAUUUAUUUUGCGCUGAUAUUGGUACCUGCGGCGACCCUUAUUUUAGACACAAACCCUACAUAACACUACAUUUGCGAUGAUUUCGUGUAUCAACAUUAUUCUGAGAAAUUUGUCCACUUGAGUACUUUUUGUCUUUUUAUUCUUUACCCUUUUUUUAUUCCUUACUCAUUGAAUAUGUCCUAACAUGUUGUUUAUUGUCUUUAAAUAAAAAUUUUGUAUCACAAAAUAUUCUUUUUUUUCAAACAUCUAAUAUGCCAAGAAUAUAAGUUGGCUUAUAAUUUGCCGCUAGCCUUUUUUUUUUGUUUAAAUACAUUAAAUUCCAUUGAGCUUUAUCUCCAUUUGUAGUUUAUCCCCCUGAAUUCAUUAGAUAAACACUUUGUCCUCUACUUGAUGUUUUAGAGAAAAAAAAAUACUUUUGGUAUAUUAUUUUGAUUUUUUUCAAUUCUUUAAUGCCACUAUGUCCUUCACUUUUCUAUUGGUAUUACUAAUUGUGCUUAUUAUAAUAUUUUAGUUUUCUUUAAGUUAUAAUUUUCAUUCUUAUUUUAGUUUAUUUUAUUUUAUUUAUUUAUUUACACUAUCGGGAAAUUCAUGACAAAUUAUAUAGCAUGAGAAAAUAUUAUAUGCCUGUCAUAAUCAAGAGCAUAUAUAACAAUCAAUUUAACUAUGUGAACAUACAUUAGUAAACUAGAACUUUUAAUACAUAAAAGUAUGUAUUAGCUAUUUAACGUUUUUAACAUAUAUUAGCAAUUUAAAAGUAUAUAUCGAAUAAACAAAGAAACUAGCAUUUCAUUUAUGUUUGUGUUAUGUAUGGUUGGUUAAAAAUUAUGUUAUUACCAUAUGCUUGUUUGUUUCUUUUGCUAUUAAUAAUUAAUUUCUUUCUAAACCCUAAAUGUAUUAAUUCAAUGCUAUAAAAAUAUUCUAUAUGCAUAACCAACACAUACUUUGUUAUACUGUAAAGUUUGUGAUCAUUAUAACUUCUAAUAAUAAAAAUUAAGAAAAGAUACAAAUUUAUAAAGAUUAAAACAUUAUAUGACUGAUAUGAAGCAUUUUUGUUAUAUAUUUUAUAAUUAAUUCCCUCUUAUUGUCUUAACAAACAUGCAUUAAUUGGCGGAUUCCAUUCACUUUUGGUAUUUGUGCUUAUUACAGGGAGUUGGAACAAAAUGUGGUGAAACUGUGCAAAUUUCCCACUCCAAUUGCUGUUUGGCGUAGUCGCGUCGAGUCAGGUCUUAACGUGUCCUGAAAAUGCGGGAAAGACGCGUGGCACCAACUGCCAAUUGGAAGUGCAACGUGGGGCUACAAACAUUCCAUUAGUUGCUCGGUUGAUUUGAAUUGACAAGGGAAGUUUAGCACAAAUAGGAGAUGUGCCAAUUAGGAGAUCUCCUAAUUUGUUGGCCGCGACAAAAGAGGAAAUGAAAGUCAACAAGGACUAGGACUUUUCUUUUCCUUUCCUUUCUUGGUAGCUGUAUAGGGGUAGACAAUGGAUAGAUAGGAAUUAGAUAGAAAGAAGAGGAGACGAAUUUUUCAUUACUUUUAGCUUUAGACUUUUUCGUCUUAUUAAUUGUUCUCUAUUCCAUCGAAUUGAAUCAUCUCAAUUGAGAGACAAUGUACGCGGAAAUCACUUCUGCAAAUUUGCGUGAGAUUGAUUCAACAGGGAUGUACUAAAUCCAUUUCUUCUAGUCAAGGAACAACGGAAGAUUUGGUUUAACUUAAAUUGUGAGAUCUAACUGAUUUUAAUUUUCCUAUUAUUUUUUAGUAUUUGUAUAUUUCCUGCUUUAUUUUCUUAAUGUUGCUAUAUUAUUCAAUUGUCCCGGGCCCGGAUGUUAGAUUAAUUCAAUAACCUAGAGCCAAUUAGAAUAAUUAAAUCCAUAAUUGUUUGAUUGUUCUAAAUUAGUGACAACUGGCAUAAUCGGGGUUAUGUCAGGGAAAUAUAAGGGCUAAUUUGUAGACAACCCUCAUAGCGUGUUGUUUAGUAAGAACAGGGUUUCUCUAAAUUUUAAAGUAAUUGUGAAAUUUAAUUCUAUGGUCGUAUCUAGAAUUAUUUUGCAAUUAGGGCAAUAGCUAACGGUCAUACCUUAGUUAUUGAUAAUUACGGAGAAAUUGAUUAUCAUCGCUUGUUUGACAAUUAUAACUUGUUCAUCAGUUUAUAUGUGAAAUUAUUCUUGCAUCGAUGAUUAAUUAGAAGAACCAUUUCCGAAGUUGCUUAUUGACUAGAGCCGUCCAAUAUUAUUUGAGUUUCUGCAAUUUGCUAUUUAAUUUAGCUAACGGUCAUACCUUAGUUAUUGAUAAUUACGGAGAAAUUGAUUGCCAUCGCUUGUUUGACAAUUAUAACUUGUUCAUCAGUUUAUAUGUGAAAUUAUUCUUGCAUCGAUGAUCAAUUAGAAGAACCCUUUCCGAAGUUGCUUAUUGACUAAAGCCGUCCAAUAUUAUUUGAGUUUCUGCAAUUUGCUAUUUAAUUUUUAUUUAAUUGCAUUAUUUGAUUAGUAUAGUUUAUUGUCAAUUCCAAAAAAAAAAAUAAAAAAUCCCCCAUUGUCAAUUUGAAUUUCAAAAGAGAUAAAUAUCCCCAUUUCCUGAGGAUACGAACCUACUUGCCCUACACACAAAUUAACAAGUUCUCGUGAAUAAAUUCUAGUAUAUCGAAUUUAGCAAACUCUUUGGAACUAGGGUGAAUCUAGUAACCCAUUGCAUAUCCAGAGUCCCUAUUCUAAUAUUAGAAUUGACUCGAAACUGCUUUUUUUGACAAUUAGGUUUAUUAUUAUAAUUAUUGCACAGGCGUCGACAACCUGUCAAGGACCACCACUUCACAUUUUCUUUGGAGAUUCUCCUCAUGUGCUAAUGUCUUAUUAGGAAGCUCUAAAUCCCUUGAGCUUUUGAGUGAGUUACACUUCCCCUCCCCCCCCUUCAACUUUUAUAGUAUAUUUUCCCAACUCUUUUUUUACCUCUUUCAUUUUUGCAUUUUCUCUUUUUUUUUCCCUUUUUGUUCUAUUUGUAUUUAGUUCACCCUUUUGUUCAUUCUUUUAAACAAUUAUGAGAGUCGGCUUCUUAUGUCUUUUCUUUUCUUUUAUAAUUUCCUCUUAUGCAAAAAUAAUAAAGAAAACCCGAGAUAUACCAAAAAAAAAUUUUUUGGGCAAAAUUUGAGAUUUUAUUGAUAAUGACAGGAAAGCGUACACAUAGUAGCAGAAGCUACGAGUACUUACCUAUAUGUUCUAUACACAAAUACUAAGAGUCUGCACAAAAGGGUUGGCAUUUGUCAAGGCACUUCUGAGAAAUCCCCUCUCCAAGAUAAAGCUCCCAAUUUGUCCUAUUACAUGGAACUCCUUCCCAAGAAUGGACAAUAUGCAGGGUGAAUUCUUAGUUUAUGAUGGAAAAAAAAAGAAUUCUACAACGAGGGCGGUUCUUGGAGUGUUUUCUACAAAUUGGGGUCUUCGCAUUUCGGAAAUGCGAGCUCACUGAGCUCGCAUUCCCGGAAUGCGACCUCACUGAGCUCGCAUUGGAGCUCGCAUUCUGGGAAUGCGAGCUCAGUGAGCUCGCACUAACCACCGCCAAGACCCCAUUUCGAAAAAAAAGGACAAAAGUGAGUGGGAAAAGCAGAACGCAAUAUCGAAACAUAACUGUCGAACAGCAAAACAAAGAAUUCGGAAUUGUCGAACAGCAAAACAAAGAAAACAGAGCUAGUUUCUGCACAUCGAAGCAUCCAAAGACCGGAGCUGACUGGAGCAUCCAAAGACUGGUUCCGCGAGUGUCGCUUCCCAAAAUUUGCCAGCAUUGCCGUCCCAUUGCGACUCUCAAACAGCAUAAAGGUUAGGCUUUUCCACUUGCAAUGCCUCACUUAUAGCAUUUUCAGUUUAAUUAAUACUUGAAUACUUGAAUCCAAGGGCAAGUUCAGAUUUGUUGUGAAAUUUGGGUUUAAAUUUGAUGUGGGUUGUGCUUAUUUUUGCAAUUUUUGUGGUGGAUUUGAGGAUAUAUGUUAUAUUUUUCGAAUUCGGGCAAUUUUCUGUUUCCAAUUUGUUGCAGUUUAUUUGCAGUUUCUGCAAUUAGUGCAGAAAAAGCAUGAUCCGAGCUCGGAUAAGACUCAACACAGAAGGAUCCGACCUCGGAUCCUUUUGAUACGAGCUCGGAUCCAUAGUUGUUCACUCAGAUCCGAGGGCUCGUCUGAUCAUCUGUUGAGACGGAUCCGAACCCUGUUGGAACUGAGGGAUGCCAUAAAUUAUCCGAGCUCGGAUCCUUGCAUUUCAUAAUAAAUGCGAGGUCUAGUUUUUUUUUUAUUUUUUUUGGAUUUCGUCGUUCGAAAAUUCGAGCUCCGUGAGUUCGCAUUUGCUGAAUGCGAAGACCCUUUGGACAUAAUCCCAUGCUCAAAAUGCCCCAUUUGUAGAAUUUUUUUUAAAUUCAUCAUAAUUUUUUGUUUUUAAAAUCUAUUUCGCGGCUAUUACUUUUGGUCGAAACACUAUCUACAUUGGACAUUGUAUGUUUUGCAAUUGGAGCUUAGAAAUUUUAUUGACAUUAUGUAGUUUAUAGAUUGGAGCUUUUGAAUUUCAUGGAUAUUUGGAUUGUUUGACAGGGAGUUUUAGCCCAUUUAUAGGGGAGACUAUGUCGAAAUUUUUGUAGAUCUUUCUUUGUGAGGGCAACUGACUAUUAGGUAAUUUAUUUUAUAUUACAACUACCAUUUCUUAUGCAUAAGGCUUAAUUCGGAUUUGAUACAAGCCAUUAGCUAAUUUAUGUUAUAUUACAACUAUUGGAUGUUUGCCGACAAGUUGAAAUAUUAUAGUUUGUUAAAUUUCGUUUCAAUAGAAAAGGGCGUUAGAAUAUGAAAUACGGAUUUAUUUUAAGGCGAAUUGAUGGAUUGAAAGUCAAUGACCAACCUUGUAAUGUUUUUUGUAAUUGGCAAAAUCUAUAAUGCUAAAAAAGUGGCAAAAUCUGCUACAGGGAAAAACAUUAAUUUUGUAAGAUUCAUUGCUAGAAUAUCAUAUCAUUGUGCAUGUGGAUCUUGUUAUGCGGUGUGAAUGUGGAGCCCAAAUAUAUAUAACUUUUCGUACAUUUCUUACGCUUGUAUUUUGAAAAUUAUAGGGUCUCUUGACAAUAUGUAGUGUGGCAAAUGUGAUUACUACUUCAUAUAAACCCUGUUCGGAUUGGUUGGCAGGGAGUUUUAGUGAAAUUUGUGGAUUGGUUGGCAGGGAGUUUUAGUCUAUUUUUAGGGGAGACUCUGUCCAAAUUUUCUAAAAAUUUCGUUCCUAGUUUUAGGUUAUUCCUAUCGUCAUUUAUAGUAUAUUUCAUACCUAUUUUCAAUUUUUUCAUAAACAUCUGGAUCGAAAUUAGUCUAUUUAAUAGUUCCAAUUUCGACCUAGAGUCCACCCUCUUUCAUUUGUUUGGACCCUUGGACUACUAAUUCUAAUUUAUUGUCCCCAAAAUAGGGAUUCAUUUCACAGACAUGUCUGUAAAAAGACCAUUGCGGGUAAACCUAUACUGGAGAGGACAAAUACAUUACGAGGGUGACUUUGUUUGUUAUUUGCCUCGUAGUUCCAACCGGACAUUCACUUUGAGACAUAGAAUUGGAUACGGAGAGUUGGUUGACAGGAUUUACCACUAUAUUGGGGUCGAUAAAGGGAUGUUCAAGCUGAAAUUGUUUCUUCGUCAACCGUUGGAGAGUUCCAAAUAUACUGUUUCCACAGUGGUGGAUGAUGAAACUCUUGAUGUAAUGUACGAUCUUUGGAUCAAAAGAGUUUCAUACAUGGCGGAAAUUUAUAUCGAGAAGGAAGAAAUCGUCCAAAUACCUGUAGUUAAUAGCGUAUUCACUGGACCAAUAGAUAAUGUUGGUCCAAUGAUAUCGCUUGUACAUGCAUUCAUGGAUCCAACAAAGUUUAACUUCGGUUCUAGUUCAGUCGUUCCAGAGACUUCAUCGGCAUGUCACUAUAUGCAUGAUGAUCGAUCUAUGGAUUCAUUAGAACCAAGACUCACAUCAGGGUCCAUGGGUGCCCAGGAAUAUUUUCAUGGCCUGGAUUCGAUUCCAAGUUUUGGAGAUUCAGGUCCAUCAUGCCAUAUUUCUUCACAUCAGCUCGAGUCUAACCCUGGUCAAGGUUAUCGCAGUUCAGCUGAAGAUGAUGUAUAUGCUAGUAUACAUGAUAGGCUCCUUGGCUCUCUUGAAGAUGAUCCGGAAGAAAAUGACCCGGAAGUUGAUGCGGAAGAGGUUGAAGAGUCGGAGUCGCAAGAUGUGUCUGGUAGUGACUCGGAUGAUGAGCAUGAAGGUGGGGGUUUAUGAGUAAACCUCGAUAUGUUCCAAGAGGACAGACGCAAUAGCACAGCUGGCAGCUCUGCAUAUGUUCCAAGGGGAAUGGCAUUUUUCUCCGAUCUUGGGAGCAUAGAUGAUGAUGAUAUAGAAGAGGAGGAUGGAUUGGAGCGUAUUGUAACAUUCAGUAAGGAGAAUAAUAAUAUACGUCUCCAUAUGAGAUUUGAGAGUAAGCAGCAGCUCAGCCGGGCAGUUAGGAUGUGGUCCAUCAAUCACAAUAGAGAGUUCAGAGUUAUUGAGAGUAAGAGUAACACGUGGUUUGCUAAAUGCAAAUCAUCAAUUGAAAGAACUCCUUCAACUUCAACCGCGCCAUCGUAUCCACCAUGCGACUGGUGUGUUAGAGCCGUAAAGAAAAAGACUCAUGGAAUGUGACAAAUUACAAAAUGGGUCAAUGACCAUAACUGCUUGGGCGACAUGAUUAGAAAUAACAAUAUAAGCCUGACGGCUUCCGUUAUUUCAAGACACAUCCUCCGUAGCAUUGAAGAUGACCCUGGAUUAAAGGUCAAGAACAUACUAAGUUCCGUUAAAGAAAACUUGAAAAUUGAUGUGUCUUACAAAAAAGGCUGGUAUGCCAGACGUAAAGCAAUUGAGCUUGUGUUUGGAUCUUGGGAGGCGAAUUUUGCCGAACUACCACAAUAUCUCGAUGCACUGGUGCAAUCCAAUCCAGGCACCGUGGUGGAGUGGUCACAUCAUUCGGAUAGUUCAGAUCGAGUUAAGACUUUUAAGUAUGUAUUCUAGGCUUUUGGACCGGCUAUUGAAGCAUUCCACAUGUGUAGGCCGGUUAUAUGCGUUGAUGGCACUCAUUUGCGUGGCGAAUACAAGGGCAAACUCCUUGUUGCAGUCACUCAAGAUGCGAACAACAAGAUUCUGCCAAUUGCUUAUGCCAUAGUGGAUGAGGAGACGAUUUUCAGUUGGUCGUGGUUCAUGGAACAAUUAAGAUAUAAUGUGGCACUUGAUCGACAUCCUAUCUGUGUCAUUUUCGAUCGCCACAAUGGUAUCAUCUAUACCAUGACACACUUUGACUAUUGGGAGGAACCUUUAGCCUACCAUAGAUUUUGCCUGCGACAUGUUAGGAGCAAUUUGAUGACACAUUUCAAAGGUUUACACCUUAAAAUGUUGUGUUGGGCAAUGGGAAGGGCAAGACAAUUACGCAAGUGGCGGAUGUUCAGAAGAGAACUACGAAACAUGUUUCCAGAUGCUUGGAAUUAUCUGUCAGCCAUGAAUCCAGAAAAGUGGUGCCUAACAUACGACGAUGGCCGUCGUUGGGUAUUCUAACUACCAACAUAUCCGAAAGCUAUAAUAAUGUCUUGCGCGGGGCACGCCAUUUGCCAAUUCGUGCAUACAUUGACAUGACAUUUCAUCGGACAGUUGCGUUAUUUAAGACAAGAAGGGAAGAUGCUUCACAUUGUCGCAAUCCUUUUCCCCCAAAGAUAUGGCGGCUCUUUAACAAUGCUGAGCGGAAGGCAGGCACCCAUAGAGUCAUUGAGUUCGAUGGCCCAUCAGGCAUAUACAAAGUUAUCACAGGGCGGCGUGUCGAUGGUAAAGGAGGUAAUACGCAAACCAUCAGGUUUUUUGAUAAAACAUGCUCUUGUGAAAAGUGGCAGAAUUACAGGCUUCCUUGUUCACACGCUUUGGCGGUGUGCAGGAAUAGAGGUGACAAUCCGGGAUUGCUUGUGGACCAGCAGUUUACCAAAAUAAGGUGGGCCGUGCAGUAUUCAGGGAAGUUUAACCCUUUGCCGCAUCAAGAUACUUGGCUCCAUCUUGGGUGGGAGCUGCAGGCAGACAGGAGCAAAUUUAUUACACGUCGGGCAGGGCGGGUUCAAGCUAGCAGAAUUCGGAAUGAGAUGGAUGAAAGAGAUCCAGACGAACCAAGAAGAUGUCGAAAUUGUCAUCAGAUGGGUCACAAUAGGAGAAAUUGUCCGAAUUAUAGGUCUUGAUUUGAUCAACUCCCUAGAAAUUUGAAACUCAUGUCAGUGCAUUUUUUUUGUCGUGUGGUUCGAGCUAGUUCAUUUGUGUUCGAUUCUGGAUUUAUUUUAAAUAAUUACAUUAGUGACUUUCAUUGUUCAUUUGUCAAAUGCAUGCUUCGUUCUGUACUUUGAUAAGUAUUGAAAUAACUAGUUUACACGUGCAGCCCAACAGUUUUAUUCUUUUAUUGCUAAAUCCCCUAUCCAUUGAUUUGUUGACAUAUCUGUUAAAGGAAUGCUCGGAUGGUGUGUUAUAUGUGUUAAUGCUCUUGCAUAUGCAGGAUAUGAUAUUUUUUAGGAGCUAUUGACAGGGAGUUAUGGCCGCUUUAUAGGGGAGACUCUGCCAAAUUUUUUUAAAAAUUUUUAAAAUAUUACUACAAAUACAUUGCUGCAGUAUAUGAAUACAUAGAGGGAUAACAAAUGUUUCUAAAAAUAUAUAACUGAUAGACAUGGAGUUAGACAUGGAGUUUUAGUCGAUGUAUAACGGAUAUAUGGUCAAAAUUUGCUAAAAAAAAGCCGUGACCGCGAUUUAUAGGUCCAAAUUCGAUACAGCUGACUUUUUGGGUUUUACUUAUGCAUAACUCAUGGCAUUUAAUCGAUGCAGAUAUUUGCUUGGGAUUAUGGCCGACACUCCUAUCCCUGCAGGCCUACAUCCAGGACCAUACGUGCACGACAUUAUAUCGGUGGGAACUGCACACCGGGCACAUUCCAUUUUUCACGGACAUAUUGAGAGCAAUCAGUUAGAUGUCAAACGGUGUGACAGAGAAUUUUGGGAGCAUACGCCCAUUCCUGAUCGGGUUUGUCGUUAUAUUGCCUUGACUGGAUUUGAGGGGGUGCUAGAGAGUGGAUAUCAGAUGGUUGAUCACUCUUUGAUCACAAAUUUAGUGAAGAGAUGGCGGCCCGAGACACAUACAUUCCAUUUACUGGUUGGAGAGGCUACCGUGACAUUACAGGAUGUAGAGGUGUUGUGGGGGUUGCACAUCGAUGGUCCACCGGUUAUAGAGGUAGACACAUACCGCAGCAUUCAGGAGUGGGGAGCCAUUUGUGAGGAGCUCAUUGGAUUUUCUCCUGCAGUUGGAUACUUUGAUGGACAGAGGCUAAAAUUGGGAUGUUUAGCAAGAGUCUUGGAUACAGAGUUGCCACCCGAUACUUCAGAUGCCGAAUAUAGGCAGCGUGCGCGCAUCUAUCUCUUACUGAUAUUAGGUGGACAUUUAUUGUCCGAUAAGUCCGGCAACAAAAUCCCUUUGUUGUAUCUUCCAUUACUGCGGGACUUGGAAACUGUUGGGCAAUAUAGUUGGGGUAGUGCGUGUUUGGCAACUCUCUAUCGGUCACUUUGUGAUGCCACGCAUCCUGCCAAAUCGGCUAUUGCCGGUCCAUUAGUUUUGCUACAUGUACAUUGCACCCAAUAGGGAUUCACAUCUUCGGUUUUUUGUAUUUUAUCAUUUUGCAAUUUUAACAUUGAUUCUAAUUUUCUAACAGCUCUGCAUUUGGGAACAUAUACCCACCAUUCGUCCGGACCGAAUCGCGCCGUUGGAGCAUUACCCUGGUCCAUAUGGAGCUAGGUGCGCGUUUCGCCCUUAUUUCGGUUGUUUUAAUGACAUUUGUUAUCGAACCAACUUUAAUUUGUUCUAAACAGGUUCCUACUUUAUUAAAUAUAGGUGGAAUAAUGACUUGGACGUACACAGAGUUGUUAGGCAUGUUGUACCCGCAUUCCGAGAUCAGUUGACAGGCCUGCAUCCUGAAGAGGUAUUGUACAUAUGUCCGGACAAUAGGAAUUUUUGACAAUCGUGCCAGUAGUCUUUUCUACCAAUUUUUUGUCAAUCCAAAGCAUAAGUUUGUCAUACUGCAUUUUGUGAAUGGAAAUUGAGUUUGUUGGCAGGGAGUUAACCUCCAGUUAUAGGGGAGACUCUGCCGAAUUUUUUUUAGAAAUUCAUAAAUGCCUUUUAAUAAUGGUUGACUAGCAUUUGAUGUGCAUGUAAUGGCCAAAAGUCCCAUUUUUUGUGUAAAAUGGGAAAAUUAUCAAAGAACCUCACCCUUCGAUUUGCAAUGUAGAUGUGUUUGAUGUAUUUUAAGAGAUUGGAUAUUGUACUUUUGGUAUAUUACAUGUGUGUGGGAGGUUAGAUUUGAUAAAACGCUUUUCCAACGCGUGUUUUGGAAUUGGCUGGAAAAAAUUCGAAAAAGUUUGAAAAAUUGCAGUUUUUGCAAUUAGUGCAGAUAAACUGCAGAUCCGAGCUCGGAUCCUAAGUGCCAAGACGGAUUCGACCACGGAUCGAUUGAUCCGAGCUCGGAUCCAAAAAUGCUUCAUAUAGAUCCGAGGGCUCGUCUGUGCUUCCGGCGGUGUGGAUCAGAACCAUGCCGGAUCCGCACCCUUUCAGAUGCGAACCGAGCACGGAUCCUAAGGAUAUAGUAGAACCGAAGCCUCGUUUCUGCACUUUUCACAGUUUGUCGGGCACUUUUUUUAAUCUUUUAAUUUACCGCAGACGAGCACUUUUUUCAUUAGAAUUGAAUAUUGGGAAGUUUUAUUAUUUCUUAAUAGAAAAAAUGAAACAACUUUGAUUUUAUAUUUUUUUCAGUUCAUAUGGCAGCCAUAUUUGGAGGAUGUUCUCGCUUCUCUUCCUGCAUAUUGUACUGCAGGUCGGGACAUUUGGAGGUCCGUAACGUAUCUUAUUUGUUGGGAUGUAGUUGAGCCGCACCUCCCUCAUCGGGUUAUGCGGCAGUUUGGGUUUCAUCAGUCCCUGCUUGAUAUGAGGUUGACGGAUAAUCAGGCAGCUCUACAUUCUCUAGAUCGUCGUGGUAGGGCGAAUCAAGACUGGAGCACCACGCAUAGACAAUAUAUUGAUAUUUGGACUGAGCGACGUGUUCAUGUACAAGAUGGCACUGUAAUUGAAGAUACUACAUAUCCAUCGGAUGAGUAUGUUCAGUGGUAUCGAGAGCUGACGGUGAUUUAUAUUUCAAAUCCGAGUCGAUUUCCCGCUUUCCCAGAGGGCUUUCAGGGUGAUAGCGCUAGGGCACAAUAUCUUGUAAGUUUAUUUCCAACCCACUUAGUGGAAUCACUUUGAGUUUGCUCACUUUUUAAACUAUUUUUUCCCACAGUAUCUCCUUCUAAUUCUUAUAUUUGUUUUUCCAGAACGAUGCCAUGUCUCGCAUGUAUUUCAUGGCACAGGACUCUCUUGUAGUUAGUGAUGAACAACACAGCAGAUAUUUUCAGGAGUUGAGGGACUUUGCAUCCACAUCUUUGCAUCACGUAGGAGAGUCACGCCGACUUGCAUUUCGCCCUGCCCACAUACCACAGGAGAUUCCACUAUACCCUGAUCCAUGUCGUGUUCAGCGAGCUCCUAGAAAUACCCAGGGAAGUCAGCAUGGCGGUGGACGACGUCGUAGACUCCGAUCACCAAAACCCGCCAUACAAACUGGAUUCCAUGGAGGUUCGAUGGCUACUGAGGACCAAGCUGGCGCAUCUACUUUUGUCACACCUCAGAUCGAAGUCAUGCAUGAAAGAGAUGUAUCGAUUGGGCAUUCUAUGUCCCCAAUUACUUUUCCAGAGUUUACGCCCGAUAGGGACUCAUAUCGGCAUACUUCUGAGCAAUGUGAACGAGGUGAAGGCACAAGCACUCAAAUUCAAGAUUGUGAGAACCCUGAAAAUAGAUAUAUAAGCCAGUGCAUAUUUCAUUUGCAUUUCUUUUAUUCCUUAAUAAUUUCUAGCAUUACUUUUACUUGUUCGCAAUUAAGUACGUAAAAAUAGGUUUAUGUGAAAAAUAAUAUAAUUUUUCCUAAGUUAUGAAAUUUCUUGGUUUUGUUAGACUAAAUUAAUAUCUUUAGGGUUAGAUUAAUUUUUUUCGCCUUAAUAUAAAAUGUAAGAAUACUUAAUUCCUUUAUACUAAAUUAAUGAUACUUGAGUCGAUAGCUUUACUAUCUUAAAAUAAAUUAUUUAAAUCACUAUGAUUAAUUCCAAUUAGUUGCUAAUGUUAAAUGUUAAUAAGAAUUUCCGUGUUAAGAUAAAAAUCAAUGAAUUUUUGAUAAAUAUGAUUCUAAUAUAUUAAACAUGCUUAAGGCGUGAAAAUUCGAUAAAUAUAUCCUUAUCUUUCCUUGUUUUUCAAGUAAGUGCGUAAAAAUAAUUUUUGUGUGUGCAAAUUCACACCCUUGGAGUAAAUUAUUAUUUCAUUUGACUUUAUAUUACUAAAUCGAUAAAUUUCGAGUUAGACUAACUCUAUUUCUUGAGCAAUAAUAAUUGGAAAUUCUAAUAACUAAUUUAAUUGCUAAUUAAUAUAAGAAUUACUAGGAACCUUAACAUUCAAGUUUAAUCGAUACUUAUUCGAUAAAAAUGGUUUAGGUAUAUUAGGGUAUAAUUAGGCGUUCAAAUCACACUUGGGGAUAAUUUUUAGAAUUAAGUUGGAAUUGAGAAAUUAAGUUGAGAUUAGGGAGCAAAGUGAAAAGACUAAAAUACCCUUACCUUUCCAUGCAAACCAAACAAGACGUCUGACCGCAAAUCAAAUCACAUUUGUUAUUACCAAUUCGAUACGCAACCAAUGUUAUACGCAAUCGAUCCUUACACGAAAACCUCUGUCUCUUAAACCACGGCACCACCAUAUGUCCUUUCUAUCUCACGGCUAAAACCACAAUACCAUUCAUUCUAUUUCACAAACACAAACCGCAAUUUCCAAAUUCCUUCUCUGCACAACAAAACCGCAAACCAUUUCCUUCCUUCUUAAUACCGAGAUACCAUUCUCUUCAUCAUCUCAUUUCUUUUGCACAAUUGCACCGCAGCUGCUACUCUUCCUCUCCACAACCGCACCUCACCUCUUCCUCUGCAUUCGACCAAGAGCACCCGAGAGAGAGAGCUGCCUGGUGAGCUGCAUCCGAGAGCUAGGAGGAGCGAACGUGAGCUGCCAGAAAUUUUUCUGGUUCUGCCGUAAGUUGGAGUGAAGCCAGGGAGGAGAUUUGCAGGAAGCUUCACCAUUCUGUACCUUCAUCUUCAACCAACCGACCUCAAAGCCACCAGCUACAACAAAUUACAGCCACAACUUAGGAGCUAGAAACCACCGACUGCACUUGGCCGAGAGCUAGGGAAGAAAUUUCUGAACUGUAGACACCAAAUUUUGAUGUAAUUUCAUUUACUAAUUAUUUUUUAGUCUGUGCUCGUUUUUUUCACUUUUUAGUUUUUAGUUUUUUAGUUUUUUGUGUUAUUAUUAUUUUUAAGUUUUUAGCAUAGAAUUUCUUGAAAAUGAAAAAAGGAAAAAGAAGAAAAGAAAGAAGGAAAAUUAGCAUGUCGUUUUAUCUUAAUUAGCUUUUCUGCAUUUAUUUGUUAUUAUUUAUCAUUAGGAAAUUAGCUAUUUAUAUUAUACUUUUAUAAAUAAAAAAAUAAAAAAAAAUAAAAAAAAGAGAAACACGCGACAGCAAGCUGCGUAUUUACGCAGCUUGCAAGAGAGGACCUGGGCAGUCCCUUGGGCUGCAAUAUUAGUAGAGUUUGCUGAGGGUUUUAGAGUUGAGAGCUACAUAUAAAAAGAAAGCAGCAAGGCAGCCGCAAGGGGAAGAUUAGAGAAGGGAGCUAUCGGGCAUGGAGAAAAAACAGAAAAAUAGACGGCUGAAACAAUGAAAACAGGAGAGGACGCGGCUAAGGAAAAAUCAGAUAGCAGAAACACAAAGGAGGAAAAAGAGUGAAGGCUUUGGAGAGAAAAAAAAAAGAAAAGAGAACAGAGCAAGAGAGGAAAAACAGAGGGGAGGGGACGAUGAAAAUCUGGAGAGCUAAGCAGGGGGCUUCGGCCUUGAGAGGAAAAACAGAGGGAAAAAUGGAAAUUGAGAAGAGGUACGAAAGGAAAGAGCAAGGAAAGAGCGGCGGACAAAGGUUGAUCAAGGUGGAAGAAGAGCUCGGGCAGGGGAAAAAUUUUCUGGAAAAAGAAACGAGAAGCAGAGGCCGCCCCUGUUUUCUCCCCUUGUUUUUCUUUCGCGCACUGCCGCCCACCCCAAAUCUCCUCUCUUCCUCACGCCAUCUGCCGUUGCCUCACCGCGCGCAACCUUCAUCGAAACCACCGCAGCCGUGAAGGUAGAAGCCGAGGCCAUUCAGAAGAGCUUCAGGCAGAAGCAAGAGGGAAAGGCCGCGACCAGAGCCUCUCGUCAACUGCUUCUCCAUUUGCUCCUCUUCCAUGGAUGAUUUGAGCAGCAACGGCAACAGAGGUUUCCAAUUCACCGAGCUGCCAUAACCUCAUCGAAUGUCCGUCACCAUCGUUGCCGAGCAGAUGCUGUGAGUCCUCUUCCCCCUUUCAAAUUUUGGUUCUCUUUAAGCUUAGGCCUAUAAAACUCUCAGAAGAGAAUGGCUUAUUGUCAUUGUUAUGUUGAUUGUGCGCAAAUUUGAGCCUACAUGAUUUCUGUGUUGAUUGGGGCUGAACGUCUUUAUGUUUCUGACUAAUUUUGGGCUGAUUGUAAUCUCAAUUGAGCAAAGUUCUGCUGAAACUUUUUAUGCCCAUUCAGUGUUUGAUAAAAUGCCCAAUUGGAAAUGCUAAUUGGAAACUAAUUUGCCUGCAUUUUUUCGUAUGAAAAAACUAGUUAAGUCAGCGAGCUCAUCUCCGGACGUUUGAAAAUUGUGAUGUAUUGGCGUUUGGCAUUUUUUUUUUUUUUUUCUUUUCGUUCCCCUUUGCUUCCCGAAUUGAUGUUAGGGAAAGAAGUUGUGGAUUUCGUUGUCUGCGGAGAAUGUCUAAGUUGAAACUUUUUUUAUCUUGCUCUGCUUGAAAGAAGGACAGAAAUGGCGGGCUAUUGUUUAAUUUGUUAGGGAAGACGAUCGUUUGUCCAAAAUCAACUUCAGUCAUUCCAUUUGCUUUUUAUUUUAUAAUUUAGCCCCAGAGUUCCAGAGUUUCUAAUUGUGACCCUCUAAACCUUCAUGAUUCCUUCAAUUAAGUCCCUAUUUUAUUAUGAUUGAACCCCAAGUUUCCCCCUUGUUCUGAUAUGGCCCAAAAUCUGGAAAAAUUGAACUAAUUUUGCCUUUUUAAGUUUAAUCCUCUGUUUGAAUAUUUUAUGUGACUUUGUGGAUAGAUUAAUUCUUGAUGAUGAGUCAUAAUUAUGGCUUAAUAAUUUUGUUUGUCUUGUUGGGUUUAAUGAAAUAAGUGAUAAGAGAUUAUUUGUUUGGGCUACUUGGAACUGGGUUUGGUUUCCUUUCAUUUGGAUUGGUCCUGGGCCGAAGGUUUAAAGUCCAUCAAUUCGUUGGUUUAUGUUUUGGGUCAAAGUAAAAUGACCCAUUCCUUUUUGUUUUGGAUUUCGGUUUGGGCCAAGUGAUUUUGGCCCGAACGAAUAAGCAAAUGGCCCAAUGGCUUGGUCCAUUAAGAAACCAGAAAGCAAAUUUGCAAAUCAGCCCCUGAAUUUCUCCUUAGCUGUAUUGUGGCCCUGGACAUUUUCAACUUCUUUCAAUUCGGUCCUUAAAUUAAUUGCAAAUAGGUCCCUGAACUUUAUUUUUCUUUAAUUUUGACCUCCAAACUUUGUCAAUCUUUGCAAUCAGGUCCUUUCUUCUCUUGACUUCUUAAAUGUGAAUUGUCGACAUGAUUUAAUUGAUUCAAAUUCAUGCUUAUUUUUUAUCCUUUGUGAUUAUUUGCCAAAUAAAUUGGUACCUUGACCUUUUUAUUGUUUUGAAGCUAAUAUCUCAUUUACUCGAUUUCCGUUGCAAGGGAGGUAACUUCUAUAUUCUUGAGUUUAUUUUUCCUACGUGCUCCUACGUGUUAUGUGAAUAUGCAUGCCUACUCCGCUUUCCUUACCUCCUUGCCUGCAUUUGCUUGCUUUUACUUUCAUUUAAGUUUUAUGGGGUAUGUGUACACCUCUUGGCUUGUAAUAGAUAGGGCUCGAAGAGCAUUUGGUCCAUUUUCCCUUCCCCUUUAUGCUUUUAUGGGGUAUGUGUACACCUCUUGGCUUGUAAUAGAUAGGGCUCGUAGAGCAUCUGGUCCAUUUCCCCUUCCCCUUGGUUGCUUGUUUUUGUUGCUACAUGUUUAAUUGCUUUAGUAGGCUCUUGCAUCUAGUCGAGCAUGCUAAAUGCUAUGUGCUAUGUGUUUACGAGUAUUUUGGCAUGUCUACUUGCUUUCAUAGCCAUGAAUGAAUGGAAUGGAUGAAUGUACGUUUCCGCUAGUCCAACGCUAGUCGGAAUUCAUAGAAUGGGCUAGUCCAACGCUAGACCCUUAGGGAUUUCCCCUCAUUAGCAUAUCAUUUGCUCGUUCACCACAUAUCAUGCAUUUUUUCUUAGUUUUAUCACUUGGCAUGCUCCUCGAACCCCCUUUCCCUUCAUUUUAGGAUUUUUGCAUAUCAUGAUAGUUGUAGGGUCCAUUUGCUUGAGGGUCCCCUUCUGAUAAGGGAAACGAGCGAGUGUGGCUACUCGAUAGCCUUAGCACGCUAGUUUCGCCUUCUAAUCAAAGGGAAAAUCGAAGUCGACAAGUUAGGAGUCAUUCCCAUACCCGACCUGAUGCAUUCCCUUAGGUUCAUUCAUUCUCAUUUAUCACUCACUCAUUCUUUUCAAUUCACAUUUUCCUUUCCUUAUUGUUCAUUUUGAUUUCUACUUCACAAAAUUGCAUUUAAUUACACCUAUAUGCACUUAUCACUAUAUUCCAUACACUUGCACACAAACACUUGGAAUUUUCAUACAAUUACACACGUGCACCUUUUCAUACACUUGCACACAAACACUUGGAUUUUUAAUUUCUUUCAUACACUUUCACACUUGCACACUUGAGUCUCAUUUGCAUUAAUCGACCUCUAUGGGGUUUUCCUUUGUUGGCCGCCACAAUUCAUGUGGUUUGGGACCAAAAGCCUCACGAGAGACAUCGUAGAAUUUAGGAUUGCAUUUUUCUUUCCGUUUUGCAUUCAUAUAGUCAUAUCCAACGUGCGAACAUAUAUUGGGUAGAAAAUUAGGAAAGGUAAGGUUAAGUCGCGCAACUAGCCUUGGCUAGGUCAAAGGGGUGCCUUGGAUUCUAUUCUUGCCUUCCCCUUUGUCAAACGUGACCCCCGAACCUUUUUCUUUGGCUUACGUGGACUAGGAGUCGUUUUAAAAAGGGUUUUACUACUUUGUCUUUAAAAAACACUUUUUGGGUGACUUGGUACACCCCAAAUCUAUACCAAGUGGCGACUCCGUUUUCAUAUUUAAAAAACCCUUUUUUAAAAUUUCAUUUGGCCAAAUCGUCGCUUUCCAAAGUCCCAUGGCCUUUUUACUUUUCAUUUUGCACACGUUCACACCACACUUCACACACCACACACACUACACAAUCAAAAAGUGGGGCGCGACAGUUGGCGACUCCACUGGGGACUUCCUAAGUGGGUCCAAGCAUUUGACUUAGCCAUUCGUUUCCCUUUUUCUACCCUUUUUAUGCAUUGCAUUUGGAUAUUAGGCUUGCAUUUUCCAUUUUUAGGGCCAUUUGUCUCGCGCGCAUAUCCAACUAUUCUCUCACUCACGUAUGUGUGAUUGGUUGAUUGGAUGUUGUUUACUUGUUUAUCUCGCGCUUGCAUUGCAUUUGGGGGGGGUGUGUCACCUUUAGAGCCUCGCGUGGUUCUCACCCCUUCCCUCAAAAUAGGGGAGCACUUCAUACGUGCACGUUUACUUGCUUUAUCCCAUUUUAUUUUGUUUUUCGUGGGCGCCAUCCCACACCGCCUUGUAGGAUUAGGAUCGAUUGCCUUGGGUAGGCGGCUGGUGUGCUCUGCGCCCAUAGCGCUACCUAAGGGAUCACUCGAGCCACCGAUCGAAGGCCCUGGGAGUGAUGACCCUUCGCCUUUAGGUCUGAAGGCUUGGGAACCGAAGCUUUAUCGAGUCUAGGCAUUAGUGAACCCCAGCCUCAUGCAUCCAUAUUAGCAUUUUCCUAGGCUAAAGUCAGCCUCACCCUAUUUUAAGCACAUUAGGCACGAGGGAGAGGGUUCCACCCCUUUUACCUACUUUAUUGUUUUUCUUUUCUUAAUUGCUCCCAAUGUGUUAUGUGUACUAUCAACUGCACUAACCAUUUCUUUUGUUUUCUUGGCUUGCAUUCAUGUGCCUUAGCAAUAAGAGGCCUCUUGGGCACUCUUUUAGUGACUCACCCACUAGAUAGCUCACAUGUCUAAAUUUCAGUCUUUGCACUUACUUUUCAGUGAAUACAUUUCAUGUUUAGACCUUUUCCCCCGUUGCAUUAUUUAUGUCCUUUAGCUCACAUUUCGUGUUUGUCACAUAUUUACAUAGCUUUAAUAAAUGGCAUCAUGCAUAAACCCUAGAAAGGGAAUGCCAUUUAGGGGAUCCCGUGUUAGGAAUAAACCACCCCAUGUCUCGGAUAUAUAAUCCAAAUGAGACUUGCACGUUUACCUUUCUCGUACCGUCCGAAGGGGUAGUGCACAAGGUAAGGUAAAGAUCCGAUCAUUUUCAUGAAGCAAUUUUUUGGAAUAUGAGCAUCUAAUAAUCACUUUUUGGCCAUUUUCUCAAAAUUGGUAAAAUUCCCUUGCGUAAAAGGACGUUAAUUCGAAGAAAUGAUUCCUCAUUGUUGAGACGAUAAAUAUAGAGGCCAAAUUUUGAUUUUAGAAGCUCAUAGACCAAGGCAUUGUAAUGAUUUCUUGAAACCACCCAGUGGGCGAAUAAUUCAAUCGAUUUUUGAACAAAUCAUUUUCCAAUUCAUUCAAUUUUAGUUCAAUCUAGUCAUUUUUGAAUAAAUUCAUUUCAUCUAAUCCAUUUGACCAAUGUACCCUUUUUAGGGUCAUCCGGUCGAUUCAUUCAAUAAAUCAUCAAUGCAUUUAACCAAUUUACCCUUCUUAGGGUCAUCCGGUCGAUUUUGAAUAAAUCAUUAAUUCAUUUGACCAAUUUACCCUUCUUAGGGUCAUCCGGUCGAUUUUGAAUGAAUCGUCAAUUCAUUUGACCAAAUUACCCUUUUUAGGGUCUUUUGACCAAUUUACCCUUUUUAGGGUCAUUCGGCCGAUUUUUGAAUAAAUCCCUAAUUCAAUUUCAUGCAUUUGACCAAUUUACCCAUUUUUAGGGCAACCGAGCCGAUUUUGAAUAAAACAAGUUUCGUUCAAUCUAUUUGAUCAAUUUACCCUUUUUAGGGUGAUCUGAUUAAUUUCGGAUAAAUUUCAUUCAAUUCAUUUGACUUUGAUAGGAAGUUCGUCAAGGUCAAACCCGUGCGUUUUUGCAAAAUCUUGUUUCGAUCAAAAGUGACCAAUCCCUGCGGACGAGGUCCUUAUUUUGACAAACGUCCCUUCUCAUUCCAAUUGACCAAAUUUUUUCAAAUUAUUUUUCACUCAAUGAGUUGAUCGGAUCCGUCAGGUAUGGUAUAGUGCCUACCCUAGAGGAUUGCAUUUUCAUGCUAGGCCUACCCUUGGCAUAAAAGGGUUCCCCCAUAGGACAUGCAUACCGUUUUUUUUAUUCUUACUUACUGACUCUGGGUAUUUUUCUUUUUGUUUUCCCCUCCCCUACAUUCAUAAAAAUGGUUCAAUAAGGCGAGAAUAUUCUUCUAUAUCUGAUAAUUUUGAUCCAAUAAAGCUUGAAGAUUACAAGUAUUACUUGAUUCUUGGGCAGACAUUGCCGCGAAAGCAAAAAGGAGAAAUUCUAUUUAUUUGAUUUGGUAAUACAUUUUGUUCCAAAAGAAAAGGAGACAAAAGGUGUAUGUGUUGAGCUCUUUACGAGUUUCUCUCUUCUCAUUUGUAUCAUAAUUGAUUGAGAAAUUUUGUUUCAAACUUUUCACCAAUAAAAUUUUUUGGAUAAUUUUUGUUUUGUGUAUAUUUAUGUACAUUUCAUUCUUUAUUCUUACUCAUUGGAGAUUUCAUGAUGAAUUUUGAGAAAUAAGACCCAAUUUGAGAUUUUUCAACCUAUAGCCUGAAUUUCACAAGUGUAUGCUUCCUAAAAUCCUUACACUCGAUUGGUGUUCCAACCUGUACAAUAAGAGUGCUCAGAAAGAAAGAGAGUGAACGGUCACUCAAAAGGCCCUAUGAGAUACCUUUCUCCUUCACUUAAUUCCAAAAUAAAAUCAGUCACAUUGAUUGAUAAAUUGUAAAUUGGGGCAACUUUUGCUUGAAAAUGUUCAAGGUGUCCAAUCUGGUUCAAUCACAUCUAAGUGAAAGCAAAAAUGUGCAUUGUCCUUAUUUGUUUGGGAAAAUUGGAAUGAUACUUCAAGCAUUCGUUUCAUUACCUAUACAGAUUUUUAUCAUUUACUCUCCCAUUUGAGCCUCUAAAAGAAUAAUUUCGUUUCAAAUAAGGGUCUUAAUGAUCACUACCCUUCAUUGGAAAGUUUUCAAAUAUCUAAAAGGGGAAUGGAUUUUUAAUAACCAUUUCGUUACUCUGGUUGUCAUGAAGUGUAAGAAUGAUACUUUGGCCAUCGCUUCUACAAUCCUAAACACUGUUUAUCCCUUGCAUCCCCAUUUGAGCAAAAAUUGGUGGUUCUUUUCGAGUGCACAUAUGAUCGCACCCCACAUUGGGGAAGGAGAUUGGGAAAUUUUGGAAAAAAGAGAAAAGAGAAAAGCAAAAAUGCCAAAAGAAAAGAAAAGAGGGAAUCACAAAUUGGAGAAAUUUGAAUCUAUCUGGGUUUCCAUUUUUGGAAAAAGAAAGGGAAGAGAUUUGUCCGCGUGGAUCGCCAACGUUUCACAAAUAUGGAUGAACAAGGGUCCUCCUCAAUCAGUUAAUUCAGAUACAUGCCAAAAUUUCCCAUUAAUAAAAGUUUCCUUUCGGAGUUAUUGUAAGGAACGGAAUAACGGUCAGGCCCCCUUCUUUUCCGAUCAAGCAUCUAUCCCUAGUUAUCCCUUUUGAGCCAUCAGAAUGGAUAAUUUCGUUUGACAACCCCUGAGAAUCGCAAACCCCACACUAGGGGUGAGUUUGUGUUGAAAAGAAAAAGUUUCAAGAAGUGAAAAGUGAAAAGCAACAAAAUCCAAAUCAAAAGAAGAAAAGAGAAGCUCAGUUCAAAAAUAAACUGGGGCAAAUUUCAAAGAAUGGCAAAAAGCCGAAAAGUCAAAAGAAGAAAGAAAAUGAAAGUGAAAAGCCUCAGUUGAGCAUAAACUGGGGCAAAUUCUGAUUUAACCCUAAAAUAGGGUUGACGCAACAAUGCGAUCUCAGAUUUUUCAAACCGCUUUUGAAAUCCGUUUUCAAGCCUUAACUUUUCUAAGCACCCCACCUGACCCCAUUACAAAAGCCGAAAGCCCUGACUUCUGUUCUUUGCACUGGCUUUGUCAAGGAAAUCUCUGAUGUCGAAAAUUUUAGCUGUAUUCUGAAUUGAUUAGGUGUGAGGUUGACACUGCUCUUCAUGUGAAACCCCGCGAGGGCAUUUUUGGGGAAAAGGAAAAACGAGCGAAAUGAAUGCAAAAGAAAGAUGCAAAAAAGAUUUGAUGCUGAAAGUCCCUGCUGGGUGAUGAUAAAAAGUCAAACAAAGUCCAAGAAUCUGAAGUCCAGAUGAGGGCAAUGUUGAAAAAUGCGAUCUUUGGUGCAAUGUCCUUUGGAAAUUAUUUCUUUAACUAUCGUCUUCAAGUCACAUUACAAGCUAAUAAAGUCCAUCGUUGACUUAUUCCUUCAUGACAAUCCAAAGUGAGGAUUAUGCUCAUAAAAAUCCAUCGAUCACUCAUGAUAAUAAGGGUAUAACCAGAUUUCACACGUUUAGCUAUCAUUUCUACCCAAAAUUUUGCAAACCCUUGAGCUUAUACGUUGACUAAGUUUUCUUAAGAAAUAAGGGUGACAAACUCUUUGCUUUCACUGAGAUGUGGUAUUGAAGGGAUUACAUACCAUCUGAGCACGAAAUGAGGCAAAUCUUGACCUCCCAUUUUCCUUUAGCCAUUCCCAAAUCAAAAAUAAAGUCACUUGAUUGGUCCUGACAGAUGAGCCAAUUGGAAAGGGUGACCCAUUACCCAAAGCAUCGAUGCCAAGGUGAGGAAGAAUUCUUUUGUAAUUUGGCAUUAUUUUAAAAAAAAUUCAUCAUGAAAUUUUCUGUGUAAUUCUAAGCAAGACGUUCAAUUUUCUUCACAUUAUACAGAAAACACAGUUUCUUACUUUGUUCAAAUAAAUGGAAGGGCAUCCAAACCAAUUUUUGCAAUCAAAUGGGCCCAUACUGGGGCAAAAUUUUUAUUAGCCAGAUUUCGCAAAACAAGCCCACACUGGGGCAAAUUUUUUAUAGCUUGUUUGAGGAAUUCAUCAAAGGGUCAAGCAAGACUUUCAAAUCAAUCACGCUGCCCUUUUCAUGAAAAGUUAGGUGCAUGUAAGCCCCUGUGCAGGUAUUCACAGUUGAAGUCGACGAAAAGCUUCUGAGUUGUGGAAGGCCGAUGCCGAAGAGAAAGAAGAAAGAAGGGGAAAAGGGCCCUACACUGGGGCAAAUUAUUCUUGAAAAGGAUUCUCUUGAAAAAUCAGAAAAAUUCAGAAGUCAAAAAUCAAAAAAUCAAAGGAUUGGGUCUUAUCCCACUGAACAUUCUAAAAAUCAAGUUGGGCCUGGAUUUAGUGCCGCCAACAUCACAAAUGUCACGUUGGGCCUGGAUUUAGUGCCGCCAACCUCACAUCAUCACGUUGGGCCUGGAUUUUGUGCCGCCAACUUCACUUUAUCACGUUGGGCCUGGACUUGGUGCCGCCAACCUCACAUCAUCACGUUGGGCCUGGAUUUUGUGCCGCCAACUUCACUUUAUCACGUUGGGCUUGGUUUUCGUGCCACCAACUUCACUUCAUCACGUUGGGCCUGGACUUGGUGCCGCCAACCUCACAUCAUCACGUUGGGCCUGGAUUUUGUGCCGCCAACUUCACUUUAUCACGUUGGGCUUGGUUUUCGUGCCACCAACUUCACUUCAUCACGUUGGGCCUGGACUUGGUGCCGCCAACAUCACUUUAUCACGUUGGGCCUGGACUAGGUGCCGCCAACAUCACAAAUGUCACGUUGGGCUUGGUUUUCGUGCCACCAACUUCACAUCACCACGUUUGGGCUUGGAUUUAGUGCCACCAACAUCACAAAAAUCAAGUUGGGCCUGGAUUUCGUGCCGCCAACAUUCUAAAAAUCAAGUUGGGCCUGGAUUUCGUGCCGCCAACUCACAAACAUCAAGUUGGGCCUGGAUUUCGUGCCGCCAACAUUCUAAAAUCAAGUUGGGCCUGGAUUUCGUGCCGCCAACAUUCUAAAAAACAGUUGGGCCUGGAUUUCGUGCCGCCAAACAAUCACAAGACAUCAAGUUGGGCCUGGAGUGCCGAUUCGUGCCACGCAACAUUCUAAAAAUCAAGUUGGGCCUGGAUUUCGUGCGCCAACAUUCUAAAAAUCAAGUUGGCCUGGAUUUCUGUGCCGCCAACAUUUCUAAAAUCAAGUUGGGCCUGGAUUCGUGCCGCCAACAUUCUAAAAAUCAAGUUGGGCCUGGAUUUCGUGCCGCCAACAUUCCAAAAAUUCUGUUGGGCCUGGAUUUUGUGCCGCCAACGUUCCAAACAUCAAGUUGGGCCUGGAUUUCGUGCCGCCAACCUCACAAACAUCAAGUUGGGCCUGGGUUUCGUGCCGCCAACAUUCCAAAAAUCACGUUGGGCCUGGAUUUCGUGCCGCCAACUUCACAACAUCCCGCGGGUCUAUCCCAAUUUUAAAUUUCUGUUCGGGUCUAUCCCGUGGGUCUAUCCCAAUUUUAAAUUUCUGUUCGGGUCAGUCCCGAUUUUAAAUUUUCUGUUUGGAUCAAUCCCAUUUUUAAUUUUUGUCAAAAGGGUCAGUCCCCAUUUCUAAAGCACCCAUCGUUCGAGACGCUUGUAGCCGAAUAACACAGGUAAGCAUUUGGUGUCUACUUCUUUGUCUCAAGUUUUUCCAAAACUCAGACAAAGAGGGGCAAACUGUAGACACCAAAUUUUGAUGUAAUUUCAUUUACUAAUUAUUUUUUAGUCUGUGCUCGUUUUUUUCACUUUUUAGUUUUUAGUUUUUUAGUUUUUUGUGUUAUUAUUAUUUUUAAGUUUUUAGCAUAGAAUUUCUUGAAAAUGAAAAAAGGAAAAAGAAGAAAAGAAAGAAGGAAAAUUAGCAUGUCGUUUUAUCUUAAUUAGCUUUUCUGCAUUUAUUUGUUAUUAUUUAUCAUUAGGAAAUUAGCUAUUUAUAUUAUACUUUUAUAAAUAAAAAAAUAAAAAAAAAUAAAAAAAAGAGAAACACGCGACAGCAAGCUGCGUAUUUACGCAGCUUGCAAGAGAGGACCUGGGCAGUCCCUUGGGCUGCAAUAUUAGUAGAGUUUGCUGAGGGUUUUAGAGUUGAGAGCUACAUAUAAAAAGAAAGCAGCAAGGCAGCCGCAAGGGGAAGAUUAGAGAAGGGAGCUAUCGGGCAUGGAGAAAAAACAGAAAAAUAGACGGCUGAAACAAUGAAAACAGGAGAGGACGCGGCUAAGGAAAAAUCAGAUAGCAGAAACACAAAGGAGGAAAAAGAGUGAAGGCUUUGGAGAGAAAAAAAAAAAGAAAAGAGAACAGAGCAAGAGAGGAAAAACAGAGGGGAGGGGACGAUGAAAAUCUGGAGAGCUAAGCAGGGGGCUUCGGCCUUGAGAGGAAACACAGAGGGAAAAAUGGAAAUUGAGAAGAGGUACGAAAGGAAAGAGCAAGGAAAGAGCGGCGGACAAAGGUUGAUCAAGGUGGAAGAAGAGCUCGGGCAGGGGAAAAAUUUUCUGGAAAAAGAAACGAGAAGCAGAGGCCGCCCCUGUUUUCUCCCCUUGUUUUUCUUUCGCGCACUGCCGCCCACCCCAAAUCUCCUCUCUUCCUCACGCCAUCUGCCGUUGCCUCACCGCGCGCAACCUUCAUCGAAACCACCGCAGCCGUGAAGGUAGAAGCCGAGGCCAUUCAGAAGAGCUUCAGGCAGAAGCAAGAGGGAAAGGCCGCGACCAGAGCCUCUCGUCAACUGCUUCUCCAUUUGCUCCUCUUCCAUGGAUGAUUUGAGCAGCAACGGCAACAGAGGUUUCCAAUUCACCGAGCUGCCAUAACCUCAUCGAAUGUCCGUCACCAUCGUUGCCGAGCAGAUGCUGUGAGUCCUCUUCCCCCUUUCAAAUUUUGGUUCUCUUUAAGCUUAGGCCUAUAAAACUCUCAGAAGAGAAUGGCUUAUUGUCAUUGUUAUGUUGAUUGUGCGCAAAUUUGAGCCUACAUGAUUUCUGUGUUGAUUGGGGCUGAACGUCUUUAUGUUUCUGACUAAUUUUGGGCUGAUUGUAAUCUCAAUUGAGCAAAGUUCUGCUGAAACUUUUUAUGCCCAUUCAGUGUUUGAUAAAAUGCCCAAUUGGAAAUGCUAAUUGGAAACUAAUUUGCCUGCAUUUUUUCGUAUGAAAAAACUAGUUAAGUCAGCGAGCUCAUCUCCGGACGUUUGAAAAUUGUGAUGUAUUGGCGUUUGGCAUUUUUUUUUUUUUUUUCUUUUCGUUCCCCUUUGCUUCCCGAAUUGAUGUUAGGGAAAGAAGUUGUGGAUUUCGUUGUCUGCGGAGAAUGUCUAAGUUGAAACUUUUUUUAUCUUGCGAAUAGAGGUGACAAUCCGGGAUUGCUUGUGGACCAGCAGUUUACCAAAAUAAGGUGGGCCGUGCAGUAUUCAGGGAAGUUUAACCCUUUGCCGCAUCAAGAUACUUGGCUCCAUCUUGGGUGGGAGCUGCAGGCAGACAGGAGCAAAUUUAUUACACGUCGGGCAGGGCGGGUUCAAGCUAGCAGAAUUCGGAAUGAGAUGGAUGAAAGAGAUCCAGACGAACCAAGAAGAUGUCGAAAUUGUCAUCAGAUGGGUCACAAUAGGAGAAAUUGUCCGAAUUAUAGGUCUUGAUUUGAUCAACUCCCUAGAAAUUUGAAACUCAUGUCAGUGCAUUUUUUUUUCGUGUGGUUCGAGCUAGUUCAUUUGUGUUCGAUUCUGGAUUUAUUUUAAAUAAUUACAUUAGUGACUUUCAUUGUUCAUUUGUCAAAUGCAUGCUUCGUUCUGUACUUUGAUAAGUAUUGAAAUAACUAGUUUACACGUGCAGCCCAACAGUUUUAUUCUUUUAUUGCUAAAUCCCCUAUCCAUUGAUUUGUUGACAUAUCUGUUAAAGGAAUGCUCGGAUGGUGUGUUAUAUGUGUUAAUGCUCUUGCAUAUGCAGGAUAUGAUAUUUUUUAGGAGCUAUUGACAGGGAGUUAUGGCCGCUUUAUAGGGGAGACUCUGCCAAAUUUUUUUAAAAAUUUUUAAAAUAUUACUACAAAUACAUUGCUGCAGUAUAUGAAUACAUAGAGGGAUAACAAAUGUUUCUAAAAAUAUAUAACUGAUAGACAUGGAGUUAGACAUGGAGUUUUAGUCGAUGUAUAACGGAUAUAUGGUCAAAAUUUGCUAAAAAAAAGCCGUGACCGCGAUUUAUAGGUCCAAAUUCGAUACAGCUGACUUUUUGGGUUUUACUUAUGCAUAACUCAUGGCAUUUAAUCGAUGCAGAUAUUUGCUUGGGAUUAUGGCCGACACUCCUAUCCCUGCAGGCCUACAUCCAGGACCAUACGUGCACGACAUUAUAUCGGUGGGAACUGCACACCGGGCACAUUCCAUUUUUCACGGACAUAUUGAGAGCAAUCAGUUAGAUGUCAAACGGUGUGACAGAGAAUUUUGGGAGCAUACGCCCAUUCCUGAUCGGGUUUGUCGUUAUAUUGCCUUGACUGGAUUUGAGGGGGUGCUAGAGAGUGGAUAUCAGAUGGUUGAUCACUCUUUGAUCACAAAUUUAGUGAAGAGAUGGCGGCCCGAGACACAUACAUUCCAUUUACUGGUUGGAGAGGCUACCGUGACAUUACAGGAUGUAGAGGUGUUGUGGGGGUUGCACAUCGAUGGUCCACCGGUUAUAGAGGUAGACACAUACCGCAGCAUUCAGGAGUGGGGAGCCAUUUGUGAGGAGCUCAUUGGAUUUUCUCCUGCAGUUGGAUACUUUGAUGGACAGAGGCUAAAAUUGGGAUGUUUAGCAAGAGUCUUGGAUACAGAGUUGCCACCCGAUACUUCAGAUGCCGAAUAUAGGCAGCGUGCGCGCAUCUAUCUCUUACUGAUAUUAGGUGGACAUUUAUUGUCCGAUAAGUCCGGCAACAAAAUCCCUUUGUUGUAUCUUCCAUUACUGGCGGACUUGGAAACUGUUGGGCAAUAUAGUUGGGGUAGUGCGUGUUUGGCAACUCUCUAUCGGUCACUUUGUGAUGCCACGCAUCCUGCCAAAUCGGCUAUUGCCGGUCCAUUAGUUUUGCUACAUGUACAUUGCACCCAAUAGGGAUUCACCAUCUUCGUUUUUUGUAUUUUAUCAUUUGCAAUUUUAACAUUGAUUCUAAUUUUCUAACAGCUCUGCAUUUGGGAACAUAUACCCACCAUUCGUCCGGACCGAAUCGCGCCGUUGGAGCAUUACCCUGGUCCAUAUGGAGCUAGUGCGCGUUUCGCCUUAUUUCGGUUGUUUUAAUGACAUUUGUUAUCGAACCAACUUUAAUUUGUUCUAAACAGGUUCCUACUUUAUUAAAUAUAGGUGGAAUAAUGACUUGGACGUACACAGAGUUGUUAGGCAUGUUGUACCCGCAUUCCGAGAUCAGUUGACAGGCCUGCAUCCUGAAGAGGUAUUGUACAUAUGUCCGGACAAUAGGAAUUUUUGACAAUCGUGCCAGUAGUCUUUUCUACAAUUUUUUGUCAAUCCAAAGCAUAAGUUUGUCAUACUGCAUUUUGUGAAUGGAAAUUGAGUUUGUUGGCAGGGAGUUAACCUCCAGUUAUAGGGGAGACUCUGCCGAAUUUUUUAGAAAUUCAUAAAUGCCUUUUAAUAAUGGUUGACUAGCAUUUGAUGUGCAUGUAAUGGCCAAAAGUCCCAUUUUUUGUGUAAAAUGGGAAAAUUAUCAAAAAUAUCAAAGAACUCACCCUUCGAUUUGCAAUGUAGAUGUGUUUGAUGUAUUUUAAGAGAUUGGAUAUUGUACUUUUGGUAUAUUACAUGUGUGUGGGAGGUUAGAUUUGAUAAAACGCUUUUCCAACGCGUGUUUUGGAAUUGGCUGGAAAAAAUUCGAAAAAGUUUGAAAAAUUGCAGUUUUUGCAAUUAGUGCAGAUAAACUGCAGAUCCGAGCUCGGAUCCUAAGUGCCAAGACGGAUUCGACCACGGAUCGAUUGAUCCGAGCUCGGAUCCAAAAAUGCUUCAUAUAGAUCCGAGGGCUCGUCUGUGCUUCCGGCGGUGUGGAUCAGAACCAUGCCGGAUCCGCACCCUUUCAGAUGCGAACCGAGCACGGAUCCUAAGGAUAUAGUAGAACCGAAGCCUCGUUUCUGCACUUUUCACAGUUUGUCGGGCACUUUUUUUAAUCUUUUAAUUUACCGCAGACGAGCACUUUUUCAUUAGAAUUGAAUAUUGGGAAGUUUUAUUAUUUCUUAAUAGAAAAAAUGAAACAACUUUGAUUUUAUAUUUUUUUCAGUUCAUAUGGCAGCCAUAUUUGGAGGAUGUUCUCGCUUCUCUUCCUGCAUAUUGUACUGCAGGUCGGGACAUUUGGAGGUCCGUAACGUAUCUUAUUUGUUGGGAUGUAGUUGAGCCGCACCUCCCUCAUCGGGUUAUGCGGCAGUUUGGGUUUCAUCAGUCCCUGCUUGAUAUGAGGUUGACGGAUAAUCAGGCAGCUCUACAUUCUCUAGAUCGUCGUGGUAGGGCGAAUCAAGACUGGAGCACCACGCAUAGACAAUAUAUUGAUAUUUGGACUGAGCGACGUGUUCAUGUACAAGAUGGCACUGUAAUUGAAGAUACUACAUAUCCAUCGGAUGAGUAUGUUCAGUGGUAUCGAGAGCUGACGGUGAUUUAUAUUUCAAAUCCGAGUCGAUUUCCCGCUUUCCCAGAGGGCUUUCAGGGUGAUAGCGCUAGGGCACAAUAUCUUGUAAGUUUAUUUCCAACCCACUUAGUGGAAUCACUUUGAGUUUGCUCACUUUUUAAACUAUUUUUUCCCACAGUAUCUCCUUCUAAUUCUUAUAUUUGUUUUUCCAGAACGAUGCCAUGUCUCGCAUGUAUUUCAUGGCACAGGACUCUCUUGUAGUUAGUGAUGAACAACACAGCAGAUAUUUUCAGGAGUUGAGGGACUUUGCAUCCACAUCUUUGCAUCACGUAGGAGAGUCACGCCGACUUGCAUUUCGCCCUGCCCACAUACCACAGGAGAUUCCACUAUACCCUGAUCCAUGUCGUGUUCAGCGAGCUCCUAGAAAUACCCAGGGAAGUCAGCAUGGCGGUGGACGACGUCGUAGACUCCGAUCACCAAAACCCGCCAUACAAACUGGAUUCCAUGGAGGUUCGAUGGCUACUGAGGACCAAGCUGGCGCAUCUACUUUUGUCACACCUCAGAUCGAAGUCAUGCAUGAAAGAGAUGUAUCGAUUGGGCAUUCUAUGUCCCCAAUUACUUUUCCAGAGUUUACGCCCGAUAGGGACUCAUAUCGGCAUACUUCUGAGCAAUGUGAACGAGGUGAAGGCACAAGCACUCAAAUUCAAGAUUGUGAGAACCCUGAAAAUAGAUAUAUAAGCCAGUGCAUAUUUCAUUUGCAUUUCUUUUAUUCCUUAAUAAUUUCUAGCAUUACUUUUACUUGUUCGCAAUUAAGUACGUAAAAAUAGGUUUAUGUGAAAAAUAAUAUAAUUUUUCCUAAGUUAUGAAAUUUCUUGGUUUUGUUAGACUAAAUUAAUAUCUUUAGGGUUAGAUUAAUUUUUUUCGCCUUAAUAUAAAAUGUAAGAAUACUUAAUUCCUUUAUACUAAAUUAAUGAUACUUGAGUCGAUAGCUUUACUAUCUUAAAAUAAAUUAUUUAAAUCCUAUGAUUAAUUCCAAUUAGUUGCUAAUGUUAAAUGUUAAUAAGAAUUUCCGUGUUAAGAUAAAAAUCAAUGAAUUUUUGAUAAAUAUGAUUCUAAUAUAUUAAACAUGCUUAAGGCGUGAAAAUUCGAUAAAUAUAUCCUUAUCUUUCCUUGUUUUUCAAGUAAGUGCGUAAAAAUAAUUUUUGUGUGUGCAAAUUCACACCCUUGGAGUAAAUUAUUAUUUCAUUUGACUUUAUAUUACUAAAUCGAUAAAUUUCGAGUUAGACUAACUCUAUUUCUUGAGCAAUAAUAAUUGGAAAUUCUAAUAACUAAUUUAAUUGCUAAUUAAUAUAAGAAUUACUAGGAACCUUAACAUUCAAGUUUAAUCGAUACUUAUUCGAUAAAAAUGGUUUAGGUAUAUUAGGGUAUAAUUAGGCGUUCAAAUCACACUUGGGGAUAAUUUUUAGAAUUAAGUUGGAAUUGAGAAAUUAAGUUGAGAUUAGGGAGCAAAGUGAAAAGACUAAAAUACCCUUACCUUUCCAUGCAAACCAAACAAGACGUCUGACCGCAAAUCAAAUCACAUUUGUUAUUACCAAUUCGAUACGCAACCAAUGUUAUACGCAAUCGAUCCUUACACGAAAACCUCUGUCUCUUAAACCACGGCACCACCAUAUGUCCUUUCUAUCUCACGGCUAAAACCACAAUACCAUUCAUUCUAUUUCACAAACACAAACCGCAAUUUCCAAAUUCCUUCUCUGCACAACAAAACCGCAAACCAUUUCCUUCCUUCUUAAUACCGAGAUACCAUUCUCUUCAUCAUCUCAUUUCUUUUGCACAAUUGCACCGCAGCUGCUACUCUUCCUCUCCACAACCGCACCUCACCUCUUCCUCUGCAUUCGACCAAGAGCACCCGAGAGAGAGAGCUGCCUGGUGAGCUGCAUCCGAGAGCUAGGAGGAGCGAACGUGAGCUGCCAGAAAUUUUUCUGGUUCUGCCGUAAGUUGGAGUGAAGCCAGGGAGGAGAUUUGCAGGAAGCUUCACCAUUCUGUACCUUCAUCUUCAACCAACCGACCUCAAAGCCACCAGCUACAACAAAUUACAGCCGCAACUUAGGAGCUAGAAACCACCGACUGCACUUGGCCGAGAGCUAGGGAAGAAAUUUCUGGAAUAUUUCGUGUGAAGGAUUAGCUGCUAACUGAGGUAAUUUCUGAUCUAAUUAGGUUGAUUAUUGGUUGAGCAAGCUGCAUCUGAGCUUGCAUGUUUAGAUUAUACAAUCGGCUACUGGAAUCAAACCAUUAGGAAAUUUCUGUUUUGACAAAAUGUUGCUACCGAGACUUUGAGGAGUUAAUGCAACUCCAUUUGCGUUUUCUGUGGCAUCUGAACACCUAAGUGCCUUUAGCUGAGUGAAGACUUGAAGAUUUAGACCAUGCAUGUUGUAUUGUACAUUCGGAUGAUGUGUUAAAGCAGAGGAAAUUUCUGGUUUGGGUUAAGAAAAUUUCUGCCGAGAGCUUAGCUUAAUUAUUGCAGCUUAAUUUGGUUCAAUUUUGUUGCUGUCGAACUGAUUUCUGGUCUGGAUAUGAUAGCUAGUUAAUUCAGCAGUUGUGCAUGUGAAAUUUAAGUGCAAAAUACAAGAUUUAGCCGUAGAAAAAAAAUUGGUUUGUGACUAAGCGAAUGCUGGAAGAGUUUCUGAUUUGGCCGAGAGCUUAGCUUAAAGUUUUGCAGCCUGAUUUGGUUCAAUGUUGUUGUUUAAACUUAUAACCAUGAUUAGAUGAUUAAUAACAAGUUAAUUAGGCUCUGCAUGCAACUAAUUAGUUAGUUUAAACCAGAAAAAUAAAAUAAAAAUGCAAUCUGUUGCAUGUAAGUUGUCCGAAGCUAGCUGUGCAGAAAUUCUGGAAAUUUUGGGGAUUUGUAGCUGUUGUUUAAGUUAAAUUUUGAAUUGGAAAUAUUAAUUAGCUAGAUAAGUUUUUGCAUGACUAAUUUGGGUAUCUAAAGCAUGUUUUAGCCAAGGAAAAUUGGAUUUAUAAACACCCAAGGGUUGGAAAAAUUCUGGAAUAGCCGAGAGGUAUGAUCAGAAAUUUUCAGUUUGUUUUCUUUUGGAUUUUAAACUAUUUCUGGAUUUUCUGGAUGAUUUUAGUCACUGAAUGAAAUUGGUUUUGAAGUGGAAAUUUUUAAUAGCUAGCUAAGUGUUUAAAUGCUGAAUUUGAAUACCUAACACCCUGUUUAAACCAAGGGAAAAACUGGACCUAAAGUAUAUUAGUUGCUGGAAUUUCUUAUGUGAUAAUUAAAGGUUGAGUUGGGAUCUUAACUUGAUUUUUAAAUUUUUCCCUGAAUCUUGAUGGAUGGAAAUGUCUGGAAGUUGUUGUUUUGGAGUUCUAUAAGAAGUGUAUGGAUGGUUGAAUAAAAUAUUUUGGUGUUAAAAGAGAAAAAGGAGUUUUUCACAAGUGAAGAAUGAAACUUCAGAUUUUCGGAUGUUCCUGACCAGUUUCAGUAAAAUACUUAUAUCUUGGUAUAGAAAAAUCCGUUUAAGGCGCCGUCAGUGGCAUUUGAAACUAGAAACAUAGGCCUUUGUCCUUUAGAAAUUUCGUAUUUUUCCUCCAUGUAUACUGCUGUCUGUAAAUCCUUGAAGUAGACUGUUUUGGUAGGAAUGUCCUGUUUCUUUGUGAAACUGAAAUUGGGUUUUGGAUUGAACUUGUAGCUUACUUGUGGUUUAAAUUCUUGAUUAAAUUGUGGUUAGAAGUAAUUGAUGUUGUCAGGGGCUAAUAAUUGAUGAAGCCCUUGGCCAUUUGAAUGAUUUUAUAAGUAAUACAGGGUGAUGGAAGUUAAUUGCUGGAGUGUCUUGGAGGCUUUACUUUUAUUUUUAAUUGUUUAUGAUGGGCUUGCUGAAACCAAGUGCUAAUGAUUGAUGAAGCCUUGGUUGACUAUUUUAUUUUAUUCAGAGAUGCACUUGUUGAAAUCUAGGGCUAAUGAUUGACGAAGCCCUAGUGAUUUGCUAUGUGAUUUUGCCAUAUUUGAUCCAUAAUAUGAUUUCGAAACGGAAUCGGAGCUGUGGAAGUCGUUUCGACCUUGCGAACUCGGGUAACUGUGAUCAAAUUAAUCAAAAAAUAUUUUCCAGCUAGUAUUAGAUUAUAAACUUAAUAUCUAGUGUUUCGCCUAAAACUUUCCAAACCGAUAAUUUCCUUUAGCUCAAACUAGCCUUGAUAGCUAUAGUAAAUAAAUUCUAUAGCUUUGAAAACCGCUAAGUCUUAUUUUAAUUCCUUUUCUUUCAUUAAGUAUUGCUCUUGGCUAGUUAACUAUAGGAAAAGUUUCAAAAUACGAGUUUUAAUGAAUUUUGUGAAAAGCCUGGGAAACUUGCUCGGCCAGAAACCCUAUUUUAGGAAAAAUAGUUUUUUAGGGAUAAUUUUUGCAAAAAGCCGUAACUUUAGAGAAAUGUUCAAAAGUAACUUUCUAACUCUGAUAUUAAGAGGUUUGUCCGACUUAUUUCAAUAAAAUAAUACUAGUUACCCUUUUUAUAAGAAAAGUAACUCAAGGAAAACUAUAGGAAACAUUUCUUCUACUUUUGUCAAGUUUUAACCUAAGGGACUCUUGAUUUUUCUAAAGGAAAAGUGAACUAAUAGUAUAUUAGAUAUACUUCAAUGUCUAUAAGCUUAAAAACUAAGUAGAAACUUAUAGUUUCAAAAUUUGGUUUUUAGGGUAUUGGCGAGGACGCGGAAUUCAAUUCCCGACUUGAUAUCUGAACUCCACUCUUGGGGAGUGUCCCUGCCUGUUCUAUGCUUACCUGCUUAAAGUACCUUCUUGACUUGAUAUGUGAUAAGUUGAAAAAUUGGUUUCUGAUCCAUCGAAGUGAGCUGUGUGUACUUUAUCGCACUAGCCGUUCGAGUGGUGACUUGUGCAAAACAUUUUUCUCCUGAAUCCAUAAAUGUAGUUGCGUCGUUGGGUGAAUCCCUCGGCUUCUGUAUCCAACUACCAUAAAUCUAAUUGUAGUUGCGUCGUUGGGUGAAUCCCUCGGCUUCUGUAUCCAACUACCAUAAAUCUAAAUGUAGUUGCGUCGUUGGUGAAUCCCUCGGCUUCUGUAUCCAACUACCAUAAAUCUAAUUGUAGUUGCGUCGUUGGGUGAAUCCCUCGACUUCUGUAUCCAACUACCAUGACGGGUAUAUCUCGAGUAUACUACGUCCUUAGUCGGUGAGCGGGCCCGGGGAUAGGGUAUGAAUGGUGACGGUUUAGGUAUCAAAAUGAGACGCUCUACAUGGAUUAUAAGUAGUGAGAGUUGACGGAGUGUCAACUACGAGAAAUGGUGAUCAAGCGAGGAAAAUGGCUCCUGAGAGCCCACGUAUCCUACCUUGUGUUGUUAUCCGCUUUCUAACUGUUUAAAUUUGCUAAGUUAUUAACCGCUGUUUGAUAUUAUGUGAUUGCAUGUUUUGGGGCACCACUGAGCUUUAGCUCACCCCACGUUUAUUGUUUUCCUUAACAGGUUCUGGAAACUGAAAGCUGGAUGCUUACUUAUGUUUACCUUUUUGAUUGUAUUCGAACACUAUGACUUAUUCUGUGGGCUGUAAUGUGUUAUUUGGGAUAAUGUAAUUUCUUUUUUUUUUUGAUUGCCACUUGAAGCUGGAAAAUGUGUAAACCCUAAUUCGAUUACUUGGUUUGUAAGUUUGUUUUUGGGAUUUAUGUAUUUUAUCUCCGGAUUGGUACGACUUUAUAUCUUUGGUACGUAGCACGUGGGACGUUUAAGAGCCUCGACUGGUUAUUUUUAUCACUGCUAUCUCUGAAGUUAAUGUAGAUUUAAGGAUGAUCCUAUUCGGGAAAAGUUGUUUUGUAAUAGAUUAGGUUAUUCUUUGAAAGGUUUUGGGUUAGAAUGCUUGCGUGAGUCCUGGCGAGAGCUGGGCAGACGGCCCGCCAACCCUUUGGUUCGCCUUAGGGGGAAGUGGGGUCGUCACAGGUGGUAUCAGAGCUCUUAUCGAGUUCAAACCGGGAAAAAGGUUCUCAGACCAUGGGGAAAGGCCUAUUAAGUGUUGAACUAAUUACUAUUGCUAAGGGAAUUAUAUAUGUAUGUUGGGUAGGAAUCUCAAAUAUAGGUGAUUCAUGCUUGGGACUGGCCAGCUUGAGUUGUGAAUCAUCUUAUUUUCGGAUUCUUGUACCCGAGUACCAAAUAUUACAUUUAGUGGAGUGUUUGCAAAUUGGGAAGAAUUUAGUAUAUUGCAUUACGAUGUUACUAGAGAUUAAAUCUAGAAAAGUAGAACCGAAAGUAACAAGUUUAGCUUUUGAAAGUUAAAAAGGUGAAGAGCCAAUAGUGAGACCUUGAAGAUUAGUACCAAUUCUGCUUUUGAGGUGAAUUUGCCAUGUGAGGUGAGUUCUCGAUGACAUUGUGGUUCCUUAAGUUUUACUGGAGGAUUAUUUGGGGCUAACGUUCAAAAAGGAUAAAGAUAACUAGUUGCUAGGUUACUAGAAAAGCCAAUGUAUGAAAUGUUUGAGAUCAUUUAGAAUACUUAAGAGCCACUGAUGUACUUAAGUAAUGAUAAUACUAUUUGAUUCGAUAUUAGACGUAGUAGAUCUACAAUUCACUAGGGAAAUUUGAUUAGUGUUACUAAGGGAAUCUAGUGGGAUUGUCCAGGACUAAACUAAUGAAGGUUAAGUUGAAUCUAAACUAAGGGUUGAGCUAUUAGCUGUGUGGUUAUGAUAACUUGUGUAUUGUUGUAUUGUUUUCUGUCAUGUUUAUAAAGAUCGAAGUUUGAGUUAUGUAUAAAAAUAUUGAAUGUACCGUGAAUUGUUUGGCUUUUAAAGUUGUAUGAACUUUGGUAUGUGAAAAUAUGCUUUAAGCGUUUUAUUUUCUUUCUCUUGGUAUUCAUGUUGACUUCACUUAAUAAUAACAAGUAAAUAAAUAGCAACAUCUUCGCUUGAUCACUUUAUUUUUAUCAAUAGGCAUAACUAGGCUAUGGAUCUCCAAGUUAGAGGUAGAGGACGUGGGAGACCAACUAGGCAACACCCCGAGGGUAGUGGUGAUAGGGAACCUGAAGUCAACCCAGACCAUGGUCAGGGAAACGUGGCCGGAGAUCCAGUGACCACCGCAAUCAACAGAAUAACUGAUGUGUUAGAGCGCAUGACUGAGCACCAAGCCCCUGGAUCGGUGCAUCACCAAGGAGGCCCAAUCGAUACUGAGGAUAGGGCAUUAGAGAGAUUCUUGAAGUUUGGACCUCCUAAGUUUUAUGGAGGACCAGAACCUGAGGUAGCGGAAGGUUGGUGGGAGAGGAUCUCUGAUAUUUUUGCCGCCCUAAAUUAUUCGGAAGAGAGGCAAGUGACUUUCGCAGCAUUCCAGUUUGAGGGAGCUGCUCGUUCCUGGUGGAACCUAAUUAGGGUAAAUUGGGACAGGAAUCAUAUUCCUAGGACCUGGGCAAACUUCACGAGGGAAUUCAACGCCAAAUUUCUUCCUCCUCUCAUCCAAGAGAAAAGAGAGGAUGAUUUCAUCAAGUGUAGGCAGGGGGCGAUGAGUGUCGCCGAAUAUGAGAUUCAAUUCACGAAAUUGUCCCGUUAUGCUCCCGAAUUGGUAGCUACGGAGCAAAGGCGUGUAAGGAGGUUUGUGCAGGGACUGAACGUGGAAAUUCAAGAGGGAUUAGCUGCUGUUCGAAUAGACACAUUUGCUGAAGCUGUAGAGAGAGCUCAAAGGGUUGAAGUUGCCAGAGCUCAAGUAAAAACUUUCCAGGCCAAGAAAAGAUUUGCACCUAGUAGCAGUCGGGAGCCGACUUAUGCAAAUGCUCCACCGGCCAAAGUGGGUCGAGGAACGGGUGGAGUAAAUAAUCAUGGAGCACCACGAGGCGCUCUAGCAAGAGGAGCUGGUGCCAGAGGUGCCGGAGAAAGAGAUAAUGGAGCUAAUGGAGGGCCAAGUGGAAGGAACCAACUUAGGAACGCCCCACAAGGAGGCCGUGUGACCACAUCUCAGGUAACUUGUGGGUAUUGCAGGAAGGCUGGUCAUAUUGAGAACGAAUGCUGGAAAAAGGGAGGAAAGUGCUUGAGGUGUGGUAGCAGCGAGCACCAAAUUGCCGGGUGCCCAAAAAUACAAGAAGGUGAGAAUUUUGAGGACAAAAUUCAUUUUAAGGAGGGGAGGAUGUGAGAACCCUGAAAAUAGAUAUAUAAGCCAGUGCAUAUUUCAUUUGCAUUUCUUUUAUUCCUUAAUAAUUUCUAGCAUUACUUUUACUUGUUCGCAAUUAAGUACGUAAAAAUAGGUUUAUGUGAAAAAUAAUAUAAUUUUUCCUAAGUUAUGAAAUUUCUUGGUUUUGUUAGACUAAAUUAAUAUCUUUAGGGUUAGAUUAAUUUUUUUCGCCUUAAUAUAAAAUGUAAGAAUACUUAAUUCCUUUAUACUAAAUUAAUGAUACUUGAGUCGAUAGCUUUACUAUCUUAAAAUAAAUAAUUUAAAUCCUAUGAUUAAUUCAAUUAGUUGCUAAUGUAAAAUGUUAAUAAGAAUUUCCGUGUUAAGAUAAAAUCAAUGAAUUUUUGAUAAAUAUGAUUCUAAUAUAUUAAACAUGCUUAAGGCGUGAAAAUUCGAUAAAUAUAUCCUUAUCUUUCCUUGUUUUUCAAGUAAGUGCGUAAAAAUAAUUUUUGUGUGUGCAAAUUCACACCCUUGGAGUAAAUUAUUAUUUCAUUUGACUUUAUAUUACUAAAUCGAUAAAUUUCGAGUUAGACUAACUCUAUUUCUUGAGCAAUAAUAAUUGGAAAUUCUAAUAACUAAUUUAAUUGCUAAUUAAUAUAAGAAUUACUAGGAACCUUAACAUUCAAGUUUAAUCGAUACUUAUUCGAUAAAAAUGGUUUAGGUAUAUUAGGGUAUAAUUAGGCGUUCAAAUCACACUUGGGGAUAAUUUUUAGAAUUAAGUUGGAAUUGAGAAAUUAAGUUGAGAUUAGGGAGCAAAGUGAAAAGACUAAAAUACCCUUACCUUUCCAUGCAAACCAAACAAGACGUCUGACCGCAAAUCAAAUCACAUUUGUUAUUACCAAUUCGAUACUCAACCAAUGUUAUACGCAAUCGAUCCUUACACGAAAACCUCUGUCUCUUAAACCACGGCACCACCAUAUGUCCUUUCUAUCUCACGGCUAAAACCACAAUACCAUUCAUUCUAUUUCACAAACACAAACCGCAAUUUCCAAAUUCCUUCUCUGCACAACAAAACCGCAAACCAUUUCCUUCCUUCUUAAUACCGAGAUACCAUUCUCUUCAUCAUCUCAUUUCUUUUGCACAAUUGCACCGCAGCUGCUACUCUUCCUCUCCACAACCGCACCUCACCUCUUCCUCUGCAUUCGACCAAGAGCACCCGAGAGAGAGAGCUGCCUGGUGAGCUGCAUCCGAGAGCUAGGAGGAGCGAACGUGAGCUGCCAGAAAUUUUUCUGGUUCUCCGUAAGUUGGAGUGAAGCCAGGGAGGAGAUUUGCAGGAAGCUUCACCAUUCUGUACCUUCAUCUUCAACCAACCGACCUCAAAGCCACCAGCUACAACAAAUUACAGCCGCAACUUAGGAGCUAGAAACCACCGACUGCACUUGGCCGAGAGCUAGGGAAGAAAUUUCUGGAAUAUUUCGUGUGAAGGAUUAGCUGCUAACUGAGGUAAUUUCUGAUCUAAUUAGGUUGAUUAUUGGUUGAGCAAGCUGCAUCUGAGCUUGCAUGUUUAGAUUAUACAAUCGGCUACUGGAAUCAAACCAUUAGGAAAUUUCUGUUUUGACAAAAUGUUGCUACCGAGACUUUGAGGAGUUAAUGCAACUCCAUUUGCGUUUUCUGUGGCAUCUGAACACCUAAGUGCCUUUAGCUGAGUGAAGACUUGAAGAUUUAGACCAUGCAUGUUGUAUUGUACAUUCGGAUGAUGUGUUAAAGCAGAGGAAAUUUCUGGUUUGGGUUAAGAAAAUUUCUGCCGAGAGCUUAGCUUAAUUAUUGCAGCUUAAUUUGGUUCAAUUUUGUUGCUGUCGAACUGAUUUCUGGUCUGGAUAUGAUAGCUAGUUAAUUCAGCAGUUGUGCAUGUGAAAUUUAAGUGCAAAAUACAAGAUUUAGCCGUAGAAAAAAAAUUGGUUUGUGACUAAGCGAAUGCUGGAAGAGUUUCUGAUUUGGCCGAGAGCUUAGCUUAAAGUUUUGCAGCCUGAUUUGGUUCAAUGUUGUUGUUUAAACUUAUAACCAUGAUUAGAUGAUUAAUAACAAGUUAAUUAGGCUCUGCAUGCAACUAAUUAGUUAGUUUAAACCAGAAAAAUAAAAUAAAAAUGCAAUCUGUUGCAUGUAAGUUGUCCGAAGCUAGCUGUGCAGAAAUUCUGGAAAUUUUGGGGAUUUGUAGCUGUUGUUUAAGUUAAAUUUUGAAUUGGAAAUAUUAAUUAGCUAGAUAAGUUUUUGCAUGACUAAUUUGGGUAUCUAAAACCAUGUUUUAGCCAAGGAAAAUUGGAUUUAUAAAAACCCAAGGGUUGGAAAAAUUCUGGAAUAGCCGAGAGGUAUGAUCAGAAAUUUUCAGUUUGUUUUCUUUUGGAUUUUAAACUAUUUCUGGAUUUUCUGGAUGAUUUUAGUCACUGAAUGAAAUUGGUUUUGAAGUGGAAAUUUUUAAUAGCUAGCUAAUUGUUUAAAUGCUGAAUUUGAAUACCUAACACCCUGUUUAAACCAAGGGAAAAACUGGACCUAAAGUAUAUUAGUUGCUGGAAUUUCUUAUGUGAUAAUUAAAGGUUGAGUUGGGAUCUUAACUUGAUUUUUAAAUUUUUCCCUGAAUCUUGAUGGAUGGAAAUGUCUGGAAGUUGUUGUUUUGGAGUUCUAUAAGAAGUGUAUGGAUGGUUGAAUAAAAACAUUUUGGUGUUAAAAGAGAAAAAGGAGUUUUUCACAAGUGAAGAAUGAAACUUCAGAUUUUCGGAUGUUCCUGACCAGUUUCAGUAAAAUGCUUAUAUCUUGGUAUAGAAAAAUCCGUUUAAGACGCCGUCAGUGGCAUUUGAAACUAGAAACAUAGGCCUUUGUCCUUUAGAAAUUUCGUAUUUUUCCUCCAUGUAUACUGCUGUCUGUAAAUCCUUGAAGUAGACUGUUUUGGUAGGAAUGUCCUGUUUCUUUGUGAAACUGAAAUUGGGUUUUGGAUUGAACUUGUAGCUUACUUGUGGUUUAAAUUCUUGAUUAAAUUGUGGUUAGAAGUAAUUGAUAUUGUCAGGGGCUAAUGAUUGAUGAAGCCCUUGGCCAUUUGAAUGAUUUUAUAAGUAAUACAGGGUGAUGGAAGUUAAUUGCUGGAGUGUCUUGGAGGCUUUACUUUUAUUUUUAAUUGUUUAUGAUGGGCUUGCUGAAACCAAGUGCUAAUGAUUGAUGAAGCCUUGGUUGACUAUUUUAUUUUAUUCAGAGAUGCACUUGUUGAAAUCUAGGGCUAAUGAUUGACGAAGCCCUAGUGAUUUGCUAUGUGAUUUUGCCAUAUUUGAUCCAUAAUAUGAUUUCGAAACGGAAUCGGAGCUGUGGAAGUCGUUUCGACCUUGCGAACUCGGGUAACUGUGAUCAAAUUAAUCAAAAAAUAUUUUCCAGCUAGUAUUAGAUUAUAAACUUAAUAUCUAGUGUUUCGCCUAAAACUUUCCAAACCGAUAAUUUCCUUUAGCUCAAACUAGCCUUGAUAGCUAUAGUAAAUAAAUUCUAUAGCUUUUGAAAACCCUAAGUCUUAUUUUAAUUCAUUUUCUUUCAUUAAGUAUUGAUCUUGGCUAGUUAACUAUAGGAAAAGUUUCAAAAUACGAGUUUUAAUGAAUUUUGUGAAAAGCCUGGGAAACUUGCUCGGCCAGAAACCCUAUUUUAGGAAAAAUAGUUUUUAGGGAUAAUUUUUGCAAAAGCCGUAACUUUAGAGAAAUGUUCAAAGUAACUUUCUAACUCUGAUAUUAAGAGGUUUGUCGACUUAUUUCAAUAAAAUAAUACUAGUUACCCUUUUUAUAAGAAAAGUAACUCAAGGAAAACUAUAGGAAACAUUUCUUCUACUUUUGUCAAGUUUUAACCUAAGGGACUCUUGAUUUUUCUAAGGAAAAGUGAACUGAUAGUAUAUUAGAUAUACUUCAAUGUCUAUAAGCUUAAAAACUAAGUAGAAACUUAUAGUUUCAAAAUUUGGUUUUUAGGGUAUUGCGAGGACGCGGAAUUCAAUUCCCAACUUGAUAUCUGAACUCCACUCUUGGUGAGUGCCCCUGCCUGUUCUAUGCUUACCUGCUUAAAGUACCUUCUUGACUUGAUAUGUGAUAAGUUGAAAAAUUGGUUUCUGAUCCAUCGAAGUGAGCUGUGUGUACUUUAUCGCACUAGCCGUUCGAGUGGUGACUUGUGCAAAACAUUUUUCUCCUGAAUCCAUAAAUGUAGUUGCGUCGUUGGGUGAAUCCCUCGGCUUCUGUAUCCAACUACCAUAAAUCUAAUUGUAGUUGCGUCGUUGGGUGAAUCCCUCGGCUUCUGUAUCCGACUACCAUAAAUCUAAAUGUAGUUGCGUCGUUGGGUGAAUCCCUCGGCUUCUGUAUCCAACUACCAUGACGGGUAUAUCUCGAGUAUACUACGUCCUUAGUCGGUGAGCGGGCCCGGGACAGGGGUAUGAAUGGUGACGGUUUAGGUAUCAAAAUGAGACGCUCUACAUGGAUUAUAAGUAGUGAGAGUUGACGGAGUGUCAACUACGAGAAAUGGUGAUCAAGCGAGGAAAAUGGCUCCUGAGAGCCCACGUAUCCUACCUUGUGUUGUUAUCCGCUUUCUAAUUGUUUAAAUUUGCUAAGUUAUUAACCGCUAUUUGAUAUUAUGUGAUUGCAUGUUUUGGGGCACCACUGAGCUUUAGCUCACCCCACGUUUAUUGUUUUCCUUAACAGGUUCUGGAAACUGAAAGCUGGAUGCUUACUUAUGUUUACCUUUUUGAUUGUAUUCGAACACUAUGACUUAUUCUGUGGGCUGUAAUGUGUUAUUUGGGAUAAUGUAAUUUCUUUUUUUUUUUUGAUUGCCACUUGAAGCUGGAAAAUGUGUAAACCCUAAUUCGAUUACUUGGUUUGUAAGUUUGUUUUUGGGAUUUAUGUAUUUUAUCUCCGGAUUGGUACGACUUUAUAUCUUUGGUACGUAGCACGUGGGACGUUUAAGAGCCUCGACUGGUUAUUUUUAUCACUGCUAUCUCUGAAGUUAAUGUAGAUUUAAGGAUGAUCCUAUUCGGGAAAAGUUGUUUUGUAAUAGAUUAGGUUAUUCUUUGAAAGGUUUUGGGUUAGAAUGCUUGCGUGAGUCCUGGCGAGAGUUGGGCAGACGGCCCGCCAACCCUUUGGUUCGCCUUAGGGGGAAGUGGGUCGUCACAAAGAUGCUACACUGUUGACACAUAUUACUCAAGUCCAUACAGUAGUGCCAAACCGACCACGGUGAAGUCAAAAAAUACCCAAACCAACAACAUGUGGUACUCAUGGAAGACUUGGGCAGCAUUGAUGGCAUGCUACUUAUAUCGUUAUUGUAUAAACAACCCAACUUUUGGAUUGCAUACUCUUUUGGUGAAAUUUUGUAUGUAUUCUAAAAUUUCACGAAUAUGAGUGGAACAAUGCCAUCGCGCCUAUCUUAGUUCUCACUUUAUAUGAGUACUCUUUUGUGAAUAUGACAAAAAAAUGUAGGUUAUUUGAGUUCUCACUUUAUAUGAGUACUCUUAUGGAUUAUACUAACCUCUCAUCUAUUUUAUACACGGUAAAUUAGUUACAUAUCGGAACUUCCAUUUUGAAGGUGCAUUUGAAGAACAAGUGUAAAAAAAGGGAGGUUUUAUAACCUAACUUCGUUCUUCACAUUGUUUAGAAUUGGCAAGCAUACAUACAAUGUUGCAUUUUAAGUAUAUUCAGGUGAGUUUUGGUGAUAACAUGUUUAUAAAUGCUCAUGGACUCAUUUGAUGUGCAUAAAUGCCCAAAAGUUCCAUUUUGGUGUAACAAUGUAAGAAAAUGAUCAAAGAACCUCACCCCUCGAUUUUCAAUGAAGAUGUGUUUGAUGUGUUUUGAGAGAUUGGAUAUUGUAUUUUGGGUAUAUUACAUGUACGUGGGAGGUUAGAAUUGAUAAAACGUUAGUCCAAAGCGUGUUUUGGAAUUGGCCGGAAAAGGGAGAAAAAGUUUAAAAAAUUGCAGUUUCUGCAAUUAGUGCAGAGAAAUACAGAUCCGAGCUCGGAUCCGAAAAAUCUAGUUGGAUCCGACCGUGGAUCUUUUAAUCCGAGCUCGGAUCUAAGAAAUUCCAGACAUAUCCGACGGCUCGUCUGUGCUUCUGGCGGUGAGGAUCCGAGCCCCUGUCGGAUCCGAUGGCAUUGAUAAGAGAUCCGACCUCGGAUCGUUUCGCGAUAUGAAUGGAACCGCGGGCUCGGUUCCUCACUUUUCAGCUUUCUUCUCCUUCUCUCUCACCGAAACCCUAACCCUCCUUGACCAAUCUUCCAUUUUGCCCAUUAAUCCUCUGAAAUUUCACCACAAAAACAUCUCAAAUACUCUUGUGAGCAUUAACCCUGAGUUUUUUGAAAUCAAAAACAUCAAUUUGGUGAGUUUGAUCUUCAAAAACUAGAAUAUUUAAUUAAAAUAGUAAUCCUAUCGUGCCGCAAAAAUAUUUUUUAAUGGAUUUUAAUAAACCCAACAACAUUGAUUUAAUGUUUUAGAGUUUACAAGGAUUUGGUUUCUAAGAUUUACGAUUUAGUAUUUUACGGCUUUAGCACUUAGGGUUUUAGGAUUUUUGCAUGACAAUAACUUUGUCUUGAUUAUUGCUUUAUAUUUUUAAUCAAAAUAGUAAUCCUACCAAUAAUUGUAAAAGGUAAAACACGCAAGAUUUAAUCGCUAGAUCUUUGCUUUAAUUUUUUUUUCUUUUCCUUUUCAACUACCAAACAUAUAACAUGCACUUCAUAAAAAUAACUUAUAUAAUUUUUUUAAAUAACAUUGCGUUAUGAAAUUUCUAAAAUUAUAGUUGAAAUUGUAACAUAUAUUAAUGACUAUUAACUAUUAGAUUCUUAUAACUAAUAUUCAUCGGUGUCAACAAAUAAAUACGAUUAGUUAAUAACAAAGGAAAAUUAGAAUUUGAUCAAAAUAAUUUAUUUGAUAAAAAAGGAAACAAACUUAAUAUUUUAUUCAUAAAAAAUAGUCAACACCUUACAUGUUAACAAUUUCAUUCUAUUUUUACAUUGAUCUAUGAAAUAGAAAGAACUAUGCAUGUGUACUUUUUCCACCAUUUAAAUGUAUUAUAAUAAAAUAACGUAUUUCCAACCGUACAAUUACCAAUUUUUUUUAUUAUAAAAGAAUUAUGCAUGUAUAGUAAAUUAUAUUAAAAAGAUUAUUGUGAAUAUGAAUUUUUUUUAGAACACAUAUUUGAUGACUUUAGGCACGUGCAAGUUUUAAAAUAAAAAAAAUUUAUUCCUCUGCUAAUUACAGUUUUUUAAAUAAAAUUUCUCUAAUAUUUCUCCGAAAUAUAAGAUUUUAGUAGAAAUUUUAGUAGACAUUUUAAAAUAAGAUUUUACUAUCGACAAUAUUUUAGUAAAGGCAAAUUCUACAAAACAAACAAUAUUUACAUUUAAUUUUAUAUUUUUUAUGGAGCUCGUAAAUUUCAUUUUAAAAUUUUUUCCUAACAAGUUUGAAUUUAAUUUUCUGAAACUCAUACUUAUAAAUGCGAAAUCUAACAAAAAAGUAAAAUACAAUUUUUGGAGGUCAAAUUUAUCAAAUGCGAGCUAUUUGUAAAAUUUAAAAAAAAAACAUUUAGGAGCUCGCAUUUAUCUCUUACUAUUUUCUGGAAAAAAUUCUCUAGCUCCCAAAAAAAAAAAGUAAAAAAAAUUAAAUUAGAGCUCGCAUUUGCGAAAUGCGAGCUCAAUAAGUAGAGCUCGCAUUUCGCGAAUGCGAGCUCUACUUUAACCUCGCAUUCGUGAAAUGCGAGCUCAGUAGAGCUCGCAUUUCACGAAUGCGAAGACCCCCGGACGGAAUCCAUUACCAAAAUCACCCUUUUGUAGAUUUUUUUUUAAAAUUCAUCACAAAAUUAGAAAUUUCUCACAAUAUGCAUGCCUCAUGGUGUCAAUAACAGUCUUCACGAUGCUAAAAGCAGACGCCUGGAUAUUUUGAUGUAUAGCCUCGUUCCGGGCUUUCCACUCACGCUCAAUAUCAGCCUGCGAAACCAAUCAAGAUAGAGUCUGAUUUCUAGUUUGUACGCAUCCAAUCCAACUCCAUAGACCAUGAAUAGGCACUUCUAGAGAUAAAGCGCAUUGCUAGCAUCUUUUGCCAUGCUACUGCAACUAUCAUGCAUUCAAAGAAAAGAUGUGCCAUUGACUCUUCUGCAUUACCACAUAAUGCACACUCUGAUGACCCAAUGAAGCAUCUCCAUUUCUUCAUCCUGUCUCUAGUAUAUAACCUUCGUUUACAUAACAAUCAGAGCAUAAUGAAAAUAGUGGAGCGAAUCUUUUACCCAUAUUAGCUUAAACCAAGGAACUUCAGGACCAGCUUGUCUAAUAGCUUGCAGAGCGGAUUUUACUAUGAAAUAGCCAGAGUUGCUAGGUAACCAAAGUGUCUUAUCCUUCUUUGUGACGCCCCGAAAAGUAUGAGAGUGAGAACCCGGAAAUUUUCUAAUUUUCUAGGGUUUAUUUUUUUUAAUCACCCGCCUUUUCUACAUUUUCUUUAUUAGAAAAAUUCCCCAGAUAAAGUUUAUGAGCAAAGAUAGUUUUAAAAUGAUUUUUCUGGUAUCGGUUAGUUUUUGAGAAAUUAAGAGCGUAUUUUGAACGUGGGACCCGCAAGUGCGGUAAAUGCAUUAUAUUUUUGACAACUUGUUGGAAUUUUGUAUUAAGUGCUAUUAUUUUAUAAGGUGUUAAGAUAUUUGUAUUGGAGAGACAAAAAGAUAAGUUUUAAACCUAAAGGUGACAAGUGUCACCAUCUAAUUUACUCUUGACUUUGACCAUUGAACUUUACCUUUACCUUUACCAAAUAAAUACCAAAAAUUGGCCAAUAUCAUUUUCAUUUUCUUACCUCUCUUGGCCGACUUUCUUGCUCAAAGAAAGAAGAAAAGCUCUCAAUUUUCUAGUCUCCAAUCUUGCCCAAUCUUUCAAUUAAACCGAUUAAUCUUCCAAUUACUCCAUAAAACCUCUUAGUUUGGUGGAGUUGAGCUUGGUUGUGAAGUUGUUUGGAAAGCUAAGGUGACUAGUUGCUCUCUUUCUUGUGUUGCUAAGGUGAGUUGUGAAGAACCACCCUCCUCCCUUAAUUGAUGCUUAAAUCAUGAUUAGUGGUGGUAUAAGAUGUACUUUUAUGGAUUAUAUCUUGAUUUUUGGUUGAAUUGGUGAAGUUUUAUAAUUAUUGGGGAUUUUUCUGUUUUCAUAUGGAUAUGAUUAUGUGGUCAUGUAUGAUGAUUGAAAAUGAUAUUUAAGGAAGCUAGAAGGUGGAAAAAGUGGUAAAUUGCAAACAAUUUCUGUUUUGGAAGAAUUUUGGAAAGUUAGGGUUUAUGAUUGUGCAUUCUGCCCGAAUUUAUAGCUCAUAGAUAGAGGCCGAAUUGGCCUUGGCUUAAAACAUGAAAGUUGUAGGGAAUGACAUUUUAGAGGUACCUAAACAAUUUCAGGUCAAUCGGAGUAGCGUAGACUGAGAAAAGUCGAAAUUACCCUUGCUGUCCUGGUUUUAUCCGAGUGUAAGAAUUGCGCCUGUAAUUGGUUGUUUUGGCUGGAAUUGCUUCCGAAUUGGUUGUUGAGGUCUUCUGAUGAAAUUUAUCCCUGUUUCUUAGCUUUCAGCUGAUUUUGGAAUUUAUGGAUUUGGACUUGGAUAGCCUGCUUUGUGAUGUUUCCGCUAGAAUGCAUUCUGUGAAUCUGUUUUUGUGAUUCUGGUGUAGUAUCUUGCAUUUUUUACCUGGUUACACUCGAAACUGGGUUGAGUGACCUUUUUCAAUAUUGUAACCCUAUCUCUUAGCUUCGAAACGGUGGGUCUUGCACCUUCAUCCGACAAUCGUAGCGCCUUUGGUACCAUUACCGCAAAAUGACGUCAAAACUGUUUUUCUGGUUUUGAGCUUAACUUUCAUUUCCGGACUUUUCCCUAGCUUGACUUGUACUAGUACUACUUGGAGCUUGCUGAAUGGCUAUUGGAUGAACUUGUUGUUGUGUGUGCACCUUUGGGUUGGAAUGAGGAAAUAAUGAAGCCAUGAUGGCUGGAAAAGUUAGCAAAUUCAGGGGAAGUGUUGUCCGAACUUUGAAGGGAUUUGUUUGCAUUGAGUUUGUGAUCUAAGACUUGGAUUUGAGCAAGGCAAUGUUAUAUGCUAGAUGAUUUCUGAGCCGUGGAGGUGAGUGACCCUAAACUAUUUCCAAAGUACUUGUGAAACGUUUCUUGCAUUAUUUACUUUUGAACUGUUUCCAAAGUUACUUUUGAACUGUUUUCUUGCAUAUCAUGCGUGCUUAUAUGAGAGUGUUCCUUGUUUGAUAUAUUUCCUUGACUUAUUGACUUGUUAUUAUGGAUUGAUAAUGUGUUAAGUGCUUUCAAUGAUUGUUAAAACGAGUUUUCUGGGCGAGUGUGUACUUUAUCGCACUCAACCUAAAUAAAUGUGAUAUUUUCAUGAUUAAUGAUUAAAUGCUACUUGCGCAUGAAUGUAAGCCUUUUGGGCUGAACUGGCCAUUGCCCCUUGUUACCGGUCGCCUCGAGCCAGAAGCGGACUCGGUCGGGCGAUUAGGAACCUGGGUGAACGUUUGGUAUACUCGAGUAUUACCUUUGUAGGUUGGUGGAGGUUGGUGGAGCCUGGACGAUGUCCGGGAAAGGUUGAAUGAAAAAAUGCAAUUUCAAAUGAAAAAAAAAAAGGAAAUGGCAGGAGAACGAACGUAUCCUUUUCAUGAAUGUUACUAUCGCUUUCCAUUGUACAUGUUUCUUGAAUUAUUGAUACUCCAUAUUUAAUGUUUUGUAAAUGUUGUAAUUGUUUCUGGACUUAUCAUUUAAUUUAUGACAUCAUUGAAAUGAACUAUUGUUAAACCGAUUUGAUUACUGAUUUUACCGGUUACUCGUUGAGCUUCUAGCUCACCCCAAAAAUAUUUUAUUCCCCUCCACAGGGAUCAAAACGAAGAAAGGACUUGUUGUGCUUAUUCACAUGUCUGGAUGGCCUAUAUCUUGUACAGUUUGGAUUUGGAAUCAUUUUAUGUAUAGUUGGGAAUUGUUUUCGCUUCGCUUCUGACAUGUAACUUUUGGAGAAUUUGAUGUAUAUUGGAGAUUUAUAUUGUAAUAUUUGAGGUUUAUUCUUGCAAUUUAUUUGAGGACUUUAGUGAACGACUGAGUCCCGACGAGAGCUGGGCAGGCGGCCCGCCGAACCCUCUGGUUCGCCUUAGGGGGAGGUGGGGCUGUCACAUUCUUCUUAGGAAAUGGAUAGAACUCAACGGGAGUAUGUUGUUUGAGUAGCCGUACUUCAGUAGUAAACUUUCAUACACAUGGCCAUCUCCAAUUCAUACCUUUAAUGCGGUUAGCAAUAGGAUCAUUUAUAGAUAAGCCAAAAAUUCUAAGCAAAUUUCCAGGGAAGUGUUUGUAUAGUGGACCCAUUGGUUGCCAUUGAUCAUACCAUAAGAAUGUGUCCUUUCAAUCAUCUAUCAGUUUCUUAACAAAAGGCUGAGCUAUAUUUCGCAUUUUAAGCAAUUUCCUCCAAACCAAGAAAUAGUCAAAAGGGACUUGUACUGCCCAAAUUGAUCUCUAUUUCAGCAAGUAUACACACAUUUAACCCACAUUGAAUCCAUUUUCUCGCACAGAUUCCACAGGAGUUUAAGUACUAAACAGGUGUUCCAGAGAGUUAAAUCUACUAGGCCCAAGCCCCCUUCUUUUCAUGGUUGGCACACUUCCUUCCAACUUACUUUUGCCCCAUAGUGACUCUGGACUUCCUAGGCCAUAAAAAGGAUGACAUGAUGCUUUCCAUCUUCUUGAUUACUCCUUUGGGAAGGAUCAAAGGUAAAGACCAUUAAAGUUGACAACCAUUUGAUACAGUUUUAAUAAGUUGAAAUCUUCCACCAUAGCUGAGUUUUUAAUUUGUCCAGCCAUGAAUUUUCUAUUGUAACUUAUUAAAUACAAGGAGGCAGUCCUUGUAACUCAACCUGGUGGAUAUAAGAGGCAGGCCCAAGUAUUUGACUUGUAAUGCACCAGCAUUCAUUUGCAUCAAAUCAGAAAGUAUAUCCUGAGUAGAAUCCUCCAAGCUGGCAUAGAAAACCUGAUAUUUAUCAAGAUUGGAUUGAAGCCAGACAUAGCAUGAAAUUCCUCAAUGGUCUCCUUAAUCACCUGAAAAGAUUUAAUAGUUCCAGCUGACAGAAUGAACAAGUCAUCUGCAAGGGCCAAAUGAGACAAGCCUAACAAUUUGCAUUUUGGAUAGAAGUUGAAACUUUUUCUUUAUAUUAGCAGCAAAAAGAAGUGAGAAAAUCUCCAUAGCGAUGAGAAACAAGUAAGAAGAUAAGGGAUCUCCUUACCUCAAACCCCUUUCACUAUGAAAAUAGCCCACAAGUGAACCAUUUAGAUUAACAGAAAAAUGAGCAGUGCUAACACAAUUUCUAAUCCGGCUGAUAAAUUUCUCAGGAAAUCCCAACUUCUGCAUGAAGAAGAAUAAGAAAUCCCACUGUAGAGUGUCAUAAGCCUUCAUGAUAUCAAUUUUUAGGACAGCUCUGGGCUGAUCCCCUUUUCUGUUAUAAACUCUAACCAGAUCAUGCAUCAGUAGCGCAUUAUCCACGAUCUGCCUACCCUUCAAAAAGGCACUUUGGUACUCACCAAUCAGGUCUGGUAUAACUUUUCUAAUCUAUUUGUAAGCACCACUGAAUAGCAUUUGUAUAAUGCAUUACACCAAGCAAUAGGUCUGAACUCUCUUAUAGGCAUCGCAUCGGCAAUUUUGGAAUUAAAGCAAGGAUAGUGUUGUUUAAGGGAUAAUACAUGUGAUUCUGCUCAAAAUAGUAAAUUGGUCUUAUCACAUCUUCACCUACUACUGCCCAAUUGUGUUAUGUGUGAUUUGUUCCAUAUUGCCUUUUGUACAAGGGAAUCUUUCCCUUAGUUGGCUAUUAAGAGAGUAGGCCUAUGAUAAGAUUAAGUACACCAAACAAAAAAGUUUUAGUGGGUUAUUUUGGUCUUUGGGUCAUUAAACCUUUUUGUUAGUAAAAUUAUUUUGGACUCUCUUGUGUUUUAGUAUUAGGUGUUUUUGGAUUUAGGAACACUUUUGUAAAGUAUUUUUUUACUCUCUUCUUCAUAGUAGAAUUUUUCUCAUUUGCUGGUGGACAUAAGUCAAUUUGAUCGAACCAUGUAAAAUUUCUGUGUUCUUGUUUAAUUUAUUGUUUGCUUUGUUAUUUGUCCUUUGCUGUUGUUAAAAACUCUUUUGUCAAUUUUUUUGGGUCAGACCUAACGAACUACUAUCAGAAUUUUUUCAAAGGUUUUGGAUUCUGUGAUAACAAUGACAAUAACUGUAGACACCAAAUUUUGGUGUAAUUUCAUUUACUAAUUAUUUUUUAGUCUGUGCUCGUUUUUUUCACUUUUUAGUUUUUAGUUUUUUAGUUUUUUGUGUUAUUAUUAUUUUUAAGUUUUUAGCAUAGAAUUUCUUGAAAAUGAAAAAAGGAAAAAGAAGAAAAGAAAGAAGGAAAAUUAGCAUGUCGUUUUAUCUUAAUUAGCUUUUCUGCAUUUAUUUGUUAUUAUUUAUCAUUAGGAAAUUAGCUAUUUAUAUUAUACUUUUAUAAAAAAAAAAAAAAAAAAAAAAAAAAAAAGAAAACACGCGACAGCAAGCUGCGUAUUUACGCAGCUUGCAAGAGAGGACCUGGGCAGUCCCUUGGGCUGCAAUAUUAGUAGAGUUUGCUGAGGGUUUUAGAGUUGAGAGCUACAUAUAAAAAGAAAGCAGCAAGGCAGCCGCAAGGGGAAGAUUAGAGAAGGGAGCUAUCGGGCAUGGAGAAAAAACAGAAAAAUAGACGGCUGAAACAAUGAAAACAGGAGAGGACGCGGCUAAGGAAAAAUCAGAUAGCAGAAACACAAAGGAGGAAAAAGAGUGAAGGCUUUGGAGAGAAAAAAAAAGAAAAGAGAACAGAGCAAGAGAGGAAAAACAGAGGGGAGGGGACGAUGAAAAUCUGGAGAGCUAAGCAGGGGGCUUCGGCCUUGAGAGGAAAAACAGAGGGAAAAAUGGAAAUUGAGAAGAGGUACGAAAGGAAAGAGCAAGGAAAGAGCGGCGGACAAAGGUUGAUCAAGGUGGAAGAAGAGCUCGGGCAGGGGAAAAAUUUUCUGGAAAAAGAAACGAGAAGCAGAGGCCGCCCCUGUUUUCUCCCCUUGUUUUUCUUUCGCGCACUGCCGCCCACCCCAAAUCUCCUCUCUUCCUCACGCCAUCUGCCGUUGCCUCACCGCGCGCAACCUUCAUCGAAACCACCGCAGCCGUGAAGGUAGAAGCCGAGGCCAUUCAGAAGAGCUUCAGGCAGAAGCAAGAGGGAAAGGCCGCGACCAGAGCCUCUCGUCAACUGCUUCUCCAUUUGCUCCUCUUCCAUGGAUGAUUUGAGCAGCAACGGCAACAGAGGUUUCCAAUUCACCGAGCUGCCAUAACCUCAUCGAAUGUCCGUCACCAUCGUUGCCGAGCAGAUGCUGUGAGUCCUCUUCCCCCUUUCAAAUUUUGGUUCUCUUUAAGCUUAGGCCUAUAAAACUCUCAGAAGAGAAUGGCUUAUUGUCAUUGUUAUGUUGAUUGUGCGCAAAUUUGAGCCUACAUGAUUUCUGUGUUGAUUGGGGCUGAACGUCUUUAUGUUUCUGACUAAUUUUGGGCUGAUUGUAAUCUCAAUUGAGCAAAGUUCUGCUGAAACUUUUUAUGCCCAUUCAGUGUUUGAUAAAAUGCCCAAUUGGAAAUGCUAAUUGGAAACUAAUUUGCCUGCAUUUUUUCGUAUGAAAAAACUAGUUAAGUCAGCGAGCUCAUCUCCGGACGUUUGAAAAUUGUGAUGUAUUGGCGUUUGGCAUUUUUUUUUUUUUUUUCUUUUCGUUCCCCUUUGCUUCCCGAAUUGAUGUUAGGGAAAGAAGUUGUGGAUUUCGUUGUCUGCGGAGAAUGUCUAAGUUGAAACUUUUUUUAUCUUGCUCUGCUUGAAAGAAGGACAGAAAUGGCGGGCUAUUGUUUAAUUUGUUAGGGAAGACGAUCGUUUGUCCAAAAUCAACUUCAGUCAUUCCAUUUGCUUUUUAUUUUAUAAUUUAGCCCCAGAGUUCCAGAGUUUCUAAUUGUGACCCUCUAAACCUUCAUGAUUCCUUCAAUUAAGUCCCUAUUUUAUUAUGAUUGAACCCCAAGUUUCCCCCUUGUUCUGAUAUGGCCCAAAAUCUGGAAAAAUUGAACUAAUUUUGCCUUUUUAAGUUUAAUCCUCUGUUUGAAUAUUUUAUGUGACUUUGUGGAUAGAUUAAUUCUUGAUGAUGAGUCAUAAUUAUGGCUUAAUAAUUUUGUUUGUCUUGUUGGGUUUAAUGAAAUAAGUGAUAAGAGAUUAUUUGUUUGGGCUACUUGGAACUGGGUUUGGUUUCCUUUCAUUUGGAUUGGUCCUGGGCCGAAGGUUUAAAGUCCAUCAAUUCGUUGGUUUAUGUUUUGGGUCAAAGUAAAAUGACCCAUUCCUUUUUGUUUUGGAUUUCGGUUUGGGCCAAGUGAUUUUGGCCCGAACGAAUAAGCAAAUGGCCCAAUGGCUUGGUCCAUUAAGAAACCAGAAAGCAAAUUUGCAAAUCAGCCCCUGAAUUUCUCCUUAGCUAUAUUGUGGCCCUGGACAUUUUCAACUUCUUUCAAUUCGGUCCUUAAAUUAAUUGCAAAUAGGUCCCUGAACUUUAUUUUUCUUUAAUUUUGACCUCCAAACUUUGUCAAUCUUUGCAAUCAGGUCCUUUCUUCUCUUGACUUCUUAAAUGUGAAUUGUCGACAUGAUUUAAUUGAUUCAAAUUCAUGCUUAUUUUUUAUCCUUUGUGAUUAUUUGCCAAAUAAAUUGGUACCUUGACCUUUUUAUUGUUUUGAAGCUAAUAUCUCAUUUACUCGAUUUCCGUUGCAAGGGAGGUAACUUCUAUAUUCUUGAGUUUAUUUUUCCUACGUGCUCCUACGUGUUAUGUGAAUAUGCAUGCCUACUCCGCUUUCCUUACCUCCUUGCCUGCAUUUGCUUGCUUUUACUUUCAUUUAAGUUUUAUGGGGUAUGUGUACACCUCUUGGCUUGUAAUAGAUAGGGCUCGAAGAGCAUUUGGUCCAUUUUCCCUUCCCCUUUAUGCUUUUAUGGGGUAUGUGUACACCUCUUGGCUUGUAAUAGAUAGGGCUCGUAGAGCAUCUGGUCCAUUUCCCCUUCCCCUUGGUUGCUUGUUUUUGUUGCUACAUGUUUAAUUGCUUUAGUAGGCUCUUGCAUCUAGUCGAGCAUGCUAAAUGCUAUGUGCUAUGUGUUUACGAGUAUUUUGGCAUGUCUACUUGCUUUCAUAGCCAUGAAUGAAUGGAAUGGAUGAAUGUACGUUUCCGCUAGUCCAACGCUAGUCGGAAUUCAUAGAAUGGGCUAGUCCAACGCUAGACCCUUAGGGAUUUCCCCUCAUUAGCAUAUCAUUUGCUUGUGCACCACAUAUCAUGCAUUUUUCUUAGUUUUAUCACUUGGCAUGCUCCUCGAACCCCCUUUCCCUUCAUUUUAGGAUUUUUGCAUAUCAUGAUAGUUGUAGGGUCCAUUUGCUUGAGGGUCCCCUUCUGAUAAGGGAAACGAGCGAGUGUGGCUACUCGAUAGCCUUAGCACGCUAGUUUCGCCUUCUAAUCAAAGGGAAAAUCGAAGUCGACAAGUUAGGAGUCAUUCCCAUACCCGACCUGAUGCAUUCCCUUAGGUUCAUUCAUUCUCAUUUAUCACUCACUCAUUCUUUUCAAUUCACAUUUUCCUUUCCUUAUUGUUCAUUUUGAUUUCUACUUCACAAAAUUGCAUUUAAUUACACCUAUAUGCACUUAUCACUAUAUUCCAUACACUUGCACACAAACACUUGGAAUUUUCAUACAAUUACACACGUGCACCUUUUCAUACACUUGCACACAAACACUUGGAUUUUUAAUUUCUUUCAUACACUUUCACACUUGCACACUUGAGUCUCAUUUGCAUUAAUCGACCUCUAUGGGGUUUUCCUUUGUUGGCCGCCACAAUUCAUGUGGUUUGGGACCAAAAGCCUCACGAGAGACAUCGUAGAAUUUAGGAUUGCAUUUUUCUUUCCGUUUUGCAUUCAUAUAGUCAUAUCCAACGUGCGAACAUAUAUUGGGUAGAAAAUUAGGAAAGGUAAGGUUAAGUCGCGCAACUAGCCUUGGCUAGGUCAAAGGGGUGCCUUGGAUUCUAUCCUUGCCUUCCCCUUUGUCAAACGUGACCCCCGAACCUUUUUCUUUGGCUUACGUGGACUAGGAGUCGUUUUAAAAAGGGUUUUACUACUUUGUCUUUAAAAAACACUUUUUGGGUGACUUGGUACACCCCAAAUCUAUACCAAGUGGCGACUCCGUUUUCAUAUUUAAAAAACCCUUUUUUAAAAUUUCAUUUGGCCAAAUCGUCGCUUUCCAAAGUCCCAUGGCCUUUUUACUUUUCAUUUUGCACACGUUCACACCACACUUCACACACCACACACACUACACAAUCAAAAAGUGGGGCGCGACAGUUGGCGACUCCACUGGGGACUUCCUAAGUGGGUCCAAGCAUUUGACUUAGCCAUUCGUUUCCCUUUUUCUACCCUUUUUAUGCAUUGCAUUUGGAUAUUAGGCUUGCAUUUUCCAUUUUUAGGGCCAUUUGUCUCGCGCGCAUAUCCAACUAUUCUCUCACUCACGUAUGUGUGAUUGGUUGAUUGGAUGUUGUUUACUUGUUUAUCUCGCGCUUGCAUUGCAUUUGGGGGGGGUGUGUCACCUUUAGAGCCUCGCGUGGUUCUCACCCCUUCCCUCAAAAUAGGGGAGCACUUCAUACGUGCACGUUUACUUGCUUUAUCCCAUUUUAUUUUGUUUUUCGUGGGCGCCAUCCCACACCGCCUUGUAGGAUUAGGAUCGAUUGCCUUGGGUAGGCGGCUGGUGUGCUCUGCGCCCAUAGCGCUACCUAAGGGAUCACUCGAGCCACCGAUCGAAGGCCCUGGGAGUGAUGACCCUUCGCCUUUAGGUCUGAAGGCUUGGGAACCGAAGCUUUAUCGAGUCUAGGCAUUAGUGAACCCCAGCCUCAUGCAUCCAUAUUAGCAUUUUCCUAGGCUAAGUCAGCCUCACCCUAUUUUAAGCACAUUAGGCACGAGGGAGAGGGUUCCACCCCUUUUACCUGCUUUAUUGUUUUUCUUUUCUUAAUUGCUCCCAAUGUGUUAUGUGUACUAUCAACUGCACUAACCAUUUCUUUUGUUUUCUUGGCUUGCAUUCAUGUGCCUUAGCAAUAAGAGGCCUCUUGGGCACUCUUUUAGUGACUCACCCACUAGAUAGCUCACAUGUCUAAAUUUCAGUCUUUGCACUUACUUUUCAGUGAAUACAUUUCAUGUUUAGACCUUUUCCCCCGUUGCAUUAUUUAUGUCCUUUAGCUCACAUUUCGUGUUUGUCACAUAUUUACAUAGCUUUAAUAAAUGGCAUCAUGCAUAAACCCUAGAAAGGGAAUGCCAUUUAGGGGAUCCCGUGUUAGGAAUAAACCACCCCAUGUCUCGGAUAUAUAAUCCAAAUGAGACUUGCACGUUUACCUUUCUCGUACCGUCCGAAGGGGUAGUGCACAAGGUAAGGUAAAGAUCCGAUCAUUUUCAUGAAGCAAUUUUUUGGAAUAUGAGCAUCUAAUAAUCACUUUUUGGCCAUUUUCUCAAAAUUGGUAAAAUUCCCUUGCGUAAAAGGACGUUAAUUCGAAGAAAUGAUUCCUCAUUGUUGAGACGAUAAAUAUAGAGGCCAAAUUUUGAUUUUAGAAGCUCAUAGACCAAGGCAUUGUAAUGAUUUCUUGAAACCACCCAGUGGGCGAAUAAUUCAAUCGAUUUUUGAACAAAUCAUUUUCCAAUUCAUUCAAUUUUAGUUCAAUCUAGUCAUUUUUGAAUAAAUUCAUUUCAUCUAAUCCAUUUGACCAAUGUACCCUUUUUAGGGUCAUCCGGUCGAUUCAUUCAAUAAAUCAUCAAUGCAUUUAACCAAUUUACCCUUCUUAGGGUCAUCCGGUCGAUUUUGAAUAAAUCAUUAAUUCAUUUGACCAAUUUACCCUUCUUAGGGUCAUCCGGUCGAUUUUGAAUGAAUCGUCAAUUCAUUUGACCAAAUUACCCUUUUUAGGGUCUUUUGACCAAUUUACCCUUUUUAGGGUCAUUCGGCCGAUUUUUGAAUAAAUCCCUAAUUCAAUUUCAUGCAUUUGACCAAUUUACCCAUUUUUAGGGCAACCGAGCCGAUUUUGAAUAAAACAAGUUUCGUUCAAUCUAUUUGAUCAAUUUACCCUUUUUAGGGUGAUCUGAUUAAUUUCGGAUAAAUUUCAUUCAAUUCAUUUGACUUUGAUAGGAAGUUCGUCAAGGUCAAACCCGUGCGUUUUUGCAAAAUCUUGUUUCGAUCAAAAGUGACCAAUCCCUGCGGACGAGGUCCUUAUUUUGACAAACGUCCCUUCUCAUUCCAAUUGACCAAAUUUUUUCAAAUUAUUUUUCACUCAAUGAGUUGAUCGGAUCCGUCAGGUAUGGUAUAGUGCCUACCCUAGAGGAUUGCAUUUUCAUGCUAGGCCUACCCUUGGCAUAAAAGGGUUCCCCCAUAGGACAUGCAUACCGUUUUUUUUAUUCUUACUUACUGACUCUGGGUAUUUUUCUUUUUGUUUUCCCCUCCCCUGCAUUCAUAAAAAUGGUUCAAUAAGGCGAGAAUAUUCUUCUAUAUCUGAUAAUUUUGAUCCAAUAAAGCUUGAAGAUUACAAGUAUUACUUGAUUCUUGGGCAGACAUUGCCGCGAAAGCAAAAAGGAGAAAUUCUAUUUAUUUGAUUUGGUAAUACAUUUUGUUCCAAAAGAAAAGGAGACAAAAGGUGUAUGUGUUGAGCUCUUUACGAGUUUCUCUCUUCUCAUUUGUAUCAUAAUUGAUUGAGAAAUUUUGUUUCAAACUUUUCACCAAUAAAAUUUUUUGGAUAAUUUUUGUUUUGUGUAUAUUUAUGUACAUUUCAUUCUUUAUUCUUACUCAUUGGAGAUUUCAUGAUGAAUUUUGAGAAAUAAGACCCAAUUUGAGAUUUUUCAACCUAUAGCCUGAAUUUCACAAGUGUAUGCUUCCUAAAAUCCUUACACUCGAUUGGUGUUCCAACCUGUACAAUAAGAGUGCUCAGAAAGGCUGCCAUAACCUCAUCGAAUGUCCGUCACCAUCGUUGCCGAGCAGAUGCUGUGAGUCCUCUUCCCCCUUUCAAAUUUUGGUUCUCUUUAAGCUUAGGCCUAUAAAACUCUCAGAAGAGAAUGGCUUAUUGUCAUUGUUAUGUUGAUUGUGCGCAAAUUUGAGCCUACAUGAUUUCUGUGUUGAUUGGGGCUGAACGUCUUUAUGUUUCUGACUAAUUUUGGGCUGAUUGUAAUCUCAAUUGAGCAAAGUUCUGCUGAAACUUUUUAUGCCCAUUCAGUGUUUGAUAAAAUGCCCAAUUGGAAAUGCUAAUUGGAAACUAAUUUGCCUGCAUUUUUUCGUAUGAAAAAACUAGUUAAGUCAGCGAGCUCAUCUCCGGACGUUUGAAAAUUGUGAUGUAUUGGCGUUUGGCAUUUUUUUUUUUUUUUUCUUUUCGUUCCCCUUUGCUUCCCGAAUUGAUGUUAGGGAAAGAAGUUGUGGAUUUCGUUGUCUGCGGAGAAUGUCUAAGUUGAAACUUUUUUUAUCUUGCUCUGCUUGAAAGAAGGACAGAAAUGGCGGGCUAUUGUUUAAUUUGUUAGGGAAGACGAUCGUUUGUCCAAAAUCAACUUCAGUCAUUCCAUUUGCUUUUUAUUUUAUAAUUUAGCCCCAGAGUUCCAGAGUUUCUAAUUGUGACCCUCUAAACCUUCAUGAUUCCUUCAAUUAAGUCCCUAUUUUAUUAUGAUUGAACCCCAAGUUUCCCCCUUGUUCUGAUAUGGCCCAAAAUCUGGAAAAAUUGAACUAAUUUUGCCUUUUUAAGUUUAAUCCUCUGUUUGAAUAUUUUAUGUGACUUUGUGGAUAGAUUAAUUCUUGAUGAUGAGUCAUAAUUAUGGCUUAAUAAUUUUGUUUGUCUUGUUGGGUUUAAUGAAAUAAGUGAUAAGAGAUUAUUUGUUUGGGCUACUUGGAACUGGGUUUGGUUUCCUUUCAUUUGGAUUGGUCCUGGGCCGAAGGUUUAAAGUCCAUCAAUUCGUUGGUUUAUGUUUUGGGUCAAAGUAAAAUGACCCAUUCCUUUUUGUUUUGGAUUUCGGUUUGGGCCAAGUGAUUUUGGCCCGAACGAAUAAGCAAAUGGCCCAAUGGCUUGGUCCAUUAAGAAACCAGAAAGCAAAUUUGCAAAUCAGCCCCUGAAUUUCUCCUUAGCUGUAUUGUGGCCCUGGACAUUUUCAACUUCUUUCAAUUCGGUCCUUAAAUUAAUUGCAAAUAGGUCCCUGAACUUUAUUUUUCUUUAAUUUUGACCUCCAAACUUUGUCAAUCUUUGCAAUCAGGUCCUUUCUUCUCUUGACUUCUUAAAUGUGAAUUGUCGACAUGAUUUAAUUGAUUCAAAUUCAUGCUUAUUUUUUAUCCUUUGUGAUUAUUUGCCAAAUAAAUUGGUACCUUGACCUUUUUAUUGUUUUGAAGCUAAUAUCUCAUUUACUCGAUUUCCGUUGCAAGGGAGGUAACUUCUAUAUUCUUGAGUUUAUUUUUCCUACGUGCUCCUACGUGUUAUGUGAAUAUGCAUGCCUACUCCGCUUUCCUUACCUCCUUGCCUGCAUUUGCUUGCUUUUACUUUCAUUUAAGUUUUAUGGGGUAUGUGUACACCUCUUGGCUUGUAAUAGAUAGGGCUCGAAGAGCAUUUGGUCCAUUUUCCCUUCCCCUUUAUGCUUUUAUGGGGUAUGUGUACACCUCUUGGCUUGUAAUAGAUAGGGCUCGUAGAGCAUCUGGUCCAUUUCCCCUUCCCCUUGGUUGCUUGUUUUUGUUGCUACAUGUUUAAUUGCUUUAGUAGGCUCUUGCAUCUAGUCGAGCAUGCUAAAUGCUAUGUGCUAUGUGUUUACGAGUAUUUUGGCAUGUCUACUUGCUUUCAUAGCCAUGAAUGAAUGGAAUGGAUGAAUGUACGUUUCCGCUAGUCCAACGCUAGUCGGAAUUCAUAGAAUGGGCUAGUCCAACGCUAGACCCUUAGGGAUUUCCCCUCAUUAGCAUAUCAUUUGCUUGUGCACCACAUAUCAUGCAUUUUUCUUAGUUUUAUCACUUGGCAUGCUCCUCGAACCCCCUUUCCCUUCAUUUUAGGAUUUUUGCAUAUCAUGAUAGUUGUAGGGUCCAUUUGCUUGAGGGUCCCCUUCUGAUAAGGGAAACGAGCGAGUGUGGCUACUCGAUAGCAUUAGCACGCUAGUUUCGCCUUCUAAUCAAAGGGAAAAUCGAAGUCGACAAGUUAGGAGUCAUUCCCAUACCCGACCUGAUGCAUUCCCUUAGGUUCAUUCAUUCUCAUUUAUCACUCACUCAUUCUUUUCAAUUCACAUUUUCCUUUCCUUAUUGUUCAUUUUGAUUUCUACUUCACAAAAUUGCAUUUAAUUACACCUAUAUGCACUUAUCACUAUAUUCCAUACACUUGCACACAAACACUUGGAAUUUUCAUACAAUUACACACGUGCACCUUUUCAUACACUUGCACACAAACACUUGGAUUUUUAAUUUCUUUCAUACACUUUCACACUUGCACACUUGAGUCUCAUUUGCAUUAAUCGACCUCUAUGGGGUUUUCCUUUGUUGGCCGCCACAAUUCAUGUGGUUUGGGACCAAAAGCCUCACGAGAGACAUCGUAGAAUUUAGGAUUGCAUUUUUCUUUCCGUUUUGCAUUCAUAUAGUCAUAUCCAACGUGCGAACAUAUAUUGGGUAGAAAAUUAGGAAAGGUAAGGUUAAGUCGCGCAACUAGCCUUGGCUAGGUCAAAGGGGUGCCUUGGAUUCUAUCCUUGCCUUCCCCUUUGUCAAACGUGACCCCCGAACCUUUUUCUUUGGCUUACGUGGACUAGGAGUCGUUUUAAAAAGGGUUUUACUACUUUGUCUUUAAAAAACACUUUUUGGGUGACUUGGUACACCCCAAAUCUAUACCAAGUGGCGACUCCGUUUUCAUAUUUAAAAAACCCUUUUUUAAAAUUUCAUUUGGCCAAAUCGUCGCUUUCCAAAGUCCCAUGGCCUUUUUACUUUUCAUUUUGCACACGUUCACACCACACUUCACACACCACACACACUACACAAUCAAAAAGUGGGGCGCGACAAUAACAAAGACUGUUAUCGAAAAAUUCAAUAGGAAUAUCAACUUCGAGAUGUGAUAGCUCAAGAUGAAGUUGAUUUAGCGAUAUAGGAAGUUAAAAAAAAGUAAGAAAGUGUGACAAAUGCAAAUUUUUCUAAGAUAUAUAAGAAGACUAGAUCUAGUAUUAUCUUAAAUCUCUCCAAUGAGAUUUUGCGGGAGGUAGGCACCGAGACUUCAACUAAAGCUAUGUGGGACAAAUUUAAAACUUUGUAUAUCAAGAAAACUGUUGAGAAUUAAUUUUAUUUAAAGUAAAGUAAGUAUAUGUUUCGGAUAACUGAAGGUACAUCUAUACUCUCGCAUCUUGAUAAAUUUGAAUAUACUAUUAUGAAUUUUGAAAAUAUAGAUUCAAAAUUUGAUGAUGAGGAUCAGACUUUGUUACUUUUGUGUUCUCUUCCCUAAUCCUUUAAAUUUUUUGCGAUAUUAUUAUUUAUGAAAAAAAUAAUUUCAUAUCAAAAAAUUAAAAUACAUUAAAAUCUAAGGAGCAAAUAGACAACAAUAUUACCAAAAAAUUAAUGGAGGUUAGGCGGAAGGCUUGGUUGCCAGGGACAGAACUGAUAAAAGAGAAUUUGAUAGUAGUGAAUCUAGAUUUAAAUUCAGACAUAGAAAUUUGGAGUACAAUUAUUGUCACAAAAUAGAACAUGAUGAGAAUGAUGAAAAUAUUUUCUUUGUGACUGAUGACAGGAUAAGAUCUAAAAAUGAAUGAAUUUUAAAUUCAAAUUGUUCUUAUCACAUAUGUUCCAAUAGCGAUUUAUUUUUCACUAAUAAAUCUUGUAAUGGUGAAAUUAUUUUGAUAGGCAAUAAUGCUAUUUGUGAUGUUGUUGGUUAGGGUAUAGUCCGAAUCAAAAUGCAUGAUGAUAUUGUGAAGAUACUCACUAAUGUUAGAUAUGUUCCUGAUUUGAAAGAAAAAAGUCUCAUCUCUUUGGUCACUCUGAAAACUCUUGAGUAUAAAUACACAGGUAAAAAUGGCAUUAUGAAGAUUUCCAAAGGUGCUCUUGUUGUUAUGAAAACUUGUAGGUCUAGUAAUUUGUAUGUUUUGUAGGGAUCUACUAUUACAGGUUCAGUUGCAGCCUCGUCAUCAUCUUUAUCUGAUUCUGACAUCACCAAAUUAUGGUAUAUGCAUUUGGGACAUAUGAACGAGAAAAGUUUGGACAUAUUUAAGUAAAAGGGAACUUCUUUGCUAUUAGAGUACUGGACCAUUGGAAUUCUAUGAACACUAUGUUUUAAAAAAGUAGAAAAGAGUUAGUUUCAAUUCAUCAGCAAUUCAUAAGAUGAAAGGUACUCUUGAUUAUAUUCAUUCAAAUUUAUGGAGUCCAUCUUGUGUUCUGUCUAAGGGUAGCGCCAGGUAUAUGUUGACUUUUGUUGAUAAUUAUUCCAGAAAAACUUGGAUUUAUUUUAUUAAACAUAAGAAUGAUGUUUACCUCACUUUCAAGCAAUGAAAAAGUUUUGAUUGAGAAACAGACAGGUUGACAGAUCAAAUGACUUAGAACAGAUAAUGGUAUACAAUUUUGUGAAGAUGAAUUUGAUGAAUUUUGCAAGAAUGAAGGAAUUAUUCGGCACCACACUGUCAAGAUGCAUUUUAACAAAAUGGUAUGGCCGAACGUAUGAACAUAACACUUUUGAAAAGAAUGAGGCGCAUAAUCUCUAACACUAGGUUGGCAAAAGACUUUUAGACAAAGACAAUAUGGUCAAGUUCUUUUGCUGAUUACUCUAAUUUAAAAGUUUUUGAAUGGCCUAUAUACAUACAUGGGAAUGAUGAAAAAUUGAAAUCUUGAGUUAAAAAGUGUAUUUUUCUUGGGUAUAUUUUUGGGGUGAAAGGGUAUAGGUUGUGGUGUCCUUUUUCCAAAUUUUCAAAAUUUAUGAUCAAUGAAGAUGUUAUUUUUGAUGAAUUCUCUAUGUUAUCUUUUAAGGAAUCUUCCAAUUCUUGUUAUGUUGAUGAUAGUAUGCAGAAGUAGGUGGAACUUGAGAUUGGUAGUUCUGGUCCUUUUAUUCAACAAAUGCCAAUAGAUGUGUCUGAAUCUAUUGAUGACAAUAAGCCAAAAAAGGAUCAAUAUUCCAUAGCCAAAGAUAAACCAAGAUGAGAUAUUCGACCACCACAAAAAUAUGCAAAUUUGGUUGCAUAUACUUUAUUUGUUGCAGAAGAAACUGAUAGAGUUGGUGAACGUACUACCUAUUUAGAAAAAGUUUCUUGUGAUGAUUUUACUAAAUGGUUGAUCACGAUGAAUGAAGAAAUUGAGUCUUUCCAUCAAAAUAGAACUUAGAUUCCUAUGAACCUGUCUUCAAAUAAGAAAAUUGUUGCAUGCAAAUGAAUCUUUAAGAAAAAAGAAGGUAUUUUAGGGGUUAAAGAUGCAAGGUACAAAGUACAGUUGGUUGUAAAGGUUUAUAGUUAGGUAUAAGAUGUUGAUUUUAAUGAUGCAAAUGGAUCUUUAAAAAGAAAGAAGGUAUUUUAGAGAUUGAAAAUGUAAGAUACAAAACAUGGUUGGUUGUAAAGGGUUAUAGUUAGGUAUAAGGUAUUGAUUUUAAUGAUGUAUUUUCACCUAUUAUUAAACAUAGUUCUAUUCGUGUUUUGUUUGCUUUAGUUGCCAUGUAUGAUUUGAGUUAGAGCACCUUGAUGUUAAGACAGUUUUUCUUGCAUGGUGAAUUUAAAGAGAAAAUUUAUAUGAAACAACAUCAGGGAUUUGAAAUUGAAGGAAAGGAAGACUAUAUUUAUUUGUUGAAGAAAUCCUUAUAUGGAUUGAAUCAAUCUAAAAAAUAGUGGCAUAAGAGGUUGGAUUCUUUCAUGUUGGGUCAUGGUUAUUCAAGGAGCAUGUAUGAUAGUUGUAUAUACUUCCGGAAUUUAGCUAAUAAUUCUUUCAUUUAUUUGUUACUUUAUGUUGUGACAUGCUCAUUGCUACUUAAAAUUUGUUAGAAAUUCACAGUUUGAAAUUGCAGUUAAGUAGUGAAUUUGAGAUGAAGCUUUGGGUGCAGUUAAAAAAAAUUCUUGGUAUAGAGAUUAAGAGAAAUUGAGAAGUUGGAAAGUUAUUCUUGACCCAGAAAAACUACCUUGAUAAAGUUUUGGAGAAAUUUGGCAUGAAAGAUACAAAACCUGUGACUACUCCUCUUGUUAGUCAUUUUCAAUUAUCUGCUACACACCACAGUUAGUUGAAAAGAAAGAUUAUAUGGCACGGGUUCUUUAUUCCGGUGCAGUCAGUAGUAUUAUGUAUGCAAUGAUUUGUAAUCAUUCAGAUAUUGCACAAGUAAUCAAUAUUGUUAGCAGUUAUAUGUCUUGUCCUGAAAAAGUAGAUUGGUAGGUUGUAAAGUGGAUUUUUAGAUAUUUGUGAGGGAUUUCAAACAGUUAUUUGGACUUUGGAAAAAAUAGUAACACUUUGAUUGGUUUUGUAAACUUCGACUAUGCAAGUGAUCUUGAAAAAAGAAGAUCACUUUCAGGUUAUGUAUUUUGCAUUAGUGGUUGUGUAGUUAGUUGAAAAGUUACUUUACAAUCUGUUGUACCUUUUUCUACUAUGGAGACAGAAUUUAUAGCUGUGAUCGAGGCAAUCAAAGAAGUCUUGUGAUUGAAGGGUUUGUUUGGCUAGUUCAGUCUACAUCAAUGUGUUACUGCUAUUUAUUGUAAUAGUCAAAGUAUCCACUUGACUAAAAACCAAAUAAUCAUAAGAGGACGAAACACAUUGAUAUGAAGUUUUAUUUCAUUCGAGAUGCUAUUGCUAAGGGAAAAGUUCUUGUUCAGAAAAUCAAUACCAAGAAAAAUUCUACUGACAUGUUCACGAAACCUCUUUCAAUUUACAUAUUCAAGCAGUGCUUGGACUUGGUUGGUAUUCAUCAUUCAUGAUUUAUCUCCAUUAGGGCUUAUAUAGAGAAAGUGGAGCUGAUUUGCUAUUGUCGAUAAUAGGCACACACCAAUGUGGAGAUUUGUUAUGUGUGAUCCUGUCCUACAUCACCUUUUGUAUAAGGGAGUCUUUCCCUUUGUUAGCUAUAAUAAAGUGGGUCUGUGAUGAGAUUAAGUACACCAAAUCAAGAGAGUUUUAGUGGGCUAUUUGGGCCUUUGACUCAUUAAUCUUUUUUGUUAGUAAAAUUAUUUUAGACUCUCUUGUGCUUUAGUAUUAGAUAUUUUUUGGUCUAGAAAUACUUUCUUAAGACAUUUUUGUACUCUUUUCUUCGUAGUGGAAUUCUGUUCCUCCUCCUCUCGUGAACGUAGGUCAAUUUGACUAAAUUACGUAAAUUUUUGUAUUCCUAUUUUAUUUAUUUUUUACUUUGUUAAUUGUUCUUUGGGAUUACUAAAAACCCUUUCAUCAAUUUUCUGGUGCCAGACCUAACAAAAUGUGCUUGUAAAAUUCAACUGUGAACCUAUCUUGUCCAGGUGCUUUACCCACUGGCAUAUAGAACAUAGCUUGUUUAAUCUCUUCUGAUGUGACAGGAGCCUGCAACAUGUCCACAUAUUCAUCCUUUCACUGGUUUUGUUACAACUUCGUGUAGCUUCUUUACAUGCUCAAAAUGAUCCACUUCAGGUUGGCCAAAUAGCUGUUUAUAGAAGUCAACAUCAAUAGCCUGCACUUGCUCAUGCUCAGUAAUAGUGACCCCAUUGUCAUUUUGCAGUGAAGGGAUAGAAUUCUUGGCUGUAUAUGUAGUUACUUUCAGAUGAAAGAAAGAAGUAUUUUUAUCAUCACACUUCAACCAAGUAACUCUGGAAUUUUCUUUAUAGAAUUCCUCUUCAUCUCUAAGUAAAGCAAUAUAUUCCGCAACUAGUGCUUUCUAUUGCUGGAUCAAUAACUCAUCAAAACAAUUUUCAUGUGAAAGUGUUUGAACCUAAGUUAGUUGCUUCUUCUUCUGAAUUAUCCUACUGGAAAUCUGAGUAUAAUAAUGUUUAUUCAGAUCUUUAAGCUUGCAUUUGAAUUGCUUCAACCUGUAACACAAUUCCUAUACAGGAUUAUUGCUUCUAUGUACAUCUUCCCAUGCCAUGCCUAUGCUAACAACUCUAGAAAUUGUGCAUUUGCAUCUAAUAACUAUGAAAUUUAAAAGGCAAGGGUCCAAAAUUUAUUUUAUUCUCUAAAGUUACACUAACUAGAGAAUGAUCAGAUAUCCCAGGGGCAAGAAAUUCCACAUCAAAUCCAAAAAAUUUCCUCAACCAAGCAUCAUAACCAAAUGCUCUGUCAAUUCUACUAUAUCUCCUCGUUUGUCUUCCCCUUUUGUUGUACCAAGUGUAGUAAAAAUCUUUACCAGGGCAUUCCUCUAUAUCCAAUUCAUUAAUUCAGUCAUUGAAUUCCUCCAUAGUUCCAUGAUCAAAAUCCACACUCCCUAGCCUUUCAGAAGAAUACCUUAAUGUGUUGAAGUCUCCAAGGAUAAGCCAAGGGGUAUUUCCAAUAGCUCUGCAAAUAGUCAGUAAAUGAUUCCACAAACCUCUUCUUUCUUCAAGUUUAUUCUUGCCAUACACCAUAGUGAUAACAACGAAUCAUUGCUAGUAUCCACAUAACAGGAAAUGGAUUGUUCAUGCGAGGCAAGUAAGGAGCACUGAUGUACAGGUUUCCAACAAAACCAGAAUCUACAAACAGCUUGGGUACUCCCAUUAUGGAACAAAUACCAUUGGGGAAACAGUAAUCAGAAAAAGAUAUACCAAAAGUUACAUCUCAUACCUCUUUGAAUGAUUGUAAAGUAUUGGAUUUAUGAUGCAAAACCUAUAAAUCUCAAUAUAAGUUGGAUUGCCUUAUUAUCAAAUUAUAUGUUUUCUUUGUGUAAAUAAAAGACAAAAUAAGAAAAGAUAGAAGGAAGAAAAUUUGAGAACUUUAACUGAAUGGAAAGAAAAACUCGACCAUGUUUAAAUAUCUAACAUAAUUGACACUGGGAGUUUCGGUGAUGGAAAGAAGGGAAAUGAAAAGGAAAAUAAAAUAAAAUAUCAAAAAGAAAAGAAAAAAUUUAGAUGUAAUAUAAGAUAAAAGUAUCCAAAUUAUGAGGAUAUUCUAGUCAAAGAACACUACAUAGAGGUAAAAUGCCUAUUUAGAAAUUUGAAGAGGUAAAGUGCAAACUGACCUCAAAUUUCUUGGGGGUUUAAUGCAAUUAACCCUAUCUAAAAGGAUUUGUGUUUACUGAGCUAACGAAAAAUAAAAUAAAAUGGUUUAUUUUUAUUUAUUUAUUGAAAAUUAUUGAGUUGUAUUACAAAUGUUUUAUCUACAUGCUGCCUUGAGGAAGAUUGCCUUUUACAAAAAGGUAAACGAGCAUUACUGAGAUUGCCCAAAAUUUUGAAGUUCGAAGUUAAUCGAGCAUUCCAAACCCUCCCCCCAAGAAAAAGGAGGUUAAUCGAGCUUUUAGCUUCCCAAUCGGCAUUUGUAAUUGCUAAAAGUCUCUCAAAUCCUUUUUUUUUUAUCAAAGGUCAAAAGCCCUUGAACAAUUUUUGUUUAUUAGAAGAGUGGGUGCUUAAAUAUUUGACCUGUUGACUAUGUUUUGAAACUUAGACCGGACAAUGACUGGGUUGAAGUCCGGGGUUAGGGAACCCAUCUAAAAACCGGGUAACGUCAUCAUGAUGUCAUAUUUAAUUUUAAAAAUUAAUAUUCUAUGUAAAAUUUCUAAAAAUGUAAUAAUCUUCAGAAAGGUAUGUUCAUGUAUAUUUGAUGUUUCUAAGAUAUUUACAAGAAAAUACAACUAAAGUAAUAUAAUCAAGUAGCAAUCUAUAUAAUUUAAUGCAUAUUCAACAAGUUUAGAACUAAAUUAGAGGACUAAUUUGAAAAAUAAUACUAGAAUUUAGGACAAAAACUACAAAUUAUAAAAUUUUUAGGCAUGUUUACAGUUUUCUAUCACUCUAGGGGUCAAAUCAUAAAAUUGACAAAACUUUCAAACCCCAAAGCUGAUUUCCCUAGUUCUUUCCAUUCUUUUUCUCUCAUUAUCUCAUUGGCCGUCAUCAUCCUCUCCAUCUCGUCCUUGUACUUUCUUCUUCAGACAUGUGAAUAGCUGAAAUUUUUUUUUAAAAUUUUCUCCUAAUUUUGAAAUUUUAAUUUAUAUUUCAUUUUAAUUUUACUUUACUUGCUUAUUUGCUGGCCUUAAUUUGAUAGUGAUUUUAAAGGUUAAGUCAAGAUUUUUCUCUUUCACUUUUUAUAUUUUAGUGCAUGUUAAAUUUUGUAGAUUAUUAAGCUAGUUUGACCGACUAGUGAGAUGUGUGCGUUAAAUUUGGUGGACUAGAACAUGUGUGGUGCUAGAGGAAUUAUAUGAUUAGAAGUGUUAAAAGUAUAUUAUAGAAACUCUAAUUAUCUUGGAGAUUAGAAACACAAAAGUGACAAAGAGAUAGGCUUGAAUCAUUUGCCGCCAUUUGUCACUCAUCCCUCAAAGUUUGACUAAGACCCUUUGACCAAAGACAUGUCCUUGCUCUUAUCUUGGAAAAUUGAAGAAAAAUCCAUCAUUUUUCUUCCUCUCUUUGGCCGACUCCCUUAAGCAAGAAAAGAGAGAAAGUUUCAUCUUGAUUCCUAGCUAGAUUUUGUGGGAAAAUCAACCUCAAACCCUAAAUCCAUCCAUAGAAGGUUGCAACAAGGAAGGAAGGAGCUUGGUGAGGUGUGUAUACUAAAUUUGGUGGAUAAGAGUGGGUAUCAAGUAAGAGGAAAUAUGUGAUUAAAAAUGCUAAGAGUAAGUUAGUGAGUCAUAAGUUAAAACAAAAGUACAAGAGAGGCAAAGAAAUAGGCUUGAACCGACUGGCCCGUUUGUUACCGAUUGAAAACACCACUCAACCAAGGCUUUCUUGCCUUAAUUUUCUUAGUUUUCUUUUAUUUUUCUUUCCCUAAUUUUUUCCUAGGGUUGACCGAAAUUAUUGACCAAGAAAGAGAGGAAAAAUGGGUGAUUGCCAAGUGUUGGCAAUCAAGACCUUCUUUGACCAAAAGCUUUCUUCCAUCUUUAUCUUUCCUAUCAUCAAAAUUCCCUUCAUUUUUCUUCCAUGUUGGCCGACCAAAGAGAGGAAAAAAGAGAGGAAGAGAGCUUCAUUUUCAUCUUGAUCUUGCCUUGAUUGAGUGAAGAAUCAACAAGAAUCACUAGUUUAAUCCGAAUAAAGUUGCAACAAGAUGCCAAGAAGGCUUGUAGUGGAGUUAUUUAGAGAGGAAAGCUUUGGUUUUUUCAUUUUCUCCUAGAGGUUGAAAGUAUUAAAUUGGAAAACUUUUUUUCUCUUUCUUAUCUUGCAUUUUAUUUGGGUAGAUGACUACAAUAGAGAAGUUUUAUGGAAGAUAAUCUAGAUUUGUGAAGAUUGGUGAAUUUUCCAGCUUUGUAGACAUGAUAUGAUGGUAUCUAGCCUUGAUACGCACUUGUAUGAAGAUUUAUAGGUUUAAUGUGACUUUUUAGCUUCCAAAUAAGAAUUUCCAACUUUAGUUCCAAAUUUCCCGCCUUGGUAGAGAAUCUUUCAGCUUAGAUAUAUGUUGUUUAUAUGCUAGAGAUAAGCUUAAAUUAGUUAGUUUUGUAACCUAGUAUAAGAACCCCUUUUAGCUUAUAACUUGUGGAGUUGAUUUGGACUGUUUUGUCAUGAAACUUAGCUUGGAAAAUUUGAGGAAAAGUUAAGAAAAAUAGGGGAGGUGCUGCCCGUUCUUCUUCUUGUGGGGCAAGUGAGUAAAAGUGGAAGUAGAUGUGUGAAUUUAGGGCAUUUUGUCUUCCUCUUGUAUAUGACUUUUCUCAAAACACUUAUUACAAUCUAUUUCUUUGCAUGUGUGUUAGUUUUGAACCAAAACAAAGAAAUUUAAGAAGGGAAAAAACCUAGUUUUCCAAACUAAUAGCUUGCUGGAAAAUUUUUGCUGGAAAUCCUGGGUAGCUUUGAGAAAUUGACUAUAACUUCAUAUAGGAAAGUUAGAAUUGAGUUCUGUUUGUUGCUCUUGAAACUAGAUUCAUAGGGUCUUCAACGGUAUAAAAGCCAGGGUUUGGUUCAAUUCCUUUAAAUACCAGCAAAUCUGCAAAAUUUCUUGAAAACCAUGACUAUCCUAUUUUUGCACAUGAGACAGCAAUGAGUUUGAACUAAAAUUUGACUAACCUAUGAGCUGAAUUUCAAGAAGAUUCUUCUAAACCCUGUUAGUGCUUCGAGUCUAUUUCUUAAUGGUGUAAGUUUUGUGAUUUUUUGACCUACAGAACUCAAGUUAUGCUUUUUCAAAGAAUGUCACCAAAGCUGGAAAUUUUAUCAAAUGAAUUGAGUGGGACUUGGAAAACUUUUCUAGGUCUUAAACCUUAAUUUGGUGUGAUUUUGGAUGCUUAAAUUACUGUCCUCACUUUUAGAAUACUUGUGUUGGAUUUUAUCUUUAUGUCUCGAGCUCAAAAUGAGAAGUAUAUGGAAUACCUUGGAAUACUAGAUGUGUAUGUUUUGGCUAGUUGAAUCUACUAAGUUUAAAUCUAUUGUGAUUGUGAAUCUUGCCUCAGGGUUUUGGUAGCGAUCAAGGUUAUCAUCCAGAGAGUUGACAUUUAAUCAACUGAUAUCGGUGAGUGUUCCUUGCAUGUUGUGCUUCCAAUGACUAUGUGGAAUGUUGUGAAUGUUUGCUUAGAUGUUAAAUGUUUUUCAAUGAUUGUUAAAUGGAUUUUCAAUGGGCGAGUGUGUAUUUUAUCGCACUCGACCUAAGUGAAUGCGAAUUUUCAAUGAUCGAAUGAUUAAAUGUUACUUGUGCAUGAAUGUAAGCCUUUGGCUAAACUGGGCCCUUAUGUGACGCCCCCACUGCUCUCUAAGGCGAACCAAAGGGUAUCCGCGAGACGCCUGCCCAAUUCUCACCAGGACUCAAGCAAACACCAUUCAAGCUUAUAGCUGUGCUAGAAAUCAACAACCAGAAAAGAUAAAUACAAUUAGUAUGGAAGCGUUCAAGCUUAACGAAAUAUAACAAUCGUCCAAUCCUUACAUCGGGUUUCCAUACUACAGCCCAAAAAUAUACAAUAUCCCAAAAGUCUAGUCAAAAGAGUUGGAACCCUAUUACAUGAGUACACAAAAGAGAAAUUCCUCCGAAUCUCACUCCAAGCACAAAUCCUGUUAAGGAAAACAAAUCUACAGGGUGAGCAAAAUGCUCGUGAGGCCAAGAACACACAUACAGGCAUGUAGUUCAAGUAACACCCCCAAAUUAAUCAAUUUACAACAAUAACCAUUCAAUAAAGAGCACUUUACUGAAAAGUAAACAGAAACAAUUCAAGGAUAUGGGAGCUCUCAGGAGCUAUUUUCCACUUGUACGAUCAUGAACCUCCACGCGUUGACACUCCGUCAACCGGGUAGGUUUAAUCCGUAGAAACAUCACUUACACUUCCCCUUCUCAACCUUACAUACCACACCGGGCCCGCAAUACAUUUAUGAGGCGAUACUUCAGCGAGUAUGCCAAGUAAGACCUCUCAAUAGGUCGAGCUUAUGAAAUCUCAUGGUUCACUGAGGAGCUCGACCAAGCCCCUGCUGGCUCGAGUCCAAGGCUAGCCAAUAAGAGAGUUUGGGCGUCCCCCACUUUUACACUUUGUAUCGAGGAGGUUCAUUCCAACGACUUAUGCAAUCACAGCAUAAAUAAUCACUUAAGCACUUCACAUAUAUUCACUUAACCAAUUACUUAAACAAGUAAGCACUUCACUUCACUAACUCAAAUUCACUUCGUUUAAAUGAGGACGAGUGCGAUAAAGUACACACUCGACUCAAAGGUUUAAAAGUCCAAAUUUAUAUACCACUUAUCAAUUUGCAGAUAUUUCACAUAAUUCACACACUUGACACUCACCAAUAUAAGCAACGAGGAAGAAAUGUCCCUCGGAGCUUUAGGCGUUCACUGUGGGAUCCUCUUGAAGGUCCUCGUGUGCACCUGAGCAAAUAAUAGUGAAUUAUCAUUCAUACAUCCCAAUUAUCAAGGAAGAUCGUGCACGAGUACAAUCUAGGGGAAAUUUCAUGAUAAUGAACCUCAAUUACUCGUAAAUCGAGAUUCAAGUGGAGUUUCUUAAAGUAUAAGAGCAAUCGAGUCUUUUGUCUUGAAAAUCAAGCAUAAACGUUCAAGUACUAUCGAAGGAAUAAGGAGUACUUGAAAAAAACUUCAUUUCCUUGAAGUGCGGAAAUUUUCAGUUUUUGAUAUGAUAUUUUGAAAAAAUCGUAUCUCACAUUUCACAUGUCGAAAAUUGGAAAACUUGAUACCGUUGGAAACUUCUUCCAAGGUACUAAAAGUUCCUAGAAUACACUUUUCUAAGAUUCCAAAUGAAAAACAUUCAAAAAUGAGCUCAAAGUCGCUGUUUUGGUUCAUAAGGCAGAUUUAGGUUGGUUUUUGGCCAACUUUGAAAUUUCGGUAAAAUUCACUUGAUUGGAACUAGCCUUUAAAAUUUGGAAAUCUACUAGAGUUGCAAUCCAAGUUUACAACAAAACAAGCGGAAUGAGAAACGGAGUUUUGAGCACUAUGAUACGGCAGCUCAAAGUUACCAAAAUUCCCUUGUGAAAUAAGGAUUUUCCAAACUCGAGUCAUGAAUUUUGGUAAUUUAUUUGAGCCAUGAAACAGCCUCAGAAUAACACCAUAAUUAGUAGUAUAAUACUACCAUAUAAGGGUUGUCUCUCUACCAAAUUUCAUGGAGAAAUAACUUCGGAAAGGUAGUCAACCAAACAACCAAAGUUUCGAAAAAUCCUAAGGCAAAACUGCCUUGAGCUUUUUGUUUUCCAUUCCAAAUAUUUGGCCAAGGAAAAUCCUUCAAAUUCAUUUGUGUAGGAUAAGCCUAAGGAACAUUCAUGGUACAUUUGGUAAGUGUUUUAACUCCAAGAAAUUCAAUUGGCAAGUCCACACCAAGUCUAGCAUCAAUUCUGUCCAAAAUUUAGGGUUUUCAAGAACAGGGCAGGUUUCGUAUUUUGAUCACAAAUCACUCAAUUCAACUCAGAAUUAAGCAUGGUUGGUGGCGUUGGAAAAUAAAUUCAUAAAACUAUAAUUUCACAGAAGAAAUUGUUUUGAAAUUCAGCUCACAACUAGUUCAAAGUCGAGCCUCAAGUUGUAGCUUCUGAAUUUCGUUCCAGGAAAACAGAGAAACAGGACAGUCAUCUUUAAACGGUUGGUACGGGGUAUUCGGGUGGAAUUAGGGGUUACAUUUUAUACCGUUGGAAAGCUGGGAAUGUCUAGUUUCAAAUUCCACUAACGACACUUGAUUUCGACGUCGGAGCACAGAGUUAUGGCCGAAACAGGAAGGUUGUCUGAGCAUUAAGGGAAAAUGUUUCCAGGUUUGCUAGCUUCGUGAGAUUAAUCCAUUUGACCAACCAAACCUCAAUAUUUUUUGAUGAAACUUUAUACACCAUCUAUACCACGUAUAAACAUCAUACAAAAGCCAUUAAAAUCUCAAAAUUCCGCAUAAAGAGGCACGAUCAUAACAGGGGCAGAAUUGGAAAUUUUUUAUCCAUGCACUCCUUGAAGUUUAUACUAGCUAUGCACCAUUAAUCUACCAAUUUGAGCACUAAAUCAAAAUUAAAUCCAUCAUCAAACAUCAUAUCAGCCAUCAACCCAAGAGUGGGAGUUCAUAGAGCCCACAUUCAAAAUUUUCUAUGAAUUUAAAGCUGCCCAUGAGAAUCCAAGAGCUCAUGAGUGUAAUCUAUCUUCCAUAAAUCAAGAAUUAAGUGGUUUGAUCAUUACUUACGUUUGUUGAUGAGCUAAGCAGAAAUUUUGGUCCUUCCCUUGGCCAAGAAAACCGUGGUUUGCAGCUCUCCUUUGUAGCUUAAUGUGAUCUCCAAGUAUUAAGCUAAGUGUAGUUCAAUUUUGGUUGAAUUUAGUGAAGGUUUGUGCAAGAUUUAGAGAUGAAAAUUUGAGAAACUUUGAGUUGUUUUUUGCAGCUGAUGGUUCGGCCAAAGUGAGAGGGAAAGAGAGAGUGUGUAGUGCUGAAAUAAAGCUUCUAAAGUAAGCUUAAAUGUGUGGCCACAAUUCACCCGAAAGUCAACUCUUUCUCGCGCGUGUACGCGCGCAUUUUGGGCUCGAUUCCUCUCGAGUUUAUUUCACUAGUGUACUAAACCUCCAAUACACUUAUAUUCCUAUUAUUAUUAUUUACUCUUAAUAGUCCCAAAAUAAUAGUCUAAAGUCCCUCAAUUAAUCACACAAGUGAAAACGCGUAUUUCCAAUUUAGGCGCGAUGGAGUGAAACCUUCGAGAAAUUCUUAUAACGAUCGUACCACUAACUAUCACUUGAGUACUUAAACCUAAAAUUACCUAUUUUAGGACCAUUGUACAUGUCUCCAAUUUUCCGAGCUUAUUGUACUCCCAAUUGGCUAAAAUUUUCAAAAACGUUUUCACUAUUUUCAUUAAUCGAGCUUCCAAAAAUUAAUUUUUGAAACGAGUCGCUUUAAAAAUAUAAUGAAGUCAUAAUUCCAUGUAUUUAAGUCUAAUAAGGUUAGAAAAUAAUAAUCAGAGCAAAUAUUCAGAUAAAUAAUUAAAUAAGCAAAAAUAGGAGUCUAAAAAUAAUAAUUUUUACGAGUCCUCACACCUUACCCUUCGUUGCCAGUUGACUCGAGCCAGAAGCGAAAUCAGUCAGGCGGCUGGUGACCCUGGGACAGUGUUUGGUAUACUCGAGUAUGACCACGAAAUAAGGUGGAGAACUGGCCAGUGAAUGCAAUGCAAUGAAUGAAUGAAAUGAAUACUGAAGGAGUUUUCACUUUUAAUGUUUUCAAAUGUUGGAGGAAUAAGGGAAAUGGUCAGCGACUGAAUGACUGAAUGAAUGCCUUUAAGUGAGCACGUAUCCUUCCAAUGAUUAAAUGUUUGUUUCUUGAAUGACUGUUUAUUACUGUGCAAAUUGUUAAAUGUAAUACUUCCCUGGUUUAUCUACCUAAUUGCUUGUUUGGGAACCUCAUUGGGCUUUUGGCUCAUUCCUUUAGUUUUUGUUUUCCUUACAGGAGUGGAGGCCGGAGCAAGUAAGCGUGAAAUAGUGUGUAUAAUUUUCAUGUACUUGUAUUUUUGUAGAUGAGAUGUAUUUGGGAUCUUUGUUAAUGGAAUCCUAUGUUUCAUUUUUGGCUUGUAAGUUAAGUCAAAAUUCUUGAAUGAAUGGAACUUUUAUGUUAAUCUAGAGGCGUGAAAGACUAUUUUAAAAAUAUUAGUGAGUGAGUCCUGAUGAGAAUUGGGCAGCUGGUCCGCCAAACCCUUGGGUUCGCACUAGGGGAAGGUGGGGUCGUCACAAGACGCAUUUCUCCCUCUGUUUCGUUUCUUUUUUUUUUCGCCCCUUUUUCACUUCUGUAUCUUUGCAUUUCUUUUUCUAUUUACCACAUGAAAAUCAUCAACACUAUUUUUUGGUUGGGCGAAAAUCAUCAACUCACAUUAAGUUUCUUCUGUCAAAUGCUAAAGCUGGGUCUGCUAUAAGAAAACGUGGCUCAACCAUAAAUGAUUUCUAGACACAGUCUGGAAAAUCAUCAACUUCUCUUCUUCUUUGUUUCUCAAUUCUUUUAAUUUUAACUUUAGAUCUUUCAAUAUUUGUGCUGGAAUAGCCAUAUGUGACUAUACCACUGCUGUUGCCGUCAAAUCUGCACUCAAGGAUCGAUAUCCAUGCUGAAAAUUUUGGGAGAAAAAUAGCAGAAAUUGGAUGUUAGAAAAAAAAAUUCGGGUAAAAAUAGUAGAAAUUGAAUGCUAAAAAAAAACUAAUUUUCCCAGUUGUACCAAGUUUCCGGUCAAACCCGAGUUUUGACCGGUUUUGACCAAGUCUUUAUCACCCGAGUGUUUGAACAAACUCGGACUGGACAUGUCUCCGGAUUCCAAUUCAACCGGUUGCACCGGCAGGUCUGAUCCGAGUUUAAAAGCAUGGCUGUUGAGGUGUCGUGCAGGGCCAUGGUGAGCGUGAGCAACACUACAAUUGUUACUUUCAUUCAUUGGGAACUACUCUACUUUUCAAGCGCACGCUUUCAAUACCAUUUUCUUUCGUUUUACUUCGCAUCUCGUGUAAUUGAAAUUUUAUCAGUUCAACAAAGUGCUUAUGACCAGAGUUUCAAACCUUUCUGCCUAUAUAUUUCAAAGGGUCUUCCUAAUGGAUGUCAAUGGCACUCUUUAAUGUACCUAUAUUUCACCCAACUUAUCAUAUAUGCAGUUGAUUCCAUUUUGUACCCUUUAAUUUUAGCCCGAUUCUCACUCGCAUUCUUAAACUUCAAAACUAGACACAUAAAUUCCUAAACCACAAAAUCUAUUUCACUUAACUACAAUCUUUGACGGAAUGGAGAAAGCUAACACAAAUGUUAUCACAUUCUGUUAACUAGUUGUUAUACACAAAAUAAUUCAAAUUUAUUGAGCACAUAAAUGUGAAUUCAUUAGACCAAAAAGAAUAAAGCCUUUCAAUCCUUCAAAAAAAGGUAAGUUUUCUUCUUCUUCUUUUUCCUUUUUUCUUUUUCCGUUUCUUCUUCUUCAUUCUUCUUUUACUUAUUCAUUUUGUAUUUCUUCUUCCUCUCAGGCUCAAAAGAAAGUCUCGACUCAAUCUCUACUCUCUAAUCCUGACAAUAUCUAACCUCACAUUGAAUGAUAAACCCAUUCAAAAAAUCUAGAUGUGUCAUCUUAUCAACUCAAUCUCCAGUCUCUAAAAGAUUACAUAAAUUUCCUUAUCUCUAGGAAUUGAAGAUAUAAGUGGUGUCUUGUCGGUGAGUAUAGAUUGGGAUAUUAAUGUGAAGCUUUUUUAGUUUUUAGUACAAUUAUUGAAGACUGAUUUGCCAGCUUCUCAAGAUCCGACUUGAAUAAUUGCCGCCACUAAGUUCCAUGAUAGUAUGAAGGCUCCAGUUCACUUCACAGAGAUAAGGCUGAUUUGACGAAGCAACAAAAGAUACUGGUCAAAUUGGCCGGAAUUGCCAAUUCCAUCAAGAUUACUAGAAUUGGUUUAUGAAAAACAAAAAAAAAUUCAUGACACCCUUUUUACAUCAAUUUCAAUAAUGACUGAAAAGUUUCUUUUUUCUGCAUCUUCAGUAUUGCAUCACUACUUUGGUUAAGAUUUUUUUUUAAUUAAGAGUUCUUGGUUAGCAGAGGUGUUUAAGGCAUAAUAAAAAUGGGUUAUACAAAAUUAUGUCCGUUUUGAGAAUACUUGGACUAUUCGUUGGAAAUUGAAGGUAACAAGGGGAAGAACAAGGGCUGAUUAAUUUGAAGGUAGAGAUGGAAGGAGCUGGCUUCUAAUCAUGGGCAAUGUAGAGGAGAGCAUCAAAUUUUUUUGUCUUUUAUUUCCUUAUGGAUGCAAUUUGUGACAAAAUAUUUCUUGGCUUUAGUUGCAGGGAUCGAGAAAGACGCAUAUGCAUUCUGGUGUUAGAUCUAUUGAUUGAAGCUAUUGGCAAUUGUGGUAGAUCUGGAUUUGGAGAAAAAGGAAGAAAAGGGAAAGCAAAAAAAGAAAAAGAAAUUAUUGCUUAAUUUCAAAAUUUUUGAGGUAUUCUUUGGGAUUUUAAUUUUACAUUUAUGUACCUAAUAAAUUUGAUUUUUUUAAUUUACAAUAACAAGUUAACGGAAUAUGCCAAUUAUUCUGUUAGUUUUCUAUAUUCAAUCACGGAUUGCACUCAAGUGAGAUGAAUUUUGUAAUGGGAAAAUCGCCCAAAACGUCCCUCACAUUUUGUAAAAUAACUUUUUUCAUCCCUCACUUUUAAAAGUGUAAUUUUAUGUCUCUUACAUAUGCACAUCGGUCAAAUUUAGUCCCUAACUAGGUUUCCGAUCAUUUUUUGGCCGGAAUCCAUCACGUGCAAGGCACGUGAUCAUUUUUUAAGGGUAAAUUUGUUAAAUUAUAUUUUACAUAAUCUAAUCUAUAGUCCUCCACAUUUUAUAAAACAAAUUUUUUCAUCCCUCACAUUUCACAAAAUGAAUUUCUCUAUCCCUCACAUUUCAAAAAAUGAAUAUUUCCAUCCCUCACUAAUUAUGUGUGUAGGGAAACCCUAAAAAAAAAAUAUGUGUGUGAAUACAUUUUGUUUAAACACAUGUAUAUGUCUAUUUGAUUUUGCUUAAUAAUACGAAUAGCAUAAAUAUAUGUAUGUGUCUAUUUGAUUUCACUUAACAAUACGAAUACCAUAUAUUAUACAUGAUCAUUUGAUUUCAUCUGGUAUUAGCUAGUAAAAAAUCUUGCAUUCAUUGUCAAGUUGGCCAAUAAAGCUAUUUUCGGUCAAAAUACAAUAAGAAUAUACAAAUUAAGGUUCUAUUGGUAAAUAUUAGUCAUAAUCAUACAAAAAGAGAAAAUAGCCCACAAGUUGGGCCCAAUUACAUACAUGUGUUUGUGCUAUUAUGAUUAAGCAAAAUCAAAUAGACAUAUACAUGUGUUUAAAAAAAUGUAUUCACACACAUAAUUAGUGAGAAAUGAAAAAUUCAUUUUUAAAAUGUGAGGGAUGGAGAAAUUCAUGUUGUGAAAUGUGAGGGAUGAAAAAAAUCAUUUUAUAAAAUGUGAGGGACGAAAAAUUUUAUUUUAUAAAAUGUGGAGGACUAUAGAUCAGAUUAUGUAAAAUAUAAUUUGACAAAUUUACCUUUCAAAAAUGAUCACAUGCCUUGCACAUGAUGGAUUCCGGCCAAAAAAUGAUCGGAAACCUAGUUAGGGACUAAAUUUGACCGAUGUAAAUAUGUAAGGGACAUAAAAUUACACUUUUAAAAGUGAGAAAUGAAAAAAGUUAUUUUACAAAAUGUGAGGGACGUUUUGGACAUUUUGGACGAUUUUCCCUUUUGUAAUUUAGGGAGUUAAAUGUCCCAACUUGAAGUUUGAGGAUAUAAGAGGGAGUUAGGUCAAAGUUAAAAGGUGCAAAGGGGGAAUUAACUCUCAUAUAUAUACACACACUAACAAUUAUCACCCUAUAUUACAAUUAUACACUUUUUCUUAAUUAACUUUAUCAUUUCAAAUAUCUAACACCUGAAGUAUAUUUUAAAGAAUAUCCAAUGGGCAUCCCUAUUUCAAAAGUGAAGUUUCCAAGUAUAUACUCAAAGCAUUAAAUACAUAUAAGUGCAAUCUUCUUCUACUAUUAGCACAAAUUUUGCCAUGAGAAAAGACGAGAAGCAAGAGAAUCCUUGUAUUAUUUUCUUUUUCUUUUUGUAACACUUUGGUUAUUUGGUAAAACAAUUAAGUAUUUAAAAUUAAUAAAAUUAUUUGUAACAAAAAUAUCUAACCUCUAAGUCCUUCUGAUGACCGCUCCUGUCUCUCAAAUUUCCUGGCUUCACUGGCUUGACGAACACGCCUGCAUCAAUGUUUUCAAAACCGGCUAUAGUUGAAGUUGUCCAAGAAUCGGUCAAGACCGGUCAAAACCAUCCAACCCGGUAAAUCGGGUCAAACCGCUAAUUUCCGGUUUUUUAGUUUUCCUUCAAUGUAUUUUUUUAAGUUUUGCAAAAUGUGACUAGUAAGGAUUGAACUCAAGACCUUUGCUACUCAAGACCAACAUAGUAACCAUUGCACCAUCAUAUCCACUUGUCUUUUAUUAUACCACAUUUGUAUAAUAUAAAUCUCCAUCUUUCUUUCCUCCGUUUUCCCUACAAAAUCUCAUGCUCUCAUAACUUUUUCUUUAUAAUUUUCAACUCUCUCUCUCUCCUCUUUUCUUUUGUCACCCUUUUUUAAUCAAACAUCUUUAGUUUUAAUUUAUUGAUGUUUUCUUACAUCUUUUAAUUUUAUUUUUGUCUAUUAAAUUGAAUUUUUUUAAAAAAUAAUUGUUUUUCUUUAACCAUAAAAACUAAUUAUUAAAUGCCACAAUCACUCACUUUCAUUUCUUUUUUUUUUUGCUUCUUAUCAAGUUUGCAUCUCUAUUUUCGAUUUUCUUGACUUGCUCCAAACUCUAAACUUCAAACUUUUUUUUAAGAUGCAAUCUCUAAAUUCCAAAAAGUGAAUUAAAAUUUGAACUCACAAUGUCUAAUUCUCAUAGACAUGAAUUUUGUAUAAUUUUAAAAUAUUGUGAUAUUGUUGGGUGGGAUUUAAGAUUAUUUUUUUGGUAGAUAUAAUUGAGAUUGUUUCAACUUACAAUUUAAAAAAUUUAUUUUUGAAAAUCCUAGUUUUUUUAAAAUAUUAAACUUUUCAUCAUAUAAAGUUUUAAAUUAGUCCAUUGCAUGUCUUAUUUUGUGCAUAUAUAUAUUUAUAUAAAUUAUUUUUAAAAAAUUCAUUGAACCAGGGGUUGAACCGGUCCGACCGGUUGAACCUUGACCCGAACAUUUCACCAAUUCAAUUAACGAUCCGAGUUUUAAAACAUUGGCCUGCAUCCUUUCUCAAUAAAUCUUCUGAAAUUUCCUCUUUUAAACUUCUUUUAAUCACGAACCUCUGAAUUCAACAUCCAAGUUAAAUUAUGAGAAAAAUCACGAGAUUAGCACAAUAAUUUGCCAUAAUUACAAAAGUAAUUUCUCAAAAAAAAACACUUAUUAAAUUCACCAUGACAUAUGAAUUAUAAAGAUAAAAUUUCAUUAAAAAAAGUGGGUUGACUUCUCUAAGAUGACAAUUAAUUUGGGACAAGAAAAAAUGACAAACAUGACAAAUGUCAUGGGAGUGAGGGAGUAAUGUUCUCUCAGGAUUAUUAUUUCAGACCCAUACAAUGUUACAUGUACAUGCGUACUUUCCUUCACUGUUAUUGAAGGAAAUUAAACCAAGCUGUGUUUAGUUUCCUAAUCCUUUUAGUUUAUUGUUUUGGUGUCUUGUAUGUUUAGUUUCCGUAUUGGUUUAAGAAAUCUCAAAUUAAUUUCCAAAUAAGUUUCAGUUUACAAUUGUUUUUGUUUUAUGAAACUUUGUAGUUUAUAAAUACUACCAGUUUAGUAGGUUGUUACUUGGAGAGUUGAGUUGAGUCUUAAAAAAUAGGUUUGAGAGAAAGUCUCAUAGUUGAGAUUUAUGAAUUAUCGUGAGUGAAAGGCUACGACUUAAUAUUUGUUUUUAUUAAGUUUUGAGUUAAUAAAUAGUUGAGUAUAUGUUUGUGUGUUUAUUCUCUUCCUCUUCCCACAUUUUUUCUAUAUGUGCUAAAAUUGCUUUCAGAGAUAUGUGACACUAUCAAGAUGAAUGGAGUAAGUGAAGAUGCAAUUAGACAUGGAUUAUUUCCAUUUUCAGUGCAUGAUAAAGCUAAGGUAUGAUUGCAAUCUCAUUCUUCUACCACUUUUACUACUUGGGAUGCCUUGUCUCGAGACUUUUUGAAUAAAUAUUUUCCAACUUAGGAUGGAUAUUACUAGUUUUAAUCAACAUGAUGGUGAGUCAUUUUAUGAAGCAUAGGAAAGAUUUACAGAUUUUUUAAGAAAAUGUCCACAUCAUGGACUUCUCGAUUGGCUUAUAAUCCAAACAUUUUAUAAUAGCUUAUCUUUUCAAAUUAAAACUAUAAUUGAUGCAGCCACAGGUGAAACAUUAAUGGGUAAAUCACCGAAGGAAGCCCAAAAUUUCAUUGAAGAAAUGGCAGCCAAUAACUAUCAAUGAGCAAAUGAGAGAGGUAAUCUAAGAAGGCAAGCAGGUAUGUUGGAAAUGGAUACUCUUAACAUGUUGAGUGCCCAAAUGAACAAUGUGAUUAAGUUGCUUAGUAAACAAGCCGAAGUUGGUGCUAUUUCGUCAUCCAAUGUAAGUUUUGCUUGUUGUGCCACAUAUGGAGGGGAUCAUAAAACUAAUGAAUGUAUUGAUCUUGAAUAGGUGCAAUUUGUCAAUAAUUACAAUCGAUCAUCACAAAACAAUCUGUACUCAAACACAUUCAAUUUGGGUUGGAGAAAUCAUCUAAAUUUUGGAUGGAAAUAUCCAAAUAAUCAACAAAGGCUUACAAACCCAUUUGACUUCCAACCAAGGCAACCAAUUAGGGAGACUAAACUGGCUUAGGAAUUGGCAUUCAAGUGGCUAGCUAAUGGGUCUAGUGAUAAGAUUGAAAGAACUGAGGAGAAGAUGGACCCACUUACAACUAUGUAUAGAAGUUGGCCAAUGCCAUCAAUGUUAGGCAACCGGGGUGAGCUUCCUAGUAGGACCAAGGUUAAUCUUGGAGAUCAUGUAAAUGCAAUCAUGCUUAGAAGUGGUAGACAUUUAGAGGAACCUAAUCUUGCUAAGAGGAGUGAGACCAAGGAUAAGGAAAUAGCAAAAGAAGAGGUAGAAAGGAAGGGUAAAGAUCAUAUAGCUAUUGACGUUGAGUAUCCUACUUCAAUUGUUGCUAAUGAUUCUAUUCCUUUUCCUGGCAAGUUGACAAAAGACAAUAAAGAUAGGGAGUUUGAAAAAAUUCUUCAAAAUUUCAAAUAAUUGCACAUUAACAUUCCUUUGAUUAAUGUCAUUAAGCAGAUUCCUUCCUAUGCACAGCUCUUGAAGGAUAUUACAUCCAAGACGAGGAAGAUUGUGGAUAAUGACACAAUUGCAUUGAUAAAGAAAUAUAACACGUUGAUUCAAAAUAAACUACCUCCUAAAAUGAAUGAUCGUAGAAGUUUUUCAAUAGCUUGCACUAUUAGUGAUUUAAAUUUUACUAAUGCAUUAUGUUAUUUAGGUGCAAGUGUCUUACUUAUUCCUUUCUCAAUUGCUCAAAAGUUAGGAUUGAAGGAAGUAAAGGCUGUGAAUAUCAUUUUGCAAUUGGCAGAUAGGUCUAUUAAAUAUCCUAUAGGUAUUUUGGAGAAUGUGCUUAUAAAAGUGAAACAAGUUAUUAUACCUCUGGAUUUUAUAGUCUUACAUAUGGAAGAAGAUGCGAAAAUGCCUAUUAUUUUAGAAAAGCCUUUCUUAGCCAUGACAGGUAGUAUAAUUGAUGUUCUAGAAGGUAAGAUGAUGUUUUGAGUCAAUGGUGAGAUUGUAGAAUUCAAGUUCUAUCAAGCCAAGGAAAGUGAACCAAUUGAUCUUGACUUACAUGGUUCAUGUAAUGAAAAAAGUGCUUUAAAGGUAUGUGAAGAGGUUAACUCUUCAAGUUUGAUUCAAUAUGAUUUUCAUAUUUAAGGUAUUGAGCAUUUGGAUGAAGCAAUUGUAGAGCAAUCCAAGCCUAUACCAACUCAAGUCCAAGAGAAUAUAGGUAAAAAGUGGUAUCAUCUUGAGGAGGGUAAGUAUUUUCUACUUAUAAGUGAUUAUGAGCAAAAUUACGAUUUGCCUAACUUACCUCUUAAGCUUUUGAGGGUGUUAAAUGAUGGAGAUUCAUACCAUGUUCAUCACCAAGUGGAGUGGUUUGGAAGCUUUGAUCCAUGGGGAAGGCAUUGCUCCCCAAUUUACUAUUAAAGGAAGAAUCAUUUUGAGUCGAACUUAACGACUUUAAACAAAGCGAUUGUUGGGAGGCAACCUAACGAUUUCUUGUUUUUGAUAUAUUUUUAGUUGUUUCACCAGUGUUUUGUGUGCUUUGUAGGUGGCCAUAACAAGGUUCAUGUAAAUCAUCUCAAGUUCAAAAGUGCAUACAUUGAGGCAAAAGGAGCUUUCAUGUCUAAUUCAUGCAUUCCAUGCAUUUAAUGUAGUUCAUAUUUGUGUUAUAGUAAUGCAUGAUCUUGUGUUUCUAAAUGUAUUGGAUUGAAAAAGUGCAUUUUCUCGGGCUAAAUUCAAAUUUUGCUUGAAGAACAUGAAAUUAGUUGAAAAUCGGACGAGAGCAGGAACUUAACCAAAUAGGGAGGAAAAACUGCAGAAACUUAGCCAAAUAGAAAAUUGGAGGAAAAACUGUAGAAAUCAAAGUUUCUAUAGUAAAUCCAGCCAAGUUCCAACCGAAAAUCAUUGGCAAGGGAAGCAAAAUUCUUUGGUGAGGUUAUUGAUGAUUACUGGUGAUAAUUAAUACAUGGGUAUGUGAUUAUUUAGUGAAUUUGGUAAUUUUUAGCUAAUUUUUGGUCUUAAUGUGACUUGAUAUAAUUGUGAUGAUUAUUCGCUAAUGUGUUGAAUUAAAUUGCUUGGAAAUAAUUUUGUGAAGAUGGGUUAUUUGUACUAUGAUAUUUACAUGUUAAAAUUGUGCAUAGUUUGCUUAUUUCUUGAUUUUUGCAUGAGUGUUCUAGGAUUUAUGGAAUAGUUAAUUUAUAAUCUUUUUAAGCCAAAAUUUCAUGUUCGAAGAUGCUAUUUAGCAUUUAUUUAUGCUUAAUUAGGUCAUUAAUAAGUGAGUGAGUAGUGUGUUUGCCUCAAUUGGAGUUUGCAUAAUUGCUUCCUCUAUUGUAAUUAUUGCACCUGAAUUAUUGGGGAAUUAUUUCUUAUUGUAUUUGUGUGUUUCACUUGGGAAUUUAAUAGAUCAUUUGUUGAAGUUAAUAGUUGUGCUUACUUAUGAUAUUGAUUGAUACUUGUUAUGUAAGUUAGUUAACUAUUUUGCCUCUUUUAAGAGAAGGGUAAAUAUGAGCAUAUGCUUAUUAUACUUAAUUUAAUUAAGUACCUAUUCAAUGAAAUUAAUGUUUGUAAUUUUAUUUAGGUACAAGGCUCGCACUAAGAAUGUCGGGGUGAAAUCUCCAUCUCCCAAUAGAAAAGGUGAAGCUUCUAUGUCUACUUCUAGGCCACCACGUACCAAAAGAAAAACGAGUAGUUGUCUUGUUCUUGAAGAGGAAUCAUCAUUCGAAGUGGAGAUUCAUCAACAAGAAAAACAAGAAGUUGAACAAGUGGAGCAAGUUACAUAUGAUAGAACACUGUUCACCUUGGCCAAAAAUGAAGUAUGGUAUAACCCCCGAUUGGCAGCUAAGGUAUUACUAGAGAAGAAUGUGACUCCUGAUGUUGAGAAAGUGUACCAUCUUAAGGAAUAUUUUGCUAAGCUGAAAUAGGAGAAUUUCUUUAAUCUUCCAAACAGUUGUUAUGAAGACCUUGUCCGUGAAUUUUAUGCAAACGUGGAAGGCAAGCAGUCUUUCCACUUUAACAGGGGAGAAAUUACGAGUAUAGGUAUAAAAUUAUGAGUAUAGGAGAAAUUAUGAGAAAUUAUGAGUAUAGGACAAUGAACCAAAGGCUGAAUCCAUCGAGCUAAUUUGAAAGAUUUUCUUCAUGUUCCUGAUGCUAGGUAUAAGGUUGAUUUGAAGAAAGUAUUUAAACAUCGUGACUCGGACUCAUGGAACAUGGUAGAGGCACUUGUACGCUUGGGAGUUGAGUAUAAAGCCACUUGCAAAAUCGGGUGAUAUUCCGUAUUAACUUCCACUUUGAAGGAGCCAUAUCGUCUUCUCAUCUGUUUGUUUGCCUCCAAUGUUAUUCCACGAGCGAGUGGUACUAAUGAGGCGCACACUAGUGAUUUCUAUUUCUUAGACAAAAUGGAGCAUGGAUUAGGCAAUCUCCAAAGUAUUCCAUUAUGAAGCAUUAUCACCAACCACAUGUGGACAAUUGUUCAAAAUAAUGAUGUCAAACAUGCUUUCCUAUAUGCUCGUUUCUUAACAUUGCCAUUUCAAAGGGCUGGAGUGAAUUUCACUAAUGCUAUCCCUACGCGCCUCAAGAAGAAAGAUGUGUUUAUACUGGAUUUUUGCAAAUAUCUUUUCAAGGCAAAAGAGAUUAGUGGCCCUUCAACUCAAGGUGACGUUCAAGGUGAAGCUCGACAGGAGAAAGAAGUAGAAAUUGCAUAUUUAAAAGAAGUUCAAGGGGUUGAGACAACUUCCCAACCGACUUCAACCAUUCCUUCCUCCUCACAUCCUCCUCUAUCACCUCAAGACGCUUGAUCUUUUUUCGAAAAGAUGGACAAAUUGCUUUGUAUCGAGGCCAAGGUAAAGAAGAGUUGAAGAGAGCAUAAAAGGAACUCUGAGCAUUUUUGAUGCACUAAGGUUAAACUUGGCAACAAUGCACCACUGACUCCACCCUCUUCGCUUGACCAAGUGGCUACUUAAGUGAGUGAUCAUCUCAUUUCCCCUUGUCCUUUCCCAAUUUGCAUGAUUCCCCUUCUCAUUGCAUUUUAGUUUCCUUUUUAGUUGUUUUUUGUAUUGUUUUAGCUCUUUUUAUCCAAGUCAUCUUCAAUUAUGCAGUAGUGCUUGAGAUUUGAUGGGAUUAGAACAACAUCACAAGGCAUUGGACUUAGAAAACACAAGUUAUAAGAGGAGUAUUAUUUCUUAUCAUUUUGUUCUCUACUUCUCACACAUUGAGUACCAUGUGUAGUUUAAGUGUGAGGGAGGGGAAUUAUUUGAAAUUGCAAUUUUAUGCCUUGUGAUGGGAUUUUAUGCCUGUUAAUGCUUGUGAAAUGUUGGAUUGAUAUUUGGAAAUAAUGUUAUGUGAUUUUUUUUAUCAAAUUUGAGUUUGUUGGUAGGGACUUUCGUCCAUUCUUAUGGGGAAACUGUGUCAAAAAUUUUCCAAAAUAUUUUGACAAAUUUCAUUUUGGCCCAAAAAGUUUUAUCUUUUUGCUAUCUUAUGUUAAUUGGGUCAAAUUGUUCCAUCCAUUAUAAUUUUAAUUCUUCUACAUGUUGAAACAAUUAUGUGCAUCUUAGAAAAUUUAGUCCUCAUUUCAUUUGGAAUUAGUUAUUAUGCAAUUAGGAUUUUUGUUUCUUAGAAAGUAUAUCUUAUAAAGUGGGGAAAAUGAUGCCUAUAUUUUACAUGAUGAAUGAGAUUUCUGCCCUUUAUUAAAUUUUACAAGUGGGCAAUUGUAUAGUUAAUAAAAUCUAAUCUCUUCCUUUGUUUAUAUUAAUUAUGUUUUACGAAGAAGGCAUGUUUAGUUAUUGUAGCUUGUUCAUCAAAAAAAAGAGAGAAAAAAAAAGAGAAGAGAAGUGAGAAUAAGAGUUUUUUUUCCUACUCCAAUGAUUCUUGUACUAAGUAACCAGGGGUUGCCAUCUACAAAUAUUGACACUAGCAUAAAAAGAUACUCAAAUUAAGAGUAUGUAAGCAACUUGAAUAGUGAAAUGUUAAGUAACUGGGGAUCCUCAUAGAAAAGUGUCAAUUUUCGAAUCAAAAGACAUUUUUGCUAUUCGAGUAAGAAUUUUAUGAAUAAAGUACCUCUUAGUUGUUCAAAAAAAAUGAUGAAAAUGAUUGUAAGAGGAGAAAAGCAUCAAUUGACUAUGUGAUUUGCUUAUUUGUGAAAUUAAGUUAAGGUGAGAGAUUGUGUUUAAAUUAUUGAAAUUCGGGUAUAAUUAUCUUCCCUUUAUUUGAUAGUAUGAGUACUUGAAGUGAUUUAAAUAAUUGUAUGAUGAUUGAUUGCCAAGUUGAACAGAACUUGAAUUUGAAAGAAUGCAUAUAAUGUUUCAACUCUUAACUCAUUUUUAUUGAUUUUGUGUCGAUUGUUUGAGGACAAGCAAUGACCUAAGUGAGGGGGAAUUGAUAAGUGACAAACUUGAGUGACUUUUUGAUGAGAAAUCAUGUCAUUGUUAGUCACUUUUGGGAUAUUUAAGAUGAAACAAGUCAUUUUUUUUUAUUAAAAAGUGGUUAAUAAGUUUAUUAGAAUCUUAAGUGGUUUAUGUCUCUUUUAUUCGCAUCAUUUUCAUGAUUUAUGUAGGAAUUGGCUCUGGACUUCAUUUUGGACAAGAAAGAGGUUUAUAUUAAGUUGAUUAGAAUCCUAAAGUUCUUGAGGAUGGCGAGUUUUAAGGGUGAUUCGAGUCACAAGAAAAAGAAAACAAAGAAACCUGUCGAAAAAGGAAGUCGACUUGAAUCCUCAAAGGAAUCCAACCAUUUUUUGGAGGAAUUGCUUGGAGAGAUUCAUGGCAAUGAGUUGGCUUGAAAAAUCAAAAUUUGAAGAAAAACAAGGGAGGAAUCUGGUCAAGAAAUCCAGCUGGACUUUGGAGGGAUUACUUGGAGAGAUUCUAGUCAACUUUUGAGGCUACAACUUGUCCAACUUGAUUUCACCUCCAUAAUUUCACUUCUUUUUACGAACUUUUUGCAGCUCAUUUGCAGCUAUAAUAAUGAUAGUUUGAGUCACAUUUCUUGGCUUGUAACAUCUAUAUAUUCAUGUCUUAAGCAAGAAAAAAGAGCUUUUAGUUCUUAGCACUUAGACUAGGUAUUUUUUUCUCACCAGUAUAGAGAAAUGUGUACGAAGAAUUUGGAGAAAUAUUUCAUUUGUAACUCAUUUUGGUUGAGAAAUAGAAGAUUUUUGGGAGUUUGCUCAUCAUUUGGCUAACCUUUCUCAACUAUCUCUUUAUUUUUUUUGUGCAAUAUGAGUCUAAGCAAUGAAUCUUAGUGUUUACUUGUUUUAUCUAAUACAUGAAACUAAAUUUCUAGAUUUAGAGAGUAGAUUAAACUAAUGAUUCCUUGAAUAUGAAUUGAAUGUGGUUUACACUCGUUAUCUCUUGUAAUAACUUGUCCAUUUAUUCUUGCUCUAUUACUUGUCGUUUGAUCACCAAUGGCAGGCUAUUAGUUGUUAUUACUCAAUGAUAAUUGGUAAUAAUAAUGGAAAGGGAUAAAUGGAACUUAAGGAGUAGGCUCAAGAGAGUAGAGAUAUACUUAAGUGGAUUUUCUUGAACAUUUCAUGUAGUAAAUAAACUAGAUUUAGAUCGUCACCAUGAGAGUAGGGAAGACUAGGUUAGUUAAUACCAUUUCAUCAUAAGAAUGAGUUUUGGUUAAUAUUGGAAAUGAAUCCCUAGUUAGAAAAGAAUAGUAAUAAAAGGUAAAUUCAUUCACUUGCCUUUUUGGACCAUUAGUGGACUCUACAACCUAGAACCUUAGCAUUUAGAGUAUCUUUUCCAUUUGUCUUUCUUUACAAGUUAGUAGUUUGAAGUAUUAAUUAGUAAAUUAGUUGCUUGUUAUUGCUUUUAAUUGAUAUUAGUCUAGAUAAUAGAGUAAGCCAAGGACCUAGUAAUUGAUUAGACGCUCCUUGUGGGAUCGACCCUGACGCACCUCGUACUUCUAAUUUGACCUGUAUGCUUGUAGCAAACGGGUUUAUUUUAGAUUUAAACUUGUACACAUAUUUGAAACCCGUCAAAGUGACAACUCCAAAUUCAAUCACAAGUGACUUUGUAAUUGUAAAUGAAGAGUAAGAAAUUUCGCUUUUCUCUACUAUUUAACAUAUGAUUAUAUUUUAACAUCAUAUUUUUGAUUAACUUCUUUCUAUUCAAAGGAAAAAACUGAUACUACUUACUCUGUGGAAUGAGUUCCAAGAAUACGAAGGCAACAUCCUUGCUAACACCAUUGCCAGUGUUCCUAUGGUGUUUGCUAUGGAGUAAAAGUUUCCAUUUUCAAUAGUAAGCCUACCUACCUUAGGAAUUUAUUAUAUGCCAACCAUAUAUGACUUAUAUUUCUCAUACAUAAAAAUCCUUUUUCUCCGUUUCAAUAGGUCUAUCUUUGAGCACAAUAAGACUAUUUGGCAUUGUCAUCAAUCCACUAGUCCACGGGGAUUGUCACCUUGUCAAUGGUAUUUUAUCUAUCCCCUAUUCUUUAAAUACAUAUACAAUUAAUCAUCCUAAUUACUCUAUAUUAUGAAAAUAUAGUAUAGGUAUAGCAUCCAUAAAGAAGAAGUUAAAAAUCCAUUGGAAGCAAAAGCAUACAAGAAUCCAACAUUGCUGCUGCCACCACCAACUCGGGAGGAUAUCAACACCAUUCAUGAUUGGCUUCAUUUGCAACUGUUAGAACAAUCCAAUUUCUUAGCCUAACCAGUCAAUCUAAUCAUUUUAUACUUUAAAUUUUUGAAAAAUAAAAUAGUAAUAUACUGAAAUUUUAAUUCAUUUAUAGCAAAAAGCAGCAUGGAUAAGUGGAAAUGUCCAGUUAACAUUAAGACUGUUGAGCCAAACGCAGAUUAAAUCAUAAGAUGUUCAUCAAGCAAACAAGAAACUAAAGUGGAACUGAGGUAUCAUUGUAUAUUUAACUUGUAAAAAAAGUAUUCCUUCACGUUCUGUAUACUACUAUAUACUAAACCUAUUAUGUUUUAUUUAAGGUGCCGAAUUGGAAUAACACUAACUAAUUCAAUGGGAAUCAUUCAAUGUCUGAUAUAUGGAAAGAAGUAUAGAUAUUAAUACAAUUGACUGCUACCCAACUUAGAGAAGCAAAAGAACAUGUAUAGUACUAAACUUCACUUUUAAGUUAUUUUUUGUUGCUCAUAUGUACAAACAUGAAUAUACAAAUACUAAAAUUCAUUAUUCUAAUAUCAAGGGCUAAUAAUGAAUCAAGAAAUUUCUGCCAUCAUGAGAAAGUACAAAUUAAUCUUUUUUUUUUUUAAAUAUGUGAGACAACUUUCCAAGGAUAAUGUUAGAGGAGAAACACAAUCACCAAAACCUACACCACAAAUGAGCUCCCUAAGGCACCACUACCUCUACUAGAUCUACCAAUAACUAUCCAACCCUUGGAAGUUGCCACAUCAUCAAGCAGCAAACAAAAGCAGUUACUAGAAGAUCAAAUAUUCACACCAACUGCAAAGUUGGUGCUUGAAGAAAUAGCUAAAUUCACUGUUAACAAAGGAAUAUUCAUUGCUGAACCAACUGCUACAAAAAGAGUUCUGACAUUCACUGAAGUAGAGGCUUAAUAGAUAGCCCUCACAAAUACUAUAGCACAGAGCCACAAGACAGUUGAAGACACUGCUGCUGUCAUAAAUUCAUCCAAAAGUGCUUCAACUGACAAAGCUACCACAUGCCCAGUAAAGAAGCUCAAACAGCAAGAAGAAGAGAAUUAACCUCCUAUGAACUCUGACUACAAUCUUUUGCUAUUAUUAUAAAAGAAUUUGGUAUUCUGGUAUACAAGUCUAUCAUAGCUCAAGUGCAGUGUUAGAAUCCAUUGCUCCAAUAUCAUCUAUUGCUCCAAUAUCUUUUGAUAGAGCAAUGUAUUCUAUUACUUAGAUAUACUAGCACCUUGCUUAGCAACUUGAAACAAUUAUUUACUACAAGUAGCUCUAGAAUCAUAUCAGCAUCUAUUGUUUCAAUACUUUUUGAUAAAAUAAUGCAUGCUAUUGUUACUACCAUAGAACAGUAUGAUAGUUAGGUCUAUAACUUUGUUAUUCUCAAAAUGCAGUAUUAGAAUCAUCUAGUCCAAUAUCUUUUGAUAGAAUAGUGCAUUCUAAUACUUAUAUGUGAUACAACUUUUUCUAGUAGGAUGAAUCUAUAGUUUUGUGUCAACAGUUUAAAAUUUGUAGAAAUUUGUCUACAAAAUAACUUAUGACUUUAUAUACAUCUAUAGAUGAACUAUCAAUCCUCAUGUAUAAUUUGGAUUCUGACAACUAUAUUUCAUACAUAACAGGUUGAACAUUAAUUAAAUGUCCAAUUGGAUUUAGAUGAAUCAUUAUUUAUUCUGACGAAAACUUUUUACCCUUUCAAAUGAGUAGUUUGUUUUUCGUAUCACAUAAAAAUUUAGAUAUGACAAUCUAUACAUUUAGAAAUGAAAGUCACGAAAGUUUUCCAUCAUUUAGACCUAACAUAUUGGACAUUGGCUAUGCCUUGCACAGCCAGAAAUUUUCUAGUACUAUGACAUAUAAAAUUGAGAAGGAUAGAUGUCACAUAAUGUGCCAAUAGACAUAUCUAUCAAGUAUCAACUAGUAAAAGUAACUCAAUGAGUCACUAAAGUUUAAAAGUUUAUAAGCUAAAAGUUUAAGUACUGAAUAAGUUUCCGCGUGCCAUCUCAUCUUACAACCUCGUAUGUUUGCAUGGGAUACUAUAGCAAAUAGUGCCAUUACCUCACUCACUUAUCAAGCUCACGGUACAAAUACCACAUACCUUCGAGGAAGAAGGAUUUGAUCUCCAGAACUUUUAACUUCCAUGCUCUUUUUUUGGCCAACUAUUCUCCCCAAUCUCCCUAAAUUGAUUUUGGCAUGGACCUAUUUUGCGGGAAUUAGCCCGCGCCUUUCUUCUGCAGGUUCAACCCCAGGGCGGAUCACCCAAUGGUCACCAAAAAAUCAAGAAAUUCACCAAGGAUAUAUUUUCAACCAAUAAAUUAAUCAUACUAUAGGAUUCAGCAACAGAAACAACAUACAUUCUAUUUGUAAUGCAGAAAAUUGAAAAGUAUAACAAAGUUUAAUUAUCGAAGUCAUGUUAAUGCACGCUGGUCUUUCAGUACUUCAUUUUAGUCUUAAGAUGUAUUUCUUUUUUUCCUAAAGUUUUAUGUGGAUAUUUUAGGUAAAAAUUCGAGUGAUAAUAAAAGAAAUAGCAAGUACUUAGUAAUUUAACUAAAAAUUUGUUUUCCUUGGUUGCUUAUUCUAAAACAGAUGAUUCUUCCUCCACUUGACAUCCCGCUUGAGUACUCUCUUUGUCCUUUUAUUCCUUACUCUUUUAAUAUGUCUCAAAAUGUUUAUUUUCUUUAAAUAAAAACUUUGUAUCAUAAGAUAGCCUUUUUUUUUCAAGCAUCUUAUACGCUAAAAAUGUAAGUUGAAUUAUAAGUUGCUAUUAGGUUUUUUCACCUUUUUUUCUGGUUAAACACACUAAAUCUUUGAGCUUUGUUUCCACUUGCACUUUGUUGGAAAAGAGGUAUCGAUACAGGCAUACAAUAUCAAAGUUAACCCAAGAAAAAUUAUACUUUUCCCAAGUACCAAUUAAAAUAGAAACAAACCAAAUCACCAAGCAACGAAACCAACAAUAAUAAUAAAAAUCAGAAAAGUUAAAAGCACAGGACACCGAGAUUUUUAACAUAAAAAACCCAAAUUGGAGAAAAUCACAGUAUUUAGUCCAAUCAAAAUCUUCCCUAUCACAAUAAUGGGCAUAUAUACGUCUAUUCAAAUCAUCUAGAUGACAACGACAUCAUCAAUGUCAACCUAGUGAAAUUGAUACAAAUUCAUCUCCCAAAAACUAAUAUUGUCAAAGAAGUGGGUUUGAAAGAGUGUUAACAAGCGAAGAGAAUAGAACUUGACAAGAAGAUUGCAGGCUAAAAUUUUGUCUCAAUCGGGUUUUAAAUUACCAUCCAAUCAAGGUUUUGAAGUUUCAAACAUCUCUCUGUGUCUCUCUAUCUAGCUUCUUUCUGCCCAGUCUCCCUCUUUCUCUCUCUUUGUUCUCACUCGAGGUUGGCAGCUGAAGCUUUUCUCUUGUUUUUAAAAUGAAACCCGUGGCUCUAGUACUAGUCAAGAGACUAAUCACUGGGUUUGCUUCAAGUCAAAUUGAUCAACUAAUGGGUUUUUGUUUCAUGGGCCACCAAAUGAUGAGGAACAAGUCAAAUAAUCUCCCACUCCAACUUAUUUGGGAGCUCCACUAAACCUGCUUUCUAUCUGCAAAACAAGAGUUUCUCUUUAGGCAAUAACUUAGUCAACAUAUCAGUAUCAUUUUCAUUAGUGUGAACCUUCUCAAGUGUCAAUAACUUGGAAUCCAAAACAUCUCGAAUCCGAUGAUACCUCAUAUCAAUAUGCUUGGUUCGAAAGUGAAAUAUAGAAUUCUUACAUAAAUGAAUGGAACUUUGACUGUCACAAUGAUAACUGUACUUCUCUUACUUCAUAUGUAAUGAUCCCACAUCGACUAGGGAGGGAGCCUGGGUUGCUUUGAUAAGUCUGUAGUGGUCUCUCCCACCUCGACGAGGCCUUUUGGUGAGGUAGCCUGCGGGUGCCUGUUGUGUUGUCCAGCACCGCCAAGAACAAAACCCACGGCCCCACGGGGUGUCAAACUGUGGGACAAUAUUGUUGAGUGACUGUUAGAGUGGUAUCAGAGCCGACUCCCGACCCUGAUGUGCCAGCGAGGACGCUGGGCCUCCUAAGAGGGGUGGAUUGUAAUGAUCCCACAUCGGUUAGGGAGGGAGCCUGGGCUACUUUGAUAAGUCUGUAGUGGUCUCUCCCACCUCGACGAGGCUUUUUGGUGAGGUAGCCUGCGGGUGCUUGUUGUGUUGUCCAGCACAGCCAGGAACAAACCCACGGCCCCACGGGGUGUCAAAUUGUGGGACAAUAUUGUCGAGGGACUGUUAGAGGUACUUUGAUAUGUUGGACUGGUGGAUAUAAUAUACUCCGUUUGAGCUUUUAAGAACCAUCGAUUAUAUUCAUGCUUGAGUUUUGUAGUGAGUCCCGACAAGAGUUGGGUAGGCAGCCCUCCGAACCCUUUGGUUCGCCUUAGGGGGAGAUGGGGCUGUCACAAGAAGGUCAAGAAUUCGGUCAGCAGUCCUCCCUUCUCUCGGUUUCCCUCUUUUCUCUUCCUCUUCUAGUUUCUACCAUUAUAACUCAUCAAAAUCACACUCAUACACACAUUAACAUCUUAACAGCCCUUAAACAACAAUGGUGGAAGUUCAUAAAGCCCACAUCAACCAACCAAAUUCAACUAAUAACAACAAUAAGGAAGCUACAAGCUUCAAAGCUAGAAAUGUACCAAGAAAGCAAGGAUUUUGUGUGUUACCUCUUGGAGCUAUGAAACCUAGCAAAAAUCAGAAUUUUCCUUCCCAAUUUUCACCACCAUCAACCACCCAAUCCACCCUCAAAGCCACAAAAUCAGCUCCUCCACUUAGCUAGGAUGAAAACCCACAAGUUGAUGAGGAACUUUGAUGGAUUAGGUGCAAGGUUUGAGCAGAAAAUUGGAGAGCUCUUCUUCCUUUAUUUUUUUCUGGUGAGGGCCAAAUUUAGAGAGAGAGAUGAGAGAGAUUGUUUCAGAUUUUUUUUAUGUGUGUUUUUGGGGAGAAAAGGAAGCUUAAAGGCUAAGUUUUCAAGGUCAAACCUCGCUAGGUCCGAAUAGGGUUUCACGCGACCACUUUUCGCUCUCGUUUGCUACUUUUGUGCACUCAACCUCCGAGGUAAUUCCUCUAGUGCAUUAAUAGUAUAUUCUUAGUAGUCUAAUAUCAAAUUCUUAAAUCUCCAAUUAAGCAAAUUAAUACGCCUGUCGGGGCCAUUUCGGCACGCGGGCGCACAAGGGUCGAACUUAAGGAAUUCACUCGAACUUUAAAAUUCAACUUAUUCGACUCUAAAACUUUAAAAUAUGAUAAUUCAAGUAUAUAUAACAAUCAAAAUCACCAUAAAUAAUUCAACUCAAAUCAAUUUGGUCAUUAAAAUAAUAAUUGUUUAAAGAACCAAUUGUUUAGACUCAUUUUCAAGAAAUUCAUGCAAUUUGGGAAAACUUAAGUAACUCACAUGCAAAAAUACUUUUAAAUGACCAAUUUAAGAAUAUUUUGCAAUAAUUAAAAUAUGAAUCCUCACAUCCUCUCCCCCUUAAGAGAAUUUCGUUCUCGAAAUUCAUACCUUCAACUACCACGGUCGACCCCAGAGUCUGUCGACCAAUAGAGGCAUAUGUUCCAGUUGGCACUUGUGGUCGGUUCCCUCCUUCAGUAGUUCGUUCAGAAGUAGUUCCAUAUCCUUGUCGAUUAUUACUCUCUCGUGGUUGCUUUCUUGAGCAGUUGCUAACCUGAUGGUCUGCACUCCCACAACGCAAACACUUUCGCUCCUGCACCCAGCAGUUAUUUUCGGUGUGGUUUUCUUUUCCACAGUAUCCACAGAUUGGUUGAAAACUCAUGGCUUGACUUCCCUGGGGCGUCACCCUUGAUUGACCCCUUUUUAUCUGAAUUCCUUGUGACAGAGUUCCUUUUAGUUGUUGCAUCUGAGAAGAAGAUGGAAGUGGUAGUCUCACCCCACCAGCUCCUUUUCCAACUUUAGGUGGUGGUACAGUGUUUCUAGAUGCCUCAGGGUGACUACUACUAGGUGCAUCUCUUUUCCGUACUUGAAACACUCUCAAUUUGGCUUUUGAAAUCUCAACCCUUUGGGCUUUCUCAAGGGCAUCACUAAACGUUUCGAUUUGGACCGCAACAGGAUUGUAAUGAUCCCACAUCGGUUAGGGAGGGAGUCUGGGCUGCUUUGAUAAGUCUGUAGUGGUCUCUCCCACCUUGACGAGGCCUUUUGGUGAGGUAGCCUGCGGGUGCCUGUUGUGUUGUCCAACACCGCCAAGAACAAAACCCACGGCCCCACGGGGUGUCAAAUUGUGGGACAAUAUUGUCGAGGGACUGUUAGAGUGGUACCAGAGCCAACUCCCGACCCCGAUGUGCCAGCGAGGACGCUGGGUCCUCUAAGGGGGGUGAAUUGCAAUGAUCCCACAUCGGCUAGGGAGGGAGCCUGGGUUGCUUUGAUAAGUCUGUAGUGGUCUCUCCCAUCUCUACGAGGCCUUUUAGCGAGGUAGCCUGCGGGUGCCUGUUGUGUUGUCCAGCACCGCCAAAAACAAAACCCACGAUACCACGGGGUGUCAAACUAUGGGACAAUAUUGUCGAGGCACAAUAUUGUGGAACAAUCCACUCCCCUUAGGGGACCCAGCGUCCUCACUGGCACAUCGGGGUCGGAAGUCGGCGCUGAUACCACUCUAACAGUCCCUCGACAAUAUUGUCCCACAGUUUGACACCCUGUGGGGCUGUGGGUUUUGUUCUUGGCGGUGUUGGACAACACAACAGGCACCUGCAGGCUACCUCACCAAAAGGCCUCGUCGAGGUGGGAGAGACCACUACAGACUUAUCAAAGCAGCCCAGGCUCCCUCCCUAGCCGAUGUGAGAUCAUUACAAUCCAUCCCCCUUAGGGGACCCAGCGUCCUCGCUGGCACAUCGGGGUCGGAAGUCGGCUCUGAUACCACUCUAGCAGUCCCUCGACAAUAUUGUCCCACAGUUUGACAUCCCGUGGGGCCGUGGGUUUUGUUCUAAGCGGUGCUGGACAACACAAUAGGCACCCGCAGGCUACCUCACCAAAAGGCCUCGUCGAGGUGGGAGAGACCACUACAGACUUAUCAAAGCAGCCCAGACUCCCUCCCUAGCCGAUGUGCGAUCAUUACACACAUUAACUGCUUGUCAGUUUCUCUCUCAAUUUUGCUAUAAAAGUCUUUGAACACCUUCAAAAUCUAAUCUUUGGAUUUCAAAGUAAAACACCAAACUUUUCUAACAAAAUUAUCAAUAAAAGUUAUAAAGUAAGCAUAACCACCAAAAAACUUAUCUUUCACAUAGCAAACAUCAGUAUGCACCAACUCUAAUGGAUUUAAUUUUCUAGGUGGAGAAAUAUUUUGAAAUGUAACUUUGUGUUGUUUCCCAUAAAUGUAGUUGAUAUAAGGUUAAGUACAUUACCUCUAAUUUCAGGUAGAAGCUGCUUGCGAACAAAUUUUUAAUUCCCCUUUCACUCAUAUGCCCAAGUCGCCUAUGCCAAAGGUUAAUGGAAGAAUCACGAACUGUAUUCACAUCUCCCUUCUCUAACUUGGGUUGCAUCAAGUAGAGGGUACUCUGCUUCUUUCCUUUGGUAACAAUAAGAUUCCUUUUGCUGAGCUUCCAUUUGCCUUCACUUUGCAAGCUAUGCUAGCCCUCAUCAUCAAAGUUUUCCGUGGAAACAAGAUUAAAAUGAAUAUCAAGAACAUAUCAAGCAUUCUCAAGACUAGCUGGUACCCGAUAUCAUUAUCCAAAUAUAUGUCUCCCAUGCCAACAAGUUUGGACGAGAUCUCAUUUCUCAUCCUAACAUAGCUAAAGUCUCCUUCAGUGUAGGUUGAGAAGAAAUGCCUGUGAGGGGUAACAUGAUAGGAUGCAAUCGAGUCAAUUACCAAUCACUGUCGUGAUAGAUAAUAUUCACAUGACUAUCAUCACAUAAUACAAACAUAUCAUUAUUGGUUGCCACAACUGCUAUAGUCUCUUCUUUUUUCUAUUUACUGCGCCUUUUCUUCGCCUUUUUUCUCAACUUGUUCCUAUUUCAAGAUUCUGCACUAUUUCAUGUAAUGUCCCUUAUUUUUGCAAUAGUAGCAUGCAUCAUUUUUUCGUGACUUUGGAUCUGUCGUUCCUAUUGUGGGAUCCUCUGCUUUGCUUCUUCCCCUUCCAUCUUGUUUUUUCUAUCACUAGGGUUUGGGAUCCAUUCACAACUCUUCGUUCCUUCCUCCUGAGUUCUUCAUUCAUCACAGACGCUUUUGCUAUAUCCAUGUCCAACACACCAUUUGAAAUUGAAUUACUAACAGAAAGCACCAUUGUCUUCCAGACAUCCAGCAAAGAAUUGAACAACUGCAAAGCUUGUACCUUAUCAUCCAAGUUCAAAUUCAACGUAGUUGUUUGGUUUAUCAAGCCUUGAAAAUUACUCAAGUGCUUAGUCAUAUUUGCACUGUCUUUACAUCUUAUCAAAGUAAUUGGCUUCAGACAAGAGGCCUUAUUUAAAUCAGUCUUCUUCUCAUACAUACUUGCUUGCUUCUUCGAUAGUACAUCAGCUUUAGUGUCAGUAGCAAAGUGUUGAAAAAUACUCUGAUCAAUCCACUUUCUAAUAUUACCUACAGUUUUCUGUGCAUAAUAGUUUACUUUUCAUCACUCAUAUCAUUUGGUCUACCCUUAUCCCUUAGAGCAGAUUCGAACAAAUCUUUAUAAUAAAAGUAGUCUUCCAUUCUAGACUUCCAAAUCUAAUAAUUAAUUGUAUUCAAUUUUAUCAGACAACCACUAUCUGAAUCAUCCAUUUCAAUUGAUACAAAUCAGUCGACCAACCUGACUGCUCUGAUACUAUUUUGUUGCAAAAGGACUACCAGUACAGGCACACAAUAUCAGAGUUAAUUCAGGGUAAAUUACUCUUUUCCGAAAUACCAAUUAAACUAGGAACAAACCAAAUCACUAAGCAAUGGCAUCAAAUGCAGAAAAGUAAAAGGCCUCGGACACUAAGAUUUUUAAUGCAAAAAAAAUCCAAAUUGGGAAAAACCAAGGGACCUAAUCUAGUCAAAAUCUCCGCUAUCACAAUAAUAGGUAUACACAGGUCUAUUUAGAGCAUCUGAAUGACAGCAACAUCAUCAAUGUCAAUUAAGUGAAAUUGCUAUAAAUUCAUUUUCCAAAAACUACAAUUGUCAAAGAAGUGGGUUUGGAGGAGUGAUAUCAAGUGAAAUGAAAAUCUAAAAUUGAAACCGGUUGAUGGGUAAAGUUUGAUGAGAGGAUCGCAUGGCUAAUAUAUCAUCUCAAUCGGACUUCAAAUUACCAUCCAAUCAAGACCUUGAAAUUAUAAAAUUUCUCUCUCUCUCUCUCUCUCUCUCUCUCUCUCUCUAGCUUCUUUCUCCCCAAUCUCCCUCUUUCUCUUUCUUCAUUCUCACCCACGGUCGAUGGCUCAAGCUUUUCUCUUGUUUCUAAAAUGAAACUCGUAGAUGUAGUAGUAAUCAAGAGACUAAUCACUAGGUUUGCUUCAAGUCAAGUCAACUUGAUCAACUAAUGGGUUUUUGUUUCGUGGGCCACUAAAGGAGGAGGACCAAGCCCAACACACUUUAACCCUUGAACUCACGAAAUAAACACUUUGCAUUUUAACUAAUGUUUUGGGAAAAAGUACCUUUAUUAUAUUAUUUUGUUUUUUUGGUUCUCUAAUGUUUCACUUUUCUAUGGAUAUUAUCAUUGUGCUUACUAUACUAUUUUAGUUUUCUUUUAGUUAUAAUUUCAUUAUUGUUUUAGUUUAUUUAUUUAUAUAUUUCUGUACACUAUCAGGGAUUUCAUGAUAAAUUAUAUGGUAUGAGAGAAUUUUGUAUGCCUAUAAUAAUCAAAAGCAUAUAUAGCUAUUAAUUUAACUAUGUGAGCAUAUAUUAGCAAACUAGAAUUUUUAAUGGUUAAAAGUAUGUAUUAGCUAUUAACUAUUUUAACAUAUAUUAACAAUUUAAAAGUAUAUACCAAAUAAACAAAGUAGCAAGUAUUUUCAUUUUUUUGUUACGUAUGUUGGUUAAGCAUUUGCCAUUACCGUAAGCUUAUUUGUUACUUUAGCUAUUAAUAAUUAGUUAUUUAUAAACUCAAGAUUUUUUUUGGCAAGUCCCGCACACAGAAGAAGGAUGCCACACCUAAAUUUUAUUAGAUAUUCAAAUCAGAAAACAAAAGAGGAGAACAUAGACCUUACCUCCAAAUAGAACAAAGGAAAAAAAUUAAUAUGCAGGAAAAGAAAUAAGGAGUACUACUCCCUUUACAUUAUUUUUUCUUCUAAACUUUAGAUGUAUUAAUUCAAUACUAUGUGCAUAGCUAACAUAUAAUUUGUUGUAGCAUAGACUUUGUGACCAAUAUUACUUCUAAUAUCAAAAAUUAAAAAAAGAUUAAGUACAAAUUAAUUAAUAAAGAUUAAGUUUAAGAAAUUUUAAAACAAUAUAUGACCAUCAUGUCACAUUAUCUUUGGAGAUUCUCCUCAUGUGCUAAUAUCUUAUUAGAGAGAUCAAUUGUUCUAAACCUCUUGAACUUUUGGGUAAGUAGCACUUUGCCCCCCUCUCCCCCUCAACCUUGAUAGUACAACUCUUUUUUCCUUUUUCACUUUUUUCAUUUUCAUUUUUUCUUUGUGUCCCAUUCCCAUUUGGUUCACCCUUUCCGUUCAUAUUUUUAAACAAUAACGAGCGUUGGCUUCUUAUGUCUUUUCUUUUCUUCAUAAUUUUCUCUUAUGCAAAAGUAUAAAUAAAAAAUUGUGAUGCUGAAACAUAUUUAUUUGGCUAAAACAUAUUUAGAAAAAGUUAUACCUUAGAUCCUCAAAUAACUGGGUAAAAAAGAAUUACUUAUUUGCAUGUAUUUUUUAAUUGAAAAUUGCUUAACAAUUUAGCAAGUUGUAUAAUGUACUUAUCCAUACUUGACAUAUUAUUUUUUGGUCCUAUUGGAAAAGAGUUUGAAGGGGAAAGUAAAGAUUAAAAUGAUGCGUACGAGUAGUUAAAUAAUUGGUAGUCAAUUUGGAAAACCAAAGGACCAACGUGGUCUAGUGGCAAGCUCUUUAUGCCUUCUGCAAGGGGCUUAGCAGUUGAUGAAUCAAGGGUAGUUAAGUCAUUUCAUAAAAUCUAAUUUCUUUUAGGGUUAGUCACAAUUAUUUUCCUUAAAAUAUACCCCAUCUCAUACAUUACCUCAAACUUUUUUUUUUGUCUCACUUUAUCCUCUAUUGGACAAAAUUGCCCCUCUAUUAUUCUAAACUUUUUUUUUUCUCUUUUUGUUUUUUUUCUUUCCUCUUUUAUUUUCUUUGUCUCUUUCUUCUUUCUUUAUUUCUUCCUCUUUCCCACUAAAAACUCCAUCUUAAUGAUUGAAGCCAAAAAUAAAGAAUUGCAUAGAUCUAUCUUCUCCUCAAAUGAUUACAAAAUAUUCAAACCACAUCCUCAAAAUACCAUUUUUUAACCUUUCAAUUCUUUUGCCUUUUCUCCAUUCCAUACUAGUUUCUCAUUUUAUUCUCAAAAAAAUAUCACAAGAUGAAUUUGUGACCUGAUUAAUAAUCAUUAAUUGCAAUUUGCGGCACAUGGCAUCGUAUCAAAGAUCGAAAUUAGCUUUUGAUGCCUUUUAAAGAUUCACUUGGAAAUGCAAUUAUAAACUCUAGAUGAAGUUUUUAGUUGAGAUAAAGAUUUCUUUUGGGAAGGAUGGAAGAGCGAAGAAUAAAGAAAGAGGAAAAGAAAUAAAAGAGAGGAAAAGGGGAAAGGAAAAAAGAUAAAUGAAAAGUCAAAAUAAUGGAAGGAUAAUUUUAUCCUAUAGGUGAUUAAGUGACAAAAAAGGUUAGGGGAUAAAGUGAGAAAUGGGAUAAUCUUGAACAGUGCCAAACAUCUUAAAACCAAAUUAUCCAAAAACUGCCCCUACUUAUGAAGUUGAAAACUUCUCGUUCCCAUAUCUUAAAAUCUCCCUAUAUCUCAAAUUCUUCCUAGAUUAUAUUGCCGCGGCUUUAUCAAUCUUCAUUUAGUCCAUUUUUCAGAAGACAAAAGAUUAAUCAGUUGUAACCUAAAUUACAAAAUAAUUCUAUCACUUUUCAAAUUUUGGGUAGGAACCCGCAUUGGUGGUCCUUGUAACUUUUUAACUGGACCUAAGGGCAAGACCACUCACUAGAGAUAGUCACCAGAUUCGAGCUAUGUAUGUGGAUGUGGUCCAAAAGGGGUAAUCAGUGAUAGAAAUUGAGGCAGAGAGGCAGAGAAGCAGACACUAGUACUAGAUAAGAGUUGACUCUAAAGUCUUCCGACCUAUUGUUCCAUUUAUAUAUCAUAACAUGUAGUGCAUGUUAUCCAUAGCACGACUAACUAUCUAUUGCAAUGGCAUGCCAAUGCAUACAGCUCAUCUUCUUCUUCCUAUUUCUCUUCCCAAUUUCUGCUUUGGCUCAGAAAAAUGGUAUUGUCCCUGUGGGCAGUACUUUGACUGCAGGGCAAAAUUCUGCUAGUCCUUGGCUUUCACCUACUGAGGAUUUUGCAUUUGGAUUCCAGCAAGUUCAGGAUAAGGAUCUUUUCUUGUUUUCCAUAUGGUAUCACAAAAUUCCAGACAAAACUGUAGUUUGGUUUGUUAAUUCAACAAAUCCAGUGCUGCGAGGAUCGACUGUAAAGCUUGAUGCUCAGACAGGGCUUGUACUCCGUGACCCUCGAGGCAUACAACUUUGGAGUGCUAAUGUUGGUUCUAAUCAACUGGUUCGUGGUUUAAUGAAUGAUACAGGCAAUUUUAUCCUCCAGGGGAGUGAUGGUAGCCCGCUCUGGGAAAGCUUUAGACAUCCUGCUGAUACAAUUUUGCCCUAUCAAGACUUGGUAAUUGGCGAUUCUCUUUGUUCUCGACAGUCAGCAACAAACUUCUCCCAAGGAAGAUUUUAUCUCCGUUUUCUUGAUGACGGGAAUCUAGUGCUUGCUACCAGAAGUGUGCCAACAAAUGUGGAUGAUGAAGCUACCUACUACAAUAGUCAGACUUCUGAUUCUACAGGUGAACAGAAUUCUGGUUACCAAGUUACUUUUGAUGGCAGAGGGGCCAUGUACAUAAGGAAAGGGAACGAUCAAACAAAACAGCUCAAUCCAGUUUCAAUACCAUUACCAUCAGUAUCAGAAAACUAUCAUAGGGCAACAAUAGAUUUUGAUGGGGUCUUCACACAUUAUUAUCAUCCUAGGACUUCUUCUGGCAGCCCAAACUGGACAAUUUUUUGGUCUAUGCCAGAUAAUAUAUGUACCAGCAUUACUGGAGAAAAAGGGAGCGGAGCUUGUGGAUUUAACAGCGUUUGCCACCUCGAACUUGGAAGACCGGUUUGUGCGUGUCCAGAAGGGUAUAUAUUGCUUGAUCCAAAUGACAAGAACGGCAGCUGCAAGCCAAACUCUUCUCUUGUCUGCGAUGAAGUAGAGGAGGGCUCCGCAGAAAGCCUUUAUAAUUUUGUGGUGGCCAGUGAUAUAGAUUGGCCACUGUCUGACUUCGAGCAAAUAAAUCCUUCAAAUGAAACUAUUUGUGGGCAAGCUUGUUUGCAGGACUGUUUCUGUGCUGUGGCCAUUUUCAGAAACAACAGUUGCUGGAAGAAGAAGCUGCCACUUUCUAAUGGGAGGAUGGACACUAGCCUUCAGGCAAAGGCUUUCAUCAAAUAUCGCAAAAGUGAUGCUCCUCCUGUACCUCAAACUUUUCCUCCAGUUCCGGCAGGAUCAAAGCCAAAAAACCGAGGAACUGUGAUAAUUGUGGGGUCUGUGCUUCUCGGAAGCUCUUUUUUGGUGUUCAUUGCCACUGCUUGUUUGGGCUUUUACUUCAUAUACCACAAAAAGAAGGUAAUAACUCAUCCAAAUACUGAUGCACCGAACACAAAUUUGCGUUAUUUUGCGUACAAAGAGCUUGCAGAAGCUACAAAUGAAUUCAAUGAAGAGUUGGGCAGGGGAUCUUUUGGUACUGUUUAUAAAGGUUCCUUGCAAAUCAGAUCCAGAAACACUACUGUUGCGGUGAAAAAGUUAUACAGAAUGGAUCAAGAUGCUGACAAGGAAUUUCGUGCUGAAGUGGAAACAAUAGGCCAGACUAACCACAAGAAUUUGGUCCGCCUGCUUGGAUUCUGUGAUGAAGGACAACAUCGUCUAUUGGUGUAUGAAUAUAUGAGCCAUGGCACUCUCGCAAGACUGCUGUUAAAUAAUCCCAAAACUAGUUGGAGUACAAGGACUCAGAUUGCUAUUGGGAUUGCAAGGGGGCUGGUAUACCUUCAUGAAGAAUGUAGUACUCAGAUUAUCCAUUGUGAUAUAAAGCCCCAAAAUAUACUCCUUGAUGAGUACUUCAAUGCUCGCAUUUCUGACUUUGGAUUGGCAAAACUCUUGAUGAUUAAUCAGAGUCGAACUAUCACUGGAAAUAUCCGAGGAACGAAAGGCUACGUAGCUCCUGAAUGGUUCAGGAGCACUCAAGUUAAUGCUAAGGUUGAUGUUUAUAGUUUUGGUGUCUUGUUACUAGAGAUCAUUUCUUGCCGAAGAAGCAUGGAGAAUACUGAAAUUGGUCAUGGAGAAUUUUUAAUUUUGACUGAUUUGGCUUGGGACUGCUUCCAAGAAGGAAGAUUGGAUGCUUUUGUAGAAAAUGAUUUAGAAGCUCUAAACGAUAAGAUGAUGCUAGAGAGAUUUGUGAUGGUUGGUAUUUGGUGUAUUCAAGAAAACUCAUCUCUUAGGCCUACAAUGAGGAAGGUGAGCUGGAUGCUUGAAGGAAUUGUGGAAGUUAUGGUGCCCCCAUGUCCAUAUCCUUUUUCCACCCCUGGCUGAGAUUAGUUCUAUUAUUGUUUAAUUUGUGUCAAUCGAUUUGAUGUCUAAGGACAGUUUUUAUGCUGUUUUUUCCUCUUUUUUCUUUGUUCUUGUUUUUUCUGCUUUAUUCCAAUGUAUAAGAUUCUCUCUGUAUGUAAACAUCCUGUUGUGAUGGUGGUUUUCUAGUGCUUAUCAUGUACACAGAAUGGUCAGUUUUGUGGUUUUGUGUAUCUAACCUAAGAUACUAGGAAUGUGUGUAUUUAAUAUGAAAAGGUCUAAUUAUUACUGUCUAGCGUCUGAAUGCAGUUGUUACUGUCUGUUACCUUUGAUUUUAUAAAACAACGUCAACUAUAAAAAUUUAGGGUUGAUGCACCUAAAGCAUUUAGGGACAAUUGAAAAAUAACAAAGCUAGGGUUGCAUGAUUAGUUGAGUAUAUUACUCGUAUUAAACAAUUGAUCUGUACUCUCUCUAAAAAAAAAAUCAUAAAUCUUGGUAAUUUUAAAUGUUACAAAAAUAAUUUCCUAAUUUUCAUAGUUGGGCUAACAUGCCCUUCGUCCUAUAGGUAUAUUCAUUGUACUUCACAUGCAGCAGAAAUUACAAAAAUGAAACGUCUCUUUACAGAAUUUUAUCAAGUAUGAGAGUAUGUGCACAACGCGCGUUAGUUUGUUACUUCCAUCGCACUUACUACCCGUUUGGUUGCUAUUAAGUAAUGGCAAUGGCAGUCACUAUAGAAGACCCCUCAAUGAUGAUGAAUUCUUUUUUUUUUUUUUUCUCGAAACGAUAAUUGGUUGUAUUACUUGACAAAAGAUUUACAAGUACGAGCAAAGGCUCGAAUGAACUUUACAAGCGGCUUUACUUGCCACUAAGGAAACCAAUGUUCCUCAUCUAGAAUAAUGCCCAAGGCAUAUUUACUAAGCUUAGUGCUUAGUUGAUUGUUAUCAUUAUGAACUAGGCAAAAGGAGCACUUAUGAAACAAAUCUCUGAGUUGUAAAAUAUCGUCCACAACAGUAGCCAAUCUGAUAUCGCUUACACCUGCUGUUCGAACCUGAUUGAGGAGCUGUCGGUUUGGCACUUGAAAUUGCACAUCCCUGAAUUGCAAAGUCGCAGCUUUACACAUUGCUAGCUUCAGUGCAGUUGCUUCGUCUAGCAGUCCUGAACCUGAACUGCUUUCUCGUAGUGUCCAACCUCUUUUUGCACCUUGAUUUCCUUCCUGCAAAGUAAUCCCAAUACCGAAGCAAGACUUUGUCAUAUCUCUAGUUAUUCCUAUCCUCAAUAUCAAGCACCCAUGUUCAGGAUUUCGCUGCUGAUUCUGUUGAUGUAGAGCUUCUGUUUCAUCUGUGCUCAUACUAGUUCCCUUCCUAUCUAUUUCCCCAAGUUCUAACCAUUCCUGGUGCGCCUUCUGGAUUGUCUUCCAUGGAUGACUUUCCUUACCAUUGAACUCCUCCUCAUUUCUGUCUUUCCAUAUCUGCCAGAGAAUAUGGACUGAUAGAGCAAUAUGUUGCCAUCCUUCAGCUCUGGUUCUUGCAUCUAAAAUUUCGAUCCACCAUCUUCUGAAACAGCCUUGGUGUUCCAUCAUACCUUCCCAUUGAAUGGGGGCCAGCUUCCAUGUCUGUUUAACUUUGCUGCAAUUCAAAAGGGUAUGUUCAAUAGUUUCCCUGUCUUCUCCACACCUGUUGCAGAUGGGAUCACCUACUUUAAUUCUACGAAAUAUGAUGUCUCGCACAGGCAGUGCAUUGUUGAGGCAUUUCCAUAAGAAAACCUUCUGUUUCUGCUUCACCUUCAGUUUCCAUAAGUCCUUCCAUAACCUUUGGGAUUGAUUUUCCAGAGUUGUAGAACCCUCCAGCUGGUUCCUUUGCUGCCUGAUAUCUUUGUUCAUAACCAGUAGCUUGUACCCUGAGCUGACUGAAUAAUGGCCACCAGCCCCUUUUAUCCAAAAGUUUGCAUCCUCCUUUCCUGCUAAACUAACAGGGAUUGUCAAGAUAGUUUCUGCAUCUUUUUUAUUAAAGUGUUUGAAGACUAGAUUUCUAUUCCAUCUUUUCUGGCAAAUUAGCUCAUGUACUUGCUGAAGUGCAUUAUCAGAAUUUCUCGGGGUUGUCACUCUUCCAUCAAGUGUAUCCGGAAUCCACCUAUCUUCCCAGAUAUUAGUUUUCCUCCCAUUUCCUAUCUUGCGUCUGGUUCCUUGUUCCACCAACUCCCGGGCCCCCAUAAGACUCCUCCAAAUCCAAGAAGCAUUGUUGGGAACUUUGCACUUGAAUAUAGAUGAUCGUGGAAAAUAUUUUGCCUUCAUGACUUGACUAACCAGCAAAUUAGGUUGUGUUAGCAUCCUCCACACCUGCUUGCCAAGGAGAGCUGUAUUGUAAGCCAUCAGAUCUUUGAAGCCUAAACCUCCCAUGUACUUGUUUCGAGUAAGCUUUUUCCAUGCACACCAAUGUAUUUUAUUCUUACCAUUUGCCUCCCCCCACCAGUAAUUUGCCAUUAAGGAACUAAUUUCCUUACACAAUUUGGAUGGCAGCUGGAAACAGGACAUGGUGUACGUUGGCAUAGCUAAAGCCACAGAUUUAAGCAUUGUUUCCUUACCAGCUGCACUUAAUAACCUGUUUUUCCACUUUAGCAUUCGCUGGUGUAUGGAAGUCUUAAUAAAUCCAAAAAGCUGUUGUUUUGAUCCUGAAACUACCAUUGGUAGUCCAAGAUACUUGCCCUGACUAACUCUUUGCAUAUUCCCCAUGGUUUGACAGAUCUCGUCCAUCAAUUGUGGCCUGACAUUCUUACUGAAGAGUAUGGAAGACUUUUCCAAAUUUAUCUCCUGACCUAACCCCAUGCCAUACACUUUCAGCACCCUCCUUAACUCAUUUGCCUGAUCCAGAUUAGCUUUGCAAAAGAUCACAGAGUCAUCCGCAAAGAGAAGGUGUGUUAUACUAGGUCCCUGUCUACUAAUUUGCAUCCCUGCGAGCUUCUUAGAAUCUGCCGCCUUCCUGAUAAGGUUGGAUAGUCCCUCAGAGCACAGAAGGAAUAGAUAAGGGGAUAGAGGGUCCCCUUGUCUAAUUCCUCUUUUUGGAAUUACAAACUCUUUAACCUCCCCGUUUAUAUUAAACGAGUACGACACAGACUUCACACACUCCAUAACCCAGUUCCUCCAUUUACAGUCGAAGCCCAUUUUUUCCAUUAUUGCCUCCAAGAAACUCCAUUCAACUCGAUCGUACGCCUUGGACAUGUCAAGCUUCACUGCCAUAAACCCAUCCUUACCUUGUUUCUUGUUUUUUAAAUAAUGCAUGUACUCAUGAGAGACCAUAAUAUUAUCAAGAAUCUGCCUACCAGGAAUGAAGGCAGAUUGAUUUUUACAAAUGCAACAAUGCAAGACACUUUUGAGCCUAUUUGCUAAGAUUUUAGCUAUCACCUUAUAUAAGGUAGUGCAAAGACUUAUGGGUCUGAAUUGCUUUAGAGAUGUAGGAAUCUGCACUUUGGGAAUUAGAGUGAUGAUAGUAUGAUUAACACUCUUUAGGAGGUGGCCAGUAUGAAAAAACGUCUGAAUAGCCUUUAUCACUUGUUGUUUGAUGGUUGUUCAGAAUUUUUGGAAAAAAAGUGGCGACAUACCAUCAAUCCCAGGGGCUUUUUCUGGAUUCAUAGAGAAAAUUACAGAUUUUAUUUCUUCUUCCAACACUGGUUUUAACAGGUUUCUAUUCAAUUCAUCAGUGAUGGUAUGGGGAAUACCAUGCAAAACCUCAUUUAAGUCCCCUCCCUCAUUACUGUCCAGCAAAAUCCUAUAGUAACCUGCUAUUUCAGUACUCAACUCCUCCUCACUCUCUGUCCACGUUCCAUCCUCUCUCUGGAGUUUAUGCAAGCUGUUUCUCCUUCUCCUUCCCUGUACAGAUGCAUGAAAAAACUUUGUAUUUUUGUCUCCUUCCUUGAGCCAUUGUAUCCUUGAUUUCUGUUGCCAGUGCUUCUCUUCUUCCUUGUAAGCCUUACUUAACUCUUUCUUAAGGGCAGCCAUACUAAUAUUUCUAGAGUUCCCUCUAACUUCUUUCAAGUCGCAUAGCUGCUUUUUAAUAAGCUCAAUCUUGUCCCUAGAGUUAGCUUGGAAGUUGUUCUUCCAUUUUAGGAGAGCUACACGGCAGUUCUUAAUCUUUGUAGCCACUUGAUACAUCCUUGACCCCUCCACCUGCUGUUCCCAAGCAAUCCUGAUUACCUCCCCAAUGUCCUCUCGUUUUAACCAUCUUUUAUCGAAAAAGAACCUGUGUUUCCUUCUGCUCGAGCUCAUCAUUGUGUCGAACAUCAGGAUGCUAUGAUCCGAGGCAUAAGAAUCAAUAUGCCUGCAAUUGACCUUAUCAAACACCUGAAACCAGGGGUAGGUGCAAAGACCUCUAUCCAACCUUUGUUUGACUUCUCCCUCUUCCUCCCAAUUGUUGCACCAAGUCCACGGAUGACCAAUAAAUCCAAUAUCCAGCAAAUAAUUUCCAUUAAUAAAAUCUCUGAAGUCAUGAAAGGAUUUCUCCUCUCUACGAAUCCCUCCCCACUUUUCGUCAUUGGAGACUAAAUCAUUAAAAUCCCCAGCUAUCAUCCAUCUAUCUCCCCACAAUCUUUUCCGAUUAGCUAAGACUUUCCAUUGUUCUUUUCUAAUCUGAUGAUCACAGCUCGCGUAAAUUCCUAUAAACCACCAAUCAGUAUUAGCUUCCAUAUCCUCCACGUGAGCUUCAAUGGUAAAGGAAGUCAUAAGGACCUCAAGAAUUUUCAACUCAUCUUUCCAGAAAAGAGCCAUACCUCCUGCCUUAUGCAUAGCCUCAACUACCACCAUUUCUUCAAAUCUUAAAAUGUUUUUCACUUUUUCUAAAUAUCUAGUCCUAUUUUUGGUCUCACUUAAAAACACUAAACUUGGAGAGAAGAGGUUAUUAACCUCUCUCAACUGGGGAACUGUCAAGGGGCUCCCCACUCCUUGGCAAUUCCACACCUGGACCCUCAUUUACCCCCUGGGGUCCUUAUAGGGAAGGACCCUUCACCCUCUGCCCCUAAAUCCUCUGAACCUCCAACUAUGUCGAGCUUACUCUUUUUCUUUUGCAGGUAUUCACCCUUAUCAAUAUCCAAAUCCACUUCCAAUUCAUUAAUUUUUCUCUUCCCAAGGUUUUUCAGAUUCCCCAGAUUAAUACUGAUCCCUUUUAAAGCAUGUUUACGUUUACUAGGAGCUCUCAGAGGUCUCUGAGCCCUUCUAAUAUGCUUCCUAACAACCUCUUGCUGCUUAGUGAUGCUCACAUCAUCUACUUGCAUGACCAUAGGCUCAUUUUUUGCCUCCUUAGUGUCAGCUUGCACCUCGAAAUGCAUCUGCUGCUCCCUCAAAAUAGUAUCUCGUUCUCUAUCCACUUCCAUGAGCGGUUGUCCAACCUUUUCCUUCCCCGCCAGCUCUUCUUCAUUCUUUGUUAACCCCCCUUCUGAAGUGGACAUAGGGACCUCUACCCUCACUCCUCCUAUCUGGCUAGGGAAUGGUAAGGUAUGAGCGGGUGUAACUCUCGACGCCUCUCUCUGACCUACUACCAACUCCUGUCCCCUAUUCCUGUUACUCUCCUCUGCCAGUCCUUUAUUGCUCUCCACCCCCUGUAUAUUGGGAAGACUCUCCCCCCUCUCGAUCUCUACCCAUUCUCCCUGCUGGUAUCUCCAGUGCUGACUUGGAGUAUUAACAAAAACCCCUGUUUGGUUUUUCUGUGGCCCCAUUUUCGCGUUCCCAUUUCCCACCCUCAUCCAACUCCCAUAUUCGUUAUCCUUUUUCCCUUCAAUCACCCCUCCUGCCAUCCCGCAAGAUCUCUCACUAUGUCCUAUUCUUCCACACCUAUAGCAAAAAUUCGGGCAUCUCUCAUACUUAAAUUGAACCCAUUUAGUCACACCAGCCACCUUAAUAGAGGUGCCUCUUAACAGGGGUUGAUCUAUGUCGACCUGAACAGCUAACUUGAGGUGCCUACCCUCUUUUCCUCCUGUUUGGGGUAUAAUGACAUCCCUAACCAGAUGAAAAACAGAGCCUAUCUUCUUACCAACUUCCUUAGAAAUGCAAUGGACAGGAAGAUUCCAGACUUGCACCCAUAAUGAUGCAGUAUUAAAGGCUUUAACAUCAUCUUCUAUCCCCUCAUACCAUUUAUUCAUCACUAAUAACUGGUUAUCCAAAAUCCAAGGACCUCCCUUAACUAUUCUAUCCCUAUCACCCUCCUUAGGCAAAAAGAAUUGAAACAGGUUCGGUCCUAACUCCGCAACAAUCAUAUCUUUGGGGUAUCCCCAUGCAGCAGUAACAAAGUUCUUGACUCCUGUAUAGUUGGCUAUCUUCUCUCCCACAAUCUUCCCUAGCAAGCUGCCUUGACAUUCCUUUAUACCUAGCGUUAACUCCUCUGUUCCAACCUCAGUAACCUGCAUUUCUUUACUGGAGAGGGUGAAACCUUUCAGAAUAUCCGCUAUCUCCUCAGCCAUUGGGCUUGAAAGGAGGUAGAGAUGGUAAAAUUCUGACACACACACGAAACUGAACAGAAACCCGAUAACCCCAAACUGGGAGAUUAAACAAAUCUGUUAUUCUCAAGGUAAGACACAGAAAAGACAACGACAGACCAAAACAAGAUGAACCUACCUCUAAUGCACCUACAUUACCAAACAAGGUAAGAAGAGACAAUGUCCGUGAGCUGACCUGCCAGUGAAAACCCACACCAUUGCUGCAUCGUCUUCUCCCUUAGAUCUGGAACCUCCCUUUGCAGCAGCUUUAAUGGAACCCCAUGAUGUAGUAUUAUGGGUGUCAAGUACAAACUGCUCCUCAGAAUAGUGACACUUCCCUCCUACUUGCUAAAAUAGGAAUCCGACACAGAACCUUCUACAUCAAAGUGGAAGUGAUGAGAGAUUUGUCUGAAAGUGAAAAAGGUUGAGUCUUUUAAUUCUUUAUUGCUACUCAGUAACUUUUCAGAUCUUCCACAAUGGAAAGAAAAGCUCUCUUUUUAGAGAGAGAAGGUCCCCUACAAGAGAGAGGGGGUCUCUUGUUGGUUCUCAAUGAUGAUGAAUUCGUCAAGAUUCCUUUUGAUGAAAUCUUGUGUUUGGUAGUCACCAUAAUGACAAUGACUUUUCUUAGUAAAAAAGAAAAAGGAAAAUUGUUAUCUUUUCUUUGCUCCUUUCUUUUCAUCUCCAGCAGCUCCUACCGUCACCCCCCGGCUCCUCCUUCCACCAUUUUUUUUUUAAUUCUGCUUCCUUUCCCUUGAUUUCUUGCAUGUUGCUGACAGAUCUCCCUAUUAGAUCCUUAAUCCAACAUUGGAUUUAUAUGUGAAUAAUUAUGUGUUGCAAACUGUCAAUUAAGAUUAAACCCAAUUAAAGUGAUCAAAUAUAGUUUGGGUUUAAUGUAUCUAAUAGGGUGUGGGCCUUUAAUGUGUAGAGACUUAAGGGUUCCUAUUUCUAUGAUGGGUUGAAAUAGGAUUCCAAAAGGUAACAGGAAUGUUACCUAUAAAUAGGGUUAUGGUCCCCAGGUCACAGGUAUCGUUUUAGUUGUCGUAUUUCCUAAUACCACAAAAUAGCUCUUCCCUGAUAUCCCAUCGUUAGGAAAGAUACCAGAGAGGAAACUAAAGGCCUCUCUCAAAGGAUCGGUGAAUACCUGUUGACUUGGAAGGGCACUCCAAAAUCUCUAGGGAUUCAAGUGUCAAAUUUAUCAAUAUGGAUUCAGGUACGUUUCCGCUAUUUUAUAGUUAAUUUAUUUUUUAAUAAUCGCCAUAUAGAUUUUGGGUUUAAAGGUGAUGGUUUUCACCAAUGGUUAAAUUUAGACAACCACCCUAACAAGUGGUAUCAGAGCCCUUAUGGUUGAUUAUUAGGAAAUAAUCUUGUGUUAGUAUUUCAUAGUUUUAUUACUAUUGAUUAUGUUUUCAUAACUACUGGUUGCGGACUCUGAUGCGAUUAAAUACAUGAUUGUUAUGUGUUUAAAUUUUCGAUUGCCAGUCGAUUGUUUGUAUGUUAUUUUCGGUUGACCAAAGCUCCAGGUUCCAUAAAUUGUAAAAGCAUAAGGUUAAGAGACCAAACGGCAAGAGUACUUUUUUUAUUCCUUAAAGCAUAAUAUGUAUUAUAGAUGAUGAGCCCCAUAAGCAAUUAACAAUGGAGUUGUUGUUGCAUAAAGUUUUUCCUUUUUGACUCGGUUCUGGUCUCUUUUUUUUUUAACAAUGGACUUUUCGUCUUCGGUCAAAUAACUCAAUGCUUUUGAUUACAUAAGUCUUCACACACGGCUUUCAAUCUAAUGUUCACAAAUUGGUAAAUCAAGUGAUGAUUUACGUGGGACCCGCAAUCCUCUUGUUUUCUGGCUUCGGGAAGUGGUUUGUCUUUUCCUCCACUGUUAAUGAUUAAGCUGUCGAAGUAUGAUGCAAUCCAGUAACUGUUUCUGCGCUCUUAAAUAGCCAAGAGUUUCUCAAAUAAAUUAUUAACAUGGUGAUCUAUGGUUUAAGUUUCGGGUACACAAUUUCUUGCAUUGAUUGUGCCGUGAUUUGUAUUUUCCUUUUGACUUGUUUUAGUAUAUAAGAGGAUAUACAUAUAUAUUUAUGUUGACAAAAUUAGGGUUUCUUUAAUUUAAGUGAACCCUAAUAAAACUAAUAAGAUAUUUAAACCCUACAAAGUCCAUAUAGUUUUAUAAAGUAUUUAUGGACUUAAAAAAAAUUUUGGGCUUGAAUAAUAAAUUAGGUCAAAUUAUGGAUGUGGACCUUUAAUCCAAUAAGUUUGAUCCAAUUGAUUGGUUUGAUCAGAGUUAACUAAAGUUGACUUUGAUCAAAAUUUGUUUAAUUUGUAUAAUUUUAAAUUUGAAUAUUGGUAUGAUUAUAUAUUUUUUGGAAUAAAUUAAUUGAAAUAAUAUGCCACCAAAGUGACAUCUAUUAUGAAAAUUAAUUUAUUUUAGAAUAUAACUAGUUGAGUACUUGUAAUUUUAUGAAUAUUGAUCGGCCCAAAGGAAGGUCCAUAUUUAAUAAAAUUACAUGUGCACUUGUGGUAAUAAAUACGUGAUAAUUAUUUGGAUUUUACAUGUGAUUUAUAAAUUGGCCCAAAGGAAAAUUUAUUUUUCGACAUGUUAUUAUUAUCAGUAUUUAUUACUGCACCAAGAUAUCACUUAGAAAUUAGUAUUUUUGUCCAAAGACAAAAUAUUAAUGGAAUAUCGAUAUCUUGAGAUAGGAUUACCUUUAUUUAAAUUUAUUAUUAUUUUGAUUUAUGUGAGCAUAUUUUAAUUAUAUUAUGUUUUCUGUUCAGUUGCGAAUGAUCUUGCAAAUAUCACUUCCAACAUCAAUAAUAUUCCUAUGUUGAUUGGCAUAAACUUCAAAUCUUGGAAAGAAAAUCUCUUGAUAGUACUUGGAGUAAUGAAUCUUGACCUUGCGUUAAGGAUUGAUUCUCCCCCACCUCUUACAGAUCAGAGUACCUCUGAUGAAAAGAGAAAUAAUGAGAUGUGGGAGAGAUCAAAUCGCUUGUGUCUGAUGAUCAUUAAAAAGGCCGUUCCAGAAGCAUUCAGGGGUACAAUGUCAGAAACGACUGUAACCGUUAAAGAGUUCCUUCAGGACAUUGAAAAAAGGUUUGUCAAGAACGAAAAGACUGAAAUUAGUACGCUCUUGACAGGCCUAGUUUCAAUGAAAUAUAGUGGUAAAGACAAUAUCAGAGAGUACACAUCAUGGAGAUGUCUCAUCUUGUUUCGAAAUUAAAUGCACUUAAGUUGAAACUCUCUAAAGAGUUACUAGUGCAUUUGAUUUUAAUAUCUCUUCCUACACAGUUUAGCCAGUUUAAGGUGAGUUAUAACUGUCAAAAGGAGACUUGGUCUCUAAAUGAACUCAUCUCACACUGUGUAGAGGAAGAGAAAAGGUUGAAGCAAGAGCAGACAGAAAGUGCCUAUCUGGUGUCAACCACUAAUAAUAAAAGUAAGGGACUUAAGAGAAAGAAAGAAAAAGGAGCUGCAGGUACAGCGCCACAAAAGAAAUAACAAAAGAAAUCAAAUGAUUAGGGAAAGAAUAGUUGUUUCUUCUGUGGAGUUGAAGGGCAUCAAAAGAAGCAUUGCACCAACUAUCACGUUUGGCGUGCUAAGAAAGGUAUGCUUCUUAAUUUGAUUUGUUCUGAAGUUAAUUUAACUUCGGUACCUAGACACACAUGGUGGUUAGAUUCUGGUGCAACAACUCACAUCAGUGUGUCUAUGCAGGGUUGCCUGAAUUGCCGAAAGCCUAAUGAUAAUGAAAGAUAUAUCUACGUGGGCGAUGGUAAAACAUUCAAGUUGAGACAAUUGGAGUUUUUAGAUUAUUGUUAAAAAUCAAAUUUUAUUUGGAUCUCUAUGAGACAUUUGUUGUACCGUCUUUUAGACGGAAUUUAAUUUUUAUUUCUGCUUUGGACAAAUUUGGUUAUUUUUGUUCAUUUGGAAAUGAAAAUUUUGAAUUGUUUCAUGAUUCAAAAUUGGUUGGUUCUGGUUCUUUAAUGCAUUACGAUAAUCUAUAUUUAAUUGAUACGAUUGUUUCAUUUAAUGAAUCUCUGCAUUUGAGUAUUAGAGGAAUAAAGAGAAAAUUAAUCAAUGAGAAUUCAGCCGCAUUAUGGCACAAGAGAUUGGGACAUAUCUCCAAACGCAGAAUGGAAAGACUUGUGUCAAAUGAAAUUCUCGACCCCUUGAAUUUUAUAGAUUUUAAUGAUUGUAUUAACUGUAUAAAGGGGAAACAAACUAAUAAAAGGAGAUUUGAAGCUAAUAGGUCCUCAGACAUCUUAGAAUUUAUACAUACAGAUAUUUGUGGACUAUUUCCUACAUCAACUUGGAAUGGUCAACAAUAUUUUAUAACGUUCAUAGACGAUUUUUCAAGAUAUGGCUACAUAUAUCUCAUUUCAGAAAAAUCACAGUCACUGGACGUGUUCAAAAAUGUUAAGGCUGAAGUUGAGAAUCAACUCAACAAAAGAAUCAAAAGCGUCAGAUCUGACCGUAGUGGUGAGUAUUAUGGUAGAUAUGACGGUUCAGGUGAACAACGUUCAGGACCAUUUGCUAAAUACCCAGAGGAGUGCGGUAUCGUCCCACAAUACACUAUGCCUGGUUCACCCACUAUGAAUGGUGUGGCUGAAAGAUGAAAUAGAACACUUAAAGAUAUGGUAAGGAGUAUGAUAUGUUAUUCUACCUUACUAGAGUCACUCUGGGGUGAAACACUUAAGACUGCAACAUAUAUUCUUAAUAGAGUUCCAACUAAAACAACCAUCAAAACCCCUUAUGAGUUUUGGACAGGAAAAAAGCCCAGUUUAAAGCAUAUGCAUGUUUGGGGGUGUCCAGUUGAGGCAAGGCCUGACAGGCCAAAUGAAAAGAAACUGGACUCAAGAACGAUUAGUUGUUAUUUUAUUGGAUACUCUGAAAGAUCCAGAGGUUACAAGUUUUAUGAUCCCACAGUCAAAUCAAUUUUUGAGACAGAAAAUGCUCGGUUCUUUGAGGAUGUCGAGUUUAAGGGAGAAAAUACAGUAAGGGACAUUGUCUUUAAAGAGGAAUAUAUUAAUAUUCCCAUAGGUGUCAUUGAUCUUGUUUAGGAUCCUAUUUUUGAACAAGAUCAUGACAUAACAAAUCAAAACAAUGUCGAAAAUAAACUGUUAUAGAAGAACAAACUCUUCCUCUCCAAGAACCAGUGCCAUUAAGAAGAUUCACUAGAGAAAGGAGAAGUGCAGUGCCGGAUGAUUACAUUAUUUUUCUCCAAAACCAUGAGAAUGACAUUGGAUUGAUGGAAAAUGAUCCAAUCAACUUCCGUCAAGUCAUGGAAAGUUCAAAUUUUCAAAAGUGGAUCAAUGCCAUGAAUGAGGAGAUUAAAUCCAUGAAGGACAAUGAUGUUUAGGAUCUUGUCCCAUUGCCAGAAGGUACGAAACCCAUUGGUUGUAAAUGGAAAUUUAAAAUCAAGAGGGAUUCGAAAGGCAAUGUGGAAAGAUACAAAUCUCGUCUUGUCGCCAAGAGAUUUACACAAAAAGAAGGUGUCGACUAUAAAGAAACCUUCUCUCCGAUCUCUUCAAAGAACUCUUUUAGAAUUAUCAUGGCACUAGUGGCGCAUUUCGAUCUUGAGUUACAUCAGAUGGAUGCAAAGACAGCGUUUCUCAAUGGUAACAUUGAUGAGACGAUUUAUAUGGUACAACCAGAAAACUUUGUAUCAGGAGAUCCAAAGAAUAUGGAUUGCAAACUUAAAAAAUUCAUCUAUGGGCUCAAACAAGCGUAUCGACAAUGGUAUUUCAAAUUUCAUCAAAUGAUCAUCUCAUUUGGUUUCGAGAUGAAUUUAGUGGAUGAUUGUAUAUACCAUAAGUUCUGUGGGAGCAAGUAUAUUUUUCUGAUAUUGUAUGUUGAUGAUAUUUUGCUUGCCAACAACGAUAUUGGUCUAUUGCAUGAAACCAAGAAAUUUCUGCCUAAGAAUUUUGAGAUGAAAGAUCUUUGUGAUGUAUCUUUUGUGCUAGGUAUACAAAUACAUCGAGAUCGAUCUCAGGGUAUUUUAGAACUAUCACAAAAGGGCUAUAUCGAAAAGGUUUUCAAAAGAUAUGGCAUGCAAAAUUGUAAAUCAGGUGACACUCCUGUGACUAAAGGAGACAAAUUUAGUCUUGAGCAGUGUCCCAAGAAUGUUUUUGAGGAAAAAGAGAUGCAAAAGAUUCCUUAUGCGUCAGCAGUAGGGAGUCUAAUGUAUGCUCAAGUAUGUACGCGUCCGGAUAUUGCGUACAUUACUGGAAUGUUGGGUAGAUAUUUGAGUAAUUCUGGAUUAGAUCAUUGGAAAGCAACCAAACGGGUCUUACGAUAUCUAUAAAAAACAAAGGAUUACAUGCUCAUGUAUCGGAAGUCAGAUGAGUUAGAGAUCAUUGGGUAUACUGAUUCCGAUUAUACUGGAUGCAAAGAUACUAUGAAGUCAACGUCAGACUAUGUCUACUUGUUGGCUGGAGGUGCCAUAUCCUGGAAGAGUGCUAAACAGUCCCUCAUAGCAUCUUCCACUAUGGCUGCAGAGUUUAUAGUUUGUUAUGAGGCAUCCAACCAUGGAAUUUUGUUGCGAAAUUUUGUCACAGGAUUACUUGUAGUGGAUAGUAUUGAAAGACCACUCAAAUUAUUUUGUGACAACAAGUCAGCAGUUCUAUAUCCCAAUAACAACAGGAGCUCGACGAAAUCUAAACAUAUAGAUAUCAAGUUCCUGUCUGUUAAAGAAAGAGUACAGAGUGGACAAUUAUCGAUAGAGCAUAUCGGGAAACUCCAUGGUUGCGAAUCUGCUUACUAAGGGAUUGUCACCCAAAAUAUUUCAUGAACAUACUGCUCGUAUGGGUGUCAAAUUAAUAAAUGAUGUACAGUUUUAGUGGGAGUUUGAUAUUUUAAAUGCUCUUAUGAUACGUUUCGGUUAUUAAUGAUCUAAGGAUAUUUUAUGCAUAAAUAAAGUUUGGAUUUAUUUGUACUCUGACUUUGGUAUGGUUUGAUCUCAUGAAAAUUUAAGGUGGGCCAAUUGAAAAUAGGCAUGUUUUGAUCACAUUACAUGAAAUUUUUAUGCUACACAUCCACAUCAUGAUUCAUGUCAUUCAAUUAUAUCAGUGUAUGUGACCAUUGAUGGGUCGAGUUAUGAAAUUGUAACAAAGGCCGUUUUGAUCCUAUAUUGGUGUAAUUGAUGGACCGGAUUGGUUAUAGAUACAUUGUGAUAAUGACAGUAAAGUUGAGCUCAUACGGUUAAUUGCAAAACAUAAUUAUGAGGUUACACCUAUAAUCCAAGUGGGAGAUUGUUGGAUCCUUAAUCCAACAUUGGAUUUAUAUGUGAAUAAUUAUGUGUUGCAAACUGUCAAUUAAGAUUAAGCCCAAUUAAAGUGAUCAAAUAUAGUUUGGGCUUAAUGUAUCUAAUAGGGUGUGGGUCUUUAAUGUGUAGAGAUUUAAGGGUUCCUAUUUCAAUGAUGGGUUGAAAUAGGAUUCCAAAGGGUAACAGGAAUGUUACCUAUAAAUAGGGUUAUGGUCCCCAAGUCACAGGUAUUGUUUUAGUUGUCGUAUUUCCUAAUACCACAAAAUAGCUCUUCCCUGAUAUCCCAUCGUCAGGAAAGAUACCAGAGAGAAACUAAAAACCUCUCUCAAAGGAUCGGUGAAUACCCGUUGACCUGGAAGGCCACCCCAAAAUCUCUAGGGAUUCAAGUGUCAAAUUUAUCAAUAUGGAUUCAGGUACGCUUCCGCUAUUUUAUAGUUAAUUUAUUUCUUAAUAAUCGCCAUAUAGAUUUUGGGUUUAAAGGUGAUGGUUUUCACCAAUGGUUAAAUUUAGAUAACCACCCUAACACUCCCAUGUUUGCUUUCCUUUUUUUUCUUCCUCUUUUUUUUUUUUUUUUGUUUUGGGUUUUGGUGGUUCUCUUUAUCCCUUUGCCACUGCCACCACAGCACAACCAUCUCUCAUCGCCUCCACCAUAAUCCCAGCAUUGCAUUGAACCAUUUGUUUUUUUUCAACAAAUUUUGACUUCAAAAUUCUUACUGAAAGUAAAAAAAAUUCUCAUCACACCAAGACUUUUUUUGUGAGAGAGAAAAGGAGGAAAAAUUCCAUGGGAUAAAGAGGGAGAAAAAAGAGAGGAGAGAAAUUGGGUUCAAACAAAAAGGGGGAAGUGAGGAGGUAGGAGAGUUGGAGGAAAGAUGAGAGAAGGUGGAGGCAGCUAUUGUUCUCUUGCUUUCCUGAUUUUUGGUUUGUUUUUUUUUUUAUUAUGAUGAUUGAUGGAUAACGGAAGUGAAAGUGCCCAAUCGAGUUGGCAAUGAAUUUUGGGUAACGGAAGACCCAAAAGUAGGUAAUGAAAGAGUCCAAAGUGAUGUACCAAACACCAUUAAUGAUAAUCGCUACCCUCUCACUCCCAUUAAAGGGUGCAAAACUCAUCCAUCAAACGGGUGGUUUAGUUAUAUGAUAUUGAUUUCAAAGUAAUAAGAAAAAGAGCUUUAGUUAUAUGAACUAGUAUGAAUUAUGUCAAGUUAAGCAAAAGUAAUCAUCAGUUAAGCGAUUGAUUCAUUUUCCAGUCCAAAAAUCUGAUCUAUGAAUGGGUCUUGUUCUAGAAUAAAUGAAUGCCACAUGGAAGUGACAAAUUACAACUUUGAAUUCAGCCUUGCGUCACUACAUUCGUCAAAUGCAUGGAUACGUGUAGAGGUCCCUCUGUGUAUGUACGUAUGUACACUCUCUCUACACUCGGAAAUUUUAGCUUAAAAAACAUUAUAAAUCAUGUUUCAAUCUAAUUUCAGAUUAACUAUUACUGAACCCAUUCAUAUACAUUGGUCCAUCGUUGAAGAAGUACUUUAUCAAAUUAUAAGCAUGAAAUAUAAAUGUUAUUAUUCUAGUCCACAACAUUGGCUACUAGCCAUUAACACAAAACAAUAGUAAUUAUUUAGUAAUAAUAAAGAUCAUGGCAAAAGAAUAAUUUAGGAAAAAAAUUUAAAGAAAAAAGGACCACUCAGCUCCAACUAACAACCUCUGAAUUCCCUAAUAAUCCAUAGUGAAUUUUGUAAUGAUUCUUAAAUGAGUCAAUAUUCUUUAGUUAAGGAAAUUAAACAUGGUAGCAAAUUCUAUCAACAAUCAAGUUUUCUAAGUUUUCUGCAACAACUAUACCAAGAAAUUAAACCCAGUUUGUUAGCAUCCGUAUUCACAAAAAAAUAUUCAGCUUUAUAAGUAAAUGUGCACAUUCCAUAAGCCGAUAUACAAGUAAAAAAUGUCUACGACUCUUGUUUAUGAUCAAUUGUAUCCAAUAAUUGGGUUAGGUGGCGUGAUAUAUGAAAAUGAUAGAAAUAUAUAUAUAUAUAUAUAUACUGCUUUUUGGUGUAGAAUUGAUUGGAAAUAAAUGAAAUAUAUACUUCUUUUUGGGUGGAGAAUUGAUUGGAAAAAGGUUUUUCUUCUUCAUAGGAAUUAGAGGGAAAUUACUAACAAAAAAUUAGGAUACUAUUUUCUCAUAGUAUAUUUAGAUAGCCAUUUAUAAAAGCAUACUUUGAGAUUUAUGAACAGGAAGAAAAUAUAUAUUUUGACAAAUAUAAAUAAAAAGUAGAGUAAUUUCACAUAGAAAAUAGGGAAGAAAGUUUUGCAACAUGGGUCAUAGAAGAAAAAGAAACCAUUAUGGCUCUUUAAAUUGUACCUUAAUAUCUUUGAACUUUGUUAUUGAAUUAAUCAGAGGACAAAAGGAGCAUGGUUUUUUAAUUUGCUUUCCAUGUCCACACUUAAAAUGUCGCCAGACAUGAGCAAAGUUUUUCGAUAUAGACCAUUGGUAAUCAAAUCUAGUGAUCAAAUAUAGUUAAGUUAUUGAAUGGGCUAUUAAAUUCUUUUAUCAAACAAUAAGAGACUCGACAGGCAUAUCCAUUGGCAUUCAAUAAAAAGUUUUUCCUUUUUUUCCUUCUUCAGUAAAUUCAUUUUCUUUUAUUUUUGAAAUUACUCGUAUAUUGCUUUUUUCCCUCAGAUUCUCUCCAAGACAUACAAUUAAUUAAGUUUUGUUAAAAAAAACUACAAAGUACAUUACAUGAUAUAUCGAAAAAGAAGAUUGAUAUCAGUACAACACUUUUAAUCAAUUAAAUUUUCUUUUAAUUGAUCUCAAGAGAAUGAUUACAUGAAUAAGUAUCACAAAUCAUGGUACCUACGACGUGUAACGCACGUACUGUCAUACUCAAUGUUAGUCUUGGUAAUGGUCAGUCUGCUCUAUGUCAUUUUCAAUGUCUUAGAAAUGUAUUGAGGUUGUUGUUUAUGUCAAACUCACUGUUUCACGUAUUAUCAGUUGAAUAUGUGAAGUAUUGAAUUUUUAACCCUGAUAUUGGGGUUAUUCAAUUGAAAACCUCUAUUAAUGACCUUAAGAAAGGGGUAGGAGAUGGGCAGUUGUAAGUUAUAUUCUACCUUAAUUGAUAGGACCUGCAGUUUGAUGUCUAAAAAUUUCUAACAUAUGACCUCUAAAAAUGAAAUUCCGUUCUUUUGAUUGUUUAGUUUUAACAUACUUGGUAGGGUUAUGAAUUGAUGUCUAAUCAAAGUAGUUGAUACAAUUAAAUUUGACAAAUAUGAGUUACACAAUGAAUAAUAUUCUUCCACAAAAUAAAUCGAAGAUUAAAAUCUAAAAUAAGAAUUAAGCAAGUAGACUAACAUGUUCAUGAAAGAAAAAAGACUGCACACAUUAAAGGAUUUAAGGAAAAGUUUGUUACAGGAUUUUGUAGCUAACAUAUGGAAUUACCUACCUUUAAUAUAGAAAAAGAAUAGCAUUAUUUUAGUAUAUUGUUUCUUUAACUGUACAUUUAUUUGAAAGGCUGUUAAAAUCACAGUAAAACCUGGAUCUUAUAUAAUUACUAGGCAGAUUUAUUAUCUGUUUUCCUCCCCUUUAAUGAAGAAUAAUCUCAAGAUCAUUUCCUUAGCAAAACAUAUUAAUUUGAUUGUAAAAUAAUCAAUGUUUUGCUGACUGGUGCUUCGAAUAAUCAAUAUCCACCUAAUCAUUGACUAAGUAAUCAUUGACUAAGUGAUCGAUGCCAACAUUUCUGUCAUAAUGUUACAGACUUCAACGAAGGCUUCAAGUCGUUUCGUCGAUUUGCGACCUUUUCCAGCAACAUUUAGAACCGUGCUUAACAAUUCUGGGUUCAUGUUACAGGUUUCCAUGAAGACUUCCAAGUCAUCUCGCCGAUUCGUCACUUUAUCCAACAAAUAUUUGGAACCAUGCCUAACAAUUCUGUCAUACUUCCUCUGUCUCACUUUGAUAGUCUUGUUUUCCUUUUUCGUCUGUCCUAAAUUAUAGUCCACUUUUCAAUUGAAGAAUAUAGUUGUAUUUUAAUUUUCCUAAAAUGCCCUUAUUCAAUGUAAGUUGUUGUUACUAUAAACCUACCCCAUUUAAUGAGAGUUGAUUUUUUUUUUACCAUCAAUUUAACUUCCCAUAAAGUUGUACUCUAUUUAAUGUGAGGGUAUUUUAGGAAAAUAGCAAUCUAAAUUUACUUUUCCAACAAAGUUAAUUACUUUUUCUUAAAGUGUGUGAAAAAAGAAACAUGACUAUCAAAGUGGGACGGAGGGAGUAAUGUUUUACAGUUUUCCAUGAAGACUUCAAGUCGUCUCGUCGAUUUGUCUCAUUUUCCACCAAACAUUUAGUUGAUGGUUUUCUAUUUAGUUUCCACGAAGACUUUCUACUAAACACGUUUAGAACCGUCAUUGGUGCUUUUCAUCAAAGACUGACUAGGGCGAGUGCUCGUGCAUGGCGCGGGUGUUUGGUACCUGUGGUUAGAGAGAGUUUUUCAUUGGACAAAUAAUAAUAUAUUUUAAAAAGAAAUAAUCAUCAAAUAUGACAAAUCUAAUAAUAGUAUAUUUUAAUUGCAACACACACUUGCACACUUUCCUUUAUCAUUGUUUUACAAUUUUACCAUUUCCAAAAGACCUCUACAGAUGUCAGUUGAAAAUCACCCAAGACCAGACAUAAGUUGUUUCAGAUAAAGAAAUAUCCUCCAAUGGCUAGUUAUAGCAACGUGUUAAUUGCAUAACCUGUUAAUAUGUCUUUAUGUUUAUUGUACAACAAAAGCUACACUUCAAUUAAAUGUGUCAUAGCACCAUUUCAGUAAUUAUACCAACACAGAAAUUUAUAUGAGCUGUACUCGUUGCAAAAACAGUUACAAAAUAAUUUCAUAUUCCAAAAAAAUACCCAGAUGUCUCCAUAAAUCAAAACUUUAAAUGUACCAAAAUGAUGACAUUUCGAUAAAUAUAUUUAAAUAUAUGCUGCCCUCAGUUGUACAAAAAAUUUUAAAAAAACUAUACAACAUUCCCAAAAAACUCUUAUCCAUACGGUUGAAAUUCAAACACCCUUUGACUACAACUCAUUUUUAUAUAGGAUAAUAAGAUAAGAAUUUCUUCUAAUAAUCUUUAUAGUGUUUAAUAAUAUGAAAUCAAAGGGAGAUGGAAUUCAACCUAAUACGUGUAUAACAUCGAUAACAUAAUUUAGCUUCCUUUUGGCCUUCUGAUGUGUUUCUGUGUCUUAAUUCAUGCAUAAUUUUCUUUACCAGAAUGUUUGUUUGGGAGCAUAUAGUUGGCUAAGAAAAGAUGAACCGAACUAGAUAAUUGCGCAAUAAUUGUUUAUUUAUUUUGCCUUUUUUGUUAUUAAAAUGGAAUUCAUAAUUCAAGUAUCUCUUUUUGCAUCUCCUGAAAAGUUUUACAUCCAUGACAUGACAAUCUUGCAAAUCAAUGUAUUAUUAAAUUACACACUUAACCAUAAGCAAGACUACCAAACAGCGUGCUUUUCUUACCUACUGGCAGAAAAAAAUUAAUUAAAUGUAGUGGAUCACAUACUCUCCAUCAUUAACACACAAAAGAAUGCAAAGAGGUCAUAUUUAAAAAUUAUACUUCUAUUAAACCUGGAUGAUUCUACGUCUCAUUUCAUAUUGAAAAACUUUAUCAAAACACUAAUAAAAGUUUACUCAAAUAACAUUGAAAAAAAUAAUGGCAUAGCACAAACACAUCUAUACAUGCAACAAAUUGAGUCUUACUUGCCAUGAAAAUUUAUGUCACCAAAAAGAAAAAAAUUUAAACUGUUUAGAUACCUCUUUUAUAAUUAAUUAACUCACUGCAAUUGUUCAAUUACAUUUUGUUUGUCUAGCAAAACAAAAUUAAAAACAAAAGAGACAGAAGUCAUUAGAGCUAUUGAUAUUGCAUACACCAUUCAAACUACCAAUAUUGUGAUUUUUUCAAUUGAUCAAAUUGGAUGAUUCCACUGCAAAAUUUUUCGUGAAUUAUGCUUUCAAUUUGUAGAAUCUUGCUGGUAAAUGAGUUUGCAGUGGGAGCAAGGGGAGAGUGAGUAAAAAGUGGAGUAAGUGCACAGCAUAACGGGGGCUCAUUUAUGUAAGACUUACCUCAUUUUUAGGCAAUUAUGACCCACAUAAUUGAUUCUAAAGUACUUGAUAUCAUAAUUAAUUGAUUGACAUUUUAUCAAUAAUUAAUUAGGAUCUCGCAAUAGAUAAUGAUUGACAUCCUGAUUAAUUGAAUGACAUUUUGUCAAUAAUUAAUUAGUAUCUCCCAUUUGUUAAUGAUUAAUUGAUAUUUUAUUCAAUCAGUUAAUCAAUCAAAUCAAUCAAUUAGUCAGAAAAAGUUAUUUUCAGCUAUGAAUUUUGGCAAGAUUUCCUUGAUGGAAGGAAACCCUAGGAAUUUUUGUAUUUGCUAGUAAGGGUCCCUAGCCUAGUCUAUAAAUAUUCUGUGGUAUUCUAUCAAUUGUACACUUUUGGGUUAGACAUAGGUUAGAAGAUCUUGAUUCUAAAUUCUCCUUCUACUUUUCCUUCUUCUACAUAUUUUGUUUUCUUAGAAUAGACAGGAAGAAGUCAAAAACACAAGAAAGAUCAACUUGUGUUUGACAAUAAUGGUUAGAGGCAAGUGUAUUUAGAUUUUAACUGCGUAGUACAUUCAUAUGUACAUAAUAAGUUUAACAUGUGGUAUCAAAGUCAACCUCUAACCAUGUUGUUCAACUUAUAAUUUCAUGGUUUAUUGGUAAUCUGAUAAAAGUUUUAGAGAGUCGUAUCAAGUUUAAACGAAUCGAAUUUAAUUUGCGAUGGGAUCUAUGGUCCAUUGUCUCAAUAAUUAAGAUUUAUUUACUAAUCCUAUGUAUAUGUAUCAUUCAUAUGAUAUUUUAUUUGGUUAUGCAAUUCAUCCAGAUUUCCUCCAAUAAUCGGUUGUUAUUUGGAAUUAUGUAGCAUUUUGUGCACUACACUUAGGUUCAUUUAUCUCAUAUUAUAAUGUCAACAUUAGUAUGAUUGAUUACAUUUAAAUUUCAGAGAAUUUCCUCUAUAAAGUGUGUCUUGCAUCUCAAUUGUUUGAUGCAUGAAGUAUUUUAAUCACAUAAAGGUUGAUGGUUAAAAAUGAAUAUUAAAAAAAGGAAAUUAUGAAAUUCUUUUGUCAAAAUACAGACUUUUUGCUUAUUUUGAUAUCUGUAUAAAGUCUAGCACACUUUAUGUUUGAGAGUAGCCAUAGCAUCUCAAACAUUGGUGUACUACAAUUUUGAUCACAUAUAGUUUAGUGAUUAAAAUCAAGGAUUUCUAGUCAACAAGUUGACUACUCGUUUUCUAUGAAUUUUCAUUAGAAGUUUUCUUGCAUCGUAUAUUUGGGAGUAGCAACAGUAUCUCAAAUAUGUGGUGUAAAUAACUUUAAUCACAUAAGAUUAAGUGAUUAUAAAAAGAAAGGAAAAUUCAAUGAAAUUCAAUCAACAUAAAGUUUUUUGACUAUUAACAAAUAACAAGAUGCCAUGCUAAGAAUUUCACUUUUACAUUACAUAUUUGGGAGUAGCCACAGCAUCCCAAAUAUUUGAUGAGAAAAGUUUUUCAUCACAUACAAUUUGGUGAUUGAAAUCAUGAAUUUUUAGUCAACAUAUUGACUAGUUGACAAUUUUUCUUAUAAAGCCAUAUACUUAGGAGUAGCCACAGCAUCUUAAGUAUAUUGGUGUUUGGAGAAAUUUUGUAUUUCUUUUUCACAUAUUAUUGAGUGAUUAAAGAAAUUAAAAAAAUGGCAUCUAUAUCAUCAAGUUGCAAUUAAUUCAUUGAGAUAGUUAUCCAGCCCCACAGGGAGGUAAUUAUUUUGGUGAGAUUAAUUGACAUAAGAUGGUAAAUUAGACAGUCAAUUAAGAGAUAUUUUUAUGCCCACGGUACGAAUUAUUUCUUUAAUUCUUUGUCCUAGAUUACUAGUCUUAUGAUUAAGUAAAGUAAAUUCUAUGCAUGUUUGCAACCUUUGUCCAUAGAAAGUUUUGAAUUUAGUAUUUAAAUUGACAUAAGGUUGAUUCAAAAUAAAGGUACAAAUUUUCAUAGCUUUUUUAUGAUAUAGUUCUGGAUUGUUAAUUCAGUGUUUCAUUCCAAUGAUUUUAUGGUUCUUAUUAGCUUGAUUUUUAAAUUCAUUCUCUUUUGUUUUGGUGCAAGUUUUAAAUUAGCACUUUCAUGAGAAUAAACAAACCAUUCUCAUAAUGUGGAUAUAUUUGCUAAUAUAGAGGUUGAGUAUGAGAACUGGGAGCUCGAUUGGUCACGGCACGCCUCCUUAGGAGCCGUUUCCAGUGCCCGCUAGGGUUCGAGUCCCAUGGUUAACGUGUUCGGGGGGAUGGGGCCUCUCCUCUCGCGCCGGUGGUGGAUUAGUCGGGUCCGAUUUAUCCGAUGGCCCGGAUACCCCCUCCGUCAAGAAAAAAAAAAGAGUAUGAGAACUGGGAGCAAUUUAAUAGUUUGUUCAUUUUGUCUCAUAUUCAUAUAAAAUAGGGUUCAAACCCUAAUUAUUUAUAGUUAAAUCUUGCAUGAAAACCAUAAAGAAAUUGUCACAAGUUUUAACUAGCACCAUUAGAAGACUUUCUUUUGUGACACUUAAAUAUUGAAGCGUAUUUUAGCACAUUUCUUAGAGUUGAGAAUUUUGCUAUAUCAUCAAUUAAAGUCCCAUCACAUUGGGAUUGAGUUAUUUUUAUAGCAUUUCAUUCUUGAUUCUUUCUUGUAGAAUUUCUUAACCAUUCAAACCUUUAUAAUACACAUAAGGAUAUAUGGUUAAUUACUUGUUUUAACCAUGUGUAUUAAGAAAGGAUAAAGAGGUUAAGAAUUAAGAGAAACUCAACCUUCAUGAAAGAAGAAAUGGAAAGAAAGGUAAUUUUGUUCUCAUUAAGUCGAACAGCAAUAAAGACCAACGUUGUUUGUAAGAGAAUGAUAUUUGAUAUUUGACCUUGAGAGAAAGUAACUCAAAAGAAAAAUCUCAAUUGUUGAGUAUUAUAAAUUGUGAUAUAUUUGGUGAAUUGGCUAAAGCUGUCAAUUUACGCUGCUAGUAUAAUAAGUUUCUGAUUAUAUGAAAAGUGAACAAAAGUUUCUUUAUAGAAACUAAAAAAAAUGUUCACAUAAAGAUAAGUGAUGUAUUAUUGCUCAUUUCAAGAAAAUUUGUUUUCUUAUUACUUUAGAAUUUCUAUUUUUAAAUUAAUUACUAUUGGGUAUGAUUAUGAACCUCAUUAUCCAAUAGUAAAUUUUGAAAAUAGUGAAGUUAUUAAUUCUAAAGUUUUCAGUACCAUCUUUUGAAUUGAGCAAUAUACUGCACUUGACCACAGUAAUUAUAUUGGCAGUAAGUAUGUUUAUCACUAGGGAAACUCCUUAAAUUUUGGCAUAAGAGAUUGAGAUAUAUCUCUAUAAUGAAAUAAAGAGUUGAUAAAUCAUAAAUCUUUAAAUAUUUUAGAUUUAUUGACUAUAAAAUUUCAGGUAGACUGUAUAAGUAAAGCAGACUAUUCAACCAUUAUGGAUGCCAUAAGAGUUUCAUUAUAGCACCAAUAUUUUGUGAAUUAUUUUCUAUCCUUUUUGAUUGGUGAGAGAUAUUUAUCUCAUUAUUAGGUAACCAUUCAUCAAAUAUAAAGUUCCUUUCUUAUUUGAUAAAGGAUCAAUAUUUGAUACCUCUGUAAGUGUUCAAAUGAGAAAGGAAAUUUGAAAUUUGAGGGAUAGAAAAUAAAAUGAAGGCACACAAAAUUAGGGGAUUAUCCCAUAUGUGCUCAUUUUAUAAAUUCCUUAAUUAUGAAGCAUUGCUAAUGAGUAAAAGCAAUGCUUGAUUAGUUACAUCCAAAUGAUAUACCUUAAGGAAAUAAUGAGAUAGUUGUGGGUACAGCAUUUUGACAAUCUUUAUAUCUUGUGAGUAAUGCCUUGAAAUUGAAAUAUAUACUUAAACAAUUUCCUCCAAUAUUGUUUAAACACCACUUUGAUUAUGGUAUGGAUGGAAAUCAAGUUUAAAAUAUUAUGUUUAGUUUUGUGAGGGUAAUCAACCUACACAUAAAGAAGUUGUACAAAGGAAACAAGGCUCUUACUUCAAGAAAUUUAGAUUCCUUUACACUUUAAGAAUUAUUAGAACUGGAGAUUUAAAUUUAUUAAGAACAUGAAGUAAGUGGGAGUGUUUUGACUCUAGAAUGGAGUUUUGAAAUGGUAAGGAUUCAUAUUUUGACUUUUUGCAUAUGGAAAAUUGGUAGCUUUUGUCAAAAUAAUUAUUUAAUUAUUUUAGAGAAGCAAUCAAUUGAAAAACUCCUUGUCAAAUAAACACAUAAAGAUAAAUCCACUUUGAACCUACUGGUUGACUUCUCUUUGAAACAGUAGGAGGCAAAAUGUUCUCUAUAGAGAAUUGAAGUUCUCUGGUUACUAUGUUGCAUACCUACAAGAGUUUAAGGAUGAAUUGGGUAAUGUUUUUAUAAGGUACAAAUGGAGAAAUCUCUAUUUUCAGGAAUAAUAUCACAAAUUACCACAAAAUCUCUACCAAAUUUUGAGAGAUUUUAAUUAGGGUAAUUAUGACACUAGUAACUCGCUAUUAGAGUUACAUUAGAUAAUUAUGAAAACAAAUGCCCUUAAUGUGACUCUUGAUAAUUAGGUGUACACAUGUGUCACCGUAAUACAUUUGUAGAGAAUGCAAUUUAAAUUGUUUCUUCCCAUAGUAUAUUAAUUUAUUCUUCAUUUGAUCUUAGAAGAAUUUUUUCUAGUAAAUUAAUAUACAUUAAGGUUAGUAGGAGUAAUACUAUAAGAGUUUUUCUCAAUCAUGAUAUUUGUGAAACCCUUCUAUCAUUGAUAUUCACAAAAUAGAAUGUAAAAGAUAGUUAAUCUAACUUAAAACCUUCAUGCAAGAGUUUAAUUUCUAGACUCAAAAGCAAGCAAAGAAUUUCAUAAUUUCUUUAUAAGUCAUAUUUCCAACAUCAAGGAAAUAAUAAGUUAUAGGAUCCAUUAUUUCCUGAUUGUUAGAUCACUAAAUCGAGCUCAAAGCCUAACAAUCAAUUCGGCUCGACUCAUUUACUAACCUGUAUUAGUACCAAACUUAUAUAAUAUACAUGCAAUUCGAUGCUUAAAUUCAACUGAUUAUGAAACAUGUAUCACUUAAUAGAUUUACCAAAAUAAUAUUUUAGCAUUUGAAUUUCUUAGUGUUCAGAUUUUAGAUUUUAUUUUUCAGUUUUACCUAACACCCUUUUGUCUUCUUCGAGUGUUCGGCGGACGAGUUCUAGAAGGAAUCUAGAAAUUUCGUGCGAUAAAUGAUGCGUGAAAACUGAGCAAUGUUUGGUAAGAUUUUCCUGUCAAUUCAGGUCACAACUCUUUUCGGGGUGCCGAUCUUUAACGUUUACCAAUGGUAUUGGUAUUUGUUUCUGAUCCACAGUUAGUUUCAUUAACGUUGAUGUAUUUGACCACCAUUGCCGGCUCCAUUCAUUUAUAAGUAGAACCUAGUCCUGCAGUCGCUUCUUCUCUCGCCUCCCCAUAUUUGUUUUUAAGUAACAAAACCAACCAACUCUCUGCAAAUGGAUUCUAUUUUUGGGAGAAGAGCACUAAUUUGAUAAUUGGUUUGUUUGCAUUGUAUUUAUUUGCUUGUAUCAUCAAUACAUUUUUUAACUACCCUUUUAUGUCACAUACAUCAAAUAAAAAACAGUGUUACAGUAUUUUUUUUUAAAAAAAUAUCCCAAAUAAUUUAUUAUCCAAACAUAGACAAAUGUUUCAUGUAAAUUCUUCACCCGAGAAGGAGGUAUGGAAACAAAAAAUGAAUAUUUUGGAGGGUAAUUCUUAGCUGUCAUUUUAUUUGUUCCUAUUGUUAUGAAGCUUUUAAGAUAGAGUUUUUUUUAUUAUUAUUUUUGAUAAGUAAGAGGUUUUGAACUUUGAACCACAUACUUACAAUCCCUCCUAACUUAUAACCAAGCAAAUAGCCCCCCCCCCCUCCCACCCCAAAGAUGGAUCUUUUUCUUUUUUCUUUUUAUGUGUAAAUGGGAGAUUUCGAAGUCGGAACCUCUACUUACACUCCCUCCUUCUGUACCAUCUAAUAUACCCCUCCUCCUCUAAGAUGAAGUUUUAAGUGUUCAUAAAUUGAAAAUAUGUACAAAUAAAGGCAUAAUAAUAAUUAUUAAUUUACAGUGCCCUUUAUCUUGUUAUUUUAGCUAACUUUGUCAUUUAUUGGAAUUAAAUGAGACAAACUUAGAGUUUGGAGUACAAGCGUCUAAAAAUGGAUUUUAAAAUGUAACGUGUCUUAAAUCGAAAUUUUAGGAUGCAAAGCAAGAAAGAAGUACAAGUUUGGAGAUUCAAAGUAAAGUUACUCUUAUUUUCAUUGGUCACUCAAAUAAUGAACCUAACCUUUAUCAAGGAUCAAAUACAACUCGACUUAAUAGAUCCCUUUUGCUUGAGUGAGGGACGUGAAAGGUCUCUUCAGUACCUUCCAAACCAACCUCGAACUGCUUAAAUAGCGUUCCUCAGCAUGCCAUCGUCCCCAGACUUCAUUCUUUUCCUGAUCCUCUACAUCAGUUUAAAAAACUCUCCAUAACCCUUCAGUUUUAGAUAUCUCAGAAUAUUCAAGAAUGGCAGAAAAAAGCAAGAUUUUGAUCAUUGGUGGAACAGGAUACAUUGGCAAGUUUAUAGUUGCGGCCAGCACUAAGGCUAGUCAUCCCACCUUUGUAUUGGUUAGAGAAUCUACAGUUUCUGAUCCUGUUAAGGGAAAACUUGUUGAAGGCUUCAAGAACUCUGGGGCGACUCUUGUUCAUGUAAGCAGCGUUAAUUUUUCAAUUCAUUUGACAGUGUUGUCAAUUGGGAUUCCUUUUUUUCCCUUUUAGCUGGUGAUGCUUGUUUUUUAUCUCGAUAUUGGAAUUCUUCCUUGGAGCAGGGUGACUUGUAUGAUCAUGAAAGUUUAGUGAAGGCCAUAAAACAGGUGGAUGUGGUCAUAUCAACUGUUGGUAACGGACAAUUGAAUGAUCAGAGGAAGAUCAUUGAUGCAAUUAAAGAAGCUGGAAAUGUCAAGGUGUGUUGUUUAUGUGGUCUUGUUACUAAUGAUUCUCACUGGGGACUGUAUUUGAAUACGUUUGUUGUUUUUCUUAUGUUGCAGAUCUGUAGCUCUGCAAUUUAGAUAAUUAUAGGUAUUUAAUUGUUGAAAUAUAGUAAAUUUUGAUAAUGCACACGAAAUUCAUGUGUCGUUCGUAGAGCUUGAUGAUACAUUUUCGGAGUGGAGAAGCAACUAAGAUUAAUUGGCCAAUUUGCUUAAUUGAAAUUUCAGUCGAUUUUAAGCCUAUCUAUUGGGCAGAGUUAAUUGAGGUUCUUUUAGUCAUCGUGAAAAACCACAGUGAUUUGACAAUCUGUGAAUUUGAGGAAAAGAAUGCAGAUUGGAAUGAAAUAGAGUAUAAUUUGUGUCAGUUUUUAUCUACUAUCGUUCCCAAAUUCUGACACAUAAUAUGGUGAAAUUCUCAGAAAUUCUACCCUUCAGAGUUUGGAGUUGAUGUGGAUCGCCAAAAUGCAGUUGAGCCUGCCAAGUCUGCAUUUGCAGGAAAGUCUCAGAUUCGUAGAGCUACUGAGGCAGCAGGGAUCCCUUACACCUAUAUCUCGUCUAACGCUUUUGCUGGAUAUUUUCUUCCAACCUUGUUACAGCCAGGAGCCACUGCACCACCACGAGAUAAAGUUGUCAUCUUGGGAGAUGGAAAUGCUAAAGGUAUGGCAUAUAAUAUCACUUGGCUAUUUUAUUCUUUUUCACCCACUUCACCUGAUCAUUUUCUUAUCCUCUGCUGAAUUUAUCCUGUAAGAACGUGAAUAUUGUACUGGUGCUUAAAAAUUUUUUUUUUUUAAUGUUUCAAUUGUAGCUGUUUUUAAUGAAGAACAUGACAUUGGUACUUUCACCAUCAAAACUGUUGAUGAUCCAAGAGCAUUGAACAAAGUUGUCUACAUUAGGCCUCCUAAGAAUAGUGUAUCAUUUAAAGAGUUAGUGGCAGUAUGGGAGAAGAAGAUUGGUAAAACUCUGGAGAAAGAAUAUAUUCCUGAGGAACAACUCCUGAAGAACAUCCAAGGUGACAAGAAGUUUGAUUUCAAUUUCCUUAAUUCUUUAUUGUAUGAAUUAUUAGUGUAUGAAUGGACCAUUUCUUCGCAGAGGCUCCAAUUCCGCUCAAUGUCAUAUUAUCAAUUAACCAUGCAAUUCUGGUAAACGGUGAUACUACCAACUUUGCAAUUGAGCCAUCUUUCGGUGUAGAGGCUUCAGAGCUUUAUCCUAAUGUCAAGUACACCACUGUCGAGGAGUACCUUGAUCGAUUCGUCUAAGAAGUUCAUUAGUCUUCUGAUUGAUGUGGUCAUGGCCUGGAAUAAUUGGCUGAUGAACUUGGUCCAAGACUUUGUGUUGAACGUGUUGUAAUGAUCUUUGUUAAAUGCUUCUGCUAUAUUUGAUUUUACUAAAUGUAUUAGCACAAGUUUCAAAAAUAGGAGGAGUUGUUAUCUAUUAUAUUGGUAUUCAAUAUUCUCCGAACUUUGCGGGAAUAACUUAGUAAUGAAACGAGCUGUUUUCCUUUUUCUGCAAUGCUUCUACCGCAUCUCCUUGCAACUCAUUUUAUAAGCAUGUCAAUCUUGUGAAUUGCUGCUAUUAAAUUUCUGACUUUUGUGAAAUACAACUCUAAUGCGACUGUUGAAAGAAUAGGCUUAACAAUAUGCAAUCAUAUCUGUGCCAUUGCCGUUGUGGUUUACUUUGUUGAUGAACAAGCAACUUGAAGUUUGUUGAGUUGUGGCUUGGGGGGGAUUUUUAGAAUCCUUCCUGCUGUCAAAUUGUCAAAUCGAGAGUUCAAAUCCUUUGUUCGGUAGUUGGAGAAUGAAAAGUGUGUGGGAAAGAGCGGGAGGGUAAAAAAAAAAAAAAAGACAUUUGUGUGGGGAGGAGCGGAAGGAUUUAAAAAAAGGGUACAAUACAAAAAAUAUCCCCUGUGGUAAAUUUAAUACACAGGAAAACCUCCCGUAGUUUCAAAAUAUACAACAUAAUACCCCGUACUUAGAACUAAAUUGUAAAGGUGACGGAAUCCGUUAAACUUAACGGAAAUGACUUAUUGGAAUCUAAAAAAAAAUUUUAUACCUAAUUUUUAACAAAUAUACCUGUUCUACCCCUUAACCCUCAAUUCUCUCUAUCUAGAAAAUAAAACAAAUGAUUUUUUUGCGCUGUCUUUUACUUAAUUAUAUUAGGGCAUUUUGGUAAUUUCGUCCAUUUCCGUUAAAUUUAACGGAUUCCGUUACCUUUACAAUUUAGUUAAAAGAAUGGGGUGUCGUGUUAUAUAUUUUGAAACUAUGAGGGGCUUUUCUGUGUAUUAGGUUUACCACAUGGAUUUUUUAUUUUUUACCCUAAAAAAAAAUGAAAAAGACGUUUGUUGAGUCAUAGGUGCAUAAUUAUUGCUUUAAACCCACCAAGCCUAUGAUUGUGUCUGGUUGUUGUUCAAUGAAGGGAUGCUUUUGAAUUUCGCUCUUUGCUUGUUUCUUUAUUGAGAUAUAGUAAUGAUGUCAACAGCAAAACUUUGUUAAGGAACAUUUAAUGGAAGAAAUACCAGUGGCCCGCGCAUGGUGUUUAUAAUCUCAAAUACGUCGCCUUUGAACUAAAGCAUGGUGUGUUUCAUCCAUUUCAUAUAGAUUCCGGUCUCCAAUUUUCAUGCCUUAUUUUCUGGUAAAUUGUUCAGUAAGUAGUCUCUUUGAUUUGGCUUUGGCCAAUAUUCACCAAAAUGGAUCCUUUGAUUGGUCGGAAGCAACUUAUAGAUGUUGUUGUGGACCCUUCUCUGCAUCCCAAUUAUUUGUUACGUGACAAUUUGUUCCACUAAAACCCUGGAGAAUGACAUUGAACUUUUCAUCAGAACCUUAGAAUUUGGGCUUUAAUUAGCUUUGUAAAUUACAACCAUCUUCUAUUUUAACUAAUUCUAAAUUCUAUUAUAGUUUCUAAUUUUUAAAGGAAAAUUUCUCUAAUAACUUAAAUAUGUUAUAAAACUAAUAAAAUAAGCUACUAUAAUAUCAAGUGAAAUAUUGGAGAAAGAAGUAGAGAAAUGGAGAGUGAUAUUCUUAUAUUCCAAUAAGAUACAAAAGUCAUUCCAAAGGGUGUCAAUGUACCUCUAUAUAUAGGUACUACAAGAUUAAAGGAACAAUCAAUCCUAUUAAACACCCACUAUUACAAGAAUAUGAAGAAACCUAUGAAACGGUUCUUCCACUACAUGAAUAGAUUUAUGGAUUGUAACUUCUAUACAUAAUGUAACCAUAAAUCAAGAAUUAAUCCUCUUGGGAAUACAAAGGGACAUCCAUACUUUUAAUUGUUUCAUAACACUCCCCCUUGGAUGUCCAUUACACAAAGAAUAUGCCUCGUUAAAACCUUACUAGGGAAAAAUCCAUCGGGACAAAAACCCUAGUGAAGGAAAAAGAGUACACUAUUCUUGUGUAUUAAUUUCUCCCCCUGAUGCAAACAUCAUUUGAGAUCUUUUAAUCGUCGCAUUCCAAUAUUCUUCGCCAAUUGUACUGAGAUAUGGUACUUCAGGACCAAAUAUCUCUUCAUCUUUCUCUCACGAUCUAAAAGGAUCUUUAUUAGGAUCUAAUGAUCUGACAACCAUUGGAGUACUUAAUAUAUGUGCCUUAUCCAUAUAAAAACGCUUUAAUACCUUCCGGGUAUAUGCAGUUUGGUGAACAAAAAUUCCACUCUUCAAAUGUUCAAUUUGUAAACCAAGGAAUUUUAUUUUUCCAAAAUCUUUGAUAUCAAAUUCCUUCUUCAAAUAUUCAACAUUAUUUUGAUUCUCUUCAGGAGUUCCAAUCAAAUUUAGAUCAUCAAGAUAUAUAUAACAAUGAUCACAAAAUUUGAUCCAUUUUUCUUGGUAAAAACAUAUGGACAUAUUGGAUCAUUGGUAUAACCUUCUUUAGUCAGACAUUCAUUGAGGCGAUUAUACCACAUACGUCCAAAUUGUUUGAGCCCAUACAGAGACCUUUGUAGUUUAAUAGAAUAAAUAUUUUUAGAAUUUGAUUUGUAUGCUUCAGGCAUGUUAAAUCCUUCGGGGAUUCUCAUAUAAAUAUCAUUUUCAAGAUUUCCAUAUAAAUAUGCAGUAACGACGUCCAUUAGACGCAUAUCUAAUUUUUCAUUUACUGCAAAACUCACAAGAUAUCUAAAUGUGAUAGCAUCCACUACAGGUGAAUACAUUUCAUCAUAAUUAAAUCCAGGCCUUUGUGAAAAUCCUUGGACUACAAGUUUUGCUUUAUACCUCACAAUUUCCUUUUUCUUAUUUCUCUUUAUCACAAAUACCCAUUUAUAUUCUAUUAGUUUUACACCUUCAAGUGUUUGGACUACAGGUCCAAAAACUUUUUCUUUUAACCAAUAAAUCCAAUUCAGAUUGGAUUGUAUCUUUCCACUUUGAACAAUCAUUUCUAUACCGACAUUCAUCAACCGAUUUAGAUUCAUGAUCCUCAUCAACUUCUAUAAUAUCAAGUGCUACAUUUCAUUAGGCUCCAAUUAAAUUUUCUAUGAUUUCAUUCUCUUCAGGAGUUGGCUCUUCAGGAGCAACCUCUUCAAGAGGUUGAAUUUUAUCAUGACAUUUAUUUAAUCUCCGGAGUUAUUUGAAAUCAAUUUAUACCUUAUUUAGAUAGGCCGGCCUUAAAUUUAUUUGUAACACUUGUACAUGUCCUUCAGGGACAUCAAUUUUAACCAGAGUAUUCCCUGCAGGAAUAGUUGAUUUAAUGGCUCAUCUGGAGUCGAUAAAUAUAUCUGGCAAUUGAUUUGCAGUUUUCAGCAAAUGAAUAAUUUCUUGAACUUCCAGUUCACGUUAUUUUGUAUGAGGAUCGAGGAAAUCUAAUUUUUUUCAGAUGAUUUCCUUUCGAUUGAUUUCUUCCUCCCCCUAAUGUCGGGAAUCGUAACUCAUCAGAAUAAAUAAAUCAUUUAAUAGAUCACCCAUCAAAUAUUUUAUGAUAUUUAAUCGUAAAAAGUGAUUCAUACCCGACAUAAAUUCUAAAUUUCUUUUUGGAGCCAUAUAUAAUAUAAAGGGGGUAUGUAUAAACAUUUGUCGGCUCUCAAAUAUUUUCACUUUCGUUAAAUCAUGUAUUCAUUGGGAUCAGUAAACUUCUGGUUUACUGCAGGUGAUAAUUAUAAAUCAAAUGAGAAUGAAGACAACUAUAUCGAUAACCAUUUCUCUCUCGAAUGGUUAUUAUGAUAUAAUUAACAUUUAUCUCAUUUGAUUUCUAAACAUGAUCUCUAUUAUUGUCUCAUUUAAUAUCUCAAUUUGAUAUCCAUUUCAACGGAUAUUCAAAUUCAAUAAAUUUUUCGAGACAUGAUAAAAAAUAGUACUUUAUUCAUAACAAACUUUUCUCUUACAGGGAGAAAUAUAGUAGUGGCUCUUCUGGAGCUUUCAAUCACUUAUACACUACAACUGAUUGUAUUUGUCUCUCUCAUUGGAAUAUAGUGUAUAUAGUAGCACUUAUUAAUGAGAUACAUAUCAUUGUCACCAUAAUUCUUAUGGGACAAAUAUAAUCACCAUAAUUUUUUUUUUGAUCCCAAAUAUUUAACAUUCAUUUCUUCUUCAGGAAGAAAAGCUAAUUACUAUCAUAAAUUAAAUCAAACAUCAUACACCUUCAGGGUGUUUAAAGAAAUUGGCCAUGUGAAGAUACGAUUAUAAUUUUGAUUUGUCAAAUGUACUUCAGGACAUUUAUCUUUAGGACCUUUAUUUUCUUGUCCUUAUCAUUAUUAUCUCACUUCAAGUGGUAAUUUUUUCUCUUGUCAUGGUAAAAUAUAUAUUUACCAAAAUCAUAGUCAUGGCAACAACCAUAACUAAUAAAUUGAAAUUUAGUCGCAUUCACUUCUGGGAAUGGAAUAGAACUAGCAUGCAAUAAGUACAAAAUACUUCUCAAAAUUUCUCUUAAUAUUGAUACUACAGGAGCAUAUUCGAGAAAUCAAUUGUGGAGAGUAUUAUUUUUAAUAUAUCUUAUAAGUAAAAUUUUCUCAACACAAUUUCAACUGAGAAGUAAUUCUAAAAAUUGCAUAAUUAUGUUCUUGUAGCCACAGGUAAAUUUAUCAUACCAGGCUUUUGAAAUAAUGACCAUCUUCUAGUGGCAAAUAUUUUCGUUAAACAACGACCAUCUUCAGGUGGUCGAAUUUUUUUCUUUAAAUAUUUCAAAGGACAAGUAGAUCCUCAAAUAUAAUUGAUUUUCUAUAAUAACAUCUCUAAAACUCAAUGCAUCAGAAUAUAAGUAUUUAUAACGAAUAAUUAUAAAGGUAAACAAGUAGAAUUAAAAGGAGAAAUAUUACCUCAAAGAUGUCAAACAAUAUAUGUUUGUGUUUAGUGGUUGUUCAACAGUAGGUACUUGUAUUUUGCGAUAAUUCAAAUAUUAGCCAUAAGAAAUUGAAAUAAGUUUUUGAGUUAGAGAUUUACCUCAAUAGGUAGUCAAGAGUUGCUCGAAAAAAAACCAACAGUUGAUUUGACACUAGCAGAAUCUUGACAGAGUCUCGUGUUUCACCUUUGCUCAGAAGUAGAGACUCGUGCUGAUAACGUGUUAUAAAACUAAUAAAAUAAGCUACUAUAAUAUCAAGUGAAAUAUUGGAGAAAGAAGUAGAGAAAUGGAGAGUGAUAUUCUUAUAUUCCAAUAAGAUACAAAAGUCAUUCCAAAGGGUGUCAAUGUACCUCUAUAUAUAGGUACUACAAGAUUAAAGGAACAAUCAAUCCUAUUAAACACCCAUUAUUACAAGAAUAUGAAGAAACCUAUGAAACGAUUCUUCCACUACAUGAAUAGAUUUAUGGAUUGUAACUUCUAUACAUAAUGUAACCAUAAAUCAAGAAUUAAUCCUCUUGGGAAUACAAAGGGACAUCCAUACUUUUAAUUGUUUCAUAACAAAAUAUAUUACAAUUUGACAUGACAAUUUGUCAUUUAAAAACUAAAUAAAUUUUUAAAAUACGUCAACAUUCCAAGAUGCAAUUUGUAUAACGAAUAUUGAUUAUAUGUUUGAGUUAAAAUCUAGUUCUAAAUUAUAUUACACUUUUUUUCAAACUUCUAAUUUCUCGUAAGGGUGAUAUGAAUAUCUUUUCAGGCAUUGAUAUUCAGGGAAAGUUAUUUACAAUAUGAGAUUUAAACCAUAUCUACUAAUCAUUAGGGUCGAUCCAGUGACCAAAAGAGGGUUCGUGAGUUUUUCUGCUGUCAAGUUCAGAGUUCGAAUUUUGAGUUUUACAGUUUGGGGUUGGAAAAGUUAUGGAUAGAUUGGGGGUCAUUGGGGCGGGGGUUGGGGCGGGGGAUGGGGCGGGGACGGGGACGGGGGGAAUUUUUUCCCCCCGUUUAGAAACGGGGCGGGGGCGGGGGCGGGGGUUUACUCCCCCGCCCUACCCCCCGCCCCGCCACCCGUUUGAAAAAAUAUAUAUGUACAUCAUUAUAUAUAUAAUAUAUUAUCAAUUAUACUACUAAUUAUACAUGUCUAUUAAUAAAAAUUAUUAAUUAUUUAUACUAAAUUUAUUUAUACAUUUAUGUUAAAUUCUUAACUACAUUUAAUACAACUAGGAGGAGAACACCGCGCGAUGCGCGGUGAAAAUUUUCGUGUUUGCCCAGUUAUGCAUCAUACAUAAUUUCAAGUUUGCCCAAUUAUUUAGGUUUUUCCAGUUAUACAAAGUACAUAAUGGUUGCAAAUUAUAUUAAGCUAAAUCAUAAAUAUUGUAUUCAUCCAUUCAAAAUUAGAUAAAGCUGUAUCGUAUUUAUCCAUUCAAAAGUUUCUAAAGCAAUUAGUAAAAGUAAUUUUCGAUGAUACUGUAACCGUGAAGUGCAUCCAUGUUAGCAGACUAAGAAAAUGGACUCUCAUCUAGAAAGAAAACGAAUAGUAUAAUUGUAAGUUACAGGACCUGUUGGAUUUCUUUCUCCACCAGAUUUUCCCAUUAGAAAGCAGUAUCAGUACAAUAUUCUUAAUGUUCCAAAAGGUAUAAAUUAUAAAAAUACAAAAAAGCUAUGAAAUGCCCUUUUUCUCUCAACUACUAACACCCAUGAAGACUCCUUUUUUUUUAAUGUAAAUAGUAAGAGAUACAAGACUCAGACACAAUUGGGAGUGGAGAGCUGCAUAUGCUUCCAGUCUGUGAUAAGAUAAACAAGUCAUUAUCUCAAGUUUAGAACCUUAUUGACAUAGCAAAUGAGAUAUGAUAAAGCAAAUGAAAUAGAUACAUAAUGGAAAUAUUUUGGGCGCAUGAUAACAGCAAAGAAAGGUAUUAAUACCUUUCAAAAUGGCAUUUGAGGCCAAAAUAUUCAUCCACCGACCCAACAAAUUUUAUCACUUUAAUCUUGUUUUCCUACAAUAGUUGAAACUUGUUCAAAACUGUUUUUGAAUCUUGGAAUUAAAAUCACCAAAAGACGAAAGAAGUUCAAUUUCUUUGGAAUUCAUAAAACGUAGACACAUAAAGAAAAGAAUAUAGGAACUUGUAGAAUAGAAGACUUGCAAUAUUAUUUUUUGAACUAAUUUUGACUAUUUAAAUAAUAUAAAGUAAGAACUCACCAAGGAGGCUUCAUACUCUUGUUUCAUCAAAUGUAAUAAAACAUCUCUACACUUAAAAGUCACCAAGCAGAUACACAACUAUUUAUUUGGCUGAGUUAGACUAAGUAUAAAAAUUGUGUAUCUCAUGUUUAAAGGUUUGAAACUGCACACUUGUCAAAUGGAUUUAAACCAAAUUUUGCAUUCCCACUUGUGCCCUCCAAAAAGGACAAGAUAUUAGUCGGCCAAUAUUCUGCAUCUUUUUGUCAUUACUUAUGAGUUGUAUGUAAGUUUUUAAUCGAAUUCGAGAAAAGAAGAAAGACAAAAAAAAAUUUUGUAUAAUACAUACUGUAUAAAAAAAUCAAUAAAAAGAAAAUGACAACUUCUUUAGUGCUACAAUUUAAAUAUGUUUCACCUUUUUGAAAAAGACAUUUUUUAAACCAUUUCAGCCAUUUAAUUAGUUAAACAACUUCCUAAAUUGUCAAGUCCUUGUGCUCCAAUGAAACAGCAAAAGUGGCACGCCACUUAAGUUCCCAAUUUAUAUUAAAUCUACCAUAGGAAUUUUCUCGUCCUAAUUUUUGUGCUUAUCUUAGUAGCCAAAUUUUUAAAGUCAAUGAUUAAGAAACUUAUUUACAUAGCACACCAACAUCUUACUAAAGCAAGCAGCACAUUGUGGGCAUAAUCAAACUUAUGUAGGCAUAAUCAAACUUAUUGAUACAAAACUAAGAAAACAAGAAAACAAGAAGCCAAGAAUUUAAUUUCACUUACUUGAGUUAUAAAAUGUUAUCCAAAAGUGUGAAAUAGCUGGCUACCUAUCUCUCAUAGUAGACCGCGUAUACAUAAACCAUUGCACCUUUAUGUUGGGCACAAUUUUCUUACUUCUAUUUUGAAAAGCAAAAAAGAAAUUUAGAACCAAGUUUUUACCAUUGCCACGAUGCAUAGGUAUUCAAAGAUUCAAAAGUCAAAAGAAUUAGCUUUUUGGAUGAUGCUCUUUGUGUCUUGCUUAGGAACCUUAUAUACACUUCAAUAAAACAAAUUAAAUUGCAGCAAGAAGUACAAUUAUUAACAUGCAUAUCUUAAGCCAUAACUAUUUUCUUCUUUGUCAGGAAGAAAUUACCUUAUUUCUAUGUGCUUUGGUAGCCAUCUACCAUGAGAAAAAAAUGAUCAAAAGGGUUAAAACCAAAAAGGAUGUCCCAUGAUAGCUUAAACAAAUAAAAGCUAGAGCAAGAACAAAACCAAGAAAAUGAUUUGAGAAAUCACCAAACAACAGAAUCAUGAUGGGAACAAGAGGCACUACAAGAAAUAUGUUUUUCAGUGACAAAAAUUUAUGUGACAACAAAAAUCUUGUCACAGAUAACCUAAUUCAGUGACGACAUUAGGUGUCAUCACAGAUGAGUACAGCACAAGCAUAAUCAGUGACAACAUUGGAAGUUGUCAUUCUCAACUCGUCACGAAAUAGUUGGCGCGCAUCUCAUUUGAUGCCGUGGGAAAUGAAUUUAUGACAACUCAAGUAAAGUCGUCACAAACGCUCUCUCUACAGUGACAACAUAACUUGUUGUCAUUGAAAGUCUACCCGAUUCCAAUUUUGUGACAACUUUUUGCAUCACUGUAUACUACAGUAUUUUCAUCAACUUUCACUAAUUCUACUAUGACACCCUAAUUUUAUUUUUUAGCCCCCAAUUCUUUUAUAUUAGCAAAAGCACCGAAGAUAUGACACCCUAAUUUUAUAAUUUAGCCCCUAUUCAUUACGUAUUAGCAAAAUGCAAAUGAUAUAAUAACAAACUAUUUUUAGAUAUUUGUAAUUUUUGCUAAGUUGACAUAAUAGACAUGUCUGAGCAUAAAAAAUUUUUCACGAAUUGUUUAUUAUUCCUUAUAACAACCCCCAAAAAUCAAUAACUGAAAUAAUUUGAAAAAGUGUAAUUGAAUAUAAUUUGUAGUCUAAUGUUAGCACUGUGAAAAAUUAGUAUAACGUGUAAUACAUCAUAAGUAAUAAUUAUUUUCAUAUGGAAUGGGUAUAUACGAAAUUAAAAUUAUUCAGUAAAAUAUCUGUCGUGCAAUAAGAUUGAGAGUUGUAACACAUUUAACAGAAUAUUUGAUUACAUGUUUCUUUUAAUUUAUUAUAAAAACUAAGAGACAAAGAGUAGGAUAGCAUGAGUAAGAAGUGCUAUACUGUAUAUAAGCAAUUCUAUAGUAUUUUCAUCAAAUUUCACUAAUUCUACUAUGGCACCCUAAUUUUAUUAUUUAGCCCCCAAUUCUUUUAUAUGAGCAAAAGCACCGAAGAUAUGACACCCUAAUUUUAUAAUUUAGCCUCUAUUCAUUACGUAUUAGCAAAAUGCAAAUGAUAUAAUAACAAACUAUUUUUAGAUAUUUGUAAUUUUUGCUAAGUUGACAUAAUAGACAUGUCUGAGCAUAAAAAUGUUUUCACGAAUUGUUUAUUAUUCCUUAUAACAACACCCAAAAAUCAAUAACUGAAAUAAUUUGAAAAAGUGUAAUUGAAUAUAAUUUGUAGUCUAAUGUUAGCACUGUGAAAGAUUAGUAUAACGUGUAAUACAUCAUAAGUAAUAAUUAUUUUCAUAUGGAAUGGGUAUAUACGAAAUUAAAAUUAUUCAGUAAAAUAUCUGUUGUGCAAUAAGAUUGAGAGUUGCCACACAUUUAACAGAAUAUUUGAUUACAUGUUUCUUUUAAUUUAUUAUAAAAACUAAGUAAUAGACAAAGAGUAGGAUAAGCAUGAGUAAGAAGUGCUAUACUGUAUAUAAGCGAUUCUAUGCAUGUUAAAUUUUUGAAACAUGUUUUAUUGUGUAAGUUUUAUUGUAAGUAAUUUCUUAAAUAAUUUGUAUAUUGAGUUGUCCAAACCCAAAAAGAUGUAUAUAGACACAAACAAGCACACAUAUAUAUACAUGCACAAAAAAGAAACCAAUAUCAAAUAAUUUAUUUGAUAUUUAUAGAUGAGAUUAAGGAAAAAAAAAGAGAUUAAGUAUGAAAAAAGAAACCUGAAAAAAAAAUUUGGCUAAAAAAAAAAGAAAAAAGAUGUAUGAAGCUAAAGGCGUGAAUCCUGGAAUCUCAAAGACGUGCUUAGAUGCCAAAAAAAAAAGAGCGCCAGUCUGAAAUCUGAAAGAGGCGCGAGGCGGGUGGCUGAAAUCUCUACAAAACGACGUCGUUUUGGUUGUUCACACACAAAUAAAAGUCUCGCCACUUCUCUCUUCCAACACUUAGACAAAUUUCAUUCUCAGUCUUUCCUUCCUAUGGUGAACUAACCCUUCCUUCCCGUAGAUUCGAAAUGCCGCUAGCCACCGUUAGCCGCUGAAGUCCGCCGCAAUCCACCACCAUCAGCCGCUGAAGUCCGAGCUAUCCAGCACCAUAAUUUUUCUUCAGCAUUUCCUUCACCACUGACGAUAGCCCUUUCUCCCCUCUAUUGACCCGCAACCGCGUCGAGCUCUUUAGCACCAGCUCAGGUGAAGGAAAAUAGAGGAGGGCUUUGGCAGUAGAACAAAACAGAGGGAAAAGAACAAAACAAGAAAAAAAGAACAAAAUAGAGGAGAAAAAAAGGGCGGCGCACAAGUGAGCAAGAAAAGCUGAGGGGGAAGCCUGAGAAAGGGCGGCUAGGUUUUAGAGGAGAAAAAGAGAAACAGAAGAGCAGUGAAGCAGCUAGGGUUCUUGGAAGGGAGGCCUUGAGCGUGAAAAGAAAAAAAACAGAGUGAAGGAAGAGUGGCGGCUGACAGGAAGAUCAGGAGAGAAAGACGCGGCAACGGACAGAGGAGGAAGAACAAGGUCACCACCAGUCCGCGUCCGCUCUGCUGCUGUCUGCCAUCGCCAACACCGCGCACAACCUCCUGGGCUGCUGCCGUUCUCUGUAACACUAGAUGAAGGCUCUCGGAGGAAGUCAGACCUAGUCAUCUUCCAAUUCCAACUCACCGUCUUCAGCUUCGUCAUAAUCGCCGUCGCCACCGCUCAAGUAAGAGCACUAUAAGUCGCCCCUUUUUCUUUGAAUUUCAGUUCCUUCCCAAGUCCUCUAAGCAUGUCUGCCAUGGCUUCGUUUAUUGCAAUUGUCCCGUUGAUUGUUCAAAUUUUAGCAUGCGCAUGUUUAUAUCAUGAUUGAAUUUGAAAUCCCUUGUACUUCUGAUGAUUUUGGGGCCAACCGUGGCUUCAUUUGAGCAAAGAAUUGCUGGAAUUUUUCAUGUUCGUUUACUGUUUGUUGAAAUGCCCAAGUGGUCUAACAGCAGGCCGUAACAGGGCAUUCGUUCAAUGCUCAUUGCUGCAUUUCCCUAUCCAUAUUAUUGACUCGAAAAGACUCCAGCAACCAAAAAAGCGAUUUUAUUCCAGAAAACGAUAGGUCAAGUUUACUCAACUCACAAUUUUAUCAUACGAAAAAACACUUUGAAUAAAGCAAAGAUUCAAAGUAGGCAACUGGACUUUAUUUAGUUACAAAACAGUAGAAAAAGGACAUGGUUUUGACGAAUUUCUUUUUUUUUUUAAUGCCGGAAAUAUUCCAGCAGGUUGAUACUGAACACCUGGAAAAUCAUGAGGCUGCUACCUUUUAUAUCCGUGACAAUGCGUAAGGGAAUAGGAUCCUUCCAUCUUCUUCUUUUUUUACAGUAAAGCAAAGCGUAUACUACAUGGUAAUAGGAACCUGAGCUUAUCCCGUCAUCUUGAUUCUUUUUUUUUCUUUUUUUUUUCCCCGAAGGGUAUGACAUGCUCUGCCCUACAAAAUGGGAGCUAUAGUUUUUUUCUUUCAUUUCCUUUCUUUUGAGAAGACAUGGUUUCAUUAGUUUAGUAUUAUAUUUCUGAUCAUAUAUCACUAUCGGAAUUGGUAGUAGUUGUAUUCAUGGAAGUUAAACAUUUAUGUUCCUAACAGGUGCAUGGGUCCUUAUUGUAAAAUAUAUAUUAAUUAGCUAAAUACAGGUUCUCUCUUCUUGGUUUCUUAAAAUCAGCUAAUUAUAGUUUCUUUUAAGCUAAAAGCAUCUGAGUAACAAAAUCGAUUUUAUGCAGAAAGGCUAUUUAUGAGGAGCAGUCUUCUAGUUAGUUUUGAAAACAGCUUUUUAGGUUGGAGAAAUUUUAAAAGUGAAACGUAAUUCCAAAUUUUUGGAGUUCACCUUUUGGAUGAUCACCUUUUCUAAUCAGCUUCAGAAAAGCUGAAUCGAACAAGGGCAGCUUAUUUUUCUUGCAUGGUCUAAUUAGUUUUGAUAACCUGUGCAUGCUAACAAUUUCAACAACAUGAUUCUGUAGGGUACUGGCAAAUAAAACUUGAUUGCUUGUGUUGGCCAUCUUCUAUGAUUUGGCUAUAUACUUGGCUUUCCUGAAUCAGGAAUAUUGGUCGAUGCAAUAUGUUGCUGUUUCUUGAGCUGCAUGGAGCACAUUUUGGUGCCAUCCAUUUGGUCCUAUUUACUGAUUUUAUUGUGAUAUAAGAAAAGAAUAUAGUUGUUAUCUUUGGAAGCUAACUUAACAAAUUGAUAUGGAAAUCCGGAUGUUUCCAUAUAAUCAAAAGUUGCAAUGUUGGAAAGAGUUAUAGGACGACAAUUGCAGGCUGGAGGAAAAGAUGGACUAAAACCACAGUGGAAUGUUAGUAAUUUAAUUAAUAUGUGGUCUUGCUGCUUAUGGAAGAGCAUGACCAAAAAAGGGUAGAAUAGAAGUAAAGGGCUGAUGUACAAGGGUGAGAUUGAAUAGGAUAAAGUCUUGGUUGUGUUCUUGGCUUCCUGAUUAUCACCAUGUUUAACAUCAUGGAAACUUUGUCAAAUGCAAUAAAGAGAAGAAGGCAUGUUUUCAAUUUAUAUUUGUAUUUACUAUGUGUUUCCACAUUCCUUUAUAUCUUUGAUGCUCUGAUCUCGGGCUGUUAUGAUGACCUGUGUUUGAUGCUUAUAUUCUUUGAUAAUAGUCCCCAGGUCAUUUUCUUCCUAAUUGCAUUAUCCUUUGUAUUAUUGCCAUCUGAAAGCAAAUGCAUCUUUGUUACCCCAAUUUUGGUGAUAAUACUUCUCCCUUCCCUUGAGACGCAACAUGUCCACUAGCCAUAUGACCUUUCAUUUUCCCCCUUUUUUUAGAUAAUAAAUAAUCUGAAUAUCACCUCAUUACAUAAUUAAAUGUAUCUGUUGUGUCGCAGGGAUUGUAUCCUGGGUACAUGAUUUUCUUUGUUCAGUCUGCUUUGUUUAUUGCUGGUUCAAGAGGUAUGAAUAUGGUCUUUACUUUGGCAUAUUGUGCUUAGGAAUGUAUUUCAUCAUUUGCCUGGAUGUCUAAUUUCUUUUGUGGUAUAAAUAAAUUGUUUGCUCUUCAUAGUUAUUACAAUUGAGGCACUUGAAUUCUGGUUCUACAAAAUAGAGAUUCAUUUUUAAUACAAUUGGGUUGCUUGAUGUCAAUUUAGUUGCUUGAUGGCACUUGAAAUCUGGUUCCACCAAAUCUGAUUCCUGUUUAAUGCAAUUGAGUUGCUUGGGGCUGAUUUAGGUGCUUGAAAUCUUGUUCAUGUUUAAUUACAGCCAUUGAGGUGCUGGAUGUUGCAACCAAAACUUUAGUGUUUUUAAAGCAAAUGUGUUUGAACGUUGGGAUGUAUUCCACUUUUUUCUUUGUCGAACUCAUCUAAAUUUUUCUGUAUCAGAAUUUCUUUUUUGUGCUAAGGAAAAAGAGGCACCUGUGAUUGUGUGUGUGUGUGUGUGUAUUUUUUUUCUUGAUAUACUGUGUGGUUCACGGUCAUCUAGGCUCUCAAUGAUUUUAGGAUUUUAUUGCUGUUAUUGUUAUUGUUAUUGCAUAUAUAUUUGUGAACAUGCAGAUAUUUAUUGUGUUUGUAUUGUUAUUCUAUAUUUCACAGAAUAUACAUUCAAUGUCUUAUUUGCUAUAAUUUCACUUUAUUUUUGUGUUAAGCAAUUUACUUAGAUUGCUAUAAUUUCAAAUUAGAGUGACAUUAGUUUUUAUAAUAUGGUGCCUAUCUAGAAGUGUAGUUCCAGUUUUAACACCAGUGCUCAUUGCUUCAAUUUUGGUAACGUGUAGGUUCUAACACGAUUUCCAAGAAGAAGAAGCCAGUCAUUGCUGUGAAGAUGGUUUUUGAAUUGAAGACUACAAGGCCUAUCGUGCUCAUGUUUUGUUCUAGAUGAGAAUCGUGCUCAUAUUUUUGUAUAGAACUUUACUACUCUCUAUUGUGGAUGGGAAAUCACUAGUAUUGUAACUGAAUGGCUUAUUUUGGAUGGUGCAUGGUUUAUGACUCAUUUGAGGCAACAUUUAUAUAUAUAUGUAUUUGGGUUGAUCUUCUAUUGGAAAUGAAUGUUGGCUUUCUUUUCGUAUGUUGGCUUUUUUUUUCUCCUUGCUACUCAAUGAACGUUUUGUGAUUGUUGGCAGAUAUGUUGCGUAAUUAACAUUAGAUUAUUGCUUUUUACAAAAAAAUAAAUGACAAUAAAAAAGUUGUCACUGCCAACAAGUUUCACUAGUGACACCAGAAAGUCGUCACUUUUUAUGGAUGGAAAACAAUGACAACAAAAGUCGUCACUGAACGGAAGCAUAAUGUGACAACUCCAAGGGUUGACUAUGACAAGAAUUUAGCCAGCUUAGUGACAAUAAAAGUCGUCACACAAUGUACAACAAUGAGUGACGACAAGAGUCAUCACAAAAGCGAAAUCGUUUGUGACGACUUUCAACAGUCGUCACAUGGACCCCCUUUUGUGACAUAGAACUAGUGACAGCUCUAUGACAGCAGUAAAAGUCGUCACUGACUUUUUUUGUGACGACUUCUGAAUUUUUAGUGACGACUUUUGCCUGUCACAGAAACGCAAUUUUCUUGUAGUGAGGAGAUUCAUCAAAAAGAGCUAAGAAAGAGUAUUCAUCGCCAAGAUAUCAUCAAUAUACAUUAUAUUUAGUCAUACUUACACAAAAUCAAUAAGAUUCCAACAUCAGUACAAUGUCUUGUUUUACAACUAAACACUUACCAAGGGAUAAAAUGCAAAGAUAAUCUGGUCACAACCAAUUGUUUUUUAUUUUGUAUUGCUAGCAAAAAAGUUAGAUAUUCCCCUAUAUAUGAAGUUUCACUUGGAGGUUAAUCUUUUAAUUCCUACAAUCCAUUUUGCAGUUUCAAGGAAUGCUUCAAUAUGAUGCAAAAAAUACGAGAGAGAGAAAAACAUAAAAAAUAAAAACGAAAUAGGUAAUCUACUAACUUUAAAUCUAGAGGAAAUAGGAUAACCUUCCCAAACAAUCAUCCUCCACUUUUUUCAAGACCAAUAAAUAGGGCAAAGCGAGAAAAAAAUUACAAUAAACUACUAAGGAGGAAGAGGGGGGAAUGAAGAGAACACAAAAACAUUAAAACACACAUUCAUGGUUGAAUGGAGAAAAGUAGCCUCCUUUUUCCUUGUUCCUUUAUCUAGAAAUAAUAUAGAACAAACAAAUGCAGAAAAAAUCAAAUUAAUUAGGAAAAAGAAAAGACAAAAUCAAAUUAGAUUAACUUUUUUCCAGGGGAAAAAACAGAGAGUCUAAAUAAUGUGCACUUUGAGAAAAGAAUUUCUCCAAUCCUUUGUUGCAUAUCUUAAUAUCUUGUAAUAAACAUUUGGAACAUAUUAGAGCAUAAAAGAUAAUUAUAAUUAAUAUGUUAGACCACCAAAUCUAGCAUAGGGUGUGUGAAACUACAAUACGAAACAAAACAAUAGCAACAAAAGCCUGAGGAUUAGCAGGAAGCAAAGAACUUGUGUUUGCCAAACCAUAAAUAGGCAUUAAGCACUAAACAUCUGAAUGCAUUUCCAAAGUUUCACAUCCAAAUUGAUUAAGAAACCAAAAUUAAAGAAAAAGCCAACUAAAAAAACCGGAAAAAGGAAAAGAAAAAACAAAUCCAGAUUUUUUCAUCAAAGAAAACUAUCAAAUUCCACAUAUGAUGAAUUUCAACCAGCCAAACCUCUUCUUUCUUUUGGGUGGUUCUGCUUAACCAGCAAUGCAAAACAUAAAGGACCAAGAUUGGAACCUAAAAUAUUAAAAUCUCAAAAAAAAAGUCAACAUAUAUAAUGCAAAUACAUGUUAAAUAGAAAUACUAAAGCAAAUCAUAUGAUUUUUUCCCAAACAAAAAUUUGCUUGUUUGAAGCAAAUCAUAUCCACAUCACGCCUGUGCUACCAUACGUUGUGCUAUAGCCAUAAUAAAUCUUGGUGAAUAUAUCAACAUGAGUAAAUGUUUUUUACACCCUGCAGUCUUCAAGGCAAUAAAAAAACCCUGAUUCCUAAAGCAAAAAUAUUUUCCCAAGCAACAGUAAUAUGUCGAGAUCUAAAGACACUAAGCCAAGUAUAACUGAGCAAAACUUCUCUAGCAAAACUGCUGGAUUGAGCAAAUAUGCAGCCAUAAUUUCCUAAUCUUAUACCUGUUAAUGGUCUCUAAACACAUGCUAGGAAUAAACUCACCACAUGUAAUAGUCUUUUAUACACACACAUAUACAUACUUCACCAUUGGUCUAUAAUAAUCUGGACUAAACAUUUCAAUCUUUUGUCCAAGUCAAAACAUCAUAUGCAAAAAAUAGAUAGACACACAGACCAGGCAUUUUUGUAAUAACUGAUUAUCUAGGUGUGAUAUUUCAAGUAAACCUCUUUUUGUUCCUAAUACAAGAAACACACAUGGAACAAAAUGUUAUCCAGUGAUUAGCAAAUGAAAGAUAAUGAGCAAUUAUAUCUUAGCAGCAUCUUCCAAGGAUUUGUGGUAGAGUUCACUAGUUAAAUUCUGCAAAAUGAGAAUCAAGAACCACCAAAAUAAUUCAGCAGAAUGCAGUGUUUUAUCACCAAAUUACAUAUACCUUAGGCAGCAUCUAGUUGAAGUUCAUACAAAGUUGCUCUGUCAAUUGACAAAUCUUUAACAUGUCUUCUAUACUUGUUCUUUCCCAUGUUAAGACUCCUCUCACUCCACUGCCAAUUAGUCUCGCUCUAACUUAUUUUGUCUAACCUGUUAACAUCUUAAUUAGUCAUAUAAUAAUCCUUUAAUUGCUAAAAAUGCCAUACACAAUAUAAACCCAGAAGGAAAACCCGUCUAAAAUAAGUUGCAUGAUAAAAGGUAGGAAGGCUACUAUUAUCAAACUGUUCACUAAUGAAUUAAAGGAGUGAAUUUCAAAUUAUUAGAGCCGACUUUCACAUAUCAGUCUAUAAUUGAGCAUAGACAUUUCUGAUUCAUGACAUUUGUUCAAAAUCUGGUAUUUUGAUAAAACAGAAGGUUGAAGGGAAAAACUCAUCGGAAGACUGCACCUAUAUAAUAUUCAACCUCACACUUUUUCUUUUGUCUAAACAAAUAAACCAAUCAAAAUAUUAUGGUAAAAACCCUGCACCAUGACAAAGAUUACACAUUUGCACUCAUGGGAAAAAAUCUUAAAUAGAAGACCUCUCCAAUCUUAAAUAGAGUAGCGAUUUACCUACAUAUAACCAUUUAUAGAAUAGCAAUGAAGCAGGGUGACAAUCUUCUUGGAGCAAGAUAUGUGAAUAAGGCAUAGGCAAGACAAACUGCAGACAUAGUUCUAUUAUUUCGACCCAUAACAUUAGAAGGCAUUAGGGAAAAAAUUUCUCAAAUUUCUUACAUGUGUUUUGAUGCUUCAUAGCCAUGGGAAAAAUCGAGAUAUGCAUAUGGCAAGAAAAACAAGAAUAAGUCAGUAAUAGAAAAUGAAGGAUGCAGCAAAGCACAUUUAACCAUAUAGAACCUGUUUUUAAUAAGGGAUCAACAAAAACUUACAAAAUCUAAUAAAAGUGUUGGAGGAAAUUUGUAAUAUUUCACCUGCAAGAUCAGAAAUUUAUGUAUAUUAGACAAAUAAAAAAUUUAAAAAAAUAAAGGGCUAAAUAAGUUUUGGCAGGGAGGGAAGAACUUUAAAACAAAGAGCCUCUCUAAGAAGAUGAGAGAGGCGGGAAGAUGAAGAAAACCAUCUUGCUCGUUGUUGUUCUCAGAGAGAGGCGGGAAGAUGAAGAAGAAGAGAGAGAGUUGUUCUAAGAGGUUUAGAGAGUGACGGUCGAUGAACAAAGAGGGAAAGAUGAGACUUUUGAUGCAUUGAGCCCAACCCCCCGUCAAAUCCCACCAGAAAAAGCUGUUACAGAGAGAGGAAGUCUACCCACCACAUGUUUAUUCAGAAAAGUGAAAAAAAAAAAUGGGACAAUGAGACUAAAGGGAAGCCUGUGGGUUUCUAUCCCACAUCGGUAUUGGGGGGGGGGGGAAAGAAAGAGACUAAAGGGAAGCGUUUUUCUCAAGGUGGAGCAAGGUAGAUUAAUUAACUAACAACUAAUUGCAACAAUUUGGUAAUUAAUUGUGAUUUGUUAGGCAACAAAAAAGUAACAAUAUUAAUUAAUUAAUUAUCAAUUAAUUGUUAAAAAGGACAACCAAAUGUGAUUUGAUUGGCAACCAAAAAAAAGAGGCUAAAUUUUGGCUAAUAACUACACAUAAUUGAUAAUUAAAUGCGAUUUGUUGGGUAACCAAAACAAUAUUAAUAAUUAUAAAAGGCUGAUAAUUAAAUGUGAUUUGUCAGGCAAUAAAAUUGCGAAAUUAUUACUUAAUUAAUUAAAAAUUAAUUUCAAAAAAUUGAUAAUUAAACUUGAUUUGUUGGGCAACCCAAAAUAAAAGAGAACAUUUUUUAUAAAAUUUGAAAAAAAAAUUGUAAUUAAAUGUGUUUUUUGGGGCAAACACAAAAAAGAAGCCAAAAUUUUUGUUAAUAAUUGCAAAAAAGUUAUUAAUUAAAUGUGAUUUGUUAGGUAAAAAAAUAACACUAUUAAUUAGUUAUUAACAAUGAAUUGUAAAAUUUUGGUAAUUAAAUGUGAUUUAUUGGGUAACCGAAAAAUGGAACCCAAAUAAAAAGUAAAUAUAUAAAUAAUUAUAACAAAUAAUAGUGGGGAAUCUAUAAUUAAACAUGGUGUGUGGCGUGACCAAAUAAUAAAUGACACUAAUGGAAGGGCACCACAUUGUUGAUUGUUUACAUAGAAUUAAUACUAAAUAAAGAUUAUCGUGGAAAUUUGAUAAUAAUAGUUGAAUGUCUUCCCCUCUCAUUCCAAAAAAACAAAAAUAAAGAGCACCAAUUUUUUUCAAUGAGAUUAGCUAGGUUGUCGUUGGAAAAAAAUCAAAUAAAGAGUAAAUUUUUCACAAUUGGAGCAUAACAAAAGCAAUUACAAAAAAGAUAACAUAAUAAUAAUUAAUACAAUUAGAGCAUAACAUAAGCAAUUAUUACAAUAAAUAAAAAAUAAUAAUUAAUAAUUAUGAUUUAUUUGGCAACCAAAAAAAACAUUGAUAAUUGUGAAUAAUUGGGAUACCAAUUUUUUGUUAACACAAUUUAUUGUUGGGAAAGGGAAGAAAAGGCUAAAUUUUAGCACAAUCCUGCAUGCAAUUAGAAAACUACCACCUCCCAUCCAAUCAAAACUCGCCACAUCACCAUUUUCAUGUGCAAUUGGGAGGACUACCACCAAUCAACGAAUCAGAGGACGACAACUCAUCAAAUUGGAAUCAAUUGGAGGACUACCACCAAUCAACCAAUGGGAGAGCGCCACAUCAGCAAUUGGGUUCAAUUGGGGCAAUUGCAUUCACACAUUUACUAUAUAUGUUAAUAACACUUUUUUCUAAAAAAAACACAAUAAUAAUUUAGUGAUUGUAUUUUAUAUUAAAAGUGAAAACUUGAUUAUUUUAGUUAUAUUUGUUUAAUCAUAUUAGAUUGUAUUCAAAUAGCCUUUGUUUAAUUAUUUUUAUGAGUUUCAAUUGUGAAGUUACAAUAAAUAAUAAUUUGGAGAUGUGUUGAUAUUUUAGCACUUGAUUAUUUGCUCAAAUUUCAUUAUCAUGAAAUUAUAUAAUAAAAUUUUUUUAACCCUAUGGGGGCACCCGUAGGGGGAAGCGGGGCUGGGAAGGGGAAGCCGGGGGUGGGGGACGGGGCGGGCGCGGGAGGAAUUAAAAUGCAACGGGGCAGGGGUUGGGGGAGAUGUCCCCCGCCCCACCCCUGCCCCAUUGCCACCCCCACGAUUCCAAAACUGCCAGUUCCGAUUUAAAGAUUGAUGGUUCCAAUUCUUUCGAAAAGUGGAACCAGAACCUGCCCUUCUAGAAACCGUUACAGUUGUGAUCAUGAUUCAUGAACCUUCGGUUUCGGUUCUAAUUUUGCUCCAGUUGCAGUUCCAAUUCUUUUGGGUUACAAUUUUGAUUUUUUUAGUUAUACUUAAACACUUAUUAUUAUAAAAUAGAUUUUAAAAAAUAUGACAAUGAAUGUAGCAAAAAUUGAGAACUUUAUUGCAUUAUCAAGUGUAAGAAAAAAGAAAAAUAAUGCAAAUUUUAUAAAGAAUACCUCAUUAUUGAUUAGAUUGUAAUGAUCUCUGAUUUGGGUUAGCUAAGGGAUCUAGACUUACUAAUGAAAUGGAACAAUGGCUUGCUCGGAUAGGAUUGAGUCUGUUAGUAUCAGGCGCUGACUAUUGAUAUUGAACUCUAAACUAGCCAAAUAAAUUUAAAUAGCAAAUAUUUUUUUUUUUGAGGGUUUGAAUUGGUUACAUACUACCAUUUCCGAUUCUGAUUCAUAUUUUUAAUGAACCUGGACUUUGAAUUUUUAGUCAUGGUUGUGGUUCUGAUUCCGAUUGAAUAAAUCGCUGGUCCACUCUCAAUUUAAUCUGAAUUGUGGCUAUCCUAGUUGUGGAGAGGGGGGAGAGGGAAUUAUAGAAAUUGGAUAAGAGAUUUUAAUAAUUAUAUUGAAUCUUAUAUGAGGUAAGUGGAAUUUAACUCUCUUUAAUAUAGGUUUAUACACAUUUAAAACAAGAUGUUUAACUGUAUCCAAACACGUUAAAGAAUAUGCAUUUUGGGCUAAGCGAGACCCAACCAAAAAAAUUACUUUUACUUCUCCAAUUGGAGAUGGAGGGGCCAUGAAACUAAUAGAAUCUAGAUGUGGUAUUAGUAUUCUGAUUUCAGCCCCAUAUAAGACCCAUUUAGAUUGCAUUUGGUGAGACUUUUUGUAGAGAUAUUUAAUCAAAAGCCUGGUCUUAUUUACCAUGCCCAUCGCCGAAGCAAAAAGCCAAUAGAUGGAAAAACCAAAAGUUGAAAAGAAGAGAGAAGAAGAUUAAAGAAAAUGAUGACAUCUUGGAAUUAAUGUAGACUGAACUAUAUGAAUAUUAUUGACUUGUUAUAGUCAACCAUUUCUUCCUCAAUUUUCCCUUCUUUUUGCCCAUGAGCUCAAAAUUAACCUGCUAAUAUAAGUUUAUAAAUUGAAAUACCUUUCUAUUGGUGCCUUUCAUUGUCAACAACAACCGCAAAGAAAGGGGGUAAAGGGAAAAAAAAAAGCUCUACGAUAAAAUAACGUAUCAACAUUCUAUUUACAUCCGUGGUAAACCACCUUCGAACACUUAUAUUUUGAUGAUUUGCCCAAUAAUUCCGACCACAUGCAUUUUAGCAACAACUCAAGUGCAUUAUGGUGUAUCAAUUUAUCCCCCUCAACAAAAUUUCUAGGCCUUGUUAUACUAAACCACACGGUGCGCAGUAGCAUGGAAACAGAAAAUACCCAGACAAGCAUAUGAUGCCAAGGGAAAAUACUGGGGGGAGGAUAUAACUGAGGACAUUUAUGUAUUUCGGCGCCGAACAGAGCAAGAUACAUAGUCGAAAAAGUUUCAUAUAAGGAAAGCACUGAACUGAACAGAGCAACAAGAUACAUAAUCGAAAGUGAUAUAGAGCCUAGUUCUAGUACUUAUCCACUACAACUUCUUGUUAGAGAUUAUCUCAGUUCUUAAUAUGUUAGUAUGACUAAUUUAGAUGAAUAGUGAAAUUAAAAUGCCAUGGAUACAGUUUUUUAGUGCCUUUUCUCUUGAAUACGAUAACAGCAAAAGAGACGGGUGAUUGUGAAAUAAAAAGCAAUAUGUCGCCAGGGUGAAGAGCAUGUUCGACGGAGAUAAUGGCCCAAAUCUUGUCGAAAGUUUCAUACCAAUGUAAUAGGUUUUAUAGCCGCAUGUAAGAAUUACUGUUGGUGUCGUGUCUUCAUGUAGUCGAUGGUUAGCAUAUUGCGGAAGGACCUAUUCACCAAAGAGCAUCCAUUGUUAGUUAGGUCACGAAAGAAUGAAGCCCAUAACAAAUUGUAUAGAGGAAAGUACUUACCAAGCUGUACUUAGAACAAUGUGUAUAAAACUGAUAGAAAGAAACAAAGGAUGCGCAAUCGUGCUUUAGGAAUUGAUUUAUGAAGGAGGUGAUAGUACAUAAGUUAGGCUACUGUCUGAACAAGAAAUCACAACCUUCAACAUUGGGUGUAAUGCUUGGGAACAUAGGCAAAAGAAGCGUCCAUCACAGGACUCUGAAGUACAGAAAGCCAUGGAAUCAUAGGAUAAAUUACCCUUGAUUCUCAAGAAGACCAUGUCAUUCUCACGAAUCAAAUUACCGUUACAGUACAAUUCCCAACAUUCCUCAAAACAUCUAUCCUUGAUUCUUAUGUUCCAGGAGUGAAUGCCAUUAUAUAAUUUAAUUGUUAUGUCAUCUUGGAAUCCAAUUGAAUCAAAUAGAGUAGCUGAGAUUUCCUAUAGAGGAAAAGCCCCACAGAGAAAAUUUUAUUAUGCGAGGAACAAGCAAUCGAAAAAAUAUUUUUGAUUUACUAACUUGUUUGGUUCUAUUUGAACAGAAAAGAACAAAACACCACGGUUGCACUACUGGUAUGCUUUCAAAACGAGUGAUGGGUGUAUCUAUGGACAAGGCUAUAGUGUGAGAUACAAAAGAUACUUAGUAGCAAUACACAUAGAAAAGGCAAGAUAUAAGUAUACCUGUGUCUAUAAAAGUUUCAGGAGAAAGGCUGAUUACGUUCUGUAGCCAUUGGGUAAUGGAGUGAAAAGAAUAUAAAGAUGGUUCUCCUUUGGGUUUUAGUAUUUGUGGAUAAGCCGCAUGGAUCUUUGUUUUACUGCAAGUACAUAGAAAGAACCUAUUCUUGCUGCCUUGAGGAAUGGCUAGCCAUUUCUUGACGGGAUUUUUUGGUCUGGUCAUUGGUAAGUCGGAAAGCAGAAGAGGAAGAAACAGUAAAACAAAAUGCUAAGAGGUGCUCAACAGUAAGAGCUAUGGAAAGAGCCGUUGUUGACAUGUUUUACUGCAAGUACAUAGAAAGAACCUAUUCUUGCUGCCUUGCGGAAUGGCUAGCCAUUUCUUGACGGGAUUUUUUGGUCUGGCCAUUGGUAAGUCAGAAAGCAGAAGAGGAAGAAACAGUAAAACAAAAUGCUAAGAGGUGAUCAACAAUAAGAGCUAUGGAAAGAGCAGUUGUUGACAUGUUUAUAAGCCCUUAUAUGUUGGAGAAGUUUUCUGGCCGUAAUCGUAGCAUAGCAAGAUGGGAGUAAAUGUGGUAGCUGCAUGAAAGUACUAAGGAGUAAAGUUUCAGAGGUGUAGUACAGAGCUAUUGCUAAAACAGCAGUGGAUGUGUCCAGCUUUAUGGUGCUAGACCUGUAACUCUACUGGGGAUAUCUCAGGCAUAGUUACUGCAAGAACAAAUUGCCAGAACUAUACAGUACACAGCUGGAAAUUCCAAGAGUAGAGCAUCAUUAAUUAUGUAAAUGGCUUUAUCUAUCAAGGUAUUCUUACUUUGAAGGAAAGAAACAAGGAUGCUUCGGAUGAAUUUAAUGGUCAGCUGAAUAGUUAUUGGACUGAAUAUUUGUAGGCCUCGUUUUAAGAAGUUGAAUAGUUAUUGGACUGAAGGGGCUCUGCUGUGCAAUAAACCAAGGACAUUUCUAAAUAUUUGCGGUCCUCAUUUAAGAAGCUGAAUAGUUAUUGGACUGAAGGGGUGAAAACAAGCAGAAUAUUUAUCAUGGACAAAAUGGUAUACAGGUGGAUACAGAUCCUGCAUAGAUGUACAAACUCAUCAAUUUGGCUGCAUUUGAUUGCAAGUAGCCAUAGACAGAGACAAAUAAUGUUGCUGAAUAUGAAUAGCUUCAUUGGCUAGCUAAUGGUGGCUGUACCUUGUUUUAAAGCGUCACUAUUAUUCAGCUGCAGUAUCAAAAACAUUAACUCUGAUACUCUAAAGUGCUGGAUAACAUUAAAUCUAGCAGCAGCGUAAUGGUCAUUUUUUGUUGCAAAGCGUUGCAUUGUGAUACCAUAAAUGAGCUUCCAAAAUUAGGCAAAUUCCUACAAGCGCAAAAAGAUCAACUAUAGACCAUUAAACAGAGUUCCUUGCAACAAUAAUAAGUCUGGGAAAUAACGUGGAACAGAGUUCUUUGUAGCAGUACAGAGUUAAACAAGGUUACACAUUAUCAAAUAGAGUGCCAAAAGAGAUUCCCAAAAUAAGAACGAAAUGCUUCUGCGGUGGUCGAAGACCAGGAAUCAAGCAUUUCUAUUUUCUUGCCUUCUUGUUGCUUAUGGAAGCACAAGUCUCUGGAACAGCAUCACUUGUUUCCUCAGAAAGUUCAAACACUUUGGAAGGACAAGAGUGUUUUUUGGAGGAAGAACAUGUUUUUUCUGCAUCGGCAGUAUCUCCUCACUAAUUUAUUGGCAGAAAAUAGAAUGUUGCUGUUAAACAUACUAUGUAAUGGAAUGGCUAGCAAAUACCUGUAGCUUUAGCUACCGCAAGUUCACGCUCUAACUGUGGAAUAGCAACACAGGCCUCUGAAACAGCAUCUCUUGUUUCUUCAGAAAGUCCAAGAUUUUGUGCAAGGCAAUGGCUUGCUUUGGAGGAAAGAAAUAAUUUUUCAGGAUAACGAAUAACUCGUUAUAAACUAAUUGCCAAAAAAUAGUGAAUUAUUACUCAAGCUAAUGUGUAAUAGAAUGUCAAAAGAAAAUUCACAAUAUCUGAUAUUAUAAUCGCUAGUAGAGAAAAAAAAAUCUUAUUGCCAUCCAUAAUGGUCUUGACCAGUCUACUUUCGGUAAUGUAAUUUAGACAUGCAGUGUAGCUAGUAAAAUCCAAAGCCAUUGGGCCUUUAUUUUAGCAAUAUUUAAUAAGUUUUUUCGAAUAGCACACUUGAUGUCAAUGUUAUUAUACAAGGCAAGUGGAGUUUUGUUCAAUUUCAAAUGUGAUUUGAAAAUCUAGAAACAUAAAUUUGUUAUUUUAAAAGGACUAUUGAAUAAUCAGCAUAAAAAUUAUAUUCAAUAGUUAUUAAUUUAAAAUAAGUGAUUUCUAAAUUGUGACAAAAUAUGUUUUGGAAAAUGAAUUAUCUUCUAUGAGUAAAACACUCCACGGUGUAUUUGUAAAGGCUUCAUUUUCUAUAAUAGAUACCUUGACAUAAGUCGUUUAAUGUAAAAUAAUUCACCUAGUGUUGUUCAUAAUCAUAAAGUACAAAAUAAGACUUUCAAUAAAUUCUUGAAUUAUUUCUCGUUAACAUUGCAAAUCUUUCAAUGUUUUCCAAAAGGAUAAUGAUAAUUUUUCUCAUCCUCUUAUGAAAUCAUUACUACCUCUAUUUGCGUUUCCAUAUUAAUGAGAGACAAUGUUAACUUUAAAUAUCUCAACUUUCAAAUUUAAACCACUCUUAUUCUUUCACAAACAGUUGGUUAAUUGUCAAUAAUAGCCAUAUUCUUUAAUGUGCAUUAUGAAAAUUUUUUAGUAGUUCAAAACCUCAAGAGAUGAUUAAAAAUAAAAUGCUAAAAAAUUUAUUAAAAAAUUUCAAUAUGUGAUAUUUGUUACAUAGAAAAAUAAUAAUUAUUUAAAGAGUGUAGUCAAACAUAAUCUAUAAGUCCUUCAAAAAAAAAUAAUCUAUAAGUGUCAACAAAAAUGAUUAAGGGUAAUUUAGUCAAAAUUUACUAUGAUUCCACAACUGCUUUAAUGAAAAUUUGAUUUCAAUCAAAUUAGGGUAAUUAACUUACAUUUUAUGUGAAUACGAAAAUUAUUGAGCAUAUUAAUAAAAAUAUUUUAGGGAGAACUGUACCAAUCGUUCUUCACAUAUCGUAGAUAUGAAAAUUUAGUCCAUCAGAACAAAGAUGAUCAGUUUUAAUCCCUAACAAACAAAAAAUAAUCACCUUUAGUGCCUUUUCACUUUUCCAAACAAAUUUUAGUCGGAACUUACUGAAUCCACAUGCAAUGUCCAAUUUUUAAAGGGUAAAAGUGGCAAAUCACCUUACUAUUGACCACAAAUGUGAUACUAGUACCAAAAUUGCCAUAACGCUGCACUUAGCAUCCUACAAAGGCAACAACAUAGUAAUGCAAAAUAUAUUAAGAUCACGAUCUGUCAUUUUCCUAAUCCGUCCUGUCGCUUUCUCUUACCAUGAAUUUUAUUUUUUUGGGGUUACUAGCAUAAUAAUUCGUUCUUCUUAAUUGCCACUCUUACUAUUAUUCCCCCAAACAACACAAUACAAAGCCCACACUAGAAUACAAAAUCACACAUGUUUCGCCUCUCUCCUCUGCUCUUAUUCUCUUCUCUCCCUCUAUUAUUCUUGUACAGAGUCAAAGCUACUAAGGGGUGGUCAAAAAUGGGAGAGGAGAAGAGACUCGUGAAGAGGCUAGUAAGUACGUUGUUUUUUUUUUCUUCUUUUCUUUUUUUUUGGGCUUUAAUACUGUUUUCUAUAGUGACUUCCUUUAUAGAUUCUGGGUGAGUUCUUUGAUUUAAUUGCUAUUGCUACAACUUUGCACUGAUUUGUUCAGUAUUCAUCACUUGUUUCGAGCGUUUGCAUAUGUUAUACUGAUUGCAUGGUUCAAAAGGGUUGUUGUGUGUAGUGGGGCUAAUCCGCGCGUGAAGCGUGUCAGCUGGGUGCCCAAGCUCGGCAAUAGAUAUUCGACAGCUCGGAUACAUCAGCUCGGGAAAUGGAGAGGGCCAACUCGGCUGUGGCCGCCGCCUCUCCAUGAAGCGGGCCUCGUGGGCCGCCGCCUCCGAACUCUUAGGGACAAUCAUAUGAAACCCUAGAACAACUCCGAACCUUAAGGGGACUCUGACUUCUAUAUGGAAACUACUACUAUCCGCAAGCCUAUAAAUAUGAUACCACGCGACAACACAAGGUACGCUAUCUACAGUGUUCUAUACUGUUACUUUACUCCUAAGCUCUGCUGACUUGACCGCCGGAGCUAUUCCGGAGACUUCAGUCCCGCCGUUGUUCUUUCUUUGUAGGACUGCCUCCUCGGUUCCUCCUCUCAGCUCAGCUGCACCCAGUCAGCCCGGCUCGUGGCAGCUCAGUUCGGACAGUGUUUUUGGCUGUCACAUCAAUUGGCGCCGUCUGUGGGAAAACAUAUAAUUCUUCUCUUGUGAAUCAUGCCAAGGACUAGGUCUUAGAGGAACGCUGACGGAUCCAAGAGGACCGAACGAAGUGGCCCCCAAAACCCUCAUCGGGGUCCGACUCCGGGGGACGAGGGGACGGGGCUCUCACGAAUCCCGCCUGAACAGCUGGUUCAAACGGUGGCAGAAAAUCUACCCACCUUCGAGGCAAUCAUGAACUACCUCAAGGGGCAGACGGGAGGUCAUCAUGACCAGGAGCCUAAGGUCCAAGGAGUGGAAGGACUUGGGCUGUCAGAAUCUCGAACAGGGAGCCCUAAGCCCCGGCCGAAGCUGGCUCGCAGGGAGCUCACACGUGAACAGAUCGAGGUCGUGGAGCCCUCCCUCAAGAACUCCCGGACUGAGCACCCAGAGCCUUUCCGAAGGUUCUCAAGGGGAGAUCUCUCCCCUCGGAAGGAGCAACACCAGGUACAGGACGAGUUGGACCUACUAUUGGACCCCGAGGAGGACAGGUACAUUGCUUCCCCCUUUGUGCCCGAUAUUGAGGACUACCCGCUGCCCGCGAAGUUUAAAAUACUAAGCAUGAAAUCCUACGAUGCAACCACGGAUCCGGAGGACCACCUGUUCGCAUUCCUGACGCAAAUGCACCUUCAAACAGCCGCAGAUGCGGUCAGAUGCAAGACCUUUCCAAUGUUCUUGGAGGGAAAGGCACGUCAGUGGUUCCAAGGACUUUCCCCCAGGUCGAUUCGGUCUUUCACCCAACUCGCGCGACUGUUCUCAGCACAGUUCGUUUCGUCGCGAAUCUUCUCCAGAAGCACUGCUCAUCUGAUGACUAUCCAGCAAAGGCCCGAGGAGUCACUACGCGAGUACAUGGUACGUUUCAACAACGAAUCCCUCCAGGUCCUUGACCGGGACGACAAGGUGGUCAUGGCCGCUUUCAUUAACGGCAUGCGUAAGCAGAAGUUAUACACCGAACUCGUGGAAAGACCCCCCAAGUCGGUGGGGGAGAUGUUGGACCGAGCUCAUGAGAAGGCCAACACUGAGGAGGUCAAUCGCCUGAAAAGCGCGCAGGAAAGGCAGAGGGACGACAAACGCAGAAUGGGUGCCGAUCAGGGAGACGGGCAGCGCAAUCAGGGGCGAAAGAAUACCUAUGACCGCCAGCCUUGGAGUCGGCCUCUGGGAGGAGAUAAGCCCUGGACUCCCCUCACAACACCCCGAGCUCAAGUCCUCACGGUGAUGGAACAAGAAGGGCUCUCUCGGCGGCCGGGGACAAAAGCAAACGGGAUCAGGGCUUGUACUGUGCAUAUCAUCGCGAUGUGGGACAUGAUACAGAGGAUUGCCGCCACCUCAAGAAAGACAUUGAAAAGUUAAUCAGACGUGGCCAUCUCGAACAGUUCAUACGUGAUGAACGAGCUGACCAGAGGCAGGGGAUGCACAAGCAGGAGAGCCUGGGCUACUCCCGGGACUGACCUCAGAGGCCCCGUGGCCGAACUCCCGAGCAGGAAAUUCAGAACCUAGUUGGGGCGAUCAAUACCAAUGCAGGAGGACCAGUUGGAGGAGAUAGUCACACAGCUCGGCGGCACAACCAACCUCCACCCAGCGGAGAGAGCUCGAGUAAACGACUGAAAAUGUACGAGGAAAUCAUCUAUGGACCCGAAGAUACCGUACCCCUGGCCUCUAAUAACUACGAGGCCAUCGUGAUAGAGGUCAUCACAUGCAACUACAAGGAGAAAAUGUGUACAUCGACAAUGGAAGUACCAUAGACGUGCUGUACUACAAAACCUUCAAAGAGCUGCAGCUGGAGGACAAACAGCUCGUCCCUAUCCGAACUCCAUUGAUCGGCUUCGUAGGUCCCCCGGUAAGGCCAGAGGGAAUGAUAACCCUCAUGAUCAUAGUAGGGGCGUCACCAAAGUGCCGAACUGUUCCCGUGAAUUUCGCGGUGGUAAAAGAACCUUCAUCGUACAACAUGAUUUUGGGACGGCCCACCCUGAACGCCCUCCGGGCUGUCUGCUCGACUUUGCACCUCAGCAUGAAGCUCCCCACGCCCGUGGGGGUGGCAAAAGUGCUCAGAGAUCCGGAGGUAGUUAGGGUAUGCUAUAUCGCAACUCUCAAGGGCAAAGAGAAGUUGAUUGCUCAAACAACUUGUUUGGAGCGCUAGGAGCCCGAGGAGAAAAGGAAGAGAUUGGAGACGGAUGAGGGAUUGAUCGAGCUGCCGGUCCACCUAGAACGACCGAAGCGCACAGUCCGGGUUGCUUAAGCGAGCUGACUCGAAACUCGCUAGAAUCUCUCUUAGAAGAAUACGCGGAGAUUUUCACCUGGAGUGCGGAUGACAUGCCAGGGAUCCCCUCUGAGCUGGCAGUUCACAAGCUACACGUGGAUCCCAAUGUCCGACCUGUGAAGCAGAAAAAGAGGAACUUCGCACCAGAGCGAAAUGAGGUUGUCAAGAGCGAGGUAGACAAGCUGUUAGAAGCCAAAAUCGUGAAAGAGAUCUACUACCCGACCUGGCUGGCCAACCCAGUGCUAGUCAAGAAGGAAGAAAGAGUUUGAAGGAUGUGCGUGGAUUUCACUGACUUAAAUAAAACUUGUCCUAAAGACUGCUACCCCUGUGACAGCCCCACCUCACCUUAAGGCGAACCAAAGGGUUCGGCGGACCGCCUGCCCAGCUCUCGCCAGGCCUAACGGGUCAAUUUAGAGCGAUCUAAUACGUUUCGGAUCAUACAAACGCGUGUAAACAAGUCAAAAUCACAAAAUAAAAAAAAUGAAGUCGGAGUCGGCCAUGAAUAGUAACAGACACGUCAAAAUCCAAACAAACGUCAAGCAAAUAUUUGCAUUUCAAAAUUUAGUAUAUACAACCCAAAUGGGCAUACCAAAGUGAUUCAAAAGGGGAUACAUGGACGGUUUGCCAAAUCCAAAAGAGAAACGGACCCAAAAGUACACUUAGGGUUUCAAUCAAUGAGCUACACAAAAGACAUGUCCAACUAGUUCAAUUCGGCAAGCAUUUAUCAAAUCCAGUCCAAAAGUGUUUAUUUUCCUGUAAGGAAAACAAAAAGGAACAGAAAGGGGUGAGUUUGCGCUCAAUGAGGUACCAAACAGAUAGCAAUAAAAUCAUGGCAUUUCACGUUUAGCAAAUCAGGUACACAUGCCAGAUGUAAAGCAAAGGAACCCAUGAUUCAAAUCAGAAGGAUAUAGGUGGCUCUCAGGAGCCAAAUUCCCAUUUGCUUCACCGGAACUUGAUCGAAAUAAUAGUUGACACUCCGUCAACGUUAAAGAAGUAACCAAUACCGUAGACUCCACUUCCUUCGACUCCUUCCACCUCACAUACCCCACCGGGCCCGAAAUCCAAUCAGAGCAGAAAUGGUAAUACUCGAGUAUACCCGGAAUCAAGGGUCUCAAUACCCAAAGAUCCCAAAACAGACUACCGUGGUUCGUUAUCUAAUCGACCAGGCCCUUGCCGGCCUGACUCGAGUAACUAGCCACAGGGGUUGAGCUCAGAGAUCACAGAAAGGUCGUUGGAUACCAGCCUCCAAACGACGUCCGAACAGAUACAAAUAACAGAUUCAAAUUUUGCAUAGUAAAUUGGCAUAUAAACAGACAAGAGAACGAGUGUGAUAAAGUACACCCUCGUCUCAAACAGAAUGAACAGAUAGUACAUUCGGGCAUAUUACAGAUUGCAUUUACAGACCCCAAGUUACUCAACAAAUAAGGGGAGUGGUACACUCACCGGCUCAACUUCAAAAGUUUUCACUUCAGAUUGGCCUUAAUCGCCAAGAAACCCUAAAAUAAUCAAAAUAAACCAAUUGAAGGUUUCAUAUCCAAAAUCGAGUAAACGGAAUGCACAAGUGAGGCUCGACUACACGUCGUACGCCUUGCCAAAUAAAUACUAAUGCAAGGGUGGAAAACAUGAUUUUCUUGGAAACGAAAAGGUAACAUGAAGACCUAGCCUCAAACAACCCAAAAGUCCUUCGCUCAAAUCACAAGUAAAUCCAACUAGCCUUCAAGUAAAAUUUCGGCAGCAUAUCCCUUGUGUUUACCUAAUUUCCAGCCAUCAUGGCUUCAUUAUUUCCUAAAAUCAGUCCCAACAUCUUGUACAAAAAUAAUCUCAUUCCCAAAAGCCGUUCACUAGGCUUAAUGGCAUACAAGUACAAAAUUUAGUUAGGAAAUGACCGGAAUGAAAGCAAGCCCUAAAACAUGCAAGCAAGUACAAUGAGACUCGAUAACGAGUCAUAACCCAAUGCCAAAUAUGACCCCAAUAGGGUUCCAUAAGCAUACACAAACACUAGAGGAAACCAGAAAAUUCGGACAUGCAAUUAGCUUUGGCCCUGAAAAAAUAGUUUUUGACUUUACUUUGCGGUAAUGGCACCAAAUGCACUACGAUUAUCGGAUGAGGGUGCAAGACCCACCAUUUCGAAGCUAAAAGACAGUCCUACAACAUCACAGAAGGUCACUCAACCCAGUUUUGAGUGCAAACAGGUCAAAAAUGCAAGAUACUACAUCAAAACCGUAAAAAUAGAUUCACAGAACGCAUUCUAGCGGAAACAUCAUAACUGAGGCUCUCCAAGUCCAAAUCCAGAAAUUCCAAAACCAAAUGAAAGAUAAGAAACAGGGCUACGUUUCAUCAGAAGACCUCAACAACCAAUUCGGAAGCAAUCCUGACCACAACAACCAAUUACAGGCGCAAUUCUUACAUUCGGGUAAAACCAGAACAGCAAUAGUAAUUUCGACUUUUCUCAUUCCACACUACUCCGAUUGAUCUGAAAUUUUGUAGGAACCUCUAAAAUGUCAUUCCCUACAACUUUCAUGUUUUAAUAUAAGGCCAAUUCGGCCUCUAAAUAGGAGCUAAAAAUUCGGACAGAAUGCUCCCACAAGAACCCUAAUUUUCUGAAAUUUCUUCCAAACCAGAAAUUGGUUGCAAUUAAUCACUUUUUCCACCUUCUAGAAUCAUUAUAUACCAUUUUCAAUCAUCAUAGAUAGCCACACAAUCAUGCUUAUAUUAAAACAGAAAAAUCCCCAAAAAUUAUAAAAUUUCAUCACUUCAACCACAAAUCAAGAAGUAAUCCAUAAACUUGCAUCUCAUACUACCACUAAUCAUGAUUUAAGCAUCAAUUAAGGAAGGAGAGUGGUUCUUCACAACUCACCUUAGGAACAAGAGAGAGAGAGCAAUUGGUCACCUUAGCUUUCCAAACAACUUCACCAAUCACUUCAAAAUCUCCAAGUGGAGGAGUUUUGUGGAGCAAAACCAAAAUUAAACGGUAGGAGUGGAAGAUUGAGCAAGUUUGGAUCAAAUUUUUGGAGAGCUUUUCUUUUCUUUUCUCUCUAAUGAGGGCCGGCUAUGAGCUUGAUAUUUGUGGGGAAUUUUGGGUCAAAUUUUUGAGUUAUUUUGGUAAAAUGGUAAAAGCAUGAAUAGUAAGUCAAAAGUAGGAUUUAAUCUCUAAGUGACACAUGUCACUUGCAUUAAUUGCUUGCCUAACUUUUGUCUCUCUUAUACCAAUCCACUUAACCUCCUCUCAUUAUUUCUUAACACCCGAUAAAUUAAUUCCAGUAUCCAAAACUUAACCUAGUUGACCAAAUUUUUUCGAACUUUUCGCACUUGUGGGUCCCACGUCCGGUAUACGCUCUUAAUUUCUCAAAACCUAUUCGAUACUAGAAAAAUCAUCUAAAAUUUAUAUCUGCUUCUUAAAGUUAUCUAGAAAUUUUUCCUAAGCACGAAAAUGCAAAAAACAAGCCAUGAAAAAUACGAAACCUAGAAACUGCAAAUUACGGGUUCUCAUACUCUCUCCCCCUUAAAAGAAUUUCGCCCUCGAAAUUUCUUAUCAACGAAAAUUUUUUUUUUUUAAACCAGGGUACCUAAUGGAUUGUACCUUCUACGUCCUCAGACGAGUCAGGGACCUGAUGCGGCUCCAGAGAAUAUACCCGAGCUGGUGCCUUCGACCCAGUCCCUUCUCCUUUCAUUUGUCCAGGGUUGAUCUUGGCUGGUUGCUGAGAAUUGAUCUUGAUUGGUGGCAGAGUCCCUCUCCGCUCGCGCAGGCGAGUUGGACAGUUAGCAAUCCGAUGUUCGGCGCUUCCACAGCGCAAGCAUUUCCCUUCUUUCUUCCAGCACUUUGCUUCCGUAUGAUUUGGCCCUCCGCAAUAUUCACAGGGGCCACGAGUAGCAGAGACUGAUUCCCCCUGUGGAACACCACCUGUCACCCCCGGUAGCCGUACUUUCCCGUUUCCCUUUCGAACUUUAGGGGUUGUACUAUUAUCCGCUUGUUCUGAGCUGCUCCCAGAAAAGCCCCUUUUCUUGGUUUGGAAAUUUCUAACUUGUAGCCUCGCACUUUCAACCCACUGGGCUUUCUCCACAGCAUCACUAAAGAUAUUAAGUUGAGCUACCGCCAAAUCCUUUUGAAUCUCAACAUUUAGUCCUGUAUAAAACGCCUUAUCCGUCUUUGUUCGGUUACGAUCAGUUCGGGUGCAAACUUAGACAACCGAGUGAAUUAACUCUCAUAUUCGGCUACGGUCUUAGUUCCCUGGCGAAGCCGAAUGAAUUCAUCUUCCUUCUUUUCUUGGAUUAGAGGAGGGAAAAACUUGGCGUUAAAUUCUCUCAUAAAGUUCGCCCACGUCCUCGGGGUUUGUUCUCUUUCCCAUUUUUGCCGAAUCACGUUCCACCAGGAACGAGCCACCCCUUCUAGUUGAAAGACGGCAAAAGUCACCUGCCUUUUUUCGGUGUAAUGCAGGGCCGCAAAAAUAUCCACUAUCUUCUCGAGCCACCUUUCGGCGACAUCCGGGUCGGGUUCCCUGAUAAAUUUCGGUGGUACGAACUUCUGGAACCUCUCAAGUGCCCUGUCGUCGUUUUCGACAUGAUUGCCCGGGUUUCCAGGAUUAGGGUUUGGGUUUUGGCCCUGUUGCUGCACUACUUGUGCCAGCAAGUUGGUCAUUUGCUGCAUAGCGGCAGCUAUUUGCACAUUGGGGUCAACUCUCGGUUCAGGGUUAGGUCCAGAGGAGAUUCCUCCAGUACCCCUUUCAGGCGUAGGUUGCCUAUUUCCACGCCCACGGCCCCGUCCACUACGAGUGCCUUCCAUUGGUCUAAUAAAUCUUGGGUCGAAGCGGGAAUAUAAUAUUAAACAUAGGUAGGCAAAAGCAAGUAGCAAAAGGUACGCAUAGAACAAAAGUAUACAUAUAUAACAUAACUGUAUCAAACAAGUCACACAGUAGCAUUCAAUUAGAUACAAAUCCAUGAAAGUAGCGGGGUCAUCCAAAAGUACUAUAGACAAACUAGGUCACAAGUACAAGAAUAACUAACGAAGAGCUUUUCCCCCUCUAGGGCUCCAUCCAGAAUCUACGACAACAACACCAUCUAUAUCUUAAUCAAGGUUGAUCACGCUUAACCACACCCGAACAGACCAUAUGAAGUUCCAUAGAAUCGCCUUUCUAGUUCGCCUAAGUCCUUUCUAACCUAGGCUCUCAUUGAGUUAGUAGCCGGGCACGAGAAUCCCAAAUAAGAUAAUUCACAACUCGAGCCAGCCGGUCCCAAGAGUAAAUCAUCCAUAUUAAAGAUUCCUACCCGACAUACAUACCUAACUUUCUCAAGUCCCAAUAUAAUGAUCCUUACUCUUAUAACAUGCACAGUUUAUAGCUUACGCUCAAAAGAGCACUUAUACCUUUCGACGCAUUCACGAAAGCAGGACCAUAACACCACUUGACCCCAAGCUCACUCCGCGCAGAGACCACGCGAAGUGGCUCCGAUACCCCCUGUGACAGCCCCACCUCACCCUAAGGCGAACCAAAGGGUUCGGCGGACCGCCUGCCCAGCUCUCGCCAGGACUAACGGGUCAAUUUAGAGCGAUCUAAUACGUUUCGGAUCAUACAAACGCGCGUAAACAAAUCAAAAUCACAAAAUAAAAAAAACGAAGUCGGAGUCGGCCAUGAAUAGUAACCGACACGUCAAAACCCAAACAAACGUCAAGCAAAUAUUUACAUUUCAAAAUUUAGUAUAUACAACCCAAAUGGGCAUACCAAAGUGAUUCAAAAGGGGAUACAUGGAUGGUUUGCCAAAUCCAAAAGAGAAACGGACCCAAAAGUACACUUAGGGUUUCAAUCAAUGAGCUAUACAAAAGACAUGUCCAACUAGUUCAAUUCGGCAACCAUUUAUCAAAUCCAGUCCAAAAGUGUUUAUUUUCCUGUAAGGAAAACAAAAAGGAACAAAAAGGGGUGAGUUUGCGUUCAAUGAGGUACCAAACAGAUAGCAAUAAAAUCAUGGCAUUUCACGUUUAGCAAAUCAGGUACACAUGCCAGAUGUAAAGCAAAGGAACCCAUGAUUCAAAUCAGAAGGAUAUAGGUGGCUCUUAGGAGCCAAAUUCCCAUUUGCUUCACCGGAACUUGAUCGAAAUAAUAGUUGACAACCGUCAACGUUAAAGAAGUAACCAAUACCGUAGACUCCACUUCCUUCGACUCCUUCCACCUCACAUACCCCACCGGGCCCGAAAUCCAAUCAGAGCAGAAAUGGUAAUACUCGAGUAUACCCGGAAUCAAGGGUCUCAAUACCCAAAGAUCCCAAAACAGACUACCGUGGUUCGUUAUCUAAUCGACCAGGCCCUUGCCGGCCCGACUCGAGUAACUAGCCACAGGGGUUGAGCUCAGAGAUCACAGAAAGGUCGUUGGAUACCAGCCUCCAAACGACGUCCGAACAGAUACAAAUAACAGAUUCAAAUUUUGCAUAGUAAAUUGGCAUAUAAACAGACAAGAGAACGAGUGUGAUAAAGUACACCCUCGUCUCAAACAAAAUGAACAGAUAGUACAUUCGGGCAUAUUACAGAUUGCAUUUACAGACCCCAAGUUACUCAACAAAUAAGGGGAGUGGUACACUCACCGGCUCAACUUCAAAAGUUUUCACUUCAGAUUGGCCUUAAUCGCCAAGAAACCCUAAAAUAAUCAAAAUAAACCAAUUGAAGGUUUCAUAUCCAAAAUCGAGUAAACGGAAUGCAAAAGUGAGGCUCGACUACACGUCGUACGCCUUGCCAAAUAAAUACUAAUGCAAGGGUGGAAAACAUGAUUUUCUUGAAAACGAAAAGGUAACAUGAAGACCUAGGCUCAAACAACCCAAAAGUCCUUCGCUCAAAUCACAAGUAAAUCCAACUAGCCUUCAAGUAAAAUUUCGGCAGCAUAUCCCUUGUGUUUACCUAAUUUUCAGCCAUCAUGGCUUCAUUAUUUCCUCAAAUCAGUCCCAACAUCUUGUACAAAAAUAAUCUCAUUCCCAAAAGCCGUUCACUAGGCUUAAUGGCAUACAAGUACAAAAUUUAGUUAGGAAAUGACCGGAAUGAAAGCAAGCCCUAAAACAUGCAAGCAAGUACAAUGAGACUCGAUAACGAGUCAUAACCCAAUGCCAAAUAUGACCCCAAUAGGGUUCCAUAAGCAUACACAAACACUAGAGGAAACCAGAAAAUUCGGACAUGCAAUUAGCUUUGGCCCUGAAAAAAUAGUUUUUGACUUUACUUUGCGGUAAUGGCACCAAAUGCACUACGAUUAUCGGAUGAGGGUGCAAGACCCACCAUUUCGAAGCUAAAAGACAGUGCUACAACAUCACAGAAGGUCACUCAACUCAGUUUUGAGUGCAAACAGGUCAAAAAUGCAAGAUACUACAUCAAAACCGUAAAAAUAGAUUCACAGAACGCAUUCUAGCGGAAACAUCAUAACUGAGGCUCUCCAAGUCCAAAUCCAGAAAUUCCAAAACCAAAUGAAAGCUAAGAAACAGGGCUACGUUUCAUCAGAAGACCUCAACAACCAAUUCGGAAGCAAUCCUGACCACAACAACCAAUUACCGGCGCAAUUCUUACAUUCGGGUAAAACCAGAACAGCAAUAGUAAUUUCGACUUUUCUCAUUCCACACUACUCCGAUUGAUCUGAAAUUUUGUAGGACCCUCUAAAAUGUCAUUCCCUACAACUUUCAUGUUUUAAUAUAAGGCCAAUUCGGCCUCUAAAUAGGAGCUAAAAAUUCGGACAGAAUGCUCCCACAAGAACCCUAAUUUUCUGAAAUUUCUUCCAAACCAGAAAUUGGUUGCAAUUAAUCACUUUUUCCACCUUCUAGAAUCAUUAUAUACCAUUUUCAAUCAUCAUAGAUAGCCACACAAUCAUGCUUAUAUUAAAACAGAAAAAUCCCCAAAAAUUAUAAAACUUCAUCACUUCAAUCACAAAUCAAGAAGUAAUCCAUAAACUUGCAUCUCAUACUACCACUAAUCAUGAUUUAAGCAUCAAUUAAGAAAGGAGAGUGGUUCUUCACAACUCACCUUAGGAACAAGAGAGAGAGAGCAAUUGGUCACCUUAGCUUUUCAAACAAUUUCACCAAUCACUUCAAAAUCUCCAAGUGGAGGAGUUUUGUGGAGCAAAACCAAAAUUAAACGGUAGGAGUAGAAGAUUGAGCAAGUUUGGAUCAAAUUUUUGGAGAGCUUGUCUUUUCUUUUCUCUCUAAUGAGGGCCGGCUAUGAGCUUGAUAUUUGUGGGGAUUUUUGGGUCAAAUUCUUGAGUUAUUUUGGUAAAAUGGUAAAAGCAUGAAUAGUAAGUCAAAAGUAGGAUUUAAUCUCUAAGUGACACAUGUCACUUGCAUUAAUUGCUUGCCUAACUUUUGUCUCUUUUAUACCAAUCCACUUAACCUCCUCUCAUUAUUUCUUAACACCCGGUAAAUUAAUUCCAGUAUCCAAAACUUAACCUAGUUGACUGAAUUUUUCCGAACUUUUCGCACUUGUGGGUCCCAUGUCCGGUAUACGCUCUUAAUUUCUCAAAACCUAUUCGAUACUAGAAAAAUCAUCUAAAAUUUAUAUCUGCUUCUUAAAGUUAUCUAGAAAUUUUUCCUAAGCACGAAAAUGCAAAAAUCAAGCCAUGAAAAAUACGAAACCUAGAAACUGCAAAUUACGGGUUCUCACAACCCCCUUCCGCGGAUUGACCAACUGGUGGACUCAACCUCGGGAUAUGAGAUUUUUUACUUUUUGGAUGCCUUCAAAGGGUAUCAUCAAAUAGCCCUGGACGAGAAGGAUCAGGAGAAAACCUCGUUUAUCACCGAAUACGCCACCUAUUGUUACGUCACUAUACCGUUUGGAUUGAAAAAUGUGGGCGCGACCUACUAGAGGCUGGUCAAUAAGCUGUUCGAGGACCAAAUCGGACGAAAUAUGGAGGUUUAUGUGGACGAUAUGCUGGUGAAGAGCCGGACUCAGGAGCAGUUCAUCUCUAACCUUAGGGAGAUUUUCGACGUCCUUCGGAGAUCACGAAUGCGGCUCAACCCCAAGAAAUGCACCUUUGGGGUCAGGUCGGAAAAAUUCCUAGGUUACAUGAUUUCUAAAAAAGGGGUAAGAGCUAACCCGGACAAAAUCAAGGCCAUCAUGGACAUGGCUCCUUCCCGAAAUAUUAAGGAGGUACAGCGCUUGGCAGGGAGGAUGGAGGCUUUGAACAGGUUAUGGUCCAAAUCGGCAGUUCGGGGCUCCCCAUUCUUCAAAGCCCUAAGAAGAGGUCCACAAUUCGAAUGGAAUCCGGAGUGUCAAAAAGCGUUUAAUGAGCUGAAGGUCCAUCUUGCUCGGCUGCCGGCCCUAACUUCUCCCGCACAAAGUGAAACCCUGUUCAUCUACUUAACUGUGGGAGAGGAGACAGUUAGCGCGGUGCUGGUACGAGAGGAAGACAAUGUCCAGAAACCUGUAUACUAUGUUAGUCGUACCCUGCAAGGGGUGGAGGCAAAGUAUUCUGUAGUAGAGCGGUAUGUCCUGGCGCUAGUUCAUGCAGUUUGAAAGCUCAGAUCGUACUUCCAAACUCACCCAAUUGUAGUAGUGACGGACCAACCCUUAAAGCAGAUUCUCUCUAAACCCGAUGUCUCAGGACGGAUGGUGAAGUGGGCUGUAGAGCUGUCGGAGUACGAUCUGGGGUACCAGGCGAGGACGGCCAUCAAGGCACAAGCGUUGGCAGACUUCAUAGCGGAAGGCGUUUUCUUCGGGUCACACGAGACCAAAGCCGACCAGGCCAGAGAAGCAGUUGAGGCCGGGAGGGCCAGAGAAGCAGUUGAGGCCGGGAGGGCCAGAGAAGCAGUUGAGGCCGGGAGGGCCAGAGAAGCUGUCGACGUCGCACCUACCAGAGAAGCAGCCGAAACCCAACGACGCGGAGAAACUACCAAGGCCACGGAGACCUAAGAAGCAGUAGAGGCCUUGCAGGCUGAAAAUGCUGCCGAGGUUACUCAGGUCAAUAAGAUAGCAGAGGUCGGACAGACCGGAGAAGCAGCUAAGGCUGAACGGGCCAGAAAGGCUGCUAAGGUCGAGCUUGCCGGAGAAGCAGCUAAGGCCGAACAGGCCAGAGAGGCUGCCGAGAUCGCGCAGGCUGAAGGAGCAGUCGAGAUCGAACAGGCCAGAGGGGUUGCCCAGGCCAAAAAGGCUAUAGAGGCUACAGGACGAACUGGUCCGGUUUGGACAUUAUACGUGGAUGGCACAUCAAGCAAAGAAGGAUAUGGAGUCGGGCUCUUCCUAAUCAGUCCUACGGGGGAAAAGUUGGUCUACGCCUUGAGGUUCGAUUUCAGAGCUUCUAAUAACGAAUCUGAGUAUGAGGCCCUGAUUGCGGGGAUGGUGAUGGCUCGGAGAUUGGGAACCGAGCCAAUAAAAGUCUACAGCAAUUCGCAACUAAUAGUAAACCAAGUGUGAGGAAGCUAUGAGGUCAAAAAAGAGCCACUAAGGAGAUAUGUCGCCAAGGCACAUGAGCUAAGAGAUCGGUUCAGGCACUUCAUACAGGAGCAGAUCCCGCGAAACCAGAAUAAGAGAGUCGAUGCCCUGUCCAAGCUGUCUUCUACCUCAUUUAGCACCUUAAACCGAGAGAUACUGGUAGAGGUCGUUAAAAAUCGGGCGUAUGAGCAAAUAGAUCCAUCAGUCAUUCGAAUAGUUAGCUUUUGGAUGGACCCCAUUGUCCAGUACCUAGCCAAUGGCGAGCUUCCCCUAAGCAGAAUAGAGGCCUGUCAAGUCCUUCUCAAGUCACAGAGGUACGUGCUCAUAGAGGGAGUGUUAUAUAGGAAGUCCUACUUGCAGCCUUGGCUAAAGUGCGUAACACCAGAAGAGGGGAAUUAUGUCUUGCGCGAGCUGCAUGAGGGCAUCUGUGAUAAUCACGUCGGCUCAAGAGUUCUAGCCAAGAAAGGGAUGUUGUCUGGGUACUAUUGACCCACCAUCUUCCGGGACUCGGCCGAACUAGUGGCAAGGUGCAGGUCUUGUCAGCUGCACGCUCCAGUUCACCACUCCCCAAUUCGGGAGAUGGUUCCCCUCCAUAGCCCUUGGCCGUUCUUCCAAUGGGGAAUCGACCUGCUAGACCCUUUUUUCCGAGCUCCGGGAGGUUAUGAGCAUCUGGUGGUGGCAAUUGACUAUUUCACAAAAUGGGUAGAGACUAAACCACUUAGCACCAUCAAUAAUAGAGUCAUCCAGAAGUUUCUUUGGAAAAGUAUAGUUUGCCGAUUUGGCAUACCAUAGGUCCUGAUCUCGGACAAUGACAGACAGUUCGCUGACAGUUUCCUUCAGGAGUGGUGCUCUGAGCUCGGUAUUCAGUAGCACUUUACCUUUGUGGGGCACUCGCAAGCCAACGGACAGGUCGAGAAUGCCAACAGAACCAUUCUGCACGGCUUGAGGACACGAAUAGAGUCCGCCCGAACUAGGUGGAUGGAUGAGUUGACUAUCAUACUGUGGGCUUACCGGACUACACCUCAGACGGCCAUCCAGGAAACUCCAUUCGUCUUGACGUAUGGGGCCGAAGCAAUAAUUUCGACCGAAAUUGGGGUACCUUUGAGCCGGGUUCAACAUUUCGUGACUCAGAAUAAUGAUGAAGAGAUGCGGGCUCAACCUAGACCUGGUUGAGCAUCGGAGGGAAGAAGCGAUCAUAAGAAUGGUCAAGUACAAAUGGCAGAUCGUGCGGUACUACAACGUUAAAGCAAGGCAUCUCUCCUUCAAACCAGGGGACCUGGUGCUAUGGAGAAAUUCAGUAAGUCGAGCUGCGGGCAUAGGCAAGUUAGACCCAAAUUGGGAAGGUCCUUAUGUGGUUAGAGAAGCUGAUCGCUCGAGGUACUGUAAGUUAGCCCAUCUCAGUGAGGAAGAAGUUCCACGCACCUGGCACAAUUUGAAUUUAAAGCUUUUUCGUUAGAACUCGCACUGACCAGGAGUAAGCUAGAAGGAUCAUUACGCGAGGCUUAGGUAACAAAAUGUAAACGUCAGCUCGGUGAUCUGUUAGCUCGAAGCUUGGGCUCACAAGAAUGUAUCCAAGAUUCUAUGAAAAAAUAAAGAAUUUUUACAUAGUGUUGAACUAAAAGAUCAUCUAUUCCAUGGCAAAAAGAUGUACACAAGGGGGCCAUACAAAAAUGAGCUGGCCAGCUCGGAUCCUACCCUGCCCUACACCCUAUCUAUACCUAUGCUAGGAGCUACCUAAUUUUUCCCCUGUUGCUCCUGCUCAGGAUCGGGGGAGGUCGCAGGCAAGGAAGGAUCUGUGACCAGUCGCGGGCAUAGCCCUCCACGAUCCUGUCAAUCUGAUGGACUGCUUGUGGGUUGUACUCAGACCAUCUGCCCAGGUCAAACCCAGGCAGGUUCAGGGAUUGCACGUCGUGUAUAGUCUGAGUAUACCUCACAUGCAGUACUGGCCCGUUGAGGAAGGCCAGGUCUUUCAGGAACUCCUCAAACUUCUUGAAGUCCCUAACGCCAAGUUGACGACCCUCCUAAGCAGCUUCAAUCUGACCAGGCAGCUCCGCGGAUUUCUUCUGUUCGGAUUCCAGCUGCGAGGUCAGUUCGGCGGCAUUCUUCUUCUCCAGCUCACAGGCGGACUGGGCCUCGGCAAGCUGUUUCUUCAAAACUUCCAGCUCUGAUUCAGCUGCCUCAAGCUGGCUGGACAACCUGUCCUUGGCCGCAUCAGCCUGGGAAAGAUUCUCUCCCAUGUUCUCGUACAGCUGCAACAGCUCGGCACCAGCAACAUUAAACUGCAGAUCGAGUACCGGGUGAGAACCGACAAGGCAAAGAAAUUCCAAUAAGGCACAACUAGUUGAAGAGUUACCUGAGCUGCGCUAGGUAGUAGUGCUCCAGCAGUUCAGAGUUAGAUGCGAGCUGAACGAAGUAGUGGUCUCGGGGAAGCAUCGUGUCCCUAAGGAGCUCCCGAGCUGCUUCAAGAAAUUGGGCACGGUCAUUCACGGAUAAUCCCCACUUCGGGUAGAAGUGCAGGGGGUACGAAUGUGCGCUCAACUCGGAGGGAGGGUUCAGAGGUAUCACAUUCCUCCCAUGCCACAUGGCGGGCGGUGAGUCGGAAGAGGCCUGCUGUUCGGCCGAAUUCACCCCAUAAUGCUCCACAGUGGCAGUGGUAGGAGCUGGUUACGGCGCCUAGGCAGUAGGAGAGGUGGCCUCAGUUCAGGCCCUCUUGGCCGUUGAUUUUUUCCUCUUUUUCUUGCUUGCUAGCCCCCUCCGCAGGAGAUGACUGAGCAGGGCCUAGAGGGCUGGAACAGAAGGAGGAGCGACGGGGACAGAGCUGCUUGGUACGAUGGACGGCACGGUAACAGGCGUACUGGGAUCGCCUGUUCCCCCUAUGUUCAGCAGCUGGGAAAUUUCUUCACUGCAGGAUAGAGAGGAGAGGUUAGUUCGAACAACAUUGUGGAGCUCAUGAAAAGAAGGAGAGAUGAGAUCAAGAAUUUACAAGUUGUCAGCUCCUCUGGGGUGAGAGGUCGGAGAUCGGGGGCAGGGUCAUUUACCUCUGCCCGAAUCAACCCCGCCGACCAGAGUUGAGUAUUGUUGAAUUCCUUCACCUUCAACCGAGUUUCCGAACUGACCAGACGGUCCAGCUCGACCGCUGGCAGAGACGAAGGAAUGGGGUCAGAUACUUGGGUCUCCUCCCUCCAGGUCAAGGGAGGAAACCCUGUGUUCUUCACAAAGAAGAAUUGGGCCUUCCAACCCUUGAUAGAGGAAGGUACAUGUGAGAACAGCUCACGGGUUAGGAGCUUCCUCCCGCUCCUGCGAGCGAAGUAGAACCAACCGUGGACCGGGCCGCUCACCUUCAUUUGAAAAAAUGACCUGAACAGGUCUAAAGAAUAAGGUAUCUCAAGGAUGCGACAUAAAAUGAAGAAGCCAAGGAUCGACCGAAUGGCGUUGGGAACGAACUGGGUUAUCCGAAUUUCCCAGAAGGUCAGAAUUUGGUAGAAGAAGUGAGGAAUUGGAAGGCGGAGACCAGCCAUAAGCUGAUCUCUGUAGAUGGCCAUGAACUCAAGAGGAGGUUGGCACGCGUACUCCCCUGGCCGGGCAGCCCUAGCCUCGAACUGGGGAGGGAUGUCAUACCUCCCAACCAGUUCAUCUACAUCCCCUUGGUCCAAAAGGGAGGGAUGAUCUCGACUUCCCAGAAGUUGAUAUCGAACCCCCUGGAGGGUCCUGCCCCGACGCAAGCUGAAACUGCCUCCAAAGGGUUCUCUGGGGCAGCAGCUCCUGCGUCAGGUUGGGCAGGUUGGUCGGGCUGAUUCAUACCUAAGGUGGGGGAGUGGACUGGAGAAGGAAGGUACUCAGACUCUGAGGAACAAGAGGAAGAGGAGUUGGAAGAAGAAAUUAUUUCUAUGGGGGCAAGUCGGACUACUCUACGCCUAGGUGCCGAGCUAGUAAUGUCUGAGUGUGUGGAAGAAGACGACAUAAAAGGAAAAAAAGACUUACUGGCAGGUAAGGAAGAAGAGCUGAUGGGUGCUUAGGAGGGGAAGCUACUCUCGUACGAGCUCACUAGGUGAGGUGCGAGCUGAUGGAGAUUUGAAAAUGGAGAAAAUGAGGAAGGAAGCUUGAAAGCGACGUUUGGAAGGGCCUAUUUAUAGGCCACCUGGGCGGGAAGGUAAAGAGUCUUGAAUUGAAAUUUCAAAUUUAUUAUUUAAAAAUCGUCGCCUCGAAAGACAGUUGAGCUGACAACCGCCAUUAUGAGGGAGCGUGACCCCUGGAGCGCCGGUUACGCCAGCGGAUAUGGCAGUUGCACGAACAAGGGAUUGUGGGCCCCUUCGCUGAACCAACCCGUCGCCUCAAAAUUUGGUCCAAAUUCACGCGACCCUUCGGUGACUCUAGACUCAAAGGGGGGCUAGUGUAGCGAGGCUAAUCCGCGCGUGACGCGUGUCAGCUUGGUGCCCGAGCUCGGCAAUAGAUAUUCAACAGUUUGGAUACAUCAGCUCGGGAAAUGGAGAGGGCUAGCUCGGCCGUGGCCGCCGCUUCUCUAUGAAGCAUGCCUCGUGGGCCGCUGCCUCCGAAUUUUUAGGGGCAGUCAUAUGAAACCCUAGAACAAUUCCGAACACUAAGGGGACUCUGACUCCUAUAUGGAAACUACUACUACCCGCAAGCCUAUAAAUAUAAUACCACGCGACAACACAAUGUACGCUAUCUACAGUGCUCUAUACUGUUACCUUACUCCUAAACUCUGCUGACUUGAUCGUCGGAACUACUCCGGGAACUUCAGUCCCGCCGUUGUUCUUUCUUUGCAGGACUGCCCCCUCGGUUCCCCCUCUCAGCUCGACUGCACCCAGUCAGUCCCGCUUGUGGCAGCUCAGCUCGGACCGUAUUUUUGGUUGUCGCAUCAUUGUGCAUUACUGGCUGUGCUAAUUUUGUCGUGCUCAAGUCUUGUUUUGGAGUUUGAAUCCGUCUAGUCAAGAUCGGGCCGAUCCCAGCUUUUAGUUUUAACUGCAACCUCUUCAAUUGUCUACAUUUUCGUUUCAUGGUCACAAUUUACCUACUGGUGAUAGAUUCUAGGAUGUUUUUUUUGCUGCCAAGGCUUUUUUUGCAAGUUUUUCUUUUGGUUUAUUUGGUUUAAACAAUGGACUCAUGUUUGUUUGCUAGUUGAACUGGUCUUGUACUCUUCUCUGUUAAUAUGAACUACUGUUGGGAUAUUUUUUUUUUUCGGCUAGUUUGGGCAUACAUUGCUCUCUUGCUCCGACGUGGUACUUGCUAACAAGGUCAUCAUCUAAACUUGGUAAAUCGUAUGCCUGCGGUAAUGGUGCUUGCUCCAACACUAAAAUUUGUUUUAUCUACUUCCUUGAUCGUCUUCAUCUCAUUAAGUUCAGUCCUUUCUUUAUGAUUUCCCGGCAUAUUCUUUUAAUCUAGCACAGUGGAAUACGCUAAUGCUAUACUAUUUGAAUUGCUAGGUAUUAAGAUUUUGGAUUGAGAAGAAUUGCAAAUAAUAGUGGGUUAGUUUUAUGUGUGUGUGUUUUUUUUAUGAAUGUUUAACUAAAGUUUUGCACAGUUUGUGACAGCCCCACCUCAUCCUAAGGCGAACCAAAGGGUUCGGCGGACUGCCUGCCCAACUCUCGCCAGGACUACGGAGUCGACUUACACAAACCCAACAUAGUACGCGCGAUAGGACCCAAAGAAAAUAAACAAUCGGAAACUACUAAGGUGAGAACAUGCCUACCAAACCAUAAAGUCAUAGUCUCAACGAAAUACAUUUAAUAGACAAGGUUAAACACUUAUACAUAUAUUUGCAUUGAAGUUUUGAACAAAUUAACAUACAAUGCGAUCCGAGGUACUCAUACUACACAAAACACAAUUAGGGCUUCGUUUUCAAAAGAGUUUAAAAACAUGACAUAUAAACUAACUUGACCCUUUUCUUCCAAAAUCGUGAUUUUCAAGUUUGUCCCCUGUAAGGAAAACAAAGGCAACAGAAAGGGGUGAGCUUACGCUCAAUGAGGUACCAAACAUAUAGGGAUAAAAUCAUGGUUUUUCACGUUUAAUCAAUCAGAUACAUAUACCAGAUAUAAAGGAAAGCAUUUAGACACAGUGAUUCAAAAGGAAAGGAUACAAGUGGCUCUCAGGAGCCAGAUUUCCAUUUGCAGUACUUGAUCCGAACCCGUUGAUUCUCCGUCAAUGUAAAUAGAACCAACAUAUCCGUAGACCCCACUUUACACCAAUUUUCGUCCAUCAAACAUACCCCUACCGGGCCCGAACUCCAUUCAGGAACAGUAAUGGUAAUACUCGAGUAUACCGAAAAUCAAGAGUUUCAAUACCCAAAGAUUCCCAAAACAGACUACCGUGGUUUGUUAUCUAAUCGACCAGACCAUUGCCGGCCCGACUUGAGUAACAAGCCACAGGUGUUGAAUUCAGAGGUCACAGAAAGGUCGUUGGAUACCAGCCUCCAAACGACGUCCGAACAGAUUCAAAUACAGUUAACAGAUUAUACACAGUAAAUAGGCAUAUGGUCAGAUAAGAGAACGAGUGUGAUAAAGUACACCCUCGUCUCCAACAGAAUAAACAGAUAGUGCAGUCAUUUAAAUUGCAGAUUGCAGGGGCAGAAACCAAGUUAAACAGCAAAUGAGGGGAGUGGUACACUCACCGGUUCAAGUACAGAUACUUCAAAAGUUUUCACUUCAAACUGGCUUUAAUCGCCAAGAAACCCUAAAUCAUCAAAGUAAACCAAUUGAAGGUUUCACAUCCAAAAUUGAAUAAACGGAAUGUACAAGUGAGGCUCGACUACACGUCGUACGUCUUUCCAGGUUAAGUACUAGUACAAAAGAAUAAAAUAUGAAUUUUGAGCAAAAAGAUAACAGUUGGUCCUAGGGUUACAAACAACCCCCAAAACCCUUCAUUUGUACUAAGAUCAACUCAAUUGAAGAAAUUGCGUAGCCCUAAAACUUUGGGCAGCAUGCCCUCUGUAUUUACCUAUUUUUCCAGCCACUUAUGGCUUCAUUAUUUUCCUCAAUCAAUCUUAAAGUUAUACGCAAUAUAAAUUCAUCACAACAGUCAUUCAAUAGGCUCAAAGUCAUUCAAGUACAAGAUUUAGCUAGGAAAAUGACUGGAAAUGAGCUUUAAGCUAGGAAACCAAAAAGGCAGAUUCACUGCUAUUUAGCGUAUCGGACCUAACCGAAACUAUGCUUAUUGGAUUGAAGUGAAAGUUAUACCAUUUCGAAGCUAAGACAGAGGACUAUAACUUUGAUGAAGACUAUUUAGUCCAGUUCUCAUCCUAACUAGGUCAAAGUUACCAAAAUAACCCCAGAUUUUCCAGUUCAAAGCUCACUGUGAUAUUCAAUCAUAUCUCAGCACACACAACUCCGAUUCAGGUAAUUCCAAAGCCAUUUGAAAGCUAAGAUACAAGGAUAUUAUUCUUAAGAAGACAUAGACAACCAAAUCAGUAGUAUUCCCAGUCAAACUAACCAAUUACAGAAGCUUAUUAUCAGUUUCGGACAGAAACAGGGCAGCAGGGGUAUUUCGGUCUUUUCAUAGGAUAAAUUGCUCCGAUUGGGCUGAAAUUUUGCAGGCAACUAUAAAACAUCAUUAUAUACAACUUUCAUGUUUUGAACUAAGGCUAAUUCAGUCUGUAAAAUCAUGAAAUGGAACCGGGCAGAACUGAAGUUGAAAUUUCCAGAAAUCUGGAAUUUGGGCUAUUAGUGCAUACCACUACUUUUCUUGCUUUAUCCUUUCAUUGUUUUCCUCUUAACCAACAUGUCAAGUGUUAACUCUAACUAAAACCAUGAAUCAAAGAUUUAACAAUUAAUCAAACACAUGGUAGGCCACUUAACCAACCCAACUACUACUUCACUAAUUCAAGAGAUUUAGCCAUAGGAAGCAUCCAAACAACUUCUAGUUUACCCUCAAACCUUUAAAUACUUAAUAUAACACCAUAAAAGCAAGGAUUAAGGAUCACAUACCUCUCUUACAAGUUGAUUAAGUCACCCAAAACAACCACCAACCAAAAGCUUCAAGGCUUGAAGAUCACACACUAGAGUUGGAUGGAUUUCACUCACUAACUCACUCCUUCACUUUUGUUUUUUUUCCUAAGAUUAAACUAAGAGUAAAAAGCAAGAAAAUGGAGUUUCUUCUUCUCCUUUGCUGCUCCAAGAUGGCUGGCCAGCUUAUGAAGGAAAUGGAGCAAAAAAAAAAAGGUUUUAAUUCAUCAAAUUCUUUGGUCAAAUAAGUUGCAUGGUUGGUGUCUUGCCACUUGACACCAUCUUGGCCAUUCUCUCACUAAUCUUUGCCAAAUCAUAUUCCUAUCCUCCAAUUCUUUCCCUUAUCUUACUAACACCUAGUAAAUUAAUUCCGAUAUACAAAACUUAACCUAAUUGGCCGAAUUUUAUCGAACUUACCGCACUAGUGGGUCCCACAUCCUGUAUACACUCUUACAAUCUUAUAAACUAACUUAUACUAGAAAAAAUGAUUUCAAAACCAUCUUUACUCAUAAAAAUUAUUUUCACAAUUUUUUGAAUAAAUAAAAUAUGGAAAAGUGUGCAAUUAAAAGAAAAUAAAACAUAGCAAUUAAGAAAAUUACGGGUUCUCACACUCUCUCCCCCUUAAAGAAAUUUCGUCCUCGAAAUUUUCUUAUCAACGGAAUCUUUCAAAAUCUAAGGUACCCAACGGAUCGUACCUUCUACGUCCUUAGACGAGUCAGGGACCUGAUGGUGCUCUAAAGAAUAUACCCGAGCCGAUACCUUUAAUCCAGUCCCUUCCUUUUCUGACUGUCCAGGGUUAGUCUUUGUUGGUUGCGGGGUCCCUUUUCCUUUUCGCAAUCGAACUGGGCAGUCAGCAAUCCGAUGAUCGGCACUUCCGCAGCGCAGACAUUUUCCCUCUUUUUUCCAACAAUUUGCCUCCGUAUGAUUUGGCCCUCCGCAAUAUCCACAGGGACCGCGAGUAGCAGAGACCGGUCCCCCCUGAGAGACAUCACGCGACACCCCCGAUUGUCGUACUCCCCCGUUUCCCUUCCAAUCUUAGAAGGCGUACUUAUACCUUCUUGCUCAGAGCUACUCCCAGGAAAGCCCCUUUUCUUGACUUGGAAGUUUUUCACCUCCAGCCUAGCAUUCUCUACUCGUUGAGCCUUCUCUACGGCAUCGCUGAAGGCGUUAAUUUAGGCUACGGUUAGAUCUUUCUGGAUCUCCACGUUCAGACCCUGGACGAAUCACCGUAUUUUUCGUUUCUCGGUCACGAUAAAUUCAGGCACGAAUUUGGAUAGCCGAGUAAAUUGGCUCUCGUACUCGGCCAUUGUCUGGGUCCCUUAACGAAACCGGAUAAAUUCAUCCUCCUUUUGUUCCUGAACUAGAGGAGGGAAGAAUUUAGCGUUGAACUCUCGCAUAAAAUUCACCCAAGUCCUGGGCAUUUGCUCUCGGUCCCACUUUUGUCGUAUUACGUUCCACCAGGAACGGGCCACCCCUUCCAACUGAAAAACAGCAAAAGUCACUUGUCGUUCCUCCGUGCAGUGCAGGGCAGCAAAGAUAUCCACCAUUUUCUCUAGCCACCUUUCGGCUACAUCUAGAUCGGGUCCCCUAAUAAACUUUGAUGGGGCAAAAUUCUGGAACCUCUCGAGAGCCCGGUCCUCGCUCUCCACGUGAUUACCAGGGUUCCCAGGGUUGGGGUUAGGGUUGUGACCCUGUUGGGCUAGCAAAUCAGUCAUUUGCUGCAUGGCAGCAGCUAUUUGGACUUUGGGAUCAACCCUAGGUUCAGGGUUUGGUCCAGACGAGGUUUCCCCAGUGCCCCUUUCAGACGUGGGUUGCCUAAUUCCACGCCUACGGCCUCGUCCACUACGAGUGCCCUCCAUUGAUCUAAGUCAAUCUAAGGUCGAGGUGCAAAGAUAAUAUUAAAGAUAAUUAUAGACAUAAGCAAAUAACAAGAGAUACACACAGAUCAAAAGCAUAUAUACACACAACUGUACUGAACCAGUCACACAGUAGCAGUCAAUUAGAUACAAAUAUGAGAGAUCCAUGAAAGUAGCGGGGUCAUCCAAAAGUACUAUAGACAGACUAGGUCACAAGUACAAAAAUAACUAACGAAAAGUUUUUCCCCCUCUAGGGCUCCGUCCAUAAUCUACGAGAACAACACCAUUUAUAUCUUAAUCAAGGUUGAUCACGCUUAACCACACCCGAACAAACCACACGAAAUUCCAUAGAAUCGCAUUUCUAGUUCGCCCCAGUCCUUUCUAACCUAGACUCUCAUCUCUUUCGUAUCCGGGUGCAAGAAUCCCAUCUAAGAUAAUUCACAACUUGAGCCGGCCGGUCCCAAGCGUAAAUCAUCCAUAUUAAAAAUUUCUACCCGACAUACCAACCUACCUUCCUCAAGUCCCAUGAUAAAGAUCUUUACACUUAUGACAUGCACGGUUCAUAGUUUAUGCUCAAAAGAGUACUUAUACCUUUCGACGCAUUCACAAAAGCAGGACCAUAACACCACUUGGUCCAAUCUCACUCCACGCAGAGACCACGCGAAAUGGUUCUGAUACCACCUGUGAUAGCGCCACCUCACCCUAAGGCGAACCAAAAGGUUCGGCGGACCGCCUGCCCAACUCUCGCCAGGACUACGGAGUCGAUUCACACAAACCCAACAUAGUACGCGCGAUAGGACCCAAAAAAAAUGAACAAUCGGAAACUAUUAAGGUGAGAACAUGCCUACCAAAUCAUAAAGUCAUAGUCUUAAUGGAAUACAUUUAAUAGACAAGGUUAAACACUUAUACAUAUAUUUACAUUGAAAUCUUGAACAAAUUAACAUACAGUGCGAUCCGAGGUACUCAUACUACACAAAACACAAUUAGGUUUUCAUUUUCAAAAGAGUUUAACAACAUGACAUAUAUACUAGCUUGACCCUUUUCUUCCAAAAUCGUGAUUUUCAAGUUUGUACCCAGUAAGGAAAACAAAGGUAACAGAAAAGGGUGAGUUUACGCUCAAUGAGGUACCAAACAUAUAGGGGUAAAAUCAUGGCCUUUCACGUUUAAUCAAUCAGAUACAUAUACCAGAUAUAAAAGAAAGCAUUUAGACACAGUGAUUCAAAAGGAAAGGAUACAAGUGGCUCUCAGGAGCCAGAUUUCCAUUUGCAGUACUUGAUCUGAACCCGUUGACUCUCCGUCAAUGUAAAUAGAACCAACAUAUCCGUAGACUCCACUUUACACCAAUUUUCGUCUACCAAACAUACCCCUACCGGGCCCGAACUCCAUUCAGGAACAGUACUGGUAAUACUCGAGUAUACCGGAAAUCAAGAGUAUCAAUACCCAAAGAUUCCCAAAACAGACUACCGUGGUUCGUUAUCUAAUCGACCAGGCCCAUGCUGGCCUGACUUGAGUAACUAACCACAGGUGUUGAGCUCAGAGGUCACAGAAAGGUCGUUGGAUACCAACCUCUAAACGACGUCCGAACAGACUCAGAUACAGUUAACAGAUUAUACACAAUAAAUAGGCAUAUGGACAGAUAAGAGAACGAGUGCGAUAAAGUACACCCUCGUCUCCAACAGAAUAAACAGAUAGUGCAAUCAUUUAAAUCGCAGAUUGCAGGGGCAGAAACCAAGUUAAACAGCAAAUGAGGGGAGUGGUACACUCACCGGUUCAAGUACAGAUACUUGAAAAGUUUUCACUUCAAACUGGCUUUAAAAUCAUCAAAGUAAACCAAUUGAAGGUUUCACAUCCAAAAUCGAGUAAACGGAAUGCACAAGUGAGGCUCGACUACACGUCGUACGUCUUUCCAGGUUAAGUACUAGUACAAAAGAAUAAAAUAUGAAUUUUGAGCAAAAAGAUAACAGUUGGUCCUAGGGUUACAAACAACCCCCAAAACCCUUCAUUUGUACUAAGAUCAACUCAAUUGAAGAAAUUGCGUAGCCCUAAAACUUUGGGCAGCAUGCCCUCUGUAUUUACCUAUUUUUCCAGCCACUUAUGGCUUCAUUAUUUUCCUCAAUCAAUCUUAAAGUUAUACGCAAUAUAAAUUCAUCACAACAGUCAUUCAAUAGGCUCAAAGUCAUUCAAGUACAAGAUUUAGCUAGGAAAAUGACUGGAAAUGAGCUUUAAGCUAGGAAACCAAAAAGGCAGAUUCACUGCUAUUUAGCGUAUCGGACCUAACCGAAACUAUGCUUAUUGGAUUGAAGUGAAAGUUAUACCAUUUCGAAGCUAAGACAGAGGACUAUAACUUUGAUGAAGACUAUUUAGUCCAGUUCUCAUCCUAACUAGGUCAAAGUUACCAAAAUAACCCCAGAUUUUCCAGUUCAAAGCUCACUGUGAUAUUCAAUCAUAUCUCAGCACACACAACUCCGAUUCAGGUAAUUCCAAAGCCAUUUGAAAGCUAAGAUACAAGGCUAUUAUUCUUAAGAAGACAUAGACAACCAAAUCAGUAGUAUUCCCAGUCAAACUAACCAAUUACAGAAGCUGAUUAUCAGUUUCGGACAGAAACAGGGCAGCAGGGAUAUUUCGGUCUUUUCACAGGAUAAAUUGCUCCGAUUGGGCUGAAAUUUUUCAGGCAACUAUAAAACAUCAUUAUAUACAACUUUCAUGUUUUGAGUUAAGGCUAACUCGGUCUCUAAAAUCAUGAAAUGGAACCGGGCAGAACUGAAGUUGAAAUUUCCAGAAAUCUGGAAUUUGGGCUAUUAGUGCAUACCACUACUUUUCUUGCUUCAUCCUUUCAUUGUUUUCCUCUUAACCAACAUGCCAAGUGUUAACUCUAACUAAAACCAUGAAUCAAAGAUUUAACAAUUAAUCAAACACAUGGUAGGCCACUUAACCAACCCAACUACCACUUCACUAAUUCAAGAGAUUUAGCCAUAGGAAGCAUCCAAACAACUUCUAGUUUACCCUCAAAUCUUUAAAUACUUAAUAUAACGCCAUAAAAGCAAGGAUUAAGGAUCACAUACCUCUCUUACAAGUUGAUUAAGUCACCCAAAACAACCACCAACCAAAAGCUUCAAGGCUUGAAGAUCACACACUAGAGUUGGAUGGAUUUCACUCACUAACUCACUAACUCACUCCUUCACUUUUGUUUUUUUUCCUAAAAUUAAACUAAGAGUAAAAAGAAAGAAAAUGAAGUUUCUUCUUCUCCUUUGCUACUCCAAGAUGGCCGGCCAGCUUAUGAAGGAAAUGGAGCAAAAAAAUGGUUUUAAUUCAUCAAAUUCUUUGGUCAAAUAAGUUGCAUGGUUGGUGUCUUGCCACUUGGCACCAUCUUGGCCAUUCUCUCACUAAUCUUUACCAAAUCAUGUUCCUAUCCUCCAAUUCUUUCCCUUAUCUUACUAACACCUAGUAAAUUAAUUCCGGUAUACAAAACUUAACCUAAUUGGCCGAAUUUUAUCGAACUUGCCGCACUAGUGGGUCCCACAUCCGGUAUACACUCUUACAAUCUUAUAAACUAACUUAUACUAGAAAAAAUGAUUUCAAAACCAUCUUUACUCAUAAAAAUUAUUUUCACAAUUUUUUGAAUAAAUAAAAUAUGGAAAAGCAUGCAAUUAAAAGAAAAUAAAACCUAGCAAUUAAGAAAAUUACGGGUUCUCACACAGUUGGUCCCUCGCAUAAUUGGUCAACUGUGAUUUGCCACUUUUACCUUUAAAAAUUGGAUAUUGCAUGUGGACCCAGUGAGUUUCGGCCAAAAUUUGUUCACAAAAGUGAAAAGGGACUAAAGGUGAUCAUUUUUUGUUUGUUAGGGACUAAAACUGAUUAUUUUUGUUUUGAGGGACUAAAUUUUCACAUCUAUCAUAUGUAUGGGAUGAUUGGUGCAGUUUUCCCAAUAUUUUAAUUGCCCCCAUUAAUUGUAUCCAUCUAUUAUAUUAAUAUAUAUAUAAGUUAAAAUGGGAUUCAUGGUCACAUUUGCUAAGUAAAAUUUUGCACAUAAAAUUAAGAGAACAUAGCACUAUAGCCAACAUAAGGAAUAAUUAUAAAUCAUUAGAAUAUUGCACAGGUUAAAAUAUAUGAGUACUUAUAUAAAGCAUAAUGAUGCUACUUUGUGUCACAAUAACAUUAACGGAAACAAUAGAAUCCAAACUCGGAAGCCAAAAAUGAUAAAUCAAAGAAAUAUAUCUCGCCUUUGGGCCCAAAAAAUUUUCUCAACUUGGUGCCUAGCACAACUUGAUUAAUUGAUAUUCCAUAAUUGAACCUAUGUCAAAGGCAUCUUUGAGAUUGCCCAAAAUUCCGCCAGGAAUCGAGAAAGCAUAUCCCUCCAAUACUUUCCUUGUCGAAGUCCCGUUCCCUGUAUUCCGGUGUAUAAAAGCCGAAAAGGAUUAGGGUUGAUCAGAAUUGAACGAGUCUUUCCGGCCCCCGAUGGUCAAUUCCCAGAAGGGAAAAUGGGAAAAAGGGUGUAGAAUCGACCAAACAUGCAGCCAAAUGUAGACAAAAGUCCCAGUCCAAAACGGCUUCCACCCACGGUCAAUGCAAGGGUUCGCAGAAAGACCAAAGGUCUGAUCCCCCAAAAACACAAAAAUUCUAUUCUUUUACCACAAAAACAUCGCGACAUCUGUGCCAUCUAUACUUAAUUGUCGAGUCCGUAGUCAACUACAGGUAAGCAAUAGGAAUUGAAGGACUAGGUUAACAGGGCCUCCAUACAACAAAUUGAAUGAUUCCUAUGAAAAUUUCAAUAUCAUAAUGACCUACUCAUGAAAUUCAUUAGGAUUACGUGAAGCCAUCACAUGUCCUUCAAAAAAAAAAAGACCAUCACAUGUAAUUUGCAGACAAUAAUUCAUGUGAGGCAUAGAAUUAUCUUACAUGUGAACAAUCAGAAAUCUAUCCGAUUAAAAGAAAUUCAGUAGAAGACCAUAUAUCACCAUUAUAGGUGCAGUAACACUGUCAAUUUAUACUCGAAUUUUGGGUUCAUACACACAUCUAAAUAUAUAUAAUAAUUGUUAGAGGAUAACUUUUUAUAUACUAUUAGUGUAUAAGUUUUUGUUUUUACAUUAGUAGGUUUAGAUUAUGUUAUAUAACAUGAAUUCAUAUUUAAAAUUCAAAUCGUACACAUGUGACAUAUAUCUAAAUCUACUAGUGCGAAAAAAAUUACUAUACUGUCAGUGCAUAAAAGAUUAAUACAUUCCUAAAUUCUAAUAAAUUUCUCCUAAACUUUAUGGACAAAAUAAAUCAAGAAUUAAGAAUGACAUAAUUGGUUUACAAGUCAUUAACUUCAACCUAGUCAUAAGUCUGAUACCACAUAUUAGACACUAAGUAAUUAAACCUAUACUUUGACACCACAUAUUAGACAUUAAGUCUGAUACCACUUGUCAACAUUAAGAGAAUGAUCUUGAUUUUGACGUUUAAAUCAUAAGAAAUAAGUUUAAAGCAUAGUUUAUAAGGAUAAUUACUCUGUCAUUGAUCAUUUGUCGCAAGUGUCAAACAUUAAUUACUAGAAAUUCAAAACUUGUAGUAGUGAGAGUUCAAGUCGAAUUCAAAGAGAACAAUUGAAACUUUUGUUUUUUAAUGUCAAAUCAAUGAAAUUAACUAGAAGUAAUUAAGAGGAAAUCACUAACAAAAUUAAGAAGGCAAUGUCAAAAGUGAGUAGUUUAAUCAAAUAACGAAAGCCAAGCCAAGAACAUGAAGGGAUUCGCUCUGAUUGAUUAUUAACUCCUAAAGGUCUAGCUUUUAAUUAACCAUUUGGCCUAAGUUACCCAAAUGCUAGUAUUAACUCGCAAAUUCUCUAAAUUCAAUAAUUAGAAUGAUGAACUCUAAUUGUAUUCUUAUUAUCAAAUUAUCUAGGUAUUGGAGCAAUCCUAAAUUAAUCUAACAAUAGCAUUAAAAACUAAGAACCAACCAAAGAUGAUGAUAACCCGUGAUGCACGCAGUCAUCAAAUCUACACCACAAUUCCCCCUAACGGUUCAUAAAAUGUGAUAACCAAUUACUAGCCUUAUUUUUCGUAAAAAAUACCAAUACAAGACAAUUACAGAUUGAGAUUAGUAUUUUGGCAUGAAUAUUAAACAUAUAGAAAAUUAUUUGCAACUUAUUUUACUAUAUAUGCAUAAACAAAAAUUAGUAAUUAAGGAAUCAUAGAUAGUUAAUUAAAAGUUGAAAAGAUCAAACUUGUUUCACAAAUCUUGGAGUCACCACUUCUAUCCUUGACCUGAAUAAAGAAACUAGCUAGACAUCAUCAUUAUAAGAUCAAGAGAAAUGUUCAUAAGUGAAUAAAAAAACUAAUCUCUAAACUAUUCUACGCUACUUCUAGAGAAUGAACAAUUUUGCAAAGAAAAGUUGUUGCUUCUUCUCACGGGUCUCUUCUAAUGACUCAUAGUGCACAUAUUUAUAAAGCCCCUUGAAGUAGGGUUUUUAGGUUGGAAUCGAGUAGUCCACUUAAAAUUAAAGAUCGUUCGUCCAGACCUUAUCGAGUCCUGAAUUGAGUUCUAUGACGGGCACCCAUCAUUGCUUAACUAAUCAACUUAACUAAAAUCAGUUUCAACCAUAAAUCAGCCCUGUGUUUGGCCCCCAUUCUAGCACCCAUUAGUUGCUGACUUCUUGAACUCGACAAGUUCCUUCUAGUUGAGUUCCUUUCACAAUAUUUUCUCUCCAAGUGCUUUUUAACCUGUCCAACCAUAAGAAACACCUAAAUAGCACUUUUAAAGAUAAAAUCUCUAUAAAAUAUAGCGACAACAGAACAUAAAAGGAUAUCAAGCAUGACACAUCAAAUUCCCCCAUAUCAUAUAAUUGCACGUCCCCGAGCAAACUCAAGUAGAAGGCCUAAAAACAAAUCUAAAUGACUAUCUCACUCGACUUCCAAAACCAGAAUGUUAGACCGCUCCCAACAAAACAAUCAAUAUUCCAAAUACCAAAACACAAUUGUCGCGCCCCAUUUUUCGCGAUGAAAAAAUAAAAGAUUUUUACAAAAGAUGGUGUUUACAAGGGAUGUGAUUUUAUUUUAAAAUAAAUGAAAAGGACCUAGAAUGGGACUUAAAAAAAAUGCGACAAUUUGGGUCCAAAAUUUAGUCUAAAAGGGUUUUUAAGAAAAAAAAUAGGAGUCGCCACUUGGUAUUGAGUUUUGGUGUACCAAAUCACCCAAAAAUAUUUUUUGACAAAAAUAAAAAUAAAAUAAAACAAAACCCUUUUUGACAACUCCAGAUUUUCGAAAAACAAGAGAAAAUGGAUUCGGGAGUCACGGUUGAAGAAAGGAAAGGCAAAAGUUCGAUCAACUCAAACCUAAGGCACCCUUUCAACCUAGUCUAAACUAGUUGCGAGGUUUAGUCAAAAUUUUCCUAAUCUAACCCUUAAUUUUAUCAUGUUUGGAUGUUUCCUACAUGGAUGCAAAUCUAAAUUUAUAAAAAUAUCGCAAGGGACAAAAUGUUCAUUCAAGGGUUUAAUUGAACCAAUCGCAAUGAUCGCGAAGAUCAAAAUAAUUCCUUGAAUGUGCCACGAGUAUGCGAAUGAUGAAAUUAAAAGAAAAGAAAUUAAAUUAUGUACAUAGAUAUAAGUGAUCAAAGAAAAAGGAAAUGCAACAUAAAGGGUACGGGAGGCAAAAACUCGUGACAAUAAUUUUCUUGUACAGGGAUUAAUGAGAUAUUUAAACUAAAAAGUUAUAAUCACCCAUUUUCCAUGUUUGAAAAAUAAUUCUCCUAAUAUGCACAAGCAAAUGAGUUAACUUAUUAUACAAUGUCCUAAAUGAAAUGCAAUUCUAAAUGACAUGAUUAACACAUAUAGAGGAUAGGGGAUAAUAUAAUAGGAAAUAUCAUGCAAAUGGGAAAAGAUCCUAAAAAUGAAAAUAUGCGUGAAAAUGUAAUGAAUAUCACACAAAAAUGAGUCUAACGCAAGAAUGAUCCAAGGGUCUAGCAUUGGACUAGUCCAUUUCUAAAAGUCCUUACUAGCGUUGGACUAGCAAGUAAACGGAGGGAGAAACCACAACUAGCGUUGGACUAGUGUGGUGACGUCAUGCAUUCUUAAUACAUAAUAAGACAAGUAGGCAUAAAUUAAAACAAAUAAACACAUAAGAGCACGUAGCACGAAACACAUAAGCAUAAUAUCUAAAUGCAAAAAAUUCUAAGGAAAGCGGGUAAGGCACGUAACACAUAAACCACAUAAGCACACAACCUAUCUAUUACAUCGGGGAGCGCCUAACUACAAUCUAAAAGGGAAAAUAAAAUAAAACAAAUCUAAUUAUCCUAUCUAUUACAUUUUUGAGGUAUUUAAAUGCCUCUCAAAUAAUUAUAAAAUUAACUAAACAAACAUAAGAAAAUUUAAAUGAACAUUCAAAUCAAAUAAACAAAGCAUAUAAAAAUAUAUAAAUACAUAGGAACACGUAAGAGCACAUAAGAGCACGUAAUUGACAUUGAAAUAAUAAUAAUGGGGUACCUCCCUUUUGAAGUGGUGACUAAACGGAGUCAAAUUGCCCUAUUUAUACUCAAAAUGAACAAAAGAAUCAUGGCACUAAUUUAAUUAAAAUAAUAAUAAUAAUAAUGAUGAAAAUUCACCUUAAUAUGUCAAACGUAAAUAAAUUUAAAAAUAUCUAAAAAUUACAAAUUAAACAUACUCAAAAGUAACAUAAUUAGCUAUUAAAGAAAAGAAACAAUCAUAAUAAAGAGAGUCAAAAUUCAUCAGGGACUGAAUUGCAAAAAUCGAAAAACUUUUGGGGAUAAAAAUUAUAUUUUUCUAAAGUUUAGAGGUCAAAAUUAAAUGAAAGAUAAAAUUCAAGGACCAAAGUGAAAUUAAUUUAAGGACCUAAGUGAAACAAAUUUAAAAUGUUCUGGGCCGAAGUGAAACUACUCCAAAGAUCAGGGGCUAAAGUGAAAAUUUCGGUUUCUGAUUUGGGAGAAAAAAGCUAUCGGGCCAUCAUUUUUAUUUAUUUGGGCCGGAUGCUUCCUAAACCCAGCCGAAACCCAAAAGAAAAGAGCAGGUCAGCCCGUCUUUUAUCCCUCAAUCCCAACCGAAACCCAAAAGAAAUAAACCAAAACUCACUUUCAAAACCCAACCAAAACUAACUCUUGGCCCAACCGAAAUAAAACAUUAGCCCAAAUCAUUUUUUUUCCUUCUUUUCUUUCUUUUCUUUACUUCUUCUUCUUUUUUUUCUUCUUCUUCCACCAAGAAGCUGAAGCUUCUCCUUGCUGGCGGCCAUGGUUGCCUCCGCCACCGGACCGUCGCCGCCGCCGGUCACCGGCAACAUCUCCGGUCGUGAAAAAUUACCAAAAUCUAUUCCCCCACUCGAUUUUUCGCGUAGAUUCCAUUUUUUGGUUUAGUUUUAACAAAAAGUGACCUUAAAGUGGCCAAAAAAGCAAAAAACAGACCAGUUUUUAUUUUCUUCAAAUCACCCUAUCUUUCCCCAAAAAUCAUGAAAAUUAUACUACAACACCCUUACAACUCCUACAAUACAAAUAUGAUUUUAUUUUGACAAGAAAAUAAUAUAAAACGGCUAAAAUAAAGCAAAACAGCCCCUAAAAUUUAUUUAUUUUUUGUUGCCUUUUAUGCUACAAAAGUGACACAAAACUUAAUCAAACAACCUCCCCAAACCAUUAACUAGUCAUGAUUAUUCAUUUUUAGCCACAAUACAUGUACAAAAUUAGCAUUUAAUCGAAUUUUUAUCUUGGCAUUUUUUCAAACGGUUAAUAUGCAUGCAUAAGAAACAUUUCAUUUUCCUCAAUCUAGUUCAUGCCAUUUCCCAAUUGUUUAACAAUACAACAACAACAAUGCAAGGCAGCCAGCAGAAACGAAAGAAAACUAAACAAUGAAGCAUUGAUUUAAUAUAACAAAAACUAAAACUAUACCUCAAUAAAUAUGGAAAUCUUUCGAUUGAAGCUUUUUUGAUGAAGUUUCCAAGCCUUGACCGAUAGCUGUCCUCUUUUUGAUAUGCUUGACUUGCUAGUAGGUGUGUGUGUGAGAUUGAGAGGGGGAAAAAGAGAGAAGAACCGAGAGGGAUAGGGAAUUUUUCUUCUUCUUCUUUGUUUUCUUUUUUCUGCCCUAGUCCGAGAGAGGGAGAGAAUGGAGUGUUUCUUUUGUUGUGGCUUGUCUGAUGAUUUCAACUAAUGAAAAGACAAGUCCAUGGCCAUUGAGUGUGAAAUGGGUUAAUAGUGAUUUUGGUGAAACAAAAUGAUUAUGAUUUUUCUUUUUUUCUUUUUUCUUUCUUUUUUUGUUUUUGUUUUUGUUUUUGUUGUUUUUAUUUUUUUUCUAAACAAACUUGCAAAAAUAAGAAAAAUGCAUAUUAAAAUGCAAGAAAAUAAAUAAAUUACUAAAUAGAAAAAAUUCAAGAAAACAUUAAAAUUUUGACAAAAAUUUGGUGUCUACAACAAUGCCAGUGGAAUAUUGCACAACCGAGAAUCUCUUAACACAAUAAAUGCACCCGACACAUAGUGAACCUAAGUGAUAGACUUCACAGAUUUAUCCUCACACUCUCUCAAGCACAUGCAAUAACCACAAAAAAAGGGCAAAAUUUCACUCAAGUGCAUUACAUAAAAGUGCACUACCAUAAACUUGUAAAGAAUCUAACCCUUAGUCACCCCAAUACAUGCAUUACAUGAAUCAUAAGGACUUUGAAUUUGGUUACAAGAAGUUAACAUUUACGGUAAGAUAACAAGAAAAUCAAAGGCUAAUAAUCCUUGGAACUAGUAGAGCAUCUAAGCAAUUAUCCGCCAAAGGCAACUCCCUCAACUCUUUGCAAAGAAUAUUGAAUAAAUCACUCUUUAAAGCACCUCACAACCCAACCAAACAUAUCCUUACAGACACGGAAUCAUUGUUCAACCAUAAACCUUCCCAAUUGACAAAACAACACAACAAUUGCAAUAACGCCAAGGGAAAAACAAAUUUUCUUUUCUUUGCUUUUUUUCAUUUUUCAUUUUUUUGCCAAAAUUUUUUCCUUUUUUUCUCUUUUUUUUUGGUGAAAUCCUUAUUAAUCUUUAAACACAAUCCCCUUGAUUUGAAGCACUACAAUCCUACCCAAUAUCUCAACAUAAUAUGCCUUCAAUAACAAUACUUAACUCAACCACCACACCUCAACCCUUCAACAUAACAAUGCUCUACCAGUUACUAAAGACAGGAAAUAUUAGAAAGUUAAAUUGGUGAAAGGUAAACACAAAUACAAAACCAAGAAAGAGGGUCACAUUGCUCAAUGGCUUAGAACUAGGGUCAAAAUAAUGGGUUGGUAUAUUUACUCAAGUCAAAAUGGUUAAACAAAGAUGGUCCUAAUCACUGUCAUGUAUAUACAUUCCAAGAUAACUCCAAAAAGAUACUAAGCAAGUUGUAGAGUGACAAAUUUACGAACAACAUCACAUAACAAGAAAGAAUAGAUUGACAAUAAAACUCAAUCUUAAGGCCCAAACUCUGUGACGCCCCCACCUCUCCCUAAAACGAACCCUAGGGUAUCAACGGAACGCCUGCCUAACUCUUGUCAAGACUCACGCAUUCAUUCAAACUUAAUAAAGAACCACAAGUCAACCAUUGACUUAAUUAAGAAAUACUUCGAAUAUACAAGUCCAAAACUCCCAAGUAUACCAUUACAAUUACAAUCCAAAAUAUCCAAGUAUAACAAAAUUUACACUUUAAUGGUCUCCAAUAACAUACAAAAGUAUACUAGUUUCAACCAAAAGUCGCUAGUCUAGAAUCUCCAACUUCCAUCUCCAAGCCUGUUAAGGAAAACAAACUUAAAGGGAUGAGCUAAUGCUCAGUGAGGUCAAAAAAAUCAAGCAAGUAAGCAAGUAGCACCAAUUAAUCAAAUAGCAUUCUUGAGAGCAACUUUAACAUAAACUUUCAUUUAAGUGCACAAGUAAGAAAUAAAAACAUAUAGAAGGAUACAAGAGCUGUCAGAGCUAUUUCCACGUCUCGAUCGAUUCAAGCCAUCCGGGGUUGACUCUCCGUCAACUCAAGUAAUAAUAUGACCGUAGUGCUCCACUUACUUCCUCCAUCCAACAUAACACCCUCUUGGAUCCGGAACCAAACACGCAUGAAGUGGCAAUACUAAUCGAGUAUGCCAAGUAAGAUCUCAAAAGAUCAAGCUAUAAAAUUUCUCAUGGUUCACCAAGCUUCUCAACCAAUCCCUUGCCGGCUCGAAUUACGAGGUUAGCCAAUGGGUUGGGGCGUCCCCACAAGCAUGAUGGUUGUUGAGACAUCGCUCCAAUCGACUUAAAAUCGUUCAUAGCACUGAGUCAGGAUGAGUGGUACCUCCCACUCGAAUUGGGCGUGAUACAUUCUACCGCUCAGUGCUCACGAGUUAAAACAUUUCGAGUACAAGUGCAAGUCAUAUACAUUCAUUUAACAAGUAUCAUUCAAUCACAAGAGAGAGAGGACAAGGGCGAUAAAGUACACCCUCGCCUUGGCAAGUUCACAUAUCAUAUAGCACUUGUACAAAUAUCAUUUCAAUCACAUUAGCAUUGAACAUGCACUUGAUACUCACCACAAGUCAAGGGCAAAACAAGAGCAAAACGAGAAGUCAGACGAGCUCUUCGGCGUCCUCGUGACCACUUGAGACAUGCACAAUCACGAUUACUUAGGUACUUGACCAAGGUUAAUAAGAAAAUAUUUUCUCGCUACCCACUCUCAAGGUCACAAGUUCGAGUCAAGUUAAAGGAGUUUUUCUCGCUAAAUUAUUGAAAUAAUGCUCAAAGAGAACUCAAAGGUCAUUUUUUAUUUAAGUCAUGGUAAGUAAUCUUAAUUUCAAAAGAAAGUACCAUAUUCACUUUUGGCACGAAAAUCGAGAAAAAGGUAGAUGGUUUUCAUCUUUCAAAACUUCUAUUCUCAUGUCCAAACUUUAGAAUAUAAAGAGCGUUCACAUUUUCCAAACUAACGGAGUCAAAACUCAUCCAAAAUUUCACUCAUUUUCAUAGUAAAUAUCAAAGCUAAAGGUUCCAAGUUUCGAGUAUAAAACUAGUGAAAUUCUCCAAGAAUUACUCUAGUCCAAACGCUCCCUUUUUAAAGUUCAAACUCAUGGGAAUCGAGGGCAUAAGACUAGGGGUUGAAAUCCAUUUCUCAAGUAUGAAAAAAAAGUGCCAUUAACCAAGGAAGUUAGGCAACCAAGAAGAGUCAUCAAAAGAGAAUUAAUCCUUUGGAAACUAAAAUUCAAAAUGAAGGUUUAAAGUUCAAAGAGACCUUGUAUCCAACCAUGAAACUAAACUUAAAACGGUCCAACAAUCUCAAAGGAAGGUUGAAAGUGCUUAAACGAGUACUUUGUUUGAAACCAGAAAAUUUCCAACUUGGUGUGACACUACUUGAAAAAAUCAUAUCUUGAGUUUUAUAAGUCCAAAAAUUGGAAACUUUAUACCGUUGGAAACUAGAUUUAAUGCACUAAAACUCUCUAGAAGACACUUUUUCCAGAUUCCAAUUUAAAAUCAUUCAAAUUUUAGCUCAAAAUCACUGUUCCAGACAGGACAGGGCAAAACAGGCUUGCAAUUUCAGUAAAAUUUGGAAAUUCGGAAAAAUUCAUAGAAAUGGAAUCAGCCCUUGAAAUUUAUAUCACUAAUAGAAAUGCAAACCUAGUUUCAAAUUCAACAAACAAAACUCAAUUCAAACCUUUCUACACCAAGAUACAACGGUUUUAAGAAAACUGAUUUUUGGAACCUGAUUCACGGAAUUUCCAGUUCUGAAGUACUUGACAGAGUUUCAAAAUCUGGUCAUAACUAAAGCUACACAACUCAAAAUUUAUCAUGGUUUGUGGCGUUGAAAACUAGAUUCAAAAUGGUAAAAGUCAUUAGAAGGAACUAUCUUAAAAUUCAUUUUGCAAGAUAGGUGAAAUUGAGUUACAAAUUGCAGCUAUGCUUGCUUCUCGGAUGAAAACAGUGAGGAAAAUCAGUCAUCUUUGCCGGUUCACUACAGCUCAUAGGAGAUGUAUUUUAUAGCGUUGGAAAGCUCUCGGAAUCUAGUUUCAGAUGCCAGAAAUGGAACUUGAUUUCAACUCCCAGAAAAAAAGUUAUGGGCCAAAACGUGAAUACUGGUCGGGUCUCCUGAUCAGAAAAUUUUACAGAUUUGCAACCUCACUUUCCCCUACUUUAACUCAACCAAUUGUAAAGCUUUUUGGGAGAAACACCACAUAAACACCACCAUAUAACAAACAUUAUAGCACCAAAACAAGAACAAAAUUUGAAAUUAACAUGAGGGAUUCAACCAGCCAAAUUUUGGACAGCAAGCCUCUAUCAUUCUUCAAGUUUUCUUUUUAGCUUCCCAACUAAAACUAAGCCAUAAUUCCUCAAAACAAACACCAAACAAACAAGUAAACACACAAAAAUCCUCAAGGCCUCUACCUAUGAAACCACCUCAAGUCCUCUACCUAGUGUCAAAGUUCUUGUGAACCCAUCAACAACCCAAAGAUUAACUAGAUAUAACUAUCUAACUACUAUAAGUUGAGAGGAAAAGAUGAGAGCUUGGAGGGUUACCUUGCUUCCAAGAAUGAAGACAAACCACUAGUGUAUAAGCUCUUAAACCACCAAAGUUCCUUCCUCCUCCAAGUCACCCUUCAAGCUUGUGCAAUGAACCAAGAAAAGAAGCAAGUUUGGAGUGUCUUCUUGGAGCAAAAAGGGAAGAAAGCUAGCUGAAAUUUUUGGUAGAAAUGGGUGAAGGGAGAGCCGGCCAAGAAGGAGAGGAAGAAGAAAGGUUUUGUGUGGUUAGUGUCGCGCCCCACUUUUCGAAUCGAGUGUGUGAUGUUGUGUGUUGUGGUGUGUGGUGUAAGUGUGCGUGAUAUACAUGUGAACGUGUGCGAAAUGAAAAGCGAAAGGCCAUGGGACUUAGAAUGCGACGAUUUGGCCAAGUGAAGUUCAAAAGGGUUUUUUGUAUCAAAAAUGGAGUCGCCACUUGGUAUAGAGUUAGGGUGUACCAAGUCACCCAAAAAAUGAUUUUUAAAGACAAAGUAGUAAAACCCUUUUUAAAACGACUCCUAGUCCACGUAAGCCAAAGAAAAAGGUUCGGGGAUCACGUUUGACAAAGGGGAAGGCAAGGAUAGAAUCCAAGGCACCCCUUUGACCUAGCCAAGGCUAGUUGCGCGACUCAAGCCAAUUUUCCUAAACUUUUCUACCCAAGGUAUGUAUUGCAAGUUGGAUAUGACUAAUGGAUGAGAAAUGCAAUCCUAAAUCUAAGAAAUGUCUCUUAUGAGGCUUUUGGUCCCAUUCACAUGAAUUGUGACGGCCAAAUAAGGAAAGCCCUCAUAGAAAUCGCAAAUAAUGCAAAUGAAGACUCAAAUAUGUGCAAGUGUGAAAAAUGUAAGAAAAGUGCAUGUGUGCAAUUUGAGAAAAGUGUUUGUGUGCAAAUGGAUGAAAAUAUAAGUGCUCGUGUGUAAGUGAACGAAAAUAGUAAAUAUAAGUAAAAUGGGUGCAAUGUGUGAAAGGACAAAAUAAAGAAAGUGAAGAAGUGUGUGAUUAUGGCAUGUGGAUUUAAGAUAUAUAUUUAGUGAGAGAAAUAGUGAGAAAAUGAUAUGAAAAUGCAUGAACUUAGAGGAACGCAUCAGGUCGGGUACGGGGAUGACCUCUAUUUUUUUGUGAUUUCAAUUUUCCCUUUGAUUAGAAGGGAAAACUAGCGUGCUAAGGCUAUUUUGAAGCCACACUCGCUCGUUUCCCUUACCCAAGGGGGUUUUCACGCAAAUGAACCCUAUAACUAGCAUGAGAUGCAAGUCCUAAAGUGAAGGGGAAGGGGUUUGAGGAACAUACCAAAUGAUAAACUAAGGAAAAAUGCGUGAUAUGUGGUGAUCAUGCACUUCAUGAAAAAGGAAAAAAAUCUAUUGGGUCUAACAUUGGACUAGCCCCUCCUAUGAAUUCCGACUAGCGUUGGACUAGUGGAAACGAUAAAAGAAGCCACAACUAGCGUUGGACUAGUGCGGUGACGUACAUUCAUUCAUUCCAUUCAUCCACACUAUAAAAAGCGAGUAGACAUGCGAAUCACUUAUAAACACGUAGCACAUAACACUUAGCAUGCUUGACUAGAUGCAAAAUCCUAAUAAAGCAUUUAACAUAUAACACAUAGGCAUGCAACCAUUACAUUUGCUAACUAAAACAAAAGGGAAAGGGAAAAUGGACCAAAUUACUUGCUACGCCCUAUCUAUUACAAGCCAAGAGGUGUACACAUACCCCAUGAAUAAAUAAAAGAAAUACUUAAAAUGAAAGGAAUUAAAGCAAAUUUAAGAAAGCCAAGUAAACAUGUAAUUCUCAAUUAGCACAUUAGUCCACAUAGGAGAGAAACAAAAGGGGUAAAAGAGAUUAUACCUCCCCGUUGGUGAUACUAAGGAAGUAAACAAACUCAACUUGGCUAGAUUCAACCAAGAAAAGACUAACUUAGGCUAAAAUCACCAAAAACAAAAGAUUAAUGCACCAAUUUAGUGAUAAGAUAUAAACUAAACAAUUUGAAUCCAUCAAAACAUCAAACUUUCCCUCAAUUGCAACUCAAUGAAGUCAAAACUACUUAAAGACCAAGGCAAAAGGCAUGAUCAUCCGAUCCCUAAGCAUAACAUCUACUAAAGACCCAAAAGCAAGCACUACUCAAUCAUUUGAACCUAAUUGAAACCUUUAAAAACACAAAAAGUUCCCCAAGUAAAUAACAAGAUUCAAACAAACAUUAUGGAGUUUUGAAGGUCCAAGAGUGAACAAGGGUCCAUGAAUGAUUUAAACAUGCAUUUUGAAAACUCGAUAGCCACCAUUAAUCAACCAAAUAAAACUAAUUGAAAAAUUUAAAAGCUUCAAAAAUCCCAAAAAAACAAUGAAAGGCCAAAUGAUGACUCAAAGUACACCCACCUUAGGACCUAAUUGUAAAGAAAUGAGAACAUGCUUGGGCUUUUGUGGAACAUGGAGAAGCUUGAGGGACUAAAUUGAUUAAGUAUUCAAAUUACUUGGGCCAUAGUGAGCUAGGGGGGACUUGGGGGGUUCAAAGGCAAUUUUGAAACAAUUUCCAUGCAGGUUCAUGCAAGCUACGUGAGCAAACAUUCUGCAACCAAAACAAAUAUUUCUGCAGCCAAGAAACCAUCGCAACUUGCAUUCUCACGAACAGAUAUCAACCUCAACACUCAUUUUGAUCAAAAAUCUUUCAACCAAACAUUCAAAGUUAAUCUAAACAUCAUAACACACACAUUCAGAAAUCAAACAAACUCAAAUAUAGAAGAAAACUGAUGCAAAGACAGAAGGCAGCUCAUGCAUUCAGCAUAUUUUUCCAGCCGCAGCUUUUCUUUCCAUUUCAAUCGUGCAAACCAGAUUUAUAAUUCAAAUACAAAGCUUUGAUUAGAUAUUUCUCAAAACAACAUCUUAACUCUAACUAAUUAACAAGCUGCUUAACUUAACUCCAAACCAACAAGAACAACGAAGGAGCUAAUCAUCAAAGGUAGAAAGAAAACUAAGGUUGUGUUUGGAUUGCAUUUUCCGUGAUUUUUCAUGGAAAAAUUACUGUAGCGAUUUGAUAUAUGUGAGGAAAAAAGGUAAUAGGGAAAUGUGAUCACGGAAAACGACGUAAUUUUUCGACGGAAACGGGCAAUCCAAACAAAGCCUAAACAGCAAAAGAAUGAAAUAGAAAAAAAACGCAGCAAACUUUCUGCAAUUCGGCACUUUACAAAAUCCAGCUUUCAAACACAAUCAAAUCCAAACACAAGGCUUUAAACUAGGCAGCAAGCCAUCAUCCAAACAAAUAGAAAGAAAAACUGAGCAAAAUCCAGUGCAAACACAAAUAAAAUACGUUCAGCAAGUUGAAAAAUCUGGAACAUAUAAAACUGAUUUGGCAAGUUGAAAUGCAUUUUCCAGCAAGUGCUUGGGCAUGAAUCCGAAUUUACCUCGGUUGAAUCAUUGUGUUAAGUACCCAAAACUAACAUGCAAGGCUACUUAAUGAAAUUACUAUCAUUUCUAGUUCAGAUCAAAUUCGGACAGCUACUAUAAACAUCCACAAAUCCAGAAAUUCUGUUCACCAUUCUUGGAUGAACUUGCAUGUAGCCGCUCACUAUUUCAUUUUUUUUCUUGCUUAGCCGAACCAAUAAACUUCCUGCAAAGCUUAAUCAUCUAAUUUUAAUUAGUCAAACACCUAACCAAGUGAAAAUCAACCACUUUCCAGCAAAUUUCAUGCUAAAAUACCCAUGCAAUUUCCAAAACAACUUCAACGGCUAAACUGGAAAAAUUGUUUCAGCAAUCCAUCAAAUUCCAUUAAAAUUUCCAGCCAUGUAACCGAAAUUCAGACCACGUAGCUUACAUGCAACAUCAAAUAAGAAACUAUCUAUCAAUUUUGAUCCAUAAGCAAAUUCGGACAACAUCAAAACAUUACUCAACCAGAAUUCAAACAAUCCUGCUCCCGGUUGGCUUGCAUGCAACCUGAUUUUGUAUCUUUUCAAUUUUCUGACUUAAUCAAGGUUAACUACCUUCAUGCAAAUCUUAAUCAUCCAGGUUUUAGUUGAUUAAAUGUGCAUCUAGGCUCAGAUUAUCACAGAUUAGCUAAUUAGAGUUACAAAUUCCAGCUCAAACUUUCGGCAGCUCCAAUUCUUCCAAACCAGAUUUCUUAAGUCUCAAUUCCUCAUCUAACCUCACAAACCCACAUGCAUGCGUAUAGACAGCUGCGUCAACCCAUAAACAAUUCAUCUAAGUCCAGAAUUUACCUUGGCUUGAAGCCUAAAACCCACGACUAGCAGCUGCAAUCUUUUCUUCCUCUCGGCUAUCCAGAAAUGCCGCCUGCCAGCUCCUCCUCUCCCUUGCUCCAACUUGCGACUAGGAUGGAGGAGGCCUGGUUUUCAGACCCUUCACCAGCUCACGGGUACAAGGAUACAAAGCAGCAGGUUUCUUUUUUUUCUUUUUUUAGCUCACGGACAGGAAAAAAAGAAACAAAAGGCUCGGCUCUCUUUCAGUCGUUAAUUCCAAUGACACUGCUCUCUCCCUAGCUCACGGCAGCAAAUGGAAAUGGAUGUGUGUCCUCUAGAGAUCCGGAAGUGUUGUGGUAAUUAGUAGUUGAUAUAGUAGUGUGUGGUAGUGGAGAAAGAAACCGGCACUAAGGAUAGAAAAUACUAGAAUGUGAAGUGGAAAUGGAUUCGGCAGAAAUAGGAUUGUGAUUUUUUUGAUUGAUUUUUUUUAAUUAAUUAAAUAAAACUGAUAAUAAAAAUAGAUAACAAACAACAAAAACAACAAAAAAAAUUUAAUUAACAUUGGAUAGAAACUAAAUCUAAAUAAACUAGAAUCCACGAAAGCACAAUUUUCCAUUUUUCAUCAAUUUCCUCUUUUCUUUCCUUUUUUUUUUCACAAAUUUUACGUUAAAACUUAAAACUAAAACUAAGACUAAAACGUGAACAAAAUUAAUAUGACAAAUAAUUAGCAAAUAAAAGACAAAUAAAAAGGUAACAACUAAAAUGCAGAUAAUCUAAAACAAAAUCAUGAAUUAGAUGCAACAUACAAAUUAUUUAAAAAUUUGGUGUCUACAGUUUGCCCCUCUUUGUCUGAGUUUUGAAAAAACUUGAGACAAAGAAGUAGACACCAAAUACUUACCUGCGUUAUUCGGCUGCAAUGGACGCUUCUGAAAUGAGGAUCGACCUCUUUAACAUUUUUUUUUUUUGAUUUUUUUUUUUGAUUUUUUUUGAUUUUUUUGAUUUUUUUGAUUUUUUUGAUUUUUUUGAUUUUUUUGAUUUUUUUUGAUUUUUUUGAUUUUUUGAUUUUUUUUGAAAUGGGAUUGAUCCAAACAGGAAAGUAAAACGGGACUGACCCGAGCAGAAAUUUAAAAUUGGGACUGACUAGAGAAGGAAAUUCAAAUCAUGGGACUGGCCCGAACAAGCUUUAAUCGCGGGACUGACCCGAAUAAGCUUUGAAUCGUGGGACUGACCCGAAUAAUAUUUGAAUCAUGGGACUGACCCGAAUGAGCUUUUGAAUCGUGGGACUGACCCGAAUGAGCUUUUGAUCGAGGGACUGACCCGAAAAUGCUUUGAUCGAGGGACUGAGGGAUCUGACCCGAAAAUGCUUUUGAUCGAGGGACUGACCCGAAAAUGCUUUUGAUCGAGGGACUGACCCGAAAAUGCUUUUGAUCGAGGGACUGACCCGAAUGAGCUUUUGAUCGAGGGACUGACCCGAAAAUGUUUUUGAUCGAGGGACUGACCCGAAUGAGCUUUUGAUCGAGGGACUGACCCGAAAAUGCUUUUGACAAUCGGUCAGUGGGAUUAAACCCGAUCCUGCCGUGAUGAAAUUUGAUUCGAUUUUGGUUUUUGAUUGAUGAUUUUUGCUUCUUUUUGACUUUUGAAAAUCUUUACAAAAAAUUAAUUUGCCCCAGUAUGAUGAAUUUUUGCUAUUUGAGUCCAGAGUUGAUUCUGUAUCGCCAUGCUGUUGCAUUUUUGGAUGAAAUUUGCUUGCGACAUUUUCAAUCUGCCUUUGUUCAUUAGGACUCUUUCCGACACCGAUUUCAGUGCAAGGUGUGAUUGUUUUCAUCCAUGCAUGAAAUUUCCUGCAAAAGAGAAAAAACAAAGAAAUUGCCACCAUUAUUUGAUCCGUUUGUCCUUGAGAAUCGUGUAAACAUGAGUCUUUGGAUGCCUUCGUCAAAGUUGACCGUGGCAUCUGACUUGGUUGGAUUUGUCAUUUCUAAACGUCUCUGAUUUUUCCCGACUAACCAAGCGUGCAUUUUGCCACAUUGUGAAGCUUGCGUAACCGACCUUGCUGAAUUUCAACCAUUUUCGCAAGAUGACUGAACCCAAGUAUGCUUUGAAUAAACCAUGAGGUUAUCAUUCACCAAAAUUCGAUGAUUAAAAAGUAAUUUCACCUAUCAUGCAGAAAUGAAUAUGUGAAAGAACGCAAACACAAACCAUUUGUGCUUAAAGCCUACAAAAAUGCCAUGAAUACAAGCAAUUGAGAAAAAAUGAGCUUCCUAAGAAUGAAUUUGCUAAAGAAAUAUUUUUACAAAACGACACAGUUUUGGCCAACGGAUGUCAUAUUCGAGUCCCUGAAUAUCUUUGUUCUGCAAUUCGACACUGGCAGAAGUAUUAUGAAGAGAAAUUCCAAAUGAACCAAGUCAUCAACUGUUCUUCCUCGUGUUUGCUCAUUGAAGAAACCUACCUAGCGCCCUUUCGGGUUUUCACCAAGGUUGCCCCCACUUUUUUUUUUUUUUUUUUUUUUUUUUGAGGUGCACUCUCGGAUUUUCACCUACGGCAGCAAUGGAAGAGCUUGACCAUGAUCGACUCAGGAAGGUAAGUUGAAGAUUGCUGACAUCAGUAAAAUGCGCUUCUCUUAUAAACCUAAGCGAAGGCAUUAUGGACAUCACUUGCCAGUUGAUUAGCAAAUUUUCUUGAUAGAAAUACAGCAAGGGACGAAAGUCAGGACUUUUGUCUUUUGUAAUGAGGUCAGGUGGGAUGUUUCAAGAAAGGUUGAGGCCUGAAAGCAGGUAUGAUGAAAGGUGUGAAAUAACCUGAGAUUGCAUCAUUUUGAAAUCAUCUUCAAUUUCGAACGAAACUGAGGGAAAUUUGCCCCAGUUUGAUUGAAUUCUCUCUCUUUGCAUUUUUCAUUGCAUUUCCCUCACUUUUACAUUUUUCCUCAAAGCUAAAUUUGCCCUAGUGUGGGUUUUCUUGUCGUCUCUUUUCUUUUUUUUUUCUCUUUCAAAAAUAAAUUUGCCCCAGUGUGGGGUUUGCCUUGAUCAUUUUUCUUUUCUCUUUUUCUCUUUUCUUUUUUCAAAAUGAAUUUGCCCCAGUGUAGGGUUUGCAAUCCUCAGGGGCUGCCAAACGAAAAUUAUUGUUCUGAUAGCUCAAAAGGGGUGACUAGGGAUAAAAUGUUUCAAUUGGAAAGGAAGAUGGCCUGACUUUUGCCUCGUCUCUUGCUUGAUUUCCUAAAAGAAAUUUGCGUAAUCAAAUAAAGAAUUUCUUACACAUGUCCGAGUUGAUAGGUUGAGGGAAUGUCUGUCCUUCCAUCCCUCCUUUGAACACCCAAUAAGCUUUGUCAAUUUGAAGCAAAUUUGCCUUCGACUUCAUCUUUCAUCGCUUUAGCACUUUGUUUCCUUUUUCAGAAGAUCGGUGGCAGAUCCUUUUGUUAUGAACAUAGGCCAUGAAUUUUGACAAAAUUAGUCAUGGUAUAUAGCAUUCAACUGCUUUCCAUUAAUCAGAAUCAAUCGUUAAUGAUACUGCUUUAACCAAUCAACUUUCAACCUGGCUGGAAAGGGAUUUUCUCAAAUGAAGGGAUUUAUCAAUGAAGGAAUUUCCAAAUGAAAGGAUUUUUCCAGUGAAGGGAUUCAUCAAUGAAGGGAUUUUUCCAGUGAAGCGAUUUUCAAUGAAGGGAUUUUUCAAUGGUUUUCCUCAAUGAAAGCUUUCUCAAUGAAGGAUUUCUCAAUGAAGGCAUUCUCAAUGAGGGCUUUUUAAUGGAGGAAUUUCCAAUAAAAGGUUUCAUCAAAUUCCAGAACAGUGAUAUUCAAAGAGUCAAAUAACCUCACCUUUGGCCCUCUCAAAAAUCAGAAUCAUAACCAGACAAACAAACAAUCAAAAUGAGCAUUUCAUGAAACUCCAAAUCAAAGCAGAAACAAAACAAAACUUGAUUGCAAAAAAAACGCUUUCAUGAAACUAUUUACAUAUGCAAGAAAAAGUCUUCGUGAACUUUAGUAAAUGACAACCCCUAAAUUUAUCGAAAUUCCCUUUGUGAGGGAAGAUAGUUAGCCAUCCAAAUUGCGCAGAAUUCCUUCAGGAUUUUCAAAUUUCGUCAUUUGUAGUGGAUGCUUCAAAAGUGUCCUUGUGUUCAGGGAAAGGAUUUGUACUUAUGCUCGGCCCUUGUUCACCUCUUUUCUUUAGCAAUAUUUCCCCUGCCUCGAUCAUGUCUUGGAUUUUGUGCUUAAGUGCCCUGCAAUCGGCGGUUGAGUGGCCAGGUACUCCCGAAUGAUAGGCACAAAUAGCAUGUGGAUUGUACCCAGCAGGCAUGCCAUGAAGGUAAAUUGGAGGGGGAAUCACGCCUAUUUUGUUGGCAACCUUCAAUUGCUCAUACAAUUGGUCCAAAGGCCUGCCUAGGUUGGUGAAGGUUCGGGUACGGCUUUGAUUGUAAGUUUCAGUGGGUCGGGGAUAGUUGUAGGUGGGUCUAUUUGGUGGGGGAAAUCUUUGGUGGUAAGGAGGCCGAGGACGAGCUUGUUGAAAGCUUGGUUGAGAUAUUUGGAAAGGGGUUGUAGGCGGGUUGGCAUAAUUUGGGCGAGGUCGAGGAUGAGUGAUAUUGGUGUGGUAAACAGGAUGAGGAUUUGAGUAGUAGGAGUAAGGGUUUGAGUAGGUAGGGUAUUGUCGAGGUCUGGGUCUUGGGACAGGGUUUCGAUCCCAGACAAAAGCAGUUUCCCCCUCUUGCUUUUUGAAUUGCUGCUUCUUUCCAUUACUACCUUGGCUUUGCAAAGCUUCCACUUGAGUUUUCAGGGUAGACACAUUAACAAUCUUUCCAGCCUUUACGAAAUCAUCAUACUCCUCAAGUUUAUUGACAAUGGCGGCGAACGAGCAUCCAGUCAUGCGGAAAAUUUCUUCAAAAUACGGGGGAUCAUGUGCUUUAAUGAAAGUGCGUAUGAUUUCGUCCUCAGUCAUCGGUGGCUCGACUUUGGCAGCUAUUUUCCUCCACCUCUUGGCAUAAGUCUUGUGAUCCUCGGAGGGUUUUCUUUUUGUUCCUUCCAACGUGGUUCGUGUCGAAACCAGCUCGCAGUUAUACUCAUAUUGCCUUACAAAAGCAUUGGACAAGUCAAUCCAGGUUUUUACUUCUUCGGACUUCAAAUUUGAGUACCAGUCGAGGGCAUCCCCCUCCAGACUUUCCGGGAACAACCUUAGAGGCAGGUUCUCGUCGUCUACAGGCUUUACCAACUUGUUAGCAAAUAGUCGGAGGUGUGUCUUGGGAUUACCCGUCCCAUCGUACUUGUUAAACUUAGGGGUUUUGAACCCCUCGGGCAAUUGCAUAUUGGGAAAGAGACAAAGCUCAUCGUAGUCCAGGACUCCUUGCUUGUUCAACCCCUGACUCUUCCUCAUAAACUCAUCAAAAUGAUCAAGGCGUUUGAGCAGCUUUAUAUCAACGGGAGCAGAAGAUUCCCCCAUUUCUGCCUUGGUUUGAACAAUAUGGUCUGGUAGGAAUGGCUCAGCAACAGGGUGAUAAAAGGUAUGUGGCUCAGGUGGUACAUUUGAAAUGAUUUGGGGUGGUGGACCUCGCGUGUGAGUAAGAAAAAAUGAAGGAUGAGGAGGGUAAGUGUAUGGCAAAUUUGUGGUGGGAUAGGUGAAAGUUUCUUCGGGUGCAAUAGGAAAUGAUGGAGUAACAGUGGUAUGGGCCGAAGGUAGGACAAACGGCUCUUGCUCAGGCUGUCUGGCGGGUACAGGUUCGGGUUGAACCCCGCUGCUAAUUAGCUCAUCAUUCAACUUCCUUUGGGCGGCCAUCUCAGACGCCAUCUCUCCAAACUUGGUAAGCAUCUCAGUCAACUGAAUCCCCAAACUUGCAGUCUCGGGUUGAGCGGUAAUAGCAGACCUAUCUGACUGUUCCGGUUGAGAACUCAUGUUUACACGACUCCUCUGGGCUUGACUACGGGAUCGCGUUAUGAUGGGGCUUCGACGAGAAGCUAUAUUUAAAUAUUACCUGAGAAAUUUUGAAAGAUUGCCUUUAGAUUUAACCCUCGCUUAGUUAUUCCAAUAAAAACAAAGAAAAAGAAAAGAAAAAACAAGAGUUAGUAGAUAUUCAGAAAAUUCGGAUGCAUGUCCUAUGGGGGAACCCUUUUGUGCCAAGGGUAGGCCUAGCAUGAAAACGCAGUCCUCCAGAGCAGGCACUAUACAAUACCUGAUGGAUCCGAUCGACUGAUCGUGUGAGGAAUGAUUUGAAAAUUUUGGCCACUUGGAGUGAGAAGAGACAUUUGCCCUAAAACAUGAGGACGAAGUCGGAACGGAUUGCUUGCUUUGAUCUACACAUAAAAUGAUUUGUGAAAGGGAUUGCCAUGUCUCGAUUAAUUUAUUCAAUGAACCCUAAAGGGGAAAAAGCGAGUCAAAUGGAUAAAAUUGGUGAUUUAUUCAAAAUCGACCGAUUUACCUAAAAAUAGGUAAGCCGGAUAACAUUGACGAUUUAUUCAAAAUUGAUCGAAUAGAUAGACUUGGUCAACUGAAUUGAAUGAAAUUGAUGAUCUCUUCAAAAUCAACUUGAUUUCGCCCUAAAAUGGGUAAAUUGGCCAAAGAGAUGAAAUGGAGUUAAUGAUUUAUUUUAAAAAUCGGCCAAAUCCCUAAAAGGGUGAAUUGGUCAAAUGAAUUGAUGAUUUAUUCAAAAAUCGACCGGAUGACCCUAAAAAGGGUAAAUUGGUCAAAUGAAUUGAUUUAUUCAAAAAUUUACCGGAUGACCCUAAAAAAGGGUAAAUUGGUCAAAUGAAUUGGAUGAAAUGAAUUUACUAAAAUUGAAUGAAUUGACAAAAAUGGAUUGGAUAAAAUGGAUGAUUUGUUCAAAAAUCGAUUGAGUUCUCUACCCAUUGGGUAGUUUCAAGAAAUCAUUACAAUGCCUUAGUCUAUGAGCCUCCUAAAAUCAAGAUUUGGCCUCCAUUGAUUUAUCGUCUCAAUAGUGAAGAAUUAUUUGGGUUUCUUCAAAUUAAUGUCCUUUACGCAAGGGAUUUUACCAAUUUUGAUAAAAUGGCCAAAAAGUGAUUAUUAGACGCUCAUAUUCCAAAAAAUUGCUUCAUGAAAAUGAUCGGAUCUUUACCUUACCUUGUGCACUACCCCUUCGGACGGUACGAGAAAGGUAAACGUGCAAGUCUCAUUUGGAUUAUAUAUCCGAGACAUGGGGUGGUUUAUUCCUAACACGGGAUCCCCUAAAUGGCAUUCCCUUUCUAGGGUUUAUGCAUGAUGCCAGUUUAUUAAAGCUAUGUAAAUAUGUGACAAACAUGAAAUGUGAGCUAAAGGACAUAAAUAAUGCAACGGGGGGAAAAGGUCUAAACAUGAAAUGUAUUUACUGGAAAGUAAGUGCAAAGACUGAAAUUUAGACAUGUGAGCUAUCUAGUGGGUGAGUCACUAAAAGAGUGCCCAAGAGGCCUCUUAUUGCUAAGGCACAUGAAUGCAAACCAAGAAAACAAAAGAAAUGGUUAGUGCAGUUGAUAGUACACAUAACACAUUGGGAGCAAUUAAAAAAAGAAAUACAAUAAAGCAGGUAAAAGGGGUGGAACCCCUUCCCUCGUGCCUAAUGUGCUUAAAAGAGGGUGAGGCUGACUCUAUCCUAGGAAAAUUCUAUAAUGGAUGCAUGAGGCUGGGGUUCGCUAAUGCGACUAGACUCGAUAAGGCUUCGGCUCCCAAGCCUUCAGACCUAAAGGCGAAGGGUCAUCACUCCCAGGGCCUUCGAUCGGUGGCUCGAGUGAUCCCUUAGGUAGCGCUAUGGGCGCAGAGCACACCAGCCGCCUACCCAAGGCAAUCGAUCCUAAUCCUACAAGGCGGUGUGGGAAACGCCCACGAAAAAUAAAAUAAAAUGGGAUAAAAGCAAGUAAACGUGCACGUAUGAAGUGUUCCCCUAUUUUGAGGGAAGGGGUUGAGAACCACGCGGGGCUCUAAAGGUGACACACACCCCCCCCAAAUGCAAUGCAAGCGCGAGAUAAACAAGUAAACAUACAUCCAAUCAACCAAUCACACAUUCGUGAGUGAGGGAAAAGUUUGAUACGCGCGCGAGGCAACAGGCCCUAAAAAUGGAAAAUGCAAACCUAAUAUCCAAGUGCAAUGCAUAAAAAGGGUAGAAAAGGAAACGAAUGGCUAAGUCAAAUGCUUGGACCCACUUAGGAAGUCCCCAGUGGAGUCGCCAACUGUCGCGCCCCACUUUUCGAAUCGAGUGUGUGAUGUUGUGUGUUGUGGUGUGUGGUGUAAGUGUGCGUGAUAUACAUGUGAACGUGUGCGAAAUGAAAAGCGAAAGGCCAUGGGACUUAGAAUGCGACGAUUUGGCCAAGUGAAGUUCAAAAGGGUUUUUUGUAUCAAAAAUGGAGUCGCCACUUGGUAUAGAGUUAGGGUGUACCAAGUCACCCAAAAAAUGAUUUUUAAAGACAAAGUAGUAAAACCCUUUUUAAAACGACUCCUAGUCCACGUAAGCCAAAGAAAAAGGUUCGGGGAUCACGUUUGACAAAGGGGAAGGCAAGGAUAGAAUCCAAGGCACCCCUUUGACCUAGCCAAGGCUAGUUGCGCGACUCAAGCCAAUUUUCCUAAACUUUUCUACCCAAGGUAUGUAUUGCAAGUUGGAUAUGACUAAUGGAUGAGAAAUGCAAUCCUAAAUCUAAGAAAUGUCUCUUAUGAGGCUUUUGGUCCCAUUCACAUGAAUUGUGACGGCCAAAUAAGGAAAGCCCUCAUAGAAAUCGCAAAUAAUGCAAAUGAAGACUCAAAUAUGUGCAAGUGUGAAAAAUGUAAGAAAAGUGCAUGUGUGCAAUUUGAGAAAAGUGUUUGUGUGCAAAUGGAUGAAAAUAUAAGUGCUCGUGUGUAAGUGAACGAAAAUAGUAAAUAUAAGUAAAAUGGGUGCAAUGUGUGAAAGGACAAAAUAAAGAAAGUGAAGAAGUGUGUGAUUAUGGCAUGUGGAUUUAAGAUAUAUAUUUAGUGAGAGAAAUAGUGAGAAAAUGAUAUGAAAAUGCAUGAACUUAGAGGAACGCAUCAGGUCGGGUACGGGGAUGACCUCUAUUUUUUUGUGAUUUCAAUUUUCCCUUUGAUUAGAAGGGAAAACUAGCGUGCUAAGGCUAUUUUGAAGCCACACUCGCUCGUUUCCCUUACCCAAGGGGGUUUUCACGCAAAUGAACCCUAUAACUAGCAUGAGAUGCAAGUCCUAAAGUGAAGGGGAAGGGGUUUGAGGAACAUACCAAAUGAUAAACUAAGGAAAAAUGCGUGAUAUGUGGUGAUCAUGCACUUCAUGAAAAAGGAAAAAAAUCUAUUGGGUCUAACAUUGGACUAGCCCCUCCUAUGAAUUCCGACUAGCGUUGGACUAGUGGAAACGAUAAAAGAAGCCACAACUAGCGUUGGACUAGUGCGGUGACGUACAUUCAUUCAUUCCAUUCAUCCACACUAUAAAAAGCGAGUAGACAUGCGAAUCACUUAUAAACACGUAGCACAUAACACUUAGCAUGCUUGACUAGAUGCAAAAUCCUAAUAAAGCAUUUAACAUAUAACACAUAGGCAUGCAACCAUUACAUUUGCUAACUAAAACAAAAGGGAAAGGGAAAAUGGACCAAAUUACUUGCUACGCCCUAUCUAUUACAAGCCAAGAGGUGUACACAUACCCCAUGAAUAAAUAAAAGAAAUACUUAAAAUGAAAGGAAUUAAAGCAAAUUUAAGAAAGCCAAGUAAACAUGUAAUUCUCAAUUAGCACAUUAGUCCACAUAGGAGAGAAACAAAAGGGGUAAAAGAGAUUAUACCUCCCCGUUGGUGAUACUAAGGAAGUAAACAAACUCAACUUGGCUAGAUUCAACCAAGAAAAGACUAACUUAGGCUAAAAUCACCAAAAACAAAAGAUUAAUGCACCAAUUUAGUGAUAAGAUAUAAACUAAACAAUUUGAAUCCAUCAAAACAUCAAACUUUCCCUCAAUUGCAACUCAAUGAAGUCAAAACUACUUAAAGACCAAGGCAAAAGGCAUGAUCAUCCGAUCCCUAAGCAUAACAUCUACUAAAGACCCAAAAGCAAGCACUACUCAAUCAUUUGAACCUAAUUGAAACCUUUAAAAACACAAAAAGUUCCCCAAGUAAAUAACAAGAUUCAAACAAACAUUAUGGAGUUUUGAAGGUCCAAGAGUGAACAAGGGUCCAUGAAUGAUUUAAACAUGCAUUUUGAAAACUCGAUAGCGACCAUUAAUCAACCAAAUAAAACUAAUUGAAAAAUUUAAAAGCUUCAAAAAUCCCAAAAAAACAAUGAAAGGCCAAAUGAUGACUCAAAGUACACCCACCUUAGGACCUAAUUGUAAAGAAAUGAGAACAUGCUUGGGCUUUUGUGGAACAUGGAGAAGCUUGAGGGACUAAAUUGAUUAAGUAUUCAAAUUACUUGGGCCAUAGUGAGCUAGGGGGGACUUGGGGGGUUCAAAGGCAAUUUUGAAACAAUUUCCAUGCAGGUUCAUGCAAGCUACGUGAGCAAACAUUCUGCAACCAAAACAAAUAUUUCUGCAGCCAAGAAACCAUCGCAACUUGCAUUCUCACGAACAGAUAUCAACCUCAACACUCAUUUUGAUCAAAAAUCUUUCAACCAAACAUUCAAAGUUAAUCUAAACAUCAUAACACACACAUUCAGAAAUCAAACAAACUCAAAUAUAGAAGAAAACUGAUGCAAAGACAGAAGGCAGCUCAUGCAUUCAGCAUAUUUUUCCAGCCGCAGCUUUUCUUUCCAUUUCAAUCGUGCAAACCAGAUUUAUAAUUCAAAUACAAAGCUUUGAUUAGAUAUUUCUCAAAACAACAUCUUAACUCUAACUAAUUAACAAGCUGCUUAACUUAACUCCAAACCAACAAGAACAACGAAGGAGCUAAUCAUCAAAGGUAGAAAGAAAACUAAGGUUGUGUUUGGAUUGCAUUUUCCGUGAUUUUUCAUGGAAAAAUUACUGUAGCGAUUUGAUAUAUGUGAGGAAAAAAGGUAAUAGGGAAAUGUGAUCACGGAAAACGACGUAAUUUUUCGACGGAAACGGGCAAUCCAAACAAAGCCUAAACAGCAAAAGAAUGAAAUAGAAAAAAAACGCAGCAAACUUUCUGCAAUUCGGCACUUUACAAAAUCCAGCUUUCAAACACAAUCAAAUCCAAACACAAGGCUUUAAACUAGGCAGCAAGCCAUCAUCCAAACAAAUAGAAAGAAAAACUGAGCAAAAUCCAGUGCAAACACAAAUAAAAUACGUUCAGCAAGUUGAAAAAUCUGGAACAUAUAAAACUGAUUUGGCAAGUUGAAAUGCAUUUUCCAGCAAGUGCUUGGGCAUGAAUCCGAAUUUACCUCGGUUGAAUCAUUGUGUUAAGUACCCAAAACUAACAUGCAAGGCUACUUAAUGAAAUUACUAUCAUUUCUAGUUCAGAUCAAAUUCGGACAGCUACUAUAAACAUCCACAAAUCCAGAAAUUCUGUUCACCAUUCUUGGAUGAACUUGCAUGUAGCCGCUCACUAUUUCAUUUUUUUUCUUGCUUAGCCGAACCAAUAAACUUCCUGCAAAGCUUAAUCAUCUAAUUUUAAUUAGUCAAACACCUAACCAAGUGAAAAUCAACCACUUUCCAGCAAAUUUCAUGCUAAAAUACCCAUGCAAUUUCCAAAACAACUUCAACGGCUAAACUGGAAAAAUUGUUUCAGCAAUCCAUCAAAUUCCAUUAAAAUUUCCAGCCAUGUAACCGAAAUUCAGACCACGUAGCUUACAUGCAACAUCAAAUAAGAAACUAUCUAUCAAUUUUGAUCCAUAAGCAAAUUCGGACAACAUCAAAACAUUACUCAACCAGAAUUCAAACAAUCCUGCUCCCGGUUGGCUUGCAUGCAACCUGAUUUUGUAUCUUUUCAAUUUUCUGACUUAAUCAAGGUUAACUACCUUCAUGCAAAUCUUAAUCAUCCAGGUUUUAGUUGAUUAAAUGUGCAUCUAGGCUCAGAUUAUCACAGAUUAGCUAAUUAGAGUUACAAAUUCCAGCUCAAACUUUCGGCAGCUCCAAUUCUUCCAAACCAGAUUUCUUAAGUCUCAAUUCCUCAUCUAACCUCACAAACCCACAUGCAUGCGUAUAGACAGCUGCGUCAACCCAUAAACAAUUCAUCUAAGUCCAGAAUUUACCUUGGCUUGAAGCCUAAAACCCACGACUAGCAGCUGCAAUCUUUUCUUCCUCUCGGCUAUCCAGAAAUGCCGCCUGCCAGCUCCUCCUCUCCCUUGCUCCAACUUGCGACUAGGAUGGAGGAGGCCUGGUUUUCAGACCCUUCACCAGCUCACGGGUACAAGGAUACAAAGCAGCAGGUUUCUUUUUUUUCUUUUUUUAGCUCACGGACAGGAAAAAAAGAAACAAAAGGCUCGGCUCUCUUUCAGUCGUUAAUUCCAAUGACACUGCUCUCUCCCUAGCUCACGGCAGCAAAUGGAAAUGGAUGUGUGUCCUCUAGAGAUCCGGAAGUGUUGUGGUAAUUAGUAGUUGAUAUAGUAGUGUGUGGUAGUGGAGAAAGAAACCGGCACUAAGGAUAGAAAAUACUAGAAUGUGAAGUGGAAAUGGAUUCGGCAGAAAUAGGAUUGUGAUUUUUUUGAUUGAUUUUUUUUUAAUUAAUUAAAUAAAACUGAUAAUAAAAAUAGAUAACAAACAACAAAAACAACAAAAAAAAUUUAAUUAACAUUGGAUAGAAACUAAAUCUAAAUAAACUAGAAUCCACGAAAGCACAAUUUUCCAUUUUUCAUCAAUUUCCUCUUUUCUUUCCUUUUUUUUUUCACAAAUUUUACGUUAAAACUUAAAACUAAAACUAAGACUAAAACGUGAACAAAAUUAAUAUGACAAAUAAUUAGCAAAUAAAAGACAAAUAAAAAGGUAACAACUAAAAUGCAGAUAAUCUAAAACAAAAUCAUGAAUUAGAUGCAACAUACAAAUUAUUUAAAAAUUUGGUGUCUACAGUUAGUUGGUGAUUUGAUGGAGUGAAAGGAAGAAUGGCAUAAAGGUGCUUUGGUACCCAAAAAUCAACAAUUGAAUAGUGAGCAAUUAGUGCUCCUAAUUGAGCUUAAUUUAACGCACUCACCUCUAAUCCCUCAAUUAACUUUUCUUAGUCUACUAUUGAUCAUCCUUAAUUCUCCAAGAUUAAUGCACUCUCAGACCGAACUUUACCUCGAAAAACGUAUAAUCGCUAUUUCUUACUAAACGAGUUGCAGAAAAAUCAAUUUUACUAGCGAAACAUUUUAAAAUGUAAAAUGAGACAUUGUUCCAUGCAAAUGAAAUUAAAAUGGAUGAAAUAAAUUAAUUGGAGUAAACGAAUAAAUAAAUAAUUAAAUAAGCCAGUAAAAUAAAAUAAAAGUAAGUAAGAUAAAAAUUCGGAUCCUCACAAACUCACAAGGGUAUCAUUUAUCACACUAGGCCAACCCUAGAGUAGAAACAUCCAUUGCAUCAAUUAACUCAAGAUUUCAAAAUAUCACCACAACAUUGUGCCAGGCAUUAGACAUGAUUGUUACAUUAUUUUGACAACUUUAAAUAACCAAAAAAAUAAAUAACAUAAAUGACACAACUAAAGGAACAUAACAAACUCCACCAAACUUCCACCCACACCUAAAGGAAGCAUUGUACUCAAUGAUUUAGGCAAAAAAAUGGUAUACUCACCUAAGAAAACUGUCAAGAGACAUGGCCAUGAGAAGUUGGCGUAAAGAAAACAUACUAACACAUAAACCUAAUAAGACUAGAAGAAAAGAUAACAGUGUAAGUACUAUCACAAGAAAUCUCUAGACAAAGAAAAGAAAUAAAAAAUAUGAUAAAAAGAAAGAAAGGGAAAAAAACUAUGGUUGAAGAGGAGGCUGCCAUUGUUGACUCCACUCAUCCAAUCGAGUCUCCAAAUGCUACAUCCAUGCAUCACAACUAAUCACAUGCUUCUCCUAAUGAUGUAAAGUUUAAGUAUUAGCUUGAACAUCAAGACACAAACCCUGCAACAUGUCUAGCAUGGCAUGAGUCGAAAUGAAGAAACACCAGAGCUACUAGCAGGAACAUGAGGCCAAACACUAGGAACUACUUCACUAUCCACCUCUAAUGCAAGAAGUUCAUCUGAAUCAGUAGAAGAAAUCUUCCGUACUGCUGAUAAUCAUCCUAAAAUGACUUUCACACUCUCAUUUGGUCCUAAUGGAUAGUAAUUUGUGUUUCUCUAAACACCACCAAUAGGUUCAUAGUUAACCUUAGCAAUGGGGUCAGAGAAACAUGCUCUGUAGGUGAGACAUUGAUAUACUCUUCCCCCAUGAGAUCCACUUCACAUGCUUAGAAAAUACAAACAAGCCUCACACCCAAUUUCCCCCAUGUGACUAAGUCCGAACCUGUGUAUAGCUAUAAAGGCAUCCCAGUUCACAUCAUUCAUAGCAGAAUAUCUUUUCAUUGCAAAAUCAGGCUAGUGUUAAAUACUUGCAACCAAUCAAUUAAGCGAUCCUGAGUAACGUCUAUUCAAACACCCUUCACAUAACUUCAAUAGAAGGAGGUUCUCGAGACUGCUUAUCAUGAAUAUUAGUGUAAAACUAUCGAACAAGGUGAGGAUAAUAAAUAGACAACAAAUCUAGAAUAGGUUCCUACAUGAAGAAGAAUAUGGAAAUUUGCCUCAAUUUCAUGGCCUAGAGUCUUUUUUGCCAUUACUUUAUUACCAAUGUGGGUUUGAUACCACUGUUCGCAUUCCUUAGUUAAGAAUCGAAAAUUGUCAAAUUGAGAAACCUGAUUACCCCUAACUCUCUAGGUGGAACAGGUGCAUCACUAGAUUUUAUGCUUCUUAGGGGCAAAUUGCAAGUAAAGCCAGGCAAUCACACGCUCCUCCAAAUGAUAAAAAGCUUGAGUAUUAACUUGAACAUCAAAAUGCAAACCUUGCAACAUGUCUAGCAUGGCAUGAGUCAAUGAUGAAGAAACAGUAGAGCUGCUAGUAGGAACAUGAGGUCGGGCACCAAGAGUUGCUUCACUACCUUCUUUGGAUGCAUGGAAAUCAUCUGAAUCAGUAGAAGAAACCUUCCUUGCUGCUUAUGAUUGUCCUAGAAUGACAUCCACAAACUCAUUUGGUCCUAAUGGAUAGCAAUCUGUGUUUCUCUAAACACUACCAACAGAUUCAUAGUUGAGCUUAGCAAGUGUGAUCAGAGAAACAUGCUCUGCAGUUAAGCUUGAUAUACUUUUCCCCUAUGAGAUCCACUUCACAUGCUCGAAAAAUACAAUUAAAGGCAUGAGCAUGACCAAAUACCUACAACUUUCGUAAAGUUCUACAAGUAUGUUGCAUCUCCCCAAUGAUAAUAGAAGCAAGUGGAAUACCAUAUAUAUAUGGACCAUAGUAUGGCUCCAUCUUAUCAAUGAAGUACAUAUCACUAAAACGAAGGGCAUGCUUAUUACUCUCCUUAGGCAGGAGAUUAUGACAAAUGAAGUAAAACAAAAGACACCUCUUAAUAUUGAGAACCUUGACCAAAUAAGUCUUAUGACCGAUUUUUCCAGUAUGACUAACCUUGAGCCUAUGUAUAGCUACAGAGGCAUCCCAGUUCACAUCAUUCAUAGCAGAAUAUUUUUUUAUUGCAAAAUUAGGGCUAGUUUAGAUACCUACAACUAAUCAGCUAAGUGAUCCUGAAUAACCUUUUUUCGAAUACCUUUCAUAUAACUUUCAAUAGAACGAGAUUCUCGGAAUUGUUUAUCAAUAAUAUUAGCGUAACAUUGUCGAACAAGUUGAGGAUAGUAAACAGAUGGUAAAUCUAGAAUAGGUUCCCACCCCAAGGAGCGAAAAGAUUCUCUAAUGUGGAAAAUUGCCUCAAUUACAUGGUCUAGAGCCUUUUCUGCCAUCACUUUAACAUUAAUGCGGGUUCGAUACCACUAUUCACGUUCCUCAUUUAAGAAUAAAAAAUUGUCAAAUUGAGCAAUAUGAUUACCCCUAACUCUCUUACGUGGAAUAGGUGUAUCACUAGAUUGUUAUGGACCAGAAACCAGAGAAGCCAGAGUCCCUUUGCAGGAACUAGGGAGAAUGAAUCCAAUUGGAUGAAUCAAUAAACAAUGAAUCAAUAGAAUAAUUUGCUGUAAGAAUCUGAACUUUAUUAAUCAAAUUCUGAUGACAAUUUCAAGAACAGAAAUGGCGGUAAAAGCUAAGAAGGGGAAAGAAUUGAAGGAAAAUUGGGAGGGAAGCUGAGGAUUGCUCCUCAAGCCAAUACAGAUGAAUCCGUAAGAAUGAUUUCAAAAAAACUACCUCACAGAGCAGACAUGCCUGCUCUUUAAUACUAACAAAUCCUAACUAAUUCUAGCUAGACCACUGAGGGCGCUACACGUGUCUCAAGCAUCUGCAAGUUGCUGCGCGUUUUGAAUUUCUGUUAUGAAGGCUGAAACCCAGGAAAGGCGUGGUUCUUGGUUCACGCCUUUGAUGACUUCUGGUCCAGUGAUCACGCUUUCUUCUGCUGAUCUUCACGCCUUCAUUGUUUCAAUUAGCUGGUUCCUGCCCCUGUCCUUAGAUAAGCUUUCCAUUCCAUUACAAUACCUCCCCCUCGUAGCAAACCUUGUCCUCAAGGUUGAAAUUGAGGAAACUUCUCUCUGAUCGUCACAGCAUCCUCCCAAGUUGCAUCUGCAGGUUCAGUUCCCCACCAUUGUAUUAGCCAUUGUGAAACAGCAGCAUUCCCUCUUUUGAUCAUUCUCCUACCAAGCAAAGUUUCUGGUUCAACUCUGAACAGUCCCCUUUCGUCAGUAUCUGGAAGCUGUAAGAUAGGUGUGGUCCUGUCUCCUAGUUUCCUUUUCAACAAGGAGACAUGGAACACAGGGUGUACCCUGGACUCAGUAGGUAAUUUAAGCUUAUAGGCCACCUUACCAAUUUUCUCCUUAAUGAGGUAGGGGCCAAAAUAUUUAGCAGAUAGCUUGGUGUUACUCCUCAUCAUUACUGUCGACUGCCUGUAAGGUUGUAACCUUAAGUAGACCCAAUCACCUACCUGGAAUUCUCUCUCACUCCUGUGUUCAUCAGCAUAUUUUUUCAUCCUUUCUUGAGCAGCCUUCAGAUUAUGUUGUAGCAGCUCGUCCAUCUGCUUUCUGUCCCUUAAGUAAUCACCCACUGUUGCCACCUUAGCUUGCUCAUAGGGGCCUAAGGCUAGUUGAGGGGGUUUAGAUCCAUAUAAGGCCUCAAAAGGGGUCAUCCGGAUGGCAGUAUGGUAGGUAGUAUUGUACCACCAUUCUGCCAAUGACAGCCAAGUGUUCCAUCUUUUAGGCUCCAAGUGGGACAUACACCUGAGGUACAUUUCCAAGACUUGGUUGACCCUUUCUGUUUGGCCAUCUGUCUGUGGAUGGUAAGCAGUGCUCAUGUCCAACCUUACUCCUUGUAAUGUGAACAAUUCAGUCCAGAAAUGACUGAUGAAGACUUUGUCCCUAUCUGAGACUAUGCUUUGGGGCAUGCCAUGCAGUUUGCUGAUAUGGUCUAAGAAAAGUCGAGCUACCUUAGAAGCAUCAAAAGGAUGAGUGAGGCCCAGGAAAUGGGCAUAUUUGGUGAACCUGUCCACCACCACUAUGAUGGUGUCCUUCCCCUCUGAUUUAGGCAGUCCCUCUAUGAAAUCCAUGGUGAUGUGACUCCAGGAAUGUUGUGGGAUAGGUAGUGGUUGGAGGAGGCCUGGAUAAGCCACACGUUCAUCUUUGCACCUCCUGCAAGUAUCACAUUGUAGUAUAGCUGUUUUGAUUUCCUUAAACAUGCCUGGCCAGUGAAACAGCUGCUUUGCUCUCAUCCAACUGGCCUGUAUCCCUGAAUGACCUCCUAGCUGAGAGUCAUGAAGUGUGGAGAUGAGUUUCUUCCUUAUCUCUCCCCCCUGGCCUACCACAAUUCUCCCCUUAUACCUUAGGAUUCCACUCUGAUAGGUGAAAUCUGAGUUCAGCUCUGGAUGUGUUAACAGUCCUCUGAUGAUAUCCUGUGCCCAGUCAUCACCCAGGUAGCUAUCUGUUACCUCUUUCAUCCAUUCUGGAGUGACUGUGGAUAUGGCUGCACAUUCAGCUUCAUCCCUUCCCUUCCUGGAUAGUGCAUCAGCCACUACAUUCUCCUUCCCCUUUUUAUAGCAAAUCUCAUAACUCAAGCCCAUCAGCUUGGUCAACCACUUCUGUUGGAGAGGGGUGGUGAUCCUUUGCUCCAGUAGAUAUUUCAAGCUUUGAUGGUCAGUGUUGAUGAUGAAAUGAUGUCCUUCUAAGUAGUGCCUCCACUUGGUGACUGCUGUGACCAAGGCCAGCAACUCCUUCUCAUAAAUUGAUAACCCCAGAUUCUUCUGUCCCAAGCCUUGGCUGAGAUAGGCUAGGGGUCUUCUGUUUUGCAUUAGGACGGCUCCUAUUCCCCCAUAACAAGCAUCUGUCUCCACUAUAAAGGGCUGGGAGAAGUCUGGGAGGGCCAGCACAGGGGUGCUGCACAUGGCCAACUUCAGCUUCUGAAAAGCAUCCUCAGCUUCCUCCCCCCAGUUGAAGCCAUCCUUUUUGAGGAGGGUGGUUAAUGGUUUUGCAAUAGCUCCAUAUCCUUUGACAAACUUCCUGUAGUAACCUGUCAGACCAAGAAAUCCCUUUAGUUGUCUGGUGUUCACUGGUUUUGGCCACUGCAACAUGCUGGUAAUUUUCUGGGGGUCUGCCCUGACUCCUUCUGCUGAGAUUAUGUGUCCCAAAUACUCCACUUGCUGUUGAGCAAAGGAGCAUUUACUUUCUUUUGCAUAGAGCUGGUGUUGCCUCAGAAUCUCCAGGACUUCAGUGACAUGCUUCUCAUGUUCUUCUAGAGUAGGGCUGUAGAUCAGAAUAUCAUCAAAAAACACUAAAACAUAUUUCCUGAGUUGUUUUUGAAAAACCUGAUUCAUCAAGCCUUGGAAGGUUGCAGGGGCAUUUGUCAGCCCAAUGCAGCCCAAAUGGCAUGACUUUGAAUUCGUAUAGACCCUGGUGUGUCCUGAAAGCUGUUUUGGGAAUGUCUUCCUCCCUUACCCUUAUCUGAAAAUAUCCAGCUCUGAGAUCAAUUUUGGUGAAGUAUUUGGAUCCAUGCAGCUCAUCUAACAGCUCAUCAAUGAGAGGCAAUGGAAAUUUAUUCUUGAUUGUCAGAUCAUUGAGCUGCCUAUAAUCCACACAGAACCUCCAGGAGCCAUCCUUCUUCUUGACUAGAAGUACUGGUGAGGCAAAAGGGCUGCUGCUUAGUUGGAUAAUCCCAGUCUGGAGCAUUUCCUGUACCAGCUUUUCAAUCUCAGUUUUCUGGAUGUAAGGGCACCUGUAUGGUCUGAUUUGGAAUGGCUUUGCCCCUUCCUGAAGGGUGAUGUGGUGAUCUUGGCUCCUCUCAGGGGGUAAUCCCUGAGGUUCCUGGAACACAUCUCUAAACUCCUGCAGUAGCUUCUCUACUUCUGGUGGGAUUGGCUUCUGGUCUGAAUCCUGAUCCACCACUGCACUCACCUGUGCCAUGAUUCCAUAAGCCUGUUUCCUGGACCAUUUGUAUAGCCUACUCCCCCUUAUCAGCUUCAACUGUACUGCAUUGCCUUCCCCCUUUAGUUCAACCUGCUGCUUUCCCUUUUUGAACCUCAUACUUAGUCCUCUGAAGUCAAACUCCAUUGGACUGUAUCUAGCUAACCAAUCAACUCCUAGUAUCAUAUCGCACCCCCCUAGUCUUAGAGUAUUGAAGUGAUGCUGGAAUUCAUAUCCCUGCAUCUUCCAUGUCACAGGUUUGGUGAUGCUCCUGGACUGCAAUCUUUCUCCAUUGGCCACCUUAACUGACAGAGCCCCUCCUUUAGUUUCCAAGUUCAGAACCUUAGCCAUUUGCUCAUCCACGAAGCAAUGUGUGCUGCCACUGUCAACCAGUGCAGUAAUGGUCUUCCCUUUAAUCAUCCCCUUUAUCCUGAUAGUUUUGUGCUCACUCCCCCCUGCCAAAGCAUGAAUAGAAACUUCUAUAUGCUCAUUUUCUAAUUCUCCCUCAAUACAGUCACAGAAUACCUCAGUCUCCCCCUUCCUCCCCCCUUCUUCCUCAGUGGCUGGUACCUCCUCUUCUUCCAUAAUUAACAAGUUUAGAUGGGAUUGCUUACAAACAUGACCAAAAGUAUAUGGUUCAGCACAUUUGAAGCAAAGUCCCUUUUCCCUCCUAAGGUUGAGCUCUGCUGGUGUGAGUCUUUUGAAUUGGUUCUGGGAAGUAUAGUGGCUAUUGGAAGUUUUAGGAAUCUGUUUAUCAGGUGGUUUGGGGUAGCUUGGGGUUUUGUCAGGGAGUUUAGUGUGUUGCGAGACUUUAAACAGGGGUUUCUGGUAGCUGGGAUUAUAGGAAGGGCCUUUGUGGAUUUUCUGUAGAGCCCUCAGGUUUCUCUCCUGCAGUUUGGCAGCUUCUACAGCAUCUGCCAGUGUUUUAGGUUUGGCCAGUUUUACCAUAGUUACUAUUUCCUCUUUUAAUCCACUUAGAAAACAAGUUUUGUAAUAGCAAUCUUGCUGAUGAGGGAGGGAAGGCAUUACCAGGGCUUUGAGCAUUUCGAAUUUCUCCAGGUAGUCAGUUACUGAACCUGUCUGCAUCAGUUUGUUGAAUUCUUCUAUAGCUUCUUCAGGGGAGCCAUCUCCAAACCUCUCACAAAGUGCAAUGCUGAGCUCCUCCCAUGGAAUAUCCUCCCUUCCAUUGAAUACACCAUGAAACCAGAUAUCUGCCUUAUCCCUGAAAUAAAGUUCUGCAACCUCAGAUUUCAUUUCCUCCUCCACUCCAUUGAUUUUGAAGUACUUAUUAGCCUUCCUGAUCCAUUCCCUAGGAUUUUCCCCAGUGAAUGAUGGCAGGUCCACCUUAGGUAGCCUGGUGAAGGAUCUGUGACCCUGUGGUUCAGAUCUAUCCAUAGCUCCCUUCUGCUCCUCCUUCCUCCUGUUAUCCUCCUUAUGCACUAAGCUAGAUUCUGAGCUGGUGCCUUCCACAUCCUUCCCUUUGUCGCUUAACUUUGCCAGCAUUUGUGCCAUCAUGUUCAUCAUGCCUUCAUACUUCUGAUCCAGGUUUUUGAGUGUCUUUUCAGUAUUCUCCUGUCUGUGCUCUAUGACCCUGACAGCCUGCUCCAGUCCAUCACUCCUGUUAGCGAAAGUUCUAACCACACUUCCUAGCUCAGUGAUCUCCUUCCUCAUUUCGUCUUGGCUUUUAGUCAUUUUUUUUUAUAUGUGUAUAUCUAUACCCAAUGGCUCGUAGCUAGCUCUGAUACCACUGUUAUGGACCAGAAACCAGAGAAGCCAGAGUCCCUUUGCAGGAACUAGGGAGAAUGAAUCCAAUUGGAUGAAUCAAUAAACAAUGAAUCAUAGAAUAAUUUGCUGUAAGAAUCUGAACUUUAUUAAUCAAAUUCUGAUGACAAUUUCAAGAACAGAAAUGGCGGUAAAAGCUAAGAAGGGGAAAGAAUUGAAGGAAAAUUGGGAGGGAAGCUGAGGAUUGCUCCUCAAGCCAAUACAGAUGAAUCCGUAAGAAUGAUUUCAAAAAAACUACCUCACAGAGCAGACAUGCCUGCUCUUUAAUACUAACAAAUCCUAACUAAUUCUAGCUAGACCACUGAGGGCGCUACACGUGUCUCAAGCAUCUGCAAGUUGCUGCGCGUUUUGAAUUUCUGUUAUGAAGGCUGAAACCCAGGAAAGGCGUGGUUCUUGGUUCACGCCUUUGAUGACUUCUGGUCCAGUGAUCACGCUUUCUUCUGCUGAUCUUCACGCCUUCAUUGUUUCAAUUAGCUGGUUCCUGCCCCUGUCCUUAGAUAAGCUUUCCAUUCCAUUACAUAGAUUUCCUACUUCUUGGGGGCAUAUUGUAAGUAAAGCUAAGCAAUCACAUGCACUCAAAAAAGCAAAACAAACAACUUAGAUGAUUCAUAGAUUUAUCUAAUUAAUACAAUGAACAAGUCAAACUAGGUAAAUUUAAUGGAUGAAAUCCAAUAAAGCAACAGUGACGGCACCACCAAACUUGUGAGAAUUAUGUAAAAAAUGCAGUCAAAAUUCAUCCAAAAGUUCAUCCAAAAACCAACACCUACUACACCGAGAAUGUGAGAAUUCGAAAAAUUAUUUUAUAUUUUAUUUUAUUUCUUUGAAUGCAUUUUCUUUACUUUAAAUUAUUGCCUUAAUUUCCUUGAUAAUUUUAUAAGCGAGUCAAGUUUUUAAAUCAUUUUCCUUGUAUAAGUUAGUACAUGUUAAGUUCGUAAUACAUUAUGAAAAUAGGAUCCACUCGUGAGAUGUGUGUGAUAAAUUUUUGAAGAUUAGAAGGAAUUUUAUGCAAACGGAUAUUAUUUUAUAAGGUGUUAAGAGAUAAUUAGAGAUUGGCUAGAUAUUUUAGUGAUUGGAAGAUAAUAGGAUGAGAAUUAACCCUUGGAUGACAUUUGCCAUUAAAGCAUUGGACCUUUGACUUUGACUAAGACCUUUCUUAACCUUUUAUUAACAAAAAAAUUGACCAAAAAUCCUAUCAUCUUUUUCCCUCUCUUGGCCGACUCCUUGAAGAAAAGAAAAGGAAGGAAAAACUUCAUCUUCAACCUAUAAUUCUUGCUUGAAUCUUGAGUUUUCACCUUAAUCUUGCAAAUCACUCCAUAAAACACUACAAGAAAAAAGGUCAUUAGUGACAACAUUUCUUUGUGACGACAAAAAGUCGUCACAAAAUGAGGUUGUUUAGUCACGACUUUGAAGGUUGUCAUAAUUGACUCAAAGCAACUGAGUUUUCAGUGACAACCUUUAAUUGUCGUCACAAAACUACUUCGCGCCAUGGGACUUGGAAGGCGCGAGUUUUGCGAUAGUGACGACUUGAUAAAAGUUGUCAGUAAUUCUACCACUUUCUUUGACAACUUUUCAUUGUUGUCACUGUUUAUGUUUAUUGACGACCAAUUUUUGUCAGUAAAACUGUAGUGUAGUUAGUGACAACAUAAGUAUCAUCACUAACUUGAACAUCUCCAAUGCAUUUAUUUAAUUGUGAGCCUCAAUAUUAAUUUAAUUUUUUUUUAAAAUUUGAUGAUUUAUUAACUAUGACUUUAUUUAAUUGUGAGCCUCAAUAUUAAUUUAAUUUUUUUUAAAUUUGAUGAUUUAUUAAACUAGUCAUAGUUACUUAAAUAUUAAUUUAAUUUUUUUAAAAUUUGAUAAUUUGUUAAACUAGUCAUAGUUACUCAAUAAGUUUUUAACUGAAAAAAAAAAUUAAUGAAAGUUUUUAGUUAGAACAACUAUAUAAACUAUUACAAUUAGAACUCAAGGCCUCUAAAUUCAAAUACCUUAAUUUUGGGUACUGUCAAUGCCUCCUUGACAUCUAAUUGGUCGAAUGUUGAAACUCAUUAAGUACAAAUUCAUUUUGAUGAAAAGCGGAAUUAGUUGUGUUAUAUAAGUUAAUUAAUGAAAUCAGGACUACUAAUUACUGCAAUUCCUUCAAAUUUAAUGUUGAUUUGCUAAAAUUCAAAACGAAUACAUAUUUUUCUUACAAAUCAAUACGUAUACUAUAGUUUCGUGCAAGUUUACAUUCAUGAUUCUUCAAUAUAAAACAUCUAAAAAAAUAUAGUACUAUUAGACAAAACUAACAAAAUUUUCUAGAAACUGAUAGAAAGUUCUUAACACAUAAUUAAGAUUUUUCUUUUUUCAUGUUUAAAAAUAAUGAAUUAUUUCUUAAAAUAAUAUGAAAGUAGAUUCCCGAUCUAGUAUACUUAAUUAAAAUGUUUAAUUUAAUACAAAGAAAAUAACCUUUCUUUGAGAAUCUAAAUAAAAAGAUAAAACUAAAAAUUGGAUCAAAUUUUUCGUUCAAAAUGAAAAAGAAACAGCGGGAAUUGAAAAUUGGUGGAAGCAUUCUUUAAAAAGCAAAUUUCAAAAUGAAAGAGUACAAGUCUACCACUUUUGGGCUAAGUCUGAUACACUUCUAAAUCUCACAUUUUCACUCGCUGGCCUUCUCACUGUCUGUCUCGGUCUCUCUCUCACUUCGACCCCUCUCAAUUUCUUUCUCACUAAUGCUCGAGCAUUCCUCCUUAUUGGGCUACUGAUUUUGAUAUGUUUCCUCAGAGCAUGUGCUGUAAAAAGGCAAGUUUCUCUCUUCUUGCUUAGUAAUCAAUUUCCCCCAAUUUUUAUUGACCCGAUUUUGUGUUCCCAACAUUCAAUUUUUGGGUAAAUUCUCUUCUUCUCUAUCAUUUGUCUAGUUUCCCCAAAGUUUCUUACCCUAAUUAGCAAUCACCAUCAUUUGCAAUCACCUUUUCUACCCUACUUAGAUGAUCAAUUGUUUCAAUUUCUCCCCAAAUUUUAUUGCCCUAAUUUUUUUUUAAAAAAAAUUUCUGCCCAGGACAAGGAGGGCAUCCCCCGGACCAGCAGCACCUCAUCUUCACUGGCAAGCAGCUCGAGGACAGCCGCACCCUAGUCGACUACAACAUCCAGAAGGAGUCAGCCCUCCACCUCGACGGUGGCGCCAAGAAGCGCAAGACGAACACCUGCACCAAGCCGGCGGUGACUGAGGGAAAUUCUUCCCCCUUUUUUUAUAAACUUUAUUGUUACUAGUCUAAUUUAACAUUAGCAGCAUGUUCUUAUUUUGAAGAUUUUGUUCUUUAUUGGGUUUGAUAUAUUAUUCUCUGAAACCGUUGGAUUUUGCUUUCUAAAAAAAUUUAGAUUGUAUGUUUCUUUAAGAUUUUGUCAAAUUCUUGGUUAUUCUAUUUUCAAGCGCUUGGUUUAUUUUAUUUUUUGGUUUUAAUUUCACAUUAAACUGCAAAGUGUCCCCUUUUCAGCAAUUCCUGGUAUGUGUUCAAAGCGUCCCCUUUUCAGUUUUACUUAAAGCGUCUACAAAUCAUCAUUGUGGUGUUGUUUGUAGAGCUAAAUGCAUUACAAUUAAGGUAGUAUUGUGGUGUUGUUUGUAGAGCUAAAUGCAUUACAAUUAAGGUAGUAAGAGUAAAUUCUACAGAUUUGAAUGCUUUUCAAAAACAACAUUUUUUUCACUUCAAAAUUCAACUCGUUUAGAUCAAUGCACUUAGUCUGGUUCAAAAGCAGCCUUGAAUGUUUCUUGAAUUGAGGUGAUUGAAAUAUGUCUAUCAAGACUUCAAGCUCUUUCCUAAUGUUUUCCUGUUGGAAGUGCUCUAUCUUUGUGUAAAUGUGCACACUCGCAAAUCGACUCUCAUUUCCUUUGUUUCCAUUUAUUUAUUUUUUUAGAAACCUGGACAAGUUGCUCCAAAUCAUUGCAUUUGUACUUUGCCUUAAAAGCUGUAUAUUAGCUAUGGAUGUAGUCCUGCAAGUUGAGAUACUGUAGACUUUUUUUCUGCUAACUUAUAAAUUCAUUCUAGAACACAAACCUCUAAGGUUGCAUCUCAAGUCUAAGGUGUUGCAUCUGGUGACUGAGAAAUCUGGUGAUAGAGUUCUAAGGUUGCAUCUCAAGUCUACUUAAGGACUUGUACUAGUAUCACUUUGGAAGAGCUUGGUAAGAGGACCAAAACUCAUCAAUUAGUUUUGAUGUGAAAAAAGACCUUCCUCCGUAAAAAUUCAUGAACUAGGAAUGUUAUUAGAACAGCAUGGACAGUUUCUUAUGGUAUGUUUUGAGAGUCCAUGAUUCUCCAGAAUAUACUUGUUAGCCUUACUUGUGCUGAAUUUCACAUGUUUCACUAUUUUUUAAGGGCAAAGGUGCUUUGGCCAAAAUGUUUUGCUUGCAAAUAUGUUGACCGCAUUUACUUCUCUGCCUAGUAUGUUCCUUUUGUUAAGUUUACAAGGGAGAGGUCAAACCUCUUAAACAGAAACAAAACAUAGGGUCGCAGCCCCUAAAAUAUUUGCACCACGCAAUUCACUAAGUUCCUGCGACGGUUCUGUUAUAAUCUGCAUCCCAGAUUCUUUGUUGACACUACUUUUAGCUAGCUAGUCUGCACACUUACUUCUUUCUCCAAACAUGUUGUAGCCAGGAUUCUCGAUCCCUGCUUAAAACAUUCCUGAUCUGACAUAUUAGAUUGUAUAGUGGUGAGUCCUGUCCUGCUCCUUGUAUUAGUUCCAAAGCUGCCUUGCAAUUCGUGUCCAGAAUCACUCUUCUUUAUCCAGAGUUCCAAGCCAUUUUUAUCCUUUUGAGUACUCCCCACAGCUCUGCUAAGUGCUAUCAUAUUAUCUAUUAGCCCAAUAUUCACUAUAAAACCUGCUUUCCAUCUCCCCCAGCUAUCUAUAUGUCCCUUUUCAAAUUAAUAUGGCUUUGCCUCUUCUACUUGGAAUAAUGCUAAAUUGAGAAGUGUACAUCUUGCCACAGUUAAUUGCUAAUUAUUGAUAGUUUCAUGUCUUACAUGGUAGUUUGUUCUCCAUAUAGCAUUAUUUUAUACUGUAUAAUCACAAACUUUUUGCUGGAUGUAGGUUGGAUUUUCUGUUAACGGAGUAAUAAUACUAACUUUUAUGUGGGUUUUGAAGGCAUUCCUUGAGGUAAUACCUUUUCUUUUCACAUGAAUGGUUCCCAUUUUUGGUGCCAUUCUUGAAGUAAAUUUCACUGUGAAUGUUUUGCAAUGUCCCGCCACUUGCCUAACUCACUAGUUUGAUUGGAAUACAAUAUUAAGGGGUGCUAGUUUUCUAUGGAAUUAAUACACCAUGACAAACAGCAAAAGUAAUUUUAGAGAUCUAGAACAAGAAAGUUGUUAUUUGCUUUUAAAUGGUAAAGAAACAUUCUAGUUAUGUUGGUACAAAUUGCUCUUACUUGACACCUUAUAUCAUGAUCGACAUUACUUUGGUUAUCAUACUUGACACCUUGUAUCCUCUGUGGUGCAUUAAUUUGGAUUGUUUUGGUUUAGUUUAGUUUAGUUUAUUUGAAUGUUUUAGCUAAGCAAGUGAACUGAAGUUGCUUUUUUCCUUUAGUGUUGUGCUUAUCGUCUUAUCAACUGGUUAUAUUGUUCAUAGCAGUACUUAUAUCAGUACUUGUUAUAGUACUGCUUGUUGCCUUAUCAACUUGUUAUAUUAUUCCUUUGAGGCUGAAGUUUAAUAGCAGUACUUAUUUCUUGAGCUAAUUUGGUGCAUUAGUUUGGGGCUGAUUUUGAUUUUCUUUGGGGCUGAUUUUGAAUGUCCAGUUUUAAUUAUUGAGGUUCUUAUUGGAUUGCAAAUUUUAGCUAAGCAACCGAACUACAAGAGACAUAGUGAAAUUGGGAAAUGGCAAGGUUUAGUGAAAUUUUGUCUGAUGUUAAAAAUUCCCCCUUGUGUUGAAAUUUGGUAUUUUUUUUCACGACAAAACAGCCUAGCAAAUUGUCACACUUAAAAGACAGUAUCUUUGAUCGGAACAAAACAAUGACUAAAUUCGUUUAUAUUAUUCCAAUCUUGUUUGCCACAUCCAAAGCAUCGCAGUCUGGAGUCAACCGAACAUAUGCUUUCUUUGUUCCAUCAGGCCUGAUCAAAGUGUUCACUUUCUUGGUCUGUAUGUCGUACAUCUUCUUCACUGCAUCUUUGAUUUUCUUCUUAUCAACACGGAUGUAAACUAUGAAUACCAUGGUAUUGUUAUCUUCAAUCUUUUUCAUGGCAGAUUCAGUAGUCAAAGGAUAUUUGAGAAUCUGAUAAUGGUCCAACUUAUUCCUAGGAGGAGCACUGAUGCGUGGGUACUUCGCGUUCCCGUCCUUUUUCAAUGUCUUAGGACGAUGGAAUGUACCUUUGGUCCGGAUCUUCUUGGCUUUCUUCUUAAAAGUUGUCCCAGAUUUGACAAAUUUGGCAACCUUGGCUGCCUGAGCCUUUGUAUCAAGCUUUUUUGUGGUGUCAGCUUUAGGAGCCAUUGUUGGAAACUGCCUUACAAAUCUUUUACCUGAGGGGAGGAGCCGAGUGUUGAGGGGAGGAGCUGAGUGUUGUUGAAGCGGCUCUGUGUUGAAAUUUGGGACUUGGAUUUGUUUUGUAAAGCUACCUCGAGUUAUAUGUAAAAUUUAGGCCAAAUACCACUUAUCAAACUAUCUAUAGGGUGUUGUUGAACUUCAUUAUGAUAUUUGAAUGCUUAUAUGAUAUUUUGACAUUUCAUAAUGCAAUGGAUGCAUUCAUUUGCUAAUUAUAAAUCAUUGUCAUUUUUUUCCAUUUAUAGAUAUAAUUGUUGUAGGAAAAUUUUCAAUUUUCAUGGUGAUAAAGAGUUAUCAUUGAAUCAGAAUUUUCCAUUAAUAACAAUCUGUGGUCAUAGAAUUAAAAAGUGUUCAGUGACAACAAAAGUCGUCAGUAAUUAGUCUAUACCAAUGACAAUUACAUAUCACUUUUAGUGACAACAUUUAUUUGUACAUCAUUAACAAGAUACUAUGUCAUCACUAAAAUUACAAUAAUUAUUGACGACAUCAGUUGUCACAAAACAGUUCCAUUCACUGACGACUUUUAUUGUCGUCACUAUAUACUUUUACCGACGGGCCUUCAGUGACGACUCUGUGACAACUAGAAAAUUGUCAAUAAAAGUUAUCAGUGACGACUUUUUAUUUUUUUGUGACAAAAAUGGCUUGUCACUGAAGACCAAAUUUCUUGUAGUGAAAGUUGACACAUAGGGAGGAUUAAGGGCUUUGAUGGAAAGAUUUUGGAGGAAGAAGCUCUUGGUUUCCGUAUCUGUUUAUCUCAAUCCAUAACUUUUAAUGAUUACAAAAAAUGGAUGUUACUAAUAUUCUCUGAUUAGAUCUUUUAGAAUUGGAGCAGAACAGGUUCAAAGGCUAACAUAUGCUGAAAUAACUGUCGGACGUACAUAAAGACUAUAUCAGCCGUCCGACAACCAUUGAGUAACUUCGGACGCAUGAAAAAUCCACUCUCGGACGUCCGAAGAUGAUAAGCCAAGUCCUCUAAGUUAAUUGACCUCGAUCGGACGUACAACACCUGAGUACCAGACAUCCGAUAAACGUUGCGACACUUCGGACUCAAAAUAUUGGAGGCACCGGACGUCCGAACGAAUUGAAGGAGAAUUUCCGAUUUUACAUCAUACCUUCGGAUGCAUAUUCUGGAGGUACCGUACGUCCUAAACAUUUCAAGAAAACUUCUUGAACUCACUGCCUGCGUUCGGAUGCAGAAAACUAGCCUACCGGACGUCCGACACCACCAACGGCUAGUUGACUCUUCAGCUGCAUUCUAUCCGUUGGUAGCAUUAAUUGAAGAAUUUUUUGGUCCCUUAUAAAAGAAAAAAGUCAACCUCUUCAAACAACUUUCGCACAUUGAGACUACAUCAGAUCUUGAGUGAUUCAAGUGUGAGAAUACUCUUUAAAGAAGAUUUGUACUCUUAGUUGUGGAAUUUUCAAUAAGUUUUUCAAGUGUGUUUCUAUUUCUUCAAUAGUAUAGUUUUGUGAGGGUUAUCCGAGUGAUAGUAAAAUUUUCUUGUUUGACCAAGUGCGGCUUGGGGCGAGGAGAAAGUGAUCCUUUUUUUGUACACGAGAUUGGUUGUUAGUUGAUCAACUUGAAGAAUCUCGCUAUAUAAAGUGGUAUUCAAACUCAAGUGGAGUUUGAAACUUGGUUUGUUAUUCUAUCCUUUUACUUACUGUCUUGCAAUAUAAAUUGUCUAUCUCUUCUACUCCCAAACACUUGUGCUUAUUCAUCAAUUGCUCUAUUGUGUGGUCCUUUAGAAAAAGAGAGCAAGUUCUCAAAAAGUGACUCAUAUCUUGGCUAGUUUUUAAACCACCUAAUUCAUUCCCCCUCUUAGGUUGUCUUCGAUCCUUACAAUUGGUAUCAGAGUUUGGUCUCCUAGAAAUUAAACUCAAUCAGUUUUGGAGUAAAAAUAACAACCAACAAUGCCAUAUUUUUUGAAAGACAAUCCGUCACUAGACCCCCAAUAUUCAAUGAAUCAAAUUAUGUGAGUUGAAAGGAGAGGAUGGUUAUUUUCUUACAAUAUAUUGAUAUUGAGUUGUGAUUUAUUGUCAAUGAAGGUUCAUAUGAUGCCUCUAUUAUUGAUGAAGUUACUCAUAGGCUGAGACCAAAAACAAGGAGUGAGUUGACAGGUGAUGAUAGAACUCAUCUUACCUUAAAUACCAAGGCUAUGAAUGUAUUAUACAGUGCUUUAGAUUCAAAUGAGUCUAUUAGAGUCAAAGGCUGUAGAUUUGUAAAAGAGAUUUGGAAUAAACUCAGAAAAAUCCAUGAAGGAAGUGAAAAUGUGAGAGAACAAAAGAAAUCCAUUCUGGUCACUAAGUAUGAAUUCUUUAAGAUGAAACCUCAUGAAAACAUUGACAAGAUGUAUUGCAGAUUCAAUGAUCUUAUUAAGGACUUAAAAGUACUUGAAAAGAAUUACUCUCUAGGUGAGAAAAAUAGAAAAAUUCUGAAUGUUUUAUCCAAGGAAUGAGAGAGUAAAGUGACUGCCAUUGAGGAAGCUAAAGAUCUAAAUACCUUGCCCAUUGAAUCUCUUAUUAAUUCUUUAACCUCUUGUGAGAUGAAACUCAAGUCCAAGGUGCAGGAGGAAGAAGAUACAAAAGUGAGAAAGAGUAUUGCUCUAAAAGUCUGACAAGAUGAAGAUGAUAAGCCUCCUUAGAUGAAGAUAACAUGGAAGGUGAUGACAGUGAUAUUGCACUCAUCACGAAAAGCUUCAAAAGAAUACUCAACAAGAGGAGAUUCAAAAAAGGUGGACUCAGCAAUUCAUUCCCAAAUCAGUUCAACAACUUGAGAAAUAAAGGGAAGCUAGAGCUCAAUAAAAAGCAAACUGAUAAGUGCUUUGAAUGCGGCCAACUUGGACACUACGCAAAUGAAUGUCCAAUAAAGAAAAGGAAGGAAAGCAAGGUUGAACGAAAAUCAAAGUUUAAUAAUUUUCAGAUCACCUGGAAUGACUGCAAUUCAGAAGGUGAAGUCGAAAAAGAAGAGGAGUCUGCCCAAAUGACUUUUAUGGCCAUUGGUGAUGAAGAGAUAACUACUUGUAACUCUUAAACUAAUAGUGAUAACGAAUCUGAUGAUGAUGUUAACUCUUUUAUGAAAAGAAUGCAUAACAGUUUGAAAGAAUCUUAUGUUAGAAACGAGAAAUUAAAACAGAAGAUUAACUUUCUGAUUCAAGACAAUGCAAGCCUUUUCGACAAAAUAAAUGUCUGAGAAAUGAAAAUGAGAACCUGAAAAGGAUUGAAAAUGAUUUGCAUGCUGAACUUGAUAGAAAGACAAACUUCUGUGACAUGCUAAAAAAUGAACAAAGUAACUUGAAAAGAAGAAUGGAUGAUCUUAGUCAGAUGCUUCAACAUAAGAAACAAAACUGUUUUCAAAUGAAUGAUACAAAACUUCACUGUGGUACUUAUCAGAAAAGGUGAAAUCAUAGUGCAAAUGAGUUUACUAUCUAUAGGAGAAGGCAAAUAAGAUUUAUUAAACCUGUUCAUUUGAAUAAUUCAUUAACUAUGUGUAGAUUCUGUUGUCAAUUUGGCCACAUAAAAAGCAAUUGUUAUGUUAGGAAAAAUAUGAGAAAUGACAUGAGAUGCAUGUGGAUGGUUAGACAUAAUGCUAACUCUCAAGAAUCCAAAAAGUAAAGGGUACUAAAUAUUAUCUUGUGGAUCUUUGUGUAGGUGAACCUGGUGAAUAUUGUUAAGGAAUCAAAGUGAUUCAUAGACAGUGGAUGCUCAAGAUAUAUGACUGAUGAUCCAUCAUAGUUCAUCAAGCUCAAGCCAAAAGCAAGUGAAAAGGUAACAUUUGGAGAUGAUAACAAAGUCAAAACUGUUGGAAUUGGUGAUGUUGGUAAGAAUGGUCAAAACUUUGUUCACAAUGUUCUUUUAGUUGACAAUUUGAGCUAUAACUUAUUAAGUGUUAGUCAAUUGUGUGAUAGGAAUCUGUUUGUGUUAUUUAAAAAUCAUGAAUGCCUUGUUCUUGACUCAAAGUUCAACACUGUUUUCAAAGGAAAAAGAGUAAAUGACAUUUAUGUAGUUAUCCUUGAAAAAGUUGAUUCCUCAAGCCUUAGUUGUCUCAAAGUAGCAAAUGAGGACCCCUGGCUGUGGCAUAAAAGACUCUGUCAUUUCAAUAUAGAUAUGUUAAAAAAUAUUUCUAAAAAGUAUCUUGUUAGAGGGCUGCCAAAGAUCAAAUUUGAAAAGGACAGAAUUUGUGAUGCUUACCAAUUUGGAAAACAAGUCAAAGUGUCUUUUAAAUCCAAGAAAUGUGUUUCUACCACAAAGCCUCUAGAACUUUUACAUCUUGAUUUAUUUGGUCCUACACAAACUACCAGCUUAGGUGGCAAAAGAUUUUGCUUUGUUGUUGUUGAUGAUUUUUCUAGAUACACUUGAAUGAUGUUUCUUGCAAACAAAGAUGAUACUUUCAAAAACUUUGUUUCACUAUUUACAAAAGUUCAGAAACUGAUUGGAUUGAAAAUCAUCAAAAUCAGAAGUGACAAUGGCUCAGAAUUUUAUUUUUGUGGUUUUCCAGAAUUUUGUAACAACAAUGGUAUUACACAUGAAUUUUCAAUUGCAAGAGUUUCCCAAUAAAAUGGGGUUGUUGAAAGAAAGAAUAGAACUCUUCAAGAGGCUGAUAGAACCAUGCAUAGUGAGUAUAAUUUACCAAAAUACUUUUAGGCUGAAUCUAUAAAUACAACUUGCUAUACCAUGAAUAGAGUUCUUUUAAAACCAAUCUUGAACAAAACCUCCUAUGAGCUGAUGUUUGAUAAAAAGUCUAUAGUUGGAUACUUUAAAGUCUUUGGUUGCAAAUGCUUUAUUUUAAAUAUCAAGAAACAUCUCGAAAAGUUUGAUAAAAAAUCUGAUGAGAGAAUUUUCUUGGGAUAUUGUGAGAACAAGAGAGGCUUUAGAGUCUACAAUCGAAGGAUUUUGGUUAUACAAGAAGCUAUACAUAUCACUUUUGAUGAAUCUAAUGGUGACAUUUCAAUAAGUAGUGGUGAAAAUGAUGAUACAGGUAUUCAAGGAGAACUAAAGAAACUUACAAUCACUGACCAAGGCAUUGCUUCACCAGGAAAUGAUUCAAAGGAAGAUGAAAUUCAAGAUAGUCCAGUAAGGGAAGAUAGUGACAAAGACACUAGUACACCUAACGAUCUUCCAAGAGUUUGAAAAUUUGCUCAAAACCACCCUAAGGAGCUCAUCAUUGGUGAUCCAUCCGAAAAGGUCAGAACUCAUUUCUCUUUUAAACAACUAAUGGAUAAUUUUGCAUUAGUUUCACACUUUGAACCCAAAAAUGUUGUUGAUGCUUUAAAAGAUGAGAACUGGAUUUUAGCUAUGGAAAAGGAGUUAAAUCAAUUUGAAAAGAACAAGAUGUGGAUAUUAGUUGCUAGACCAAAAGAUCAUUCUAUCAUUGGCACAAAGUGGAUUUUUAGAAACAAAAUAAAUGACAAAGGUGAAGUAGUAAGAAAUAAGGCCAAACUUGUAGCCAACGGAUAUACUCGAGAAGAAGGAAUUGAUUUUGAUGAAUCAUUUGUACCCGUAGUGAGGUUGGAAUUAAUUAGAAUGUUUUUGCCCUUUGCAUGUUUCAAGAACUUUAAAUUAUUUCAAAUAGAUGUUAAAAGUGUUUUCUUAAAUGGAUUUAUUGAUCAAGAAAUAUAUGUUGAUCAAUCUCUUGGUUUUGAAAAUGAAAUUUAUCCAAAUCAUGUAUUUAAACUCUCAAAAGCUUUGUAUGGACUAAAACAAGCUCCAAGAGCAUGGUAUGAACGUUUGAGUGAUUUUUUUGAUUGAAAAUGAUUUUAAAAGAGGUAUUGUGGAUACUACUCUUUUCACUAAGUAAAGUUCACGUGAUCUUUUAAUUGUGCAAAUAUAUAUGGAUGAUAUUAUAUUCGGUACUACUAAUGAGAGCUUGUGCAAUGAAUUUUUCAAUAUCAUGCAAAAAGUGUUUGAAAUGAGCAUGAUGGGAGAAUUAAAUUUCUUCCUUAGACUCUAAGUGAUUCAAAUUCAAGAUGGAACGUUCAUCAACCAAAUAAAAUACACCAAAGAGCUGCUCAAAAGAUUUGGAAUGGAGGAUUCAAAGCAGGUCGGAACACCUAUGUGCAUAUCUACCAAAUUUGACAAUGAUGAAAAAGGUACAAAAGUUGAUGAAAAGAAGAAUAGAGGUAUGAUUGGUAGUUUGCUUUACUUAACUGCUAGUAGACCAGAUAUCAUGUUUGUUGUGUGCUUAUGUGCUCGUUUUCAGUGUUGUCCAAAGGAAUCUCAUUUAAAUGCAGUAAAAAGAAUUCUUAGAUAUCUACAAGGAACUUUGAAUUUUGGUCUAUGGUAUCCUAAGUGUCAUGAACUUCCUCUGUGUGGAUUCUCUGAUGCUGACUUCGGCGGUUGUAGGGUUGAUAGAAAAAGUACAAUAGGUAUAUGUAACUUUCUUGAAAAUUGCUUAGUAUCUUGGUUUAGCAAGAAACAAAAUGCUAUUUCAUUAUCUACAACUAAAGCUGAAUAUGUUGCCGUUGGAGCUUGUUGUGCUCAAUUAUUGUAGAUGAAAAAUACAUUGAAUGAUUUUCGAUUGAUGUAUGAUUAUGUGCCUAUGUAUUGUGAUAACACUAGUGCAACAAAUUUGACAAAAAUUCCAUCCAAUAUUUUAGGACAAAGCACAUAGACAUAAAGUAUCAUUUCAUUCGCGAUCUUGUCGAUAAGGGUGAAAUUUGUGUUCAAUAUGUCUGUUCAAACGAUCAAAUUGCUAAUAUUCUCACAAAAGCCUUACCACUGGAUCAAUUUGUGCCUUUGAGAACAAAAUUGGGUGUUUCAGAAAAAAUCUCUAAAAAUUCUUUGGUCACUCUUUAUCGGACGUCCGAUAUGUUAGAACGGACGUCUGACAGUGUUCUUAAUCAUCUACCCAGAAAAUUUUGGUUCGGACGGAAGUGUCGAAAGCUCUAUUUCGUUCGGCUAUCCGACACUCAAAAAUUGCGUCUUAUAAGAAAGCCCUCUGCGUUAUUCAGUUCAUUCUUUCCCUUUAGUUUCGGACGCAACUCUUCAUAUUCCCUCAAUUUCAAAAUUCAAAUUCAUCUCUUCUUGGAACAAGUACCAAGAAAUCACUCUGACCGACACCUUUACAUACCUAUUGCGAGUUCAUUGUGCAUCAUAACUUUCCCCAACCGCCAACUGCACUAUAAAUUCCAAUUCUUACCCGAAACCCUAACCACAAAAAUUUCUCCCUCUGUGGACAGUUCGUGCAUUCACUGUAGUUCAUACUGCACUCCUCAUCGUUUGAUACUUAUUUGUAUCACAUUACACAACAAAAUCACACUGCAUUGCAAUCAUGGUGAGGAUUAGAAGAGGAUCCGUGAGUGCCGGAUGCACCUUCAAGCUUCGUGAUGAGGAGGAUGAAGAUGUUCAAGUUAUCGAACCUUCCAUCAAAUCACCCAAAAAGAAAACUGGAAAUCGUGGUGGAAAAAUGAAGCAAUCUGCAAGGAAAAAACAGAAUGCGCAAACCAGAGAGCCGUCUGUUGAACCAUCCGAUGAGCAGAUGGAGGAGCAUCAAUCUGAAGGGCAUCAAGGAAGUGACAAUGAAGAGGAACUGGAGCAGCCUACCAAUGUAGAUGUAACCACCACGAAAUCACCCAGGAAAGGAAAAAGGACUGCCAAAAAGAAGAGCAUUGCUCAACCCAAGGGAAGGCAAACUGCUGAUCCCUCUGGGAAUCAGCAGGAUGCAAAGAAAAAUGCUGAGGAACAGCAGACUGAUGAACCAUCUACCAGGAAGCCACCAAGGGUGUCCAGGGUAUUGCACCAACUACUCAGCACAGUGGAAAAAGAAAGCAUCCAGAAAAUGAACAACCAGGGACCCAAACUGCUGUUGAACCAACUCCCCUGCCGAAGUUCAUCGAUGAUGAAGCCAGGGAGAGGUUUGAAUGGAUCUCGCAGAAAGGUUUCAUCACUCAAAGGUCCAUCAUUCCCUAUGAAUUCCGUAAGCUUGACCUUGAAUCUGUUCUCAACCUUUUGAAUUCCAAAAAUGGACCCCUCUUCUGACCAUUCCAAACACCUACUAUCCUGACAUGCUUCAUCAAUUUUUUACAAACCUUAGAUAGGGUAAAUCACAUACAGAUCUCAUUUCACGUGUCAAUUCUAUUAACAUAGAACUGAAUCCUGAAAUUGUCAACUCUGUUUUGGAAACCAAAAUUGAAGAUGGUUUUAAAGGCAAAAUUGUAAAUUUCUUUUCUUAUGAAGAAUUUUCCUCUGCAUACCAUCACUUUUAUGUUGCAAAAUUGAUGACCUAUUUUCAGUCUCACUUUAAUACUCCUGCUGAGGCAAGAUUGGAAGAUCUUAGUCCUCAAAAUCUUAUCAUUUUUACCAUAAUUUCAAAUCUGUUGGUGCCCACUGAUGGUCACAGAACUGAUGCAAACAAAAUGAAACUUUAUCUAUUCUAUUGUUUUCUUGAAAAAAUCCGAAUUGGUUUUGAUUUUGUCAUGUGCAAAUUUCUGCUCAAAAUCAGCACUGACAGCCGUAGGAAACUGUCCUAUGAAAAAUUUCUGACUCCUAUUUUUACUCAUUUUGAAAUUUCCUUUAGUGGUAAAUCUCCAAAAGAGAGUGCAUCAACUGUGUUUUCAAAGGCUUACUUUGAAAGGAAAAAUCUAAAAUUUUUUUAGGAUCAUUGGUGCUACAAAGAAAUUGUCUCUGAGUUUAGGAGAAAAAAUCUUCAUGAAACUCCUGUAACCCCUAAGACUCCUCGAGACCAGUCUAUGUAUGUGACACCCUUCACCAUUCACCCUAGAAGGUCAGUCUCUAUGCAUACUUCAUCCAACCUUAAGGUCAUCUCUCUGCUUGAUGACCUCAAACAACAUAUCCUGCUUCUUGAAGAUGGCUUGAUGAUGACCAUGACUUCUGAUCAACAAGCCACCUUUGUUGUCAAAAGGAAUCUACUUGUACCUCUCAUUCCUCUAGAAAAUGAAAAUGCACACCGAAAGGAGCCUAAAACUAAGCCAAUCACUGAGGCUACCCCAGAAUACCAUGCCUCCAGUUCUCAACUACAGGACAAGGGAAAAGCUCCGGCAACUGAAGAAGAGACUGAAGAGGAUGAUGAUGAUGGGGAUGAGGACACUGAAGAAGAAGACCCUGCUCAGUUUCGCCUGGUUAGAAGAAGGCCUGGAUCCUCUAAGAACAUCAUAUAGGCACUACUGCACUUCAUGAUUAGGAUAAUAGUUCAUAUUAGAUUUUUACAUCUUUUGCACUUAAAAACAUUUGUUGUGCUCUGUCUUAAGGAUUUUACUCCUCUACUGGUCUGUAAAACUAUUUAGUUAUCUUUUAUGUUGAAUGUUGCUUAAUUCAAUCUAUCUGCAAAUAUUAGUUCCUGGUUGAUAAGGUUUUGGUUUUGGUUCUGAAUGGAUGGUGUUGUUGUGUUCUGCCAAUAUUAGUUUUGCUAAAUUCAGCUUGGAUAUGUGUUGCUGAUAAUACCUGGUGACAAUAUUGGUGAGCCAAUAUAUUGGUAAUAUGGAUAAUUUUACUGGUUGAUUCAACGAUGACCAAAAGGGGGAGAUAUGGAUAUGUAAUCUAUAUGUGAGGGGGAGUCAUUUUAAGGGGGAGUUGUGAUUAUUCUGAAGGGAAGUUGUGAAUACUCCCUAAAUGCAUUAAGUUAGGGGGAGCUGUACCUAAAACUUUUUUACUCCAUCCAUUGUUUUGUCAUCAUCAAAAAGGGGAGAUUGUUUAUCUCAAUCCGUAACUUUUGAUGAUUACAAAAAAUGGGUGUUACUAAUAUUCUCUGAUUAGAUCUUUCCAGAAUUGGAGCAGAACAAGUUCAAAGACUAACAUAUGUUGAAAUAGCUGUCGGGCGCACAUAAAGACUGCAUCGGCCGUCCGACAACCAUUGAGUAACUUCGGACGCAUGAAAAACCCACUCUCGGACGUCUGAAAAUGAUAAGCCAAGUCCUCUAAGCUAAUUAACCUCGAUCGGACGUACAACACCUGAGUACCGGACGUCCGAUAAACGUUGCGACACUUCGGAUGCAAAACAUUGGAGGCACCGAACGUCCGAACGAAUUGAAGGAGAAUUCCCGAUUUUACAUCAUACCUUCAGACGCAUAUUCUGGAGGUAUCGGACGUCCUAAACAUUUCAAGAAAACUUCUUGAACUCACUGCCUGCGUUCAGACGCAGAAAACUAGCCUAUCGGACGUCUGACACCACCAACGCCUAAUUGACUCUUCAGCUGCCUUCUAUCCGUUGGUAGCAUUAAUUGAAGAAUUUUUUGAUCCUUUAUAAAAAGAAAAAAGUCAACCUCUUCAAACAACUUUCGCACAUUGAGACUACAUCAGAUUUUGAGUAAUUCAAGUGUGAGAAUACUCUUUAAAGAAAAUUUAUACUCUUAGUUGUGAAAUUUUCAAUAAACUUUUCAAGUAUGUUUCUAUUUCUUCAAUAGUGUAGAUUUGUGAGGGUUAUCCGAGUGAUAGUAAAACUUCCUUGCUUGACCAAGUGCGGCUUGGGGCGAGGAGCAAGUGAUCCUUCCUUUGUACACAAGAAAUUGGUUGUAAGUUGAUCAACUUGAAGAAACUUGCUAUAUAAAGUGGUAUUCAAACUCAAGUGGAGUUUGAAACUUGGUUUGCUAUUCUAUCCUUUUAUUUACUGUCUUGCAAUAUAAAUUGUCUAUCUCUUCUACUCCCAAGCACUUGUACUUAUUCAUCAAUUGCUCCAUUGUGUGGUCCUUUAGAAAAAGAGGGCAAGUUCUCAAAAAGUGACUCAUAUCUUGACUAAUUUUUAAACCACCUAAUUCACCCCCUCUUAGGUUGUCUUCGAUCCUUACAGUAUCUUCAUAGGGUUUCGAGGUAGUUAUAUCAAGAAACCCUCUUUUCUUUUAAUACUUGCAUAUGAGUAGAUUUAGGGCUUGAUUUUGGCAGUUUUCAUAGAAAAUUUCAUGGGUUAAAUGGUGGUUGGAAAAUUUCAACUUUGAUGGUGAAAUUUCAGAUUUGAUAUGAUGCUUUGAGUUUGGCCAUGAUCUAGUAGUUUUGCCAUAUGAAUUUGCUAGUUUUUAUAUGUUAUUUUGGCUUGUUUAUGAAAAAUUUCAACAUGUAGUUGAAAAUUUCAGUUUAGGGUUUCGAAUUUCAGCUUUGUUGCGGUUGAUUUUGAGUUAGAAAUUUUAAUAUUUUGGAUGAUUUUAUGGCCUUAAUCAAGUGUACUUUAUAACUUAUAACUUGUGGUUGUAAUUGAUGUUGGAAUGAGAUGAAUAUUGGUGUUGAGUUUGGAUGGAAAAGUCAAGAAAAUAAGAGGAAGUGUUGCUGAAAAUUUAUUCCACAGGAGACUCUGAGCAGUCUUGGAAAAUCUGUUAUAUCUUGGUGUAGAAAAAUCCGAAUUGAGUCCCGUUUAUUGCAUUUGAAACUAGACUCAUAGUUCUUUUAACCAUGUAAAAUUCAUGGAUUGAUUCACUUUUUAUAAAUACCAGCAAAAUUUCCAAGUGGCUGAAAAUCCAAAACUGUCCUAUUUUUGCACUCAGUUGAGCAGUUAAUUGAGACUGAGAUUUUACUAAGUUAUGGGCUGAAUUUUAUGAAAGUGUCUUCCAGAGAGUUGUAGAAUUUUGAGUUUAUUUUCUAAAAAUAUAAGAUUUGUGAUUUUUGGACUUACGAAACUCAAUUUAUGACCUUUCAAAGAGCAUUACAAAAAUUGGGAUUAUUCUUAUGAAAUGGCAAACAAAACUUGGAGGAUUUGUUAGUGUCUUUGCUAAGAAAUAAAUCAUGGUUUGGUGAAGUUUUGACUUCAUAAGCUUUAGUAAACUUGAACGCUCAUUUAUAUAUAUAUAUCAAAACUUGGGCAAAAGAUUAGGAGUUAAGAAAGUGAAAGUGGUUUUCCUUCCCACGUGUGUUUUUUAAACUCUUGAGCGGUUUAGCUAACUUUUGAAUCGAAAACUCUUGCCACGUUUUGACCGACAAAUGGAGCACUUUUGAAUCUUCCCCUGAGUGUUAUCUUAGUGGUUAAGUGAAGAGAGUUUCUCUCUUAAUUUACAAGAAAUUAAGCAUGCUUGAGUGAAGGGUUAAGGGGAAAUUAUUUGGACUUGGUUGAUAUAGGUAAUCGUUGAUUGUGCAUGUCUCAGGUAUUCAAGAGGAAUUCGAGCGAAACCCUGGGGAGAACUUGUGAAAGCUUUCUCUUGUCUUGCUUACUUGACUAUUGGUGAGUGUUCCAACUGCAUGUUCCAUGCUUAUUACUACUAGGAAUUGCUAGACACUGGAUUUGUCAUUUCUUAGGCGAGUGUGUACUUUAUCACAUUUGACCUAACUCGACUAAACUUUUGGUAUCUUGUUCAUGCAUGUACAACCAAUUUGAUUUACAAGUGACCUGUAUUUUGACUUGAAAUAAUUGAUCUUGUGUACAGACUUGCAUGUAUAUGUGCAUGAUUGUAGACCAGUUGCAUUCCUCUUGCAGUAGUUGAACUGUAGAUCGACUGCAUCCCUCUUGCAGCGGUUGAAUAUAGACUAGCUGCAUUCCUCUUGCAGCGGUUGAACUAGGCCUUGGACCCUUAUCCGAGAUGUCGGGUAAGUGGAAACUUGGGUUACUCAUGCGUAUGUGUGAAUGUAGGUUGGCAACGACUGAAAUAAGCCCUCGUUGGACUUCUUGCUUGAGACCAGCCUUAGAGCGGUUGGAUAAGUUGGGCAACCUUGGGUAAAGGACGAAGUUCCUAACCUGUUUACUCGUGACAUUUCUAAAUACGGAACGUUAAGUGACAACUAAUGUCUCCAAUCAUUACCUACGUGAGCGUUGGAUGACAGCCAACAACUCCACUCUUGAAUACUUGGGGUUAUAAGCCAGAUCUUGAAUACUUGAAUAUCUGGGGCUAUAAGCCCAACCUAGAGUUAGUUGGUCGAAUCGAGUCGGCAAGGGUUUGGUCGAGGAGAUCGACAAACCUUGGGUACUUCUUUGAUGUUCGGGCCCGGUAGAGGAUAAUUGGUGGAUGGAGAUUGACGUUCAGCGAUGAUCUAAGGACAUUAUAAUUUCAUGGUUGGCGGAAAGUCAACGGACCCUAGACAAGCUGCUGUGGAACCUGCUCCUGAGAGCAGUCUAUAUCCUUUGCCAUGAACGUGUUCUUUACCGUACACUAUUGCAUGAUCUAUCUGGCUACUUACUUAACUAUACUCUAGGUCAUGAUCUACUUGAGUUUAACUUAUUUCUUGAUAUUCUGUGUAUGGUAUCUUGCCUGUUAUUUUACCUGCCUAUUUACUUGGAACCUCACUAGGUUUCUAGCUCAUUCCAUGCAAUUUGUUUUCCUUACAUGGUAAGAAUGUGAGAGUGGGAAUUGAAGAAGACAUAGACUUUGUCUAGAUUUUGUUAGUUGCUCGCUUAGAUGCUCCUUAGCUCUCUAGCGGGCUUACUUGGUUUUAUUUUGUAAGCUUGACUCCUUGGCUGUAUUAAGAGAUUGUUUGGACAUUUGAUGUCCACGAUUAUAUAUAUUUAAGGUUGUAAUUGUUAUUGAUCUUAUUACUUGAGAUUGUUAUUUUGUAAAUUCUUGGUACGUGAGUGAGUCCUGACGAGAGUUGGGUAGACGGUCUACCAAAUCCUUAGAUACGCCCUAGGGGAGGUGGGGUUGUCACAAAGGACGCCUAGUUUCUAUUUUGUUUGAAUAAAGCAAGAUGCAUGUGAUUGAAAAGCCAAAGUUUGAUGCAAACUUAUUCUCUUUGAUGUACCCAAUAAAAGUCCCAAUUUAGUUUGCGAGGCAGCUAUCCAUGCACAAGAAUUGAAGAUCUAGGCUAGCUAUUCAACUCUUGCUCUUAUUCGUAUUGUUUGGUGCCUUUGUCUUGAACAAUUCCUAUGGGCAGAGCUAUUAGCGGCAUGGAAGAGAAAGGAGGCACGAAAGAGUUUGUGUUUCUUGGAAAGGAUAAAGGAUGACCGUGGAGUUUGACGAAUGAAGUAGAACCCAAGGAAAUAUGUAUGAAAGAAAAGCUAAAAGGAAAAAGAAAAGAAAAAAAUAGAAGGAAGUACAACCGAACAAUGCUCUUGAAAUUAGUAAUGAUGGGUGCCCAAUAAAAGACCCGUUCUAAAGCCCAUCAUCUACUGCCAAUCCAGUUUUUCCCUUUUUUUCUUCUUUUCCAAUCAUCAUGUCAAGCACCGAUCAUCAAGCCAAAUAUAAGGUCGUUUAUAUACUGCCCACCCAAAGUUCCCUCAUAUUGACUUGCAUAUAUUCUAGGCUCUGAUGGUUACUUCAUUUGGUUUAACAAUGAGCACCUAACAUAACUAAAUAUCAUCAACUCCACUCUACUAAUGUCCUGCAACAAAAUAAAUAAAAUAAAUUAUUAAGAUAAAUGCCAAAUAAAUUGCCUCAAAUAAAACAUUAAAAGGUUGGGUUGUCUCCCAACAUGCCUUUGGUUAAUGUCGUUGAUUCGAUAUGGCCAUUAAUUACUCAAUCAUAGUAAAUUGGCUCCAUCCAUUGCAACUCUUCCACUAUUUUCUCCUUGAAAUCGUUAUAGAAAGGUUUUAAUCUAUGGCCAUUCACUUUAAAUACUCAAGUCGUCUCUAAACUCCUUAUUUCAACUACAUCUUAGGGAAAAACUUUAGAAGUUCAAACGAACCAAUCCAACUUAGCGCAACUUACUUGGCAUAAGUCAGAGCCUUGAAUUAUAUAGCAAUACUCUCUAUCUCUUUACAAAAGAAAUUCCUCAAAAUCAUUUAUCAGGGAGCAAUUUUGUUCUUUCCUUGUAUAAAAUUGCAUUAUCAUAAGCUUCAAGUCAGAUCUCUUCCAGCUCUUAUAGCUACAAUUUCCUCUCUUCACAACUCUCUGUAAAUUCAGAUUGCAUUUCUUUACAACCCAAUAUUCACUAUGCUCCAACUCUACAGGAAGGUGAUAGCGUUUGCCAAAAACUAACCUAUAAGUAGAUAUCCCUAUACGAGUUUUAUAGGCUAUUCUAUAGGACCACAAUGCAUCUUCCAAAUGUGAACUCCAAUACUUCCUUGUAAGAUUAAUAGUCUUCUCCAAAAUAUUCUUAAUCUCAUGGUUAGAGAUUUCAACUUGUCCAUUCUUCUGUGGAUAGCAUGUAAUAGAAGUCCUAUAAAAAAACUCUAUAUUUCUUCACUAAUGCUUCCAUAGUAUAAUUGCAAAAAUGAGAAUCUUGAUAACUUAUUAUAGCCUUUGGCAUACUAAAUCUAGUGCAAAUGUUAGAUUUAAGAAAGCACGCAACCACUUUAGAAUCGUUGGUCCUAGUAGGUUUGGUUUCCACCUACUUUGAUACAUAAUCGACUACCAAUAAUAUAUAUAUCAACCCAAAAGAAGAAGGAAAAGGAUCAAUAAAGUCCAUGCUCCAAACAUCGAAAAUUUCAUAGGCAAUAAUAGGUGUUUAAAGCAUUUCAUUCCUAUGAGACAAAUUUCCUACCCUUUGACAAGGUUCACAACUUUUACAAAUUUAUAAGCAUCACAAAAUAAGGUGGGCCAGUAAAAUCCGCUAUCUAACACUUUUCUAGUAGCUUGCUGAGGACCAAAAUGACCUCCACAAGUGUAUUGGUGAUAGAAUUUAAGAAUAGAAUAAAAUUAUAACUAAGGGACACACCUUCUAACAACUUGAUCAGAACAAAAACACCAUAAAUACAAUUCAUCCGACACAUAGUAUCUUGACUCACUUUUAAACUUAUCCUUUUGAGCUUUACUAAAAUGACUUGGCAGUUGACCAGUAACCAAGUAAUUAACCAUGUCCACAUACCAUGGUACUAUACCUUACAUCUUGAACAAUUGUUUAUUAGGAAAAGAAUCUUGAAUCGAUACGGGAUCCUCCUCCUUAACAAUUCUGCUCAAACGAUCAGCUAAAUGAUUUUUUGCUCCUUUUUAUCUUUGAUCUCUAGGUCAAACUCUUGAAAAAAUAGAAUCCAUCUGAUAAACCUCGAUUUCACUUCUUUUUUUGGUGGAAGAUAUUUCCAGGCUACAUAAUUAGAACAAAUAGUUACUUUAAACCUAAGUAAAUAAGACCAAAACUUAUCUAAAGUAAAGACUAUGGCCAAGAGUUCUUUUUCAGUUGUAGUGGAAUUGCAUUGGUUGGAUUAAGAGUUUUAGAAGCAUAAUGUAUAACAUGAGCUUGCUCCCUGACUCGUUAUCCUAACACUAUUCCCACAGCAUAAUUGUUGGCAUUGCACAUGAUCUCGAAUGACAAACUCCAAUUAGAAGGCUGAAUAAUUGGUGCAGAAGUCAACAGACUUUUCAACUUAUUGAACACUUCUCUACAUUCAUCAUCAAAAUUGAAUAGCACAUCUUGCUAUAGCAACUUACAUAUUGGUGAUGCAACCUUUGAAAAGUCCUUGAUAAACUUGAGAUAAAACCCUGUAUGACCAAAAAAAGAACGGACAUUUCGCACAUUUGUAGGGUAGGUAGACUCUUAACAAAAUCCACUUUGGCAUUAUCUACUUCUAUUCCCUUACUAGAUGCUACAUUCCUAGCACAACACAUUGCUCUAUCACAAAGUAACAUUUUUCAUAAUUCAGAACCAAAUUGAUUUCAAUGCAACUAUUGAGGACACAUGCCAAAUUAUCUAAACAAUGAUCAAAUGAAUCACCAUAAACUGUAAAAUUGUCCAUAAACACCUCUAUGUAUUUUUCAAUAAAAUCUGAAAAUAUGUUUACUAUACACCGUUGGAAAGUGGUAGGUGCAUUACAUAGUUCAAAUGACAUUUGUUGAUAUGCAAAUGUAUCAAAUGGGUAGGUAAAUGUUGUCUUCUCAUGGUUUUUUAGCAUCCGUAUGAUUUCGUUGUAACCUGAGUAUCCAUUAAGGAAACAAUAAAAGGCUUUACAAACUAAUCGUUCCAAUUACUGAUCAAUAAAAUUUAAAGGGAAAUUAUCCUUCCUGGUCACUGCGUUAUGUUUCUGAUAGUUGAUGCACGCUCUCCAACCAUUGAUGUUUCUGGUUGGUACCUAUUCAUCAUCUUGAUUUUUCACCACUGUCAUUCUAGUUUUCUUAUGUACCACCUGUACCAGACUCAUCUACUUGCUAUCGGGUAUAGGAUAUAUUAUUCCUACAUAUAGCAACUUAAUCACUUCCUUCUUUACUACCUCGAUCAUUUCUAGAUUAAGUCAUCUCUGAACUUCACGAAUAAGUUUAAUCCCUCUUCUAACAGAAUCCUAUGCAUAUAGAUAGAAGAACUGAUUCGCUUUAUAUCAACAAUUGUCCAUCCAAUUGCUGCUUUAAAAUCUCGUAGCAAUCGGAGCAGCUUCUCUUCCUGCACACUUGUCAGUGUGUUAGAUAUAAUUAUUAGCAAUAUUUCACCUUCUCCAAAAUAAGCAUAUUUAAGAUGAGUUGGAAGGGACUUAAGCUCUAGCAUCGAUGCUUAUACCAUAGAAUGCAAUAAUCUUGGGUAAGAAUCCAUAUCUAGUUGCUUGACAUCAUAUCUAUUUAACAUUGAAGGUAAAGAGAAUAAUGUACUCAUCAAUUUCAUCAUUAAAAUAUAAACACUCACUAUCGUUCCAUAAACCAUUAUUAAUAACCCCUUCUAAUACAUCUCUCUCUGAAAUUAAAAUUUGUUAGAUAAGUCAUAUAUAAUGUCAAUAAAGAAGACAUAAUGACAAUCAGCUGGAUAUUUCAUGGAGUAAAAUAUAUUAAAUUUAAUGAUCUCACCAUCAAAUUUCAUGGUUAGUGUACCAUUGGACACAUUAAUAUUCGUCAUGGCCAUUUCCAAAAAUUGUCUUCCAAGUAACAUAGGUGUUGGAUUUGGUGAUUUGUCAUACUUCAUAUUCACUAUAUAAAAAUCAAUUGGAAAAAUCAAACCUUCAACCUCCAUAGGAACAUCUUCUAAUACCUAUUCUAGGUAUACAUUAGAUUUGUUUGCCAAUUGUAUAAUGACUCCAGCCUCUUUUAAAGGACUCAAAUUCAAAGAAGAAUAUAUUGACAAAGGCAUGACAUUGAUAGAUGCUCCUAUGUCUAACAUAUCUUGUUUAAUUUGAGCAUUACCAAUAGCACAAGAAAUUGUGAAUAUACUUGGGUCCUUACACUAUAUGGGUAGCUUCUUUUGGAUCAUGGCAGAUACAUUCUAAUUGAUAGUCAUCUUUUCUUUCCUCUUGAGCUUCCUCUUUGUGGUACACAACUCUUGAAAGAAUUUUACGUACCUUGAAAUUUUCUUAAUCGCCUCAAGUAAUGGAUUGUUCAAUUCCACUUUGCAAAAGAAAUAAAAAACUUCUUACUCCUUCACAUUCUUAAUGGGAUUCGCCAAUCUAGUAGGGAAGGGUGGAGGAAUAACGAUGUUAGGCAUAGAAAAUCAACCUUUUUUUGUUGCUUUCUUUUGGAACCUCCAUUUCCUCAUCCAACUCAAUUUGGUUAACCUUUGAUUGUGAAUUUGAUUCAUCCAAUGGCUCUAACUUUUUCCCACUUCUUAAAGUCAUGGCACUUGUAUUUUCUCUUGGAUUCACAAUGGGUUGAAAAGGUAAUUUCCCAGAAUUCUGACCUCUCAAAUCAACUGUAGAUUUGCCAACCGUAGAAUGUCCAGAUUUUGCGUAUUAGAAUCUCCAGACCUUGAAUACUUGCCUGGGUUGAACGUUGAAACUAUACUGUUCACACUUAUAUUGUAUCAUUUCUUGUUGAAACCGUGCAGUUGACUUGGCUAAUGGUUUCUCCAUAUCCUCCAAAGAUGAGCAAGCACUAGGAGUUGGAUUAUUCAACAUCUAUUACUGAAUUGGUUGUUGAUGCUGUGCUGUGGGAGCCUAUAUGGACCUUGAAUUUUUUGGCCACUAUAAUUGAAAUUGGGAUGAUCUCUCCACCCCAGAUAGUAAGUAUUUGACUAUAGAUCAUAUCUCCCAUAAGGUGGCCCUUACGUUCUCCCAAUUGUUUGAACUUUCUUUGACGGGUCGUCUUGAAGUGUCGAACACAUGUUGGUAGGAUGCAUUGGUGAAGAACAGAUUCUACAAACCCUUGCCAAUUGUGCAUUCUCGACAGCAAAUAGAUAGAACAUUGAUGUCAGCUCUAAAAUUUGUCUUUGUAACUCUGAAGUACCAACUUUAUUAACAUGCUUUGUUUGAUGGAUCGCUCAAACUCCAAAUUGUCAAGAAUUUUCAGCCAAAUUAGAGAUUAAUAUUCUACCCUAUAUUAGUGUCUUAUUCACCAAAACUCCACCCCAAGAAACUUCAAUUAUAUUCCUCUCCACUUGCAAUAACCCUUCAUAGAAGUAUUGAAUUAAUAGUUGCUCAUUUAUUUGAUGGUAAAGGCAACUAUUGCACAACUUUUAAAAUGCUCCCAGUAUUCAUAGAGAGUUUCUCCAUCAAAUUGCUGAAUACCACAAAUUUCCUUCCUUAUAUUCACUAUUCUCGAUGAUAGAAGUACUUCUAUAAGAAUUGCUCCUUCAUUGCCCCCAGGUGGUGAUCAACUUGGAUGGUAAAUAAUAUAACCAAUCCUUUGCUGCAUCUCUUAACAAAAAUGAAAAAGCCCUCAGGUUCAUUUGAUCUUUAGAAAUCCCUUGAGGUUUGAAACCUACAUAAACUAUGUGAAACUCCUUCAAGUGCUUAUGAGGAUCUUCUCCAGAUAACUCAUGGCAGGUGGGCAACAACUAAAUAAGCCCAGACUUCUACUCAAAAUUUGUAUUAGCAUCUAAAGUUGGAUACUCAAUACACAGUGGUUGAUGAUUAAGAUCAUAAGCUGCUAAUUCCUUUAGAGUUUGAUUAGCAUUAGCUGUUGUUUCUUCUGUGUCACUGUCUGAAUUACUAAUCUCUAGUUUCACAACUAUCCGAAUACCUAGUGAUGAAUCCUUAGGUAAUAAUUCUCUUUUGCUUCCUUAGCCUUUUCUCUGUCUUCCCUAUCUCAAGAUCAAAUUUCAAUUCUUCUGAGUUGGAAGACCGGGUAAUAAAUCCAGAAACCUAUUAAGAAUCAAAGUAUAUAUAUAAAACAUUAAUCAAUAACAAAAAUUACAAAGAAAAAAAAGAAAUAACACCAUUUCUCGAUAAUGGUGCCAAAAUUUUGAUCAUUUGCCACGAGUAUUAAAAAUUAAUUACUAGAAAGCCAAAACUUGUAGCAGUGGGAGUCCAGGUUGAAACUACAGGGAGCAAUUGCAAAUUUUAUUUUUCAAUGUCAAGUCAAUGAAAUUAACUAGAAUUAAUUAAGAGGAAUUCACUAACAAAAUUAAGAAAGCAAUGUCAAAAGUGAAUAGUUUAAUCAAAUAAUGAAAGCCAAGCCAAGAACACGAAGGGUUUCACUUUGAUCGAUCAUUAACUUCUAAAGGUCCAGUUUUUAAUUAACCACUAGGGCUAAGUUAUCCUAGAUGCCAGUAGUAACUUGCAAAUUCUCUAAAUUCAAUAAUUAGAAUGACAAACUCUAACUAUAUUCUUAUUAUCAGACUAUCUAGAUAUGAUGCAAUCCCAAAUUAAUCUAACAAUAGCAUUUAAAACUAAGAACCAGUUUAAGAUGAUGACAACCCGUGACACAUGCAAUCACCUAAUCAACACCACAAUUCUUUCUAAGGGUUCAUAAAAGGGAACAACCAAUUACUAGCCUUAUUUGCCAUAUAAAAAUAUCAAUACAAGACAAUUAUGGAUCAAGAUUAGUAUUUUGGCAUGAAUAUUACACAUAUAGAGAAUAAUUUGCACUUACUCUACUACAUAUGCCUAAAUACAAAAUAGUAAUCAAGGAAUCGUAGAUAGUUAAAUAAAAGUUGAAAUGAUCAAACUAGUUGAUAUAGGCAACCCUAGGGGAAGACCCUCCUCGAACCUCCCAACCUUGUAAUUAUCAGAGUUGGAUCUUUUCUCCCAACAGAAAUUGAACUCGAUUGUUCUCAUGAACUCAAGACCUCUGACACACAAAGGUAAUCAGCAACCUUAAGCAAAUAAAGAUGGAUGAAGAGACACCACGAUUAGGGAACAAACUAAUCGAUAAAGUCAGAUUUGAAUCCUAAGCAAUGAACUCAAGAAUUCAAGAGUAAGUUCGAUUAAGAACUUGAAGGAAAAUUCCUCACGAUUUCUGGUUGUAAUAUUCUCUCUCUUUUACUCUUACAAGAGGUGCCUUUUUAUAGGCUAAAACUAGGGCAAAAUCCGGCCCACAUAAACCUGGAAGAGAUUCGGUCCGCAUAAAAGAGCUUAAAGAGCUAGCUCUUUAAGGCUUUCCGAUAAGGCCCGAUAAGUAAUAAAAUAUUCAACGCCUAACAACUACUAAACUAGACAGUCUUAAAACAACUACCAACUAAACUAACAAGUAUGAGAUCAUUCCUUCACUUCAAACGUACAAGUGAACAAAGUAACUUCAUGGUCUAUCAAAUCUUCAAACCUAGCUUGCUCCUUGCUUGUAUGGUGAAUGAUCAAGGCUCGUAAAGCUUCCUUCACCUUCUUGGUUCUUGAUCUUGUCAUCGGACCACCAAUGUUGAUCAAAGGAUCCUUGCCUCAAGGUUGAAGUUAUUGCACACCCGUAUCCGCAUCAUUCCCUCUUUCCUUGAAAAGAUUCGUCCUCGAAUCUUCAAAGUCUCCUCUUGAAAGUGAGUUGUCCACAAAUCGAUGGUGCGCUUAAAGGACAGCAAUGUUGGAAGUAGACAAAUGACUACGAGCCAUGUUGCAUGUCGUUUGGUCAGCUUCGGGAAGCUCUCAAACAAGAACAUGCGCCAAGGUAGGAAAGAGUUUGUGUAAGGCAUGUUAAAAUCCCAAGUAGCAAUCCAAAACUCUCUAAUAUAAGGUAGCAAACAAUUGAAUUCCACUUCAUGAGGGUUACUCGAACUAGCACAAGUUGAAGUUGACAAAUUGAGCACUUGGCCACCAGCUUUUGGCGGAGUGAAUAAGCAUAAAAGAUCACCACAUUUAGUUGGAAUAAGCACAAAAUCAGGUUGUAAGUCUUGAAUCAAAACUGGAAAAUUGUGGACAGCUUUACAACCUACAAAAACAAAAUAAACUUCAACUUGAAACAAAUUUGAAAUCGGGUAAAGAAGUAAUGGUACAUUAUCAACUAAAUGGUAAGAAGGUAUAGAACAAGUUUUAAGUGUGAAAACUCCCUUUGCCACUUCAUUAUUCCUUCCAGCAAUUGAUUCAACUUGAGAAGGCAUUGCUAGCUUUUUACACUUUCCUUCAAAAUCUGGAUAAGAAAUACAAGUGUUAGGAUGGAAAUUAUACUCAAAAGAAGGUAAAGAUGAAGAAUGAACCAUAGGUAGUAAAUGAGAGUCAAAGUUUAGAAUUCUCCCUUCAUGGUUGGUUUGAAUUGAUUCUCCUUUGGUAUGGACAGAUUUUUAUUGAAAUUGUUCCAUGAGGUGAUCCCAAAUAGAUUUAAUUCCUAAAAGACAAACUCCAUGGAAACUAAUGAAUUGUACAAGUGACUUUGGAAUGGAGCAUGGCAUGACUAACUUCACUUGACUUUGCUUAAUCUGCACAAACGAAGAAACACUAAAUAAAACAAAGGUAAGUUCGUUAGGAAAACAAUAAGCCCUCACAUUUUUGCUCAAAAUCGUCUCACUUUCUCUCUUUUCUUCCUUUUUACCACUCAUCUCAUCAGAUUUUUCCAUCUCUUUAUCUAGUUUAACAUCCUCGAUUGUUUUCUCAUUAUCAACCUCCUUAACAAAUGGUUCAAUAGGAUGAGAUAGUCCUUUGUUGGGAAUAGGGUCGGCUAUCUCCUUCUUAGAAAACUCACUUUGAUAGCAUCCAUUUGACUCCAUUUGUUUUUGGUGUAGAAGACGUUGAUAUGUCUCCCAAAAUGUCUCCUCAUGAGGUGAUUCAACUCUAGGUUUAGGCCUAGAAAAUGUUGAAUGAAGCUUCUUUUGACCUCUUGUAUAAACCGGCUUUAAAGAGGUAGAUUGCAUGGAAUCUCUCCUCUUAAGAGAUUCGUUCUCUCGCUGAACAUUGGCCCUUAUCAUCUCUCCCUCCAUUUGUUUGUGGUACUCAUCAACCGAAUUAGAAUCUUGAGUGAGUCGUUGAAGCCGAUUGUACAAGUCCGUGGUAUAAUGGGAAGGUACAAAUCGUUUCCUCAUCACUUGCUUCAUUUCAGUCCAAGUGUCAAUCGGUUGUUCCCUAUUUCUCCUCCUUGUGGCACAUACUUGCUCCCACCAAAUAGAUGCAUAAUCUUGAAAUUCAAUAGCUGCAAGUUUCACCUUUUUCUCUUCAGAGUAGUUGUGGACUUCAAACACUUGCUCAACUCGCCUAACCCAAUCCAAGUAAGUUUCAGGGUCAUUUUUCCCAUGAAAGGUAGGCAUCUUGGUCUUGAUGGAACCAAUAUUGUCAUCGGUUCUCCUAGGUCGGUCUCGACCUUCCCUCGCUCCCCUUUGGUUUUUCCUUGAUCGAAAGGAGGUGUUAGAAUGAUAUCCCUUAUCAUCCGCAUCAUGAUUAGCACUCUGAACACUCGAAACCCUAUUGUGUGUAUCUCCGGUACCUCGCAUCUCAAUGGCAGCCAAUCUGUCUAAUAAUUGUGUCAUUACAACUUCAUGUCUCUCCGCUUGUUUUCGAAGAGCUUGGAGCACCAGUUUGAGUGACACGUCGGUUUCAGACGGCUCAGGCAUGUUCCUUCUUGAGACAUAUUGUCCAACCUGCAAAACAAGUGUAUCCUAGUCUACCUUGCAAGCACUCGUGUAUCACUCAAGGAAAACACACUCAUUCUCAAUUUUCCUUCUCAAAGUUCUUAAAACAACUCAAACUCUCAAAAAUUCCAGAAUUAAUUACCCUAUAAGCAAGUAAUAAGACACAAAGCAGAAUUUUGUAAAUCCUAGAAAAACUCUACCCGAAGCUGGAACUUUUUUUUUUUUUUUUGAGCUGCUGUUUUGCUGAGUUUCUGGUCAGUAUUUUGGAGGGUAAGUGGUGCUUUUGGGAUGUUCAAAUAAUGUACGAACCAGUCCUCAAAUUUCAGUCAAAUCGGAUCGCAAAACUAGCUCAACCGAUUUUAGAAACCAAGAACUCCCAAGACGGUGUGGGCUAAGGUGUUUGUGGUUUGGUUUUGAAAACGGAAUUGGGUGUGUUUGGGGCUGGUUAGGUCGUUUGGGGUCUUUGGAAUUCAAUCAAGAUUGGAACUCAAGAGUUGGAAACCAAUCAAGAUUAGGAAACUCAAGUUUUGGGAAAUCAACCAAGAUUUGGAGACUAAUCAAGAUUUGGGAACCCACCAAGAAUUGGAAACUCGCGAUUUUUUUGGAAACUUGAUUUCCUUUGUAUGAGAGCCAAUUCCUUCUCUUCUUCCUUUUUUUUUUCUCUUUCAUUUUUUUUUUCCUUUUUUUUUUCGGCUCUUCAAGGAACACAAAUUCAGAUCACACCAACAAGUUCAAGAAAAACGGAUGAAAGGUUAUGCCAAUUCCAAGAAAACCCUAGUUCUUGGUUUAUUGUUCAAGAAUUUUCAAAACAAGACUUGGUGGUCCAAGAACUUCAAGAAUUUGUUCAAGAAACACAAGAAUUUCCCCAAAUUAUGUUGCGGUGUCUAGGGUUUGCAAAACAACAACCAAUUCUCAAGAAAUAGGCAAAACAGAAUUUCAGCAAUACUCAAAAGAAAAUUCCAGCAAUACUCUAGCAACUUGAACACUAAAACAAUAUAAGGUACGUGACUCUUUUUUUUUUUCUCUUUAAACCCUAACAAUCCAAACACAAAGUAUAACAGACCCAAGAACUUGGACAGAAAACACAAAAAGACAACACCCAAACAGAUUUUUUUUUUUGACUCGGAUGAACAGUAACAUGAACAGUACGCUACAGUACGAUGAACAGUAAUUCGGAAUAGUAACGAUGAACAGUAAUCGCUACAGUUUUUUUUUUUUUUGACAAAAGACACAAACUAACAAGAUAUGAACAACUUCAAUUAAAAGAGAAUUAACCUGAUGCUCUGAUUACCAACUGAUAUAGGCAACCCUAGGGGAAGACCCUCCUAGAACCUCCCAACCUUGUAAUUAUCAGAGUUGGAUCUUUCCUCCCAACAGAAAUUGAACUCGAUUGUUCUCAUGAACUCAAGACCUCUGACACACAAAGGUAAUCAGCAACCUUAAGCAAAUAAGGAUGGAUGAAGCGACACCACGAUUAGGGAACAAGCUAAUCGAUAAAGUCUGAUUUGAAUCCUAAGCCAUGAACUCAAGAAUUCAAGAGUAAGUUCGAUUAAGAACUUGAAGGAAAAUUCCUCACGAUUUCUGGUUGUAAUAAUCUGUCUUUUACUCUUACAAGAGGUGCCUUUUUAUAGGCUAAAACUAGGGCAAAAUCCGGCCCACAUAAACCUGGAAGAGAUUCGGUCCGCAUAAAAGAGCUUAAAGAGCUAGCUCUUUAAGGCUUUCCGAUAAGGCCCGAUAAGUAAUAAAAUACUCAACGCCUAACAACUACUAAACUAGACAGUCUUAAAACAACUACCAACUAAACUAACAAGUAUGAGAUCAUUCCUUCACUUCAAACGUACAAGUGAACAAAGUAACUUCAUGGUCCAUCAAAUCUUCAAACCUAGCUUGCUCCUUGCUUGUAUGGUGAAUGAUCAAGGCUCGUAAAGCUUCCUUCACCUUCUUGGUUCUUGAUCUUGUCAUCGGACCACCAAUGUUAAUCAAAGGAUCCUUGCCCCAAGGUUGAAGUUGUUGCACACCCGUAUCCGCAUCAUUGAUGUUUAGUUACAAGUAUAGUUGAUUCAUUACGAGAGUAGGUUUCAUAUACAUUAGAAAAGUACAUCAUAACUAGCCAAGAAAAUACAAUCCAUUUAACCAAUAAUCUCAUUAGCGAGAGUAGUGAGGAAUACCAUACCUCUAGGAGUUUUAUAGUGUUAAUUUUAUUACUUUUAGUUCAUGCUUAUAGUUUAAAUAAUAAAGGAGUUUGAAAAUCACCUAUAAUUGAAAAUCUUCUCUGUGGAUUCAACUCUUAAUACCCUAUACUUGCUCUUGACCUGUAUACUUGUAGAAAAAUCGUGUGUGGGGUAUUUGUGAUGUUAUAAAUGUAAAACUUGACUGUGGAUAAGCUAAUUGUAUAAGUAUACCCCACGCACGUCAAGUUUUUGGCACCGUUACCGGGGAAGAUUUUCUCAAUAUCGGUGCUAAGAACAACUUUAUUAGUUUAGACAUUUUUACUUGUUUUUCUUGUAAUUGUUGUGUUUAGUGUCUUGUUGAGUCUUUAUUUGUAUUUUUUUUUAUAUGUGUCAAGUCAUCUAUUCUUCUUGACUAAACGUGUUUUUAAAUUACUUUGAAAUUAUGUUUAGGGUUUCAAGGAGAGUAGAAAAUAUGAGGAGACAAUGCAUAAGAGAAGGAAGAUUGGCAAUGGAUGGUUAUCAUGUGCAAAGGUCCAUCAAUUUUUCAACCAAUAAAUUACCGAAGGUAUGUCAUUUGAUGAUAGUUUGAGGUGCUUGAUAAGUAUAUAUUUUACGUGUUUUUAGUGUGUUUUAUUGGUUAAUUUUUUUCUGUUUUAGUCAUGUUUAUAGUUAAUUAAUUAAGUUUCUAGUGAAAAUAUGCAUUUUAUGGUUUAAGUAGUAAAAAUUGCAUUUCUAUGGAUUUUAAUAGGGAAAACUUUAUGUUUUUAUAGGUUUAAUGAUUCAAUUAUCAAAUAGAGUGAUUUGAGAAGAUAAUUGGAUGAUUAAUGAUGGUUUAACGUGAUAAAAAGAAGACAUGAAGUGCAAAACACUCAAAGGAAGAAAUGCAAGUUAAGAUAGUUUUGACACCUUGUGGUAUUUCGACUAUAUCUUGAGGUACAAGCUCUGGAUUGAGGUGAUUCUUAUACCAUUUUGAGGCUAAGAGAUAUAUCUACAUUGGUAUGAAAAUCAAAGUCCAUUUCAGUCAUUUGCAUGGUCAAAAUGUCAAAAUACAGAAGUACAACUCUGUUGUGUAAGCUGAAACAGAGCUUUGACUAGUCAAAGGUAUUUUGAUCAUAUCUCAGUUCACAUAGCUCCCAAUGGGAUGAUUCUUGAGGCAUUGGAAAUCUAACUCAAAGAUCUACAAAUUUCAUGUUUUGCACAAGAGGUAGUUCGGCCUCCAUCAUCAAGAAAAUAACAAUUGAAGCGGUGCCAAAUGCACAGAAGUGAAAAAGCUACUUCGUGAAUACGUGGCUCGUAGUCGCGUAUUCUUCAAUUUUGGCUGCAAGUUGCUCUGCAAGUUGUUCUGCAUUCACACAACCUUUUUAGCUAUCCCUUAGGUCAAAAUUUUGGCUGCAGCUGUAAAGGAGAUGCAUGGAACUUGUAGAAACAUCAUUUGGGAAUCUCAAGGAGCAUUUCACAUCAAUUUUAACAACUCUUUUUGACCUUGAAUUCCUCUAUAAAUAGAGGCCUUUUGAGAACAUUUGAACAACUUUGGAAGGCUAGAGAAACUUCACAAAAAUGUAGUCUUCACUAGUUUUUCUUAAUUCAUUAGUUUAGUAGUUUAGUAUAGAGUAGUAUAGUUUAUCCACUCUUGUAUUUUGGCUAGAUUAGGAUGAAGAUAGAAAUGAAAAAGGAGGGGUUGAAGCUCAUGUGACAAGGGUUAUCUCUUCUCAAACUCUUUAUCUUUUGUAUUGGAUUCUUAAGCAUGGUUAAUAUGCAAGUUUUGGAUUUGAGUUUCAAUAUGUGUUUCUAAAGUUUAUGCCUAGAGUAUGCAUGAACUUUCUAUAUCUUGUUAAUGAUGUUUAUUUGGCUAUGUGAUGAUAUUAUUUUGAGCAAAUUAUUUAUCACUUUUGCUUUUCUAAUCAUGAUUAAUCACCCAUUCGUUGUGAUUAUCUAAAGGUGUUAAGUUUGCAAUGAGAAUUGGAAUUUAACACUAGUUCAAGGAAGUGAUAAAUCUAGGGAGUACACUCAUGAGAGUAGAGGUGCACCUUUGUAGUUUAAAUGACUUGUUUCAUGUAAUUUCAUAGAAGAAAUGAGUUUGUAGUUAAUUUCAUAGUCACGAGAGUAGGUAUGACUUAACUAUAAGUAUAGUUGAUUCACUACGAGAGUAUGUUUCACAUAUAUUAGGAAAUUACGCCAUAACUAGCCAAGACAAUAGCAUUCACUUAACCGGUAAUCUCAUUUGCAAGAGUAGUAAGUAAUUCUAUAUUUUUAGGAGAUUUCUAGUGUUAUUUUCAUUACUUUUAUGUUUAUGGUAGUCUAAAUAAUAAAGGAGUUCAAAAAAUAUCGGUAAUUGAAAAUCUUCUCUGUGGGUUCGACCCUUAAUACCCUAUACUCGCUCUUGACUCGUAUACUUGCGAAAAAUCGCGUGUGGGGUAUUUAGCAUUUAUAAAUGUAAAACUUGAUUGUGGAUGAGCAAAUUGAUAUAUGUAUAUCUCGCGCACGUCAGCACUUAAAGGCUAAAUUUGAUGUUGUAACAUUACAAGUUCAAUUGGACACCAUUAUGCAUGAGAUUGAACGAAAGAGGAACGUUAAUGAUUUUAAUUCUUAUCAUGUGACUUGUGACUUAUGUGGAGGUUAUCAUGCUACUCAUACAUGUAGAAAAGCAUAAAAUGUGGAUUAUUAUGAUGAAUUAGGGCAUUGCAAUCCUUGUUUUGAUCAAUAUGGUCUUAAUCGAGGGUAUUCUUAUGCUUAUAGUUGGGAUAAUCAAUGUGUAUAUAGUCAUUCUUCUUGUUUACAUGAUUACCAAUCUGAAUUGUCUAAUAUGAAUUGAAACUAGCUUGGAAAUUGGCAAUAGAAAGAUUAGUUAAUGCACCUUCAUCUUGGCAACUAGAAAGUGAACCAUUAGCUAAUUAUUCUAAAUCAUCUUAGGAGUUAGCUAUAGAAAAGCUAGCAAAUGUAACCUUCGACAGUUUUGAUAGGGUUGAGGAAAGAUUAGAUGAAUUAGUUUCUCACUUUGGUAGAAUACAAAACUAAUUGCAUGCAUUGUAUGAAGUUAUUUCUUCUAAUAAUAUGCACUAUGACCCUAGAAUAAAUGGUGGGAGUGUUGUAUGUGACAAUGGAUUACAUUUUGAUCAAAAUGAUGAAUCUCAAUUGUGUUUCAAUAAGAAAAUAUCAAUUUCACAUUAUAGUACCUUUGGAGCUAAUCUUGAAUCUCAAGAGGUGAGACUUAAUGACUCAUUUUUCACCCCUCUUAAUGAAUGUAUUGAGCAUAUAGGUUUUAAAGGUAUUAUUCCCCAAGAAAGCCAUGCAGACGUUCUUUUGGUAGUUCUCAAGUGGUGCAUAUUCAAGAUAAUAUCUAAGAAAUACUUGAGAUAGGUAAGUCACUUUCAUCUCUCACAUCAUUAGAACAUGUGGCUUUUGCUAUUAAGUCAAUUUUUAAUGAUCCACCAUGACCUAUAAUGGUAGAUUAUUCAUUAACAAAGCUUCCUUAAAAAAUGAGGCAAAAUAGUCGAGCCAAUGACUUUAAACAACAGCGCUUGUUGGGAGGCAACCCAAUAUUUUUCUUUAAAUUAUAUGUUUAAUUAUUGUGUUAUUUUUUUUGUAGGUUUGGAAAAUAGAGGCAAAAGUGACCAAAUGAGGUGCAAAAGGCGAAGUUCGAUCAAGGAACUCCAUCCCUUGAUUUGAGUAAAAGUUGUUUUAAAUUUGUUAAAGAGGGAUAAAAUGUAUGUUUUGAUCAUUUUACAUUUGCAUGUAUUGAAAAUUUUGGCAAAAAAUUGAUUUAGGAUGUAUUUUGAGUAAUUGGGGUAAAGCACAAUUUUUUAAAUAUUAAGAAGUUUCUACAGAAAAACUGCAGAAUGAAGAAAAUGCGAACUCGGAAAUAUGCGACUUCCAGUCGCGUAUUCAUUUCGGCAAAAAUAAGGAAGAAAACACGGCUACCAAAACGCGACUUCAAGUGCCAUUUUCAUAAGCUCGCGUAUUCAAUCCUGCGAUUUUUCAACUGAAAAUGCGAAGUUCCAAAACUCAACUUAAAGGUCGCGUAUUCAACUCGCAUAUUUGGGGACCAAUUUAAAAGACAAAACGCAAGUUCAUUUCCUUUAUCUUCUUCCUGCUUCAUCUCGCGUUUUCCCACACACACUUCACUAAUCUUCUCUUAUACAUCUUUUCCUUAUAUGAAAUCAUCCAACUAAAAUCAUUUGACCUUUAUAGAGCCUUUUCAACCAAUUAAAAUUCAAGAAAAACAUCUCAAAAAUUGGUUGAAGGCUAGGGUACUUAGUUCUUAAUUUCUUCAAUUGGAGGUCAAAUUGGGUGAUUUUCAUGCGUCAUCUGUAUCACUGAACAUCACUCUACCAAUUUGAGGUAAAUUUCUUAAUGUAAUGAUAAUCAUGAGAUAUAAGUGGUAGGUCACAUUGGUGGGUGUUGAAUUGCGUGGUUUGGCAAUUUAAUUGGUAGUAGAUUAUCUAUUUAAUUAAAUAUCGAACCCUUGAUAUCUAAUGAAGCAACGUAACCAUGAGCAAUUAAUUCAAGAAAUAUACAAAUACUAAUGAAUAUAUAAAUCAGUAAAAAUAAAUUAGUUCUCACAAUUAUUGUUGAAUCAAAGCCUUGAUUAUCUUUUAACUAGAACAACGCCUUAACCACUACUCAUGGAAAAAUCCAACCAAGAAAAAUAAAAAUAGAGCUAGAGUUUUUGUUCUCGAGAAGAGAGAGAAAAAUGAAGAAGAAAAGUUCAAGUCUUGAGAGAUCUUUAUCUCUUCCUCUUCUCCUAUAUUUGUCCUAGUCUAAAAUUAUCUCUAAGCUAAUUUCCUAAAAAGGAAAAAUAUCUUUUAUCAACUACCUCAUUAGAUAAGAUAGUUUGUUGGUUUUUUGGGGUAUAAACUAAGAAACAACAUCUUAGUGUUGUAAAAAAAACUUAUAAGAGACUUCUAUUGAAGAUGGAAAAUGAGCUUAUGUUCUAUAUUCAUCAACUCACUAUUUAUAGUGAUUACAUGAAACAAACUAACAAAAUAUCCAAAUAACAAUUAUCCUAAAAAUUUCAACAAAAUAUAAUCUUUUUCUACUAGCAAAUCUUAGAUAAAAUAUUUGUUAAUAAACCAACAUGAUCUUUGGUUAACAAAUAUCCUUAUUCUUUUAAUAACUAAAUUAUUUUGAUAUCACACUCAAUCUAAUAAAAUCUGUAGGAAAAGUUGGCAUAUCUCAACACUCCUCCUUGCCACUUUUGCUGCAGAUUUUCAAUUGUCUUCUCAAAUCUUUGAAUCUUGUUUUGAACGAGACUAUUGUAAGAAGUUCUGCAAUUGAUAAUUAGCCUUGCAAUGAACUUCUUCCUUUGGGUUUUUAUGCAAGCUAAAUAUUAGUCUUGCAAUGAACCACUUCUUUUGUCUUCUCAUGCCAAACUCCACAUAAAAGAUGAUUUUUUUUUAUGUUUCCAAAUAACCUUCUCCUAGGUUUAAAGUGGAACAUCCUUUGACGAUAUUUGAACCUAUACAGAAAAUAUGAAAUUCUGCAUGGUUCUUCAUUUUGUCAUCACCAUCAAAAUCUGUAGACUCAAAAACAGCAAUAGUAUAAUCUUGAUAAAUAUCAAGAAUCAAUUUGAUACCUGCUGACUUAUCAAUGAUCUCCUCCUGAAUUUUUUCAGGAUCUGAAUUCUUGAUUUCAUCAUCAUGUUCCACUUUAGAAUUGUCAAAAUCUGACCAAUUCAUAGUGAAACUUUUUCUUUUUCUUUUAAUUGAGAAUAAUUUAUUCUCAAUCAAAUCAUUAGCCAUUAUCCUUGUGAAAACGACAUCAAAAACUGAUAUGUGAAUGCUGGCCUUAGAUCUCUGUCUAACUGCAACUCUGUGGUCUCUAAUUUGUGUAUCCAUCAACUCUUCAAAUGCUGGUGAAACAAAAUUCGUCUCCACCAUAUUCCGUAGAUUAUUGACUACCAAAUAAAUCCAAAAUUUUAUGGCCCAAAUUUGGUAAGUUUCACCACUAAAAGUUGAAACAUUUGACAAAAAGUUCUUUCCUAUCAUGGAUUUGAACUUAUAAAAGAUUCUCACCAAUACACUCACUCUCAAAAAAGACCCAGGCCCUUAAGAUAUAGGCUCUUGAUACCACUUUGUUGGUUUUUUGGGGUAUAAACUAAGAAACAACACCUUAGUAUUGCAAAAAAACUUAUAAAAGACUUCUAUUGAAGGUGGAAAAUGAGCUUAUGUUCUACAUUCAUCAACUCACUAUUUAUAGUGAUUACAUGAAACAAACUAACAAAAUAUCCAACUAACAAUUAUCCUAAAAAUUUCAACAAAAUAUAAUCUUCUUCUACUAGCAAAUCUUAGAUAAAAUAUUUGUUAACAAACCAACAUGAUCUUUGGUUAACAAAUAUCCUUAUUCUUCUAAUAACUAAAUUAUUUUGAUUUCAAAUUCAAUCUGAUAAAAUUUGUAGGAAAAGUUGGCAUAUCUCAACAUAGUUGUUGAAGAAGUACUAUUAGAAAAAUAAGCACAUGUUUAAAACUCCUAAACAUUAAUACUUUAGAUAAAGAACAAAAUCAAUUGUUGCCCCCACAACUCUUGCAAAUAUAAAACAAUUAGUAGCUCCUAAAAUUUCCUGGCUUCACUGGCUUGACGAACACGCCUGCAUCCUUUCUCAAUAAAUCUUCAGAAAUUUCCUCUUUUAAACUUCUUCUAAUCAUGAACCUCUAAAUUCAACAUCCAAGUUAAAAUCUUAGAAAAAUCAUGAGGCACAAUAAUUUGCCACAAUUACAAAAGUAAUUUCUCAAAUAAAACACUUAUUAAAUUCACCAUCACACAUGAAGGAUAAAGAUCAAAUUUCAUUAAAAAAAGUGGGUUGACUUCUCUAAGAUGACAAUUAAUUUGUAACAAGAAAAAGACAAACAUGACAAAUUCUAUGGGAGUGAGGGAGUAAUGUUCUCUCAGGAUUAUUAUUUCAGUCCCAUAUAAUGUUACAUGUACAUGCGUACUCUCUUUCAUUGUUAUUGAAGGAAAUUAAACCAAGCUGUAUUUAGUUUCCUAAUCCUUUUAGUUUAUUGUUUUGGUGUCUUGUAUGUUUAGUUUAAUUCCGUAUUUGUUUAAUAAAUUUCAAAUUAAUUUCCAAAUAAGUUUUGGUUAACAAUUUUUUUUUUAUGAAGUUUUGUAGUUUAUAAAUACUACCAAUCUAGAAGAUUGUUACUUGGAGAGUUGAGUUGAGUCUUAAAAAAUAGAUUUGAGAAAAAGUCUCAUAGUUGAGAUUUAUGAGUUAUCGUGAGUGAAAGGCUACGACUUAAUAUUUGUUAUUAUUAAGUUUUGAGUUAAUAAAUAGUUGAGUAUUUGUUUGUGCGUUUAUUUUCUUUCUCUUCCCACAUUUUUUUUAUAUGUGCUAAAAUUGCUUUCAUUGUAUGCCUUUUUCGUGCCAACAAGUGGUAUCAGAACCUAGAUUCAAAAGUUUGAUCCUAGAGUGUUUGUAAUGUCUGAAGGGUUUACAGUGUUUGUUUUCAUAGAGGAGCUUAUACCAUAAAAGGUAUAGAGAUUGUGGUAGAGUACUCAUAUAUUGAAAAUUGGACUACAAGAGUUGCUCUUAGAGUACUUAUUCGUUGAUUGAAAUUAGAAAAAAGUGACCCUAAUUGGACAGAGAUCUAAAAAAGGGUUAAUGUUGUAUAGUGAUAGAAGAAAAAGGUCCUGUUAGAUUUUUUUAAUUGCCGUCAGUUGUUAGAUUGAAGGAUUUGAUUAGUUAAUCAAUCAAAGAAAUCAAGGAAACUUGACAAAAGGGAGAGAAAAUUUAUUCAAGCAUAUGAGUUGUUAAAUAAUGGCAAAGUUUUAAAGAGACUUGAUUGAUGGUGAAAAAUUUGCUAUAUUGACUCCUAUAAGCACAAAUAGACAUACAUAUAUUGGUUGAGUUCUAAAAUGAAAAAAUAUCUCAAAUAAUAUAAUUUGUGUGAUAUUCUUUGUUGGGUUCAUGCAAGUGAGUUGCUAAAACAUAUUUUCAAGAAGAAGGCACGAUUAUUCUUUCAAGUGAUGCAUAAAACAAUGGUAGAAAGUAUUUACAAAACUUUUGUUCAUUGUACUAAAAUACCUUGGAGAUUUUGGGAGGAUGUUUACUAUGUUUUGCAGAUGAUUGAGAAAAACUAUGCUUUAAAAUAUAGUCUGAUUAUUGGUAUUGGUUUGUGGAUUUUAAGAAUGAUAGAUUUGUUGAUAAUAUGGGCAAUAUUGAAAAUUUUAAACCAGUUGAUAAUUUUGAUUUACAUACCUUGUUUAGAGAAAUUGGGAGUGAUGAAUUUAUUGAAUGAAAAGAAUAUAGUAAUUUGAUAGGGUGCGAUUUUUUCAUUUAUUUUAUUAUUAAUUUUCCCUAUUACUUGACCUGAUGUGGAUUUAUUAUUGGAUUCUACUCACUUUUCAUAAUUUAUAGUUAUUUCAGGGAGUAGAUUGAAAACACCACAAUCAAUGCCAAUUUGACAGUCAUCGGGAAAGAAUUCAAAUAGAAGGCUUGCAGGGGCAUUUUUGGAACAAAGAGACGCAAGCCCUUUUUGGUCAUUUGGCCGAAGUCUUCUUUUCCCUAGGAGCCGCCGCACAAAGGAAGACCAUUAGAUGGGAAUUGGAUUGAGUAGCGGAGGAUCAUUAUCUCCAUUAGCUUAGUGUUCCUUUGGUUUUUCUUUCUCACGCAUGGUAGGACUGCUUAGUAGUUUCAGCUUCGACUUUUCUUUUGGGCACUACUGAAGCUUAGUUUUUAAUGUUUUCCUUGGAGGCUUCUUAGUAGUUUUUGUCUCCUGGGAUGUCAGGAGCAAUUAGGUACAAUUGAAUGAUUUUCCUGUGGCUUUUCUCCCAAACACAGAAGAUGGCCGCCGCUUUUGCUUCAGUUUCGUAUGUUUUGUUCUCAUUAAACAUGAACUAAUUUCUCCACUCUAGUCAACGAGCAACGGAGGCUUUGGUUCGCCUAAACUUGUGAGAUUAAUUUAAUUUUAUCUUUAUCUUUUAUUUAUUGGUAUUCGCAUACCCCUUAAUUGCAGUGUUCAUGAUUAUUUAAUUAAUUGAUUGUCUUGAAUCCGGAUAAUUAGUUAACUUGAUAAUCUAUUGUCAAUUAAGGCAUUAAAUUCGUAAUUGUUUAAUUGCCUUGAAAUAGUGCCAACUGACACGAAUAGAUUCAUGUCAGGGGGAUACGCGGGCUAAUCUGAAAUAACCCAGGUAGUGCGUUAUUUGGUUAGAAUAGGGCUCCUCUAAUAUGUAAGGCAAUUGGGGAAUUAAAUCUUACGGGCGUACCUAAGAUUAUUUCUCAAUUAGAGUAGUGGUUAACAGGCGUACCUUAAUCACCGACACAGUAAGGAGGAGUUGACUGUCAUCGCUUGUUUGGCAGUUAUAACCUAUUUAUUAAUAAAUAAUUGGAAUUGCUUGUGCAUCGAUGAUCAAUUGGGUGAACCAUUGCUGAAGUUAUUUCUUGGCAAGAUCCUUAAUUAUCACUCAUUUGAUUUUAGUAAAUUGUUAUUUAAUUUCUAGUUGGUUGUUUUAUUUUUAUUAUUUUACUUUUAGUUGAAUUGUUUAAAUUGUCACCCCUGUUAUAAAAACACCCCCUUGUCACUGUGAAUUUGAAAAGAAACAAUUACUCCCAGUCCCUGUGGAUUCGACACUGCUCACCGCUAUCUACAGAAAUUACUUUUAGUUUGAGUAGGUUUUAUUAUUGCACAGGCUGACAACCUGUCAAUUUUUGGCGCCGUUGCCGGGGACUGGCGUUAUUAUUUGUUUCUUUUUAAAUUCAUUUUUUUUGCUCUAAUUUUCUGGUAUUUUUCUAGUGUAUUUCUCGGUCUUCUCGUACAGGUGAUUUGAUUUUUGACCCUGAAGUAGAGAAGAUCGCGCGUAGAAUGAGAAAGGAAACCAGACAGCUCCGAGAAGAGCAGUCCAGUGUUGUAUCUCAGAGAUCUGAGCCAGGAGUUGAACCAAAGGAUUCGUUUGGUGACACUUCGAGUGACUCUGAUCAAGAGAAAAUUGCUAUGGCUAAUGCACGAAUAUUAAGGGAGUUGGCUGCUCUUGAUUUAAAUCAGCAGCCUUUAUGCAUUACUUUUUCCACUUUAAAUAAUAACACUCCGUUCAAAUUAAAAUCUGGUCUAAUUCAUCUUUUACCUUCUUUUCAUGGUUUAUCAUGUGAGGAGCCGUAUAAGCAUCUGCAGGAGUUUGAUAUCGUGUGUAAUAGUAUGAAACCCUCAGAAAUCACAGAAGAGCAGAUAAAAAUGAGGGCAUUCCCCUUCUCCUUGAAAGAUUCUGCAAAAGACUGGUUAUACUACCUACCACCGGGUAGUAUCACCACGUGGGACCAGUUGAAGAAAAAAUUUUUAGAUAAAUAUUUCCCUGCGUCUAGAGCUGCGAGUUUAAGCAAAGAAAUUUACGGUAUCAAGCAGCAUCCAGGGGAGUCGUUUUAUGAGUACUGGGAGCGAUUCAAGAAAUUGUAUAUCAAGUGUCCCCAGCACCAAAUAAGUGAGCAGUUGCUCAUACAAUAUUUUUGCGAGGGGCUACUUUUCAGAGACAGGAGUAUCAUUGAUGCUGCGAGUGGAGGGACACUGGUGAAUAAGACUUCUAGAGCAGCGUGGGAGUUAAUUGAGGGAAUGGCAGAGAAUUCACAACAAUUCGGUACGAGGGAGGAUGUUCCAAUACGUAAGGUAAAUGAGGUAGAGACAUCUUCUAUCCAGCAGCAGUUGACCGAGUUGACUUCUUUUGUUAGGCAACUGGCUGUAGGAUACGCAUCUCAGGCCAAGGUGUACGAAAUUUGCACUGGUUUGGGUCACUCUACGUAGAUGUACCCAAUGAUUCAAGAAGAAAGUGUGGAGCAAGUGAACAUGGCUGAUCACGCGCCCGCGCCAAGAAAUCAAUAUGACCCAUAUUCGAACACCUACAAUCCUGGUUGGAGGGACCAUCCCAACUUCAGUUAUGGAGGGAGUAGGCAGUCCAAUUUUAUGCCAAGUAGACAACAAGAGUACCAGCAGCAGUAUCAAUCUUGACCACCACCACCUCCACCGAGCGCCAGUCCAUCUUUGAAAGAUAUGAUGAAACAAUUGAUGGCUAGUACUGCACAACACCAGCAAAAGACGGACUCCGAACUACGGAACAUAAGAAGUCGAAUAGGUCAGAUAUAAGCGAUGCAAAAUCAGAUAAGUCAGAUGGCAAUAUCAAUCAACCGUCUGGAGUCUCAAGUAAAUGGAAGAUUGCCAUCCCAACCUGAACUGAACCUAAAGAACGUAAGUGCAAUGACUUUAAGGAGCGGGAAGGAAAUUCAGGGGUCCGAACUCGUGACUCCAAAGGAUAAGGACGAAGAGAAGAUUGAGAAAGAACUUCAGGCAGAGAAUACAAGCACCAAAAAUCCAGUGGUACUCCCUGACCCGAUCAUAAACGUUAAAACUAAUCCCCCUCCAUUUCUUUGCAGGUUGGAGAAAUCGAAGAAGCAGGACAAGGAGAAAGAGAUCCUGGAGGUGCUUCGCAAAGUAGAGAUCAAUAUCCCCCUACUAGACGCCAUCAAGCAAGUGAUGAAGUAUGCAAAAUUUCUGAGGGACCUAUGUGUCAAUCGAAAGAGGCUGAGGGGAGAUGAAAGAGUUAUUGUUGGGGAGAAUGUGUCAGCAGUUCUCCAAAGAAAGCUACCACCAAAGUGUGGGGAUCCAGGUAGGUUUACUGUCCCAUGUAAGAUAGCUAAUACUCUGAUUAGGAAUACCCUGCUAGAUUUAGGAGUAUCGAUCAACGUAAUGCCUAAAUCUAUGUAUGCUUCUUUGAACCUCAGUCCAUUAAAAGAAACCGAGAUAAUAAUUCAAUUAGCUAACCGAACAAAUGCAUACCCUGAUGGGUUGGUAGAGGACGUGCUGGUUAAAGUUAAUGAAUUGAUAUUCCCGGCUGACUUUUAUGUACUUAAUAUGGAUGAUGAUCAUUCCCCGGACCCCUCACCUUUGUGCUACUAGGUAGACCCUUUUUUAGCACAGCACAGACAAAAAUUGACGUUAAUAAGGGUACAUUGUCCAUGAAAUUUGAUGGAGAACUAGUCCACUUUAAUAAUUUUGAUACAAUGGAACAUCCUGUUAACUCUCACUUUGUGUUUGCUAUUCAUGCUAUUAAUCCCUCUGUGCAUGAAUUUUCUGAGUUUGCUUGUAGGGAUAAAUUCAAAUUUACUGAGCACAAGUAUAAGGGGAUGAAAGCACCGUAUGAGGUGAAAAGGAGUAGAAAAUUAAGAAAGAAGACUGCACUCAAAGGCUAUUUGGAUCCUGAAGGAGGGCCACCGAUUUCCUGGAAAAUUUAGUUACACCCAGAUUGAAAAUGGUGUCCAAUGUCUACCCAAAGACGUUAAAGAAAGGCGCUCAUUGGGAGGCAAUCCAAUUGUUUCUUUCAAUUGUUUGUUUUGAUUUCGUGUGAUAGUUUAAAUAUGUUUUCCUUGAAUUUGACUGAUUUUGGGUUUCAAUUUUCGUUUUUGAUGAUUUGUAAGUGUCCUUUUGUCAUGACGCGGGAGAGCUCAAGGUCAGAAUCGUCAGAAGGGGUUCUUGCCCUCAUGACGCACCCGCGUCUCAUGGUCAGAAUCGUCAGAAGGGAUUCUUGCCCUCUUGACGUGCCUGCGUCAAGUAACCAGGAAAGUUUCUCAUUCCGUGCUUUCUUGACGUGCCCGCGUCACGUUCGCGGGAAAGGUAAGGAUUCAAAAGAACUAAAAAAAAACGGUUAUUGAUUUUCUGUUAUUUCGUAAUUUGUAUUUUCGAAAAUAAGUUUUGUAGAAAUAAUAUUCAGAAAAAAUUUUUAAAAAAAAAAGAUUUUUUUUAAUAUAAAAAUAAUAAUAAUAAUAAAAAUUACAAAAAAAAAUAAAAAGUAAUAAAAUUAGGAAGAAAAGAAAACAAAAAACAAAAAAAAAAUUUGAAAACAAAACAAAGACAAAAAAUAAAAACUAUUUUGUUUUCUUUUUCUUUUCUUUCUUUUUCCUUCUUUUCUUUUCUUUCCUUCCUUUCUUUUUCUUUCUUUCUUUCUUCUUCCUUCUUUCUCUUUUCUUUCUUCUCCCCCGCUACCCCUGUCUGCCCUUUCUUUCUUUUCCUCUGUGCCCGCCGCCGAUUCCGCCAGCCACGCCGGCGCCAAGGCCACCAUCGCCGCACGCCGCCGUUGUUUCCUCCACCUAGCCACGCGAAGCAGCAACAAGUCGCCGCUGCUAGAGUCCGCGAGCUGCAGCUGCUCCCUCCGCGUCUCGCUCUCUCCACCACAGAAGAUCUCUUGCCCGCCGCCGUCCGUAACAUCGUGCGCCUCCGCUGCCCAAGCCCCGCGUCUCUCUCCAGCUUGUCCGCCGACCACCAGACUCACUCCACAGCCCCGACCAGCCCUCUCAGCCACGCCGCUCGCUUCUGCUCCACCUUUGACCGCCGCUGUCCUCAUCGAUACCACCGCUUUCCCCCACUCGUGAUCUCCUCCGUCCACAGUAGCACACGCGCCAUCGCCACUCACACAACGCUUCACGCCAGUCGCCCAGCCCACUGCGGGCAGGAGUCGCAUGACGCUGCCCCUAUGUCAGUCACCACCAGUUCCACCUUCUUUGCCUAUCGACCGGUGGAGGUAUUUGUAACUCGGUCCUCAAAUUGUUGGCGGUGAUUAGUUGUUAUUUUGGUUUAUCCGUGAUUUGGUAUGGGUCGUGUGUGAUUUAUCUUCCAUUAUUCGCUACACCAGUGGUACUGGUGGAGUAACUAAACCUCAAUUUGGUACCUCUAUUUGGUUGGCUGCGUUCUUAUUGUCCAAUAUCUACGCUGUUUUAAUUGGAAUUGCUGAUUUUGAGUUAAGACUUUAACUGGCCAACUGGAGCCAUUUGUUGAGAUUUUGGGUGAGCUGAAAUACUGCACUUGUUUGUUCAAUUGGGAGGUUUCUAUGCCAUUUACAUUGCUUAUUCCAGUUGGGUGCAUCUGAUUGAAUUGCUGGAAAAUAUUCUGACCAUUGCCUUCAAUUGCUAAGUUUUUUGAGGUUUCUUUUGGGAUUCUGGUUGAGUUAUUUCUGAAGUUGCCUAAUGAAUUGGGAGACAUUAUUAGCAAUUGAUCUGCUCUGAUAUUGCUCUGUUGGUGGCACGUUCUCUUUCUUGUGAUUAGAUUAACACUUGGGGCUAUUGCUUUACUACUGCUCUACUCUGUUAUAGCAAUUUCAUUGAUUUUGGACUACGUUUUGCACCAGUGAUACUGGUUGGAGUAUUUUUCUUUGCAUGUGUCAGUUCUAUUUGGUUGGAUACCUGAUUGACUGCUGGGCAUGUGUGAUUGAGUUGUUCUUGUGCAAUUGGAGAUAUUUAGAGAGAUUUUGGAUGGGCAAGUUGUGUCGCUCUCUAUUGACAUUUGGAAGGCACCAGUGGCUAUUAAAUUGUUAUUGUUUUGAAUUUGCUGUUUACAUUAUUUGUGGGCAAUUCUUGUCUCUUGUUGAUUGAAAUGACAUUUGGAGAAAAUGGUAAGGCCCAAGCCCUCUUCUUCUGCGCCUCCCCCACCGAUGGCCUCUGAUGUUAAGUCGCACCACUUGUGGGCUCAGAUUUACCACGUAGUUGAGAGAGUGACGAACAUCACCCGCCAAGUGGCAAGGAUGUCUUAGAACUUGGCCGCGUACUUCCACCACAUCGGCUUCCCUCCACCGUUCUUGCCUACCCCUUAGCUACUCGAGAGGGAGGUUUCGUUGUUCUCUUCGCUUUAAUUGUUUUAUUUCCUCCAUUGAGGAUAAUGUAGGAUUUAGGUGUGGGGGGGAACAUAUGGGGGUGCUAGAGUUUCUAGUUUUUAGAUGUUUUUUCUUUAUUAUUAUUAUUAUUUUUUCUUUAGUUUGUUAUUUGGCCAUCUUUCGUGCAUUUUCUUUCUUUCUUUUUAGUGAUUAGCUCACAUGUGUGUAGACACCAAAUUUUUAGUGUAUUUUUAUUUAUUUAUUUACUAUUAUUUAUUUAUUUUUCAUGUUAGUUUUUAUUUACUUUUAGUCUUUUAUUUUUGUUUUAAGUCAUUUUAGCAUAAAUUUUGCCAAAAAAAAAAAGAGAAAAUUAAGGAAAAAUAUGUUUUAUUUCUUUUUAUUGAAAAAAAAGUAAAAGAAAAAAGGGGAAAAGAGGAAAAUUGUAGCCUUUUAUUUUAUAUUUUGCGUACUAAUUUUAUACAUUUUAUUUAAGUAUUGUUUAAAUUGUUAUUUUUGUAUUAUUGUUAUUUAUUUAAGAAAAAAAAAAGAAAAAAGAAAAAAGGGAAACCCGAUAGCGGGUUUUGGGCUGUUCUGAAGAGGAAAAAUGAAGAGGAAAAAAGAAGAAAAAUGAAUGGAAAAAGGAAAAAAAGAUAGUUUCUGCGGUUUCUGGCACUUGGCUUAUUUUCAUUACUGCGUUUUCUGGCUCCGUUAAGAUGAGGUAAAUACAGGCCAUCUAAGGGCUCCAAUUCAAAACCAUGAUCAAUGGCUAGGAGGGGGGUCGGGUGCUAGAAUCAUUUAGGGCCAUCAAGAUGAGUUUUGAGGGUUUUAGGGACCUGAGGUUCCCAUAUAAAAGGCAAAGGGAUACGCCAAGAGAGCGAGGGAGGUUUUGGACGGCUAAGGCUAAGUGAGCGACGGCUGAGAAGGAUUUUUGGAGAGAGCAAAAACGAGAGCGAGAAAGAUCUGAGAGGAGGGGCUUCGGCCAGAAACAAGAAAAGAAAAGGAGGAAUCUUUGAUUGGUAUCGCCGGCAUCAACACCGGGAUUUUCCUGCAACUUGGUUCGAGGAUUUCGAUUUCCAGAACCGUUCGACUCCUUUGGAUCUCUCCUGUCCGUGUAGCAGCCUAAGUGCUCUCAGGUAUAAUGGAUUCCUUUCAAAGUUAGUUUAACACAAUCUGCAUAGGACUCGAGUCUCAUGCAUAAUUCUUUUCCUUUUCUAAGUUUUGGUCGUUAUCCAUGCCUGAUGACUAUGACUGUGGUUAUGCUCGGUGUCGUUGUUUCUGCUGUUGACGGGUUUGGUGUUAGCCUUUUUGUUCAUUUAAUGCACACAUGAAACCAUGGAUUCAGUUUAGGAGCCAUGAAUAGAUAAUGUUUUCCCGCAUAUGUAAUCUGAUGUACUAAAGGUUGCAUUUUUGGUUCUGGUUUGUGUGUAUAUUUUGAGUCUGAAGAAUUCUAUGGCAGUCUAAGUAUAAGAUUUGAAGUUUGUUUGUUGUUUUGGCCUAGAAGCUUGGUGUUUGUGUGAUUCUGACAUGAAACCAGAAACUUGAAGCUAAUGAACGAAUCUGGGUUUGCAAGUUUUUCCCCAGUUCAGUUUUCCUUUCUUUUAAAGGCUUGGUAUUGUAUUUGAUGAUGGGUUUAGGGAGUUUAACAAGAAUUUGAGGACUUUUUGUUGUUUAAGAGUGUAAUGAGCUAUUGCCGCAUGAGGCUCAAUAAACAUCUCAAAGCCAUCCGAAGGUUACAGGAAUUUUUUCCAGUUUUGCACGCUUUCUCUUUUUGAAUUUUUGUGUUCCAGCUUAAGAAUUUUACGUUGAAAACUGGGAAGAACGUUUGAGGAGCCCGUUUACAUGAUCUUGGAAUACUUUCACGCUUGGAGUUGCCCAUAAAAAUCUGCUGCAACAAGUUUAAGGAUUUCAGUUUGUUACAGUAGCGUGAAUAAAUGAAUUCUGUUUCCUUCUUUGGCUCGUUCAGACGUAGGCUUGUUUGAAGCUUAUGAUUUGUUUCCUAUUUGGUUGAUAUUUACGUAUAAGCCUCCACGGUUGUCAGAUGUUGUCUCGGAACGCCCUGUGUAAAUGUCUAAUGCUGUCUUUGCUUCAUGGCCUGAGAGUUGAGAUGUAUCCACGAAUGUUUUGGUUCAAUAUCUUAAGUGGACGUUGAUGCUUUCUUUGCUGUAUUUCUUUUGUUUCCUCACUACUGAGAUUGAUGUUUGGGAAACGUGUAUGCAUUUGGUGGAUGAAUGGUGAGUCUAAUGCAAUGUUUCUGCAUUUAAUCUACACGAACUCGUAGCUGCAAGAAAAAAAUUCCGCAGCAAAGAACAAAAAAUUGCAUUUUCUGUUCUGUUUUCUUUUCCGUAGCUGCUCAUCGAGUCCUUACAUUUAAGUUUGCAUGCUUAAUCUGGUGGGGAGGGCAGGGAAUGAAAUGAUUUGGUGUGGGGUUUGUGUGUUUGGGGUCUAAAAAGAAUGCUUAAGCUAUGAUCAAAUGCUUGCUAAAAGGAAACGAACUAUGAUUGCUAAACCACUUCUGCACAAACUUCCCCAGCAUUUGCGUGACUUCCUUCCUGUGUUUUGGCUCGUGUUGGAUAUUGAAGUCAUGAAUCUUGUUGUUAGUGAAAGUUGUGUUGCCUGGCUGAAAGAAUUUGGAGCGAAAUUGUGGUUUUUGGGUUUGAAAUGCCGAAAAUAAAAGUGCAGCAAAUGUUGCAGAAACCAUCUUCAUAAGCAUCUUGCAUGGAACUUUGCAUGGAAAUGUUCUAAAACAAUUACACUUUGGCCCCCUAAGUCUCCCCUUGUUCCACUAGGACCCAAUCAAUUGAAUAAUUUCAUCAAUUUGGUCCUUGGUAGUUUUAACUUUUACAAUUUCAUUGCUUGUUUGAUCCAAUUAGCCACCUUGCUUUAUUUAAAUUGCUUUUAAUUCAUAAUUUUAAGGGCUUUCUGACCAAGCGAGCUUGUGUUUGUAUACUUUCUUUAAUUUUCUCAAUUAAAAUGAUGCCUUGACCUUUUCUUUUAUUUUGGAGGGUGAAUAAGUAACUCUCUCCAUUAGGGCUCUAUUUCAAGGGAGGUAUAACUUCUUUUAUCUUUUUUGUCUCUCCUCUAUGUGAUCCAACGUGCUAAGUGAGAAUUGCAUGUCUACUUUGCUUUCUUUGACUUUCCUUAAUUCCUUUCAUUUAUUUCAUUUACUUUUACUUUUAUUAAGUUAUUCUUUUAUGGGGUAUGUGUACACCUCUUGGCUUGUAAUAGAUAGGGCUUGGAGAGCAUUUUUAUUCAUUUUUCCUCUCCCCCAUUUGUUUUAGUUAGCAAAUGUAAUAGUUAGGGCCUUGAUUGCCUUGUGUGAUUUGCAUGCUUACGUGCUACGUGUUACUUGCUUUCUUAGGGUCUUGCAUCUAGAUACCAUGCUUAUGUGUUAUGUGCAAUAUGUGAUUUAUGUGUUUAUUUGCUUUAUUAGCUUUUACAUGAUUUAUUUGGUUUAUAAUGAAUGUGUGACGUCACCGUGGCUAGUCCAACGCUAGUCAUGAUCUUUCUCCUCGAGCUCUCGCAAGUCCAAUGCUUGUGAGAGAAUUUUAGAAAAGGGCUAGUCCAAUGCUAGACCCAAUAGGCCGUCCCCUCUCGUUAGUACAUAUUUGCAUGUUUCACUACAUUUCAUAUAUUUUUCUUAGUUUUCUAGCAUUUGGCAUGAUCCUCCAAUCCUUUCCCCUUCAUUUUAGGUUUUUGCAUCCUCAUGCUAGUUAUAGGGUACAUUUGCUUGAGAGUCCCCUUUCGAUAAGGGAAACGAGCGAGUGUGACUACAAAAUAGCCUUAGCACGCUAGUUCUUCUUUCUAAUCAAAGGGAAAAUCAAAAUCGUGAAGUUAGGAGUCAUUCCCGUACCCGAUUUGAUGCACUCCUCUAGGUUCAUGCACCCCCAUUUUACCAUAUCACUUUUUCAUUUUUUUAUCUACAUUUUCUCACUACUUAUAUUUUUCUCACUCCACAUGCCAUGUUCACACAUUUCUCUUCUUUCCCCAUCACUUAUUUAUUUUCUACCUUAUAAAUUGCACCCAAUUGCAUUAUAUAUUUACUACCAUUAUACCAUAUUUUUAUCCACUUGCACACAUACACCUUCAUUUUUCUCAAUUGGCACACAUGCACUUUUCUUACAUUUGCACACAUACACUUUUCUUUCAUUUGCACACUUGCACUUAUAUUUGUAUUUUUUAUUGUAUUUUAUUUUUGCAUUCCUCUUACAUUUUUACACUUGCAUUCAUAUUUGGGUCUUCAUUUGCAUUACCCGUGACCUCUAUGAGAGUUUUCCUUAUUGGCCAUCACAACUCAUGUGAUUGGGACCAAAAAACCUCAUACGAGACAUUUUAGAUUUAGGAUUACAUUUUUUUCAUAUCCAUUAGUCAUAUCCAACAUGCAACACAUACUUUGGGUAGAAGAAAUUAGGAAAAGAGGGGCUAAGUCAGGCAACUAGCUUUGGCUAGGGUAAGGGAGUGCCUUAGAUUUUGCCUUUGCCUUCUCCCUUAUCAAAUGUGACCCCCGAUCCCUCUCUUUGGUUACGUAGACCUAAAAAUUCUUUAAAAAGGGUUUGUUUACUUUUCUUUCGAAAAAAUCACUUUUUGGGUGAUUUGGUACACCCUAACUCUAUACCAAGUGGCGACUCCAUUUUCUAUUUAAAAAGGGUUUGUUUACUUUUCUUUCCAAAAAAUCACUUUUUGGGUGAUUUGGUACACCCUAACUCUAUACCAAGUGGCGACUCCAUUUUCUAUUCAAAAACCCUUUUUGAACUUUAUUUGGCCAAACCGUCGCAUUUCGCAAUCCCCGGCAUUUUAUUUUCAUUUUCACACACGUUCACAUACACACUACUUUCACACAUUUCAAAAAGUGGGGCGCGACAGUUGGCGACUCCACUGGGGACUUCCUAAGUGGGUCCAAGCAUUUGAUUUAGCUAUUCUUUUCCUUUUUCUACUCUUUUUAUGUAUAGCAUUUGGAUAUUAGGGUUGCAUUUUCCAUUUUAGGACUUUUUGCCUCGCGCGCGUAUCAAACUAUUUCCUCACUCAUGCAUGUAUGAUUGGUUGUUUGGAUGUAUGUUGUACUUAUUUUAUCUCGCGCUUUGCAUUGCAUUUUGGGAGGGGGUGUGUCACCUUUAGAGCCUCGCGUUGGUUCUCAACCCCUUCCCUCAAAAUAGGGAACACUUCAUACGUGCAUGUUUAUUUACUGUUAUCCCAUUUUAUUUUAUUUUUCGUGGGCUCUUUCCCACACCGCCUUGUAGGACUAGGAAUGGUUUCUCUAGGUAUGUGGAUGGUGUGCUCUGCACCCAUAGCAGUACCUAGGGGAUCGCUCGAGCCACCGACCGAGGGUCUUGGGAUUGAUGACCCAUUCCCUUAGGUCUGAAGGCUUGGGGACCUUUUUUAAACCUUAUCGAAUCUAGUUGCAUUAGUGAACCCCAGUCUCAUGCAUCCAUGUUAGAGUUUUCCUAGGUUAGAGUCAGCCUCACCUUUUUUUAAGCACAUUAGGCACGAGGGAAGGGGUUCCACCCCUUUUAUUUGCUUUUAUUGUAUCUCUUUUCUUAAUUGCUCCCAAUAUGUUAUGUGUACUAUCAAUUGCACUAACCAUUUCUUUGUUUUCUUGGCCUGCAUUCAUGUGCCUUAGCAAUAAGAGGCCUCUUUGGCACUCUUUUAGUGGCUUACCCACUAGAUAACUCACAUGUUUAAAUUUCAGUCAUUACACUUAAUUUUCAAUAAGUACAUUUCAUUUUAGACCUUUUCCCCCGAUGCACUAUUUAUGUCCUUUAGGCCAUAUUUGUCACAUAUUUACAUCGCUUUAAUAAACUGGCAUCAUGCAUAAACCCUAGAUGGGAAUGCCAUUUAGGGAAUCCUGUGUUAGGAAUAAGCCGCCCUGUGUCUCGGAUAUAUAAUCCAAUGAGACUUGCACGUUUAUAUUUCCUGUACCAUCCAAAGGGGUAGUGCACGAGGUAAGGUAGGAUCCGAUCUUUUCAAAGACGGCAAAGCGAUUGUUGCACAUUAGAAUAUGGGCACUUAACAAUCAUCUUUUUGGCCAUUUUAUCAAAUUGGUAAAAAUCCCUUGCAAAAAGGACAUUAAUUUGAAGAAAUUCACAAAUCAUUCCUUGCUAUUGAGACGAUAAAUAAACUGAGGCCAAAAUUUGAUUUUAGAAGGCUCAUAGACUAAUGCAUCGCAAUAAGCCGUCAAUUCCAUUCAGUCCAUUGGACCAUUUUAUUCAUCAAUUUCAUCUAGUCCAUUUUAUCAAUUUGUUCAUUUUUAGGACAAUCUAGUCGAUUUUGAAUAGACCACCAAUUUCAUUUAAUUCAUUUGAUUAGUUUACCCAUUCUUAGGUCAAUUCAAUCAAUUUUGAAUAAGUCGUCCGAUCCAUUUGACCAGUUUAUCCUUUUUAGGGUGAUCUAGUCAAUUUUGAAUAAAUCAUCCGAUCCAUUGGACCGAUUUGCCUAGUUUUAGGGCAAUUUGGUCGGUUUUGAAUAAAUCAUCAUUUCACUCGAUCUGUUUGAUCAAUUGACUUCAUUCAAUUCAUUUGAUUAGUUUAAUUCAUUUUUAGGGUUAUCCGUUCAAUUUUGAAUUAAUAAUCAAAUUUCAUUCAAUGCAUUUGACCAUUUUACCCUUUGUUAAGGUGAUUCGGUCAAUUUUUGAAUAAAUCAUCAAUUUCAUCCAACCCAGUCAACUAAUUAGGGUUUUAAUGUCAAAUUUCAGAUUGAAGCGCCUAGUUGUUCACCCAUUGCAUUUUUAUUGGAUUUGGAUAAAUUAGGGUUUUGAUCUGUGUUAGGAAAUUUCAAAUUUCUUCAAACUCGUCAAAGUUAAAUUAAUUCUUGUGCCAAUCAAAACCAAUCAUUCAUUCGGAGUUGUCCUCAUUUUGUUGGAGAGCUCCCGCUGUUCAAUUGGUCCAAAAUUUCCAAAUUACUUUCUAAUCAAAUGUCGAUAAGUUGAUCGGAUCCAUCAGGUAUGGUAUCGUGCCUACCUCAGAGGAUUACAUCAUUCUAGGCCUACCCUUGGCACAAAAAGGGCUCCCCCAUAGGACAUGCAUCCGAAUUUUUUGGAUAUUUACUAACUCGUGUCUUUUUCUUUUCCUUUUCUUUAUUUUUAUUGGAAUAGCUAAGCGAGGGCUAAAUCUAAAGGCAAUUCCUUUCAAAAUUCUCAGGUAAUAUUUAAACAUAGCUUCUCGCCGAAGCCCCAUCAUAACGCGAUCCCGUAGUCGAGCCCAGAGGAGUCGUGUAAACAUGAGUUCACAACCGGAACCAUCAGAUAGGUCUGCUACUACUGCCCAGCCUGAGACCACAAGUUUGGGGGUUCAGCUAACCGAAAUGCUUACUAAGUUUGGCAAGAUGGCUACCGAGAUGGCGGCCCAAAGGAAAUUGAUUGACGAGCUAAUCAGUAGCGGAGUUCAACCCGAACCUGUACCCGUCAGGCAGCCUGAACGAGGGCCAUUUGUCAUCCCUCCGACUCAAACCACCGUUACUCCAUCUUUCCCUAUUCCACCCGAAGGAAUUUUCACCUAUCCCACCAUAAAUUUGCCAUACACUUACCCUCCUAAUCCUUCAUUUUUUCCUACUCACAUGCAAGGCCCACAACCCCAAGCUACUUCAAACAUACCACCUGAGCCACAUACCUUUUAUCACACUGCUGCUGAACCAUUCCUACCAGAUCAUACUGUUCAAACCAAGCCAGAAAUGAGGGAAUCUUCCGCUCCCGUUGAUAUAAAGCUGCUCAAACGACUUGACCGUUUUGAUGAGUUUAUGAGAAAGAGUCAGGGGUUGAACAAGCAAGGAGUCCUGGAUUACGAUGAGUUUUGUCUCUUUCCAAAUGUGCAAUUGCCUGAGGGGUUCAAAACCCCUAAGUUUAACAAGUAUAAUGGGACGGGUAAUCCCAAGACACACCUCCGACUAUUUGCUAACAAGUUGGGAAAGCCUGUAGACGACGAGAACCUGCCUCUAAGAUUGUUCCCGGAAAGUCUGGAGGGGGAUGCCCUCGACUGGUACUCAAAUUUGAAGCCCGAAGAAGUAAAAACCUGGAUUGACUUGUCCAAUACUUUUGUAAGGCAAUACGAGUAUAACUGCGAGCUGGCUCCGACACGAACCACGCUGGAAGGAACAAAAAGAAAAUCCUCUGAGGAUCACAAGACUUAUGCCAAAAGGUGGAGGAAGAUAGCUGCAAAAGUCGAGCCACCAAUGACUGAGGACGAAAUCAUACGCACUUUCAUUAAAGCACAUGAUCCGUCGUACUUUGAAGAAAUUUUUCGCAUGACUGGAUGCUCGUUCGCCGCCAUGGUCAAUAAGCUUGAGGAGUACGAUGACUUUGUAAGAGUUGGGAAGAUUGUUAACGUCUCUGCCCUCAAAUCCCAGUUGGAUGCUUUGCAAGGACAAGGGAGUAGUGAGAAAAAGCCGCAGUUUAAAAAGAAAGAGGGGGAAGCCGCCUUCAUAUGGGAUCAAAACCCUACACCAAGACCUAGAUUUCAACAUAAAUCAACAUAUUCACCUUAUCCCUACUAUCCAAGUCCUUACCCUGUUUACAAUACCAAUAUCUCGCACCCCCGACCUCGCCCAAACUACGCCAACCCGCCUACGACCCCUUUUCAAAUACCUCAACCUAACUUUCAACAAACUCGUCCUCUACCUCCUUACCCUCAAAGAUUUCCCCCACCAAACAGACCCGCCUACAACUAUCCCCAACCUACUGAAACCUACAAUCAAAAUCGUGCUCGAACAUUCACUAACCUUGGCAGGCCUUUGGAUCAGUUGUAUGAGCAAUUAAAGGCUGCCGGUAAAAUAGGUGUGAUUCCCCCUCCAACUUACCCUCAUGGCGUCCCUGCCGGAUAUAAUCCAUAGUACACUUGCGCCUAUCAUUCGGGAGCACCUGGCCACCCAACCGCUGAUUGCAGAGACCUUAAGCGCAAAGUCCAAGACAUGAUCGAGGCAGGGGAAAUAGUGCUAAGGAAAAAGGGUGAAAAAAGACCGAGUAUAAGUACAAAUCCUUUUCCUGAACACAAGGACACCUUUGAGGCAUCUACCUCCAACGAAGUAAUUUGAAAAUCUUGAGGGAGCUUUGUACAAUUGGAUUGCCGAGUAUUUUCCCUCUUGAGGGGAAUUUUGAUAAAUUUGGGGUUUGUCGUUUACUAAAGUUCAUGAAAACUGUUUCUUGCAUAGUUUAAUGAAAGCAUCUUUUGCAAUCGAGUUUUUGGCUUGUUUUCGCUUUAAUUUGGAGAUUUAUGAAAUGCACAAUUUGUUUUACUUAUUUAUUUGAUUAUUGUCCUGAUUGUUUAAUUCUUUUAAGAUGGCCAAGGAUGAAAUUACUUGACCCUUGGAAUAUCACUGUUCUGGAAUCUGAUGAAGCCAUACAUCGAAAAUCCCUUCGUUGAAAAUCUAUUCCUUGAGAAAACCUUCAUUGAGAAGGCCAAAAAUCCCUUCAUUAAAAAUCCAUUCAUUGAAAACCCCAUUCAUUGAGAAGUCUCUUCAUUAAGAAAAUCUCUUCAUUAAGAAUCCUUUCAUUGAAAAAGCCUUCAUUGAGAAAGCCCUCAUUGAAAAACCCCUUCAUUGAGAAAUCCCUUCAUUGAGAAAAUUCCUUCCCUGCCAAGCUCGAAGCUGAUCGGUUAGAGCAGUGUCACCGAUGAUUGAUUCUGAUUGAUGAAAAGCAGCUGAAUGCCAUAACGCAUGGCCUAUGUCCGCCACCGAUCCUUUGGAGAAGGGGACAAAGAACUAAAACGAGUUUUGCCAAUAAAAGAUAAAGCCAAAGGCAAAUUUGCUUCAAAUUGGCAAGGCCCAUUGGUCGUUCAAAAGGUGUUGCCGGGCGGAACAUUUGUUCUAGCAUGGAUGGAUGGACAAACGUUUCCCUCAACCUGUCAACUCAGACAUGCGUAAGAAGUUUUUAUUUCUGAUUAUGCAAAUUUCUUUUGGAAAUCAUGCAAGGGUAGAAACAAAAGUCAGGCCAUCUUCCUUUCCAAUCGAAACAUUUCAUCCCUCGUCAUCCCCUUUGAGCUAUCAGAACAAUAAUUUUCGUUUGGCAGCCCCUGAGAAUUGCAAACCCCACACUGGGGCAAAUUUUUAUUUUGAGGAGAGAUAAAGAAAAAGAAAAAGAAGAAGUAAAACCCCACACUGGGGCAAAUUUAUUUUUGAAAGAGAGAUGCUCAAAGGGAAAAAGGAAAAGAGAGAAAGAAAAACCUCACACUGGGGCAAAUUUAGUUUUUAAAAGGAAAUGCAAAAGUGAGGAAAUACAAUGAAAAAUGCAAAGAGAGAAAUCCAAUCAAACUGGGGCAAAUUUUCCUCGGUUUCGUUCAAAAAUUGGAAAUAAUUUCAAAAUGAUGCAAUCUCAGGUUAUUUCACACCCCUCUCAUCAAAAUUUGCUUUCAAGCCUCAACUUUUCUUGAAAAUACCCCACCUGACCUCAUUUCAAAAGCCCAAAGUCCUGGCUUUCGUCACUUGCUGUAUUUUUGUUGGGAAGUUUGCUAAUCAACUGGCAAGUGAUGUCCAUGAUACCUUUACCUAAACUUAUAAGGGAAGUGCAUUUUACUGAUGCCAGCAAUCUUCAACUUACAUUCCUGAGACGAUUAUGGUCGAGCUCUUCCAUUGCUUCCUUAGGCGAAAACCCGAAAAGGCACCUCAAAAAGAAAAGGAGGAAAAGAAGAAAAGAAAAGGGAAAAACAAAACAAAACAAAAGGAGAUGGGGGGCAACCUUGGUGAAAACCCGAAAGGGCGCCAAGGUAGGUUUCUGCAAUGAGCAAACACGAGGAGGAACAGCGGGUGACUUGUUUCAUUUUGGAUUUCUCUUCGUAAUAUUUCUACCAAUGUUGAAUUCCGGAACAAAGAUGUCCAGGGAUUCGAAUAUGACAUCUGUCGGCCAAAAACUGUGUCACUUUGUAAAAAAUAUUCUUUUGCAAAUACAUUCUCAUGGAACCCAUUUUUCCUCAAUUGCUUGUAUUCAUGGCAUUUUGUAGGAUUAAGCACAGUUGGUUGUGUUUUGCAUUCUUUUGCACAUUCAUUCAUGCAUGACAUGUGAAGCUACCUUGCAUGCAUCAUUUUUGGGUCAUUGAAUUUUGGUGAAUAACAACCCCCGUGGUUUAUUCGAAGCAUACUUGGAUUCAAUCAUCUCUUGGAAAGGGUUAAGGGCCAGUAAAGGCAGUUACGCAGGCUUCACAACAUGGCAAAACGCAUACCCGGUCAGUAUGGGAAAAGUAGAGACGCUUGAAAUGACAAAUCCAACCAAGUCAGGUGCCGCAGCCAACUUUGACGAAGGCAUCAAAAGACUUAUGUUUACACGAUUCUCAAAGGCAAACGGAUCAAAUGAUGAGGGCGAUUUCUUUGUAUUUUCUCUUUUGCAGAAAAGUUCCAUGCAUGGAUGAAAACAAUUACACCUCGCACUGAAGUCGGUAUCAAAAAGUGUUCUCCAAAUGAAUAAAGGCGGAUUGAAAUACGUCGCAAGCAAGUUUGAUUAAAUGGUGCAAUAACAUGGCAAUGCAGAAUCAACUAUUGGUUCAAAUGCAAAAACCUAAUUCCUACUGGGGGUAAAAGUUUGGUUUUAGGUAAGUAUACUGGAAUAUCCCGUCUUGCAUUUCAUUUUCACAGCCACUAGCCGUGGGUCAGUUCCACUAGUGUGCAUUUCAUUUUCAUCGCCGCUAGCCGUGGGUCAGUCCCACUAGUGAGCGUUUCAUUUUCAUUGCCGCUAGCCGUGGGUCAGUCCCACUAGUGUGCAUUUCAUUUUACAUUGCCGCUAGCCGUGGGUCAGUCCCACUAGUGUGCAUUUCAUUUUCAUCGCCACUAGCCGUGGGUCAGUCCCACUAGUGUGCAUUUCAUUUUCAUCGCCGCUAGCCGUGAGUCAGUCCCACUAGUGUGCAUUUCAUUUUUAUCGCCGUUGGCCGUGGGUCAGUCCCACUAGUGCGCAUUUCAUUUUCAUCGCCGCUAGCCGUGGGUCAGUCCCACUAGUGCGCAUUUCAUUUCAUCCCCCAUAGCCGUUGGGUCAGUCCCACUAGUGCGCAUUUCUUUUAUACCGCCACUAGCCGUUGGGUCAGUCCCACUAGUGCGCAUUUCUUUUAUUCCGCCACUAGCCGUUGGGUCAGUCCCACAAGUGUGCAUUUUAUUUUCAUUGCCACUGAAUAUGGAUCAGUCCCACCAGUGAGCAUUUCAUUUUCAUUGCCGCUAAACAUGGGUCAGUCCCACUAGCGUGCAUUUUAUUUUCAUUGCCACUAGCCGUUGGGUUUGUCCCAUUAGUAUGCAUCCCAUGAUUUUAAUUUUUAUUCGGGACAGUCCCAUGAUUUUAAAUUUUGUUUGGGUCAGUCCCAUGAUUUUAAUUUUGUUCGGGCCAGUCCCACAAUUUUAAACCUUGUUCGGGUCAGUCCCGUUUUUUAAAUUUCUUAUUUGGGUCAGUCCCAUUUUAAAUUUCUUAUUCGGGUCAGUCCCGUUUUAAAUUUCUUGUUCGGGUCAGUCCCGUUUUAAUUUCUCAUUUGGGUCAGUCCCAUUUUAAAGUUCUCAUUAAAGAGGUCAGUCCUCGUUUCAAUAAUGACAAUCAUUCGAGUAGCUGCAGGCAAAUAACACAGGUGAGCAUUUGGUGUCUACUUUUUUGUCUCAAGUUUUUCCAAAACUCAGACAAAGAGGGGCAAACUGUAGACACCAAAUUUUUAGUGUAUUUUUAUUUAUUUAUUUACUAUUAUUUAUUUAUUUUUCAUGUUAGUUUUUAUUUAAUUUUAGUCUUUUAUUUUUGUUUUAAGUCAUUUUAGCAUAAAUUUUGCCAAAAAAAAAAGAGAGAAAUUUAAGGAAAAAUAUGUUUUAUUUCUUUUUAUUGAAAAAAAAGUAAAAGAAAAAAGGGGAAAAGAGGAAAAUUGUAGCCUUUUAUUUUAUCUUUUGGGUACUAAUUUUAUACAUUUUAUUUAAGUAUUGUUUAAAUUGUUAUUUUUGUAUUAUUGUUAUUUAUUUAAGAAAAAGAAAAAAGGGAAACCCGAUAGCGGGUUUUGGGCUGUUCUGAAGAGGAAAAAAGAAGAAAAAUGAAUGGAAAAAGGAAAAAAAGAUAGUUUCUGCGGUUUCUGGCACUUGGCCUAUUUUCAUUAUUGCAUUUUCUGGCUCCGUUAAGAUGAGGUAAGUAUAGGCCAUCUAAGGGCUCCAAUUCAAAACCAUGAUCAAUGGCUAGGAGGGGGGCCGGGUGCUGGAAUCAUUUAGGGCCAUCAAGAUGAGUUUUGAGGGUUUUAGGGACCUGAGGUUCCCAUAUAAAAGGCAAAGGGAUACGGCAAGAGAGCGAGGGAGGUUUUGGACGGCUAAGGCUAAGUGAGCGACGGCUGAGAAGGAUUUUUGGAGAGAGCAAAAACGAAAGCGAGAAAGAUCUGAGAGGAGGGGCUUCGGCCAGAAACAAGAAAAGAAAAGGAGGAAUCUUUGGUUGGUAUCGCCGGCAUCAGCACCGGGAUUUUCCUGCAACUUGGUUCGAGGAUUUCGAUUUCCAGAACCGUUCGACUCCUUUGGAUCUCUCCUGUCCGUGUAGCAGCCUAAGUGUUCUCAGGUAUAAUGGAUUCCUUUCAAAGUUAGUUUAACACAAUCUGCACAGGACUCGAGUCUCAUGCAUAAUUCUUUUCCUUUUCUAAGUUUUGGUCGUUAUCCAUGCCUGAUGACUAUGACUGUGGUUAUGCUCGGUGUCGUUGUUUCUGCUGUUGACGGGUUUGGUGUUAGCCUUUUUGUUCAUUUAAUGCACACAUGAAACCAUGGAUUCAGUUUAGGAGCCACGAAUAGAUAAUGUUUUCCCGCAUAUGUAAUCUGAUGUACUAAAGGUUGCAUUUUUGGUUCUAGUUUGUGUGUAUAUUUUGAGUCUGAAGAAUUCUAAGGAGGUCUAAGUAUAAGAUUUGAAGUUUGUUUGUUGUUUUGGCCUAGAAGCUCGGUGUUUGUGUGAUUCUGACAUGAAACCAGAAACUUGAAGCUAAUGAACGAAUCUGGGUUUGCAAGUUUUUCCCCAGUUCAGUUUUCCUUUCUUUUAAAGGCUUGGUAUUGUAUUUGAUGAUGGGUUUAGGGAGUUUAACAAGAAUUUGAGGACUUUUUGUUGUUUAAGAGUGUAAUGAGCUAUUGCCGCAUGAGGCUCAAUAAACAUCUCAAAGCCAUCCGAAGGUUACAGGAAUUUUUUCCAGUUUUGCACGCUCUCUCUUUCUGAAUUUUUGUGUUCCAGCUUAAGAAUUUUACGUUGAAAACUGGGAAAAACGUUUGAGGAGCCCGUUUACAUGAUCUUGGAAUACUUUCACGCUUGGAGUUGCCCAUAAAAAUCUGCUGCAACAAGUUUAAGGAUUUCAGUUUGUUACAGCAGCGUGAAUAAAUGAAUUCUGUUUCCUUCUUUGGCUCGUUCAGACGUAGGCUUGUUUGAAGCUUAUGAUUUGUUUCCUAUUUGGUUGAUAUUUACGUAUAAGCCUCCACGGUUGUCAGAUGUUGUCUCGGAACGCCCUGUGUAAAUGUCUAAUGCUGUCUUUGCUUCAUGGCCUGAGAGUUGAGAUGUAUCCACGAAUGUUUUGGUUCAAUAUCUUAAGUGGACGUUGAUGCUUUCUUUGCUGUAUUUCUUUUGUUUCCUCACUACUGAGAUUGAUGUUUGGGAAACGUGUUGCAUUUGGUGGAUGAAUGGUGAGUCUAAUGCAAUGUUUCUGCAUUUAAUCUACACGAACUCGUAGCUGCAAGAAAAAAAUUCCGCAGCAAAGAACAAAAAAUUGCAUUUUCUGUUCUGUUUUCUUUUCCGUAGCUGCUCAUCGAGUCCUUACAUUUAAGUUUGCAUGCUUAAUCUGGUGGGGAGGGCAGGGAAUGAAAUGAUUUGGUGUGGGGUUUGUGUGUUUGGGGUCUAAAAAGAAUGCUUAAGCUAUGAUCAAAUGCUUGCUAAAAGGAAGCGAACUAUGAUUGCUAAACCACUUCUGCACAAACUUCCCCAGCAUUUGCGUGACUUCCUUCCUGUGUUUUGGCUCGUGUUGGAUAUUGAAGUCAUGAAUCUUGUUGUUAGUGAAAGUUUUGUUGCCUGGCUGAAAGAAUUUGGAGCGAAAUUGUGGUUUUUGGGUUUGAAAUGCCGAAAAUAAAAGUGCAGCAAAUGUUGCAGAAACCAUCUUCAUAAGCAUCUUGCAUGGAACUUUGCAUGGAAAUGUUCUAAAACAAUUACACUUUGGCCCCCUAAGUCUCCCCUUGUUCCACUAGGACCCAAUCAAUUGAAUAAUUUCAUCAAUUUGGUCCUUGGUAGUUUUAACUUUUACAAUUUCAUUGCUUGUUUGAUCCAAUUAGCCACCUUGCUUUAUUUAAAUUGCUUUUAAUUCAUAAUUUUAAGGGCUUUCUGACCAAGCGAGCUUGUGUUUGUAUACUUUCUUUAAUUUUCUCAAUUAAAAUGAUGCCUUGACCUUUUCUUUUAUUUUGGAGGGUGAAUAAGUAACUCUCUCCAUUAGGGCUCUAUUUCAAGGGAGGUAUAACUUCUUUUAUCUUUUUUGUCUCUCCUCUAUGUGAUCCAACGUGCUAAGUGAGAAUUGCAUGUCUACUUUGCUUUCUUUGACUUUCCUUAAUUCCUUUCAUUUAUUUCAUUUACUUUUACUUUUAUUAAGUUAUUCUUUUAUGGGGUAUGUGUACACCUCUUGGCUUGUAAUAGAUAGGGCUUGGAGAGCAUUUUUAUUCAUUUUUCCUCUCCCCCAUUUGUUUUAGUUAGCAAAUGUAAUAGUUAGGGCCUUGAUUGCCUUGUGUGAUUUGCAUGCUUACGUGCUACGUGUUACUUGCUUUCUUAGGGUCUUGCAUCUAGAUACCAUGCUUAUGUGUUAUGUGCAAUAUGUGAUUUAUGUGUUUAUUUGCUUUAUUAGCUUUUACAUGAUUUAUUUGGUUUAUAAUGAAUGUGUGACGUCACCGUGGCUAGUCCAACGCUAGUCAUGAUCUUUCCCCUCGAGCUCUCGCAAGUCCAAUGCUUGUGAGAGAAUUUUAGAAAAGGGCUAGUCCAAUGCUAGACCCAAUAGGCCGUCCCCUCUCGUUAGUACAUAUUUGCAUGUUUCACUACAUUUCAAACAUUUUUCUUAGUUUUCUAGCAUUUGGCAUGAUCCUCCAAUCCUUUCCCCUUCAUUUUAGGUUUUUGCAUCCUCAUGCUAGUUAUAGGGAACAUUUGCUUGAGAGUCCCCUUUCGAUAAGGGAAACGAGCGAGUGUGGCUACAAAAUAGCCUUAGCACGCUAGUUCUUCCUUCUAAUCAAAGGAAAAAUCAAAAUCGUGAAGUUAGGAGUCAUUCCCGUACUCGAUUUGAUGCACUCCUCUAGGUUCAUGCACCCCUAUUUUACUAUAUCACUUUUUCAUUUUUUUAUCUACAUUUUCUCACUACUUAUAUUUUUCUCACUCCACAUGCCAUGUUCACACAUUUCUCUUCUUUCCCCAUCACUUAUUUAUUUUCUACCUCAUAAAUUGCACCCAAUUGCACUUAUAUAUUUACUACCAUUAUACCAUAUUUUUAUCCACUUGCACACAUACACCUUCAUUUUUCUCAAUUGGCACACAUGCACUUUUCUUACAUUUGCACACAUACACUUUUCUUUCAUUUGCACACUUGCACUUACAUUUGUAUUUUUUAUUGUAUUUUAUUUUUGCAUUUCUCUUACAUUUUUACACUUGCAUUCAUAUUUGGGUCUUCAUUUGCAUUACCCGUGACCUCUAUGAGAGUUUUCCUUAUUGGCCAUCACAACUCAUGUGAUUGGGACCAAAAAACCUCAUACGAGACAUUUUAGAUUUAGGAUUGCAUUUUUUUCAUAUCCAUUAGUCAUAUCCAACAUGCAACACAUACUUUGGGUAGAAGAAAUUAGGAAAAGAGGGGCUAAGUCACGCAACUAGCUUUGGCUAGGGUAAGGGCGUGCCUUAGGUUUUGCCUUUGCCUUCUCCCUUAUCAAAUGUGACCCCCGAUCCCUCUCUUUGGUUACGUAGACCUAAAAAUUCUUUAAAAAGGGUUUGUUUACUUUUCUUUCCAAAAAAUCACUUUUUGGGUGACUUGGUACACCCUAACUCUGUACCAAGUGGCGACUCCAUUUUCUAUUCAAAAACCCUUUUUGAACUUUAUUUGGCCAAACCGUCGCAUUUCGCAAUCCCCCGGCCUUUUAUUUUCAUUUUCACACACGUUCACAUACACACUACUUUCACACAUUUCAAAAAGUGGGGCGCGACAAUGUGUAUGCCAAGGUUUGAUGUUGGUUUAUUGCCUCUAUUUGUACUUUUGCCAAGUUUUAAUAAUAAGAAUGUAUCAAGUUAAUGUGGUUGAAUUCAAGAACAUCUCUUUAGUGAAUAUCAGUGAUUGUUUUACUCUUAUAAUUUUUGGUUAACUUUCCUAGGCAUAGGGAAUGAUUGUUGGCAUUUUCAUGGGAAUUGGUCCGGUUAUUAAGCUCAAUUCUCCAUAUUUGAAAAUGAGGCUAGCUAAUGUAAAUUCUCUUUUGAUUUUUGUGUUAUUUUGAGUUUUUGUGUUAUUUGGCUGUGAAUAAGAGUUGACUGUACUCCGCUAGUCUUUACUACAGAGUAACCGGGGGUCUUCACCAAAAGUGUCGAUUUUCGCGUCAAAAAGUAGUAAUUGCUAUGAAUACGUGGUCACGUGGCGAUAGAAGCUGAGUAACCGGGUUCUUUCAUCUAACAAAUGUCAGAGUUCGCGUCAAAAGGCUCUGAUGACUAGAGACUAAGUCUUUUGUGCUAUUGCAAAAAAAAGAAGAAAAAAAUAAUAAAUAAAUAAAUAACGAAAAAAAAGAAGUGAAAGUUGUGUUAAUGUGUGAUAAAAGUCAGCUUGCCGAUUUAUGGAUUUAAUGUUGAGAUUUUGGUUAAUAGUUGGACCAUUCGCCGAUAAAUGUUGUGUGUCAUUCCUUUUUCUUAGAUUAGUUAACCUAGAAUUGAAGGAGUUUGUGGUUUAUAAGCUAACCGGGGUGAUGUUUCUUGGAUCUUGAUCACUAGUGCCCGAUAUAUGAUUUUUCUUGAUAUCUUGGCAAUUAGGUAGAUAGAGCAAUGACCAUUAUCAAAUUUUGGUGUCUGUGUACUUUUUUUAUGCUUGAGGGCAAGCAUGAUUUAGGUGUGGGGGGAAUUGAUAGGGUGCGAUUUUUUCAUUUAUUUUAUUAUUAAUUUUCCCUAUUACUUGACCUGAUGUGGAUUUAUUAUUGGAUUCUACUCACUUUUCAUAAUUUGCAGUUAUUCCAGGGAGUAGAUCGAAAACACCACAAUCAAUGACAAUUUGACAGUCAUCGGGAAAGAAUUCAAAUAGAAGGCUUGCAGGGGCAUUUUUGGAACAAAGAGACGCAAGCCCUUUUUGGUCAUUUGGCCGAAGUCUUCUUUUCCCUGGGAGCCGCCGCACAAAGGAAGACCAUUAGAUAGGAAUUGGAUUGAGUGGCGGGGGAUCAUUAUCUCCAUUAGCUUAGUGUUCCUUUGGCUUUUCUUUCUCACGCAUGGCAGGACUCCUUAGUAGUUUCAGCUUUGACUUUUCUUUUGGGCACUACUGAAGCUUAGUUUUUAAUGUUUUCCUUGGAGGCUUCUUAGUAGUUUUUGUCUCCUGGGAUGUCAGGAGCAAUUAGGUACAAUUGAAUGAUUUUCCCGUGGCUUUUCUCCCAAACACAGAAGAUGGCCGCAGCUUUUGCUUCAGUUUCGUAUGUUUUGUUCUCAUUAAACAUGAACUAAUUUCUCCACUCUAAUCAACGAGCAACGGAGGCUUUGGUUCGCCUAAACUUGUGAGAUUGAUUUAAUUUUAUCUUUUUCUUUUAUUUAUUGGUAUUCGCAUACCCCUUAAUUGUAGUGUUCAUGAUUAUUUAAUUAAUUGAUUGUCUUGAAUCCGGAUAAUUAGUUAACUUGAUAAUCUAUUGUCAAUUAAGGCAUUAAAUCCGUAAUUGUUUAAUUGCCUUGAAAUAGUGACAACUGGCAUGAUUAGAUUCGUGUCAGGGGGAUACGCGGGCUAAUCUGAAAUAACCCUGGUAGUGCGUUAUUUGGUUAGAACAGGGCUCCUCUAAUAUGUAAGGCAAUUGGGGAAUUAAAUCUUACGGGCGUACCUAAGGUUAUUUCUCAAUUAGAGUAGUGGUUAACGGGCGUACCUUAAUCACCGACACAGUAAGGAGGGAUUGACUGUCAUCGCUUGUUUGACAGUUAUAACCUAUUUAUUAAUAAAUAAUUGGAAUUGCUUGUGCAUCGAUGAUCAAUUGGGUGAACCAUUGCUGAAGUUAUUUCUUGGCUAGAUCCUUAAUUAUCACUCAUUUGAUUUUAGUAAAUUGUUAUUUAAUUUCUAGUUGGCUGUUUUAUUUUUAUUAUUUUACUUUUAGUUGAAUUGUUUAAAUUGUCACCCCUGAUAUAAAAACACCCCCUUGUCACUGUGAAUUUGAAAAGAAACAAUUACUCCCAGUCCCUGUGGAUUCGACCCUGCUCACCGCUAUCUACAGAAGUUACUUUUAGUUUGAGCAGAUUUUAUUAUUGCACAGGCUGACAACCUGUCAUAAUUUGGCAAAUGAAGAAGAAAUAUCUAACUUGGCAUGUGAAGAAAAGGAAAUUGUUAUUGAAAAAAUCGUUAGCUUGGACUCUCCUUAAUGUUAUAGAAAGAUAUUUGAUUUGAUAGAUACAGAUUUCAUUAGAGUUCAAAAUUAUUUUGCUCCUCAAGAGUUGAUUAACAAUUUGAAAUUUGUUGGUAAUUAUGGUAGUGGAGCUUCUAAAUUGUUUAGUAGUCAUAAUUUUGAUAAGAAAGCAAUCUACGAUUUUGUAUUCUUUGGCACUUACAUUGGCAAUAAAUAUGGUGACUGGUGAUGAAUGGAUUUGUACCAAUGAAUAGUUUGAUCAAGAAAAAUUUGUUGAGAAAUUAUUUCCAAAAUAUAAAAUGCGUCCACUGCCACGAGUAAAGAUGAAAUUGAUAAUUGAAAAUAAGAUGGAGUUGCAUGUCAACUAUAUUACAACAGAGAUUUGCAUAGACAUUAUGGCUCGAGAUGGUAUUGGACCUAUCACAAUGGAAAGCUUGGUUUAAGGGUCCUUUUAGUUUAUUGUUUUGGUGUCUUGUUUGUUUAGUUACUGUUGUAGACGAUGGAAUUUUAAUUAAAUUCUAAAAAUUACCAUUGGUCUAUAAAUUAUUUUUGUGGCUUAUUUCUAUCCAAUCGGGUAUUGCCACAUGUCAUGUACACUUGGAAAAUUUGGUUAUUAAAUGGCCAAUUAUAUUUUUCCACGUGUCAAGGUGAGGUGUUCCAAAUUUAUUCAAAUUGCAGGGAUAUCUCCACCAACCAAAUCAUAUCAUAUCACAUGUCUACUGGAUAGACAUUUAAAUAUUUAUUUCUUAUUAAAGAGAUAAUAUUUAGAGUCGUUUGAUCCAUAUAUAUCUCUUAUAUACUGCAAUGGUCUGUCCAAUCAGACGGCGCCACGUCACUUGUCCCCACAGGCUUGGCCAAUCGGGAAAUUACCUAUCUCUUUAUUGAUAAAUAUAAAAUGAAGAGAUAAUAUUUGACUGGCACAGUCCUAAUAUGACUGCACAUCUUGCAAGUAAAGUGGUACACAGGUUUUCAACCUCUACCUCUUGCUACAGUUAUAAAUAGGGGGCCUCUCAACCAAAUCAAGGACACACACACAGACACAGACAGAGAUACCAAGAGGCAUCUCAUACGUUCAAAGCAUUGAAGCUCCAAGCUACAAAGGUCCGGCUCUUCAAGCUCUCCAAGUCUCCCAUAUAUCAAGACUUGAAUCUUCAAAUAUCUUCUAAAGUUCUUCAAAUCUUCUAUAUCAAGAUUUGAAGGAAUCGGUGGUAGAUCCAAGAACAAGCUGCGAAGCCCUUGGAUUAGCAUUCGAGGAGGAGAAUCGAGGGAAACUCUCUACAAGUUCAAGAAAACCUCAGAGAUUGUACUCACAUAUUUUCUUAAAUUUAUAUUACACAUUUGUCGUGUAUAUUUCUUGUUUUGUUUGCAGACUUGAAAUUUUACCGCGUACAACUGUAUUGGUUUAAAAAAUCUCAAAUUAAUUUUCAAAUAAGUUUCGGUUUACAAUUGUAUUUGUCUUACGAAACUUUGUAGUUUAUAAAUACUACCAAUCUAGUAAGUUAUUAGUUGGAGAGUUGAGUUGAGUAUUAAAAAAUAGGUUUGAGAGGCAGUCUCAUAGUUGAGAUUUAUGAGUUAUUGUGAGCGAAAGGCUAUGACUUGAUAUUUGUUAUUAUUAUGUUAUGAGUUAAUAAAUAGUUGAGUAUUUGUUUGUGUGUCUACUCUCUUUCUCUUCUCACAUAUUUUUAUAUGUGCUAAAAUUGCUUCCGUUGUGCGUGUAUUUUUCAUGCCAACAGUUACUCACAACAAAAUCCAUCUACAUACACUAAAAUAUACAUUUUCUCUUGCAAACACACACUUUUAAAUUAAUAUUUAAAAAAAACUAAUUGAUUACAAAAGAUGAGAACAUAAUAUUAGUGAAGCUUGACUUAGAGUUCGAUUCGUUUCUUUAAUUGAACCAGUCUAGUUCAAACAUAAAAUUAAGCUUAUUUAAUAAACUCGGCUCUUGAAUAACCGGUUUAAACUCGUUUGGAAUCAUUUGUAUAUUUUUUAGAGCUAAUAUGUCUAAUUUUUCUUAAUGAUUAUGUAUAUUUAACUUAUCUUGAUUGUUUAAACAUUGUUUUGUGAAAAGUAUUUGGUGCACCUUCUUAUAUUUUGUGGAAUUAUUUUUAUUUAGUAAGUUGAUUAAAUUGGUUAAAUUUGCUGGGUCACAAAUUUCUAUAGGAUUUUCAAAUUCACUUGAGUUUUUUAAAGCUCCGGCUUAUUUAAGCUUAGUUCAUGUGUUGAUAGAGUCAAACUUGAUUUCGAGUUUAGACUCAAGAUUUCUUUAUGAGUCAUCUUUGAUGUAAUUUUAGACUCAAAACCAAGCAAAGAAUUUCUUUAUAAGUGGCACAUCCAACAUCAAGGAAAUAAUAGGUUAUAGGAUCCAUUAUUUCCCACUUGUUAGAUCACAAGUUCAAAAGUCAAACAAUCAAUUCGACUCGCCUCAUUUACUAACCUGUAUUAGUACCAAAGUUAUAUGGUAUACAUGCAAUUCGAUAUUCAAGUUCAACUGAUUAUGAAACAUGUAUCCCUUAAUAGAUUUACCAAAAAUAAUAUUUUAGUAUUUAAAUUUCUUAGUGUUCAGAUUUUUAGAUUUUACAGUAUUUUUCAGUUUUACCGAACGCCUUUUUGUCUUCUUCAAGUGUUCGGGAGAUGACUUUCUAGAAGGAAUCUAGAAAUUUCAUGCGAUAAAUAGUGCGUGAAGACUGAAAACUGAACAAUGUUUGGUAAGAUUUUCUUGUCAAUUCAGGUCACGACUCUUUCGGGGUGCCGGUCUUUAACAUUUACCAUUGGUAUUAGUAUUUGUUUUUGAUUCAUUAGCGUUGAUGUGUUUGACCACCAUUGCUGGCUCCAUUCAUUUAUAAGUUGAAUCUAGUCCUGGCUCGCUUCUUCUCUCACCUCCCCAUAUUGUUUUCAAGUAACAAAACCAAACCAAAUCUCUGCAAAUGGAUUCUAUUUUUGGGCGAAGAGCACUAAUUUGAUAAAGACACUUAAAUAAUGUUUCAUGUAAAUUCUUCACCCCAAAAGGAGGUGUGGAAACAAAAAAUGAAUAUUUUGGAGGGUAAUUCUUAGUUUCAUUCUAUUUUUAUUUGUUCCUACCGUGGUGAAGUUUUAAGAUGGAGUUUUUUUUUAAAAAAGAAAAAAAAGAAAAAGCAUGAGGUCUUGAACCUAGAAGUAUCUACUUGCACCCCUUCUAAUUUAGAAGCCAACUCAAGACCCCCCCCAAAAACCCAAACAAUAUGAAUUUUUUUCUUUUCUUUUAAAUGUAAGUGUGAGGUUUUGAAUUCGGAACCUGUUAUUUAUACUCUCUUUUCUUGUACUAUCCAAUCCAUGCUUCCCUCUUUAAGAUGGAGUUCAAGUGUUCAUAUUUUGAAAAUUUGUAUAAAUAAAGAUAGAGUUAUAAUUGUUAAUUUACAGUGCCCUUUAUCUUGUUAAUUUUGCUAACUUUAUCAUUUAUUGGAUAUAAAUAGGACAAACUUAAGAGUUUUGAAUACAAAAGUAUGCAAUGUGUCCAAAAUUAAAUUUUAAAAUGCAAAGCAAGAAAGUGGUACGAGUUGGAAGUUAUGGAGUGAAGUUAGUCCUAUUUUCAUUGGUCACUUAGAUGAUGUACUGACAGGUGUCGAGCAUGUACAAUAAUAAUUUCUAAAAAGUCCUAAUUACUACCACAAUUAAUUAUAGAACAAAUCCAAAUACUGGAGCAGGAACCCUAGGUGUGCUAUGAGUUACUUGAUUCACUCUAUUCCCGAAGAGUUUACUUGAUCCGAUAUACUAGAAUUGUUUAUAAAAGUAUUAAAUUUGCAUACAAUGGUAAGUAGGGUUGAUUCCACAGGGAACGGAUAAGAAGUUGUUUCUUUCCAAGUCAAUAAAACAAAAUUGGGGGAUAUUUAAUGGAAUGAAGAUGAAAAUAAAAUAAACAAAAUUCAAAAGCUAACUCAACAAGUUCAAUUUACUAAAAAUAGCAAUUAAUAAAAUUCUACCCAAAGGAUCAACUUUUCAGGUACGGUCCAAUUAAAUGAUUAUCGAUGCAAAGAUAUUUCAUUCAUUCGUCACUAGGUUGGUUAUAGCUAUCAAUAAGCUCUGACAGCCAAUUCUUCCUUACUUUUUCGACAGUCAAGGUACGACCGUUGACUACUUUUCUAACCAGAAAAUAACCCUAGGUACGACCGUAGGAAUUUAAUUAUCCAGUUGUAUUAAAACUAGAAAAACUCAAUCCUAACCAAUAAACGUGCUAAGAGGGUUUAUUUAAACUAGAUCUUACGUUUCUUCAACACAAAGCCAAUUAUGGUGGUUGUCACUAGUUGUCAACUAAACGAACAAUUACGGAUUCAAUUUAAUUAACGUUACAGUAGGCUAUUAAAUUAAAUUAAAUAUCCGGCCGUUGAUACUCAAUUAAUAAAAUAUCCAUGAACAAUUAAUCCAAGAAACGCACGAAUAGUAACGAAUUGGAAGAAAUAAUGAAAAUUCGGUUAGAUCUCACAGAUGUUAUGAACCGUGCCUUCGCGUCGACCUUUUGGGUAGAGGAGAAACUUAGCCGCUCCUCAUCAUAUCAAUCUCGCAUGAUUUAAUUGAAAUCAUUCAAUUAAUUACCAACAAGUUGGGAAAGAAGAGAGAACGAGGAGACAAACGAAAAGUUUUUCUUAUCUCUGGGUUUCGUGUUCGUACCGGAGCAAAAGAAAGGUAAAGAUAAAGGUCUGAUGGAAGUCGUACAAAACAAAAGCAGAGAGCCAAAUCGUCUUCCAGGGGUAGCAAAACGAAAGCUACCCUAAAAUUGUACAGAACCAGAGCAAAAGUAAACAAAGUGCGUCUGACAGCCGGGGAAAAGAAACUAAAAGCUAGCUAAUCUAUCACACGUGAUUCUGGCUUUUUUUUCUAUUGGCCUCAGCCCUUCUUUCCUUAGGAAAACGUCAAAGCUCAAAAGCUUUUAGGAUUAAUGCUCCUUGGGCCCUACCUCCUUUUCGGCCCACAUGAGAGUAGCCGCAUCCCAGUUCUUUUGUUCCUUUACCAAUCCUGCGGGUCGGUCUCAAGGUUUGUAAAAUCGGGAUUCUACGUGGAAUCGAUUUUAGUUUCACAGAAUCGGAUCGUAGAAUCGAAUCGUAGGAUCGUAAGAUCCCACCAAAAGCUCCUAAAUUUACCAAAUUAAUGAAAUUAAAAUUCAUAUAUCAUUUUGUACAUCCUAAAAGAUAUCAAAUAAAUAAGUUACUCAUAAAUAUAUAACAUUUUUUACUUAAUAUCUGACAAGUAAUAAAAAAGAGAAUAUAAACCUGUCAUCUGUCAUAAUUUCAAGUCUUAAAACCAAAUGCUUCACAAUUUACACAAUUAUAAUUUCAAAUAUAAAAUAAUCAUCAACCUUCACAAAUACUAAAAAGCCAAACAUCUAAAACGAUUUUCAAAAUCAAAAUUAACUACUAAAAUGUCAUCUGUCAAGUUUAAACAAACAUGAAAAAAUAAAAAUAAAAUAGUAACAAUUCAUCGUUUUCAAGUAUCGUAAUAAUUCAUAAAUACAUUAAUUUAUAAUCAUUGUCAUCAUUUUCAUCAAAUUCAGUAUCCCCAUAAUUCACAUUAUCAAAAUCAUUAUUUUUCCAAUCAUCUUCACCAUCCCAAUUCUUCGAUCCAACAAAUGCUUCAAUCUUUUUCCAAUCACGGUCAAACCUACAUAUCAUACAAACAAGUAAACAAUUAACAAGUUAUACGUAUUGAAGCAUGUAAGUAAUUAUUAAAUAACGAGGGAUGCCCCUAAUAUCCAGCUAAAUUGUGACAAAAUUAGCUAAUGAAACAAGGAUGAACUACAUGUACAUAAUCUAGUAUAUGAAGGACCUUCUACUGAUUACUAUAGAAUUAAAGACUGGCAGUCACAAACUACAAUUCAACUUCAAACUAAACAAUUAUAACCUAGGGAACUCAUUCAAAUUUCCAAUUCAAUCGUCGCGAGACAUUACCCAUUUGUGAACAGUCCCGUCAAAACCCAAAAUUGAAGAACUCCAAAGGCGAUAAUUCAACAACAGAUGCAAUAAAUUUGAAAGUGAAGCGAGACUCACAAUUGGAGUGCUUCGAGGAACGACUUGUGCUCGGGUUCUGUCCAGCUCUCCCUUCACUUGGUAAUGGUGUAGGGUUUUCGGACCUUCUUGCUCGGGUCCUCGGAGGACAACGAAGUGCUGUUGGCCGUCGAAGCCAUGGCAACGGCGACAGAGAUUGAAGCUUUAAUUUAGGGUGGCGGUGCUGGAGGCUAGAGAUUGAAGCUUUAAUUUAGGGAUUUGGGCAGGACCGUAGCAAAGAGAAACGACAAAGGAGAAAGGAAAAGGAUUGCUUGAGAAGAUGAAGAGUACCGAAGCUUUUUUGAGUUUUGACGGAGCUUUUUGAGUCCAUGUGGUCAAAAAUGUUAAAACAUUGCAACUAAGGGCUGCAAUCCUUUGAUAAAUUACAAGCCCACCCCAAAUGUUUUGAUUUAGUUGCAAAAUGGAGUAUCAAUUUCACAAAUUAGGGAAAAUUUGUAGGAUCGAGGUAGGAUCGUACGAUCCUACACGAUCCUACCGAUCCUACCUCGAUUCUACAUAGAUUAAUGAAAUUUACGAUUCUAAUGCGAUCUGGAUCGAUUUUGAUUUUCUGGAUCGUAGGAUCGUACGAUCCUACGAUCCGGAUCGCGAUUUUAACAACCAUGGUCGGUCUUUUAAAUGCCUUCCUUCAGCUUCUGGCGUGAACAUGUCAUAAAAUAAAGAGUCUUCUGAAAAUUUGUCUCGGGAGAUCACUUUUGAUACCGAUCACCUACAAUUUACAUAAACAUCAAAUAUGAACAAAAUCUCAAUACUUAGCACAGAAUAACAGCACAAAAUGAGCCCAAUAAUUGCUCUAUCAUGUACCAAACCUUUAUCAUCGAUCAAAUGCAACUCAAUUUAAUAGAUUCCUUUUGCUUGAGUGAGUGACGUGAAAUGUCUCUUUAGUAACAUCCAAGCUAACCUCAAAUUGCUUAAAGAGAGUUCCUCAGCAUGCCCUCGUCCCCAGACUUCAUUCUUUCCCUGUUGCUCCGCAUCAGUUUAAAACACUCUCCGUAACCCUUCAUUUUUAGAUAUCUCAGAAUAUUCAAGAAUGCCAGAAAAAAGCAAGAUUUUGAUCAUUGGUGGAACAGGAUACAUUGGCGAGUUUAUAGUUGAGGCCAGCACUAAGGCUGGCCAUCCCACCUUUGUGCUGGUUAGAGAAUCUACAGUUUCUGAUCCUGUUAAGGGAAAAUUUGUUGAAGGCUUCAAGAACUCUGGGGCGAC